UCGUUUCACCAAUAUCCUCUCUUUGAAGUUACUGAAAUACCCUCCUUCGCCUCCUCACCCCCAUGUUGUCAUGCACAGCCAAAUGCUUCAAGGCCUUCGAAACCUCUUUCAACCCGGGAACCCAAAGCCGACCCGUUUGUGCAGUCAUCGACGUUAUGAUGGGCUGGACGGCUGAUGUUUUCAAGAUUUUUUGAAGUUCCCAUUGUUGGGUUCUUCACUUCUGGUGCUUGCUCGGCAGCUGUGGAGUGUGCCAUGUGGCAGGCUCGCAUCCAAGGGGUCAAACCGGGAGAGGGCCGUUUACUUCCUGGGUUACCCCAGGAUAUGGCUUUAUUUGAAUCGAAUCUUAAACACAGGCCUCAUGGGCCCCCUCCUAGUGGUCCACCACCUCUGCGAGGUGCACCCGGUUCCGAGAAAAAAAGGUCCACUAGAAGCCGGUGAUCAACCACACUGGAUGAAGGAAGUAGAGGGAUCAAUGGCGUUGAUGUUCAACACGUGUGAUGGUCUUGAGGGACCAUUUAUUAAUUAUUUAGCCAAUCAAUUGGGAAAGCCGGUGUGGGGAGUGGGCUCACUGUUACCUGAACAAUUUUACAAAUCGGCCGGUUCAAAGCUUCAUGAUCAUGAGAUGAGAACCAACCGGCGGAGUUCUAACAUGACGGAAGAUGAGAUCGGUUGAAUUUGAAAUCACGUGGAUCUGUGUUAUAUGUGUCAUUUGGUACUGAAGUGGAUCCGACCUUAGAUGAGUACUUAGUACUAGCCAAUGCUUUAGAAGCAUCAAAUCGACCGUUUAUUUUGGUAAUUCAAGGUGGUGCAGGUAGAUUGGAUCCUCUACGUCAUUUGGACAAACCAGCUGAAGGCAGUUAUUUUCGUAGUGGUUUGGAUAAUAAAGUCGGUAAAAAGGGUUUGAUAAUAGAUGGAUGGGCGCCACAAUCAUUGAUAUUGAAUCAUCAAUCAACGAGUGGAUUUUUAUCUCACUGUGGAUGGAAUUCAACAGUAGAAGCAAUUGGUUGUCGAGUCCCAAUUUUAGCAUGGCCAAUUAGAGGUGACCAACAUUACAAUGCCAAAUUUGUGAUCAAUCAUCUCAAGGUGGGUACAUGAUCUCUGAUGAUCAAUCAAAAUCGAUUCAAAAGGAUGAUAUAGUGAGUGGUAUAGAAAAGCUUAUGAGUGAUCAGGAGAUUAAAAAACGAGCUCACGUGCUUCACAGUAUAUUUAACCAUGGCUUUCCUCUGAGUUCGGUGGCUUCUUUGAAUGCUUUCAUAGGUCUUAUUAACCAUAAAUCAGUUUUAGAAAAAUAAUUAUCAGAAGUCCUACAAACCAUCUAAAAUAAAAAGAUGGCCCGUCCUCCAUCCAAACGACAAAAGCAUGGACUCGCAACGCAAGUAGUCAUAUUCACCCGAGCAACAAAAUGAACAUCAAAUUGUUGACGAGGCACCAUAUGCACAACAUAGUGAUAUUGUUUAGUGUUUAAUAUUAUAGGGAAGUUUUUAAUAAAUCUUCAUUUCCGUGCAUAUUGUGAGCUUAUUGCCAAAAAUGAGACUAUAUAGUUGUGGGACAAACAAAAAGGGAAAUUCUUUACCAUUCGGCUAAAUUUUGAUGUCAUGCAAAAUAAUAUAGGAUCUUGAAUUCACUUUAAUAUGAUAUCAACAUACGGAAGAAAUUUCUGAAGCAAAUAGAUUUUGCAUGAAAGGUAUCGACACAAAGUCAGAGGAAAAUUUGAAUAGAAUUUUUUUUAAUAUAACAAUCACUGGUGACCAUGUUUAGAUACCAUCUGAGAGUAGUAAAAUAUCAACUACCAAUUCUACUGUGGUUGAAGAAUGUACUUGUCGUUAGAUGAGUUUGUUCCCAUUGAAGCUAUCAAAGAAAGAAAAGGAAAAAGAGCGGCCGCAAAAGGGAGGAAAGUGGGAGGAGUUGAAAGGCUGUCACAGCAAAUUGAUCGCCUUGUUGAUACUGUGGAAAUGGAGGUCGAAUUUAAGAAGAAGAUCAUAGUAUUAAUGUUCCUAAAGGUCGAGAGAUGGGGAGAUUGAGAAAUAAUAGUGCUGCAAGUUUAAUGAGUGGACAAUAUUAUAGUUAUAUAUUUUUUUACACACAUGUAUAUAAUAUUUUAUUUUUAUGAACUACUUUGAUUGCAAUAGUUUUAUGUACAUAAAAGUUUAUAUAAAGAUUAAAUUUUUGCAUUUUCUUUUUGCACUUAUUUAUUAAUCAAUUUGAUAAUAUGUUAGCAUGAAUUUUUUUAGUUAAAAAAAUAUUAAAGUUAGUUUUAUUGCAAAUUAAAAUAGUUAAUAAAAAAAUGAUAUAGAUAUGUAAUAAAGAAAAUAGAAUAUACUCUUUAAAAAUCCAGUAAAUAAAAAAAUGAUGUUAAUAAUAAUAUUCCGAAUAAACUACAAAUAAGCAAACAAGUACAUUUUUAUCAUUGCACAUGAAUAUUACACUUUUAAUUUUCACUUAUCAAAUUUGUAUAGUAGAUUAUUUGAAAAUUGAUUGUCAAAUAAUCAUCAUUUACCAAACACCCUACAAGAAGUUAUUUAAAUUAAGAUAUCUAAUGAAUUCUAUUAAUAGUGAGCGUGCUUAUCAAAUAUAUAAAAAUAAAAAGAAGAAGAGUUGGGGGAAAAAAGAAUUUUUUAUUAGUUUGAAGCUGAUUAGAUGCUUUAAAAAGAAAUGUUCUCAUGAUUGAUGACUAAACAAGUGCAUAAUCCAUUCCUAAGUGCAAGUCAUGAUAAGUAAACCACCUAUAACCUAAAGAAAUAAAAGAAAUCCCAAAUGUACCCUCAAUCAAUCCCCUUUGCUUACUAGUAAUAUUUUUUUUUCGUUUGCCAAAAAUUCCAAGGAAAAUAUAAAAAGAAGAAGAGUUGGGGGAAAAAAGAAAGGGGAGGAAAAUCAGGUUCCUCUGUUUUCAUUCCCCUGUUUUGAAAUUAUCUAUCAUCGAUAUAAUUUUAUUCUCCUGUUACUAAAGGAGAAUGGUUCAGAUGAGUUGCCGUCCAUCAGGCGGAUUCAGAUUUUGAAUUAUCAUUGGUUUGAUAUUGUCGUUCCACUUGUUUCAUGAAUGGAUUCCCACCUACGCGUUUGCUUAUUAAAAGAAUUAAUCUUGCUUUUCUAGGAAUAUAAUGCAAUAUGCAUGACGGUACGUGUCCAUGUGAAAGUUGAUGAAAUCUUCACUUUCAGUGUUGGAACUCCACAAUCGAAACAAUCAAUACGACAAUUUUUCUCUAUCGGUUCAAUUUUAAUUAAAUAGAAAACAAGUAAGGUCAAAUAAAUUCUGGUCCACCAAUUUAAUUAGUAUAAACAUAUGGAUCCCAUCAUUAUUAUUAUACAUAUAUGGGUAUUUUUACUUAUUAUAUGUUAGGUUCCAGUCAGAGACAGCCAAUGAUCACGCGUAACACAAGUGAUAUUUUUCUGCUUAUGGCGAGAAAGGACCCAAUAAUUGUUGUUUAGAAUUCUCAAUGCCUUUAUUCAUAUUCUAGAGCUUAUUUAUAAUCACAAGACCUUGAUUUUCAACCUACAAUCACGGCUGAAAUCAAUAAAACAAAUAUUAAAAUAACGACCUAGCUAAUAUUUCGUAAAGAUAAUCAAAAGCAACUUGAUAAAGUUAUCCCAAAAGCAACUUGAUAAGGUCAUCCCAAAAUCACGGCUCCAGUACUCAUCUUUACAAUUUCCACACGUGAAACUGCACAUGCAUGUGUCAUGCAUGGCUUGCAUGGGAAUCAACUUAUGCUCUCACGUAAUAUACUUAUGGUUUGGCUUUGGCAUUCUUCCAGAUCUUCGUGGCUCAUGCACUUGCUUUCUAUCAUAAUCACCCACGGCUUUCUUAAGCAAAGAGACGUGAAACACCGGGUGAAUUCGAGCAUUCUCUGGUAAUUGUAGUUCGUAGGCCACGGCUCCAACUUUGCGAAGAACUAAAUACGGCCCAAAGUACCUGCAAGCUAAUUUCUGAUGUGCUCUUCUGAACACUGAAGUCUGCCGAUAGGGCUGCAACUUUAAUAACACCAUAUCUCCCUGUUUGAACUCAACGUCGCGGCGACCCUUGUCAGCUGUUUGCUUCAUCCUGUUAGCUGCUGUGACUAAGUUUUUCUUUAAUUGUAAGAGCAGUUCAUCACGUGAAUGUAAGGCUUGAUCAACCUCAUGCACCGGCGAGGAACCAAGUUGAUACAUGGGCACGGUUGGAGGUGGUCUUCCAUACAAAGCUUGGAAUGGAGUCAUUCCGGUGGAGACGUGGAAUGUGGUGUUGUACCAAAAUUCUGCCCACGGCAAAAAAGAAUGCCACUUUCGCGGCCAUUGGUGAACAAAACAUCUCAAGUACUGUUCCAAGCAUCGAUUAAUUACCUCCGUUUGGCCGUCGGUUUGCGGGUGGUACGCCGAGCUCAUUUUGAGUUUGGUGCCGGAUAAAUUGAAGAACUCUUGCCAAAAUCUGCUGAUGAAUAUAGGGUCUCGGUCGCUAAUGAUUGAUUUGGGCAUGCCGUGCAGCUUCACUACUCCCUCAAUAAAUUUUUCCGCCACUGUUUUUGCUGAGUAAGGAUGAGAAAGAGCCAUAAAAUGUGUUGAUUUACUCAGUCGAUCUACCACUACCAAAAUAGCAUUCUUCCCUUGUGACCAGGGUAAAGCUUCAAUAAAGUCUAGUGUAAUAUCAUCCCACACCUGACACGGGAUUGGCAGAGGCUGGAGAAGUCCUGCCGGCUUGAGCGUUUCUGCCUUUGUUUGUUGACAAGUUGCACAUUUACUCAAGUAUUCACGCACAGUUUGGAACAUGGAUGGCCAGUAGAACUGUUGUGAUAAACGUUUGAAUGUGCGAAGAAUUCCAGAGUGACCUCCUAUCUUUGUGUCAUGUGCUUGAAAUAGGAGUGUCCCGUAAUGCUUGUGGAACUACUACUUUAUUCUUAAAAAAUAUCAUGCCAUCCCGCAACGUGUAAGGCCCUGAAGGUUGGGCUUGCACAACUGAAUUUAUUCUCUUCAUGUACUCAUCAUUGCUGGCCGCGUUUUUUAUUUCUUCCCAUAUAGCAACCUGCGGAAUAAAGACAUGAAAUAGAGAUGGGUUGUCAAAACGUCGUGACAACGCAUCUGCGGCUGUAUUUUCUCGACCCGGCCUAUAAACAAUUUCAUAAUCCUAGCCCAUUAAUUUUACCAUCCAUUUUUGUUGCUCCGGUGUUGCGACUUUCUGUUCCAGGAAGAACUUGAUGCUGCGAUGGUCAGUUUGGAUUGUGAAACCCUGCCCUAACAAGUAUGGCCUCCAUAUUCGAAUAGCUUCCACAAUGGCGAGCAUCUCUUUGUUGUAAACUGACCAAGCUUUCUUUGUGAUGCCGAGAGCUCUACUCAUGUACGCUAUUGGUUUUCCUUGCUGCUGUAACACCGCACCAAUACCAUCGCCGGAAGCGUCAGUUUCAAUAAUGAAAGUAUCAUUGAAGUUGGGCAUGGUGAGCAUUGGAGUAAUAGUCAUAGCCUUCUUUAAAUUGUCAAAAGCUUUUUCCGCUUCGUCACUCCAGCCGAACUGUCCUUUCUUCAAAAGAUUAGUGAGUGGCCGAGCAAGCAACCCAUACCUUUGCACGAAUUUUCUGUAAUAUCCGGUGAGACCAAGGAAUCCCCUCAGCUCGGAGAUGUUUUGUGGCCGGGGCCAAGUUAGCAUCGCCGCAAUUUUCUUGUCAUCUACCUUUACGCCAUGACAAGUGACUAUGUGACCUAGAUACUCCAAUUCCUACUGCCCGAAAUUGCACUUGCUUGCCUUGAUAAAAAGUUGCUGUUCUCGAAGAAUUUCUAGUGCCUGUUUCAUAUGGUUCAAAUGGCAGCUCCACGUGGGGCUGUAAAUUAGUAUGUCAUCAAAAAAUACAAGUAUAAAUUUUCUGAGGUAAGGACGGAAAAUAGAAUUCAUCAAAGCCUGAAACGUUGAUGGUGCAUUGCACAAUCCGAACGGCAUCACUAGGUAUUCGCAAUGCCCGUUGUGAGUUCAGAAUGCAGUUUUAUGUACAUCCGCAGGAUUAACUCGCACCUGAUGAUACCCUGCCCUUAAAUCCAAUUUUGUGAAAUAUGCGGCACCAUGGAGAUCGCCUAACAUGUCAUCAACCGUUGGAAUUGGAAAACGGUCUUUGAUGGUGACUUGAUUUAGAGCUCUGUAGUCGGUACAAAAGCGCCAACUGCGGUCCUUCUUUUUUACCAACAGCACCGGUGAGGAGAAAGGGCUGGUGCUUGGCCGGAUUAACCCCGAAGUGAGCAUCUCUUGUACUUGUUUUUCAAUUUCUGCUUUUUGGAAAUAAGCGUACCGGUACGGUUUUACGUUAAUUGCCUCGGUACCUUCCUUUAAUGGAAUUCGAUGAUCAAUGUCUCGUGGAGGAGGGAGCUGCGUGGGCUCACAAAACAAUGCCUCAUAAUUUGUCAACAGCUGCUGCAUAUCUGGUGGUAAUGUGCCCAGCGACUCUUCUAGUUUUAUUUGGAAACAAAUUGCAUAUACCUCAUGACCUUGUUUAAUUUCCUUCGUUACUUCUGUCACCGAUGCUGGCUGUACCAUUUGCGGAUUUAUCCCUUGUAGGCGUUGUUUCCGGUUUCCCCACUCAAACUCCAUAGUUAAUGUCUUCCAAUUACAUACGACUGAACCCAAUAGUUCGAGCCAUUGCACACCCAGUACCAUAUCUAAUCCUGAUAUCGGUAGAGAAUAAACCGUGAGUGAAAAAGAAAUAUCUUGAAUGAAAAGUUGUACCUGUUCAAACUUCCCUUGACAUGUCAAUCUUUCACCAUUGGCAACGCGUACUGUGAAAGUCUCCAUUGGUUUGACGGGUAAUUGGAGCAAAUUAGCAAGUUUAGUGCUAAUGAAAUUGUGGGUGGACCCACUGUCUAUUAAGACUAUUAUUUGGUACGGCCCAAUCCUUGCCAUGACUCGCAUUGUUUGAGGUGCAGUCCAUCCCGUUAAUGCAUAUAAAGAGAUUUUAGGUUUUUCCAUUUCUGCUGGUCCCGUUGUUGGAUCAUCUUCCGUGACCUCUUCAUAGAUGAAUUCUUCUGUUUGUGGUUCGCCUUCUAAAAUCAGUAAUUGUGCCUUGGUGCAUUUGUGGCCAACGGUAAACUUGUCAUUACAGUUGAAGCAUAACCCUUGUGUACGUCGACGUUGCAUCUCCUCCCAAGACAGUCGUUUGAAGGGUACUGUUGGUGAUGCUCGAUUGGGGACCGGCGGUGUUCGGCUGACAAUUGUUGGUCGGAAUAAUCUUCGUUGGCGUGUUAUCUGGUCGUCUUUCAUACGAGCAAGGCCAAUGGCUUCCUUUAACGUUCGUGGCCUGAACAUCCGUAUAUCCUCUGCAAUCUCCGUUUUCAACCCUCCCAUGAAAGUGCCUACCAACGCUUUCUGUGACCACCCAUGAACUCGGUUUCCCAACCUCUCAAAUUCCUUUUGGUAUUCUCGCAGAGAACCUGUUUGUUUGACCCGAGACAAUGCUUCAUCAAAGUCUUCACAACCAGUGGGUCCGAAGCGCGCCCACAACUCGUCAACAAAUAUUUCCCACGUAACCGGUCGACCUUCUUCUCGGUAAGCCUUGCACAUCCACUGCCACCAUUGAUUUGCUUCGCCCUCCAAGUGAUAUGCCGCUAAGACUACUUUCUGCUCAUCUGUGGUUUCUUGGUACUCAAAAUACUGCGUUACCCGAUUGAACCACUCCGUUGGGUCGUCGCCGGCAUAGCGGGGAAACUCCAACUUAGCAAGUCUUGUCGGCAUCGGUGGUCGACCUCUUUCACUUUCCUCGCGGAAUGAUCGUGAAGGUCCAAUGUUCUCGUUAGUGUCGUGUCGUGAAGAUCCAAUGUUCUCGUUAGUGCCGUGACUGGCAGUGCCUCUGGUUGCACUAAAAGAUUCAACCAAUUUGUUCAUGGUAUCCUCCAGACGUUGCAGCUUGUCAUUGAACCCAAUUUCCAUUUGUUCCAUCUUGUUCUGUAAGCUCCCGAUAUCAGUUUCAAUUCGUUCGAUGCGCUCCUUGUUGGUCCUCAUUGAUAGCUAGCUCUGAUACCAAUGUUAGGUCCCAGUCAGAGACAGCCAAUGAUCACGCGUAACACAAGUGAUAUUUUUCUGCUUAUGGCGAGAAAGGACCCAAUAAUUGUUGUUUAGAAUUCUCAAUGCCUUUAUUCAUAUUCUGGAGCUUAUUUAUAAUCACAAGACCUUGAUUUUCAAUCUACAAUCACGGCUGAAAUCAAUAAAACAAAUAUUAAAAUAACGACCUAGCUAAUAUUUCGUAAAGAUAAUCAAAAGCAACUUGAUAAGGUUAUCCCAAAAGCAACUUGAUAAGGUCAUCCCAAAAUCAUGGCUCCAGUACUCAUCUUUACAAUUUCCACACGUGAAACUGCACAUGCAUGUGUCAUGCAUGGCUUGCAUGGGAAUCAACUUAUGCUCUCACGUAAUAUACUUAUGGUUUGGCUUUGGCAUUCUUCCAGAUCUUCGUGGCUCAUGCACUUGCUUUCUAUCAUUAUAUUAUAUGAUUAUUGUACUAUUUACGGAUUGCUUUCAUUAUGUCAUAUUAGGUAAGGAGAUUCCCUUUAAAAAAAAAAGAAAAAAGAAAAGAGAUAGAGACUCCCUCUUCGGCGAAUGAAAAUAAAAGAAAUCAAAAAUAAAAUAAGACUUAGUAAAUUUAGCCCUUUUUUCUAUUUUUGCUGCUGGCAUUUUAUUCAUAAAAGAAAUGAUCACAAGUCAUUUAAUAAAUAUUAAGGGCUGCAUUAUUAAGUCUUCUUCUUUUGCAAAUCAUUACUUUCAUAAGCUCUCUAUAAUCACAUUCCUUUGCAGUUAACAGAAAUUUUUUUGCUCAUUGAAAUUGUUCUUAAAUAUUCAAGGCGAUUACAUUAGCUCAUCAACUUUCUGAUGCCAUAUAAUUAAACAUGUGCACUUGUACUAAAACCUUCAAUUAAUUUCUUUUAAUAGCAUAAUCUCUGAUGCUUGAUCUUUAUAGCAUUUCUUUCUCAAUUUCCAUCCACUUUCCAUGAUAAAACUUUUACGGCUUGUUUUGCUUGAGUUUUGUAGUUAUUGUUCAUUUAUAGUUGUUUUUUUAGACACUUGAAGUACGUUUCUGUUAAUAGCAAAAACUCUGAUCCUUAAUAAAGAAGAAAAAAUGCUCUGUUCAUGUUUCAGUUGAUUCAAGAUCAAUGUUGCGAUACUGUUUGCUGUCUUUUCCUUUCUUGUCUUUCCUUCUAGUUCAUUUUAGUUUAUUUGACAUAUUAUUAGAUUUGUUAAGCAGCAGGCAAUGGCAGAGGUGGGUCUGGCUGCUUUUUCCAGCAUCGUAUCAGAAGGUGCAAAGUCACUGUUCAAACCAAUUAUACGGGAGAUAUCUUAUGUGUUCAAGUACUAGAGCUACAUAGAUGAGCUAAAAGAUCAAGUAAAGCAGCUGGGAUAUAAAAGAGAAAUGGUGCAGCAACCAGUUAAUCAUGCUAGGCUACAAGGGGAUGAGCUUUAUGAGGGUGUCACAGACUGGCUACAUAGCGUUGACGAAUUCAUCAGUGAAGGGGUUGCAAAAUCCAUCAUUGAUGUUGAAGAUAGAGCUAAGAAGUCCUGCUUCAAAGGAUUGUGCCCAAACUUGAUUUCUCGUUACAAGCUUAGUAAACAAGCAGCAAAGGCCGCAGAAGCUGCCGCUAGUCUCGUGGGAAAAGGCAACUUCUCUAAUGUUUCCUACCGUCCUGCUCCAAAGCGGGCAGAACAUAUGCAAGCGAAAGAUUUCGAGGCCUUUGAUUCAAGAAUGAAAGUACUUCAAGAUGUUGUGGAGGCGUUGAAGGACGAUAAGCUCAAGAUAAUUGGGGUCUACGGGAUGGGCGGCGUGGGGAAAACCACGCUCGUCAAGCAAGUUGCAAAGCAAGUGAUGGAAGAUAACUUGUACGAUAAGGUCGCUAUGGCUGAGGUAACAGAGAACCCAGAUCAUCAGAAAAUUCAAGACAAACUUGCCUUUGAUUUAGGCAUGGAAUUUGGCUUGAAUGAGAGCAUAUUCCAAAGAGCUUCUCGACUGUGUGAAAGGUUGAAGAAAGAGAAGCGGGUCCUCAUUAUAUUGGAUAAUAUUUGGACAAAACUUGAGUUGGAUGCGGUUGGAAUUCCUUCUGGAGAUGUUGAUGAGAAAGAUAGAGAGGAUGAUCAGAGAAGAUGGACAAUAAUAUUGACGUCUAGAAGUCGUGAUUUAUUGCAUGAUGAUAUGAAAUCUCAGAAAAAUUUCUCAAUUGAAAUCUUAGCAGACAAAGAAGCAUUGCAGUUGUUUGAGAAGAUAGUGGGCGAUUCAACAAAAACAUCUGCUUUUCAACCUAUAACAAAUGAGAUUGUUAAAAGAUGUGGAGCUUUGCCAGUCGCAGUGAGUACAGUUGCAAAUGCUCUGAAAAAUAAGAGGCUUGCCAUUUGAAAGGAUGCGUUGAAUCAGCUGCGAAAUUCUAAUUCAAGAGAAAUUCAUGGAAUGGAUGCAAAUGUCUACACUUCCAUAGAAUUGAGUUACAAAUUUUUGGAAAGUGAUGAAGCAAAGUCUUUGUUCCUUCUUUGUGGUCUAUACGGUCAAGGUCAUUCUCUAGAAGUUCCUUCCUUAUUGAGAAAUGGUAUGGGUUUGGGUUUGUUUAAAAAUGUUUACACAUUGGAAGCAGCAAGGAAUAGAGUGGAUACAUUGAUCGACAUUCUCAAAUCGUCAUGCUUAUUGUUGGAUGGUGAUGCUGAAGAUGAAGCUAAAAUGCACGACAUUAUUCAUGCUAUUGCUGUAUCAAUUGCCUCAGAAAAGCUUAUGUUUAAUACCCCAAAUGUUGCUGACUUGAAGGAAGAGAUAGAAAGGACAAUAGAGAAGGAACCAACCGCUAUUUCUCUACCUUUAAACAAAAGAAAGGCUUCUGAGCUUCCAGAACGGCUGGAAUGUCCAAAACUCAAGUUACUUUUGUUGUUUACAAAGUUUCGUAGCUCUUUAAUAAUCCCAGACCUCUUUUUUGAAGGCAUGAAACAACUCAAAGUAUUACAUUUUACUAAUGCUCGAAUCCCUUCAUUACCUUCAUCACUUGGUUGCCUCUUCAAUGUUCAAACAUUAUGUUUAGAUGGUUGUGUACUGAAUGAAAUAGCCAUAAUUGGACAGCUAAAGAAGUUAGAUAUUCUCAGCUUUCGAGAUUCUAAUAUUGAGCAGCUGCCACUUGAAAUUGGACAAUUGACACGGUUAAGGUUGUUAGAUUUGAGCAAUUGUUGGAACCUUGAGGUGAUAGCACCGAAUGUCAUUUCAAAAUUAUCUCGAUUAGAAGAACUGUAUAUGGAUAACAGCUUUUCACAGUGGGAUAAGGUUGAAGGAGGAAGCAAUGCCAGUCUUACCGAGUUGAAGGGGUUGUCAAAGCUAACUACUUUGGAGAUAGAUGUUCCAGAUGCCGAAAUUCUGCCGCAGGAUUUGGUCUUUGUGGAAUUGCAAAGAUAUAGGAUAUGUAUCGGAGAUAAGUUGGGCCAACGGCACGUCAAAUCUGAAACAUCAAGAUUGAUGAUACUCAAGAGGCUAGGAAAAGUUAGCAUUCUUUUGGAGAAUUAUGGGACGAAAAUGUUAAUGAAGAGAACCGAAGAUCUCUGUCUACGGGAACUGAAGGGUGUUCAGAAUGUUGUUCAUGAAUUAGACGAUGGGGAAGGUUUUCCACAGUUGAAGCAUCUUAAUGUAACAUAUUGCUCUUGUUGGGAAAAAUCAGGUUUUUAAAUUUUUAUAAAACCUUUUGAAGAUCGCUCUCAUAUAAUAUAUAAGAAUUUGUAUUCUAGAAAUCGUACCUUGAAAAUCCGAUUUGGCUUUUUCCGUUGAAGUGAUUUAGGCUCCUAGAUCACGAUCCGCCACCACCACUCCUGUUAGAUCACGAUCCUGCACCACCACGCUUGUUAGAUCAUGAACUGUCACCAAUGAUCUUCCAGCUUAUGACUCAGGUUCGAUCUGCACUUGACGUGUGGGCGCCUUUAUCACUACCAAAGCAACUAGCACGAGAAAAUUUUUCUCUCAACAAUAGAGAGAAAAAUCUUUUUCUCUGAUCUGUAUAAAGUGGCUCCACCUUUUUCUUUUAAGAAAAUAAGCCUUAUAUAUCUCCCUUUAGUGAAAACCCUAGGCUCCAAAUAAUCCCUAAAUAAAACUCACGGUACUUUUCAUUUAAUAGGGGACCCACCAUGUAAAAUAACAUAAGGCCACUUACAUAAGCUAAUUAAAUGGAGCCUCCCACUAAAUGAUAUAUUUAGGCUUUUGACCCAAAUAGCUAGUUAUCUUGCUUAUUAGUCCAGUAGUGGUGCAGUCAAUUAAAUGAGCUAACCCGGGGAUCAUUUGGGAACAUACAAUAGUGGCUAUAACAAUUAGGCCUGUAAUUAAACUAGCCUAAUUAUUUAAUUCCAAAUCUACUCCACUAAAAGAUUAGAACUGACUUCCAUAAUUGUAUGCUCGAAUAAUAAUUCGUCCCAAGCCACAUUGAUUUCUUUACUGCACAAUCCUUUGUACCACAUCGUUAAUUAAAUUGAUAUCUCAACUGUCCAAUCAAUUUAAUAACAUCUUUUUCCUUGAUCCUUACUGGUUUUCUCUAAUGAUCAUUUUCAACAUACUAAAUAUGUUGACGCACUUUGGCCAGAGAAUUCAAUGAUCAAGUGCCGAAAACCCAUCAAGAGAUGUGUUGUACAAAUUCUAUAUUGUUAAUCCAUAACUCCAAUACUCAUAAUUGCUCCCACCAAGAUACCGGGUAAUCUUGACCACAAGUAUGUGUCGUGCCCAUUGGUAACUCAAAUGGAAUAACAAUUACAAUCAUGAAAUCAUAAUUAACUCAAGAUUAAGAUUACAGUAAAAUCAAUGCCUAUGAGAUUUAAUAAGUCUGACAGUUAUUACAAAGUUAAUUAAAUCUCAUAUGUGAUCCUGUUCAAUGUAGUCGUACUACAUCAAUAAAUUCAUACAUGAUUAAGACAAAUCAUUCAAUGAAUUUAUUACAGUUUAUACCUAAAUAAAGUGCCCAACUUUAUUUAUCAACUGCGAACUAAAUUUAUUUAAUCAUAAGAUAACUUGUAUUUAUGUUUUCUGUGAAUCCACAUGGUGAUCACAUAAAUACAUAUAAUAUGAUUAAAUGGACUUUAAUACAAAUAUUAAUGUAAUUAAGAUAUUUGAAUAAAAUACCUCAUUUAUUUUAUUAAUCAGAAAAAUUGUUUAUUACAAUUAAAGAAACACAUAUGCUUUUAAAGAGCAUAUUUUCCCAACAACUCUAAGAUUUUACAUAUUGUCGGUUCAGUUGGACGGGUUCGUUGCGAAGUCUUUCCCUGGCUGGAGUCAUUGUCUCUUAUGUUUUUAACUAAUUUGGAGACGAUAUGCUACAGCCAACUCAGAGAAGAUCAAUCCUUCAGCAACUUAAGGAUUAUAAAAGUAGCUUUUUGUGGCAAAUUGAAGCAUCUCUUCUCAUUCUCUGUGGCUAAAAACCUAUUGCGGCUUCAUAAAGUAGAAGUGGAAGAUUGCCGUGAAAUGAAAAUGAUUAUUGGUAAGUGUUGAAAUUAAUUAUUGGUAGGAUUAUUGACAUUGGCUCAUUCUUCUUUUUUUUUUUUGGUGAAAAAAACAAUAGAGGUUAAUUAUAUAUUGUUUUUGUUCAUUUAUAGGGCCCGACAAGGAGAAACCAACAACUACUCAGGGAUUCAAAGAAAUCAUUGCAGAGGAUGAUCAUGUUCACAAGGUGAAAAUUUUUUGUUUAAUAAUUAAUUAAUUGAUUGAUUAAUUAUUUAAUUAAUAUUAUCACGAUUGAUCUUCAGUCAUCAAAAGAAUAUUAUAUUAGAUAGUUGUAGUUGAAGGAACAAAAAUGUGUUAAGAAUAACAUAUGAUGAGUCAGCUGCUGAGUCAUCAAGCCACGCUGGAAGUCAGUUUUGCAGUUAGUUAUAGAGCUUAUCAGCUUCCCUCCAAAAGUUUGUUAUGUGUAUUAGAAUCUGUGCUCACGAGUUUUGUGAGAUUGUAACCUUGAAAAGAUUCUCACACUACUGUAAAUUUUAUUGUGACUAAAUUAUAAAAGUGUUGUUGAAGCUUUGAGUUCUUCUGAGCAAUAUUUGCUGUCAUGUUAUGCAUCACAUCACCAGCAAUUUUUCCUUUCUUUUGCUCAACUCUAUUUUCAUGAUUCAACAACAAAGAAUAUAGUUCAUCUAAUGUGAUCUUUUCACCUCGAGCUAACACAGCUGUGGCUAAAGACUCAUAGUCUGAUGAAUCAAGACCAGUUAAUAUAUGCAUCAGAAGAUCAUUUAACUCAAUAGGUUUUCCAGCUAGAGCUAAAGUAUCAGCUAUGCGUUUUACUUUUACAAAAUAAUCAGACAUAUGCAUUGCACCUUUCUUAAUAGUUUGAAUUUGCAUUCUAAGUGUUUGAAUUCUAGCUUGUGAUUGAGAGAUAAACAUACUAGCAAGAGUCUCCCAAAGCUGUUUUGAAGUUGUAGAAUCAAUCACAGUAGCAAGCAGAUUUUGCUGUAUCGAUGACAUCAUCCAACUCAGUAAGAGUUGGUCAGUCUUCAUCCAAGCUACGAAUUCUGGAUUAAUAGAUCUGGAUCCAGAUUCAGUUAAAACUUCAGCUCCAUUGUUGUUUCCAGAAGAAAGGAACUGCUCAGGACAUUCUCGAUCGCCAUUGAUAAACCCUUCCAAACCGUUUCCUUUGAUUGAAGUUAAAAUUUGUGUGCGCCACCGAAUGAAGUUGUUUUGAUCUAGCUUUACUGGCGUAACAUGGCGUAACAAAACUGAAAGAGUUGUUGUUUUGAACUAUAUUUGCCAUUUAUGGCUCUGAUACCAUGAAAGAAACUUAGUUCUAUAUUGUUUGGUAGGCUAGAAAAUGAAAGAAAAAAAAAAAAAAGCUUUGCAAAGAAAUCUGUUGGAUCUUUUAUUAUUCCAAGCUUACAGUUUAAUGACUACUGAUUAAUAUUUAUAUUGAGCUACAAUCUCUUUACACACACACGAGAUUGUUGCAACACAUAACCAUUUGCUGUAUAACUAACUUGACACAUAAGCUCAACCAGCUAACUAACUUUGACAGGUUAGCUUAAUGAUUUGAUCUGCUACAACCAGCUACAUAGCAACAUCAUGCUCUGCUCCAGCUUCAUCUAAUUCACUAACAAAGAACAUUUUGGUCUACUAUUUCCUUUACUACGGGAACUAAAAAUCAUGGAUCUUCCAAAACUCAAAAGAUUUUGCAACUCCAACGAGAGUAUAAUUGAACUACCUAAGUUGUGGCAUCUGACCAUUGAGAAUUGCCCUAAUAUGAAAACAUUCAUCUCCAAUUCUAUGUCUGCGCAGCACAUGACAGCGGAUAAUAAGGAACCUCAAGAAAUAAAAUCAGAGAACUUCCAGCUAGCUGAUCAUAUAGAACCACCCUUCGAUGAAAAGGUGGUUAUUAUUAUUAUUAUUAUUAUUAUUAUUAUUAUUUCUUCUUCACUUUCAUUCGCAUAGGUGUAAUUUCAUUAGACUCAAAAUCAAAUUUAAUGACUCAUCUUCCUAGAAGUUGUCUUAAUUUAUAUAUGAUUUAACAGUAUUAUUGUUAUUAUUAACUAACUUUACAAUAAGAAUUAUAAAAAUGUCUCAAAUUAAUUAGAUGAUCGGUAACAUGGUGUGAAUUAUAUCCAUUUUACGCCUUACAUCUCUGUUUUCCUAGCUAAUUCAUAUUGGAUUUAGCAUUAGAUUUGAUUUAUGUGUUUCAAGGGUAAUUAAUUUGUUUGUUUUUUUUUGGUUCCUUCCAAAAAUGAAACCAAUUUGAAUAUAAAAUGUUGGGAGGACUGCAGAGAUUAGUUAUGUAUUUUCUUUACAACUUAAGUUUGUUGAUUUUCAGGUUGCAUUCCCCAAAUUGAGACGGUUAAAGCUGUCUAGAUUACCCAAUGUGUUGCAUCUCUGGAAGGAAAAUGCCGAAUCCAACAAAGUUUUUGCAAAUUUGCAAAGUCUAGACGUAUCGGAAUGUAGUAAGUUGCAAAAAUUAGUACCGCCUUCAUGGCAUUUGGAAAUUCUGGCGACUCUGGAAGUAUCAAAAUGUCACGGGUUGAUAAAUGUGUUGACGUUCUUAACAUCUAAAAGUCUAGUGAAUCUUAAAAAAAUGAAGAUAGUUGAUUGCAAAAUGAUAGAAGAAAUCAUACAAUCGCAAGUUGGAGAAGAAGCGAAAGAUUGCAUUGUUUUCAGGAAAUUGGAGUACUUGGGACUUGAUUGUUUGCCUUAACUAACAAGCAUUUGUUUGGGUAAUUAUACUCUUGAAUUCCCGUCCUUGGAACGAGUAGUUGUGAGACAGUGUCCAAAGAUGAAGAUUUUCUCUCAAGGAGUUGUAGACACACCAAAGCUAAACAAAGUGAAACUCACCGAAGGAGAAGAAGGAUGCUGGGAAGGCAAUCUCAAUGACACCAUACAAAAAUUGUUCAAUGAAAUGGUGAGUAUUAAUUAAUUAAAUAUUGGUGCUAGCUAGCAAAUUAUUUUAUAGAAACUAAUAUGGUAUAAUAUGAUUGGUUGACUGAAAUAUAUAAUAAUAAAAAAUAAAUCAUGAGGGUCAUUGGAUGUUUUAGUUUAACCAAUCGUAUUAUGUUACAUUAGUUUAUACAAUAUUAUUUGUACAAAAGAGUUUGUGGUCGCAUCAUUACUCUUGCUAUUUUUUUAAUUACUAUUAUUAUGAUGAUGAUGAUGGUGGUAUUGUAUGCUUGCUUACACAUUAAUAAUUACAAAAUGUGCAAAAUUCUGAAGAAAAGAUUGAGCCCACCCUUCAAGUACAAUAAAGAAGCUAUCUCGAACCAGGACAAUCUCUUAUCCAUGAUUCAACUUGCUCGUUUUUUUGUACUUGAAUAAUUUGGCCCCAAAUGUAUUUACAGCGUUUUGGUCAUGCUACAGACUUGCAAGACACUUUGGAUUUGUUAGAUGCAUUCUCUGUUUAAGGAAGGACUUGAAUUGAUGUUUCAUGUCUCAUGCGAUAUUCAAUUAGAUUCUGUUUCAACUUCUAUGUUAAGCAUUUGAUUUCUAACCUGUUUUGAUUGAAGAUCUUUAGUGAAGAAAACAGCACAAGACAAUGCUGAUUACAUUUGUAUGGCGUUAUCAUAUAUAAGUGUGUAAGAAUUUAUACCUAAAUGCAUGCCGUCUUUGUACAAGCUGAAGAGUACUAUGCAAUGAAGGAUUUGCCUGCACAGAAACGAGAAACAUAAAGAAGAGACACACGAAGCAUUUUACCGUUUUGAGAUCAUUGCAGCAUACAAAAAAUGUGAAUAACAACAAUGCAAUAUACGAUACGCACAUUAAAUUUAUGUACAAACAUAUAAAAUUAAGUGCUAAAUUUGAACUUUUAAAAUCAUUAGAUAAUUUGGAUAUAUCCAGAACUUUUAGCGUAUGUAAGAUUAAUUUUAAUGCAUGCAGCAUUUAGAAGGUACUAAGGUAGAAACAAAAAUUUGCGAUUGCAACAAGAAUUGAUCUUUGCAUUCCCCAGUUUAGUAAUAAAAAAAUCAAAACAGAGUAGAGACAGGGGAUCUCUUUCCUCAUUCCCCUGUUUAAUAACAGUAAAAACAAAACAGACGAGAAACGGAGGCCAUCUUUUCAUUCCCCUGUUUUUCUAUUCAUUUUAAAAAAAAAGUUAUUCAAAACUUUUUUUUAAUUCAAAACUAUUUUCUAUUUUCAUAUUGACUUUUAUUUAUUAAAAAAAAAGUAAUUAAGAAGUGUAAUUCUAAACUCAUCCUUGUGCUUUGAUGUUGGAGGGGUUUUUCCGUUUUUCUACAUUGGCCAUAUCAAUUAAUGAUGAAAGUUCUUAUCAUUAACUGCUUUCGAAAUGAGUAAGCACGCUAUGACCCGUAAGAGAAUUUAAUAAUUGGAUAAGUUAUAUAACAGCUUUGAUAUGGCUCCUAGACAUGUAUGCAAUUUGUGUCUUUUAGUUUGGCUUUGUAUUCUUUUUUAAUUAAAUGAGUCCGGAUUAGGUCAGCGGUAGAUAAACGAGUCGGUUUUUCCAUUACUAAGCUUUUCAUGGAUGAAAAUUUUUAUUUAUUUUUUUGUUUUAUAGAUUCUCCAUGAAUGCCAUUAGAAAUGAGAUUGAAUAAUUCAAACUUUCUUUUUCCCCUUAACAUCCAAACAUGUGAGGUGAGGGCUACUAAUAAGUCUUUUGUAAUGAGAACCUGUGUCUAAGCAAAAGCAGAGGUCAAUUGCCAAUACCAUACUUCUGCACCUUCGUCUAUCACUGUUAUUAGUUUCAGUGCUUAAAUUGCUCCAUAAGCUUGCACUUUGUCUUUGUCUUAAUUUCUGAGGCGUACUGCUAAUGAGACCCCCUGCCAAGUUCAAGCUUCUUGAUGUCUUGUGAUUCCCUUUUUUGUGGUGGUUACUUUGUCAUAGAACUGACUGUUAAAGGCCAUCAAUCAAUCCUGUUUUAUAACAUUUUUUUUUUUAACAUAAUGAUCAAACAAAUGUUAGCCCUCAGAUUGCAUGCAGCUAUUGACUUGCAUCCAAUUAUUGACUCUCUCAUAUUUUGAUAUAAACUAAAUUCAUAAGAGGAUACCUCUUCACCAUGGCAAAGCAAACUUACAGUUCAUGGAAGAACAUAAACAGCGGUGCCUCCAAGACUUUCUUCAACGGACGAAAUAAGGUUUAAGGAGUUUGUUCAAGUCAUAAAGAUCAAAGAAGCAGAAUUACUCGGUUCUUAUGCAGAAAAAAUCGAAUUAAGCUGUGUUGAUUAAAUUCGUUGAAAUGACUCUGCUGGAUGCUGCCUACACCAUUGAACUCUUAUUGAGGUAUUGUUUCUCUCAACUUGGGGAGCCAGUUUGGGAAGUCGCUCCAUUGCUACCCGAACAAUUUCACAAAUCAGCCGGUUCCAUGGUUCACGAUCGUGAGAUGAGAACCAACCGACGGAGUUCUAACAUGGCUGAAGAUGAGAUCGUUCAAUGUUGUAUUUGAAGCCACAUGGAUUUGUGUUGUACGUGUCAUUUGGUACUAAGGUUGGUCUAACCUUCUACCUUUGAUGAGUAUUCACAACUGGGCGAUGCUUUAGAAGUACCAAACCAGUCAUUUAUUUGGGUAAUUUAAAUUGGUGCGGGUAGAUUAAAUUACCUCAACCAACCAUGAAUUUAUCAAUUUCUGGUAGCUCACAGGCCACAGUGAAGCAUGACUGCAACCAGACAUACCAUAUUGAUACAGCAUUCCAGAGCAGGGGAAAAAAUUUGGAUAUGAAGUAAUGGAUACAAUUAAGAUUUUUUUCCCCUUCAUUUUUCAAUCACACUUACACAGCAUGAAUAUUUACUAAAGAAACUUGUGCCGAACGGUGUGAGUGCUGUUAGCUGUAAGGUACACUAUGUUCAAAGAUGGACACACUAACGUGUACGGGAAAUAGAAAUCUAUAAUGCAAGUUUUAUUAAGAAAGUAUUCGACAAUUAAGCUUUGACUGAAAACAAACUGGAAAUUUAUGAUCUAUCUCUACUUCGACUUGUCUUUCUCAAAAUUAAAUCUUCGCAAUCUUCAAAGUGAACAGAGCCUCCCACAUGCAUUUCUACGUUGAUUCUAGGAUAUCAAACGAGUAACCAUGAUUCACUGACAUACAGAGGUACCAACACAUACAAGUAUUGAGAAAUAUUUCCACUAAAUUCUUUUCAUGUGUACAACUCAACCAAUCAUGAACAAGAAAAAGAAUAAAAAAUUAAAAGUGUCUCUAAGAUUAAAUUGGAUUUAUCAUGUAAGACCCCAACCAAUCAAUAAAUUCAUAAUUCAGAUAAAAAAAUAAUGAUUAUAAUAAUAAUAAUAAUAAGACAAAAUCUUGAUAUGGGCAUGCUCUAAUUUUGCAUGCAUGAACACACAUCACAUUAAUCCAAACAAAUCACAUACCGUAAACACAAAACCAUCAAAAAAUUAAAUCCCAGAAAUAUUUUUUAUCAUACACAUUUACACUAAAUGCCCCAAAUGUAUUUACAGCGUUUUGCUUAUGCUACAGACUUGCAAGAUACUUUGGAUUUGUUUGAUGCAUUCUCUGUUUGAGGAAGGACUUGAAUUGAUGUUUCAUGUUUCAUGCAAUAUUCAAUUAGAUUUUGUUUCAACUUCUAUGUUAAGCAUUUGAUUUCUAACCUGUUUUGAUUGAAGAUCUUUAGUGAAGAAAACAGCACAAGACAAUGCUGAUUACAUUUGUAUGGCGUUAUCAUAUAUAAGUGUGUAAGAAUUUUUUACGAGAAGAUUAAAAUUAUCUUGACCAUUAUUAAAAGGAAUUAAUCUGUCAAGUUGGCCUUCUCAAACCAGCUGUUAAGGAAGCACAACAAGUUGCUGAGAAGGAUUACCAGCUGGCUUCAUAUGGUUACAAAGUCACACGUGCAUGAUUAGUUAGUAAGUUAGCUAAAAUAGUUUGUUGUAGAGUUAGUUGAAAUUAGCUUAAUUACAGUUCAGCAUUCUUGUAUAUAUAAAUAAACUUCAUUGUAUUAUGUUUUUAUGAACAAUAAAAUGAAUUAGAAAGAUCUGGAAUAUUUCCUCUCAAUUCUUCUUUCAAAACUUUCUCAGUAUCCAAACAUCAUUUUCUUGUUUUUCAACUUGGUAUCAGAGCCAGCUAUGGCCUCAGUAAAUCUUGCUUCAUCCUCUACACCAAUUCAGAAUACUAAUGUCAACUCAUCGACUGUAACCUUUACUUUUAAUACACCUGUUAAACUUGAUCAGUCAAACUAUCUGAUAUGGAGGUCACAAGUCUUAGCUUCAAUUUGAGGUAACAGACUUGAGAAGUUCAUUGAUGAAUCUAUCACUCCACUUGCUUCUCACAUUGCUCAGAGAGUUGGUGAUGAUCUCAGAUUUGUUGAAAAUCCAGACUUCAUAACAUGGCGCUCACAAGAUCAAGUGCUUCUCGGAUGGUUACUCUCCUCAAUGAGUGAAGGCAUCAUCAGUCUUGUAUUCAACCUGGAAACUUCUUUGGAGGUAUGGAAAGCUAUUGAAACUCAGUUUGGAUCACAAUCUAAAUCUAGACUUCUGCACUUAAGGUACAUGAUGAACUCCACUAGAAAAGAUUAUUUGAAGAUCACUGACUACUUUAUUAAGAUGAAAAAUAUUGUUGAUAAUAUGGCUGCAGCUGGAAGUACUUUGAGUGAUGAUGAUUUAAUUUUGCACAUACUCUCUGGCUUAGGUCCAUAUUAUAAUUCUGUUGCCACAUGUAUCACUAGACAAGUAGGUGUUGGGAAGAUGAAUAUUAAUGAAGCCUAUCUUAUGCUUUUAACUCAAGAGGCUAGGAUUGAGCAACAAAAUCAUAUGCUUGCUGGUAUAGAUGUAAAAUAAAACUUUGAGGCUAAUUUUUCUCAAAACAGAGGACCUAAGAGAGGAAAUAUGUCAGGAGGAAAAGGUUUUGAUAAUUUUGGAUACGGUUCUGGUUAUGGCUAUAAUGAAAAAUCUGGUAAUAAUGAUUAUAGAGGAGGAUAAGGAAACUCUAGUUAUUCUACUAAUGCUUUUGGUACUAAUGCACAGCACAGAGGCUAUCCGGGAGAUAAUCAAAGAGGUGGUGGGGGAAAUUGGAAUCAAGAUGCUGGACCUAGUGAUUUCAAUAACUCCAAAACUUUUGGAAACACUAAACCUAAUUGGAAUACUUCUAAACCAACCUGUCAGAUUUGCUUCAAAACUGGACAUACUACAAAUGUCUGCUGGAAACUUGCUGAAUUCAUGGCUUCUGGUGCUUAUAGACCACCACCAAAUAGAAAUCCAAGGUCAACAUAUCUAGCCAACAUGGAUGGACCAUCUGAUAGUAAUUGGUACCUGGACAGUGGUGCAACACACCAUCUUACAAAUGAUGUGAGUAAUAUGCAUAUCAGUGAAGCUUUCACAAGUACUUCUAAACUUUUUGUUGGAAAUGGAGCUAGUUUGUGCAUAACACAUGUUGGUCAUGUUGUGUUUAAGCUAAAGAACUUAAUUACCUCUCCCACAAUUAAACUAAAUAACAUACUUCUUGUACCACAAAUCACCAAAAAUCUGAUUAGCAUAUCACAGCUAACUAAAGAUAAUAAUGUUGUAGUUGAGUUCACUAAUAAAUUCUGUUUUGUGAAGGACAAAGUGAAGAACUUGAUCAUGCUACAAGGUAAGGCUGAAAAGGGAUUAUACAAAUUGCUAUUGGUUUCCUCUAAAACAAUAAUUCCUUCGACAACCUUUCAAAGUCAUGUUGCUGGUAUUGAGGCAGUAGCUAGUGAAACUCCUCUUUUAAUGUUCUCUGCUGUUGAGUCUGAUUUCAAAAAUAAAACUUCUUGUUUGCCUACUGCAACAGAUGAUUGUGUAAACUCCAAAUGUUUAUUGAGUACAUCUGUAUUACAUCAAAGAUUUGGUCAUCCAAAUUCUAGAAUUCUAACUCAUGUAAUUCAGUCUUGUCCAUCUUUCAAGUUUGUCAAUAAAAACAAAGUUAGUGAUUCCUGUGAUGCUUGUAAAGUUGGAAAAAUGCACAGAUUACAUUUUCCAGCAACAGAAACAAAAACCAAUCAUCUUCUUAAAGUCAUACAUAUUGAUCUUUGAGGACCUGCCCCUAUAAUUUCAAUUCAGGGGUAUAGAUACUAUGUAAGCUUUGUUGAUGAAUACACUAGAUUUACAUGGAUCUUUCCUCUAAAAACUAAGGAUGAGUAGGGAUGGCAACCGAACCCGGACUGAACCUGGAUAAUCCGAUCCGGGUUCAACCCGCACCGGAACAAAUUUAAUGCGAAAUCCGGAUCGGUUUUUUAGAACCCACAUACGUCCAGAUCCGGUUUCAAGUGAACCCGCAAAUCCAAAACCCGGAUCCGUAUAUUAUUUAUUUUAAUAUUAAUUUUUUAGAAAUUAAUAAAUAUAAAUAAAAAAACCUAGCUCUCUCAAAUCUCAAUUCGUUCCUCACUUCCUCUCGGUCUUGGCUCUCUGCCUCUCUCAAAUCUCAAUCUCUCUCACUCAUUGCUCUCUCGAUCUCUCACUCUCUUCAACUCUACUGUAAUUUCUCCUCUCAAUCUCUCAUCUGUUCGGUUCCUCUCUCAAUCUCUCUCAAGUCUCACCCGUUUCUCAAUUAAUCUCUCUCACUCUCUCACGGUGCGGCUGCGUUAAGCUACUGCUGUGAAUAUUUGUGAGUCUUGGCUUUUCUCUUUACAGUUUAUGCUCUAUUACUUUUUUAUUAUUCCCUCUUUGCAAUUUAAUUAUAUUGUCUUUACAAUUUACCUGCUGUUAUGCUCUGAUUAUACUCUUUUUGGAAUUUAAUUAUAUUGUCUUUGUAAUUUAUGUGUUGUUAUGCUAUGAUUAUACUGUCUUCACAAUUUAAUUAGAUUGUGUUUGCAAUUUAUGUGUUGUUUUGCUCUGUUUGUGACUUUGUGUCGUGUGAAGGAUGUUAGAGUGUAAUUUAUGCACUAGUUUUGUAUUGUUUACUUCCUUUAAUAUCGACGUUUUGCACUUAAUAAUAAUGAUUUACUUGUGUUUUAUUCUUGUAGGUGCAAUUCUAUUGAUUGAUGCUAAAAUUGAGCUACAAGAUGAUGCUUGAGGAUGAUUAUUUUCCUGGAAAAAUUAUGAGCUUUAGAAGAACAUUGUUGAUAAGGCAUGGGCACGUGCUGUCAACUAAGGACCUGCAGUUUUUAUUUUAACGUGUUUUGUCUUUUUAGUUAUUUUUGUAAUUUUGAAUUUAAUAUUUAGAUAAUAUUUUAGAUAUUAGUAUUUUAUUUUUGGAAGAACUCUAUAAGAGAGAAGAGACGUGAAAAACAAAGGGCGGGUAGAUUUUUGAAGGGGAUCAAAUAAAAAAAAACCCUGGAUCUAGAUUUUUCUCUUCUCUCUAUGAAGAAUUAAACCUAUUAUUCUGGUUGAAGAUUAAUAAAGCUUUGAUUCAACAUUACUGUGAGAUCUUUCUUAUGCUUUAAUUGUUUUAUUGCUUUUUGGGUAUUUGUUUAUUCUCUAUAUUAUUGUCAUGAUUAUGUUUGUUAAUUAGAUAAUUGGCCACUAUUUAAUUAUCAAUUUAAUCUAUUAUCAAUUAAAAGAUUUAUCAUAUGAAGAUUUUAAUGUUUGUGACAAAUAACAUAGCAGUGCGUUAUGUUAUGAGAAUAAACAAUCUAAUUUAAAUGAACCAUCGUAUGCGUUUGUUGAUUAGGAUUUUGGUCUCUCUGGUUUUUUAGGCUGUCAAUUGAUUAAAUCCUAUGAUCGUAUCUAGGGUUGUUGAUAACUCUAGGAAAUGAGAGUUAUUACAUCAAUUCUAGACUUGAAUCAAGGCCACUUAGAGAACAAAUAAGGUGUUUUUAUUACAUUUUGGGUACCUUUUGCAUAAACAUUCAUUUUAGUUGAGUUUUAAAAAGUUUUGAUUGAAUCAUAGUAAUUUGUGCUAAAAAUAGGUUUUAAAUUGUAGGUUUUAAAUUUGUGAGAGGAUGUUGAAGCAUUAGAAGAGCAAGAGGAGGAAGGAAGAUGACCACAAAAGAAGUAAAGCACAAUCGGGAAGAAAACAAUGUUGUAGCGGCUAUUAGAGCAACCAGUGCUGUAGCAAUUUGGGAGCAGUACGGGAGAAAAUUUAGGCGUGAGUCAGCCAUAAAGUCGCGAUCUGCAUGUUUCCUAAUUUAAACACAUGCACGCUCAUGGGCUUUGGUUUUAACCUAAUUCGCAAUAUAAAAAGGAGGUGUGCACCACAUAGAAGGGCGGCAAGGAAUUAUCAUUAGAGUAAUUAAAAGGAACGAAGGAGAAGAAUAUCAUAAUUGAAGAGUGUUGUUUCGGCAACAUUGGACAAUCGUGCAGAAUUACUUGACUUUGAUUUUCAUUAUGCUCAACUUAUAUUUAUUUUUUUCCUUUAAUUGAUUUGAUGUAUUCUGAGACCAAUAUAUUUAUGUUUACUUUUCUCAUCCAGAUUAUGAACUAAAUUUAUUUGUGGUUGAGCGACAAAUAAUCCAAUGGGGUCUUGACUGUUCUUUUAUGUUGUUAUGGUAAUGCUGUAGCAUUUUACUCUAGUAGUUUUUAUAAAUACAACUGUUAUUUCGGUUGACCACCCAUUUAAUAGUUUUAGUUAAGAUAGAGCAGCAAAAGGGCAUGUCUUAGCGGACGUUAUUAGAGUAUUACUUGUUCUUAAGUCGAGUUUCCUGGAUUAGGUUAUCUUGAAUCCCAUAAGGGCAAUACUUGAAGUUAAGAUUUGUGACACUCUAGACAUAGGUGUUCACCUUGUAGGGUAGAGAGAUUAAAGGUGAUAAUGCCAUACCAUAAAUAUAUGAGCAACUGGUCAUUGUUAGUAGAUUUAAAGGUAUGAGAUUUCCAACAUGGGAUAACUGCGGAUGCAAAUUUAUUCUACCCAUUGUUGCAGCACUUAUUGUAAUAACUGGUACUAAUUUGGUAAACAACAGUCAUCCCAUUAGGAGAGUUUGAUCAUUCAACUACUAUAUUCUCAAUUGAAUUUUAGACACAUUCAACUCAGUUUAUUUCAUUACAGUAUUGUUUUAUUUUCUUCUCUCACAACUAUUAGUUACAUAGAAUUAUUUGACAAUUGUUUGUUUCGGUCCUUAAUUAAUUUGCAUUAUUGUGAUUUGCUUUAGCAUUUUGAGUAACAUCAAUCCCUGUGGAGACGAUCUUGAAUACUCAUCACUUUAUUACUUGUUGUGUAUACUUGCACAUUGGCAUUGAUAAUAAUUGCUUAUAGAAAUUUACCAACAGUUGUCUAUUGAUUUAGGGAAAUAACCAAUGGUCGUACCUUGGUUAUCGACUAGUUAAGGAGAGAUUGGCUAUUAGAGGGUCUCAGUAGCUAUAACCAGUCAAUUCAUAAGUAGUAAUGAUUUAUAUUUGAAUCAAUGAUCAGUAGUCGAAUCAAGCUGAGUUAAUUCCUUCAACCAUAGCUUUUUCCCAAUUUGAAUUACAAUUUUAAUUUGCAUUCUUGUUAUUUUAAUUUGAUUUUUAUUAUUGUCAACAAUCCCCCAUUUUGCAUUUUACAUUUUAAAAGGAUUUAAAUAAUUACCAAUCUCUGUGGACACGACCCUGCUCAAUCACUAUACACCAUUUAUUUAGAGUAGGUAUUUAUUUUUGCUGGCUUCGACAACCAUCAAAGGAGGACUUCAUCUGGCUGCCACAACAUAACAGAGUAGCCGUAAAAAAUUAAAAUAGAAAUUAUAUGACACAUACAAUAAAAAAUUGAUUAUGACAUUACUUAGUAACUUUAAUAGCUAAACUCUGUGAUUUUUAAUAUCUAUACUUAGUUAUGCUUCAACUUUAUUAUUUAUAGUUUAUUUAUUUUUGAAUUAUUUUUUAUUGUUGUUGUUAAUAUAAUAGAAAUGGUAUCUCUAAAAUAUUUAUAGUUUUUACGAUUAAACAUAGCAUAUAAAUUAGAAGAAGUUUCUGGAAUUAAUUAUGUCUUGACAUAAUUUUUGUAGAGCGAAAAAUUGAUAUGGAAAAUGAACAAAGAAUUGACUUGGAUGCCUCCAAAAAAAGUGAUGAAAGUGUUUGUGUGAGAGUUAUGACAAAAUCAGAAAAUAAUAAUGAUACAACUGUUGAAUUAGAACCAAAUUCAACAGUAGCAGUUCAGGGGGGUAGUCGUGGCCGUGGCCGUAGGGAUAAUACUAAUCCUGUUACUUCACAAAAACGAGGUGGUAGUGGUAGAGUAGUCUCUGAUGCUUGGAAUCAUUUCAAAAAAGUUAAGUUGGGUGAGGAAGUUCAGGCGAUUUGCAAUUAUUGUGGGUUAGUUAUGCAAGGACAUUAUUCGGGGGGUACUAAUCACUUAAUAAACCAUGCUAAACGUUGUCCUAGAAGGUCAUUCAAGAAUGUACAGCAAAUGCACUUAUCUUUUUCUUCUAAAGUUGGUGGAACCACUUCACUUAGUAAUUGUAGUUCUGAAUCAAAAUGGGAUAUGGCUACAAUAAAGCUUUUUGUGGCUACAAUGAUUGUACUACAUGAGCUCCCCUUGGCAUUGGUUGAGUACGUUGGGUUUUAUGACUUGUUGAAGCUACUCCAACCUUCUAUUGAGACUAUUAGUAGAAACACCUUCAAAGCUGAAAUUUUGAAGCUUUAUGAUGUUGAAAAGAAGAAGACAAUAGGUAUUUUGGAAACUUGUGAGAGUCGAAUCGCAAUUACUAUAGAUAUGUGGACUGCUAGUAACAAAAAAAAAAGGAUACAUGGUUAUUACGGCACAUUACAUUGAGAGCUCAUGGGUGUUGCGAAGUCGUAUUAUGAGGUAAUAUUCUUAAAACUUAUUUUUUUUUGUUUAAGCAUAAAUUAGUGUCCUGUCUAAUAUUUUAAUUAUUUUUUUCACAUUGUUAGGUUUAUAUAUGUGCCAGCUCCACAUAGUGCUGAGGUAAUGUGUAAUGAGUUAUAUGGUUGUUUGAUAGAUUGGAAUAUAGAUAGAAAGUUGUCCACUGUAACUGUUGAUAAUUGUGCUGCAAAUGAUUCUAUGAUUGCCUUGUUGUUGGGGAAAUUUUCUGCUAGUUCAAUGAUUAUGGGUGGCAAAUUCUUUCAUAUGCGUUGUUGUGCUCAUAUAUUGAACUUAAUAGUUAGAGAUGGUUUGUCUGUGAUACAAAAUAGAGUUGAGAAAAUUAGAGAUAGUGUUCAUUAUUGGACAGCAACACCAGCUAGAGUUGAAAAUUUUAAGAAUGUAAAAAAACAAUUAGAUAUUAAGGAAACCAAAAACUUGGUACUUGAUUAUAAAACUAGAUGGAACUCCACUUACUUGAUGUUUAGUAUUGCAUUAUUGUAUAAAGAUGUAUUUGAUCAUUUAAAGGAACGUGAGAGAAAUUAUACAUCUUUACCUAGUGAGUCAGAGUGGAAUUUUUCAAAGCUUAUGUGUGAGUAUCUAUAAAGCUUUUAUAAGUUGAUAGAACUUUUUUCCGGGGACAUGAUAUCCGACAUCUAAUUUAUUUUUUGCCAAGAUUUGUGAAAUUAGAUUGUCAAUGAAUGCAUGGUUGCAAUCACCAAUUGAGGGGAUAAAAAAUAUGGCCACUAGGAUGAUUACGAAGUAUGAAAAGUAUUGGGAUGUUAUUCAUGGAGUUCUUGCAGUGGGGACUAUGUUAGAUCCUAGCCGUAAAAUGUUACUGAUUAACUUUUUAUUUCCUAAAAUAUAUGGGGAAAAAGAUGAAUCCGAAAUUAAAAGAGUGCAUAAGUUAUUUGUUGAUUUAGUGCAUGAGUAUGAAGUAAAGCAUCUAUCAAAUUCAAGUGGGGGGUUAAUGGUGCCAAUUCUCAAGCUGCUUCAGGAGGGGAUUCUAUUAUGUUGGACUUAGAUUUGGAUGAAAUGGCUGAUGAGUGGGCAUUAUUUAGAAAUGAAAACACACAGAAUACUCAUUCCAAAUCAGAAUUAGAGCUUUAUCUUGAGGAGAGUACUUUGCCUUUAACUAGUCAAUUUGACAUUUUGUCAUGGUGGAAGAAUAAUCAAGGCAAAUAUUCUAUACUUGCAAAGACCACAAGGGACAUUUUGGCCAUUCCUAUAUCAACAGUUGCUUCGGAGUCCGCUUUUAGCACUGAAGGUAGACAUUUGAGCCCUCAUCGCAGUAUACUUCACACAUCCAUAAUGGAGGCAUUGGUGUGUACUCAAAAUUGGUUUUGGCUUGAACAAAACCUAAAAGGUAUGCAAAUUUUAUUUAUUAGAAUCAAAUUAUUUGUUGUAUUGUUCUGAUUAUUAAUUUAUCACUAAUUGGUUGUCUUGUUCAUUGUGUUUAUGAUUUACAUAUUUUUUGUAGAUGGAAUUCCAGAGGAAGCAAUACUUUCUGCUGAGCAUUUGAUUGAUGAAAGUUGGAUGAGUGAACAAUAGUCAAAUGAAGUGGAUGAUUGAGAGUUUAGUCUUUAGCACUAGUGGUUUGAAAUUUGAACUUUAAAUUGUAGAAUUAUGUUAUGGAUUUGUAUUUGUGGAUGUUUAUUACUUUAAAAUUUUGAAUUUUAAAUUCUAUGUUGUGUUGUAUUUGUUUUAGAACCUGGAUAAGUUAUAUGUUUUUUAUUUGAAAUUUUGUUGAGCUAAACUAAAGCAAUUUGUAUUCUGGAAGCAAUUUGGUUCUGGUUGCUAAACUAAAGUAAUCUGGAUUCUGGAAGCAAUUUGGUUCUGGUUUGAGUAAUUGUGUUCUUUUUUUUUUCCUUUUCCAUCAACUUAAGUUAAGUAAAGCAAUCUGGGUUCAAAACCCGAAAUCCGGAAACUCAGAUUUUUUCGGGUUGACCCUGGACCGGACCCGGAUGGAAAAAAAUCGAGUUCAAUGUGGGUCUGAUAAUAAGAAUUUAGUGUCCGGGUUCGGAUCUGGAACAGCCAAACCCGGACCCAGACUCAAAAAUUGCCAUCCCUAAGGAUGAGACACUAUUUGUUUUCAAAAUCUUCAAAACACAAGUAGAAAAGCAACUUGAAAGAUCAAUCAAAUCCCUUCAAUCUGAUUGGGGUAGGAAAUUCAAACCAUUUGUUGAUUUUAUUCACAAAGAAGGAAUUCAAUUUAGACACUCUUGCCCAUAUACUCACUACCAAAAUGGCCUGGUAGAAAGGGAACACAGACAUAUUACUAAAUUGGGGUUAACCUUACUUGCACAAGCUACUCUACCUAUUAAGUUUUGGUGGGAUUCCUUCCAUAGUGCAGCUUACAUCAUAAACAGACUACCCACUCCUACAUUAUCCAUGCAAUCACCCUAUGAGUGUAUGUUUCAUCACAAACCAGAUUACAAGUUUAUGAGAACUUUUGGUUGUUCUUGCUUUCCUUUUCUUAGAGAAUACAAUAAACAAAAGUUCUAUUUUCACACUUCUAAAUGCAUAUUUCUGGGCUACAGUCCUAUACACAAGGGGUAUAAAUGCUUGCAUUCCUCAGGCAAAAUCUACAUAGCUAGUCAUGUUCUAUUUAAUGAAACGUUUUUUUCCCUAUUCAACUGAUGCUAUUGCUUCUUCUUUAAAGCCCAAUCCCUCUGAUUUUAAAUAUAAUCUCCUUCAGUCUUACACCAUAUUUGUUUCCAAUAGCAAUUUGAAUAAUCUUGAAGCUGAUGCUGCAGUACAUGGUUCAUUCUCUCCUAUACCCUCAUCAACUUAUUCACACAACACAUCACUUGUACCUUCAUCAUCUGAUUUACAAACACAAUCUAUAUCACAGAACUCUCAUUCAUCUCACUAAACAAUUAUACCAUCCACCUUACAGAACUUACAAACCUCAUCAAAUACAUUUCCAUCCCAAACUAUUCCAUAUUCUACAUCUCAAAAAUCCAAACCAAUAAUUCCUACUCACAGCAUGAUCACUAGAGCAAAGGCUGGUGUUUUUAAGCCCAAAGCUUUCUUAUCAGCUCAUAACAAUCUAGAACCCUCAACUACUAAAGAAGCAUUAUCUGAUCCUAAAUGGAAGAAGGCAAUGCAAGCUGAAUACAAUGCUCUCAUUAAAAAUAAUACUUGGAAACUUGUGCCCAUGUCCUCAUAGCUUAAGCUGGUCGGCUGUAAAUGGGUGUUUAGAACCAAGUAUAAUACAGAUGGCUCAAUUUCUAAAUACAAAGCACGGUUGAUUACAAAAGGGUUCCAUCAAACAGCUGGUAUUGAUUACUCAGAAACUUUCAGCCCAGUAGUGAAAUCUUCAACAGUGAGAGUUGUUCUGAGUAUAGUUGUCAUGCAAGGAUGGAAAGUGAGGCAAAUUGAUGUGAAUAAUGCCUUCCUCAAUGGUGACCUUAUUGAAGAUGUAUAUAUGAUUCAGCCUGAGGGGUUUUCAUUAAAAGAAGGUUAUGUUUGCAAACUUAACAAAGGUCUUUAUGGAUUGAAGCAAGCUCUAAGAGCUUGGUAUGAAAAACUCAAGAGCUGUCUUGUUAGGUGGGGAUUUAACAAUUCUAGAGCUGAUACUUCUCUAUUUAUAAAAUCAAAAAGGAAACUCGUCUCUUAGCCCUCUUCUACCUCUCCGGUGACUGAGCAAUUUCUCUCCAUCGACGUAAAAGCUACCUUCCUUGUCUCUAUUCGGCUGGGCCACAACUACAUGUAUUAUUUCUAUUUCUUCGGUUUUGGAUAGUUGUAGAAAAUUUCUUUUCUCUUUAUUUUGCUUGGGUAGUGUUUAGUGAUAUUGCUCUGGUCAUAGUUUAGGAAAUGUCAAAAGGCAAAGAAAAGGUAAUUGAGAUUGAUGACGACGAGUUAGACUUCUUGCCUAGUCUACUCGCCGAUUCUGCCUUUGACCCUGGGAUUCCCUUAGAACCGAUUAGAUCUAGUAUUGGGACAAGUGCUAGGAGGAUGUCUCCCCAAAUAACCUCUUCAACUAGCAAUAGCGGCGGCGAGGGAUCUUCUAGUUCGGAAGAUACCCUGCGUGAGGACCCAUGAGAAGAUUCUGGUGAAAUGUCCUCACUAGGAACAUCGCGACAAGAUAGGAAGAACAAAGUAGGAGGUAAGGCUUUAUCGGAGCAUUACGCUAUUGACUUCAUCACGUGCACGACCUCAUUGACCUCCGGACUAGGUAUGACAUUCCUGAUGAUAUACCCCUUAGGAUCCCAGGAAAAAAUGAUACUCCCAGUCGGCUUCCCAGGGGAUACGUUACUCUUUUUCUAGAGAGUUUUAAGUUAGGGAUGAGGUGCCCCCUACAACCCUAUUUUGCCCGAAUGCUUAGUGGGUUAAACUUAGCUUCUAGUCAACUUAACCCCAACGGGUGGAGGGUACUUUCUGGUCUGUUCAUAUUGUGGGACAGAUGCUGCCAGAGUGAGCCCACCAUUGAUAAGGUAAAGCACCUGUACCAGCUAAAGAGCAACCCCAAAGACACCGGCUGGUAUUACUUCAUGUCGAGUACCAAGACCAGGAAACCCAUAACUAGUCUUCCAACGGGUGGUGGUGGGAAUUGGAAGAAAAAGUUCUUUUUUACUGGGGGUCCCUAGGGUCAAGUUGCACAGAUUGACAAGAAGAACUAUCGCGUCCCCUCCAAUUUCGUGGUCCUAGGUUGUCUGCUCGCUUUAGAUGUCUUGUAUCCCUAGUUGUUCUCAUUUUUUAUUUGUCUCUAACCCAAUUUUUGUUCGAACUACAGGUUCUUGGGGUGUCCACUACAAGCUUAAACCUAAACCGCUCAAGCGGGUCGAGAUUGUGUUAGCCAAUUCCUGCUCAGGCCGAGAGUUGCUAUCUACUUACAACUUCUUCAAAUCUCGCCUGGUGCACACUGAUCUUAAGAUGGAGGAUGCUGUGAUUGGGGCUUUGAAUCAGAAACGUCAUCGACCUCAUGCUGCUAAGCGAGACCAGGAUAAGGAUGCUCCCUCUGCGAAACGGGUGAACAUCACGGAGCAGGUCCCCCCCUUGAGGACUCUACCACCUCUUCCUACUAAAGCCAGCGAAAGUAAUGGAACAACCACUGAUCCCACUUCCCCUCCUCCACCAGCAGAGUCGAACCCUCGCUUGCCCGACAAUUGAGCAGAGCAUCUGGUCCCCUAUAUCAGUAAGUUUUCUAGGCUCGCCAGUAAAAAGGACUUGGAAGACUUUGACGGCAGCACUCUGAGUGAGCUGGUGGGGGCUAUGCAGUUUAGUGCUUUUCAUCUCGGCUGCAUGGCCACUUACUAUAAGGCGAAGGUCGGCUGCUAUGAUCGAAAGAUGAGAGAAGACGUUCAAUCGGCUAAAAACAAAGCUCAUGUUGCCGAGAAGAAAGCCAGAGAUCUCAACCUUGAGAAUCUGAAGUUGAUAGAGCGAGAGUCUCUCGCACAGGCAAAGGGAAUCACUCUUAAGGAGGAGCUGACUAAGGUCAAGGAGGACCUGCAGAGACAAAAGGCUACUUACGAGGCUCAGCUCGAAUCUCUCAAAGAUUCCUACCAGGUUCAGGUUGAAAACCUAGAGAAGGAAGCUGACAACCAAUAUGACCAGGGGCUUCGGCAUUCUUAUCGCUGCAUCAUGGCCGUCCUAGGGAAGCAGCAUCCUGAUCUGAAGAUGGACGAGCUUACUAUUGGUGUUGCUCAAUAUAUGGAUGAGGAGGCAACCAAAGAAGAUGUCGAAGAGUUGGAGCCAAAUGCAACUGAGGAGGGAACAUCUCCUCCUCGUGCAGUCCCUGCUGAUGUUGCCGAGGCAAGUACCCCCCCGAGUGCAACUGGUGAGACCCCCAUGCUCCUGAGGUGGACCAGUCAACAGAGACGGCCCAGCUUACUGACCCGCUGUCCUCUUGAAUGUACCUUGUGUCGUAGGUUUCUUUUUUGGAACAUUGUAUGUUAAGACUAGCAGCUUUCAUAAUUUGUUGGCAGAUUAAUAAGAAUGUUCUUAUUUGCUUUCUUCGCUUUGAGCUCUUGGCAGAUUAUUUUAUUUUUUGUUCGCUUACAUUGUGGUCGAGUAGGUGUCGAAAAGUUCAGCUUCCCGUCGCCUUACGUUUAAUGGUUUGCUCGUCUUCGCUUGGUCGAGCAGAUAUUGGUAUGUUUUGGCUUCUGGUCUCGCCAUAAAACAGGCUUUGAGAUUUAGUGAGCCUUUGCAUGCCUUAGAAAAUUUUUAUAACAUUUGAGGGUCUGCUCGCCUUCGCUUGGUCGAGCAGAUCCUGACAUGCUUGGCUUCUGGUCUCGCCAUAACACAGGCUUUGAGACUUAGUGAGCCUUUGCAUGCCUUAGAAAUUUUUAUAACAUUUGAGGGUCUACUCGUCUUCGCUUGGUCGAGCAGAUCCUGGCACGCUUGGCUUCUGGUCUCGCCAUAACACAGGUUUUGAGACUUAGUGAGCCUUUGCAUGCUUUAGAAAUUUUUAUAACAUUUAAGGGUCAGCUUGCCUUCGCUUGGUCGAGCAAAUCCUGGCACGCUUGGCUUCUAGUCUCGCCAUAACACAGUCUUUGAGACUUAGUGAGCCUUUGGAUGCCUUAGAAAUUUUUAUAACAUUUGAGGGUCUGCUUGCCUUCGCUUGGUUGAGCAGAUCCUGGAACGCUUGGCUUCUAGUCUCGCCAUAACACAGGCUUUGAGACUUAGUGAGCCUUUGCAUGCCUUAGAAAUUUUUUAACAUUUGAGGGUCUGCUCGCCUUCACUUGGUCGAGCAAAUCCUGGCACGCUUGGCUUCUGGUCUCGCCAUAACACAGGUUUUGAGACUUGGUGAGCCUUUGCAUGCCUUUGAAACUUUUACAACAUUACAACUGACUGAAAUUCCUCAACGUUUCAUUAAUUUCUGAAUUCGGCUUACAUGAGGUUGAUUUAACAUAAAACAAAUAACAACAAGAACGAAUAGAAAUAACUUUUAAGCAUGAUUGGGUCUUAUUGGAAAUAUUUCCUGAGGUGUUCUGCGUUCCAGGGGCGUUUCACCUCAUGGCCAUCCGCGCGAACAAGCUUAUAGGCUCCGGGUUCAGCUACUUGCUUGACCCUAUACGGCCCCUCCCAGUUUGGUCCAAGUACUCCUUGUGUCGAGUCUUUCGUGUUCUGAUCCACCCUCCUUAGUACCCAAUCGCCGACCUUGAACUGUUGUAUACACACCUUCUGGUUGUAAUAACGAGCAACCCUCUGCUGGUAGACGGCGGAUCGCUUCGAUGCUUGCUCUCUCUUCUCAGUCAGCAGAUCCAGAUUCAAGCACAUUUGGUCGUUGUUUUCCUGCUCAUCGAAGUGAUCUGUCCGGUGCGUGGUCGCCCCUAUCUCGAUCGGUACAACAGCUUCAUGUCCAAAGGCCAAAGCGAACGGAGUUUCGCCAGUUGCUGUUUUGUGAGUUGUCCUGUAUGCCCAUAAUACACCUAGUAGCUCAUCAACCUAUACUCCUUUUUUUGCUCAUAGCCUAGUUUUCAAAAGCCUCUUGAUUAUUUUGUUGGCUGCUUCUACUUGUCCGUUAGACUGAGGGUGAGCAGGCGAGCAAGACUUCAGCUCUAUCCCGAGGUUCUGGCAGAACUCCCUGAAGUUGUGGUUGUCAAACUGCCUGCCAUUGUCUGCUAUCAGGGUAUAAAGGAUCCCGUACCGACAGACCAGGUUUCUCCAUAUGAAGUCAGUCGUCUUUUUCUCUGUGAUCCUGCUGAGGGCUUCUACUUCUAUCCACUUCAUGAAAUAGUCUAUCGCUACUAUUGGGGUAAGGAGGUACAAUAUCUCUCUUGCUAGGUAGCUUUGUUAUUGGGGUAGGGAGGUACAGUAAUCUCUGUUCCUUUAUGGCCUCAUACACCUUGUCUAGGGGCAUCUUCAAGGAAGUAUACCACCCAUAGUCUUGACUCUAGUCGAUCAUGUAUACCGACCUUUCCCUGUUGGUGCCGUUCUGAACUAGAUGGGGUAACAGUGCUUCUGGUCUGCUUCCUCUACCACCGUGUGGGUGUGUAUGAGGAUGACCAUAUGUUGGGUCAUGCCUUCUCCAUGAAUCUCUGGCUGGUGAACAAGGAGGUUGCGCCCUACUGCGCUAAUAUUGGGGUGGCCUCUGAUGAGACUGGUAAGAGGUGACCCGGCCUCCUACACCACUACCUGAGGCAUGAUGGUCCUUCCUCUUAAUAGGCCCAUUUCCUGGUAGAGCUCUCUUCUCUUUCCUCAUUAACCCUUCCAGCUGGUCUGUCUUAAUCCGUGCUGCCUUUUCCUCCUCAAUCUCUAUGUCCCUCUUGGCCUGCUCGUAAGCAGCUGAAUAUGUCUGAAUAGUAGGAUUCCUCAAAUUGUAUCACAACUGUCCUAUCUUCACCCCUUCUUUCAAUCCCCUUAAUGUCUGAGGAUGGUUGAAAGCUCCCAAAUCGAGGACAGCACGAUGGACCCUUUUGAUGAAUUCCCGAAGGGUUUCCUCCUCUCCCUGCUUCAUGCUCGUCAGCUCCAUCAUAUCAUCUUCAGGCGCCAUUGCCCUACAGAACUGCUCUGCAAAUUCUUGGCACAUCUGCUCGAAGGAUUUAAUGCUCCCUCGAGGAAGUUUUCGGUACCACUCACGUGCUUGUCCCUCUAGAGCUUGCGAUAAUCCUUGCACCCCAGUUAUGUCGUUAAAGCACUCUAUGUGCACCAACUAAUCAGUUUGCCCCGAGUAACUGAGGUUUGGGAGGUGAAAAUCCCUCGGAAUGACUGCCCUCAUGAUUUCUGCUAAGAGCAGGGAUUCUCCGUCCAGCAUUAUCCUCCAACCAGGUGCUCUGCUCUGCCCUUGCAUGUCAUCUAUUAUCUGCGCUAAUCUGUGCACUUCUUCUUCCAGUUGUACAGCACGACCAGGGUCACGUGCUGCAACCUGAUCUCGCUCUUGCUCAACAUCAUGCAGGUGUUGCCGGAGUUCUCUUUCCUCUGCAUUCGCCACUUUGUCAUCGUUAUCAAAGAUCCGCCUCCCUGGGGAUUGUUCUUCUCCUCGAUGGCUUUCUCCCCGUAGAGAUGAGUUACCCCCCUCACCACCAAAUCUUCUGGUGGUCCGACCUCUUAUCAUAUUGUCGUGCCCUGGUGUCAUUCCGCCACUUCUCACCCCCUCCUCUUGAACUCCCCUUCACUCACUUCUCAGCUCGUGUAGGAUGGUUGUCAGGGUCUCCAUCUGUUUCUCCAUCCGUUCUAUCCGCUUAUAUAUUGCUUUUUCCCGUGCUUCAUUGGCUAUCUCUCUCAAUGUCACGGACUCGUUAAGUCUCAAGUCACCUUCUUGGGCACUACCUCCGCCUACAUCCAUUGUUCCCUCACUUCCUUUCCUCUUCUUCUCUCUAUUAACAGAAGCUUUUGGCUUAGCUCCCCACAGACGGCGCCAAAAUGUUGAUACGAGAUUCUGGUUUUCUGCUCGUCCGGGACCAGGAUCUCUCCUCAACCAACUCAUCCACGACUAGGAUCUCUCCUCGUAAGACUUCCUCUCCACAGACUCCUGCGUACACAGAGACAGGUCACAGCACACCGGGUGUUUUUCCAGUGUAAACCCUCCAACGCUCAAGUCAGAAACGUAGGUUUUACCUUUUUGGGAAACACGACCACUAAUAUUAUGGCUCUUUUAUGAUCUCUCAAUAGAAAGCUCUUUUCCUAAGUUCUAAUCUCAAAAAGUCUAACCCCUUUACCUUCGUUGGUUACCUUUUUAUAGCAUUCCUUUGAAUCCGGCCCUUCCUGCAAUCCACGUCUAUCACCUCUCUCAACUCUCGGAAGUGGGUGCGUCAUUAUCAUAGUUGUGGCUGAGUGGACUUCGUGCCUUGAUUCUCGGGCAGGAAUGCACGUCUUGCCAACCGUCAUUGACCGGGUCUCCCCCCUCAACCUUUAGUAAGAAUGGCCUUAUACUCCUAGUAGGAGGCCGGCUCCCGCUAUGGCCCCGUGGAGGGUGCAUUAUUGAACGAGCAUAAUACUCCUGUUUGUGGAAUCCUGCUACCAGACAUCUGCUCAUCAUGGUUGGUCUUGUCAAAGUAUAUCCCCCAAACAGUAGUUAUUAGUAUCUUUAUUAGUAUCUUUGUUUAAUGAUACUAUUUAUAGCUAAAUGCAUACCGUCUUUGUACACGCUGAAGCGUACUAUGCAAUGAAGGAUUUGCCUGCACAGAAACGAGAAACAUAAAGAAGAGACACACGAAGCAUUUUAUCGUUUUGAGAUCAUUGCAGCAUACAAAAAAUGUGAAUAACAACAAUGCAAUAUACGAAAUGCACAUUAAAUUUAUGUACAAAUAUAUUUACAAUUAAAUGCUAAAUUUGAACUUUUAAAAUCAUUAUAUUAUUUGGAUAUAUCCAGAACUUACAUGCAGAGUGGCUGUUAUGCUAGCAUAUGUCAGAUUAAUUUUAAUGCAUGCAGCAUUUAGAAGGUACUAAGGUAGAAACAAAAAUUUGCGCAUGCAUUAAGAGGUGAUCUUUGCAUUCCCCAGUUUAGUAAUAAAAAAGUCAUAACAGAGAAGGACAGGGGCUCUCUUUUCUCAUUCCCCUGUUUAAUAACAGUAAAAACAAAACAGAGGAGAAACGGAGGCCAUCUUUUCAUUCCCCUGUUUUUCUGUUUCGUGAUUUUAAAGUUUUAUAUCUAUAUUCAUUUUUAAAAAAAAGUUAUUCAAAACUAUUUUCUAUUUUCAUUUUGACUUUUAUUUAUUAAAAAAAAUUAAGAAGUGUAAUUCUAAACUUAUCCUUGUGCUUUGAUGCUGGAGGGGUUUUUCUGUUUUUCUACAUUGGCCAUAUCAACUAAUGAUGAAAGUUCUCAUCAUUAGUUGCUUUUGAAAUGAGUGACCAUGGUAUGACCACUGAGAGUCCGGAUUGGGUCAGUGGUAGAUAAACGAGUCGGUUUUUCGUUACUGAGCUUUUCAUGGAUGAAAAUUUUUAUUUAUUAUUUUGUUUUAUAGGUUCUCCAUGAAUGCCAUUAGAAAAGAGAUUGAAUAAUUCAAACUUCCUUUUUCCCCUUAACAUCCAAACAUGUGAGGCGAGGGCUACUAAUAAGUCCUUUGUAAUGAGAACCUAUGUCUAAGCAAAAGCAGAGGUCAAUUGCCAAUACCAUACUUCUGCACCUUCGUCUAUCACUGUUAUUAGUUUCAGUGCUUAAAUUGCUCCAUAAGCUUGCACUUUGACUUUGUCUUAAUUUCUUAGGCGUACUGCUAAUGAGACCCCCUGCCAAGUUCAAGCUUCUUGAUGUCUUGUGAUUCCCUUUUUUGUGGUGGUUACUUUGUCAUAGAACUGACUGUUAAAGGCCAUCAAUCAAUCCUGUUUUAUAACAUUUUUUUUUUAACAUAAUGAUCAAACAAAUGUUAGCCCUCAGAUUGCAUGCAGCUAUUGACUUGCAUCCAAUUAUUGACUCUCCCAUAUUAGGAUAUAAACUAAAUUCAUAAGAGGAUACCUCUUCACCAUGGCAAAGCAAACUUACAGUUCAUGGAAGAACAUAAACAGCGGUACCUGCAUUACUUUCUUCAACGGACCAAAAUAAGCUUUGACGAGUUUGUUCAAAUUAUAAAGUUCAGAGAAGCAGAAUUACGAGGUUCUUAUGCAGAAAAAGUCGAACUAAGUAGUGAUAAAUUUGUUGAAAUGAUUCUGCUGGAUGCUGCCUUCAUCAUUGAACUCUUAUUGAGAUAUCAUUUCCGUCAACUUCAAAAAAAAGAUGAUCAUAUAUUUCAUAAACCCUAUUUAAUAGAGGAUAUAUGGUAUGAUAUGUGGUUACUUGAAAAUCAGCUUCUUUUCUUCAUUCUUGAGGAUCUUUUUGCUCUAGCGGCAAUUAAAAUCCCCGACCAACAUGAAAAUCCAACCAUCAUCACAGUCACAUACGAGUAUUUCAAGGGUUUAGAGGCAGUACAAGGUAAUCGGCAAAAAUUCCCUCCUUACACUGAGGCUAGGGUAGAGCAUUUCCUUGAUUUUCUAAGGAUUUGUCAUCUACCAUCAUCGAGGAAUCAGGAAAAACAAGAAGGUCAGCAAUACCACAAAGGUAAAACCGCACCAAGUGUGACUGAUCUCCACCAAGCUGGAGUCCACUUCAGUUUGAGCAAGAGCAAUGAUUUGUUCGCCAUAGAAUUCAAAAACAGGACAUUGUAUAUUCCGAAACUGAAGCUACAGCUGGAAACGGAAUCCUUAUUUCGUAAUCUCGUUGCCUUUGAACAACGGCAUUACUCAGAGAAUUACAUAAAUGAUUAUGUGUUCCUUAUUCAUCAUCUCGUGAACACAACAAAGGACGUCGAGUUGCUUGUUCAGAACGGAAUCAUUGAGAACUGUGUUAAGUAAAUAAGAGCACCAGCUUGGCCAUGCCAUCAUUUCCACCCCAACAUGGAUCACCUCAGCCAAAUGGUACGAGCAGAACACUGAUAAUGAGUCUUUUACGAGCAAGGACCAACCAGAGACAAAUACCAAGCAGAUACCCAUUCCCCAAAAAGCGGGAACACGAUCUCACGAAAUCACGACAGUUGCGCUAUGCCCAGAACUGUCGAGAGAGGUAUGGUGUCCCACGUUUACUCACAAUAUAGCAGUUGGAGUCCCAUGGGGGCUGCCACGAUCCGAGAUAGAGGGGGGAUGAAGGGUAAACGGAAACGUAGGACAAUGGCUAUAAAAGAGAAAGAAACUAAUGAAGAAAGGACAGAAAAAAUUGAGAGAAGGGAAAACUCUGCCAAAUUGUAUCCAAACCACUUUCAAUACAAAUAGUGAGCCAAUUCUAAGCAAUUAUUGGAAUCUUAAUUGCACUGUUUUCCCGUAAACACCUUGUGCUAACUUAGGCAUCGGAGGGUUUACGCCGGUAAAACCACCGGCGUCUCUGAUCCACUUUUGUGAACGCAGGCUUAGUGAGAGGAAGAAGGACAAUUCCAACUUCAGUGGCUAGAGCGAUCGUUGAAGCAAGAAGGAAUUGACAUCUUCACUGUUGAUAACAUAAAUGUUGGUGUAAAAAUCUGGUUGGGCAAAGGGCGAGCAGAUUUCAGCAUCAACAAACUGGUUUCCGGAUAAAGAGGCAGCGUCAACGCUUAUAAAUAACCUUUCCAGAGGUACCACUCUGCUGGCUGAUAGCUUCUAUUUUUUUGGGCUAUGCAAAGGAUUGAAUGAUCACUGCAAAAGAACGUGCUACAAAUGGAGGGCAAACUUAAAACAAAAUUACUUCAAUACUCCAUAGGCUGGCAUUUCGGUGUGCGGCGUCGUUUUCCUUCUUAUUCUCACCGUUAUUCAGUCUGUAUGCUCUGUUAUACAAGUGUUGUCUCAACCCAAAAAUAUCUCGUGACGAAAAACCUCUAUGCGGUAUUUGUUGUUGGAAAAUUUUCAAAAUAAAUGUGUCUUAUGGUAAAGGCAUGUCCUAUUAAUUAUGCUUUAUAGAAAAUGUACAUUUUACUAAAGACAUGUCUAAUUAAAUAAUAUCUUGUUGUAUGGACAUGUCCAUUUAAUUGUGUCUUGUAGAAAAUGUAUCUUUUUACUAAAUGAUAUAACUUUUCAUGGCAACAUUUCACUUAGAGAUGCGUCAUUUCAUGGUGACAUUUCAUUUGAAAUGGUGAUGGUUCAAUUUGGACCAUUGAUUAAAAUCAAAUCUAGAUCCAAUGGCCAUGAAUGAAGGGGUAUCAUGAAAGAUGACAACCCAAAUGAGGGGGCACAAGUAUAUCUAUAAAUAGGGGUCAUGUUUAAGCCAUUUAAACAUGAAAACAAUGAUCCUACACCACUCUUUUCUUAGCAUUCCUUUCUAGUACGAAUUUCAACACAAAACACCCAUUUCUUUUGUGCAUUCACAAUCCAAUAUAUUGUUUUCUGCAGGAACAAUAUAUUGUUUCUUGGCAGGCUUACAACAUUCAAGAGUAUUCUAGUUUGCUUUCGUCGAUGCACAACGCAAGCAAACAAACAAGUACUUCAUUGUAUCCUAGAGGUGUAUUUGCUUAACCCAUGUGCAUUACUCAAUUGGUGGGGGCAAAUAACGUCUUAAGGAAAGCGACAUUUGUAACGUGCCUUAAAGCACACAAAUUUUCUACAGUUUACUUAUUACUAUUAUUUUUCUUCCUACAUACAGAGUUAGUUGUAAACACAUUACUUUACGUAAUAAAGUUUCAACAUUAUUGUUGUAUUUCUCUACAUUUGCCAUUCCCCACAAGUUCAACCACCAACAUUUGUAUGUCGUUUUUGAGUUGUUGUUUUCUUUUUUUAUUUUAAUUCUUAUUCUCAAGCAAUUUUAUCAUGGAAUUGUUAAUUUUACUUGAAUGUUGACCAAGCCUUUGUUGUUGUUUUUUUUUUUAAAUGAAAUGAAAUAAAAGGUAGGGGUAUACCCUACAAAUUAUUCUCUCCACUCCAUAUAUAGUAUUGCAUUUACCACAUGAAAAAUUAAUUUUAAACGAUAAAUUUAUUUACUUGAAUAUUUUAAUCAUGUCAUGAACCCAAUGACAGGUUAACGGAUAAACAUUCAAGUUUCAAUAUUAUAAUAUUAAUAAAUGGCAUAAACUAAUUUUAUUUUCAUUUAAAUUAAUCUAAUCCUACCAAUUUCAUUUGGUUUUCAUAUUGGUUGGUUUCAUGUAUCACACGAAUUGUUAGGCACCGACUAACGCAAGCAUAUGUUACUCAAACAUCUCACCUAAAUAAUAGUCUAAGGAACUUUGAUUUGGAUGGUAGAUAUUUAACUAACUAAAACUAAUCUUCUUUAACUCAAAGCUCAUCUACUAGUAAAAGUAGAACCCUUCUCCGUCAACUUAUCUUCUUCAUUAUAUAACAAAAGAUGUUUAGUGAAGGAUUGAGGGGGAAAAAAGACUAAUAAUAAUUAUGUCAAAGUAGUCAAUAUUACAGCCACUGGGCUUGAGGGCUUGGGUUAAAAGCCACAGAAACUCAUUUCAAUCCUUAUUUUGUAAAUGUGGGAUUAGGGAUAGAUUUGUCUUAUGACUUUGUUUAUCAAGUAAUUAAUUUAAACAGUAUUGUUAAUUUUAGUUGAAAUUGGAAUGAAUUUUUUGAAAGAUGCUUUCUCAUAACUAACCAACUAAAACUAACAUUCAAAUUAUCAAAAUCAGAGCUGACCAAGUAAAAUUGUGAAAGUAAAAUACUUACUUCUUCAUCAAGUCAUCUCUUUAUAUAUAACAAAGAAUGUUUUAUGAAAGAUGGCAAAAGCAAUCAGUAACAAUUAUGUAUCAAAUAAUUCAAAAAAGAUGUCAAGCUCUGUUGCAACUGCUGCUGAGGCCGAGGUUUGGAUUGUCCCAUUCUUCGGUCAGGGACAUCUAUUUCCAUGCAUUGAAUUAUGCAAGCAAAUCGCUUCUCGUAAUUACAAAUCUACCCUCAUUAUUCCCUCUCACAUUUCCCCCACCAGCAUCACCCCUUCCUCUCUUCACCAGCAUCACCACCUCCUUCCCACCACCAUGUUGUCAUGCACGGCCAAAUGCUUCAAGGCCUUCGAAACCUCCUUUCAACCCGGGAACCCGAAACGCGACCCGUUUGUGCAGUCAUCGACGUUAUGAUGGGCUGGACGGCUGAUGUUUGCAAGAAUUUUGAAGUUCCCAUUGUUGGGUUCUUCACUUCUGGUGCUUGCUCAGCAGCCGUGGUGUGUGCCAUGUAGCAGGCUUGCAUCCAAGAUGUCAAACCGGGAGAGGCCCGUUUACUUCCUGGGUUACCCAAGGAUACGGCUUUAUUCGGAUCGAAUCUGAAAUACAGGCCUCACGGGCCCCUUUCUCGUGGUCCACCACCUUUGCGAGGUGCGACCGGUUCAGAGAAAAUGGGUCCAUCGAACCCCGUGAUCAACCACACUAGAUGAAGGAAGUGGAGGGACCGAUGGCGUUGAUGUUCAACAUGUGUGAUGAUCUUGAGGGACCAUUUAUUAAUUAUUUAGAGGAGAUUACCAAUUUUUCUCCUAUUGUAAUCAACAUACAUCAUUUACCUUCCUCCUUUUUUUAUAAUGGUCAAAAACCCCACUGAUAACAUAAGUUUACAAUAUUACCUUUAUUUUCAACUACUCUUUUAUUUAUAUUUAUUACAAAUUAAAUAAAUCACAUGAAUAGAAACUAAAUAAAAAAUUAAGCAUUAAAAAUAAAAAAUAUAUGUUUUGAUAUGAGUAAAAAAUUAAUAAUAAAUUUUUUUGUACUUAUUUAUUUUGUGAAAAUUUUCUUGUAAUAAAUAUAUAAGAAAAUUAUUAUAAAAUGAUAAAAAAAUUAUUAUAAGAAAACUUGAAUGACAAAUAAAAAUUUAUUAUAAGAUAAAUAAUAAAAUAUUUUGCCUAUGCUUUUUACAUUUAAUUUAAAAUAUUAUAAAAUUUUUAUUAUAAGAAAAUGUUCACAAAAUAAAUAAUUACAAGAAAAAAAUUUUAUUAUUAAUUUUUUUUCACAUAUCAAAACAUAUACUUCUUGUCUUUAAUACUUAAUUUUUUUAUUUGGUUUUUAUUCAUGUGAUUUAUUUAAUUUAUAAUAAAUAUAAAUAAAAGAGUAAUUGAAAAUAUGGGUAAUAUUGUAAACUUAUGCUGUCAAAUGGGUUUUUGGCCAUUACAAAAAUAGUAGGGGGAUAAAUGGUAUAUAUUAAUUAUAGUAGGGGAAAAUUGACAAUCUCCCAUUAUUUAGUCAAUCAAAUGGGAAAGCCAAUGUGGGGAGUAGGCCCAAUGUGGCGGGCUCAGUGCUUCAUGAUCGUGAGAUGAGAACCAACCGAUGGAGUUCUAACAUGAACGAAGAUGAGAUCGUUCAAUGGUUGAAUUUGAAAUCACGCAGACCUGUGUUAUAUGUGUCAUUUGGUACCGAAGUGGGUCCCAAGUUAGAUGAGUAUUUAGUACUAGCCAAUGCUUUAGAAGUAUCAAAUGAACCAUUUAUUUGGGUAAUUCAAACUGGUGCUGGUAGAUUGGAUCCUCCGUGUCAUUUAACCGGCUUAGACAGGCCAGCAGAAGGCAAUUAUUUUCAUAGUGGUUUGGAUAGUAAAGCCAGUAAAAAGGGAUUGAUAAUAGAUGGAUGGGCGCCACAAUUAUUGAUACUGAAUCAUCAAUCAAUGGGUGAAUUUAUAUCUCAUUGUGGAUGGAAUUCAAUGGUAGAAGCAAUUGGUUGUGGGGUCCCAAUUUUAACAUGGCCAAUUAGAGAUGAUUAACAUUACAAUGCCAAAUUGGUGAUCAAUCAUCUAAAGGUGAGGGUACAUGAUUUCUGAUGAUCAAUCAAAAUCGAUUCAAAAGAAUGAUAUAGUGAGUGGUAUAGAAAAGCUUAUGAGUGAUCAAGAGAUUAAAAAACGAGCUCACAUGCUUCGCCAUAUAUUUUAUCAGGGCUUUCCUAUGAAUUCUGUGGCUUCUUUGAAUGCUUUCAAAGAUCUCAUUAGUCAGAAAUCAGUUUAACAAAAAUAAUUAUUGUGUAUAAUAGGCUUUGGUUACGUUGGCUUGGGUGUGAAUAAAUCUACUUUAUCAAGAACAGACAUCUCAGCACCUAAAUAAUAUGUAAGCUUUUGUUAAUUGACUGCAGUCAAUCAUCAAAAGUCUUACAAAGCAUGUAAAAUAAAAAAUGGCACAUCCUCCAUCCGAGAGCAUCUAAAAUAAAAAGAUGGCACAUCCUCCAUCCGAAGUUUUUUACCAUUCGGCUAAAAUAUAUAGUCUCAUGUUUGGUAAUAAGCUCACAACAUGCGUAGGGAAGUUUUUAAUAGAUCUUCAUUCCCGUGCAUGUUGUGAGCUUAUUACCAAAAAUGAGACUAUAUAGUUGUGGGACAAACAAAAAGGGAAGUUUUUUUUCCAUUCGGCUAAAUUUUAAUGUCACGCAAAAUAAUAUGUGAUCUUGAAUUCAUUUUAAUAUGAUAUCAACAUACGUAGGAAAUUCGUGAAUAAAGAAAUUUUGCAUGCCAGAGUCAGAGGAACAAUUAAAUAGAAUGCUUUUUAAGACAACAAUCACUGAUGAUCAUGUUUCCACACCAUCUGAGAGUACUGAAUAUCUACUAUCAGUCCUAUCUAAUUGAAAAAUGUACUGGUAGUUCGAUGAGUUUGUUUCCAUAGAAGCUACUAAAUAAAGAAAGGGAAAAAGAGUGGCUACAAAAAGGACGAAAGUGGGUGGAGCUGUAAGGCUUUCACGGCAAAUUGAUUGUCUUGUUGAUGCUGUGAAAAUGGAGGUCGAACUCAAGAAGCAGAUCAUGGUACUAAUGUUCUUGAAGAUCAAGAGAUGGAGAGAUUGAAAAAUAAUAGUGCUGCAAGUGGAUAAUAUUAUAGUUAUAUAUUUCUUUACACAUGUAUAUAAUAUUAUAUUUCUAUGAAUUACUUUAUUACAAUAGUUUUGUGUACAUAAAAGUUUAUAUAAAGAUUAAAUUUUUGCAUUUUCUUUUUUGCAGUUAAGUUUAUUAAUCAAUUCAAGUAUUUGUGUAUAUUACGGACUACAUAACAAAUUUUUUAGUUAAAUAUAUUAUAGUUAAUUUUUAUUGUAAAUUAAAAUAGUUAAUAAAAAAUUAUUUAAAUAUGUAAUCAACAAAAUAGAAUAUGCUCUUAAAAAUCCAAUGAAUAAGAAAAAUUAUUUAAAUAAUAAUAUUCUAAGUAAAUUACAGAUAAGUAAAUGAGUAUAUUUUUGUAAUUUGCACAUGAACAUUAUACUUUUAAUUUUCACUUACCAGAUUUAUCUAGUAGAUUAUUUACAAACUGAUUGUCAAAUAAUCAUCAUUUACCAAACACCCGACUAAAUUAUUCAUAAAAUUAAUUUUCUGAUAAUCAAGGUAAAAAUUAAUUCUUGGGAAGUAAAAGAAAUUCCAAACAUACCAUCAAUCAACUACAAGAAGUUAUUUAAGUUGUAGUAUUUAAUGGGUUUUAUUAAUAGUGAGUGUGCUUAUCAAAUAUAUAAAAAUAAAUAUUUUAGUUAUUACCCACCUAUUCUCUUGAAAUUAUUCUCAAAGUUUUUUCGUUUACCUAAAAUUCCAAGGAAAAUAUAUAAAGGAAGAAGAGUUGGGUUAAAAAAAAAAAAAAAGGAAGGAAAAACAGGGCUCCUCUGUUUUCAUUCCCCUGUUUUGAAAUUAUCUAUCAGUUACGAAAGGAGAGUGGUUCAGAUUAUCUUGAGCUCUGCGGUCAAACCCGUCCAUCAGGCGGAUUCAGAUUUUGAAUUUUCUGUCAUAAUUGGUUUCCCACUUAAGAAAGCUUAUCAUUGGUUUAAUAUAUUGCUGUUCCACUUGUUUAAUGAAUGGAUUCCCACCGACGCGUUUGCUUAUUAAAAGAAUAAAUCUUGCUUUUGCUUUUCUAGAGAAAUAAUGCAAUAUGCAAUUAUGCGUGAUGGUGCGCGUCCAUGUGAGAAAGUUGACGAAAGCUUCUUUUUCAGUAUUGCAAGUGCUAUCCACAGCGGAACUCCACAAUCGAAACCAUCAUUACGACAAUUUUUCUCUGUCGUUUCAAUUUUUAAUUGAAUAUAAAACAAGUAAGGUCAAAUAAAGUCUGGUCCACCAAUUUAAUCAGUAUGAACGUAUGGAUCCCAUCAUUAAUAUUAUAAAUAUGUGGGUCCUUUAAUUAUUACAUUAUAUGAUUAUUGUAUUAUUUAUAGAUUGCUUUAAUCAUGACAUAUUACGAAAGGAGAUUCCCCUUGGAAAAAAAAUAAAAAAGAGAUUCCCUCUUCGGCGACUGAAAAUAAAAGAAAUUAAGGGCUGCAUGAUUGAGUCUUCUUCUUUUGCAAAUCAUUAUCAUUACUCUCAUAAGCUCUCUAUAAUUACAUUCCUCUGCAGGUAACAUUAACUUUUUGCUCAUUAAAAUUGCACUUAAAUACUCAAGGCGAUUACAGAAGCUCAUCAACUUUCCAUAAUUAAACAGGAUUUCCACAACCUUCAAUUAAUUUCUUUUAAUAACAUAAUCUCUGAUGCUUGAUCUCUAUACAAUUUCUUUCUUAAUUUCCAUCCACUUUCCAAGAUAAAAUUUCUAUGGCUUGUUCAUUUAUCAUUUUUUUUUGGGACACUUGAAGCACGUUUCUGUUAAUAGCAAAAACUCUGAUCCUUAAGAAAGAAGAAAAAAUGCUCUGUUCAUGUUUCAGUUGAUUCAAGAUCAAUUUUGCGAUACUGUUUGCCGUCUUUUUUUCUCUCUCUAGUUUAUUUUAAUUUAUUUGUAUUCCUUUCCCCUUUCUUUGACAUAUUAUUAGAUUUGUUAAGCAGCAGGCAAUGGCAGAAGUGGGUCUGGCUGCUUUUUCCAGCAUUGUAUCAGAAGGUUCAAAGUCACUGUUCAAACUGAUUAUACGGCAGAUAUCUUAUGUGUUCAAGCACCAGAGCUACAUAGAUGGCCUGAAAGAUCAAGUGAAGCAGCUGGGAUAUAGAAGAGAAACGGUGCAACAACCUGUUAAUCAUGCUAGACUACAAGGGGAUGAGAUUUAUGAGGGUGUCACAGACUGGCUAAAUAAAGUUGAUGAAUUCAUCAGUGAAGGGGUUGCAAAAUCCAUCAUUGAUGAUGAAGAUAGAGCUAAGAAGUCCUGCUUCAAAGGGUUGUGCCCCAACUUGAUUUCUCGUUACCAGCUUAGUAAACAAGCAGCAAAGGCCGCAGAAGCUGCCGCUAGUCUCGAGGGAAAAGGCACCUUCUCUAGUGUUUCCUACCGUCCUGCUCCAAAGAGUACAGAAUAUAUGCCAGUGAAAGAUUACGAGGCCUUCGAUUCAAGAACGAAAGUAUUUCAAGAUGUUGUGGAUGCGUUGAAGGAUGAUAGUUUCAAAAUAAUUGGGGUCUAUGGGAUGGGCGGCGUGGGUAAAACCACGCUAGUUAAGCAAGUUAGAAAGCAAGUGAUGGAAGAUAAGUUGUUCGAUAAGGUCGUUAUGGCUGAGGUAACACAGACACCAGAUCAUCAUAAAAUUCAAGACAAACUUGCUUUUGAUUUAGGCAUGGAAUUUGACUUGAAUGAGAAUGAAUUUCAAAGAGCUUCUCGACUGUGUCAAAGGUUGAAGCAAGAGAAGCGGCUCCUCAUUAUACUGGAUAAUAUUUGGACAAAACUUGAGUUCGAUAAAGUUGGAAUUCCUUAUGGGGAUGUUGAUGAGAAAGAUAGAGAGGACGAUCGGAGUAGACGCACAAUAAUAUUGACGUCUCGAAGUCGAGAUUUAUUGUGCAAUGAUAUGAAUUCUCAGAAAAAUUUCUGGAUCGAUGCUUUAUCCAAAGAUGAAGCAUUGCAGUUAUUUGAGAAGAUAGUGGGUGAUUCAAAAAAAACAUAUGAUUUUCAACCCACUGCAGAUGAGAUCGUUGAAAAAUGCGGGGGAUUGCCUGUUGCACUGAGAACAGUUGCAAGUGCUCUGAAAAAUAAGAGUCUUGCCAGUUGGAAGGAUGCAUUGAAUCAGCUAAGAAGUUCCAAUCUAAGAGAAAUUCGUGGUAUGGAUGCAGAUGUGUAUUCUUCCAUAAAAUUGAGUUACGAUUUCUUGGAAAGUGAUGAAGCAAAAUCUUUGUUCCUUCUUUGUACUCUGUUUGGUGAAGGUCAUCCUAUAUACGUACAUUACUUAUUGAGAUAUGGUAUGGGUUUGGGUCUAUUUAGAAAUGUUUACACAUUGGAAGCAGCAAGGAAUAGAGUGGAUGCAUUGAUCGACAGUCUAAAAGCUUCAUGCUUAUUGUUGGACGGUGAUGCUGAAGAUGAAGCUAAAAUGCAUGACGUCAUUCAUGUUGUUGCUGUAUCAAUUGCCGCAGAGAAGCUUAUGUUUAAUAUUCCAAAUGUUGCUGACUUUGAGAGAGAGAUGGAAGAGACAAUACGGAAAGGUCCAAUCGCUAUUUCCUUACCUUAUAGAGAUAUUCAAGAGCUCCCUGAGAGGUUGGAAUGUCCCCAACUCAAGUUAUUUUUUUUGUUUGCAAAGCAUGAUAGCUCUUUGCAAAUUUCACACCUCUUUUUUGAAGGGGCAGAAGAACUCAAAGUUUUAGACUUUACUGGAAUAUUUUUCUCUUCAUUACCUUCAUCACUUGGUUGCCUCAUUAACGUUCAAACAUUAUGUUUAGAUGGUUGCCGACUGAACGAUAUAGCAAUAGUUGGACAGCUAAAGAAAUUAGAGAUUCUCAGCUUUCGAGAUUCUGAUGUUAAGGAGUUGCCACUUGUAAUUGGACAAUUGACGAGAUUACAGUUGCUAGAUUUGAGAAAUUGUAGCAGCCUUGUGGUGAUAGCUCCAAAUGUCAUAUCAAAAUUAUCUCGAUUAGAAGAACUAUACAUUGGUAACAGCUUUUCACAAUGGGAGAAGGUUGAAGGAGGAAGUAACGCCAGUCUUGCUGAAUUGAAUGGGUUGUCAAAGCUAACUACUUUGGAGAUACACGUUCGGGAUGCCGAAAUUCUACCGCAGGAUUUGGUCUCUGUGGAAUUGCAAAGCUAUAGGAUAUGUAUAGGAAAUGAGUGGUGGAGCAGCCGGUCCGUUAAAUCUGGAUUAUCAAGAUUGAUGAAGCUCCAGGGGCUAGAAAAGUUUGGCAUUCUUUUGCAGAAUUACAGGAUGAAACUGUUGUUGGAGAGAACUGAAUAUCUCUAUCUAAAAGAACUGAAGGGUGUUCAGAAUGUUGUUCAUGAAUUAGAUGAUGGGGAAGGUUUUCCACGAUUGAAGCAUCUUCACGUAGAAAGUUGUUCUGAGAUUUUACACAUUGUCGGUUCACUUGGACGGGUUCGUCGCAAAGUCUUCCCCUUGCUGGAGUCAUUGUCUCUUUGGUGUUUGAGCAAGUUGGAGACAAUAUGUGACAGCCAACUCACAGAAGAUCAAUCUUUCAGCAACUUAAGGAUUAUAAUAGUACGCGGCUGUGACAAAUUGAAGCAUCUUUUCUCAUUCUCCAUGGCCAAAAACCUACUGCGGCUUCAAAAGGUAGAAGUGUUAUUUGGCGGUGAUCUGGAAAUGAUUGUUGGUAAGUGUUGAAAUUAAGUAAUGGUGGGAUUAUGGACUUCACCUCAAUUAUUUUGAAAAAAAAAUACGACAAAGAUUAAUUAUGUAUAUUGUUUUUGUUUGUUUAUAGGACCCGACAGGGAGAAACCAACAACUUCUUUGGGAUUCAACGAAAUCAUUGCUGAUGAUGAUACUGCUCCAAAGGUGAUAAUUUUCUGUACAAUAAUUAAUUGAUUAAUUUAUUAUCACGAUUAAUCUUCGAUCAUCAAAAGAAUAUUAUACUAGACGGUUGUACUUGAAGGAACAAAAAUGUACGGGUUUUCUUUGCAGGUUAUUCUUCCGAGCUUAGAGGAAUUGAAUCUCACGCUAUUAAGAAACAUGAAAAAAUUAUGGGCCGAUCAUAAUCAAGGAAUGUACUGUUGUCAAAAUUUAACAAAGGUGAUCGUGAGCAGUUGUGAUCGUAUGAAGUAUCUGUUUUCGUAUUCUAUGGUUAAUAGUCUUUUGCUACUCCAACAUCUUGAGAUAAGAGCUUGUAAGUCAAUGGAAGGGGUAGUCGACACCACGGGGUGGUCAGAAAGAGAUGAAGGACAUAUUCAUUUCCCUAAACUACACUCCCUCGAGCUCCAUUGUCUUCCAGAACUAACAAGCUUCGCCAAUACGGGACAUAUUCAUUCAGAUUUAGUUGUUGAAUUCCCUUCUUUGCUAGAACUCCGGAUUAGUGGUUGCAGUAAUAUGUUAAGAUUCAUCUCUACGAGCUCACCAGAAGACACCAUUCAUUCUGAAAUGCAACCUCCUCCUCUUUUUGACGAAAAGGUUUUUUUUUUUUAAUAAAAAAAUUAAUUUUAGUCACAAUACUUAAUUUUUCUUUUCCUUGAGUCUUCAAAUUUAGUUAAUAUCCACCUCUAAUUUAGUUAUCAAUUGAUUAUGCCAUUAAUUGAUUAAUUAGUUAUUUAAUCUUUAACUGCCAGGUACGACUUCCUAGGGUGGAGGUAUUACUUAUGGAGAUGAUGGAUAAUUUGAGAAGAAUAUGGCACCACCAGCUUGCUUCGGAGUCUUUCAGCAAAUUGAAGAAUUUGGACAUAUGGUGGUGUGAUAACCUAAGAAAUAUUUUUCCUCCAUUGGUAAGGUUGCUGUAUUCAUUUCGAAUCUUUUUUCCCAGAUAAAAUUCAACCAUUUUUUAACCAUUUUUGUGUUUACAAAUGGUAUUCAGCCACUAAUUAUUUAUUUCAAGUAUUGUACUUCAAAUUAACCACCACUCUGAAAGUACGAUUUUAAAAAAUUAAAGGAUCGUCUCUCAUCUUAUAGGUUCACAAAUUCAUCUAUAUAUUUCUCUUUUCCUUAAUUCUUCACGUUUCGAUUGGAAAAAAAAAUAAAAGUCUUCAAAUUUAAUUAAUAUCUCUAGUUUAGUUACGAAUUGAUUAUGCCAUUAAUUAACCACAAAUUCAUGAUUAUUUACAACUGACCCUUGAUUGUAAAGAAAUUUCCUCGAGUCUGGAAGUACUUAAUAAAGAUCCACUUUACAGCAGUCCCUUGUUGACAGUAUUGGGAAAUCUUUUCCAAUUUUUUUUUUCCAUUUUUAAAUAUACAUUAAAAAAAGGAACCAAGGAAAAGGGAAAAAUGGUUGAGUUUUUUUUUUUUUUUAAAAAAAAAAAGGAAUAGUUGAAAUUUGCAAAUUUAUGCUUAAAAACUGAUAUCAAGAUGCAAAAGAAGUCUAAAAUAUUUAGAAAUUGCCUUAAAUUCUUUCUACGUUUCUAAUACUAAAUAGUGUAAAUGCAUUUUUAUUAUCUUUGUUUAUCUGGGUUUUAUUUAUUUAUUUAUCUUGUUCUAUUUUUGUUUAAAAAAAAAUAUCUAGUAGACAUUUCAUAAUUUGUUAUGUUCAUAAAAUGUAUAAUUGUAUGAUUAAACAUACUUUGAACCUAGUUGAAUGAUAUUCUUACAUUUUUACUUUUUUAAUACACCACACAUGCACACACUUUUGCUUAUUUUCAGGUUGGAAUUCCUAGUAGUCUGGUGAAUCUUAAAGUAUCGGGUUGCCCAAAAUUAGAAGAAAUCGCAGGACAUGCUGGAGAAGAAGUGAAGGAGAAUCGUAUUGCUUUCAGCAAAUUAAAAGUUUUGAUACUUGAUGAUUUACCAACGCUUACCAGCUUUUGUUUGGAGAAUUACACUCUUGAAUUCCCAUCACUGGAACGAGUUUCUAUGACACAUUGUCCGAACAUGAAGAAUUUUUCUGACGGAAUCUUAUCCAUUCCAAAGCCAUGCAAAGUACAAGUGACUGAAAAGGAAGAGGGUGAACUGCACCAUUGGGAAGGCAAUAACCUUAAUUCCACUAUACAAAAGUGUUAUGAUGAAAUGGUAUGUGUUAAUCGAUUCACCCAAAUUGUUCAUGCAUCUCCCCUGCACUUGCACAUUUAAGCAUAUACACCUCCCUUGUAUAUAUAUUUUUAGAAGUUAAAACACAAAACAUGUAAGUUUAAUGUGUAUAUAUAUAAUGCCUUUCAAAAACAAAAUUGUAUAUAUCUGGUGCAAUUGUUUUGGUUUGUGCAGAUUGGAUUCCUUGAUAUAAACCGUUUGCAACUCUCGCAUUUUCCACGCUUGCAAGAAAUAUGGCAUGGCCAAGCACUGCCUGUCAGCUUCUUCAACAAUUUAGCAGAGCUGGUGGUGGAUGACGGCACGAAUAUGUCGAGUGCUAUUCCUGCCAAUCUGCUACGGUGCUUGAACAAUUUGGAAUGGCUGGCAGUGAGGAAUUGUGAUUCACUAGAAGAGGUGCUUCAUUUGGAAGAGCUAAGUGCUAAGGAAGAACAUAUAGGCCCCCUGUUUCCUAGGCUUUUAAGCCUAAAGCUCAUUGAUCUUCCAAAACUCAAAAGAUUCUGCAACUUCACUGGGAAUAUAAUUGAACUGCCUAAGUUGGAAUAUCUAAUUAUUGAGAAUUGCCCUGAUAUGGAAACAUUCACAUCCAAUUCUACAUUUGUACUGCACAUGACAGCAGAUAAUAAGGAACCUCAAAAAUUAAAAUCAGAAGAGAACCUCUUGGUAGCUAAUCAAAUACAAUAUCUCUUCGAUGAAAAGGUAAUCAUUAUUAUUAUUUUCCCUUCACUUUCGUUCGCACAUAUGUAAUUUCAUUAUAAUCAAAUCAAAUUUAAUGACUCAUCUUUUUGCACGUCGUCUUAAUUUAUAUCUGAUUUAACAAUAUAACCGCAGUUAUUAACUAACUUUAUAGUAUGAAUUAUAAAAAUGUCUGAAAUUAAUUGGAUGCCUGGUAACACGAGGUGAUGAACUAUACUAAUUAUGUGUGUAACAUCUCUGUUUUCCUAGCUAAUUCAUAUUGGAUUUAGCAUCAGAUUUCAUUUAUGUAUUUCAAAGGGUAAUCGAUUUGAUACUUAUAUUUGGGAUCCUACUGCAAAGCAUACUAAUAUGGAAAUAAAAUAUAAAAUGUCGUGAUUAAUCUUGUCCGUAAAAUAUGCAGGGGAAGACUGCAGAGAUUGGAUACAUAUUUUCAUUUACAACUUAAUUUUGUUGAUUUUCAGGUUGCAUUCCCUAAAUUGAGGAAGUUAAGGCUGUCUAGAUUACACAAAGUGCAGCAUCUCUGGAAGGAAAAUGCCGAAUCCAACAAAGUAUUUGCAAAUUUGGAAAGUCUAAAAAUAUCGGAAUGUAGUAAGUUGCAAAAAUUAGUACCACCUUCGUGGCAUUUGGAAAAUCUUGAGGCUUUGAAAGUAUCGAAGUGUCACAGGUUGAUAAAUGUGUUGACGCUCUCAGCAUCUAAAAAUCUAGUGAAUCUCGGAAGAAUGAAGAUAGUUGAUUGCAAAAUGAUGGAAGAAAUUAUACAGUCGCAGGUUGGAGAAGAAACGGAAGAUUGCAUUGUUUUUGGGAAAUUGAGGUACUUGGAACUUGACUGUUUGCCAAGCCUAACAAGCUUUUGUUUAGGUAAUUACGCUCUUGAAUUCCCGUCCUUGAAACAAGUAGUCGUGAGACAGUGUCCAACAAUGAAGAUCUUCUCUCAAGGAGUCUUAGACACACCAAUGCUAAACAAAGUGAACGUCACCGAAGAAGAAAAAGAUGAUGAUGAUGAAGAUGAUGAUGAUGAAGGAUGUUGGGAAGGCAACCUCAAUGACACCAUAAAAAAAUUGUUCAAUGAAAUGGUGAGUAUCAAUUAAGUUUUGGUGCUAUUUAGCAAAUUAUUUUAUAGAAACUAAUGUGAUAUAAUAUGAUUGGUUGACUGAAAAUAUAUAAUAAUAAUAAUAAUAAUAAAUAAAUAAAUAAAUUAUGAGGACCAUGUAAUGUUUUUAUUUAACCAAUCAUAUUAUCUCGCAUUAGUUUAUACAAUAUUGUUUGUGCACAAGAGGUGGUGGUCCUAUCAUUACUCUAGCUUUAUUAUUCUUAUGGUGGCAAUGUAUGCUUGCUUACACGAGUAAUUACAAAAUGUGCAGAAUUCUAAAGAAGAUAUUGAGCCAACCCUUCAGGUACAGUGAAGAAGCUAUCUCGAACCAGGCCAAUCUCUUAUACAUGAUUUAGCUUGCUCGUUCUUCUGUACUUGAAUAAUUUGGUUCUACAUAUUUACAAUUUUUUGCUCAUGCUACAGACGUGCAAGACACUUUGGAUUUUGUUUGAUGCAUUCUCCGUUUAAAGAAAGGACUUGAAUUGAUUUUUCAUGUUUCAUGCAAUAUUCGAUUAGAUUCUGCCUAAAUUUCUGUAUUAUUCUCUUUUAAGCAUUUAAUUUCUAACCUCUCCUGAUAGAAGAUCCUUAGCCUAAGAAAACAGCAUAACAUUUGUGAAAAAGAAUUAAUUAUCUCACACCAGAUUAGAAAAAGAAAACAGCAUAACAUUCGAUUAGAUAAUAAAAUUAUCUCGACCACUGUUAAAAAGAAUUAAUCAGUCAAAUCUCACACCAGCACGCUUUAAAUUAAAAGAAUUUCGUGAAGUCAAGACCAUGUUAUAGAUCUCAUGGAAAGAAGUAAACCCGUAAUCUUUUUCACAGCAUCAUAAGAAAAACCGUUUUUUUUAAGUAUUUUUGUUAGCUGUCGAGUUUUAAUAGUAGUAGCUAUUAAACAAUAACAAUUAGUGUAUAUUAAAAAGUUGGAAACUGGUUGAUACCACUCGGGAAUCGAGCAGUUCACUUGUUUGCGAGUAGAAACCAACUUUACUACUAAUUACACUCCAAAAAUCACUAUUCUUCAUUUUUUAAUGCAAAAUUCCCAUUCGAAAACACCAAUGACUUUCAUUCAAAGUAAAUGAGAAAUUACAAUGAAAAUAGAAUCAAAAUACAUGUAUGUAUACCUAAAACAAAUGAUUUUUUUAAUUAAAAAAAAAACACAGUUGAGGUGAAAUGAAACCAGAGUCAUGAUAUCUCUGGUUCCAACUUUGGGACAACAGCAGACUUGAGUUCUAUAUGAGAAACACGUACAGCACCAAUCAGCCGCUCCGGUAAUUCAUCUGUAGUAUUUGCCUGCAUACAGAAGAGUAAGAUAAAGAAGACACACACGAAGCAUUAUACCAUUCUGAGAACAUUCAAGUAUGCAAAAAUGCAAAUUGCAGUGCAAUAUCUCAAAAUCAUGUCUUUUCCCUUGUGUCCAUUUAGAAGUGGGGGAAAAAAACAAUCAUACAUACCUGUACAAGGAAAGCCAUGUCAACCACCAAUGUCGUAACUACACCAAUUACAAGGCCCAAAACUCCAUUAGCAACAGUAGAAGAACCGAUGUCAACAUUAAUCUACAGAAAGAUGAACAAUGUUAAACCAUGUUAAUGGUAUCGGAUGCUAUUUGAAAGAUGAACAUCUCAUGUACUAUAGAAAUUCCAAGAGCAUUUACUUCUAAGUACUUGGGACCGCGAAUAUAGUUACAAUCAACUGCUUUACCCAAUAAGCAAGGGGUGCUUCCAACACUCUGGCGCACGAUCCAUGACCCCUGCAUGAUUCAGUGCUUAAAAUCAAGAACAAGUGCAAAACAAAUUCAAGAGGGUAAAAAUGGACAUGAAGUUUGAAGGUACAACCCAUCAAUACAUUUACACCUAAAUGCAUGCCUUCUUUGGACAAAUUGAAGUGUACCAUGCAGUAAAGGGUUAGUAUACGUUAAUAUAGUCCUAAUACAUGAAGGCCAAGAUGGAUACCUUAGGAACAGAUGGAAUAAGUUUCAACCUGCUAUUGCGAAACUCAUCAUCGCCAUCAACAAACCGUUGCAAAAGUGAUCCCAUAACCAAUUGCCUUGCGACUAAAUAAAAUACCAUACUAUAAUGUGUUGAUCCAGGAACCUGCAGAUGCUUAGGUUACAACUAUACAACCUCCCAAUACAAUAAGUUUGAAACUUAAUACCUUCUGAAAUGAAACAAACUUACUUGAAGAUUAAAGAUCAGUGAGAAAAGCCCAUUUUCGGAAGCAACCUACAUUUUUUAGAAGAGGGUCAGUGUGUUAUAGAUUCAAUGAACCAUGAGAAGUUAUUUACAUUGUAGUAUCUCACAGGCAGUAUUUUCUCCUAAUGCAUCAAUGGAAAAGGAAAAAUAAAAAGAAAAGAAUAGUUACUUGUGCAGCACAGCCUUGACGCCUAGCUACAUGGUCCAUUCUCUUUGUGUCUUUGAACCAAUCAACAGCAACAAGAUCCAUUAAAUGUUUUCCCGCAGGUAUCUGCAGUUACAAAUUGCACAAAGCACAAGAAGAGCCAACCAAACUACAUCAUAACCUGUCUACCUAGCCUAUGCAGGAUAUAUAAAUACCAUAACAAACAAACAAAAUAUGGGGGAACCUUUGUUUUGUCAUAACAAAAAUGCUUGCUACGAACUCUAAAGUUAUUUCCAUCAGAAAGUUUCCAGCAGUCACGAGCAUUAUCACAGUCAUCGUGUCGUAGAUUGCCCGAAAAACAAGACAAAUCAAUUUGAUCAGCCUGCUCUUCCUCUAGGGCUGCAACUAAUUGAAAUUUUUUUUUUUUUAAAAAAAAAGAUCAAUACCAUAAAAAUCCACUAGCCAAAUAUACAAAAAUGAAUACUUAUCAUCCACCUGUCCUCUUGAAAUCAUUCUCAAUCUUUUUUUCAUUUGCCUGAAAUCCCAAGGAAAAAUAUGUAACUAAUACUUCCCAUUCAUGAAUAUUGUCUAUCGUAUAAACAUGACAUUUUUAAUUGGAAUAAUAAAAUUAUUUAAUUAUUUUAAUUAAAUGUUAAUCCUACAAAUUAUUUUUGUUAAAUCUAGCAAGAAUAACUAAAAUUUCUUUAAGAUAUAUUUUGGUGGUAAAUUAAAAAAAAUUUAAUUAUUUGGCGGGAAUUAUUGAAAUUGGAGCCAUUUUUUUUUGUGGGAAUUGAAAUAUAUUCUUUAAAUUAUUACAUAAAUAGCAAAAUGUACAUACACACACAUAUAUAUAAUUCAUAUAUAAAAAUUCUCUAAUUUGUUCACAAGUACCAUAGAUUAUAAUUCAGUUAUGAAAUAAAAUAACUACAAUUAUUAUAGUUAAAUGAAUACUUCAUUAAUUCUUAAUUUGCUUCCUAACAUUAAAUGAACAACUUGAGUCAGCCACCUGAAUUAACCAGUAACAACGCCUGAGUCAACCAUCUGAAUAAACCAGCAACCCUAGCUGAUUCCAGCACCUGCAAUUAACGUCAGCACAACAGGAACAAUCUUAAAUCAACACCAAGAACAGACCAAACUGCUGUCAAAUGUCACAAAACCAAACAGUCUGCUACUGCCAUCAAAUGCAAGCAAACAUAUGCAACAAAACCAGAUGCAAGUGAAAUUCUGGAGAAUAUCGGAUAAACCAAACCAAAUGCAACACUUCUAGUAAUUAGACUAGAUGCAGUGUUCAAUUAAACUAAAUGUAGUCUCAUAUUACAUUCAAAAUUUCUAAAAGAAGCAGUGUUCCAUCAGAGAAGCACCAAAACCAAACCAAUCUAAUCCAGCAUAAUUACCAGCUCAACCCAAAACAAUUACACAUUAUAUUGACAUAUCAAAAUUCGCUAUCAAAACAUAGCCAAAUAAAUGAAAAUAAACUCAAAACAGACCCAAACCAACUGAUGUUGCAGCCCUAGUAGUCGUUGUCCGUUCCACUGCCAUGGGAGCGAGGGUAGGCUCCGUUGUCGAUGAGUGAGUAAGAUAAGGCUCCAAAUAAAUAGUUCCACCUCCUUUCUGCAAUUCAAAAAACAGAAAUUCAUAUAUGUAAAACUAUUAAAAAGUGUGAAACAACCUGUAAGUAUUCAACUUCUGUCAACUCAAUAGCACUUACUAAAGUUUUUAUACAGAAGAAAAAGGCAUUUUAAGUCCAAAAAAUUAGAAUUAUUGGUUGAACUCCAACUCCAUCAAUCCAUGCAACCAUCCAAUCUUUAACGAAAAAAUGAAGCAUAAUUAACCAGACAUCUGAAUCAGAAAGAUUGUGCUUUCAUUUGGCACGAGGUGUUGGAAACAACUUAACAAAUCUAGACACAAUCUAUAACCAUCAAGUCCAAACAAAAGUCAGGAUCUAAAAUACUUUGAAAAAUCAGAAAAGCAGUUUCAAUUUCUUUUUCAUCCAUUGUAAGCUCAAACUAAAGGUAGCCGCGCUACCUUUAAACAUCAUUUGGGCUUAUACAUGCGACAUUUGCUCAUGAACAACUAAAGUUGAAUAAGAUUUUUAUAUGAAACAGAAUAUAAAAAGUCAAAGUAGAAUAUGACAGGAGCUACAAUAUAUUAUUCAGCAUCAGCAUUAUGUAUAAAAUAAAUUUAGAGGCAUUAUAUUCAUUCACAAUCUUGCAGAGGUAACACCAGAUUAUGGCACGCAUCUCUUGAAUAGCAGAUAAAGGAGGAGAUGCAGUGGGAAGGUAGUAACUUGCUUGCAUGAGAACUAGAAAGUAAUAUCCCAAGAUCAAUUAUAGAUCUCAUAAAACAAAAACAGUGAGGCAAACACAAUUAUACAAUCCAUCUGUCAAAAGGCUAAGCAUAUGAAUAUACAAUCAACACCAUUCUUCCAAACGAAUAUAAAGUCAACACCAUUCUUCUAAACACAAACAAAGUUUGAACGUAUGACAGAUUUUUAGCUAUUUAAUAUUCCAUCAAAGAUAAUUAGAUAACACCUACCAAGGAUUUUUGAAAAGAAUGCAUUCUCAUCUUAAGCAGCAACCUCACCAGUAACACAUUUUCAUACCCUGUUUCCACCUCUGGUCGCACCACCAAAAAAAUUCAGUACUAAUUAGCUUCAACAGAAUCUGUUUUUUUUAUUUUUUAUUUUUUCCAAAAUAAACCUCCAUUCUUAUACAUAAAAUUAAAAUAUCAAUUAAAUACACAAAGUCUAUGCUUACUAGUAAAACACGUCCAUUUUUAGGUAGAGGCAGAUAAUAAAAGAAAAUUGAAACUGAGAUAAAAUAAGAAGAGCUUACUAGGUGCAUUUGAUCAACAAUCCAAUCCUCAACGAUGGAAUCGAUGCCAUCAAAUAAACAUGACUUAAUCUUGAAACCAUAAACUGCACUAAGCAUAGCACCAAAGCCAGAGCGUGACUAUAAAGAAGAAAAAUAAAAAGAAGGAAAAGAAGAAUUAAAUCAACAUGAAAUUCAACUGGAACAAUACAAAAUAUGAAAUUUUUAGCAAUCUUACUAGCGUUAGGGUUAAGGCUUACCAUAGAGAACUGGAUGGCGCUAACUAAAUGACAAGUUGAAACGGCAUCUGCAAUCGUAUUGAAUGACAUUGAACCGCGAGGUAGGGUUUAAAUGAAUACCGAGCAGAGAUAAAUUGGUGUGGUGAAUUAGGGUUUUGUGGCUACGUUUUAUUUCGAUUGAAAAAAGGAAUUUGAGCUUUUGCUUUAAUUCAACGGUGUCGUUAAUUUAAACAUUCAUUUUAGGUUGCAGUGGCCAGUGGAGAGAGGGGGAUUCAUUCAACGCUUAGCCAAAAUUUGGCUGUAAGUGUUGAUGUGUUUUAAGUUAUACAGAACGGUGUCGUUAAUUUAAACAAUACUGUUUUACAAUCUUAUAAGAUCACAAAACCUAAGCAUGACUUAUAUGUAUCAUUUAUUUAGGACGGUUAAGUUAUAAGUCAUGAAUAUGUCAUAUAUUCUGGACAUAUGAAUAUAUAUUAUGAAUCUAUCAUAUUUUUAUGACACAUUCGUGACACAAUGAUAUAUGUCAUCAAAUUUACGUCAUUAUUUAAUAUUUUUCUAGUGGUGUCAGAUUUUUGAAACAUUUUUGUUAAUAGCAAAAACUCUAAUCCUUUAGCAAAAGACUAAAAAUUAAAAAAAAAAUCUGUUUAAAUAUCAGUUGGCUCAUGAUCAACACUUCAAUAUUGUUUGUUGUAUUUUCUUUCUUUCUUUCUUUGUCAUUUUAUUAGAUUUUUUUUGUAUCAUAGUUUGUUUUGCUUAAGUAAUUGUUCAUUGUUUAUGUCUGUGUUCUUACUAACAGAGUAAAAGAUUUUGAGAGAAUGAAUUGCACCCUUUUCCAUUGAUUGUAAGACUUUUAUAUGCAGCAAUAUAUAUAACAACUGUGCCUAUUUUAAAGAGAUAAGAUAACAGAAAGAUAUACUUUACAUUUGAAUUAGUUUGAAUGAGUAAACUAGAUAGGUCCCAUAUUCUAAGAGGAGAAUCUGCUGACACUUACUGGCUUUUGAUAAUUUAUGGUUGGUUUUUUAUUCAGACCCUCGAAGUACCUUUUUGUUAAUAUUAAAACCUCUGAUCCUUAAGAAAGAAAAAAAAAUUCUCUAUUUAGUUAUUAGUUAGUUCAAGAUCAAUAUAGCGAUAUUGUUUGUGGUCUUUUCAUUCUCUAUCUUUCCCUCUAGUUCAUUUUAAUUUAUUUGUAUUCCUUUCUUUGACACUUGUAUUUAUAUAUAUAUAUUGUUAAGCAACAGGCAAUGGCUGUUGAAGGGUGUCUCCCUGCUUUUUCCAGCAUUGUAUCACAAGGUUCAAAAGCAUUAUUCGAACCGAUUAUGCGGCACAUAUCUUAUGUGUUCGAGUACCAAAGCUACAUAGAUGGGCUAAAAGAUUGAGUGAAGGAGCUGGAAUAUAUAAGAGAAAGGGUGCAAACGCUGGUUAGAGAGGCUACUCUACAAGGAGAUGAGAUUUAUAAGGGUGUCUGAGACUGGCUAAAUAGAGUUGCUGAAUUCAGUGAAGGGGUUGCAAAAUCCAUCAUUGACGAUAAAGAUAGAGCUAAGAUAGAGCUAAGACUGAGCAUGAUUGCAAAUGCACGAUUGCAAAUGCAUUGGAUCAAUUAAGAAGUUCCAAUCUAGGAGAAAUUCAAGGAAUGCGUGCAGAUGUAUAAACCUCCAUAAAAUUGUUACGACUUGAAGGAUUGUAUAUAAGCAUUAAAUUGAUCUAAUUUAAUUUGUAUGUAAACAUUAAAUUGUAUAUAAAUACACAGAACAGAACCAUAUCAGUGUUGGAAAAAAAAAAAAAAAGAAUCCAGAGUUAUAUAAAUUCAAUAAAAAAUUACUGAAUUUUUUAUUACUAACUUUGAACACUCUAAUUUCAAUAAAAAAAUUAUAUUACUAAAAUAGUCUUAAUUGAAUUUACUAUUAAAGACAUUAGAAUAACUCAACACUAAUAUUCUAAAAUAUAUUUCUCUCCAUAGUCUAAUCUAAUCCAUUCUAAGAAUCCUAUAGAAAAUAUAUUAUUUACUUUUUCCUUAUUAAACACAAAAACAUGUCAUUUUGUUGCUAACUAAAAUUUUGGAACUAACAACAGCAGAUUAACAAAAUUAUCAGAAAAAGAAAUCAAACAAGAUUUUAAUCGUCGUCAUCUUCACUCUUGUCUUUUUCUUUUUCUUCACACAUGUGGCUUGCACACGCAUUCCCCUCUCUCAUCCUUAGGGCCGCCCUUCAACAAUAUCCAAUCAUCGAUUAUAAUUAUUUAGAUUGACCAAAUCAAGCAUUGAUCAUAUAUUGGUUGAGGUUAGAAAUAGGCAGGCAGCAGCGAUAAUACUACUAAUUAAUAUCUCAUGAGAAUUUUAAAGAAAAAUCUAACGUUGUCAAAUUCGUUUGAUUUCAAUGAAGUCUUUCUCCUACUUAUACUUUCACAUAUUCUCUUUUAUUUCCAAAGUUAAGGUUAUGGAUGUUGUAGAGUAAAAAGAUGAGCAUUGCUAGGAAAGCAAUAAAAGGAAAUAAAUAAAAAUUAAAAAUAUAAAAAGAGUUAAGUCAUUUUUUUUUCUAUUAGUGUUUUUGUAUUUAAUAACGAAAGAUAAAAAUAAAGUAGAUAUUAUCUAUUGGAUUAUUAAAAUAACACAGGUAUAACACAUGUCAAAAUCUCGUUAUUAUAAUAUUAGAAAAGGUUAAAUUAGGAGAAUAUUCAAAUCGGCGAAAUAAUUAAUAAAUCGUAUUUAUUAAUCAUCCACCCAAUUCAUGCAUACCCAAAUGGCCGUCAACGAGCUAACCAAAUCCCAGCUUGUUGUAAUCUGGGUUGGGCUUUUUGGGCGAUAAUUAACUGCCCGAGCUGCUCAUCUACCCCAAUAGAGCCUAACAAAAAUUUUCGCCUAAGCUUCACAAAAAUGUUCAUAAAUCUUUUUUUUUUUGGUAUCAUAAAAACAUAAAUUUAUUUCAAACACUUUUGGAGCUUAAUAAAAAUUUCCCAACAUUUCAUCUGACAAAGGUAGUUUAAAAGUGUAUUCGUUAAAUUCUAAAAUACAUACUUAAAAUCUUUUAGUGAUAAUCUAAUUAUAAAUUAAGGGUCUAUUUGGGAUUGAGAUUGAACAGUUAAAAUGUUAUAGUUGUUGUAGUUUAGAAGUUAAGAUGAUUUGAUUUUACACUUAUAUGAUAAAAAAUUUAUUAUAUCUUUUCUAAUUUUAUCAAAAUUAUUAUUAAAAAAUUAUAUUUAUUAUAUACUAUUAACUUUUAUUUUAUACUUAAAACUUUUUUUUCUUACGGCAAAAGUUUUAGCACCUCAAUACCCAACCAAGUCUAAAACUGCACAAAUAUAAUUAUGAGUGCGAAUGUUAAAAUCUACACACAUUCGUACUUGAUAAUUUCAAUCAACAGUGUUACAAACUUAGUUAAAAUAUUAUAUCUGAAAUUAUUGAGGGAAAAAAAAAAAGAAAACGAAUGUUGUUUUCAUGAUAGUGACAUGUGUCGUGCACAUUUUGCUGUUGGCUCUUUGGUCUCUAAGACUCUAACCCAGCGAAUAGGUUGUUGUGUCCUCGUUGUUAGAUGCCCGAACCCAGCGCAAGAACUUUGUACGAUACAUGGUGCGUUUGGGAUUGAGGUGCUGUAGCUUUUAAGCUAUAGUUGAUGUGAAAAAAAAGCUGUAAUUAUGAAACAAAAGUUAAUAAUAUAUAGUAAAUAUAAAUUUUAAAUAAUAAUUUUGAUAACAUUAUUAAAAAUAUAAUAAAUUUUGUAUUAUACAAGUGAAAAACCAUAUCAACAUAGCUUAAAAGCUACAGCAGCUAGUGUUUACCAAACACUUUAGUGUUGUAGCUUUUAAGUUACAGCUACCCAACCUCAAUCCCAAACGCACCCACAAUAUAUUUUAUGAAAGUGAUGAUGUUGCCAAUAAAGAUGAGUAAUAAACCAAACGGCGUCGCUUCCCUAACCUGUUAGAAAUAUCAACGCCCAUUGUCGCCCUCUCGUUCCAUUUAUUCAUUUAGCCCGGUCAGGGGAUUGACGAAUUAAAUAAACAACAAUAAUCGUCCGAUCCCCGCAGAUUGCCACUCAUAUUUAAUCCAACGGCUAGGAUAUGAACCCCUCUAUAACUUUUAUUUGUCGAAUCAGCCGCUCUCUCUAUUAAAAUUAAUUUUUUUUUUACAACGGCCGACGAGUGCUGACGUAUCAGAGACGCUUCACCAAUCAAUAAAAAAAUCAAUUGAAAAGGACGGUAUAGUGAGUGGAAGAGAAAUGCCAAUGGCAGAUCAAGGGAUGAAGAUACGAGCUCACUUGCAACGUGGUAUAGUUCAUCAUGGCUUUCCUAUAAGUUCAGGUCCUUUGAAUACUUUCAAUGAUCUUAUUAGUCAGAAAUUCAACAAUAAUUUUUACUUUUUACAUCCAGGAACAGUUUUAAGCACAAGCAAAUCAGGUGGUCAAUAGGCCUCAUAUGUUAGCAAGGUCCCCGUUUUGGUCACUUAAGUCCCAUAUGUUAGGAAGACUCCCUUUUUAUUUUUGGUAUUACUUAUGAUAGCAAAUCCUCUUUUUUAGGCCUCUUUUUAGUUAGUAAUUAUCUUAUAAUGAAGAAUUUUGUAUUUUGUUACACAUUUUAUAUUUGAUAACCUUAAUAUUAAAGAUCUCUAAUUGAUAGUAUUAUCUAAUUGUUAAUUUAUUAUUAGUUUUUCCAAAAAAAAAUAAAUUCUUUAUCUAUUUAAAAAGGUUAAUUAAUUAACAUUAUAAAAAAUUUUGUGCUAUUCUCUAUACAGAAAAUUAUUACAUUUAUUACUUCACUUCUGAAUUAAAAAAAAAAAAAAGAUUUAUUGAAAUAAUAGUUCUAGAGGAAGUAAAAAAGAUAUCUUCUUGAUUAUUUUUCUUUUUUGAACAUUUUAACUAUCUUGUUGAUUGUUAAUAUUCAAGAUAUAGUUAAAAAUUGAUUGAAUUCUAAGCUCUUUUAUGUUUCUUUAGGUGUUGAAGCUGCUGAAUGUAAGGAGCCCUCGUAAAACAAUUCCCAUAACGCCCCUAAUACUCUAAGGUCGACCCUGUGUAUAUCAUAUUACUAAUAAUGUAUAUCAUAUUUUUAAUAGGUCUUCAUUUUAGGCUAAAGUACUUGAACAAUAGUUCCCAUGCACUUUGUGAUCUUAUUACAAAAUAUUAAACUAAAUAGCUGUGGAAGUAACAAAGAGGGCAACUUUUUACCAUAAUGUGAUGAAAAUAAUUCAUUUGUCAUCACGAACUAACCAAAUCAAAACAAAAAACUAAUUAUCAUAUGGUUCAAAUCUGUGCAACAAUGGUGCAUUUAAAAGGAAAUAAUGUACAGUUAAAAUUUGUGCUUGUAACAAGAACUCUUCUCUUCAAGCCAACAAUUCCACCUAGGAGAGGAAGUGUUUUAGGCGACACUUUCCAACUAAUGAAAGCAGUGAGCUCUCAAACUCUGUUAUCAUUUUCUACUACUUGAAAAAGAGAGAAAGAGAAACGAGAGGAAAAACAGGUCUCCUCUGUUUUCAUUUUGGUGAUUGCAAAUAAUAUUUUUUUUUACUUUUACUCUUUAUUUAUUUAAUUUUUAAAAAAAAACUUUUAGCUCAUUAGUUCUUGUUCUUGUUAAUGCGUCUAAUAACUUAUAUGAUGAUCUGAUCAUAUCCGUAACAUUAACAUACCCCCAUAAUCCGUUAUUUUAUAAUUAUAAAAUUUGAAGAUUCGGUCAUGCAAUUUUGUAUGAUGAACAGUGUGUUCAUUUUUUCUGUGAAACAUAAGAACAAUUUGUAAAUAAUGUCCAUGCGGACCUUGUAAUAGCGAAGCAUCAUUAUUGAUCUUACUUUGAUGAUCGCACUUUAGUUUCUUUUUAAAGUGCCUUUUGUUUAUUUUAUCGGCAUCCGCUUUUACAAAAGUUUUGGUCCUCGUUCAUUCAUCAAAGCUUCUACUUUUAUCUUUUAUUAGUAAUCUUACAAAAAGCUUAAUUUAAUUGGAAUCAUGUUCGAUAUGAAGAUUGUUUUACUUACUUCAGUAAUCUUUCAAUCAACCGAAUUUAUACUUGGUCAGUAGGACAACAGUGACCAAGUACAUAAUAUGAAAAUUCAUUUGUAUUGCUUACUCUAAUAAGCUCUUAAACUCACACAUUCCUCUGCAGUUACCAGUGAUCUUUUGCUCACUAAAAUUGUUAAUAUAUAUUCAAGGUGAAUAAAGAAACUCAUCAUCCCAGAUAAUUAAAGAGGUGAACUUGUUCUAAAUCCUUUAAUAAUUUCUAUUAAUAGCAUAUAUAAUCUCUAAUCCUUGAUCUUGGUAGUAGUUCUUUCUUAAUGUCCAAGAAAAAUAUCUCUCAUUUGUCUUAAUCUUGUCAUUUAAUUUUCUUGAAUUCUGAGUUAGUGUUUAUUGUUAAAUUCGGUUUUCGGUUAGUAGCUGUUGGUUAAUAGCUUCGGUUAAUCCUUGAAUUAAACAUAUUAAAAUCUAAUCAUAAACCCGCCUUUCCCUAUUUUACAACACCCUUUAUGUAAUAGUGACUUCAAAAGUGUAACAUAUUUUGAACAAUUGCAAGGAAAGAACAUAUUUGACACUUCACAAAACGGUAAAGAUAUAAGCUUCAAUUCUUGUCCAACAAAUUAAUAUAACUAACGUCAAUUGAUCAAUAAUUCAGUAACAAAAAGGGGCAGAUAUCCUAGUCUUUCUUUACUAAUGAAGCAAGCCAUUAAACUUCGAAAGCUAUUUCUAUUUCCACAUUCUUCAUGUACCAAAGCCAAAAAAAAAAAAAAAAAAGCAACAAAAAUUUGGAAGUAAUCAUCUUUAUUCAGCAGCAUGCAUAUUAAUUAAAACAUAUUCAAAAAGAAAUAUACAAUAUCAGGUCUGGAGACGAAAUGAGCCCACAGAGACUACCAAUAAUGUAACGGCUUGAUUAAAAAUAUUAAUCAAGCCACUACAUUAGAAGAACAAGAGUUAAUCAUGCAUAGUAAUUAAAAAUAUUUUUGCUAUCAUCCACCUGUUCUCUCUAAAUAGUUGUCCCUUUUUUUUUUCUUUUGCCUGAAAUUCCAAGCAAAAAUAUAAUUAGAAGAUCAAGAGUUAAGGGUUAAAAAAAUGGAAAAAGAGGGCUCCUCUGUUUUCAUUCCCCUGUUUUUCUGUUCGGUGAUUACAAAGAUUUAAAUCAAAAUUUAUGAUGCAGGCUACACGGCACCUGGUGGAAGACUGCUAGGGUUUACCUUUUAUUCUUAGUUAGAAAUUUAAUUUAGAAUUUGUAGUGUGCGCCUUAUAUAAGUAGGUUUCCUAAUAGUAAAAUUAAAUAAUCUAAGUUUAUGAUGCACUAGGAUAUGAUUGUGAUAAAUGAGCUUUUUAUGUAUCCUCUGAGGUUGAUCAUUAUUUUACUACAUUGAAGAUUCAGUUAUCUCUUUGUAAUACUCUGGACUUCACAUACUAAACAGAAUGGAGCAUUAUUUUAUCCCGCUAAAUCAGUUUUUUAUUUUUUUAAAAAAUAAUUCAUCAAACACUUUAUAGCUCUGGUUUUAAGUUGGUAAACACUUUAAGCCGCAACUUUAAAUUCAGUUUACGAGAAUCCCUAACAGUCACAGUGGCUGAACCUAUCCAGACUAAAACCAGAUCAUGAAAGCUUAUAUACACCAAGAGAUUUAUCUAGAAAGUACCGCCGGCAGCCAGUUCAUUCGUUUCUGAGUUUGUUUCCAGAAACCCGGAAACUCCCCUGUUUCUGCAAACAGGGCUUCUUUGUUUUCAGUCCCCUGUUUUUCCAUUUGGUGAUUGUAAAAAUUUAAAUCUAAAUUUUUGAUGCAGUCUACACGGCACCUGCUAGAUGAUUGUUAGGGUUUAUCGUUUAUUCUUAAUUAUGAAUUUAAUUUAGAUUCGUAGUGUGCGCCUUAUGUAAGAUUAAAUAGAAUAAUGUAAAAAACAAAAGAAAAAAAGGCCUUUCUUAAUUUUGACUUCAUAAUGUUGCAGCAACCGUCCUCUGUUAUCAUUCCCCUGUUCUUCAGUUUGUUGAUUGCAAAUAACAUUCUUUGUAUCUACUCUUUAUAUGUUUAUUUUUUAAUUUUUAAGUCAUCAAUUCUUGUUCUUCUUAAAGCGUGUAGUAAAUUAUAUGAUCAUCUGAUCAAAUCCCUCACAUUACAUACAGCAGAAUCUGUUAAUGGAAUUUAUUAUUUUAUCAUAAUUAAACAGAAGAUUUGUUCAUGCAGUUUUGUAUGACGAGGAGAUUUCAUUUUUCUGUCAAAUACAAGAACAAUUUGUAAAUAAUGUCCAUGAAAGCUUGAAUGAAGAAUGGCAUUUAAUAAUUUUAGAAGAAUAUUGGCUUAUAGAGCAUAUUAGUAGGGAUAAGAUUUGUAGGUGUCUGGUAACGGAAAAAGGAGAAAAAAAAUGGAGAGUGGAGGCAUUACUUUUAUCUCAUCCUUAACUUCAGUAAGUGGAGGAGAACAAAGGGGAAAAGAGGGGAGUGGGGCAUGACCUUAAAAGGAGGAUUUAUUUAUUUUUUCGGGGUCUGCAGGGCAUCUUUUUCUCUCUUCCUCUCAUGGAAAAUCCUUUCUUUUACACUCUAUUUCAUUUUUCUGCAAAUUACUCAAAAAGCUUUUGGUUUUUAAGGUAAUGUUUAUUAAGCCAUAUGAGUGGUAGCACAAGUUUUUUGGCAAAGGCCCAGAAACUAACUUGAGCGUCGGAGGGUUCACGCCGGAAAAACUUUCGGCGCCUUUGACCGUCUUCUAUGAUUUUAAGUAUUCGCAAGUUAAUCGCUAGUGGUUGCAGGACAUCUUGACGAUUGACCAAUCGAUUCUCUACCAAAUAAAUCUAAUGCUGGUGUAGAAGUCUGAUAUUAAGUCGCUAAUAGACUAGAUCAGAUUUGGGCAUCAACAUUUGGCACCGUCUGUGGGGAAUCGGUACAAAAAGCCAACUUCUUGUCUCUACCAAUUUUGCAUCCGGCCAAGCCAAAGGCAGAAUAUUAUCAUGCACAAAUUGAUAAGCUGGCUCAAACACGGAAGCCUAUCAAGGCUGGAUGGAAUGCUUACCUGUAAAGGUUUUGGCUUAUUUAUUGCUUUAAGUAUAUUGUUAUUAAAAUUCAAUUUCCAAUUGCUAUGAUGAUUGAUUUAUCAACUGAGAGAUGCUUGGAAAUUCUUUAAUAACAUGCAUGUUUCAAUACCGUGCAUGAUAUAUUUGCUGAAAUUGAAUAUUAUCCCUUGGAAUUCGUUGAUAAUGUUCCUUCACAAAAUUAGCUUGUUAGAAUGGGCUUCAUUCAUGAUUCAAGAUUACAUGCUAUUAUACUUGCAAAUGAAUUAAUUUAGUAUUUUCCAACAACAUGCUUGACAUAAUGUUAACAGUUCAGAUUUAUUAUGGCUAAUUAUUCAGCUUCGUUAUGGCUAAUUGGAUGUAUAAUGCUGCUACCAUCAUUAUUUUGCUGAUGUAUUUAUAUUUCUUGAUUGAUUGUUCUCUUUUCAUCGAACUCAAGAUAUAAAGUCUGUUCAAAAGAGCAAUCGAUUUGCGGUAUUAUCAAUGUUCAAUUUCUUAAAAUAAAGAUCACACAAAUUGUUAAAUUCAUUUGGUGGUAAGCAUAAAAAAUCCACGGAUCUUUGGUUUCUUCAAGAUAUUUCCUGCUGGUUUUACACCCCAUCAAUCAAUCAUGCAGCUAGUUUUCAUGUGAAGAAUAUGCAGGGAAAGUAUUUAGACAAUUCUGGUAUGAAACUCGGUUCAUUACAAGUUGAGGCAGAAUUGUUAAAAUUCAAAUCAGGAGCUGUUCGUUAAAUCGCCUCAAGGGAUAUGAAAGUUCAAAAGUGAGUUUGUUGCUGAUUACACUACAUACACUACAUAUAUGCUUGAGAGAAUGUUGCCCAGGAGCCAAGAUCUAAACCCAUGUUCUGUUUCAGUUUAUUCAAUAUAAGUAUCAAACUGAUUGAGAGCAUGAGUUAUUCUUAACCAUAGCUUUAUUAUAUUUUCGCAAAGAGAACAUUAGAAAUUAUGCAUAUAUACGCUGUCUUUUGAUAGUAGCUGUCAUCCACAUUGCACAAAUUCUCAUAAUCGUUAAUGAGUGUUGGAAGAAGUAUAAUUAGCAUAAUCUGGAUGAGGCCGAGUAUUGGUAUUUUGGCUGACUUUAAUAAUGGUUUUAAAACAAAACAAUUUUUUAUUGAUGAUGAGAAUUGAUAGGCAUGUCUUCAAGCUUCAAAGAAUUGAUGAAGUUGGAUUUUUGUUUCCUUCAUAUUUUAUUCGUUUUGUGCCCGUGUUAAAAUAUUGCAAGAAUAAUUCUAAGAAGGGAGCAAAGCAGAGUCAAGCUCGGGAUUUGUUUGAUGAAGUACUAAUGAAAUAAUGCAGAGCACAAUCUCAGGUGCACUUGUUCUAAAACCUCAGUUUUAUAUUUAUCCUUUAAAUCCACUACCUGACUUAAAAAAUCUGAUGGAUGGGGUUUUGACUUAUUAAGUCGUUAAUAGAAAAUAGUUAAGAUUACAUAUUAUAGAUUAUAUAGCAUAGUCAUAUAUUAGCACACAACAUGCUUGACCGAAGGAUUGAUGGAACUUGGGUUAGCAUGAGAUCGUAUUUCCUUGAUACAGUGAUAUGACUUUGCUUAAACUUUUAUGGUACCAUUUAUAUAAUAUGAUUUAUUUUAUAUAUAAAUUUUAAUAUCUUUAGUGUUGGUAAAUGGUGCUCUGCACCUUUAGCAAAGGUCUUUAAUAAUAUUGCUAACCAAAUAUUAUAGAUGGUAAUAAAAACACCAAGGAUGUUUAUCCAUCAAAGGCCCAAACAUAUAUAAAUAGCUAAAGCGCAAGUUGUAAAUGUGAGCUAUUUUCUGGACAAGUUAUAAGUUAUAAGUCCGAAAUUAAAUUUUUGAUGGUUAUCUAUAUUUAAGGAUUUAAAGCAAAAACCUCAAAUAAGAACACAUUGAAGGCACGCAAAGGCUCUAAAGUCUCAAAGCCUGUUUUAUGGUGAGACAGGAAGCCAAGUAUGCCAGGAUCUGCUCGACCAAGCGAAGGCGAGCAGACCAAAAAAGUUUCAAAAAUCUUCUAAGGCACGCAAAGGCUCCAAAGUCUCAAAGCUUGUUUUAUGGUGAGACAGGAAGCCAAGCAUGCCAGAAUCUGCUUGACCAAGCGAAGGCGAGCAGACCAAAAAAGUUUCAAAAAUCUUCUAAGGCACGCAAAGGCUCCAAAGUCUCAAAGCCUGUUUUAUAGUGAGACAGGAAGCCAAGCAUGCCAGGAUCUGCUGGACCAAGCGAAGGCGAGCAGACCACAAAAGUUCCAAAAAAGUUUCUAAGGUAAGCAAAGGCUCCAAAGUCUCAAAGCCUAUUUUAUGGCGAGACAGGAAGCCAAGCAUGCCAGGAUCUGCUGGACCAAGCGAAGGCGAGCAGACCACAAAAGUUCCAAAAAAGUUUCUAAGGCAAGCAAAGGCUUCAAAGUCUCAAAGCCUCCUUGAUGGCGAGACAGGAAGCCAAGCUCGCCAGAAUCUGCUCGACCAUGUGAAGGCGAGCAAAAAAUGAGAAUUCCAAAACAGUUUCUAAGGCAAGCAAAGGCUCCAAAGUCUCAAAGCCUCCGUGAUGGCGAGACAUGAAGCCAAGCUCGCCAGAAUCUGCUCGACCAUGUAAAGGCGAGCAGAGAACAAAAAUCCCAAGAAAGUUUCUAAGGCACGCAAAAGACUUCAAAGUCUCAAAGUCUGCUCGAUGGCGAGACAAGAAGUCAAGCUUGCCAGAAUCUGCUCAACCAUGUGAAGGCAAGCAGAAAGUUAAAAAAAAAAAAAGUGUACUUCAAGUAAAAGGCUUAUAGUCUCUAAACCUCCUCGCAGUGAGACGAAGUCAAAGUUUGCCUGCUCUUGCCCGACCAAGAUUAGGCGAGCAAGAGUUAUAUGAGUGAAAAAUAUUCUAAAGCAGAUAAAUGACUGAGUCUCAAAACCUACUUCAGGUGAGAUAAAUACGUGAACUUAUGAAACCUGCUUUACAUAAUUAUGCAAGUAGGAAAAUGGUAUAUUUAAAGGCAUGUAAAAGUUUAAAACUUGAAAUUUUUUGCUAAUAGUAAGGUUAAUUUUAGCAAUCCCGAGCCGAUUUAUGCCAACCACAUCGAGGUCACUUUAAAAUUCAUAUAGUUUCCAGUCUUGAUUCGUUAAAACUCUCAACAUUAGAAACUGGGGGACUGGUGUUUGGUAACGGAAAAAGGAGAAAAAAAUGGAGAGUAGAGGCAUUACUUUUAUCUCAUCCUUAACUUCCGUAAGUGGAGGAGAACAAAGGGGAAAAGAGGGGAGUGGGGCGUGACCUUAAAAGGAGGAUUUAUUUAUUUUUUCGGGGUCUGCAAGGCAUCUUUUUCUCUCUUCUUCUCAUGGAAAAUCCUUUCUUUUACACUCUAUUUCAUUUUUCUGCAAAUUACUCAAAAAACUUUUGGUUUUUAAGGCAAUUUUUAUUAAGCCAUAUGAGUGGUGGCACAAGUUUUUUGGCAAAGGCCCAGAAACUGACUUGAGCAUCGGAGGGUUCACGCCGGAAAAACUUCUGGCGCCUCUGACCGUCUUCUAUGAUUUCAGGUAUUCACAAGUUAAUCGCUAGUGGUUGCAGGACAUCUUGACAAUUGACCAAUCGAUUCUCUACCAAAUAAAUCUAAUGCUAGUGUAGAAGUCUGAUAUUAAGUCGCUAAUAGACUAGAUCAGAUUUGGGCAUCAACAGUAGGAUGCCUGAUAAAAGAUAAAGCAAAAGCUUGAAUGAAGAAUGACAUUUUUAGAAAGAAACUAAUGUGCAAUGUAAUAAUCAAAGUAAGAUCAAUAAUGACUUGAUCAGUUAUGCUUUUUAUUAUUUCAUUUAUUCUAUCCUAUCCCUACUAAUAUGCUCUAUAAGCCAAUAUUCUUCUAAAAUUAUUCUAGCACAACAUGUAUUUAUUCGUUAAAAACUUCAACUUAAUUAUUUCAUUACAGGAUAUGAAACACUGAGCCAUAAACUAGUGCUUUCUUCAACUUAAUUAUUCUCACUGCAUAUUUUUUAAGGCUUCGUCUUUUGUCUUGAUUCUGGACUUCAAAAUUAAAUCUUAAAAAUCGGGUAUAAUAGGGGUACGUGAUUAAGUCUUCCUCUUUUGCAAUUCACUGUUAUUACUCUCAUCAAUUCAUUCUUUUGAUAGCAGUUCUUACUUAAUAUCCGAAGCGAAUAGAGGAGGUCAUCGACUCUCUGAUCCCAUAUAAAUAAAGAGGUAUACAUGUUCUAAAUCCUUUAAUAAUAUCCUUUAAUAGCAGUUCUUACUUAGUUUUCAUCUACUUUCCAAGAAAAAAUUUCUCUGGUUUGUUUUAAUCUUGUCAUUGGUUUUGCUUGAGUUUCAAAUUAUUGUUCAUUGUUAAAGUCUGUGAUCUUAUUAUAUGGCUUUAGUUAAUUAAAAAAAAAGUCUGGGAUUUUAUUCAGACCCUUGAAACCUUUCAGUUAAUAGCAAAAACUCUAAUCCAUGAGCCCGGGGGGGGGGGGGGGGGGGGGGGGGGGGGGGGGGGGGGGGAAGAAAAAAGAAGAAGAAAGAAUUCCCUGUUUAAAUAUCAGUUGGUUAAAUGUUGUGUGUUUGCUGUCUUUUACUUGUUUGUUUGUUUUUCAUUUUAUUAGAUUUGCUUUUUACUUGAAGAUUAAAGAUGAGUAAGAAUUUUUUUUUUCUUUUCUGAAGCAGCCUACAAAUUUUAGAAUAGGGCUAAGAGUAAUUACAAAUUCAAUUAACCACAAAAAGUUAUUUAUAUUUAUCGCUUGUAAAAUUAAGUUUAUCAUCCCAAAUAGAGUUGUUUGCAUUAGAAGUUUUCUAGCAUUCAUGAGCUUUAUCAUCAUAUCACAAGAUUGCCUGAAAAACAAGAUAAAUCAAUUUGAGCAACUUGCUCUCUAUUGAUUUUUUUUUUUUUUUUUGCCUGAAAUACUAGGGAAAAUAUUAUAUAAGAACAAGAGUUAGAUGAAAAAAAAGUUAAAACAAGUUUUCUGUGUUUUCAUUCCCCCUGUUUUUUUGUUUGGUGAUUGAAAAUUUUAUAUCUAAAUUUUUAUGACUUCCCGUUGGGAUUUUAUUAAAUAAAAAAGAAUAUGUAAUUCUAAAUUUACCCUUACGCAUUGAGUGAUUAUUAUUACGUUCUCUUAAUAUUUGUUGGUGCAAUUUUGUGUGAUGUGAAUUUUAUGUUUCUGUUAACAUAAACCAAUUUGGAAAUAAGGCCACGUCGAACAAAUGAAACAACAAAAAAGCAUCGUUGGCAAUACAAAAUCAAACUUUAUUAUUAAUCAUUAUUUUGUUUUUGAAUAUGUAUAAAUCAAAUCAUAUACUGUUGAUCUUACUUUGAUAAUUUGGUGCUUAGUUUCUCUCAAAAAUGCUUUUAUAAAAGUUUUGGUCUUCAAUCAUUCAUCCAAGCUUUUGCUGAUCUUUUAUUAGGCAUAUACAUCGUGCUGUCACUUAAUAUUCAUUUCAAUUUCACAGUACACAAGCAACGUCUAUGCCAAAAUCAUUAAAGCACAAGCGGUAUUUAUUCCAUGAAAACUUUAUGAUUUCUUCAACUUAAUUGGGUCGAACAACAUUUUUUAAAAUACUUUUAUCACACUGCAUGCUUUGUUAAACCUCCGUCUUUUGGUAUUGAUUCUAACUUGAAAUUAAAUCUUUAAGUCUUUACAAGUUUAUUUCUUCAUGAAAGAAGUCAAUAAUCAAGUGCGUGUGAAUUAAACAAAAAAAAAAAAAAAGAUCAGUGAGAAAAGCCCUUUUUCUAAGGCAACCUACUGAUUUGAGAAUAGGACUCAACCACAAGAAAAUAUUUACGUUUGCUUUUAAGGAGUACAUGAUAGCUAUUAAACUUAAUUCAAAUUUAGUCAAUCAUCAAUCAACCAAUCCAACUAGUUCAAGUACAGAGUCAAUUGAACAAAUUCAUCACUUGCGUAAUUAAGCUUAUCUUCCGAAAUUGAGUUGUUUCCAUUAGAAAAUUUCCCGCAGUCACGAGUUACAAUCAUCAAAACAAGAUUAUUUAUAUAAGAACAAGAGUUAAAGGGAAAAAAAAAUGGUAAAGCAAGAUUCCUCUAUUUCCGUUCCCCUAUUUUUUUUUUUUUUUUUUUUUGUCUGGUGACUUAAAAUUUCAUAUCUAAAUUUUUAUAAUUUUCCAUCGACGUUUAUAUUUAAAUAAAGAAUUACAAAAAAAAAAAUUCUAAAUUUAUGCAUUGAAUGGUUAUUGUUAUGCUCUCUUAAAAUUGGGUACAAUAUCAUUUUCAUAGCGAAUAGAGUUAUUGACCACUUUGUUAAAAAUGAACAUGUUAUGUUUAUACGAAUAAAACAAAACACGGGGUGCACGCUUAAGUCUUGUUCUUUUACAAUUCAUUUGUAUUACUUACUCUGAUGAAAUCUUUACUCUGUUAGGAAAUUGGUGGGUGAAGCAGACACGCAGAUAAAGUGAAAUUGGGAAAAAAAUAAAGAACAAGCACAAAAAAUGGACACAAGAAAUUACGUGGUUCAGCUUUUAGCCUACGUCCACGGGCGAAAACAGGAGGAAAAUAUUUUACUAGUAAAAAUGAUUUAUAAGUAUUGUGGUAUUUUAGCUUACUACCCAAAAUCCUAAUACACUCAAACUCUCAAAUCACUAGACUCUUAAAAUCACUCUUUAAAUAAAGAAAAGAACUGAAGAACUCGAUGAUUUACAAAUGAAGGGAGCCAGCGGUUUUAUAGCCAAAAUUAGCUACCGUUCAUUUAAUAUUUAAUUAUUAUUAUUAUUUUAUUAAUUUUCCUUUUCUUUUCCUUCUUCGGUCUGACAUCUCUUUUUCUUCUCUCUUUCUUCUUUUUCUUCUUUCUCUUUUGUUUCUUUCCUUGGGCGGCAUCUACAUGGCCUUUAAUUUCCUUCAAUUUGGGUGGCCAUUUUGAAAUAUGUUAAUGAUGCUAAACCGCCCAUGACUUUGACAUUCUCCCACUUGGAGAUUAGAUUGAGAAUCAAUCAAUCUCCACAACAUCCUUUCUGCUUCGCCAUAAUCAUGUUGCCUACAUUUCUGCUAGGCCACAAGAGGAUCUACUCCAGAUAAACUUGUCAGCAUUUAUCGGCUUAGCCAAAACAUCUGCUAGGUUCUCCUUCGUAUGGAUUUUCUGUAAAUCCACAUUUCCAUCUUCCACUACUUCUCGAACGAAGUGAUACUGAACUCCUAUAUGCUUUGUCCUGGAAUAAAAGGCUGGAUUUCUUGCAAUGUGAAAGGCACUCUGACUGUCACAAAACACAGAAAUUUGCUCUUGUUUGUGCCCGAGCUCCUCCAAUAAUCUUUGUAUCCAAAUAGCUUCCUCGCAAGCUUGUGUAGCUGCCAUGUAUUCUGCUUCUAUUGUAGAUAAAGCCACAACAGUCUGCAGUUUCGAAACCCAGCUUACAGCUGCUCCCGCAAGUAUAAACACAUAACCAGUAGUGGAUUUUCUUUUAUCAAGAUCUCUUGCAAUCUGAUCCUCCGUAACAUAAUGCAACAUCUGAGGUUCAUUUGAUGUAUCUCAGAAUCCUCUUCACAACUAUCCAAUGCUCUCCACCGGGAUUCGCCAUGUAUCGACUGACUGCUCUCACUGCUUGUGCAAUGUCUGGUCUAGUACAUAUCAUAGCGAACAUUAAACUUCCCACUACUGAUGCAUACAGUACUCGAGACAUCUCCUUCCUCUCUGCUUCAUUGCUAGGACACAUACUUGAGGAUAAUUUGAAAUUAACAGGAAGUGGGGUAGAAAUUGACUUACAAUCUUGCAUGUUGAAGCGCCACAAGAUUUUCUUCAAGUAAUUCUUCUGCGAAAGCCAAAUCUUCCUGUUAUUUAUGUCUCGGUGAAUUUGCAUUCCUAGAAUCUUGUUUGCUGGUCCCAAGUCCUUUAUUUCAAACUCCCUAGCCAACUGUGCCUUCAAUUCUUGGAUUCGAUCUUUGUUAGGGCCUGCUACCAACAUGUCAUCCACAUACAACAGUAAAAUAAUGAAAUCAUUAUCUUCAAACCUUUUAUAAUAUGCACAAUGGUAUGAACUGAGUCUGUUGUAUCCAAGGCUCAUGAUAAAGGAAUCAAAUCUCUUAUACCAACACCUCGGCGCCUGUUUGAGACCGUAUAAAGAUUUGUUCAACCUGCAAACCAAGUUCUCUUUUCCCGUUUCUGCAAAACCUUCUGGUUGGAGCAUAUAUAUUUCUUCUUCAAGUUCUCCAUGAAGAAAUGUAGUUUUCACAUCUAACUGCUUUAAAUGUAGGUCAAAUGUAGCACACAUUGCCAAGACUACUCUGACUGUCGUGAGUCAAACCAUCGGCGAAAAUAUCUCGUUGAAGUCAAUACCUUCUUUCUGAGCAUAUCCUUUCACCACUAAUCUCGCACGAUACCGCUCUACUUGGUCAUUGCCUUCACGUUUGAUCUUGUAGACCCAUUUGUUUCCAAUGGCUUUUCUUCCACGUGGUAGUGGUACAAGUUCUCAUGUCUUGUUAUUAUGUAGAGCUUCAAUUUCUUCCUGCAUUGCUGUCAUCCACAAAGCAACAUCUGAGCUUUCUAAAGCUUCAUGGAAAGUUAAAGGCUCUCUAUCCUCUGUUAGAAGACAGUAUGCAACGUUGAUCUCUGUAACAUACUCCGAGUGCCACAUUGGCGGUCGUCUCUCACGAGUUGACCGACGAACUUCUGGAGCCUCGGACUCGACUAGUUUUUGUUUCUCGUGCUCUGGUUCUGCUUCAAAAGAAUCUGAAUCUUCUGGAUUAUUUUCCACAUAUACCUGUACAGUUUCUGACUUUUCUUUUACACUACUAUCAUCUUCAUUUUUCCUUUGCAGUUGAUCUUCUAUGAAGAUAACAUCUCUGCUGAUAACGAUCUUGUGGGCAGUGGGGUCUCACAGACGAUACCCCUUUACUCCAUCAGCAUAUCUCAAGAAGAUACAUCUUCUAGAUUUUGGAUCCAGCUUUGUUCUUUCUUGGGCAUUGUACAUCACGUACACAAGACAUUUAAAUGCAUGUAGGUAGGAAUAAUCAGCUGGCUUUCCAGUCCACAUCUCCAUCGUUGUCUUUAGCCCAAUAGCUGUAGAUGGCAACCGAUUUACUAUAUAACAAGCAGUUUUGGCUGCUUCUGCCCAGAAUGAAUUAGGUAGACCAGCAGUCCUCAACAUAGCUCUUAUUCUUUCUGUAAGAGUUCUAUUCAUCCGCUUCGCCACUCCGUUUUGUUGAGGAGUGUAUGCUACAGUGAACUGUCUCUGAAUACCUUCUUGCUUACAGAAAGCAAGAAACUCGCCGUCUGUAUACUCUCCACCAUUAUCCGUCCUCAAGCACUUAAUCUUUUUAGCAGAUUCAAGUUUCACCCGCGCUUUGUAUUCUUUAAACACUGGAAAUACAUCUGACUUUUUCUUAAUUAGAUACACCCAACAUCUUCUGGAAUAAUUAUCAAUGAAAGUCGCCAUGUACUUUGCACCUCCCAUGGAUAUAUCCGGUGAUUUCCAAACAUCAGAAUGAAUCAAGUCUAGAAUAUAUUUACUUCUAGAAUAGAUCUACUAAAUUUUAAUCUAUGCUGCUUACUGGUAACAUAAUGCUCGCAAAAAGGUAAACUUACCGAUUUAAGCCCUGGAAGUAAUUUUCGCUCAGAGAGAAUCUUCAAACAUUGUUCCGACAUGUGGCCAAGUUUGAGAUGCCACAUCAUCAUUAACUCUUCUCCAUUUGAUGCGACACAUGCAUCAGCCUCCUGUAGUGACUCUCCUUUAAGCAUGAAUAGAUUAGCACCGAUCUUUUCUGCCUUCAUCAAUACAAGCUCUCCUUUAACAAUCUUCAUAAUUUCAUUCUCCACAUGAGUUUUGCACCCAUAACUGCCUAUUUGUCCCAAAGACAAUAGAUUUUUCUUCAGGUCAUUGACAUGUCGUACCUCCCCAAUUGUGCGAAUUGUACCAUCAAAUAUUUUUAUUUUGAUAGUACAAAUACCAGCGAUCUCCAAGGCAUGAUCAUCUCCCAUAUAUACAGAUCCUCCUGAGAUAGGUUCAUAUGUCUAGAACCAUUCUCUCCGAGAGGUCAUGUGCCAGGUAGCUCCUGAGUCUAUAAACCAGACAUCAGAUAGUCGUUUUCUGCCUUCUGAAAUAGUUAUUGCCCCAGUGUAAAGAAUUUCGCUAUCAUCCGAGGUACUUGCUACACACCCCUGAGCAUUUGAUGACUCAGGUUCUUUAUCCUCUUUUCUCUUCUAGUUACUCCAACACUCUUUCUUGACGUGUCCUUUCUUGCCACAGUUGUAGCAUUUAACAUUAUUCUUACUUCUGGAUUUUGAUUUACCAUGAUUUUGACUCCCACUAGGGCCACGUUCCGUUGAUCUCCCUCUCGUCACCGAUAGCACCUCCGCUUGCUGCGAAAUUGCUUGUCUGUUUUCCUUAUUUUUCCGCCUGCUCUCCUCAUUUAAUAUGAAAGCUGCAACAUCGUCGAAAACUAGACUAUCCGCUGGAUUGUUGUUCGUUAGGUUGAUGAUGAGUUGAUCAUACGAAUUUGGUAGACUUUGAAGUACAAGCUCUGCAUGUUUAUUCUCCUCUAUAUUAUGACCCAACGUUGUGAGUUGUGAAAAUAGAGUCUUCAAGGUGUUGAUGUGGUCGAUCACCAUUGUAGAUUCCACCAUUUGAAGAGUAUAGAGUUUCCUCUUUAAGAAGAUUUUGUUGUGUAGUGACUUAGCCUCAUACAAUUUUGUGAGAGUAUCCCAUAUUUCCUUCGCUGUAUUUUUCUCUGCUACACUAGAUAAUACUCCAUCUGCAAGUGCCAAGUGUAGAUCAGAAAUGGCGUUGCCAUCUAUCUCGUUCCACUUGUCAUCAGUUAUCUCCAAAAGCCUUUCUCCAAUUACUGCUAAGCAAUUAUUUUUUCUCAAAACAGCUUUCAUCUUCAUUUUCCACAAUAAAAAAUUGUUUCCGUUAAAUUUCUCAAUUUCAUACUUUGCCGCCAUUUUAUUGAUAAAUACCGCACACAAGCAAGUGUACCACCUUGAAUAGUUGUGAGUAUGUGUGAGAAUGCACAACAGGAAAGUUCCCAGGAAACACUGGAGGGGUCACAAUGGUCCCACUUAAAACCCAGACUCCUUAAGUUCUUAUCGCCUUUGUGAUAGAACUUUCAUAGACAUGUACAAAACCACACAGUUGUUUUACUCACACCAUUAUUCCCUGCUUUGCACCGCAAAAUUCUUGGAUUGCUCCCACCGUUUUACGUGAAUAGUACCGUAUACGUGAACAGUGCCGUAUACGUGAAUAGUACCCCUUACGUGAACAGUACCCGACUCCAAAAAAUACAACUAAUAGCUCUGAUUCCACUAUUACAAAAUUGGUGAGUGAAGCAGACACGCAACUAAAGUGAAAUUGGAAGAAAAUAAAGAACAAGUACAAAAAAUGGACACAAAAAAUUACGUGGUUCAGCUUUUAGCCUACGUUCACAGGUGAAAACAGAAGGAAAAUAUUUUACUAGUGAAAAGAAGUUACAAGUAUUGUGGUAUUUUAGCUCACUACCCAAAAUCCCAAUACACCUAAACUCUCAAAUCACUAGACUCUUAAAAUCACUCUCUAAAUAAAGAAAAGAACUAAAGAACUAGAUGAUUUACAAAUGAAGGGAGCUAGCGGUUUUAUAGCCAAAAUUAGCUACUAUUCAUUUAAUAUUUAAUUAUUAUUAUUAUUAUUUUAUUAAUUUUUCUUUUCUUUUCCUUCUUCGGCCCGACAUCUCUUUUUCUUCUCUCUUUCUUCUUUUUCUUCUUUCUCUUUUGUUUCUUUCCUUGGGCGGCAUCUACUUAGGCCUUUAAUUUCCUUCAAUUUGGGUGGCCAUUUUGAAAUAUGUUAAUGGUGCCAAACCGCCCAUGACUUUGACAUACUCACAUUCCUUUGCAGUUGACAUUGAUCUUUUGCUUAUUCUUAUAUGUUCAAGGCCAAUAGUGAAGCUCCUUUCAAAAAAUAAAAAUAAAAAUAAAAUAGAGAAAUUGUGGGCUUUUAUUCAGACCCCUGAAACCUUUCUAAUAAUAUAAAAACUCUAAUCCUUGAGCAAAAGGUUAAAAAAAAAAAGAAUUCUCUGUUUAAAUAUCAGUUGGCUUAAGAUCAAUGUUGUUUGCCUCCUGUCUUUUCUUUGUUUUGUUUGUUUGUUUGUCAUUUUAUUAGAUUUGCUUUGUAUCUAAUUUUACUUGGAGAUUAAAGAUGAGUGAGAACUGCCCUUUCUUCUGAAGCAACCUACAAAUUUUAGAAUAGGGCCCAGAGUAUUAAAGAUUCAAUUAACCACAAAAAGUUAUUUACUUGCAUCACUUGCAAACUUAAGCUUAUCAUCCCAAAUUGAGCUGUUUGCAUUAGAAAUUUUCAUGCAUUCACGAGCAAUAUCAUCAUGUCACAAGAUAGCCUGAAAAGCAAGUUUCCUCUGUUUUCGUUCCUUUGUUUUCAUUCCCCUGUUUAUUGAUUUUUGUUUUUUUUUGGCCGGAAAUUAAGAAGAAAAAAUUGGUAAAACAAGUUGCCUCUGUUUUCAUUCCCCUGUUUUUUGUGGAAAGAAUAAAUCAAACUUUAUUUUUUUUUUAAUUUUAUAUUUUGGUUUUUGAAUAUGCAUAAAUCAAAUCAUAUAUUAUUGAUCUUACUUCGAUUAUUUGCUGUUUAGUUUCUCUCUUAAAUGCUUUUUGUGUGUUUCCGGUAUUUGCUUUUAUAGAAGUUUUAGUCCCGAAUCAUUCGUUGCAAUUCCGAUAGGAAUUGAGUAAGGCCUUCACCUUAAAACGGGGCUCAGGGGAGAGGGGAACCCCUCCCAAGGAUUUGCUUUAUGUUUUAUUAGGCAUAUACAUUGCUCUGUCAAUCAAUAUUCAUUUCAAUUUCACAGUACACAAGCAAUGUAUAUACCAAAAUUAUUCUAUGAAAACUUAAUUAUUUCUUUAGAAUAUAUGAAAACGUAGAGUUGUGAACUAGUGCUUUCUUCUUCAACAUGCGUCAACAGGGCAACAAUAACCAAAUACAUGAUAUAGAAAAGCGGUGCAUGACUAAUUCUUUUUCUUUUGCUUUAUGCACUAGUUUUGCAUUGUUUACUUCCCUUAAUAUCGAUGUUUUGCACUUAAUAAUAAUGUUUUAAUUGUGUUUUACUUUUGUAGGUGCAAUUCUAUUGAUUGGUGAUAAAAUUGAGCUAAAAGAUGAUGUUUAAGGAGGAUUGUUCUCUUGGAGAAAUUAUGAGCGUCAGAAGAACUUUGUUGAUAAGGCGUGGGCGCGUGCUGUCAACUGCGGACCUGCAGUUUUUAGUUUAACGUGUUUUGUAUUUUUGGUUAUUUUUGUAAUUACGAAUUUAAUAUUUCAGAUAUUAGUAUUUUAUUUUAAAUAGAAUUCUAAAAGAGAAGAGAGAGAGAGUAUUUAAGGGAGGAAUCUAUUGUGAAAAAGGGGGGAUUUGGAUUGGAGAAAAAGAAAGAAACCCUAGAUCUUAAUUUUUCUCUUCUCUCUAUGAAGAACUAAACCUAUUUUUCUGGUUGAAGGAUAAUGAAGCUUUGAUUCAUCACUACUGUGAGAUCUUUCUUGUGCUUUAAUUGUUUUAUUGCUUUUUGGGUAUUUGUUUAUUCUCUGAAUUAUUUUCAUGAUUAUGUUUGUUAAUUAGGUAAUUGGCCACUAUUUAAUUAUCAACUUAAUCUAUUGUCAAUUAAAGGAUUCAUCGUAUGAAGAAUUUAAUGUUUGUGACAAAUAACAUAGCAGAAAGUUGUGUUGUGAGAAUAAACAAUCUAAUUUAAAUGAAUCAUCAUAUGUGUUGAUUAGGAUUUGGGUCUCUCUGGUUUUUCAGGCUGUCAAUUGAUUAAAUCCUAUGAUCGUAUCUAGGGUUGUCUAUUGAUUAGGGAAAUAACCAACGGUCGUACCUUGGUUAUCGACUAGUUAAGGAGAGAUUGGCUAUUAGAGGGUCUCAGUAGCUAUAACCGGUCUAUUCAUAAGUAAUAAUAAUCUAUAUUUGAAUCAAUGAUCAGUAGUCGAAUCAAGCUGAGUUAAUUCCUUCAACCAGAGCUUUCUCCAAUUUGAAUUACAACUUUAAUUUACAUUCUCGUUAUUUUAAUUUGAUUUUUAUUAUUGUCAACAAUUCCCCCAUUUUACGUUUUACGUUUCAAAAGGAUUUAAAUAAUUACCGAUCUCUGUGGACACGACCCUGCUCAAUCACUAUACACAAUUUAUUUAGAGUAUGAAUUUAUUUUUGUUGGCUUCGACACCCAUCACAGGUCAUUGUUAUUGCUCUCAUCAACUCUUUUCUCACACAUUCCUCAGCAGUUACCUGUGAUCUUUUUCCUCUUUCAACUUGUUCUUAAAUAGAGAAGCUCACCAACUCUCUAAUCCCAGAUAAUUAAAGAGGUGCACGUUUUCUAAAUCCUUGACAUCUGCUCUUUCAUAAGUUCCAUCUACUUUCCAAGAAAAAAUUUUCUCUGGUUUGUUUUAAUAUUGUAACUUAUUUUGCAUGAGUUUUAAGUCAGUAUUCAUUGUUAAAGCCUGUGCUCUUAUUAUUUCUUUUGGUUAAUUUGCAUGCUCUUCCCCCCCCCCCCCCCCCCCCCGCCCCCGCGGCGGCGCCCCCCCAAAAAAAAAGUUUAUAGGCUUUUACUCAGACCCUUGAAACCUUUACUGAUAAUACCAAAAACUCUAAUCCUUCAACAAAAGAAAGCAAGAAAAAAAGGUCCUAAGUUUAUUGUCUUUUAUUUGGAUUUGUACCAAAAACUCUGAUCUGUUGGCUUUGUAUCAGUAUUGCUUGUUUGUUGUCUUUUAUUUCAUUAUUUGUAUCUAAGUUUAUUUCAAGAUUACAGAUCAGCAGGAAAAGCCCUUUUUCUAAAGCUAACUAUACAGAUUUUAGAAUAGGGCUCAACCACAUGAAAAUAUUUACGUUGUAAUAUCUCAUAUUAAUAAUCUAAAAGCAACCAAUCCAACAAGUUCAAAUUCAGUCAAUCAUAAAUCAACCAAUCCAACGAGUUCAAAUUCAUCACUUGCAAAAUUAAGUUUUCUUCCGAAAUUGAGUUGUUUCCAUUAGAAAUUUUCCCGCAGUCACGAGUUACAAUCAUCAAAACAAGAUUACUUGAUGCAUUAAUAAUCUUAUUAAAAAAAAUAUACCAACUGUUAAGGGUUAAAAAAAUUUAUUAAAUAAUUGCAUUAAUAUACCAACUGUUAAGGGUUAAAAAAAUGUGCCAUUUUGUAAUCCAUUUAAAUCAAAAUAGUAUGUUUAAUCGCAAAAAAAAUAACUACUGCCAUGAUGGAGCACAUAGAAUAAAAAUAAAACUUUUAGUUUUACUAAUCCUAAAUAUACCAAUUGUUAUCUCCAAAAAAGAAAAUUUUAUUUUUUAAAUUUUUAAAUCAUAUAUUAUACAAAUUUAACAUAUGUUCUAACAGUCGUCUGAUCCCUGCAGAUAUUAAUUGGGUUUAGGGUAAUCCUGUUUACAUAAAGAAUAUUGUUAAAUAAAUGUUUGUUAAUAUGGUUUCAGAUGAUGAUGAUGAGUUGCGACUGCCAAUCAUGCGUAAUAUCAUAAUAAUAUUAAAAACAAUUAUCCCAACAGGUUUCCCAGAAUAUGCUAUAUUAUUACAUAUUAAAGUUAAUUAUAAACUAAUAUAAAAAAAAAGCUCUGACAAAUAUUAUUUCUUGAAAAAUGAGAUGAUUCACCGCUGUUGUGUUUCAUGCUAAUUACUUUUCUCCGGAAAAAUAUUAUAAAUUAAAAUUUAACGAAAGUCUCAAUUUAUACGCUUAUAGCAUGUUCUAUAAUUUUUAUUUUUUAUAUAUAUAGUAUAAUUCAAGAAUUUAUACUGAGUAGAAGCAAAGAUCAAUCCCAUAUGUGGGUAACCAAAAUCCUUCAUAGAACAAGGCACUAUAAUAACCAAAACCAGCCCUUCGUUUUGGUGCCGAUUGAAAACAAUCAUAUUGUGAUUCGCAAAUUAAGUGAGAUUAGUGACCUCUCAACUCAAUCAAAUACUUGCCAAAUUCAUUUCUGAUCAUGCAUCUUACCCCCCCCCCCCCCCCCCCUCCUCUUUUUCGUGUAUAAAUUGAGCAUGGUGGCUUUGAAAAUUUUAAGAUUCUUGAUGAUUCCAAAAUGAGAAUAUCAAUUGUUAAGCCAAUAGUAGAUUAUUGACGUUUUAAAUUGAUAAAUAAACACAACUCUGAUUUUAAAAAGUUAUGAUAACAACUUUAAAAAUUUAAAUGUGGAUAUAAAAUCACCCAUAAUAUAACGAUAUGAGAUUGAAAUAAUUUAUUUAAAUAUAAAUCAUCCGAUGUAAUGAAUACAAAACCAACCAUCAAUUUAAAUUUUUAAAUAAUGACAUUGACAUGUGCUAUAAAUGAGUUCCAGGAAAUAAAUAUUAAUGUAAAUGAUAGCAACAGCUUCAUCCAUUAAUAUAAUUCUACUAUUAAGCAUGAAAUAUAUGACCAUCAACUUACAAUUGUAAUCAUUAAACUAGAAAUCAUUGAGUAUUACAUGAAAUCAUUAAUAUUGAACCUAAAAGAUAUAUGAAACUAAUGUUAAUAUGAAAUCUAGGACCAUUAACUUAAAAUUGUAAUUAGGAAAUAAAGCUUUACAUGAAAUCACUGUCAUUGAGCUUGAUAAUUCUACCAUUAAACAUAAAAUUAAUGCAAAUAGGAAGCAUAAGACCAUCAACUCAAAAAUUGUAAUCAUCAAAUUUUGAAUACCACAAAUUAAAUUUACUCUAUCUUUGUAAUGAAUACAUUCUACAGCCUUAAAAAAUACAUAAAUAAAGGGUUAUUUUAGCAUUUAUACAAGUGUGUAAAGUAAAUGUUGACUUUUAAAGUUGAUUCAAUAUAUAUAAACAACAUUAUUGAAUCAUUAUCUUUUUUUUUAUAAUCAUUAUUAAUAAACAUACUAUUUUGAUUAAAAAAAUAAAAUAGUGGAGCUUAAAUAUGUCUAAAAAUUUCAAAAUUAGUAAUAGAAUCAGUAGCGGUUCGAUCUCUAGACAACUUAGGUGGUUGCUUAGAGCCCUACUUUACAAGAAAAUCCUAUAAGAUGAUUAUUUUGUAUAUAAAAGAGGAAAGUGAAUUUAAAAGUCAUUAUUAUGCAUCUAAUUUAUUAUUAUUUUGUAAUUAUCUUUUCUCAAAUAAACUACCGAGUUCCUAUAAAGUUUAUUUAAUGUAGUACUUAGUAGUUUUAAUUCCUACAAAACCGAUAAAUUAAUAGUUUCAAUCCUAUAAAUUCGAUAUUUCAUUGUUAGAAUUAACAACUUAUAAUUAAAAAGUUUUAUAUUCAUUUUAAACCUCUAUAAAAGCCCCACAUUUUAUUACUUAUCCAUUAAAUUUUUCUUCUAACAAUGAAGACAGCAUAUGUUCUUCGUUUUUGAGAGAAAGAAAGAGAGAGGGGAAAAAAAAUCUUGCUUCCUCUACUUUCCACUCAAAAAAAAAAAGAAAAAAUCUAAUAGUUUUAUUCUAUUCUCUAUGGCUAUUAGUCAUUACUCAAAUCUUCAAAUAAUUAAUAUAAAGAUAAAGUUAAUUUAUGAUUUCAUCUCAAAUUUCAAAUUUCAGAUUUUAUUUUUUAUUAUUCUCUUAAUUAAUUGUAUUAUUUAUGUGUUCUUAUUUCUUUUUAAUACAUUCUUUUAUUCAUCUACUAUUUUUUGUGUGCUUUUUUUUUUCUAUUGUGAAAUAAAUAACUAUAUCAAAAAACUUUAGAAAACAGAAGAAUAAAAAAAUUAAUUUAAUGUAGAAAAGAAGUAGUAUAAAAGAUGUAAUUUGAGUUAAAAAAAAGUAAAAAUAUUAUAAUUGAAUUAAAAUUUCAAGGAUUGACAAUAGUGUAAUAUAAUUUUAUUUAAUAAUUUUACAUUUUAGAGAGUGUUUAAAGAAUUGAUUUUCAAUAAAUAUUAUAUAACUAAUGAGUAAUGAUAUAACCACAAACUCUUGUACAAACUUAUUUUGUACAAACUGAUGUGGCAUGAUAAGAUUGGUUGAAUUAAAUAUCACUUGGCUCACGUGAUUUGUUUUUAUUAUUUUAUAUUUUCAUUCAACGAAUGAAUUAAUACCAUGUCAGUUUGUACAAGAGUUUGUGGCUGUAUCAUCACUCAUAACUAAUAUACAUAUUUUUUGUCCUAAAUUUUAAGAAAAACUAAUUAAAACCAUUUGCCUAAGGCCUCAAAUAUGGUUGAGCCAGCCCUGAAUAGAAUAUAAAAGUACAUGAUAAAUAUUUAAAUUAAAACUCGAUAAAAGGUUAACAAAAACACACAUGUUGUUUUUUAGUGAGUUUAAUUUUUUUUUUUUUUUGGGAACAAAUUCAAAACGACAUCAUUUUGGAUGUAUUUUCAUUGGGAUUUGGUUCUUCAAUUAUUUUUCUAAUAGCAGAUCUCAAGAUUGUGUGAUUACAUCACAGCUUAACUUUUACAGUGAUCGAUUCCAAUAGCUCUCUAGUUGAAAUUUAAAUUAAUUAAAUAAAAAAUAACACGGCCCUUAUCAAUUUGACGAUGGUAUGGUGUAAAAACAUCCUCUUGAAAAUUAUGAGUCAUCCAAAAAGAUUAAUUUUUUUGGGAUAUCUUGAAUGGAAGUAAACAUAAUUUUAUGUUUUAUAAAAAGGUAAAACAUUAAGUAAUUAAUAAUAUAUCAAUAUUAAUUAAUAAGUUAUUUACAUUAGGCAAUAUUAUACGUUUGUGAAUUUAUUGGUCAUUUGUUUUUGUACAAUUAUUUCAUGACAUUAUAACGAUAUGAGAAUGACGAUUCAAACUAUCUUGAAUAUUGGAUAAUUGUUUUUUAAUUAACAUUUUGGGGCUGAAUUCAAUCGUGCAUAUAGACAAUUUUAUCUAUUAAAAGAAUUAAUUAUUAUGUUAAAAUUUAUUUUGGAAUUUAAUGACGAAGAAACUGUUUCUUAACUGGAGCUAUGGCUUUGGCCACGAGCUCCUCUGGUGUUAGAUUAUGAACCGGAACUCCGGUUGAAUUCGGUUGUGGUGGCGGUGAGUCCGCCGGAAAAAUCCGGAACUCACUGAGUUCGGAUGCGGACUCGGCCAUUAUUGAAAUAAUGACUAACUAAUUUACUUAGGAAUAAAGACAGAAUUUGGGGGAGGGAAAUUACCAAGCCUUUAAAUUUUUAUAAGUAAAUAGAAAAAGAAAUUCAAGAUGGCCAAAAUUUUUUUGCUGUAUGAGACCCCAAUUAAAGCGGGCAAAUUCCACUCAAACUUUAAAAGUUAGUGUGAGUAUAUAGGUUUGAUUAUUUUAACUUAAAACUUUGACCUAAUUAAACACAAAUUCAUAAUCAUUGUACUUCCAGACAUCAAGCGUGUAAUCAAAAUUCAGUUACUUUUUGUCUUGCAUUAAUUUAAUUGACCAAUAUAUAUUUCUUAAAUAAAUAAUAAUAGUUUGUAUUUUAAUUAAUGUUCCACUAAUCAUUUAUUGUCUCAUAAAUGAUAAUAAAUAAAUUUAUUAUUAAUUAUUUACAUACUAUUCUUACAACUUGAUCAAUGAACAACAUAUAACAUGCCACAUAAAAUAUCAGAGUAACUAAGAUAUAAACUAUGUAUUUCUUGGUCGAAUUGAGUAUCCGUAGCAUUAAAUGUAAAUCACUAAUUACUGCAAAGAUCAAACUUAUAUUUAAACGAGAGAUUUAACAUUAACUAAUACCAAAUAUUGGCGUUCAAUUACAACUUAUGAAAUACUCAACAUAGGUAAAACCACAGAAUCAUACGAUUCAUACGGUUCGUAUAAGCCUUUCGAGGCUAAUGCAUGUGUAGGCUUGAAGACAUCAUUACUAAGAGGCGGCUAAUAAUAUUAUAAUAUAAAAUACUGCUACUCAUGCAACUGGGUAGGAAGGUUUAGUGGCAAUGCCACAGAGACCUUCAGGUGCUUCAACAUCUCUGAGAAUCCUCAUGUAGCCGGCCUCACCCCAGCUCUCCCCCCAUGAAUUCUUAAUUAACCAAUACUUCAUUCCAUCUUCAGUUGCCCCAAAUCCAACGAUAGCAACAGCAUGAGAACACUGAGUUCCACAUCCUCCGUUAAAAAUACCGCCUUUGUAACUCUGGAAGUCUGGUCCACUUCCUUCAAUGCAAAUUGAUACUGGCUGCAUGGCUACAGCUUGGAGUAAAGCCUGCUCAUCAUUGGGUUUUACAUCUUCAAAGUUACUAAUUUUAGCAGCUGCCUUGACCUGUGCGUCUUCACAAGUCCCUUGGACUUCCUUGUAUGGAUAAUCCGCUUCUGAGGCAAUACCCUGGUUUUUUAUAAUAUAUUUAAAGGCAUUGUCCAUCCAACCGCCACCGCAUCCACGGUUACCAUCUAUGGAGCAGUCUAGUAUUUGCUGCUCCGAAAGUGGAAUAAGAUUACCACUACUAAUCUCAGUCACCCCUUCCACCGCCGCCACAGUUGAAAAUGCCCAACAGUCUCCUGCAUCGUACAUAUUAAGGAAAAAAAAAAAAAAAAGGCUUGAUUAAGUUACAUGAAACAUGCCCCAGCAGGGGUUUGGCAGACGGUUGUCAAGCUGUUUUUAUUAAUUAGCUGAUGGUCAACUGAGUUUGAGUUCUGAAAGAGGUUGGAGGCUAAAUAAUCUAUUAUAGUUACUUCAUAAAUAUUUAGUAUACGAUUUACUUACCACAUUGACCUUGGUUCUUAAUAGGAGUGACAGCUCCUUUCUCUCUCCAGUCCAUGCUAGUUGGAACGUCAGUCAGGUUUUGAUACUUGAAGGAUGCUGUUGUGGAUUGCCGUGAUGAAGAUGACUGGCUUGGCACCCUGUAUCCUGUAUAUGAAGCACGAAACUCCUCAUUAGUUAAGUCUGAAAAUUCAUUGGUGCCUAACUUGUACGUCCGAUUCGCCUCCUCAUUGGCUUUCUCAAUGUAUUCAAGGUUUUCUUUGAAUAUCUUAAACCGCUUUUCCUUCUCCAGGUCGUCCUUGUAAGUGCGCCCAUGCUCAGCCAUCCAUUUUUCAUGCUUCUCAACAAUGGAUGGUUCAUGCAGCGACCGGCCGGCGACCGACACCAUUUUAGAUGAAUAAGUCACCAGAAUGAUCAUAGACAGGGCAAUGAUAUCAAAGCUUUUCCCCAUAAUAAUUGGUAGGUAUUUGCAAGUUGAACAAGGUUGUUGUUUUUUUUUUUUUUUUUUUCCCUUCAAAUUAUAGAGGCUAGCUAGCCAGCUGGGGGUAAGUUGUGAAUACUUGAAGCACGCAUUGCAGCUCUAUAUAUAGUACUUGUAGAUAGUGGAUUUGUGCUCUCAACAUGGGUCGCGUACAAUAUUUGCCUAAUGCAUGAGACGUAUGCGUUGCGUUAGUCGUGCCCCAUACUUCACGAUUUUCAAUCAAGCUAAUUAGUAUGCGAAACCGGACAACCAAGUUAUUAUCAGUUAUCGCCGUGAUUCGCGUACUUCGUGCUUUUGAGGCUUGCUAGCAAUGACUUGACUAGCUUUUAGCGAAGUUACAAAAAGAAUUAUGAACUAAUUUGUAGAUGGACUUUUAUCGAUGAGACUUGCGGCGACGUGGAAAACAUUGGUGUCAUUUUUUUUUUCUUUCAUAAAUCAACUUAAAAAAAGGAAAAUUGGAUAAUAAUGUGAACUCAUUUGGACGGAGUAAAAUAAUUCUUACAAAAUCUACAAUGCAUCUAGCUAGGAUGAACUUUUAUAUAUCUGCGAUAUUAUGAAGAAAUCAUUACUAAUAUGCAUUACAUAAUAUGGCAUAAAAUAUGACACUAAUACUAGAAUUUCUUCCUUUAAGUGCCAAUUUGGUAGUUUAUCUUAACCUGUCAGUGACAACUGUUGUUUCAAGUGCACUUUUUGAGUCUUUAUGCAUACUAUAAUAUAUAGGCUUCAAUGGGGUCUCCUCGUAACUUUCUUGCCUAUCACCUUGAAUAUAAUCAUAACAUCCCGCCAAGUUAAUUUUUUUAGACCAUAGCACGUCAAAAUCUUUAAUGGAUAUAUUACUAAUAGAAUAAUGGUCAAUAUUCUAUUUUUACAUACGGUUUAAGAUAUCUAAUAAAUUGAUAUGGAUUUAAUUUCCUAAAUAGCAAAUUAGUGAAUUAUCAUAACUUUUUAAAAACUUAAAUUUGAUGUUAAAGAAAAGGAUAUAUAUAUUAACUUAUUGAUAUAAAUAAUGCUAAGUAUAUAUAUAUUUGCAGCCAAAAGUUAAAUAUGGUACAACAAUAAAAAAAGAUACUUUACACACUCAGUUAUAAUAAAUUAAUAUUUAUAACGAUAAUAUGACCCAAUACCCAUAUUGACCCAAUUACUAUCAUAAUAUUGUAUUAGGAUAUUAAAAUUCCACAAUAAUGGAGAUGACAUAAAAUUUGUUUAUAAAAAUGUACAAUACAAUAUUUAAAUUUUUUGCGGCUGAGAAUCGUGAGAACAGUAUGGUCAUCACAAUUAAUUGAUUGUGAGGAGAAUAAAGAGACCAUUACCAUAAUAGCUAUGCAUAAUUCAAUGGCCCGAGAUGGAUUGGCGGAUGGAAUCAAGAAUAAUUUGAUUCAAACUUAAGAAUAAUACAUUAUACAGAAUUACAGAUUGAGAUUAAAUAUACUCUCUUGUUUUUAUAAACAUGUGCAAAAUGCAUGCUUUCUCUUUCAUCUCUGCUUCAAUCCCACUUUAGGGUUUGUUUGUCAAAAGUAUUGUUUUUGAAAAAUAGAUAUUGUUUAAAGCAAAUAAAAUAAAGAUCAUUAAAAAAAUAUAACAACAUAAUGUUUAAUUGAUAAUGAUUUUUGCCAGUCUUAUGAAGGACUACAAAACCGAAUACAAAAUGCCAAAAUUUUGUAACUAGGAAUCAUACCAAAUAACAUAUUAAUUUAAAAUUUAAUUCUUACUUUUAAUUCUUACUUUUAACAUCUAUAUAUGUAUACAUAGAUACACGGUGGGUCCCUCCGAGCAUCGGAUGAUUUUUCGGGCAACGGACAUCUCAUAGAGUUAAGAUCGUCAUCAUCAUCGUCAUUAUACGAAUACAUUACUUUGAAGGAGCUUAUGUUGGACUCCAAUUUUAGGGGUGGCGGCAUUGCCAUUAUAAAUUCAAUAAGAACCACAGUGGACAAUUGUUACAUUUCGCAUUUCACUACCGCUGGCAUUUCCAUCCAAGAUGGCCACGAAACGUAUAUAAGAAAUUCCUUCAUCGGCCAACACAUCAACAUCGGCGGGGAUGAUCGCGAAAAGGAUUUCUCCGGCAUCGGAAUAAACAUCACGGGAAACGACAACGCGGUCACUGAUGUUGUUAUAUUUUCAGCAUCAAUUGGAGUAAUGGUACAGGGGCAGGCCAAUAUGCUGACGGGAAUACACUGUUAUAAUAAGGCUACUGACUUGGGAGGUACCGGCAUUUACAUCCGGGCACCAGCAUUGAUAAUAAAUUUACUUAUUACAAUGGUUCUCCGUGAAAUCUCCUCAAUGGGAUUUUAUGAGUUGAAAAUAAUGAAUUAUCAAUAUAAGCAAAAAUAUAUUUUUCAAUAUACAACUUAAUUUGCUCUUAAAAUAUUUUAAUAAUAACAAAAAUAUUCAUAUAUUGCAACACACAGAACAAAUAUGAAAUGCAUGAUAAAAUUAUAUAUUUUAAAACUAGAUAAAAGAUUAAUUAGAAAAUUAUAAAUUAGAAUUAGGAAGACUUACAACUUAUGGUCAGUGUUGAAAGACUAAAUAAUUAAUUUUACUUGAAUAAAAAAUAAAAAGAUUAAAAACUGAUCCAUUAACCAUUAUACUAACAUUUUGUUAUGAUUAUUUUUUAUUUUAAUAUUUGUUCUCGUGUCUUUAAUAAAGUUUCAUGAAAUGUUAAUAACUAAUUAAAUAAUUUAUAAUUAAAAAUAUAAAUUAGGGACAGUAUUAAAUAUUUUAAAAUUACUGGAGUCAAUUUUAAAUUUUACAAUUCAGCUGGGACAUUUUUCAUAAAUAACAAAUAAAAUACAUAUUUUUAGUAUAAUUAUAAAAAAAAAAAUUAAAAGCCAGCUGGGGCCUGUGCCCCACCUCGUCCCACGCUGGCUCCGUCCCUGUUAUUCGUUCCCUCUCACAUUUCCGGCACCGGCAUCAUCCCUUCCCCUCUUCACCAAUACCCUCUAUUCGAAAUUACUGAAAUACUCUCCUCAUCUCCACCACUACCACCACCACCACCAUGUUGUCAUGCACAGUCAAAUGCUUCAAGGCCUUCAAAACCCCUUUCAACCCGGGAACCCAAAACCCGACCCGUUUGUGCAGUCAUCGACGUUAUGAUGGGCUGGACGGCUGAUGUUUUCAAGAAUUUUGAAGGUCCCAUUGUUGGGUUCUUCACUUCUGGUGCUUGUUCAGCAGCGUGGAGUGUGCCAUGUAGCAGGCUCGCAUCCAAGAUGUCAAACCGGGAGAGGCCCAUUUACUUCCUGGGUUACCCAAGGAUAUGGCUUUAUUCGAAUCGGAGCUUAAAUACGGGCCUCACGGGCCCCUUCCUCGUGGUCCACUACCUUUGCGAGGUGCGCCCGGUUCAGAGAAAAUGAGUCCAUCGAACCCCGUGAUCAACCACACUGGAUGAAGGAAGUGGAGGAAUGGAUGGCUUUGAUGUUCAACACCUGUGAUGAUCUUGAGGGACCAUUUAUUAAUCAUUUAGGGGAGAUUAUCAAUUUUCCCCCUAUUGUAAUCAAUAUAUACUAUUUACCUCCUUCCUGUUUUUAUAAUGACCAAAAACCCCUCCUGAUAACAUAAGUUUAUAAUAUUAUCCUUAUUUUCAACUACUCUUUUAUUUAUAUUUAUUAUAAAUUAAAUAAAUCACAUGAAUAUAAAUUAAAUAAAAAAUUAAGCAUUAAAAAUAACAAAUAUAUGUUUUGAUAUGAGCAAAAAAAUCAAUAAUAUAAUUUUUUCUUGAACUUAUUUAUUUUUUGAAAAUUUUCUUAUAAUAAAUAUAUAAGAAAAUUAUUAUAAAAUGAUAAAAAACUAUUAUAAGAAAACUUGAAUGACAAUUAAAAAUUUAUUAUAAGAUAAUUAAAAAAAUAUUUUGCCUAUUCUUUUUACAUUUAAUUUUAAAAUAUUAUAAAUGUUUAUUAUAAGAAAAUAUUCACAAAAUAAAUAAUUACAAGAAAAAAUUAUUAUUAAAUUUUUUGCUCAUAGUAAAACAUAUAUUUCUUGUUUUUAAUACUUAAUUAUUUAUUUAUUUUUUAUUCAUGUGAUUUAUUUUAUUUAUAAUAAAUAUAAAUAAAAGAGCAAUUAAAAAUAAAAGUAAUAUUAUAAACUUAUACUGUCAAGGGAAUUUUUGGCCAUUAUAAAAAUAGUAAAUGAAUAAAUGAUAUAUAUUGAUUAUAGUAGGGGAAAAUUGGCAAUCUCCCAUUAUUUAGUCAAUCGAAUGGGAAAGCCAAUGUGGGGAGUAGGCCCAUUAUUACUUGAACAAUUUUACAAAUGGGGCGGGUUCAGUGCUUCGUGAUCGUGAGAUGAGAACCAAUCGGUGGAGUUCUAACAUGAACGAAGAUGAGAUCAUUCAAUGGUUGGAUUUGAAAUCAUGAGGAUCUGUGUUAUAUGUGUCAUUUGGUAUCGAAGUGGGUCCAAGUUAGAUGAGCAUUUAGUACUAGCCAAUGCUUUAGAAGUAUCAAAUGAACCAUUUAUUUGGGUAAUUCAAACUGGUGCUGGUAGAUUGGAUCCUCCGUGUCAUUUAACUGGCUUAGACAGACCAGCAGAAGGCAAUUAUUUUCAUAGUGGUUUGGGUAGUAAAGCCAGUAAAAAGGGAUUGAUAAUAAAUGGAUGGGCGCCACAAUUAUUGAUAUUGAAUCAUCAAUCAAUGGGUGAAUUUUUAUCUCAUUGUGGAUGGAAUUCAAUGGUAGAAGCAAUUGGUGUGGGGUUCCAAUUUUAGCAUGGCCAAUUAGAGAUGAUCAACAUUACAAUGCCAAAUUGGUGAUCAAUCAUCUAAAGGUGGGGUACAUGAUUUCUAAUGAUCAAUCAAAAUCGAUUCAAAAGAAUGAUAUAGUGAUUGGUAUAGAAAAGCUUAUGAGUGAUCAAGAGAUUAAAAAACGAGCUCACAUGCUUCGCCGUAUAUUUUAUCAGGGCUUUCCUAUGAGUUAUGUGGCUUCUUUGAAUGCUUUCAAAGAUCUCAUUAGCCAGAAAUCAGUCUAACAAAAAUAAUUAUUGUGUAUAUUAGGCUUUUGUUACAUUGGCUUGGGUGUAAAUAAAUCUACUUUAUCAAGAACAGACAUCUCAGCACCUAAAUAAUGUUAGGAAAUUGAGUUUCAUCCCAAGAUCACUCCAAGCAAUUUGUCAAGCAACAAAUUAACAAAAAAUUUAAAUGGAGAAUACAACAAUCACACAACACAAGAUUUACGUGGAAAACUCUAAAUUCGGAGAAAAACCACAGCCGUUGUCAAGAGACAACCAGAGAAAAAAUAUUCACUAUAUGGAAAAUUAUUACAACCACACUCUCAUAAAUAAUUUUCUCUCACCCAAGCCCCAAAUACAUAAUUGCGAAAAAUAUUCCUUAACAAAGCAAACCCGUAAUACCCAUAUUGAGGAGCCAAAUGCUCCUUCAAUAUAAAUACAUGCUUAAGAAUAUUUCUCUCCCAUGUUGGAAGCUCUCAAUGCUUCUCUUACAUAUUCUUGCUUCUCAAAUUUUGGGAUUUCUUCUCUGGGAUACAAAAAUGAGAGGGAGAACCCCUCUAUUUAUAGCCAAACUUUGGCUUCAUUUUCUCCCUUUUCUUCUUUGCAUGGGCGGCACCCACCCAUUUUUUCUUGUUCAAUGAUGGUGGCUAACUUGGCCACCCACCAUCUUUGAAUUCAGAGAUGAUGGCUCAACCACCCAUCAUUUUGGCUUCUUUUUUUAAAAUCAAUUUUCAACAAUCUCUACCAUGAUUAAAAAAAAAAAAUUUCAUAGUCACUACUACAAAACAUUGUCUUCACCAAUAGUUAUAAUUCUCAAUAUAAAGAAUUAUCACACUACACCAUAAUGAGUAUACCACUUAGAAUCAACUAUUCUAAGAUUUUUCUCGGCACAUGUCAAAAUAUCCUGCUGAAAUUUAUAGUGCAAUUCUCAUGCUUGGUUUCAAUGAGAAUUCUUCAGCCAUGACAUAACUUUUCCACCACACACGUUGCAUUUAUACCAAGCCAAUGCCCUCGUGCAAACUUGUGGACCCCACUGAUAAUAACAUGUUCUCUUUCAUGGUAACUUGGAGAUCUACAUGCCAAAAGAACUAAUCCAAUCUCUUAUCAAAAACAAAUUCACCAUCUGCGAGAAAUAUCAGUAUUUCUUUUACUGAUUCUGGAGUAAUUUGUCGAGCCCGCUCCACCUUCUUGACAAUUUUCUUGAGGCGCCAAAAUUGUCCACACCUUCAAAUCUUUGUGCAUACCAGAUUGGAUACACCUUUGACUUGAAUUCUCCACAAGCCAACAAAAAAUCAUUCUCCCAUUAAUUUUUUAACAACAUCAAACUCCACCAAGUUUGAAAAAUACCAGCUACUGACAUAUUUGCUUCAUAAAUGACCCUAUACUCUUCACCACGGACUAUUUAGAUUGGCUCCCACUGCUUCACAUGAACAGUACCGUAUACACGAACAAUAUCAUAUACGUGAAAUAGUAAUGUCUACGUGAACAGUACCCCGACAUCAAAACUUCAAUCAAUGGCUCUGAUACCACUGUUAGGAAAUUGAGUUUCCUUCCAAGAUCACUCCAAGCAAUUUGUCAAGCAACAAAUUAACAAAAAAUUUAAAUGGAGAAUACAACAAUCACACAACACAAGAUUUACGUGGAAAACUCCAAAUCCGGAGAAAAACCACAGCCGUUGUCAAGAGACAACCAGAAAAAAAAUAUUCACUAUGUGGAAAAUUAUUACAACCACACUCUCAUAAAUAAUUUUCUCACCCAAGCCCCAAAUACAUAAUUGCGAGAAAUAUUCCUUAACAAAGCAAACCCGUAAUACCCAUAUUGAGGAGCCAAAUGCUCCUUCAAUAUAAAUACAUGCUUAAGAAUAUUUCUCUCCCAUGUUGGAAGCUCUCAAUGCUUCUCUUACAUAUUCUUGCUUCUCAAAUUUUGGGAUUUCUUCUCUGGGAUACAAAAAUGAGAGGGAGAACCCCUCUAUUUAUAGCCAAACUUUGGCUUCAUUUUCUCCCUUUUCUUCUUUGCAUGGGCGGCACCCACCCAUUUUUUCUUGUUCAAUGAUGGUGGCUAACUUGGCCACCCACCAUCUUUGAAUUCAGAGAUGAUGGCUCAACCACCCAUCAUUUUGGCUUCUUUUUUUAAAAUCAAUUUUCAACAAUCUCUACCAUGAUUAAAAAAAAAAAAUUUCAUAGUCACUACUACAAAACAUUGUCUUCACCAAUAGUUAUAAUUCUCAAUAUAAAGAAUUAUCACACUACACCAUAAUGAGUAUACCACUUAGAAUCAACUAUUCUAAGAUUUUUCUCGGCACAUGUCAAAAUAUCCUGCUGAAAUUUAUAGUGCAAUUCUCAUGCUUGGUUUCAAUGAGAAUUCUUCAGCCAUGACAUAACUUUUCCACCACACACGUUGCAUUUAUACCAAGCCAAUGCCCUCGUGCAAACUUGUGGACCCCACUGAUAAUAACAUGUUCUCUUUCAUGGUAACUUGGAGAUCUACAUGCCAAAAGAACUAAUCCAAUCUCUUAUCAAAAACAAAUUCACCAUCUGCGAGAAAUAUCAGUAUUUCUUUUACUGAUUCUGGAGUAAUUUGUCGAGCCCGCUCCACCUUCUUGACAAUUUUCUUGAGGCGCCAAAAUUGUCCACACCUUCAAAUCUUUGUGCAUACCAGAUUGGAUACACCUUUGACUUGAAUUCUCCACAAGCCAACAAAAAAUCAUUCUCCCAUUAAUUUUUUAACAACAUCAAACUCCACCAAGUUUGAAAAAUACCAGCUACUGACAUAUUUGCUUCAUAAAUGACCCUAUACUCUUCACCACGGACUAUUUAGAUUGGCUCCCACUGCUUCACAUGAACAGUACCGUAUACACGAACAAUAUCAUAUACGUGAAAUAGUAAUGUCUACGUGAACAGUACCCCGACAUCAAAACUUCAAUCAAUGGCUCUGAUACCACUGUUAGGAAAUUGAGUUUCCUUCCAAGAUCACUCCAAGCAAUUUGUCAAGCAACAAAUUAACAAAAAAUUUAAAUGGAGAAUACAACAAUCACACAACACAAGAUUUACGUGGAAAACUCCAAAUCCGGAGAAAAACCACAGCCGUUGUCAAGAGACAACCAGAAAAAAAAUAUUCACUAUGUGGAAAAUUAUUACAACCACACUCUCAUAAAUAAUUUUCUCACCCAAGCCCCAAAUACAUAAUUGCGAGAAAUAUUCCUUAACAAAGCAAACCCGUAAUACCCAUAUUGAGGAGCCAAAUGCUCCUUCAAUAUAAAUACAUGCUUAAGAAUAUUUCUCUCCCAUGUUGGAAGCUCUCAAUGCUUCUCUUACAUAUUCUUGCUUCUCAAAUUUUGGGAUUUCUUCUCUGGGAUACAAAAAUGAGAGGGAGAACCCCUCUAUUUAUAGCCAAACUUUGGCUUCAUUUUCUCCCUUUUCUUCAUUGCAUGGGCGGCACCCACCCAUUUUUUCUUGUUCAAUGAUGGUGGCUAACUUGGCCACCCACCAUCUUUGAAUUCAAAGAUGAUGGCUCAACCACCCAUCAUUUUGACUUCUUUUUUUAAAAUCAAUUUUCAACAAAUAAUAUGUAAGCUUUUGUUAAUUGACUGCACUCGAUCAUUAAAAGUCUUACAAAGCAUGUAAAGUAAAAAAAUGGCACAUCCUCCAUCCGAAAGCAUCUAAAAUAAAAAGAUGGCACAUCCUCCAUCCGAAGUUUUUUACCAUUCGGCUUAAAUAUAUAGUCUCAUUUUUGGUAAUAAGCUCACAACAUGCAUAGGGAAGUUUUUAAUAGAUCUUCAUUCCCGUGGAUGUUGUGAGCUUAUUACCAAAAAUGAGACUAUACAGGUGUGGGACAAACAAAAAGGGAAGUUUUUUUUCCAUUCGGCUAAAUUUUAAUGUCACGCAAAAUAAUAUGUGAUCUUGAAUUCAUUUUAAUAUGAUAUCAACAUACGUAGGAAAUUCGUGAAUCAAGAAAUUUUGCAUGCCAGAGUCAGAGGAACAAUUAAAUAGAAUGCUUUUUAAGACAACAAUCACUGAUGAUCAUGUUUGCACACCAUCGGAGAGUACUGAAUAUCUACUAUCAGUCCUAUCUAAUUGAAAAAUGUACUGGUAGUUCGAUGAGUUUGUUUCCAUAGAAGCUACUAAAUAAAGAAAGGGAAAAAGAGUGGCUACAAAAAGGAGGAAAGUGGGAGGAGCUGUAAGGCUUUCACGGCAAAUUGAUUGCCUUGUUGAUGCUGUGGAAAUGGAGGUCGAACUCAAGAAGCAGAUCAUGGUACUAAUGUUCUUGAAGAUCAAGAGAUGGAGAGAUUGAAAAAUAAUAGUGCUGCAAGUGGAUAAUAUUAUAGUUAUAUAUUUCUUUACACAUGUAUAUAAUAUUAUAUUUCUAUGAAUUACUUUAUUACAAUAGUUUUGCGUACAUAAAAGUUUAUAUAGAGAUUAAAUUUUUGCAUUUUCUUUUUUGCAGUUAAGUUUAUUAAUCAAUUCAAGUAUUUGUGUAUAUUACGGACUACAUAACAAAUUUUUUAGUUAAAUAUAUUAUAGUUAAUUUUUAUUGCAAAUUAAAAUAGUUAAUAAAAAAUUAUUUAAAUAUGUAAUCAAGAAAAUAGAAUACGCUCUUCAAAAAUCCAAUGAAUAAGAAAAAUUAUUUAAAUAAUAAUAUUCUAAAUAAAUUACAAAUAAGUAAAUGAGUACAUUUUUGUCAUUUGCACAUGAACAUUAUACUUUUAAUUUUCACUUACCAGAUUUAUAUAGUAGAUUAUUUAAAAAUUGAUUGUCAAAUAAUCAUCAUUUACCAAACACCCGGCUAAAUUAUUCAUAAAAUUAAUUUUCUGAUAAUCAAGGUAAAAAUUAAUUAUUGGGAAGUAAAAGAAAUUCCAAACAUACCCUCAAUCAAUUAUAAGAGGGUUUUUAAUUAAAGAUACCUUAAAAGUAGGGUAUUUAGUUAAAUAUAUCACAUGCUUGAAAAUUAUCUAGAUAUACCUUUUUAUGUGGUACAUUGUUUAAAAUAUCCUUAAAAAAAUAUAUAAAACACACACAACUCGUCUCUAACACUCUUUACUUCUCACUCUUUUUAACUCCACACAACGAAAACUCACUCCACACUCAAAAUCACUCACGAACAGCUAAUGCAUUGAGAUUUUAAUUUGCAACUGGGUGCAUUAUUCAUCCCAUGAAUAAGGUAUUUGAAAUUUUUUUAUUUUGUGUUAUUUAUUCAUUUAAUUGACAUUAUAUUAUUUUUAGGGUUUUGUUUGGUUUGUGAUAAACACUAAAGCAACUCAUAUUUCAUUACAUUUGCAUCAUAUGACUGUUAUUUGAUGGAUUUUAUAACUACAUUCGUUAAAACCUGAAGUUGUUGCCAAAUUUUUUUUCUGCACCCGACAUACACGACAUCAGUCUUGUAUGUAUGGAUUUACAUAACUGUAGUCGUGCAAAUGUGCAAAAGAUUCCAAUUAUCAUGACACUUUAUCAUUCUAUUGGUGCAAAAAAUAUUUUUUUUUUCACUAUAUAUAUCCUUUUACUAUUACUGGACUAUAGUCGUGUGUGUUAAUAAGUUACACAACUACUAUCGUGUACGUAUGAACUUACAUACUAUAAUUGUGUAUAUAUGUAAAAUGUUCCAAUUGUUAUCAGAUCCCAACAUUUUUUUAAGAAGAAAUAUGUCCUCUGAUUAUUUAUUGAGUCAUAUAUUUUUGCAACUUACACGACUUUUGUCAUGUAUGUAUGAAUUUACACGACAACAAUCGUGCAAGUUUGGAAGAUAUAGUAGCUGUUAUGACACCUACCAUUCGGUUAGUACAAAGAUUACAGUUUUUUUUACUAAAUAUAUCAUCUGACUGUUUAUAGAACUAUAGUUGUGUAUUUUAGCAAGUUACAUAACUAUUGUCGUGUAAACUACCAAUUACACGACGUGAGUCAUGUAAAUAGGCAGACAGAUCCACACUUCGUUAUAUGCAUUGCUUGAUUUUAUUUUUGUAUUUGUUGUAUAAUCAACCGUUGUAUUAUUACAGAAAAUGACUUCAGUACGUGUGCCUAUUAUGUUUUGUGGUGAAUGGAUUGAGCAAAACGGCCAUUAUAGAUUUAAUGAUACAAAGGCAAGAGGGAUCAUAGUGCCAUAUUCUACAACGUAUGCACAAUUGAUAGAAAUAGUAUCUCGGGUUAUUUAAUAGGCAACCAAAUUACCAGAGGCUUAUACAAUAUGGACCGAGUGUUUGGGUUGAAAAUGCAAAAAAAUUAUGAUGAUUGUUAAACAACUUCUAUUGUAUUAUGACUUAUUUACGAUUCAAAUAAGUAUUGGAUUUAUGUUGUUUGAUAGGCAACCAGACUACAGUUAGUUUCAUUUAUUUGAAAUUUAAUAUGUUAAAGUUUAUAUUGAUUGUGUCAUCAAUAUAAUGAAUGUUUUAGUUGAUUUUUUAUUCUGUGUCCACAUACCCGAGUACAAUCGUGUAUUUUGGCUGUUACAGAACUGGUCAUGUUUAUUUACAAAUACUCGACUGCAGUCGUGUAUCUGUGCAAAUACCUGACUGCAGUCGUGUAUUUUCCUAUAGAGAGCUAGUCAUAUUUAUUUGUAAAUACUCGACUGUAGUCGUGUAUCUGUGCAAAUACCCAACUACAGUCGAGUAUUUUCUUACAGAGAGCUGGUCAAAUAUAAUUAUAAAUACUCGAUUGCAGUCGUGUAUCUGUGUAAAUACCCGAAUGCAGUCGAGUAUUUUCUUAUAGAGAGCUGGUUAUGUACAAUUGUAAAUACUUGACUGUAGUCGUGUAUCUGUGUAAAUACCCAAUUGCAGUCGAGUAUUUUCUUACUGAGAGCUAGUCAUGUAUAUUUGUAAAUACUCGACUGCAGUCAUGUAUCCGUGCAAAUAGCUAAUUGCAGUCGUGUAUUUUCUUACAGAGUAUUCCCUGACCAUAUAUGGCAAUCCUGUUACAUCACAUAGAUUGUACAAACUAUCUUCACUAUCAUUAAUAUAGUUAACAAAGAAAUAAAACAUAUUAAUGAUGUCAAGUUAUCUUUAAUGACAUCAAAUAUCAACAACAUCCUCAUUAUAACUAUCACAUCUCAUGGUCCAAAAAUGACACACCAAUAAAGUUUUUAAGGGUAGUACACUACAAAGUUUUUUUCCAUGACCUAUGCCCAAAUAAUUUGACAACCAAGGCUUUUCGAAAUUGUAUAACAUGAUCUUGUUUGCAAUAUGAAUUGACAUCAAGUCCAUGGGUUAGGACCUCCAAGUACCGCAACAAAUUCUCCACAAUCACCACUAAAAAAAGUAAAAUAAAUCAAUUGUUAAAAAUCAGCAUUCUUAUUAUUAUGUUCAAAACACAUUAUAUAUAUAGUACAUACCCUAAUUUUUGUUGCGGGAUGUCACACACUCGCACGAUGGGCCAAGGAAUUUUCGAUGUAACCUCAAUAUAGUCUGGAUGUGUUUCGUGAUACGCUAUCUUUUGAAGUACUAGAGGUAUCAUGUCUGCAACAGGCAGCAAUUGUCUCACUAAAACUUAAGUCUAUCAUGGAGUCAUAAAUAGAAAUCUUGCCACAAGAAAUUUAUAAUGCUUGCAGUAAUCAAAUGGCCUCAUAAAUAGAAAUCUUGCCACAAGAAUCCUUUGUUAAGUCUAUCAUGGAGUCAUUAAUUCAAUUAGAUUAAUCUCAGCAACAAGAAAUUUAUAAUGCUUGCAGUAAUCAAAUGGCCUCACAAUUCUAAACUAACUCUCCAUCCAUCAUUAAUCCUCUUGCUUCUUGAGCAAUUAAUGAAAAAUUAAAUUUAUCCACCCACUAUUUCCACUUCUAAGUAAAUAUAAUGUCAAUAGUCCAAAAUUAAAUUAUCUCGUACAAGUUUCCUAAAUAACAUCUUUCAAUAGUUGAAAAUAAGAAAUUAGAUAUAUGUAAUGCAUGUUUUUUUUUUUCAUUAAAACUAUAACCCAUAUCUCCACAUAAGCACAACUCCAAUACUUGAGCCUUUGUACCAAAUUUCCAGGUAAUUCAAGAUAGAUUCUAAUGUUACUAACAAAUCACACAAAUUAGCAAAGCAUAUAUUCGAUAAAAUCAUACUCAACAAGGUGUAACUGUCAAGUUUUUGAGUGGUAACUCACCUUUCAUUCGCCCAAUUUCAAUUCAAGGCAACAAAUUUAUGGGCUGGAACAAACGGCAACAGAGACAUAAAGUAACAGCAGCAAAGCGUCAUUGGCGUUAAUCUCAUCUAAUGGCGCAUCAGAGGGAUAGCAAUCGAGCCUGGCAAACAACUCUUCACUCUUUUUUGCUUGCUUGGAUUGGAUUCAAUCUUGAGGAAGGUUUGAAUUUGGCAAAAAUGGGUGUUGUGCACGCUAGUCGUGAGAGAGAAUUAGGGAUUGUGUUUUGUGACUGAUUGUGCAGGGUAAUUUGAAUGAUUUAGGUUUUUAAUUAGAGCAAUUUCGUAGCUGCACAUUAAAAAAGGUAUAUAUGGGGAAUUUUAGAGUAUGGGGGUGUUCUUAGAUAAAUACAUUUUUUUGGGGUAUGCCACGGAUAAAUCCCUGACUAUAAGAAGUUAUUUAAGUUGUACUAUUUAAUGGGUUUUAUUAAUAGUGAGCGCGUUUAUCAAAUAUAUAAAAAUAAAUAUUUUAGUUAUUAUCCACCUAUUCUCUUGAAAUCAUUCUCAAAAAUUUUUCGUUUACCUAAAAUUCCAAGUAAAAUAGAUAAAAGAAGAAGAGUUGGGGUAAAAACAAAUGGAAGGAAAAACAGGGCUCCCUGUUUUCAAAUUAUCUAUAAGUUACGAAAGGAGAAUGGUUCAGAUUAUCUUGAGCUCUGCGGUCAAACCGUCCAUCAGGCGGAUUCAGAUUUUGAAUUAUCUGUCAUAAUUUGGUUUCCCACUUAAGCAUGCUUAUCAUUGGUUUGAUAUUUGCUUUUUAAGACGACAAUCACUGAUGAUCAUGUUUGCACACCAUCUGAGAGUACUGAAUAUCUACUAUCAGUCCUAUCUAAUUGAAAAAUGUACCGGUAGUUCGAUGAGUUUGUUUCCUUAGAAGCUACUAAAUAAAGAAAGGGAAAAAGAGUGGCUACAAAAAGGACGAAAGUGGGAGGAGCUGUAACUGUAAGGCUUUCACGGCAUAUUGAUUGCCUUGUUGAUGCUGUGGAAAUGGAGGUCGAACUCAAGAUGCAGAUCAUGGUACUAAUGUUCUUGAAGAUCAAGAGAUGGAGAGAUUGAAAAAUAAUAGUGCUGCAAGUGGAUAAUAUUAUAGUUAUAUAUUUCUUUACACAUGUAUAUAAUAUUAUAUUUCUAUGAAUUACUUUAUUACAAUAGUUUUGUGUACAUAAAAGUUUAUAUAAAGAUUAAAUUUUUGCAUUUUCUUUUUUGCAGUUAAGUUUAUUAAUCAAUUCAAGUAUUUGUGUAUAUUACGGACUACAUAACAAAUUUUUUAGUUAAAUAUAAUAUAGUUAAUUUUUAUUGCAGAUUAAAAUAGUUAAUAAAAAAGUUAUUUAAAUGUGUAAUCAAGAAAAUAGAAUAUGCUCUUAAAAAAUCCAAUGAAUAAGAAAAAUUAUUUAAAUAAUAAUAUUCUAAAUAAAUUACAAAUAAGUAAAUGAGUACAUUUUUGUCAUUUGCACAUGAACAUUAUACUUUUAAUUUUCACUUACCAGAUUUAUAUAGUAGAUUAUUAAAAACUGAUUGUCAAAUAAUCAUCAUUUACCAAACACCCGACUAAAUUAUUCAUAAUAUUAAUUUUCUGAUAAUCAAGGUAAAAAUUAAUUCUUGGGAAGUAAAAGAAAUUCCAAACAUACCCUCAAUCAACUACAAGAAGUUAUUUAAGUUGUAGUAUUUAAUGGGUUUUAUAAAUAGUGAGCGUGCUUAUCAAAUAUAUAAAAAUAAAUAUUUUAGUUAUUACCCACCUAUUCUCUUGAAAUCAUUCUCAAAGUUUUUUCGUUUACCUAAAAUUCCAAGGAAAAUAUAUAAAGGAAGAAGAGUUGGGUUAAAAAAAAAAAAAUGAAGGAAAAACAGGCCUCCUCUGUUUUCAUUCCCCUGUUUUGAAAUUAUCUAUCAGUUACGAAAGGAGAGUGGUUCAGAUUAUCUUGAGCUCUGCGGUCAAACCCGUCCAUCAGGCGGAUUCAGAUUUUGAAUUAUCUGUCAUAAUUGGUUUCCCACUUAAGAAUGCUUAUCAUUGGUUUAAUAUAUUGCUGUUCCACUUGUUUAAUGAAUGGAUUCCCACCUACGCGUUUGCUUAUUAAAAGAAUAAAUCUUGCUUUUGCUUUUCUAGAGAAAUAAUGCAAUAUGCAAUUAUGCGUGAUGGUGCGCGUCCAUGUGAGAAAGUUGACGAAAGCUUCUUUUUCAGUAUUGCAAGUGCUAUCCACAGCGGAACUCCACAAUCGAAACCAUCAUUACGACAAUUUUUCUCUGUCGUUUCAAUUUUUAAUUGAAUAUAAAACAAGUAAGGUCAAAUAAAGUCUGGUCCACCAAUUUAAUCAGUAUGAACGUAUGGAUCCCAUCAUUAAUAUUAUAAAUAUGUGGGUCCUUUAAUUAUUACAUUAUAUGAUUAUUGUAUUAUUUAUAGAUUGCUUUAAUCAUGACAUAUUACGAAAGGAGAUUCCCCUUGGAAAAAAAAUAAAAAAGAGAUUCCCUCUUCGGCGACUGAAAAUAAAAGAAAUUAAGGGCUGCAUGAUUGAGUCUUCUUCUUUUGCAAAUCAUUAUCAUUACUCUCAUAAGCUCUCUAUAAUUACAUUCCUCUGCAGGUAACAUUAACUUUUUGCUCAUUAAAAUUGCACUUAAAUACUCAAGGCGAUUACAGAAGCUCAUCAACUUUCCAUAAUUAAACAGGAUUUCCACAACCUUCAAUUAAUUUCUUUUAAUAACAUAAUCUCUGAUGCUUGAUCUCUAUACAAUUUCUUUCUUAAUUUCCAUCCACUUUCCAAGAUAAAAUUUCUAUGGCUUGUUCAUUUAUCAUUUUUUUUUUGGGACACUUGAAGCACGUUUCUGUUAAUAGCAAAAACUCUGAUCCUUAAGAAAGAAGAAAAAAUGCUCUGUUCAUGUUUCAGUUGAUUCAAGAUCAAUUUUGCGAUACUGUUUGCCGUCUUUUUUUCUCUCUCUAGUUUAUUUUAAUUUAUUUGUAUUCCUUUCCCCUUUCUUUGACAUAUUAUUAGAUUUGUUAAGCAGCAGGCAAUGGCAGAAGUGGGUCUGGCUGCUUUUUCCAGCAUUGUAUCAGAAGGUUCAAAGUCACUGUUCAAACUGAUUAUACGGCAGAUAUCUUAUGUGUUCAAGCACCAGAGCUACAUAGAUGGCCUGAAAGAUCAAGUGAAGCAGCUGGGAUAUAGAAGAGAAACGGUGCAACAACCUGUUAAUCAUGCUAGACUACAAGGGGAUGAGAUUUAUGAGGGUGUCACAGACUGGCUAAAUAAAGUUGAUGAAUUCAUCAGUGAAGGGGUUGCAAAAUCCAUCAUUGAUGAUGAAGAUAGAGCUAAGAAGUCCUGCUUCAAAGGGUUGUGCCCCAACUUGAUUUCUCGUUACCAGCUUAGUAAACAAGCAGCAAAGGCCGCAGAAGCUGCCGCUAGUCUCGAGGGAAAAGGCACCUUCUCUAGUGUUUCCUACCGUCCUGCUCCAAAGAGUACAGAAUAUAUGCCAGUGAAAGAUUACGAGGCCUUCGAUUCAAGAACGAAAGUAUUUCAAGAUGUUGUGGAUGCGUUGAAGGAUGAUAGUUUCAAAAUAAUUGGGGUCUAUGGGAUGGGCGGCGUGGGUAAAACCACGCUAGUUAAGCAAGUUAGAAAGCAAGUGAUGGAAGAUAAGUUGUUCGAUAAGGUCGUUAUGGCUGAGGUAACACAGACACCAGAUCAUCAUAAAAUUCAAGACAAACUUGCUUUUGAUUUAGGCAUGGAAUUUGACUUGAAUGAGAAUGAAUUUCAAAGAGCUUCUCGACUGUGUCAAAGGUUGAAGCAAGAGAAGCGGCUCCUCAUUAUACUGGAUAAUAUUUGGACAAAACUUGAGUUCGAUAAAGUUGGAAUUCCUUAUGGGGAUGUUGAUGAGAAAGAUAGAGAGGACGAUCGGAGUAGACGCACAAUAAUAUUGACGUCUCGAAGUCGAGAUUUAUUGUGCAAUGAUAUGAAUUCUCAGAAAAAUUUCUGGAUCGAUGCUUUAUCCAAAGAUGAAGCAUUGCAGUUAUUUGAGAAGAUUGUGGGUGAUUCAAAAAAAACAUAUGAUUUUCAACCCACUGCAGAUGAGAUCGUUGAAAAAUGCGGGGGAUUGCCUGUUGCACUGAGAACAGUUGCAAGUGCUCUGAAAAAUAAGAGUCUUGCCAGUUGGAAGGAUGCAUUGAAUCAGCUAAGAAGUUCCAAUCUAAGAGAAAUUCGUGGUAUGGAUGCAGAUGUGUAUUCUUCCAUAAAAUUGAGUUACGAUUUCUUGGAAAGUGAUGAAGCAAAAUCUUUGUUCCUUCUUUGUACUCUGUUUGGUGAAGGUCAUCCUAUAUACGUACAUUACUUAUUGAGAUAUGGUAUGGGUUUGGGUCUAUUUAGAAAUGUUUACACAUUGGAAGCAGCAAGGAAUAGAGUGGAUGCAUUGAUCGACAGUCUAAAAGCUUCAUGCUUAUUGUUGGACGGUGAUGCUGAAGAUGAAGCUAAAAUGCAUGACGUCAUUCAUGUUGUUGCUGUAUCAAUUGCCGCAGAGAAGCUUAUGUUUAAUAUUCCAAAUGUUGCUGACUUUGAGAGAGAGAUGGAAGAGACAAUACGGAAAGGUCCAAUCGCUAUUUCCUUACCUUAUAGAGAUAUUCAAGAGCUCCCUGAGAGGUUGGAAUGUCCCCAACUCAAGUUAUUUUUUUUGUUUGCAAAGCAUGAUAGCUCUUUGCAAAUUUCACACCUCUUUUUUGAAGGGGCAGAAGAACUCAAAGUUUUAGACUUUACUGGAAUAUUUUUCUCUUCAUUACCUUCAUCACUUGGUUGCCUCAUUAACGUUCAAACAUUAUGUUUAGAUGGUUGCCGACUGAACGAUAUAGCAAUAGUUGGACAGCUAAAGAAAUUAGAGAUUCUCAGCUUUCGAGAUUCUGAUGUUAAGGAGUUGCCACUUGUAAUUGGACAAUUGACGAGAUUACAGUUGCUAGAUUUGAGAAAUUGUAGCAGCCUUGUGGUGAUAGCUCCAAAUGUCAUAUCAAAAUUAUCUCGAUUAGAAGAACUAUACAUUGGUAACAGCUUUUCACAAUGGGAGAAGGUUGAAGGAGGAAGUAACGCCAGUCUUGCUGAAUUGAAUGGGUUGUCAAAGCUAACUACUUUGGAGAUACACGUUCGGGAUGCCGAAAUUCUACCGCAGGAUUUGGUCUCUGUGGAAUUGCAAAGCUAUAGGAUAUGUAUAGGAAAUGAGUGGUGGAGCAGCCGGUCCGUUAAAUCUGGAUUAUCAAGAUUGAUGAAGCUCCAGGGGCUAGAAAAGUUUGGCAUUCUUUUGCAGAAUUACAGGAUGAAACUGUUGUUGGAGAGAACUGAAUAUCUCUAUCUAAAAGAACUGAAGGGUGUUCAGAAUGUUGUUCAUGAAUUAGAUGAUGGGGAAGGUUUUCCACGAUUGAAGCAUCUUCACGUAGAAAGUUGUUCUGAGAUUUUACACAUUGUCGGUUCAGUUGGACGGGUUCGUCGCAAAGUCUUCCCCUUGCUGGAGUCAUUGUCUCUUUGGUGUUUGAGCAAGUUGGAGACAAUAUGUGACAGCCAACUCACAGAAGAUCAAUCUUUCAGCAACUUAAGGAUUAUAAUAGUACGCGGCUGUGACAAAUUGAAGCAUCUUUUCUCAUUCUCCAUGGCCAAAAACCUACUGCGGCUUCAAAAGGUAGAAGUGUUAUUUGGCGGUGAUCUGGAAAUGAUUGUUGGUAAGUGUUGAAAUUAAGUACUGGUGGGAUUAUGGACUUCACCUCAAUUAUUUUGAAAAAAAAAAACGACAAAGAUUAAUUAUGUAUAUUGUUUUUGUUUGUUUAUAGGACCCGACAGGGAGAAACCAACAACUUCUUUGGGAUUCAACGAAAUCAUUGCUGAUGAUGAUACCGCUCCAAAGGUGAUAAUUUUCUGUACAAUAAUUAAUUGAUUAAUUUAUUAUCACGAUUAAUCUUCGAUCAUCAAAAGAAUAUUAUACUAGACGGUUGUACUUGAAGGAACAAAAAUGUACGGGUUUUCUUUGCAGGUUAUUCUUCCGAGCUUAGAGGAAUUGAAUCUCACGCUAUUAAGAAACAUGAAAAAAUUAUGGGCCGAUCAUAAUCAAGGAAUGUACUGUUGUCAAAAUUUAACAAAGGUGAUCGUGAGCAGUUGUGAUCGUAUGAAGUAUCUGUUUUCGUAUUCUAUGGUUAAUAGUCUUUUGCUACUCCAACAUCUUGAGAUAAGAGCUUGUAAGUCAAUGGAAGGGGUAGUCGACACCACGGGGUGGUCAGAAAGAGAUGAAGGACAUAUUCAUUUCCCUAAACUACACUCCCUCGAGCUCCAUUGUCUUCCAGAACUAACAAGCUUCGCCAAUACGGGACAUAUUCAUUCAGAUUUAGUUGUUGAAUUCCCUUCUUUGCUAGAACUCCGGAUUAGUGGUUGCAGUAAUAUGUUAAGAUUCAUCUCUACGAGCUCACCAGAAGACACCAUUCAUUCUGAAAUGCAACCUCCUCCUCUUUUUGACGAAAAGGUUUUUUUUUUUAAUAAAAAAAUUAAUUUUAGUCACAAUACUUAAUUUUUCUUUUCCUUGAGUCUUCAAAUUUAGUUAAUAUCCACCUCUAAUUUAGUUAUCAAUUGAUUAUGCCAUUAAUUGAUUAAUUAGUUAUUUAAUCUUUAACUGCCAGGUACGACUUCCUAGGGUGGAGGUAUUACUUAUGGAGAUGAUGGAUAAUUUGAGAAGAAUAUGGCACCACCAGCUUGCUUCGGAGUCUUUCAGCAAAUUGAAGAAUUUGGACAUAUGGUGGUGUGAUAACCUAAGAAAUAUUUUUCCUCCAUUGGUAAGGUUGCUGUAUUCAUUUCGAAUCUUUUUUCCCAGAUAAAAUUCAACCAUUUUUUAACCAUUUUUGUGUUUACAAAUGGUAUUCAGCCACUAAUUAUUUAUUUCAAGUAUUGUACUUCAAAUUAACCACCACUCUGAAAUCUACGUUUUAAGUCCGGUUUUCAAUUUAAUUGUUUUUGCUCAUAUCUUAAAAGUACGAUUUUCAAAAAUUAAAGGAUCGUCUCUCAUCUUAUAGGUUCACAAAUUCAUCUAUAUAUUUCUCUUUUCCUUAAUUCUUCACGUUUCGAUUGGAAAAAAAAAUAAAAGUCUUCAAAUUUAAUUAAUAUCUCUAGUUUAGUUACGAAUUGAUUAUGCCAUUAAUUAACCACAAAUUCAUGAUUAUUUACAACUGACCCUUGAUUGUAAAGAAAUUUCCUCGAGUCUGGAAGUACUUAAUAAAGAUCCACUUUACAGCAGUCCCUUGUUGACAGUAUUGGGAAAUCUUUUCCAAUUUUUUUUUCCAUUUUUAAAUAUACAUUAAAAAAAGGAACCAAGGAAAAGGGAAAAAUGGUUGAGUUUUUUUUUUUUUUUUUAAAAAAAAGGAAUAGUUGAAAUUUGCAAAUUUAUGCUUAAAAACUGAUAUCAAGAUGCAAAAGAAGUCUAAAAUAUUUAGAAAUUGCCUUAAAUUCUUUCUACGUUUCUAAUACUAAAUAGUGUAAAUGCAUUUUUAUUAUCUUUGUUUAUCUGGGUUUUAUUUAUUUAUUUAUCUUGUUCUAUUUUUGUUUAACAAAAAAUAUCUAGUAGACAUUUCAUAAUUUGUUAUGUUCAUAAAAUGUAUAAUUGUAUGAUUAAACAUACUUUGAACCUAGUUGAAUGAUAUUCUUACAUUUUUACUUUUUUAAUACACCACACAUGCACACACUUUUGCUUAUUUUCAGGUUGGAAUUCCUAGUAGUCUGGUGAAUCUUAAAGUAUCGGGUUGCCCAAAAUUAGAAGAAAUCGUAGGACAUGCUGGAGAAGAAGUGAAGGAGAAUCGUAUUGCUUUCAGCAAAUUAAAAGUUUUGAUACUUGAUGAUUUACCAACGCUUACCAGCUUUUGUUUGGAGAAUUACACUCUUGAAUUCCCAUCACUGGAACGAGUUUCUAUGACACAUUGUCCGAACAUGAAGAAUUUUUCUGACGGAAUCUUAUCCAUUCCAAAGCCAUGCAAAGUACAAGUGACUGAAAAGGAAGAGGGUGAACUGCACCAUUGGGAAGGCAAUAACCUUAAUUCCACUAUACAAAAGUGUUAUGAUGAAAUGGUAUGUGUUAAUCGAUUCACCCAAAUUGUUCAUGCAUCUCCCCUGCACUUGCACAUUUAAGCAUAUACACCUCCCUUGUAUAUAUAUUUUUAGAAGUUAAAACACAAAACAUGUAAGUUUAAUGUGUAUAUAUAUAAUGCCUUUCAAAAACAAAAUUGUAUAUAUCUGGUGCAAUUGUUUUGGUUUGUGCAGAUUGGAUUCCUUGAUAUAAACCGUUUGCAACUCUCGCAUUUUCCACGCUUGCAAGAAAUAUGGCAUGGCCAAGCACUGCCUGUCAGCUUCUUCAACAAUUUAGCAGAGCUGGUGGUGGAUGACGGCACGAAUAUGUCGAGUGCUAUUCCUGCCAAUCUGCUACGGUGCUUGAACAAUUUGGAAUGGCUGGCAGUGAGGAAUUGUGAUUCACUAGAAGAGGUGCUUCAUUUGGAAGAGCUAAGUGCUAAGGAAGAACAUAUAGGCCCCCUGUUUCCUAGGCUUUUAAGCCUAAAGCUCAUUGAUCUUCCAAAACUCAAAAGAUUCUGCAACUUCACUGGGAAUAUAAUUGAACUGCCUAAGUUGGAAUAUCUAAUUAUUGAGAAUUGCCCUGAUAUGGAAACAUUCACAUCCAAUUCUACAUUUGUACUGCACAUGACAGCAGAUAAUAAGGAACCUCAAAAAUUAAAAUCAGAAGAGAACCUCUUGGUAGCUAAUCAAAUACAAUAUCUCUUCGAUGAAAAGGUAAUCAUUAUUAUUAUUUUCCCUUCACUUUCGUUCGCACAUAUGUAAUUUCAUUAUAAUCAAAUCAAAUUUAAUGACUCAUCUUUUUGCACGUCGUCUUAAUUUAUAUCUGAUUUAACAAUAUAACCGCAGUUAUUAACUAACUUUAUAGUAUGAAUUAUAAAAAUGUCUGAAAUUAAUUGGAUGCCUGGUAACACGAGGUGAUGAACUAUACUAAUUAUGUGUGUAACAUCUCUGUUUUCCUAGCUAAUUCAUAUUGGAUUUAGCAUCAGAUUUCAUUUAUGUAUUUCAAAGGGUAAUCGAUUUGAUACUGAUAUUUGGGAUCCUACUGCAAAGCAUACUAAUAUGGAAAUAAAAUAUAAAAUGUCGUGAUUAAUCUUGUCCGUAAAAUAUGCAGGGGAAGACUGCAGAGAUUGGAUACAUAUUUUCAUUUACAACUUAAUUUUGUUGAUUUUCAGGUUGCAUUCCCUAAAUUGAGGAAGUUAAGGCUGUCUAGAUUACACAAAGUGCAGCAUCUCUGGAAGGAAAAUGCCGAAUCCAACAAAGUAUUUGCAAAUUUGGAAAGUCUAAAAAUAUCGGAAUGUAGUAAGUUGCAAAAAUUAGUACCACCUUCGUGGCAUUUGGAAAAUCUUGAGGCUUUGAAAGUAUCGAAGUGUCACAGGUUGAUAAAUGUGUUGACGCUCUCAGCAUCUAAAAAUCUAGUGAAUCUCGGAAGAAUGAAGAUAGUUGAUUGCAAAAUGAUGGAAGAAAUUAUACAGUCGCAGGUUGGAGAAGAAACGGAAGAUUGCAUUGUUUUUGGGAAAUUGAGGUACUUGGAACUUGACUGUUUGCCAAGCCUAACAAGCUUUUGUUUAGGUAAUUACGCUCUUGAAUUCCCGUCCUUGAAACAAGUAGUUGUGAGACAGUGUCCAAAAAUGAAGAUCUUCUCUCAAGGAGUCUUAGACACACCAAUGCUAAACAAAGUGAACGUCACCGAAGAAGAAAAAGAUGAUGAUGAAGAAGAUGAUGAUGAUGAAGGAUGUUGGGAAGGCAACCUCAAUGACACCAUAAAAAAAUUGUUCAAUGAAAUGGUGAGUAUCAAUUAAGUUUUGGUGCUAUUUAGCAAAUUAUUUUAUAGAAACUAAUGUGAUAUAAUAUGAUUGGUUGACUGAAAAUAUAUAAUAAUAAUAAUAAUAAUAAAUAAAUAAAUAAAUUAUGAGGGCCAUGUAAUGUUUUUAUUUAACCAAUCAUAUUAUCUCGCAUUAGUUUAUACAAUAUUGUUUGUGCACAAGAGGUGGUGGUCCUAUCAUUACUCUAGCUUUAUUAUUCUUAUGGUGGCAAUGUAUGCUUGCUUACACGAGUAAUUACAAAAUGUGCAGAAUUCUAAAGAAGAUAUUGAGCCAACCCUUCAGGUACAGUGAAGAAGCUAUCUCGAACCAGGCCAAUCUCUUAUACAUGAUUUAGCUUGCUCGUUCUUCUGUACUUGAAUAAUUUGGUUCUACAUAUUUACAAUUUUUUGCUCAUGCUACAGACGUGCAAGACACUUUGGAUUUUGUUUGAUGCAUUCUCCGUUUAAAGAAAGGACUUGAAUUGAUUUUUCAUGUUUCAUGCAAUAUUCGAUUAGAUUCUGCCUAAAUUUCUGUAUUAUUCUCUUUUAAGCAUUUAAUUUCUAACCUCUCCUGAUAGAAGAUCCUUAGCCUAAGAAAACAGCAUAACAUUUGUGAAAAAGAAUUAAUUAUCUCACACCAGAUUAGAAAAAGAAAACAGCAUAACAUUCGAUUAGAUAGUAAAAUUAUCUCGACCACUGUUAAAAAGAAUUAAUCAGUCGAAUCUCACACCAGCACGCUUUAAAUUAAAAGAAUUUCGUGAAGUCAAGACCAUGUUAUAGAUCUCAUGGAAAGAAGUAAACCCGUAAUCUUUUUCACAGCAUCAUAAGAAAAAUCGUUUUUUUUAAGUAUUUUUGUUAGCUGUCGAGUUUUAAUAGUAGUAGCUAUUAAACAAUAACAAUUAGUGUAUAUUAAAAAGUUGGAAACUGGUUGAUACCACUCGGGAAUCGAGCAGUUCACUUGUUUGCGAGUAGAAACCAACUUUACUACUAAUUACACUCCAAAAAUCACUAUUCUUCAUUUUUUAAUGCAAAAUUCCCAUUCGAAAACACCAAUGACUUUCAUUCAAAGUAAAUGAGAAAUUACAAUGAAAAUAGAAUCAAAAUACAUGUAUGUAUACCUAAAACAAAUGAUUUUUUUAAUUAAAAAAAAAACACAGUUGAGGUGAAAUGAAACCAGAGUCAUGAUAUCUCUGGUUCCAACUUUGGGACAACAGCAGACUUGAGUUCUAUAUGAGAAACACGUACAGCACCAAUCAGCCGCUCCGGUAAUUCAUCUGUAGUAUUUGCCUGCAUACAGAAGAGUAAGAUAAAGAAGACACACACGAAGCAUUAUACCAUUCUGAGAACAUUCAAGUAUGCAAAAAUGCAAAUUGCAGUGCAAUAUCUCAAAAUCAUGUCUUUUCCCUUGUGUCCAUUUAGAAGUGGGGGAAAAAAACAAUCAUACAUACCUGUACAAGGAAAGCCAUGUCAACCACCAAUGUCGUAACUACACCAAUUACAAGGCCCAAAACUCCAUUAGCAACAGUAGAAGAACCGAUGUCAACAUUAAUCUACAGAAAGAUGAACAAUGUUAAACCAUGUUAAUGGUAUCGGAUGCUAUUUGAAAGAUGAACAUCUCAUGUACUAUAGAAAUUCCAAGAGCAUUUACUUCUAAGUACUUGGGACCGCGAAUAUAGUUACAAUCAACUGCUUUACCCAAUAAGCAAAGGGUGCUUCCAACACUCUGGCGCACGAUCCAUGACCCCUGCAUGAUUCAGUGCUUAAAAUCAAGAACAAGUGCAAAACAAAUUCAAGAGGGUAAAAAUGGACAUGAAGUUUGAAGGUACAACCCAUCAAUACAUUUACACCUAAAUGCAUGCCUUCUUUGGACAAAUUGAAGUGUACCAUGCAGUAAAGGGUUAGUAUACGUUAAUAUAGUCCUAAUACAUGAAGGCCAAGAUGGAUACCUUAGGAACAGAUGGAAUAAGUUUCAACCUGCUAUUGCGAAACUCAUCAUCGCCAUCAACAAACCGUUGCAAAAGUGAUCCCAUAACCAAUUGCCUUGCGACUAAAUAAAAUACCAUACUAUAAUGUGUUGAUCCAGGAACCUGCAGAUGCUUAGGUUACAACUAUACAACCUCCCAAUACAAUAAGUUUGAAACUUAAUACCUUCUGAAAUGAAACAAACUUACUUGAAGAUUAAAGAUCAGUGAGAAAAGCCCAUUUUCGGAAGCAACCUACAUUUUUUAGAAGAGGGUUAGUGUGUUAUAGAUUCAAUGAACCAUGAGAAGUUAUUUACAUUGUAGUAUCUCACAGGCAGUAUUUUCUCCUAAUGCAUCAAUGGAAAAGGAAAAAUAAAAAGAAAAGAAUAGUUACUUGUGCAGCACAGCCUUGACGCCUAGCUACAUGGUCCAUUCUCUUUGUGUCUUUGAACCAAUCAACAGCAACAAGAUCCAUUAAAUGUUUUCCCGCAGGUAUCUGCAGUUACAAAUUGCACAAAGCACAAGAAGAGCCAACCAAACUACAUCAUAACCUGUCUACCUAGCCUAUGCAGGAUAUAUAAAUACCAUAACAAACAAACAAAAUAUGGGGGAACCUUUGUUUUGUCAUAACAAAAAUGCUUGCUACGAACUCUAAAGUUAUUUCCAUCAGAAAGUUUCCAGCAGUCACGAGCAUUAUCACAGUCAUCGUGUCGUAGAUUGCCCGAAAAACAAGACAAAUCAAUUUGAUCAGCCUGCUCUUCCUCUAGGGCUGCAACUAAUUGAAAUUUUUUUUUUUAAAAAAAAAAGAUCAAUACCAUAAAAAUCCACUAGCCAAAUAUACAAAAAUGAAUACUUAUCAUCCACCUGUCCUCUUGAAAUCAUUCUCAAUCUUUUUUUCAUUUGCCUGAAAUCCCAAGGAAAAAUAUGUAACUAAUACUUCCCAUUCAUGAAUAUUGUCUAUCGUAUAAACAUGACAUUUUUAAUUGGAAUAAUAAAAUUAUUUAAUUAUUUUAAUUAAAUGUUAAUCCUACAAAUUAUUUUUGUUAAAUCUAGCAAGAAUAACUAAAAUUUCUUUAAGAUAUAUUUUGGUGGUAAAUUAAAAAAAAUUUAAUUAUUUGGCGGGAAUUAUUGAAAUUGGAGCCAUUUUUUUUUGUGGGAAUUGAAAUAUAUUCUUUAAAUUAUUACAUAAAUAGCAAAAUGUACAUACACACACAUAUAUAUAAUUCAUAUAUAAAAAUUCUCUAAUUUGUUCACAAGUACCAUAGAUUAUAAUUCAGUUAUGAAAUAAAAUAACUACAAUUAUUAUAGUUAAAUGAAUACUUCAUUAAUUCUUAAUUUGCAUCCUAACAUUAAAUGAACAACUUGAGUCAGCCACCUGAAUUAACCAGUAACAACGCCUGAGUCAACCAUCUGAAUAAACCAGCAACCCUAGCUGAUUCCAGCACCUGCAAUUAACGUCAGCACAACAGGAACAAUCUUAAAUCAACACCAAGAACAGACCAAACUGCUGUCAAAUGUCACAAAACCAAACAGUCUGCUACUGCCAUCAAAUGCAAGCAAACAUAUGCAACAAAACCAGAUGCAAGUGAAAUUCUGGAGAAUAUCGGAUAAACCAAACCAAAUGCCACACUUCUAGUAAUUAGACUAGAUGCAGUGUUCAAUUAAACUAAAUGUAGUCUCAUAUUACAUUCAAAAUUUCUAAAAGAAGCAGUGUUCCAUCAGAGAAGCACCAAAACCAAACCAAUCUAAUCCAGCAUAAUUACCAGCUCAACCCAAAACAAUUACACAUUAUAUUGACAUAUCAAAAUUCGCUAUCAAAACAUAGCCAAAUAAAUGAAAAUAAACUCAAAACAGACCCAAACCAACUGAUGUUGCAGCCCUAGUAGUCGUUGUCCGUUCCACUGCCAUGGGAGCGAGGGUAGGCUCCGUUGUCGAUGAGUGAGUAAGAUAAGGCUCCAAAUAAAUAGUUCCACCUCCUUUCUGCAAUUCAAAAAACAGAAAUUCAUAUAUGUAAAACUAUUAAAAAUUGUGAAACAACCUGUAAGUAUUCAACUUCUGUCAACUCAAUAGCACUUACUAAAGUUUUUAUACAGAAGAAAAAGGCAUUUUAAGUCCAAAAAAUUAGAAUUAUUGGUUGAACUCCAACUCCAUCAAUCCAUGCAACCAUCCAAUCUUUAACGAAAAAAUGAAGCAUAAUUAACCAGACAUCUGAAUCAGAAAGAUUGUGCUUUCAUUUGGCACGAGGUGUUGGAAACAACUUAACAAAUCUAGACACAAUCUAUAACCAUCAAGUCCAAACAAAAGUCAGGAUCUAAAAUACUUUGAAAAAUCAGAAAAGCAGUUUCAAUUUCUUUUUCAUCCAUUGUAAGCUCAAACUAAAGGUAGCCGCGCUACCUUUAAACAUCAUUUGGGCUUAUACAUGCGACAUUUGCUCAUGAACAACUAAAGUUGAAUAAGAUUUUUAUAUGAAACAGAAUAUAAAAAGUCAAAGUAGAAUAUGACAGGAGCUACAAUAUAUUAUUCAGCAUCAGCAUUAUGUAUAAAAUAAAUUUAGAGGCAUUAUAUUCAUUCACAAUCUUGCAGAGGUAACACCAGAUUAUGGCACGCAUCUCUUGAAUAGCAGAUAAAGGAGGAGAUGCAGUGGGAAGGUAGUAACUUGCUUGCAUGAGAACUAGAAAGUAAUAUCCCAAGAUCAAUUAUAGAUCUCAUAAAACAAAAACAGUGAGGCAAACACAAUUAUACAAUCCAUCUGUCAAAAGGCUAAGCAUAUGAAUAUACAAUCAACACCAUUCUUCCAAACGAAUAUAAAGUCAACACCAUUCUUCUAAACACAAACAAAGUUUGAACGUAUGACAGAUUUUUAGCUAUUUAAUAUUCCAUCAAAGAUAAUUAGAUAACACCUACCAAGGAUUUUUGAAAAGAAUGCAUUCUCAUCUUAAGCAGCAACCUCACCAGUAACACAUUUUCAUACCCUGUUUCCACCUCUGGUCGCACCACCAAAAAAAUUCAGUACUAAUUAGCUUCAACAGAAUCUGUUUUUUUUUUUAUUUUUUAUUUUUUCCAAAAUAAACCUCCAUUCUUAUACAUAAAAUUAAAAUAUCAAUUAAAUACACAAAGUCUAUGCUUACUAGUAAAACACGUCCAUUUUUAGGUAGAGGCAGAUAAUAAAAGAAAAUUGAAACUGAGAUAAAAUAAGAAGAGCUUACUAGGUGCAUUUGAUCAACAAUCCAAUCCUCAACGAUGGAAUCGAUGCCAUCAAAUAAACAUGACUUAAUCUUGAAACCAUAAACUGCACUAAGCAUAGCACCAAAGCCAGAGCGUGACUAUAAAGAAGAAAAAUAAAAAGAAGGAAAAGAAGAAUUAAAUCAACAUGAAAUUCAACUGGAACAAUACAAAAUAUGAAAUUUUUAGCAAUCUUACUAGCGUUAGGGUUAAGGCUUACCAUAGAGAACUGGAUGGCGCUAACUAAAUGACAAGUUGAAACGGCAUCUGCAAUCGUAUUGAAUGACAUUGAACCGCGAGGUAGGGUUUAAAUGAAUACCGAGCAGAGAUAAAUUGGUGUGGUGAAUUAGGGUUUUGUGGCUACGUUUUAUUUCGAUUGAAAAAAGGAAUUUGAGCUAGGCUUUAAUUCAACGGUGUCGUUAAUUUAAACAUUCAUUUUAGGUUGCAGUGGCCAGUGGAGAGAGAGGGAUUCAUUCAACGCUUAGCCAAAACUUGGCUGUAAGUGUUGAUGUGUUUUAAGUUAUACAGAACGGUGUCGUUAAUUUAAACAACACUGUUUUACAAUUUUAUAAGUUCACAAAACCUAAGCAUGACUUACAUGUAUCAUUUAUUUAGGACGGUUAAGUUAUAAGCCAUGAAUAUGUCAUAUAUUCUGGACAUAUGAAUAUAUAUUAUGAAUCUAUCAUAUUUUUAUGACACAUUUGUCACACAAUGAUAUAUGUCAUUAAAUUUCUGUUAUUAUUUAAUACUUUUCUAGUAGUGUCAAAUUUUUGAAACAUUUCUGUUAAUAGUAAAAACUCUAAUCCUUUAGCAAAAGACUAAAAAUUAACAAAAAAAUUUCUGUUAAAAUAUCAGUUGGCUCAUGAUCAACACUUCAAUACUGUUUGUUGUAUUUUCUUUCUUUCUUUCUUUGUCAUUUUAUUAGAUUUUCUUUGUAUCAUAGUUUGUUUUACUUAAGUAAUUGUUCAUUAUUUAUGUCUGUGUUCUUACUAGCUUUUGCUAAUUUAUAGUUGGUUUUUUAUUCAAACCCUCGAAGUACCUUUUUGUUAAUAAUAAAACCUCUGAUCCUUAAGAAAGAAAAAGAAAUUCUCUAUUUAGUUAUUAGUUGGUUCAAGAUCAAUAUAGCCAUAUUGUUUGUGGUCUUUUCAUUCUCUAUCUUUCCCUUUAGUUCAUUUUAAUUUAUUUGUAUUCCUUUCUUUGACACUUGUAUUUAUAUAUAUAUAUAUAUUGUUAAGCAACAGGCAAUGGCUGUUGACGGGUGUCUCCCUGCUUUUCCCAGCAUUGUAUCACAAGGUUCAAAAGCAUUAUUCGAACCGAUUAUGCGGCACAUAUCUUAUGUGUUCGAGUACCAAAGCUACAUAGAUGGGCUAAAAGAUUGAGUGAAGGAGCUGGAAUAUAUAAGAGAAAGGGUGCAAACGCUGGUUAGAGAGGCUACUCUACAAGGAGAUGAGAUUUAUAAGGGUGUCUGAGACUGGCUAAAUAGAGUUGCUGAAUUCAGUGAAGGGGUUUUAAAAUCCAUGAUUGAUGAUAAAGAUAGAGCUAAGAUGUUCUGCUUCAAAGGGUUGUGCCCAAAUUUGAUUUCUCGUUACAAGCUUGGUAAACAAGCAGCAGAGGCCGCAAACGAAGCGGAUAAACUUGUGAAAAAAGGCGAAUUUAACAACUGUAAUCAUGUUUCCUACCGUCCUGCUCCAGAGAGUACAGAGUAUGUGCAAGUGAAAGAUUACGUAGCCUUUGAUUCCAGAAUGAAAGUAUUCCAAGAUGUUGCAAAGCAAGUUAGGGAAGAAAAGUUGUUCGAUGCGGUUACUUCCGGGGAUGUUGAUGAGAAAGAUAGAAAGGAUAAAAGUAUUCCAUUCAUUAACUUCCGGGGAUGUUGACGAUCAGAGACAAUGCAAAAUAAUAUUGACGUCUAGAAGUCGAGAUUUAUUAUUGUGCAAUGAUAUGAAAUCUCAGAAAAAUUCCUCGAUCGAUGCGUUAUCAAAAAAAAAAAAAAGAAGCAUUGGAUGGCGAUCGAGGAGUAUUCAACAAAAAUACUCCUCGAUCGUUGAAAGAUGCGGAGGUUUGCCUGGUGCACUGAGUACGAUUGCAAAUGCUCUAACAACUAAGGAUCUUGACCGUUGGAAAAAUGCAUUGGAUCGAUUAAGAAGUUCCAAUCUAGGAGAAAUUCAAGGAAUGCGUGCAGAUGUAUAAACCUCCAUAAAAGUGAGUUACGACUUGAAGGAUUGUAUAUAAACAUUAAAUUGAUCUAAUUUAAUUUGUAUGUAAACAUUAAAUUGUAUAUAAAUACACAGAACAGAACCAUAUCAGUGUUGGAAAAAAAAAAAAAAAGAAUCCAGAGUUAUAUAAAUUCAAUAAAAAAUUAUUGAAUUUUUUAUUACUAACUUUGAACACUCUAAUUUCAAUUAAAAAAAAUUAUAUUACUAAAAUAGUCUUAAUUGAAUUUACUAUUAAAGACAUUAGAAUAACUCAACACUAAUAUUCUCAAAUAUAUUUCUCUCCAUAGUCUAAUCUAAUCCAUUCUAGGAAUCCUAUAGAAAAUCUAUUAUUUACUUUUUCCUUAUUAAACACAAAAACAUGUCAUUUUGUUGCUAACUAAAAUUUUGGAACUAACAACAGCAGAUUAACUAAAAUUUUGGAACUAACAACAGCAGAUUAACAAAAUUAUCAGAAAAAGAAAUCAAACAAGAUUUUAAUCUUCGUCAUCUUCACUCUUGCCUUUUUCUUUUUCUUCACACAUGUGGCUUGCAGACGCAUUCCCCUCUCUCAUCCUUCGGGCCGCCCUUCAACAAUAUCCAAUCAUCGAUUAUAAUUAUUUAGAUUGACCAAAUCAAGCAUUGAUCAUAUAUUGGUUGAGGUUAGAAGUAGGCAGGCAGCAACGAUAAUACUACUAAUUAAUAUCUCAUGAGAAUUUUAAAGAAAAAUCUAACGUUGCCCAAUUUGUUUGAUUUCAAUGAAGUAUUUCUCCUACUUAUACUUUCGCAUAUUCUCUUUUAUUUCCAAAGUUAAGGUUAUGGAUGUUGUAGAGUAAAAAGAUGAACAUUGCUAGGAAAGCAAUAAAAGGAAAUAAAUAAAAAUUAAAAAUAUAAAAAGAGUUAAGUCAUUUUUUUUCUAUUAGUGUUUUUUUAUUUAAUAACGAAAGAUAAAAAUAAAGUACAUAUUAUCUAUUGGAUUAUUAAAAUAACACAGGUAUAACACAUGUCAAAAUCUCUUUAUUAUAAUAUUAGAAAAGAUUAAAUUAGGAGAAUAUUCAAAUCGGCGAAAUAAUUAAUAAAUCGUAUUUAUUAAUCAUCCACCCAAUUCAUGCAUACCCAAAUGGCCGUCAACGAGCUAACCAAAUCCCAGCUUGUUGUAAUCUGGGUUGGGCUUUUUGGGCGAUAAUUAACUGCCCGAGCUGCUCAUCUAGCCCAAUAGAGCCUAACAAAAAUUUUCGCCUAAGCUUCACAAAAAUGUUCAUAAAUCUUUUUUUUUUUUUGGUAUCAUAAAAACAUAAAUUUAUUUCAAACACUUUUGGAGCUUAAUAAAAAUUUCCCAACAUUUCAUCUGACAAAGGUAGUUUAAAAGUGUAUUCGUUAAAUUCUAAAAUACAUACUUAAAAUCUUUUAGUGACAAUCUAAUUAUAAAUUAAAGGUCUAUUUGAGAUUGAGAUUGAAAAGUUAAAAUGUUAUAGUUGUUGUAGUUUAGGAGUUAAGAUGAUUUGAUUUUACACUUAUAUGAUAAAAAUUUAUUAUAUCUUUUCUAAUUUUAUCAAAAUUAUUAUUAAAAAAUUAUAUUUAUUAUAUACUCUUAACUUUUAUUUUAUACUUAAAACUUUUUUUUCUUACGGCAAAAGUUUUAGCACCUCAACACCCAACCAAGUCUAAAAUUGCACAAUAAUAAUUAUGAAUGCGAAUGUUAAAAUCUACACACAUUCGUACUUGAUAAUUUCAAUCAACAGUGUUACAAAAUUAGUUAAAAUAUUAUAUAUGAAAUUAUUGAGGGAAAAAAAAAAGAAAAAGAAUGUUGUUUUCAUGAUAGUGAUGUGUCGUGCACAUUUUGCUGUUGGCUCUUUGGUCUCUAACCUAGCGAAUAGGUUGUUGUGUCCUCGUUGUUAGAUGCCCGAACAGUAGCGCAAGAACUUUGUACUAUACCAUAUAUUUUAUGAAGGUGAUGAUGUUACCAAUAAAGAUGAGUAAUAAACCAAACGACGUCGCUUCCCUAACCUGUUAGAAAUAUCAACGCGCUCUGUCACCCUCUCGUUCCAUUUAUUCAUUUAGUCCAGUCAGGGGAUUGACGAAUUAAAUAAACAACAACAGUCGUCUGAUCCCUGCAGAUCGCCACUCAUAUUUAAUCCAACGGUUGGGAUAUGAACCCCUCUAUAACUUUUAUUUGUCGAAUCAGCCACUCUCUCUAUUUAAAUUAAUUUUUUUUUUCAACGGCCGACGAGUGCUGAUGUAUCAGAGACGCUUCAUCAAUCAAUAAAAAAAUCAAUUGAAAAGUACGGUAUAGUGAGUGGAAGAGAAAUGCCAAUGAUAGAUCAAGGGAUGAAGAUACGAGCUCACUUAGAUGGGCGGAAAUUGACUGCUUGUAAAGUGACAGCCAAAUUUCUUGCAAGUCCUCUCCUCAUGAAGUUUUCUCUUGGAGACCUCAAAAGGAUGAGAGAGUACAGUCGAGCCGUCAUGACUCAUUAAGUCACUCCGGGGUGGGUGGUUAUUUUCACUGCUUUAUUGAGGGUCUGUAGCUGGUAGAUACAGAUUUAGUUUGGUCAGGGGCUUGGUGGGGGUGCUCUCUAAGAGGCUGAGACACCAAUUAAUUUACCCAUUAUUGUUCAAAACAACCUCCAACGGAUGGAUCCAGAAGAGCUUAUAAGGAGAUGCAGAGCAAUAAGAUUAAGUGAAGAGGAGGGAGGGAUAGUCUCUUUCAAGAUAAAAAUGAAGGCUAAGGGAGAAAAGAUAGCUGCGGGCUGUUUGGUCGGGAAAGUGCUCCACACAAGAAGGGUCAACACUGAAGGCUUAAAAAUGACAAUGCAGAGGGUGUGGAAAACUUCAAGGGAGGUCAAGAUAGAAAGUUUAGGGGAUAACACGUUUAUGUUUAGGUUUGGCUCAGAGGCAGAUAAAAGAAGUAUCAUGGUGGGGGGACUGUGGCAUUUUGAUAGAGCCCUUAUUGUGCUUACCGAACCAGCAGGAAUAGGGGAUAUAAAAAAGCAAGACUUUAGUCAUGUAUCAUUCUGGGUACAAAUCCAUGAUGUUCCCGUUAUGUGCAUGACUAAAGAAAUGGCCACCGAAUUAGGGGAGGUAAUUGGGAAAGUCGAAGAGGUAGAAACAGAUGCAACAGGGGAAUGCAUUGGACAGUUCCUAAGAUUAAGAAUUUCAGUGGAUGUUACAAAGCCGCUAAAAAAGAUAAUUGAGCUGGAACAAGAAGGGGAAGAGGAAGAGGAAGAGGAUAUCCCCAUGCGUGUGAUGUACGAAAGAUUACCUGACUUUUGCUUCUGUUAUGGGAGGAUAGGGCAUCAGUACAGAGAAUGUGCUCACUACAAAUCUCAAUCCAAAGAUGAAUUAGCUUAUGGUCCAUGGAUUAAAGCAACUACCACAACAGAGAGAUUAAGACAGAAUAUGGGAAGAGAUAGAUGGGAUUUUGAGCGUAACAAUUUCAAUCGAAAGAUCUCAACCCAGACAACAAUGGAAACAAGCAGAUACACGGUAGAGGAGGAGCAACACAGGAGGGGGGAAUCGGGUAACAGGUGGUGCCCAGACCAUCAGGAUCCGGGUAAGGAUUACUCGACUGAUGAAAUGGGUAUGGUUCAGAGGAUAGUUGGGACGCAAUUAAUGAAAGGGACUGAAACAGGCCGAAAGACCCCUGAAAAAUGCAACCUAGAUGCUGGGGAUAUAGUAUCUUGGGAUACGAAUGGGCAAGCAGAAAUGAGGGGAAAAAGGAAAGAGUAGAGAGAGGCAAGCCUUAAGUCAGAAAAAGCAAAGUUUCUUGGAAUGGCAAACGCGGGAACUUUUAAGAGGGAAGAAGUUGAUGACUUGGGGGAUGGGAAAAAGGGGGGAGGCAAACAAGAGGUAAUGGUGGGCUCGGCCCAUGUGGAAACUGAAGCUAAGAAUGCAGACAAUGGGAAUUGCUUGGAUAAAAUGAAGCACAGGAAAAAGAAAUGGAAGACACAAGCCCGAAAAAUAGAAAAUAAAGCAAGGAUAAAUGAAGCAAUCAUAAACUUAAAAAGGCCCAGCAGUGCUAUGGAGUGGGAGCACCCGGAAGCAAAAAAAUGCAAAAUAAAUAGCUGGCAGGGCGCUGAACAUUCAUCACAGCAUCAGGAAGUUACUACAACAGCUACUCAGCUAGUUUUCGAAAAUGAAGUCGGGGAUGCUUCAAAGGGGGCUCUGAAUGCUGCUCCUAAAAUAUCGGCGGAGGCUGGAAGACAGCCCUGCCGACAGCCAUGAAGCUAAUAAGCUGGAACGUUCGGGGGCUGGGGCAAGACCGAACGUUCCGAGAAGCCCAACAAAUCUUGCAGGAGCAUAGACCUCAACUUUUAUUUCUUUGCGAAACAAAGAUGACGUCGAAGCAAAUGCAAGAGAAAGUGAGUAAGAUGAAAAUUCAGAAUUGUUUUUCAGUUAGCCAUGAAGGAUUGGGAGGUGGGUUGGCAAUGUUGUGGAAUCCAGGGACAAUAGUAGAGAUAAAGUCUUUUAGUAAACAUCAUGUGGAUGCAGUGGUUUGUAACGAAAAUGGCAAUUAUUGGAGGUGUACGGGAGUGUAUGGCCAUCCAGAAUCAGAUUAGAAGAGACAUACUUUGGAGCUAUUAAGAAGGUUAGCUACUUUAUCUUCGCUGCCGUGGCUUUGUUUCGGAGAUUUCAAUGAGGUGUUGAACUUAAAUGAGAAAUUAGGAGGAAGAGAUAAGAGGAUUAAUAUAGUGAAUGAGUUUAGAGAAACUAUUAGGGAUUGUGAUUUAAAGGAUUUAGGAAGUAUUGGGUACCCGUUUACUUGGUCCAAUAGACGGUUUGGCCCUCACAUUAUAGAAGAAAAACUCGACAGAUUUUUGUGCAACAGCAAUUGGGGAAACAACUUCCAAGAAAAGGUUGGGCGGAAUUUAAUUUCUUGGAGCUCAGGUCAUAGUCCAAUCUUGAUGGAGGUGGUAGAAAAGAGGAAGGGAAAACGUUUUAUGAAAAGAACUUUCCCAAGAGUCCAUUAUGAAGAUAUGUGGAGCUCGUACGAGAAGUGCAGAGAGAUAGUGAGGCAGGAAUUGAGGGAGGUGAAUUAUGAGAAUGGUAGCAAUCCAAUUGAAAUCUUCAAGAAAAAAUCAAAGAUGUUGUUGGCUGAAUUAAAGAAUUGGAGCAAUGAAGAAUUUAGUGGGAGAGAAAAGAAGCUGGAGCAGUUGCAAAACAAGCUGAAGGAUAUUAAAAUCGGGCACAAUCAUGCUGUUAAUGGAGAGGAGAUUACAAAAGUAGAAAAUCAGAUAUCAUUCUUGACAAGGAAGUUUAUUGGAGGCAAAGAUCGAGGGCGGAUUGGUUGAGGCAGGGGGAUAAGAACACAAAAUUUUUUCAUUCGAAAGCCUCUGCGAGAAAGAGAAAGAACUGGAUAAGUGGGCUGGAAGAUGAGAAUGGCAAAUGGCUUGAAGAAGUUGACGAUGUAGAGCGGAUGCUAUGUGAGUAUUUCACUAAUAUCUUCACUACAACAAACCCAUCAUUAGGCCAGAUAAGCACAGCCUUAUCAAACCUGCCAGCCAAGGUUACAAGGGAGAUGGGGAGCUUCAUGGACCAGCCGUUUACAAAAGAAGAUGUAGCAGAUGCCUUAGCUCAAAUGUGCCCCACAAAAGCGCCGAGACCAGACGGGCUUCUAGUAGCUUUCUUCCAGAAACAUUGGGGUUCUGUGCAUCAAGAUGUUAUCACCACAUGCCUACAUGUUUUAAAUAAGGGAGGUAACAUUGCACCCCUGAAUCAUACAUAUUUAGCUUUGAUCCCCAAAGUGCAAAAGCCUAGAAAAGUGACUGAUUUCAGACCUAUUAGCUUGUGUAAUGUUAUAUAUAGGAUUAUUGCUAAAACGCUAGCUAAUAGGCUUAAGAAGAUUCUGCAUGUUAUCAUCUCCCCGACCCAAAGCGGUUUUGUACCCAAUAGACUCAUUACUAAUAAUCUUAUUAUAGGAUACAAGUGUCUUAAUAAGAUUAGACAAAGCAAGAGUAAAAGAAAUGGGCUGGUAGCUCUUAAACUUGAUAUUAGUAAAGCCUACGAUAAGGUUGAGUGGGAAUUUGUAAAAUGCACAAUGCAAAAACUGGGAUUUUCAGAAAAAUGGGUGAAGUUGAUCAUGAAUUGUAUCACUAUAGCAAGUUUCUCAGUGUUAAUCAAUGGAGUGGCAAAAGGCCUAAUCCAUCCUCAAAGAGGAUUGAGACAAGGCUGCCCCCUCUCCCCUUAUCUCUUUAUUAUGUGUGCAGAGGUGUUUUCGAACUUAAUGGUGAAUGCAGAAAAUCAAAAGCUCAUAAAUGGUCUGAAAUUCAGCAGAGAUCUAUCAGUCACACAUCUUCUCUUUGUCGACGAUAGUAUGAUCUUUACAAAGGCAUCAAUUAAUGAUUGUAGAAACUUAAGAAAGAUCUUUGACAAUUAUGCAGCAGCCUCAGGACAGGUUUUUAAUUUCGAGAAGUCCUCUAUGUUCUUUAGCAGCAGCACAAGCUCAGGUCAAAGGGAGGAAAUCAGAAGUAUUUUUGGUUUGAAUGUCAUUUCAAAACAUGAAAAGUAUCUAGGACUUCCAUCGAUGAUAGGGAGGAAAAAGACUAGCUUCUUUAACGACAUAAAACUGAGAGUGCUAAGCAAGCUAUCAAGUUGGCAAAACAAGUGUUUCUCAAGUCGGGGAAAAGAAAUACUCAUCAAAGCUGUGGCACAAGCAGUGCCUGCCUAUGCGAUGAGCGUAUUUAAAAUUCCCCAAGGGCUUUGUGAUGAUAUACAAAAGGCUGUAGCAAGGUUCUGGUGGGGAUCAUCUGAAAUUCAUAAAAGGAUUCAUUGGGCAAGGUGGGAGAAAUUAUGUUAGGCUAAGAUUAGGGGUGGUCUGGGUUUUAGGGACUUUUCAAGCUUUAAUCAUGCCCUUGUCGCCAAACAGGAGUGGAGGAUCCUACAUAAUCCUGAUGCUUUAAUGUCAAAAAUUUUAAAAGCCAAGUACUUCAAGCAUACUGAUUUUAUGGAGGCAAAAUUGGGGUCAAAUCCCCGGGGAGACAAGCGUUGCACAAGGGCUUAAGAUGGAGAAUAGGUAAUGGAAACCGGGUCUCAGUGUCCAGCAGGAAUCGAAUGCAAAAACUCGAAUGUUCCAGCAAUGUUCCUCACCAAAAUUUAGCAAAAAAUGUUGUAGUUGCUGAUUUUAUUGAUGACAAAAAUCAGUGGAUGGAGGAGAAGGUUGUGCAAUGUUUUCCUGAAGAGGUGGCACAAAGGAUUCUAAUAACCCUUCUGCCAAGAACUCCCCAGGAAGACCUGAUGAUUUGGCACUUUGAUAAGUAUGGCUAUUACUCAGUAAGAAGUGAAUACCAGGUGGCAGUUAGAAUGAAAUUCCCAGACAAUCCGGAGUGCUCUGAUAGCUCUAAAACUCAAUGGAAGGUAAUUUGGUCAAAUGAGAUUUCGGAAAAAAUAAAAAUUUUCAUGUGGAGAGCUGCUCAGAAUCUAUUACCCACAGCCAAUAAUCUAUGGAGGAAAAAUGUGGUGGGGAAUCCAGCUUGUCAAAGAUGUCAUUGUAAAAGUGAAAAUGUCACUCAUGUGUUAAUGGAGUGUAAGGCUGCUCGAAAAGUCUGGAAGUUGACAGAUUUUUACGAAGAUAUGAAGUUGUUGUCUCAGCAUGACAUACUGAGUAUGCUCCAAGAACUAGCAUCGAGAAGAAUGAAGAAAGAGAUUGAGCAGAUUUUUGCAAUAUGUUGGGCCAUUUGGUAUGCGAGGAACCGCUUUGUAAUUGAAGGAAAGCAGGAAGAGCCAAAACUGACAGCAGCUAGAGCUUCAGCUAUUGUGGAGUCAUAUAAGAGAAUCAAAACCCAAAACGGUCCAGCUAGAUCAAUUCAUUUUCAAAAUAACCAACAAAUUUGGACACCUCCUCCAGAGGGGAAGUAUAAAGUCAAUGUGGAUGCUGCGAUUCAAAUGGCACGUCUGAAGGCAGGGUUGGGGGCAGUGGUUAGGAAUUCCAAUGGAAAAAUCAUUGCUACAGCUGUUAAGAAGGUGUGCUUUCAGGGAACAGUGGCGAGCAUGGAGGCUGAAGCAGUCCUUUUUGGCAUUCAAGUUGCCCAGCAAGUAGAAUCUUUGCCCAUGAUUAUUGAAUCGGAUUCAACAGAAGUGGUGGAGCUGGUCUGGAGCAGGAAACGUAGCUCGACUGAAGUUUCUUGGACAGUAGAAGAAAUAAAACAACAGCUGCAGAUCUCGAAUGCAUGUCGAUUACAGUAUGUUCCAAGGAAGUGUAAUGCCAUAGCUCAUGCUAUAGCAAAAGUGGCUCUGGAUUUUGAGAAUUUUGUUAUAUGGUUGGAAGAUUUUCCAGUCCAGAUCAUGAUGUUACUCUCAAAUUUUAUCAAUUAGAAAGCUUUACCUUCUUAUCAAAAAAAAAAAAAAAAGCUCACUUGCAACGUGGUAUAGUUCAUCAUGGCUUUCCUAUAAGUUCAGGUCCUUUGAAUACUUUCAAUGAUCUUAUUAGUCAGAAAUUCAACAAUAAUUUUUACUUUUUACAUCCAGGAACAGUUUUAAGCACAAGCAACUCAGGUGGUCAAUAGGCCUCGUAUGUUAGCAAGGUCUCCGUUUUGGUCACUUAAGUCUCAUAUGUUAGGAAGACUCCCUUUUUAUUUUUGGUAUUACUUAUAAUAGCAAAUCCUCUUUUUUAGGCCUCUUUUUAGUUAGUAAUUAUCUUAUAAUGAAGAAUUUUUUUACACAUUUUAUAUUUGAUAACCUUAAUAUUAAAGAUCUCUAAUUGAUAGUAUUAUCUAAUUGUUAAUUUAUUAUUAGUUUUUCCAAAAAAAAUAAAUUCUUUAUCUAUUUAAAAAGUUAAUUAAUUAACAUUAUAAAAAUUUUUGUGCUAUUCUCUAUACAGAAAAUUAUUACAUUUAUUACUUCACUUCUGAAUUAAAAAAAAAAAGAUUUAUUGAAAUAAUAGUUCUAGAGGAAGUAAAAAAGAUAUCUUCUUGAUUAUUUUUCUUUUUUGAACAUUUUAACUAUCUUGUUGAUUGUUAAUAUUUACGAUAUAGUUAAAAAUUGAUUGAAUUCUAAGCUCUUUUAUGUUUCUUUAGGUGUUGAAGCUACUGAAUGUAAGGAGCCCUCGUAAAACAAUUCCCAUAAUGCCCCUAAUACUCUAAGGUCGACCCUGUGUAUAUCAUAUUAUUGAAAAAAAAUUGCUUCAAUACAGUAUGUGGUAAGGUUUAAUUUUAUAUGAAUUUAAGCUGAAGUUGGUACCUUUUAUUGUUUAAUACCAUGACAUCAGGUAAACUUUUAAUAGGUCUUCAUUUUAGGCGCAAGUACCCGAACAAUAGUUCCCAUGCACUUUGUGAUCUUAUUACAAAAUAUUAAACUAAAUAGCUGUGGAAGUAACAAAGAGGGCAACUUUUUACCAUAAUGUGAUGAAAAUAAUUCAUUUGUCAUCACGAACUAACCAAAUCAAAACAAAAAACUAGUGAUCAUAUGGUUCAAAUCUGUGCAACAAUGGUGCAUUUAAAAGGAAAUAAUGUACAGAUAAAAUUUGUGCUUGUAACAAGAACUCUUCUGUUCAAGCCAACAAUUCCACCUAGCAGAGGAAGUGUUUUAGGCGACACUUUCCAACUAAUGAAAGCAGUGAGCUCUCAUACUCUGUUAUCAUUUUCUAUUACUUGAAAAAGAGAGAAGGAGAAACGAGAGGAAAAACAGGGCUCCUCUGUUUUUAUUUUGGUGAUUGCAAAUAACAUUUUUUUUUACUUUUACUCUUUAUUUAUUUAAUUUUUUUAAAAAAACUUUUAGCUCAUUAGAUCUUGUUCUUGUUAAUGCGUCUAGUAACUUAUACGAUGAUCUGAUGAUAUCCGUAACAUUAACAUACCCAUAAUCCAUUAUUUUAUAAUUAUAAAAAUUGAAGAUUCGGUCAUGCAAUUUUGUAUGAUGAACAGUGUUUCAUUUUUCUGUGAAACAUAAGAACAAUUUGUAAAUAAUGUCCAUGCGGACCUUGUAAUAGCGAAGCAUCAUUAUUGAUCUUACUUUGAUGAUCGCACUUUAGUUUCUUUUUAAAGUGCCUUUUGUUUAUUUUAUCGGCAUCCGCUUUUACAAAAGUUUUGGUCCUCGUUCAUUCAUCAAAGCUUCUAAUUUUAUCUUUUAUUAGGCAUCUUACAAAAAGCUUAAUUUAAUUGGAAUCAUGUUCGAUAUGAAGAUUGUUUUACUUACUUCAGCCAUCUUUCAAUCAACCGAAUUUAUUCUUUUCUGACCUGGCAAUUAUUCAUGAAAAAAUACGUGCGUCAGUAGGACAACAGUGACCAAGUACAUAAUAUGAAAAUUCAUUUGUAUUGCUUACUCUAAUAAGCUCUUAACUCACACAUUCCUCUGCAGUUACUAGUGAUCUUUUGCUCACUAAAAUUGUUAUUAUAUAUUCAAGGUGAAUAAAGAAACUCAUCAUCCCAGAUAAUUAAAGAGGCGAACUUGUUCUAAAUCCUUUAAUAAUUUCUACUAAUAAUAGCAUAUAUAAUCUCUAAUCCUUGAUCUUCGUAGUAGUUCUUUCUUAAUGUCCAAGAAAAAUAUCUCUCAUUUGUCUUAAUCUUGUCAUUUAAUUUUCUUGAAUUCUGAGUUAGUGUUUAUUGUUAAAUUCGGUUUUCGGUUAGUAGCUGUUGGUUAAUAGCUUCGGUUAAUCCUUGAAUUAAACAUAUUAAAAUCUAAUCAUAAACCCGCCUUUCCCUAUUUUACGACACCCUUUGUGUAAUAGUGACUUCAAAAGUGUAACAUAUUUUGAACAAUUGCAAGGAAAGAACAUAUUUGACACUUCACGAAACGGUAAAGAUAUAAGCUUCAAUUCUUGUACAACAAAUUAAUAUAACUAACUUCAACCGUCAAUUGAUCAAUAAUUCAGUAACAAAAAGGGACAGAUAUCCUAGUCUUUCUUUACUAAUGAAGCAAGCCAUUAAACUUCGAAAGCUAUUUCUAUUUCCACAUUCUUCAUGCACCAAAGCAGCAAAAAGAAAAAAAAAACAACAAAAAUUUGGAAGUAAUCAUCUUUAUUCAGCAGCAUGCAUAUUAAUUAAACAUAUUAAAAAAGAGAUAUACAAUAUCAGGUCUGGAGACGAAAUGAGCCCACAGAGACUACCGAUAAUGUAAUGGCUUGAUUAAAAAUAUUAAUCAAGCCACUACAUUAGAAGAACAAGAGUUAAUCAUGCAUAGUAAUUAAAAAUUAUUUUUGCUAUCAUCCACCUGUUCUCUCUAAAUAGUUGUCACUAUUUUUUUUCGUUUGCCAGAAAUUCCAAGCAAAAAUAUAAUUAGAAGAACAAGAGUUAAGGGUUAAAAAAAUGAGGGCUCCUCUGUUUUCAUUCCCCUGUUUUUCUGUUCGGUGAUUACAAAGAUUUAAAUCAAAAUUUAUGAUGCAGGUUACACAGCACCUGGUGGAAAAUUGCUAGGGUUUACCUUUUAUUCUUAGUUACAAAUUUAAUUUAGAAUUUGUAGUGUGCGCCUUAUAUAAGUAGGUUUCCUAAUAGUAAAAUUAAAUAAUCUAAGUUUAUGAUGCACUAGGAUAUGAUUGUGAUAAAUGAGCUUUUUAUGUAUCCUGUGAGGCUGAUCAUUAUUUUACUACAUUGAAGAUUCAGUUAUCUCUUUGUAAUACUCUGGACUUCACAUACUAAACAGAAUGGAGCAUUAUUUUAUCCCGCUAAAUCAGUUUUUCAUUUUUUUAAAUUAAAAAAUUAUUCAUCAAACACUUUAUAGCUCUGGUUUUAAGUUGGUAAACACUUUAAGCCGCAACUUUAAAUUCAGUUUACGAGAAUCCCUAACAGUCACAGUGGCUGAACCUAUCCAGACUAAAACCAGAUCAUGAAAGCUUAUAUACACCAAGAGAUUUAUCUAGAAAGUACCGCCGGCAGCCAGUUCAUUCGUUUCUGAGUUUAUUUCCAGAAACCCGGAAACUCCCCUGUUUCUGCAAACAGGGCUUCUUUGUUUUCAGUCCCCUGUUUUUCCAUUUGGUGAUUGUAAAAAUUUAAGAUUAAAUAGAAUAAUGUAAAAAAAAAAAGAAAAAAAUGCCUUUCUUAAUUUUGACUUCAUAAUGUUGCAGCAACCGUCCUCUGUUAUCAUUCCCCUGUUCUUCAGUUUGUUGAUUACAAAUAACAUUCUUUGUAUCUACUCUUUUUAUGUUUAUUUUUUAAUUUUUAAGUCAUCAAUUUUUGUUCUUCUUAAAGCGUGUAGUAAAUUAUAUGAUCAUCUGAUCAAAUCCCUCACAUUAACAUACAGCAGAAUCUGUUAAUGGAAUUUAUUAUUUUAUCAUAAUUAAACAGAAGAUUUGUUCAUGCAGUUUUGUAUGACGAGGAGUUUUCAUUUUUCUGUCAAAUACAAGAACAAUUUGUAAAUAAUGUCCAUGAAAGCUUGAAUGAAGAAUGGCAUUUAAUAAUUUUAGAAGAAUAAUGGCUUAUAGAGCAUAUUAGUAGGGAUAAGAUUUGCAGGUGUUUGGUAACGGAAAAAGGAGAAAAAAAAAUGGAGAGUGGAGGCAUUACUUUUAUCUCAUCCUUAACUUCCGUAAGUGGAGGAGAACAAAGGGGAAAAGAGGGGAGUGGGGCAUGACCUUAAAAGGAGGAUUUAUUUAUGUUUUCGGGGUCUGCAGGGCAUCUUUUUCUCUCUUCCACUCAUGGAAAAUCCUUUCUUUUAUACUCUUUCAGUUUUCUGCAAAUUACUCAAAAAGCUUUUGGUUUUAAAGGCAAUGUUUAUUAAGCCAUAUGAGUGGUGGCACAAGUUUUUUGGCAAAGGCCCAGAAACUGACUUGAGUGUCGGAGGGUUCACGCCGGAAAAACUUUCGGCGCCUCUGACCGUCUUCUAUGAUUUUAAGUAUUCACAAGUUAAUCGCUAGUGGUUGCAGGACAUCUUGACGAUUGACCAAUCGAUUCUCUACCAAAUAAAUCUAAUGCUGGUGUAGAAGUUUGAUAUUAAGUCGCUAAUAGACUAGAUCAGAUUUGGGCAUCAACAUUUGGCACUGUCUGUGGGGAAUCGGUACAAAUAGCCAACUUCUUGUCUCUACCAAUUUUUCAUCCGGCCAAGCCAAAGGCAGAAUAUUAUCAUGCACAAAUUGAUAAGCUGGCUCAAACACGGAAGUCAAUCAAGGCUGGAUGGAAUGCUUACCUGUAAAGGUUUUGGCUUAUUUAUUGCUUUAAGUAUAUUGUCAUUAAAAUUCAAUUUCCAAUUGCUAUGAUUAUUGAUUUAUCAAAUGAGAGAUGCUUGGAAAUUCUUUAAUAACAUGCAUGUUUCAAUACCGUGCAUGAUAUAUUUGCUGAAAUUGAAUAUUAUCCCUUGGAAUUCGUUGAUAAUGUUCCUUUACAAAAUUAGCUUGUUAGAAUGGGCUUCAUUCAUAAUUCAAGAUUACAUGCUAUUAUACUUGCAAAUGAAUUAAUUUAAUAUUUUCCAACAACAUGCUUGACAUAAUGUUAACAGUUCAGAUUUAUUAUGGCUAAUUAUUCAGCUUCGUUAUGGCUAAUUAGAUGUGUAAUGCUACUACCAUCAUUAUUUUGCUGAUGUAUUUAUAUUUCUUGAUUGAUUGUUCUCUUUUCAUUGAACUCAAGAUAUAAAGUCUGUUCAAAAGAGCAAUCGAUUUGUGGUAUUAUCAAUGUUCAAUUUCUUAAAAUAAAGAUUACACAAAUUGUUAAAUUCAUUUGGUGGUAAGCAUAAAAAUCCACGGAUCUUUGGUUUCUUCAAGAUAUUUCCUACUGGUUUUACACCCCAUCAAUCAAUCAUGCAGCUAGUUUUCAUGUGAAGACUAUGCAGGGAAAGUAUAUAGACAAUUCUGGUAUAAAACUCGGUUCAUUACAAGUUGAGGCAGAAUUGUUAAAAUUCAAAUCAGGAGCUGUUCGUUAAAUUGCCUCAAGGGAUAUGAAAGUUCAAAAGUGAGUUUGUUGCUGAUUACACUACAUACACUACAUAUAUGCUUGAGAGAAUGUUGCCCAGGAGCCAAGAUCUAAACCCAGGUUCUGUUUCAGUUUAUUUAAUAUAAGUAUCAAACUGAUUGAGAGCAUGAGUUAUUCUUAACCAUAGCUUUAUUAUAUUUUCGCAAAGAGAACAUUAGAAAUUAUGCAUAUAUUCGCUGUCUUUUGAUAGUACCUGUCAUCCACAUUGCACAAAUUCUCAUAAUCGUAAAUGAGUGUUGGAAGAAGUAUAAUUAGCAUAAUCUGGAUGAGGCCGAGUAUUGGUAUUUUGGCUAACUUUAAUAAUGGUUUUAAAACAAAACAAAUUUUUAUUGAUGAUGAGAAUUGAUAGGCAUGUCUUCAAGCUUCAAAGAAUUGAUGAAGUUGGAUUUUUGUUUCCUUCAUAUUUUAUUCAUUUUGUGCCCGUGUUAAAAUAUUGCAAGAAUAAUUCUAAGAAGGGAGCAAAGCAGAGUCAAGCUCGGGAUUUGUUUGAUGAAGUACUAAUGAAAUAAUGCAGAGCACAAUCUCAGGUGCACUUGUUCUAAAACCCCAGUUUUAUAUUUAUCCUUUAAAUCCACUACCUGACUUCAAAAAUCUGAUGGAUGGGGUUUUGACUUAUUAAGUCGUUAAUAGAAAAUAGUUAAGAUUACAUAUUAUAGAAUAUAUAGCAUAGUCAUAUAUUAGCACACAACAUGCUUGACCGAAGGAUUGAUGGAACUUGGGUUAGCAUGAGAUCGUAUUUCCUUGAUACAGUGAUAUGACUUUGCUUAAACUUUUAUGGUACCAUUUAUUUGUUGAUUACAUAUUUUAUAUAAUAUGAUUUAUUUUAUAUAUAAAUUUUAAUAUCUUUAGUGUUGGGAAAUGGUGCUCCGCACCUUUAGCAAAGGUCUUUAAUAAUAUUGCUAACCAAAUAUUAUAGAUGGUAAUAAAAACACCAAGGAUGUUUAUCCAUCAAAGGCCCAAACAUAUAUAAAUAGCUAAAGCGCAAGUUGUAAAUGUGAGCUAUUUUCUGGACAAGUUAUAAGUUACAAGUCCGAAAUUAAAUUUUUGAUGGUUGUCCAUAUUUAAGGAUUUAAAGCAAAAACCUCAAAUAAGAGCACAUUGAAGGCACACAAAGGCUCUAAAGUCUCAAAGCCUGUUUUAUGGCGAGACAGGAAGCCAAACAUGCCAGGAUCUGCUCGACCAAGCAAAGGCAAGCAAACAAAAAAAGUUUCAAAAAUCUUCUAAGGCACGCAAAGGCUCCAAAGUCUCAAAGCCUAUUUUAUGGUGAGACAGGAAGCCAAGUAUGCCAGGAUCUGCUCGACCAAGCGAAGGCGAGCAGACCAAAAAAGUUUCAAAAAUCUUCUAAGGCACGCAAAGGCUCCAAAGUCUCAAAGCCUAUUUUAUGGUGAGACAGGAGCCAGGAUCUGCUCGACCAAGCGAAGGCGAGCAGACCACAAAAGUUCCAAAAAAGCUUCUAAGACAAGCAAAGGCUCCAAAGUCUCAAAGCCUAUUUUAUAGCGAGACAGGAAGCCAAGCAUGCCAGGAUCUGCUGGAUCAAGCGAAGGCGAGCAGACCACAAAAGUUCCAAAAAAGUUUCUAAGGCAAGCAAAGGCUCCAAAGUCUCAAAGCCUCCUCGAUGGCGAGACAGGAAGCCAAGCUCUCUAGAAGCUGCUCGACCAUGUGAAGGCGAACAAACAAUGAGAAUUCCAAAAAAGUUUCUAAGGCAAGCAAAGGCUCCAAAGUCUCAAAGCCUAUUUAUGGCGAGACAGAAAGCCAAGUAUGCCAGGAUCUGCUGGACCAAGCGAAGGCGAGCAAACCACAAAAGUUCCAAAAAAGUUUCUAAGGCAAGCAAAGGCUCCAAAGUCUCAAAGCCUCCUUGAUGGCGAGACAGGAAGCCAAGCUCGCUAGAAUCUACUCGACCAUGUAAAGGCGAGCAGAGAACAAAAAUCCCAAGAAAGUUUCUAAGGCACAUAAAAGACUUCAAAGUCUCAAAGUUUGCUCGAUGGCGAGACAAGAAGUCAAGCUUGCCAGAAUCUGCUCAACCAUGUGAAGGCAAGCAGAAAGUAAAAAAAAAAAAAAAAAGGGUACUUCAAGUGAAAGGCUUACAGUCUCUAAACCUCCUCGUAGUGAGACGAAGUCAAAGUUUGCCUGUUCUUGCCCGACCAAGAUUAGGCGAGCAAGAGUUAUAUGAGUGAAAAAUAUUCUAAAGCAGAUAAAUGACUAAGUCUCAAAACCUACUUCAGGUGAGAUAAAUACGUGAACUUAUGAAACCUGCUUUACAUGAUUAUGCGAGUAGGAAAAUGGUAUAUUUAAAGGCAUGUAAAAGUUUAAAACUUGAAAUUUUUUGCUAAUAGUAAGGUUAAUUUUUGCAAUCCCGAGCCGAUUUAUGCCAACCACAUCGAUGUCACUUUAAAAUUCAUAUAGUUUCCAGUCUUGAUUCGUUAAAACUCUCAACACUAGAAACUGGGGGACUGAUGUUUGGUAACGGAAAAAGGAGAAAAAAAUGGAGAGUGGAGGCAUUACUUUUAUCUCAUCCUUAACUUCCGUAAGUGGAGGAGAACAAAGGGGAAAAGAGGGGAGUGGGGCGUGACCUUAAAAGGAGGAUUUAUUUAUUUUUUCGGGGUCUGCAAGGCAUCUUUUUCUCUCUUCUUCUCAUGGAAAAUCCUUUCUUUUACACUCUAUUUCAUUUUUCUGCAAAUUACUCAAAAAGCUUUUGGUUUUUAAGACAAUGUUUAUUAAGCCAUAUGAGUGGUGGCACAAGUUUUUUGGCAAAGGCCCAAAAACUGACUUGAGCAUAAUAAACUAGUUAAUUAUUUCAUAAACUUCAACUUAACACUGAGCCAUAAACUAGUGCUUUCUUCAACUUAAUUAUUCUCACUGCAUAUUUGUUAAGGCUUCAUCUUUUGUCUUGAUUCUGGACUUCAAAAUUAAAUCUUAAAAAUCGGGUAUAAUAGGGGUACGUGAUUAAGUCUUCCUCUUUUGCAAUUCAUUGUUAUUACUCUCAUCAAUUCAUUCUUUUGAUAGCAGUUCUUACUUAAUAUCUGAAGCGAAUAGAGGAGGUCAUCGACUCUCUGAUCCCAUAUAAAUAAAGAGGUAUACAUGUUCUAAAUCCUUUAAUAAUAUCCUUUAAUAGCAGUUCUUACUUAGUUUUCAUCUACUUUCCAAGAAAAAAUUUCUCUGGUUUGUUUUAAUCUUGUCAUUGGUUUUGCUUGAGUUUCAAAUUAUUGUUCAUUGUUAAAAGUCUGUGAUCUUAUUAUAUGGCUUUGGUUAAUUAAAAACAAAAAGUCUGGGAUUUUAUUCAGACCCUUGAAACCUUUCAGUUAAUAGCAAAAUCUCUAAUCCAUGAGCCCCGGGGGGCGGGGGGGGGGGGGGGGGAAGAAGAAGAAAGAAUUCCCUGUUUAAAUAUCAGUUGGUUAAAUGUUGUUUGUUUGCUGUCUUUUACUUGUUUGUUUGUUUUUCAUUUUAUUAGAUUUGUUUUUUACUUGAAGAUUAAAGAUGAGUAAGAAAUUUUUUUUUAUUCUUUUCUGAGGCAGCCUACAAAUUUUAGAAUAGGGCUAAGAGUAAUUACAAAUUCAAUUAACCACAAAAAGUUAUUUAUAUUUAUCACUUGUAAAAUUAAGCUUAUCAUCCCAAAUAGAGUUGUUUGCAUUAGAAGUUUUCUAGCAUUCAUGAGCUUUAUCAUCAUAUCACAAGAUUGCCUGAAAAACAAGAUAAAUCAAUUUGAGCAACUUGCUCUUUAUUGAUUUUUUUUUUUUUUUUGCCUGAAAUACUAGGGAAAAUAUUAUAUAAGAACAAGAGUUAGAUGAAAAAAAGUUAAAACAAGUUCCUGUGUUUUCAUUCCCCCUGUUUUUUGUUUGGUGGUUGAAAGCUUUUAUAUAUAAAUUUUUAUGAUUUCCCGUUGGGACUUUAUUAAAUAAAAAAGAAUAUGUAAUUCUAAAUUUAUCCUUACGCAUUGAGUAAUUAUUAUUACGUUCUCUUAAUAUUUGUUCUUGCAAUUUUGUGUAAUGUGAAUUUCAUGUUUCUGUUAACAUAAACCAAUUUGUAAAUAAGGCCACGUCGAACAAAUGAAACAACAAAAAAGCAUCGUUGGCAAUACAAAAUCAAACUUUAUUAUUAAUCACUAUUUUUUUUUUGAAUAUGUAUAAAUCAAAUCAUAUACUGUUGAUCUUACUUUGAUAAUUUGGUGUUUAGUUUCUCUCAAAAAUGCUUUUAUAAAAGUUUUGGUCCUCAAUCAUUCAUCCAAGCUUUUGCUGAUCUUUUAUUAGGCAUAUACAUCGCGCUGUCACUUAAUAUUCAUUUCAAUUUCACAGUACACAAGCAACGUCUAUGCCAAAAUCAUUAAGGCACAACCGGUAUUUAUUCCAUGAAAACUUUAUUAUUUCUUCAACUUAAUUGGGUCGAACAACAUUUUUUAAAGUACUUUUAUCACACUAAACGGCUUUGUUAAACCUCCGUCUUUUGGUAUUGAUUCUAACUUGAAAUUAAAUCUUUAAGUCAUUACAAGUUUAUUUCUUCAUGAAAGAAUUCAAUAAUCAAGUGCGUGUGAAUUAAAGAAAAAAAAAAAAAGAUCAGUGAGAAAAGCCCUUUUUCAAAGGCAACCUACUGAUUUGAGAAUAGGGCUCAACCACAAGAAAAUAUUUACGUUUGCUUUUAAGGAGUAAAUGAUAGCUAAGCUAUUAAACUUAAUUCAAAUUUAGUCAAUCAUCAAUUAAUCAAUCCAACUAGUUCAAGUACAGAGUCAAUUGAACAAAUUCAUCACUUGCAUAAUUAAGCUUAUCUUCCGAAUUUGAGUUGUUUCCAUUAGAAAUUUUCCCGCAGUCACGAGUUACAAUCAUCAAAACAAAAUUAUUUAUAUAAGAACAAGAGUUAAAGGGAAAAAAGGUAAAGCAAGAUUCCUCUAUUUCCGUUCCCCUAUUUUUUUUUUUUUUUUUUUUUUGGUCUGGUGAUUUAAAAUUUUAUAUCUAAAUUUUUAUAAUUUUCCAUUGAAGCUUAUAUUUAAAUAAAGAAUUACAAAAAAAACCUAAUUCUAAAUUUAUGCAUUGAAUGGUUAUUAUUAUGCUCUCUUAAAAUUGGGUACAAUAUCAAUUUCAUAACGAAUAGAGUUAUUGGUUGUUGAAUAAUGAUGAGAUUAGAGAUUAUGCUGUGUCCUUCUUUUCAAAGCUCUAUUCCAAAGAGGAUGCAAUCUAUCAUCCAUACCAUGUUGUUAACGCCUUCCCAGUCCUUGAGGAAAGUCGAAUGCAAGCUUUGGGACAAGCAGUGGAGGAUGAGGAAAUUAAGAAUGUGAUCUUCAGCAUGAAGGCUUUGAAAGCCCCUGGAAUAGGCGGGUUGCAUGCUCUCUUUUACCAGACCCAGUGGCAUGUAGUGGGAAAAUCUGUCUGUAGUCUUAUAAAAGGUAUUUUUAAUGGCAACGAGAACCCUAAGGAGUUGAACAAAACUCUGAUUGUGUUGGUUCCUAAGUCGGAUAAUCCUAUUAGCCUUAAGCUUUUUCGUCCGAUUAGUCUUUGCCCGGUUAUCUAUAAAACUAUCACUAAGUUAUUAGCUAACCGGCUGAAAUCUAUCUUGCCUGACCUCAUUGGACCUACCCAGACUAGUUUUAUCCCGGGGAGACACAUAACGGAAAACAUAGUGGUUGCUCAGGAAGUUAUUCAUUUGAUGAGACGUAAGAAAGGGAGGAUUGGGCAGAUGGCCAUUAAGGUGGAUUUGGAAAAGGCGUAUGAUCGUUUAAGCUGGGAUUUUAUUUAUGAAACCUUGAGGGAGUUUGGAUUGCCUACUAUUUUGGUUCGGCUUAUUAUGGAAUGUAUUACAACGGCGACUAUGCAACUUCUAUGGAAUGGAGAAAUUACAGAGAUUUUUACCCCUUCUAGGGGUAUUAGACAGGGAGACCCCAUUUCCCCAUAUAUCUUUGUGUUAUGUAUAGAAAGGUUAAGCCAUGGAAUAAAUGACGCUGUGAAGAGAGGGCACUGGAAACCUAUUAAACUGUCUCGUGGAGGUACCUCUUUAUCUCACUUAUUUUUUGCUGACGAUCUUAUCUUGCUUGCAGAGGUUUCCUGUAGGCAAGCAAUGGUUAUAAUGAAGUGUUGAAUGUUUUUUGUAUGAGCUCUAGAGAGAAAGUUAGUAAAACAAAGACACAAGUUUUUUUCUCCCACAACAUAAAGUCUGCUGAGGCUAAGGAAAUUGGUGAUUCCUUGGGUUUUUCUGUCACAAAAAACCUAGGGAAAUAUUGAGGAAUGCCAAUUAUUCAUUCACGGGUUAAUAAGCUGACUUAUCAGGGAAUUUUGGACAAAGUGAACCAACGUUUGUCGGGGUGGAAUGCGAUACAUUUGUCCUUGGCGGGUAGGAUCACUCUCACUCAAUCGGUAAUCCAGGCAAUUCCUAUUUAUGCAAUGCAAACCACGAAGAUUCCGUUUGGUAUUCGGGAGAAAAUUGAUCAGGCUUGUAGGAGGUUUAUUUGGAGCGGGGCAGCAGACAAGAAGAAAAUCAGUUUGGUGAAAUGGGAUACAAUAUGUCAACUGAAACCUAGCGGAGGCCUUGGUCUUAAGCAGCUUAAUUUAAUGAAUGAUGCUCUGCUCAUGAAGAUUGGGUGGGUUUUAAUUGCUUCUCCAAAUAGUUUAUGGGUGAAGGUUCUCUUGUCUAAGUAUGGGCUGGCUCCUAAAGCCCUCCCCGGCACAUUACCUACGAAAUAUGGCUCUUACAUGUGGAAGGCUGUGGGAGGCAUUUGGCAUGAGGUUUUAAAAAGGAUCAAAUGGGACAUUGGAAAUGGCAACCGACUUAGAUUUUGGUGGGAUAAUUGGGUAACAGAGGAAUACCCUUUGUAUACUUUCGCUUUGCAGCCGAUACCUUUACAGCAGCUUGAGGAGUGUGUGGCGAGGUUUAUCACUGUUGAGGGUACUUGGAAUUGGCGGCUUUUUGAGAAUUUAUUUCCCCAUCAUUUACUUCUCAAAAUUGCAGCCACCAAGCCUCCCAGUGUAAAUGAUGAGGAUGAUUACAUGUACUGGGCAUAUUCUAAGUCAGGAGAUUUCACUACUAAUUCAGCAUAUAGGGCUUUGUCAAAAAUGGAGGUUCACAAUGAAGAAUCCUUUUGGCGCAUUCUUUGGCAGUGGAGAGGUCCCCAACAUAUCAAAACCUUUCUGUGGGUGGUGGGUCAAAAUAGACUUAAAACUAAAGUAGAACUUUUCCGGAGACAUAUUGUUGAUGAUAUGAGUUGUGCAAGGUGUGGCUGUGUUGUUGAAAAUACUCUUAAUGUGCUGCGGGAUUGCCCCAGUGCUAAGCAUGUAUGAUCGUCAUUGAUACCCCAUGGGAUUAGUCAUCAAUUUUUUAGUUUGAAUCUCCGAGAUUGGGCGUUAUAUAAUUUGAGGAACUUGUGGAAGUAUGAUGGUAUGUUUGACUGGCCGUGUCUUUUUGGGGUCACAGUUUGGAGGCUUUGGUUUUGGCGUUACCAAAAUCUGCAUAAUGGUGUUUUUACCAGCAAGAGUACUGUUGUAAUGGAUAUUAAGAUCUGUACAGAAGAAAUUCAAAAGGUUAAUCAGAGUUGUUUGGUUCCUGCUGCCAUGAAGAUUUAGAAAUAUUUUGGAUGGGUGACACCUACUUGGCCUUGUUUUAAACUCAACACAGAUGGAGCUCGUAAAAGUUCUGGUCUGUCUAGUACGGGUGGCUUGAUUAGAAACUGUUAUGGAGAGUGGAUAAUUGGUUUUGGAAUGAAUAUUGGUGUGGUUACCAUCAUUGGUGCUGAGUUAUGGGGCCUUUAUCAAGGGUUAUGUCUGGCUUGGGAUAAUGGAAUUCGGUAGCUUCAGGUGGAGGUUGACAGCCUUUGUGUUACUCGUUUGGUGGCGGAUGACGAGAUUAGGCCAAAUGCACAUGCUUCUCUUGUCAGGGGUAUUAUGUCAAAAGCAGCCAUCCAUCUAGAUGGUCAACAUUCAAAGAAGAGGAAUUUUGCAGCAAAUCAAAGAAAAUUCAUAAAGCUAGAUUGACAAAUGGAAGCCAUGCGGAUUGACGAAAUUGAAGCCAUAAUUGGUGGGCUAAAAUCGUUGAUUUUCUUGGCCACUAGUUUGCUAUAAAUAGAAGUGCAGAUGAAGAGCUUAUGCAUUCCAUUAAGAGAGAGCAAUUUAGCAUUUUGAGAGAGUUUAGAGAGCUUGAAAUUAUAAGCUCUUGUUAUUAGUGUUCUGAGAGUUUGGGUGUAUUGGGGUUUUGGGAAGUGAGCUAAAAUACUACAAUACUUGUAACUCCUUUUCACUAGUAAAAUAUUUCCUUCUGUCUUCGCCCGUGGACGUAGACUAAAAGCCGAACCACGUAAUUUUCUAGUGUCAUCUAUUGUGCUUGUUCUUUAUUUUAUUUCCAAUUUUAUUUUAGCUGCGGUCCUGCUGCACCCACCAAUUUCCUAACAGUGGUAUCAGAGCCAGGUUGUAUUUAUUUUUGGAGUCAGGAACUAUUCACGUAUACGGCGUACGGAACUAUUCACGUAUACGGCGUACGGCACUAUUCACGUAUACGGCGUACGGCACUAUUCACGUAUACGGCGUACGGCACUAUUCACGUAUACGGUAUACGGCACUAGUCACGUGAAACGGUGGAAGCGAUCCAAGAAUUUUAUGGUGCAAAGUAUGGAAUAGUGGUGUGAGUAAAGCAACUGUGUAGUUUUGUACAUGUCUAGGAAAGUUCUGUCACAAAGGCGAUAAGAGCUUAAGGAGUCUGGGUUUUAAGUGGGACCAUUGUGACCCCUCCAGUCUUUCCUGGGAACUUUCCUGGUGUGCAUUCUCACACAUACUCACAACUAUUCAAUGUGGUACACUAGCUUGUGUGCAGUAUUAUCAACAAAAUGGCGGCAAAGUAUGAAAUUGAGAAGUUUAACAGAAAUAAUUUUUCGUUGUGGAAAAUGAAGAUGAAAGCUGUAUUGAGGAAAAAUAAUUGUUUGGCAGCAAUUGGAGAAAGGCCCAUGGAGAUAACUGAUGACAAGUGGAACGAGGUAGACGGCAAUGCCAUUUCUGAUCUACACUUGGCACUUGCGGAUGGAGUAUUAUCCAGUGUGGCAGAGAAAAAUACGGCGAAGGAAAUAUGGGAUACUCUCACAAAAUUGUAUGAGGCCAAGUCACUACACAACAAAAUUUUCUUGAAGAGAAAACUCUAUACUCUUCGAAUGGCGGAAUCUACAAUGGUGACCGACCACAUCAACACAUUGAAGACUCUAUUUUCACAACUCACAAUGUUGGGUCAUAAUAUAGAGGAAAAUGAACGUGCAGAGCUUCUACUUCAAAGUCUACCAGAUUCGUAUGAUCAACUCAUCAUCAACCUGACGAACAACAAUCCAGUGGAGAGUCUAGUUUUCGACGAUGUUGCAGCCUCCGUAUUAAAUGAGGAGAGCAGGUGGAAAAAUAAGGAAAACAGACAAGCAAGUUCGCAGCAAGCAGAAGCGCUAUCGGUGACGAGAGGGAGAUCAACGGAACGUGGCCCCAGUGGGAGUCAAAAUCAAGGUAGAUCAAAAUCCAGAAGUAAGAAGAAUGUUAAAUGCUACAACUGUGGCAAGAAAGGGCACGUCAAGAAAGAGUGUUGGAGUAACCAGAAGAGAAGAGAGGGCAAAGAACCUGAGUCAUCAAAUGCUCAGGGGUGUGUAGCAAGUACCUCGGAUGAUGGCAAAAUUCUUUACAGCGAGGCAACAAUUAUUUCAGAAGGCAGAAAACGACUUUCUGAUGUCUGGCUUAUAGACUCAGGAGCUACCUGGCACAUGACCUCUAGAAGAGAAUGGUUCCACACAUAUGAACCUAUCUCAGGAGGAUCUGUAUAUAUGGGUAACGAUCAUGCCUUGGAGAUCGCUGGUAUUGGUACUAUCAAAAUAAAAAUGUUUGAUGGUACAAUUCGCACAAUUGGGGAGGUACGACAUGUCAACGGCCUGAAGAAAAAUCUAUUGUCUUUGGGACAAAUGGAUAGUCAUGGGUACAAAACUCAUGUGGAGAAUGGAAUUAUGAAGAUCGUUAAAGGCGCGCUUGUAUUGAUGAAGGCAGAAAAGAUCGGUGCUAAUUUAUUCAUGCUUAAAGGAGAAACACUACAGGAGGCUGAUGCGUGUGUCGCGUCAAAUGGAGAAGAAUCAACGAUGAUGUGGCAUCUCAAACUUGGCCACAUGUCAGAACAAGGCUUGAAGAUUCUCUCUGAGCGAAAAUUGCUUCCGGGGCUCAAAUCGGUAAGUUUACCAUUUUGCGAGCAUUGUGUUACAAGUAAGCAGCAUAGAUUAAAAUUCAGUAGAUCUAUUGCUAGAAGUAAAUGCAUUCUAGACUUGAUUCAUUCUGAUGUUUGGGAAUCACCGGAUAUAUCCAUGGGAGGUGCAAAGUACAUGGUGACUUUCAUUGAUGAUUAUUCCAGAAGAUGUUGGGUGUAUCCAAUUAAGAAAAAGUCAGAUGUAUUUCUAGUGUUUAAAGAAUAUAAAGCGCGGGUGGAACUUGAAUCUGAUAAAAGGAUCAAGUGCUUGAGGACAGACAAUGGUGGAGAAUAUACAGACGGAGAGUUUCUUGCUUUCUGUAAGCAAGAAGGUAUUCAGAGGCAGUUCACGGUGACAUACACUCCUCAACAAAACGGAGUAGCGGAGCGGAUGAACAGAACUCUUACAGAAAGAAUAAGAGCUAUAUUGAGGACUGCUGGUUUACCCAAUUCAUUCUGGGCAGAAGUAGCCAAAACCGCCUGUUAUAUAGUAAAUCGGUCGCCAUCUACAGCUAUUGGGUUGAAGACAGCGAUGGAGAUGUGGACUGGAAAGCCAGCUGAUUAUUCCUACCUACAUGCAUUUGGAUGUCCUGUGUACGUGAUGUACAAUGCCCAAGAAAGAACAAAGCUGGAUCCAAAAUCUAGAAGAUGUAUCUUCUUAGGGUAUGCUGAUGGAGUAAAGGGGUAUCGUCUGUGGGACCCCACUGCCCACAAGAUCGUCAUCAGCAGAGAUGUUAUCUUUAUAGAAGAUCAACUGCAAAGGAAAGAUGAGGAUGAAAGCACUGUAAAAGAAAAGUCAGAGAUUGUACCAGUAUAUGUGGAAAAUAAUCCAGAAGAUUUAGAUUCUUCUGAAGCAGCACCAGAGAACGAGGAACAAGAACCAGUCGAGUCCGAGGCUCCAGAAGUUCGUCGGUCAACUCGUGAGAGACGACCGCCAACGUGGCACUCGGAGUAUGUCACAGAGAUCAACGUUGCAUACUGUCUUUUAACGGAGGAUGGAGAGCCAUCAACUUUCCAUGAAGCUUUAGAAAGCUCAGAUAUUGCUUUGUGGAUGACAGCAAUGCAGGAAGAAAUUGAAGCUCUACACAAGAACAAGACAUGGGAACUUGUACCACUACCACAUGGAAGAAAAGCCAUUGGAAACAAAUGGGUCUACAAGAUCAAGCGUGAUGGUAAUGACCAAGUGGAGCGGUAUCGUGCAAGAUUGGUAGUGAAAGGAUAUGCUCAGAAAGAAGGCAUUGACUUCAACGAGAUAUUUUCGCCCGUGGUUCGACUCACAACAGUCAGAGUAGUCUUGGCAAUGUGUGCUACAUUUGACUUACAUCUAGAGCAGUUAGAUGUGAAAACUGCAUUUCUUCAUGGAGAACUUGAAGAAGAAAUAUAUAUGCUCCAACCAGAAGGUUUUGCAGAAACAGGAAAGGAGAACUUGGUUUGCAGGUUGAACAAAUCUCUAUACGGUCUCAAACAGGCGCCGAGGUGUUGGUAUAAGAGAUUUGAUUCCUUCAUCAUGAGCCUUGGAUACAACAGACUCAGUUUAGACCAUUGUGCAUAUUACAAGAGGUUUGAAGAUAAUGAUUUCAUCAUUUUGCUGUUGUAUGUGGAUGACAUGUUGGUAGCAGGUCCCAACAAAGAUCGAAUCCAAGAAUUGAAGGCACAGUUGGCUAGGGAGUUUGAAAUGAAGGACUUGGGACCAGCAAACAAGAUUCUAGGGAUGCAAAUUCACCGAGACAGAAAUAACAAGAAGAUUUGGCUUUCGCAGAAGAAUUACUUGAAGAAAAUCUUGCGACGCUUCAACAUGCAAGAUUGUAAGUCAAUUUCUACCCCACUUCCUGUUAAUUUCAAAUUAUCCUCAAGUAUGUGUCCUAGUAAUGAAGCAGAGAGGAAGGAGAUGUCUCGAGUACCGUAUGCAUCAGCAGUGGGAAGUUUGAUGUUCGCUAUGAUAUGUACUAGACCGGACAUUGCACAAGCAGUGGGAGCAGUCAGUCGAUACAUGGCGAAUCCUGGUGGAGAGCAUUGGAUAGCUGUUAAGAGGAUUCUGAGAUACAUCAGAGGAACCUCAGAUGUUGCAUUAUGUUAUGGAGGAUCAGAGUUUACUGUCAGGGGCUAUGUGGAUUCAGAUUUUGCAGGAGACCUUGAUAAAAGAAAAUCCACUACUGGUUAUGUGUUUACACUUGCGGGAGCAGCUGUAAGCUGGGUUUCGAAACUACAGACCGUUGUGGCUUUAUCUACAACAGAAGCAGAAUACAUGGCAGCUACACAAGCUUGCAAGGAAGCUAUUUGGAUACAAAGGUUAUUGGAGGAGCUCGGGCACAAACAACAGAAAAUUCUUGUGUUUUGUGACAGUCAGAGUGCCUUGCACAUUGCAAGGAAUCCAGCCUUUCAUUCCAGGACAAAGCACAUAGGAGUUCAGUAUCACUUCGUUCGUGAAGUAGUGGAAGAUGGAAGUGUGGAUUUGCAGAAAAUCCAUACCAAAGAGAACCUAGCAGAUGUUUUAACCAAGCCGAUAAAUACUGAUAAGUUUAUCUGGAGUAGAUCCUCUUGUGGCCUAGCAGAAACGUAGGCAACAUGAUUAUGGCGAAGCAGAAAGGAUGAUGUGGAGAUUGAUUGAUUUUCAAUCUAAUCUCCAAGUAGGAGAAAUGUCAAAAGCAGCCAUCCAUCUAGAUGGUCAACAUUCAAAGAAGAGGAAUUUUGCAGCAAAUCAAAGAAAAUUCAUAAAGCUAGAUUGACAAAUGGAAGCCAUGCGGAUUGACGAAAUUGAAGCCAUAAUUGGUGGGCUAAAAUCGUUGAUUUUCUUGGCCACUAGUUUGCUAUAAAUAGAAGUGCAGAUGAAGAGCUUAUGCAUUCCAUUAAGAGAGAGCAAUUUAGCAUUUUGAGAGAGUUUAGAGAGCUUGAAAUUAUAAGCUCUUGUUAUUAGUGUUCUGAGAGUUUGGGUGUAUUGGGGUUUUGGGAAGUGAGCUAAAAUACUACAAUACUUGUAACUCCUUUUCACUAGUAAAAUAUUUCCUUCUGUCUUCGCCCGUAGACGUAGGCUAAAAGCCGAACCACGUAAUUUUCUAGUGUCCUCUAUUGUGCUUGUUCUUUAUUUUAUUUCCAAUUUUAUUUUAGCUGCGGUCCUGCUGCACCCACCAAUUUCCUAACAUAUUAAGGAAUUGCUUAACAGAACCUGGCAAGUGCAGGUCAAGCAUGUUUACAGAGAAUCAAAUUUUGCAGCUGACUUUCCUGCAAACUCUGCUCUUUCACUACCUGUUGAAUUGCACAUUUUCAAUUCUCUUCCUUUAGGGGCUGGGUUUUGGAUUCGUCAUGAUUGUAUUGGGGUUUCACAACCCCGUUUUGUUUUGCCCUAGUCUAUGCUAGGCACGUCUUUGUACCAAAAAAAGAAGAGUUAUUGACCACUUUGUUAAAAAUGAACAUGUUAUGUUUAUACGUACAAUAAAACAAAACACGGGGUGCACGCUUAAGUCUUGUUCUUUUACAAUUCAUUUGUAUUACUUACUCUGAUGAAAUCUUUACUCACAUUCCUCGGCAGUUGACAUUGAUCUUUUGCUCAUUCUUUUAUAUUCAAGGCCAAUAGUGAAGCUCCUUUCAAAAAAUAAAAAUAAAAAUAAAAUAGAGAAAUUGUGGGCUUUUAUUCAGACCCCUGAAACCUUUCUGUUAAUAUAAAAACUCUAAUCCUUGAGCAACAGGUUAAAAAAAAAAAAAAAAAGAAUUCUCUGUUUAAUUAUCAGUUGGCUUAAGAUCAAUGUUGUUUGCCUCCUGUCUUUUCUUUGUUUUGUUCGUUUGUUUGUCAUUUUAUUAGAUUUGCUUUGUAGCUAAUUUUACUUGCAGAUUAAAGAUGAGUGAGAAAUGCCCUUUUUUUCUGAAGCAACCUACAAAUUUUACUUGCAUAUGUAAAGCCUUUGUUACUGAUUGCACUCAAUUGUUCAAUUAAAAGUCUUACCAUUUUAUUCUAUGAAAACUUAAUUAUUUCUUUAGAAUAUAUGAAAACGUAGAGUUGUGAACUAGUGCUUUCUUCUUCAACAUGCGUCAACAGGGCAACAAUAACCAAAUACAUGAUAUAGAAAAGCGGUGAAUGACUAAUUCUGUUUCUUUUGCAGGUCAUUGUUAUUGCUCUCAUCAACUCUUUUCUCACACAUUCCUCAGCAGUUACCAGUGAUCUUUUUCCUCUUUCAACUUGUUCUUAAAUAGAGAAGCUCACCAACUCUCUAAUCCCAGAUAAUUAAAGAGGUGCGCGUUUUCUAAAUCCUUGACAUCUGCUCUUUCAUAAGUUCCAUCUACUUUCCAAGAAAAAAUUUUCUCUGGUUUGUUUUAAUAUUGUAACUUAUUUUGCAUGAGUUUUAAGUCAGUAUUCAUUGUUAAAGCCUGUGCUCUUAUUAUUUCUUUUGGUUAAUUUGCAUGCUCUCCCCCCCCCCCCCCUCCCCGCGGCGGCGCCCCCCCCAAAAAAAAAGUUUAUAGGCUUUACUCCUUGAAACCUUUACUGAUAAUACCAAAAACUCUAAUCCUUCAACAAAAGAAAGCAAGAAAAAAAGGUCCUAAGUUUAUUGUCUUUUAUUGGAUUUGUACCAAAAACUCUGAUCUGUUGGCUUUGUAUCAGUAUUGCUUGUUUGUUGUCUUUUAUUUCAUUAUUUAUAUCUAAGUUUAUUUCAAGAUUACAGAUCAGCAGGAAAAGCCCUCUUUCUAAAGCUAACUAUACAGAUUUUAGAAUAGGGCUCAACCACAUGAAAAUAUUUACGUUGUAAUAUCUCAUAUUAAUAAUCUAAAAGCAACCAAUCCAACAAGUUCAAAUUCAGUCAAAUCUAAAAAAAAAUUGCUUUUAAGGAGUACAUGAUAGCUAUUAAACUUUGGUUAAAGAUCUUAUGAGGAAAAGUGAAAUUCAGUCGAUCAUAAAUCAACCAAUCCAACGAGUUCAAAUUCAUCACUUGCAAAAUUAAGUUUUCUUCCGAAAUUGAGUUGUUUCCAUUAGAAAUUGUCCCGCAGUCACGAGUUACAAUCAUCAAAACAAGAUUACUUGAUGCAUUAAUAAUCUUAUUAAAAAAAAAUACCAACUGUUAAGGGUUAAAAAAAUGUGCCAUUUUGUAAUCCAUUUAAAUCAAAAUAGUAUGUUUAAUCGCAAAAAAAAUAACUACUGCCAUGAUGGAGCACAUAGAAUAAAAAUAAAACUUUUAGUUUUACUAAUCAUAAAUAUACCAACUGAUAUCUCCAAAAAAGAAAAAUUUAUUUUUUAAAUUUUUAAAUCAUAUAUUAUACAAAUUUAACAUAUGUUCUAACAGUCAUCUGAUCCCUGCAGAUAUUAAUUGGGUUUAGGGUAAUCCUGUUUACAUAAAGAAUAUUGUUAAAUAAAUGUUUGUUAAUAUGGUUUCAGAUGAUGAUGAUGAUGAGUUGCGACUGCCAAUCAUGCGUAAUAUCAUAAUAAUAUUAAAAACAAUUAUCCCAACAGGUUUCCCAGAAUAUGCUAUAUUAUUACAUAUUAAAGUUAAUUAUAAACAACCAACAAAGUGUUGGCUCCACUGGCAAUGGAGUCCCCUUAAGUGGCUUGACUGGGUUUGCUCUCCAGUUCGAGUCGCAGGGAAGUCGCCUUUGUUGGGAGAACCUGUGCCUCCUGGUUCGAGCGGGGACUUCUAGUCUGGGUUGUGGUAGGGGCUUAAAGGUGCCUCCCACAGUUGGGGCCCUCCCCAGGAUACCUCGUGAUUAAUAUAAAAAAAAAAAGUUAAUUAUAAACUAAUAUAAAAAAAAAGCUCUGACAAAUAUUAUUUCUUGAAAAAUGAGAUGAUUCACCGCUGUUGUGUUUCAUGCUAAUUACUUUUCUCCGGAAAAAUAUUAUAAAUUAAAAUUUAACGAAAGUCUCAAUUUAUACGCUUAUAGCAUGUUCUAUAAUUUUUAUUUUUUAUAUAUAUAGUAUAAUUCAAGAAUUUAUACUGAGUAGAAGCAAAGAUCAAUCCCAUAUGUGGGUAACCAAAAUCCUUCAUAGAACAAGGCACUAUAAUAAUAACCAAAACCAGCCCUUCCUUUUGGUGCCGAUUGAAAACAAUCAUAUUGUGAUUCGCAAAUUAAGUGAGAUUAGUGACCUCUCAACUCAAUCAAAUACUUGCCAAAUUCAUUUCUGAUCAUGCAUCUUACCACCCACCCCCCCCCCCCCCCCCCCUCUUUUUUGCGUAUAAAUUGAGCAUGGUGGCUUUGAAAAUUUUAAGAUUCUUGAUGAUUCCAAAAUGAGAAUAUCAAUUGUUAAGCCAAUAGUAGAUUAUUGACGUUUUAAAUUGAUAAAUAAACACAACUCUGAUUUUAAAAAGUUAUGAUAACAACUUUAAAAAUUUUAAUGUGGAUAUAAAAUCACCCAUAAUAAAACGAUAUGAGAUUGAAAUAAUUUAUUUAAAUAUAAAUCAUCCGAUGUAAUGAAUACAAAACCAACCAUCAAUUUAAAUUUUUAAAUAAUGACAUUGAGAUGUGCUAUAAAUGAGUUCCAGGAAAUAAAUAUUAAUGUAAAUGAUAGCAACAGCUUCAUCCAUUAAUAUAAUUCUACUAUUAAGCAUGAAAUAUAUGACCAUCAACUUACAAUUGUAAUCAUUAAACUAGAAAUCAUUGAGUAUUACAUGAAAUCAUUAAUAUUGAACCUAAAAGAUAUAUGAAACUAAUGUUAAUAUGAAAUCUAGGACCAUUAACUUAAAAUUGUAAUUAGGAAAUAAAGCUUUACAUGAAAUCACUGUCAUUGAGCUUGAUAAUUCUACCAUUAAACAUAAAAUUAAUGCAAAUAUGAAGCAUAAGACCAUCAACUCAAAAAUUGUAAUCAUCAAAUUUUGAAUACCACAAAUUAAAUUUACUCUAUCUUUGUAAUGAAUACAUUCUACAGCCUUAAAAAAAAAAUAAAUAAAGGGUUAUUUUAGCAUUUAUAUGAGUGUGUAAAGUAAAAGUUGACUUUUAAAGUUGAUUCAAUAUAUAUAAACAACAUUAUUGAAUCAUUAUCUUUUUUUUUAUAAUCAUUAUUAAUAAACAUACUAUUUUGAUUAAAAAAAUAAAAUAGUGGAGCUUAAAUAUGUCUGAAAAUUUCAAAAUUAGUAAUAGAAUCAGUAGCGGUUCGAUCUCUAGACAACUUAGGCGGUUGCUUAGGGCCCUACUUUACAUGAAGAUCCUAUAAGAUGAUUAUUUUGUAUAUAAAAGAGGAAAGUGAAUUUAAAAAUCAUUAUUAUGCAUCUAAUUUAUUAUUAUUUUGUAAUUAUCUUUUCUCAAAUAAACUACCGAGUUCCUAUAAAGUUUAUUUAAUGUAGUACUUAGUAGUUUUAAUUCCUACAAAACCGAUAAAUUAAUAGUUUCAAUCCUAUAAAUUUGAUAUUUCAUUGUUAGAAUUAACAACUUAUAAUUAAAAAGUUUUAUAUUCAUUUUAAACCUCUAUAAAAGCCCCACAUUUUAUUACUUAUCCAUUAAAUUUUUCUUCUAACAAUGAAGACACCAUAUGUUCUCCGUUUUUGAGAGAAAGAAAGAGAGAGAGGGGAAAAAAAAUCUUGCUUCCUCUACUUUCCACUCAAGAAAAAAAAGAAAAAAUCUAAUAGUUUUUUUCUAUUCUCUAUGGCUAUUAGUCAUUACUCAAAUCUUCAAAUAAUUAAUAUAAAGAUAAAGUUAAUUUAUGAUUUCAUCUCAAACUUCAAAUUUCAGAUUUUAUUUUUUAUUAUUCUCUUAAUUAAUUGUAUUAUUUAUGUGUUCUUAUUUCUUUUUAAUACAUUCUUUUAUUCAUCUACUAUUUUUGUGUGCUUUUUUUUCUAUUGUGAAAUAAAUAACUAUAUAAAAAAACUUUAGAAAAUAGAAGAAUAAAAAAAUUAAUUUAAUGUAGAAAAGAAGUAGUAUAAAAGAUGUAAUUUGAGUUAAAAAAAAGUAAAAAUAUUAUAAUUGAAUUAAAAUUUCAAGGAUUGACAAUAGUGUAAUAUAAUUUUAUUUAAUAAUUUUACAUUUUAGAGAGUGUUUGAAGAAUUGAUUUUCAAUAAAUAUUAUAUAACUUAUGAGUAAUGAUAUAACCACAAACUCUUGUAUAAACUGAUGUGGCAUGAUAAGAUUGGUUGAAUUAAAUAUCACUUGGCUCACGUGAUUUUGUUUUUAUUAUUUUAUAUUUUUAUUCAACCAAUAAAUUAAUAUCACGUCAGUUUGUACAAGAGUUUGUGGCUGUAUCAUCACUCAUAACUAAUAUACAUAUUUUUUGUCUUAAAUUUAAGAAAAACUAAUUAAAACCAUUUGCCUAAGGCCUCAAAUAUGGUUGAGCCGGUCCUGAAUAGAAUAUAAAAGUACAUGAUAAAUAUUUAAAUUAAAACUCGAUAAAAGGUUAACAAAAACACACAUGUUGUUUUUUAGUGAGUUUGAUUUUAUUUUAUUUUUUUGGAACAAAUUCAAAACGACAUCAUUUUGGAUGUAUUUUCAUUGGGAUUUGGUUCUUCAAUUAUUUUUCUAAUAGCAGAUCUCAAGAUUGUGUGAUUACAUCACAACUUAACUUUUACAGUGAUCGAUUCCAAUAGCUCUCUAGUUGAAAUUUAAAUUAAUUAAAUAAAAAAUAACAUGGCCCUUAUCAAUUUGACGAUGGUAUGGUGUAAAAACAUCCUCUUGAAAAUUAUGAGUCAUCCAAAAAGAUUAAUUUUUUUGGGAUAUCUUGAAUGGAAGUAAACACAAUUUUAUGUUUUAUAAAAAGGUAAAACAUUAAGUAAUUAAUAAUAUAUCAAUAUUAAUUAAUAAGUUAUUUACAUUAGGCAAUAUUAUACGUUUGUGAAUUUAUUGGUCAUUUGUUUUUGUACAAUUAUUUCAUGACAUUAUAACGAUAUGAGAAUGACGAUUCAAACUAUCUUGAAUAUUGGAUAAUUGUUUUUUAAUUAACAUUUUGGGGCUGAAUUCAAUCGUGCAUAUAGACAAUUUUAUCUAUUAAAAGAAUUAAUUAUUAUGUUAAAAUUUAUUUUGGAAUUUAAUGACGAAGAAACUGUUUCUUAACUGGAGCUAUGGCUUUGGCCACGAGCUCCUCUGGUGUUAGAUUAUGAACCGGAACUCCGGUUGAAUUCGGUUGUGGUGGCGGUGAGUCCGCCGGAAAAAUCCGGAACUCACUGAGUUCGGAUGCGGACUCGGCCAUUUUAACUCAGGUUAAGAACUCCGUGAUGCGAGUGGCAAUGAGGGUUAUCUGUAGGGUUUAUAGCGGGUUUGGAAACAUUGGUCUUCGGUUUAGAUAUUUUUUAUUCCGUUAAAGAAGACGACUGAAACAACUUGCCGUUUAAUGAAAAUGACGUCGUUUAGUCGUAACGUUGUAAAAAAAUGAAUAAAAAAUAAAAAAUUACAUUGUCAGAAGUGGGAUUUGAACCCACGCCCUCUUUCGAAGACCAGACUUGAGUCUGGCGCCUUAGACCACUCGGCCAUCCUGAGUUUUUGAUGAGCCUGUCGACUUUCAAAAAUAUCUCCAAAUACUUUUAAUUAUAAUUACAUGACACUAUUAUUGACAAUAUAAUAUGGAUAUGAAAGUAAAAAAAUUUGAUUAAUAAAUUAUAACUAUCGUUCUACUAUUUUGUUCAAAAAAUAAUAUUAAAAAAAUAGAUGAAGAAUAAAAAUGCAUUAAAUUAUAUUGUUUAAUAUUAAUCAGUCACGGCUACUUGCGCUUAACUUUCCCUCUACGCCCAAAAUUUAGAACUUAGAAUAAUUUUAAUUAUUGAAAUAAUGACUAACUAAUUUACUUAGGAAUAAAGACAGAAUUUGGGGGAGGGAAAUUACCAAGCCUUUAAAUUUUUAUAAGUAAAUAGAAAAAGAAAUUCAAGAUGGCCAAAAUUUUUUUGCUGUAUGAGACCCCAAUUAAAGCGGGCAAAUUCCACUCAAACUUUAAAAGUUAGUGUGAGUAUAUAGGUUUGAUUAUUUUAACUUAAAACUUUGACCUAAUUAAACACAAAUUCAUAAUCAUUGUACUUCCAGACAUCAAGCGUGUAAUCAAAAUUCAGUUACUUUUUGUCUUGCAUUAAUUUCAUUGACCAAUAUAUAUUUCUUAAAUAAAUAAUAAUAGUUUGUAUUUUAAUUAAUGUUCCACUAAUCAUUUAUUGUCUCAUAAAUGAUAAUAAAUAAAUUUAUUAUUAAUUAUUUACAUACUAUUCUUACAACUUGAUCAAUGAACGACAUAUAACAUGCCACAUAAAAUAUCAGAGUAACUAAGAUAUAAACUAUGUAUUUCUUGGUCGAAUUGAGUAUCCGUAGCAUUAAAUGUAAAUCACUAAUUACUGCAAAGAUCAAACUUAUAUUUAAACGAGAGAUUUAACAUUAACUAAUACCAAAUAUUGGCGUUCAAUUACAACUUAUGAAAUACUCAACAUAGGUAAAACCACAGAAUCAUACGAUUCAUACGGUUCGUAUAAGCCUUUCGAGGCUAAUGCAUGUGUAGGCUUGAAGACAUCAUUACUAAGAGGCGGCUAAUAAUAUUAUAAUAUAAAAUACUGCUACUCAUGCAACUGGGUAGGAAGGUUUAGUGGCAAUGCCACAGAGACCUUCAGGUGCUUCAACAUCUCUGAGAAUCCUCAUGUAGCCGGCCUCACCCCAGCUCUCCCCCCAUGAAUUCUUAAUUAACCAAUACUUCAUUCCAUCUUCAGUUGCCCCAAAUCCAACGAUAGCAACAGCAUGAGAACACUGAGUUCCACAUCCUCCGUUAAAAAUACCGCCUUUGUAACUCUGGAAGUCUGGUCCACUUCCUUCAAUGCAAAUUGAUACUGGCUGCAUGGCUACAGCUUGGAGUAAAGCCUGCUCAUCAUUGGGUUUUACAUCUUCAAAGUUACUAAUUUUAGCAGCUGCCUUGACCUGUGCGUCUUCACAAGUCCCUUGGACUUCCUUGUAUGGAUAAUCCGCUUCUGAGGCAAUACCCUGGUUUUUUAUAAUAUAUUUAAAGGCAUUGUCCAUCCAACCGCCACCGCAUCCACGGUUACCAUCUAUGGAGCAGUCUAGUAUUUGCUGCUCCGAAAGUGGAAUAAGAUUACCACUACUAAUCUCAGUCACCCCUUCCACCGCCGCCACAGUUGAAAAUGCCCAACAGUCUCCUGCAUCGUACAUAUUAAGGAAAAAAAAAAAAAAAGGCUUGAUUAAGUUACAUGAAACAUGCCCCAGCAGGGGUUUGGCAGACGGUUGUCAAGCUGUUUUUAUUAAUUAGCUGAUGGUCAACUGAGUUUGAGUUCUGAAAGAGGUUGGAGGCUAAAUAAUCUAUUAUAGUUACUUCAUAAAUAUUUAGUAUACGAUUUACUUACCACAUUGACCUUGGUUCUUAAUAGGAGUGACAGCUCCUUUCUCUCUCCAGUCCAUGCUAGUUGGAACGUCAGUCAGGUUUUGAUACUUGAAGGAUGCUGUUGUGGAUUGCCGUGAUGAAGAUGACUGGCUUGGCACCCUGUAUCCUGUAUAUGAAGCACGAAACUCCUCAUUAGUUAAGUCUGAAAAUUCAUUGGUGCCUAACUUGUACGUCCGAUUCGCCUCCUCAUUGGCUUUCUCAAUGUAUUCAAGGUUUUCUUUGAAUAUCUUAAACCGCUUUUCCUUCUCCAGGUCGUCCUUGUAAGUGCGCCCAUGCUCAGCCAUCCAUUUUUCAUGCUUCUCAACAAUGGAUGGUUCAUGCAGCGACCGGCCGGCGACCGACACCAUUUUAGAUGAAUAAGUCACCAGAAUGAUCAUAGACAGGGCAAUGAUAUCAAAGCUUUUCCCCAUAAUAAUUGGUAGGUAUUUGCAAGUUGAACAAGGUUGUUGUUUUUUUUUUUUUUUUUUUUCCCUUCAAAUUAUAGAGGCUAGCUAGCCAGCUGGGGGUAAGUUGUGAAUACUUGAAGCACGCAUUGAAGCUCUAUAUAUAGUACUUGUAGAUAGUGGAUUUGUGCUCUCAACAUGGGUCGCGUACAAUAUUUGCCUAAUGCAUGAGACGUAUGCGUUGCGUUAGUCGUGCCCCAUACUUCACGAUUUUCAAUCAAGCUAAUUAGUAUGCGAAACCGGACAACCAAGUUAUUAUCAGUUAUCGCCGUGAUUCGCGUACUUCGUGCUUUUGAGGCUUGCUAGCAAUGACUUGACUAGCUUUUAGCGAAGUUACAAAAAGAAUUAUGAACUAAUUUGUAGAUGGACUUUUAUCGAUGAGACUUGCGGCGACGUGGAAAACAUUGGUGUCAUUUUUUUUUUCUUUCAUAAAUCAACUUAAAAAAAGGAAAAUUGGAUAAUAAUGUGAACUCAUUUGGACGGAGUAAAAUAAUUCUUACAAAAUCUACAAUGCAUCUAGCUAGGAUGAACUUUUAUAUAUCUGCGAUAUUAUGAAGAAAUCAUUACUAAUAUGCAUUACAUAAUAUGGCAUAAAAUAUGACACUAAUACUAGAAUUUCUUCCUUUAAGUGCCAAUUUGGUAGUUUAUCUUAACCUGUCAGUGACAACUGUUAUUUCAAGUGCACUUUUUGAGUCUUUAUGCAUACUAUAAUAUAUAGGCUUCAAUGGGGUCUCCUCGUAACUUUCUUGCCUAUCACCUUGAAUAUAAUCAUAACAUCCCGCCAAGUUAAUUUUUUUAGACCAUAGCACGUCAAAAUCUUUAAUGGAUAUAUUACUAAUAGAAUAAUGGUCAAUAUUCUAUUUUUACAUACGGUUUAAGAUAUCUAAUAAAUUGAUAUGGAUUUAAUUUCCUAAAUACCAAAUUAGUGAAUUAUCAUAACUUUUUAAAAACUUAAAUUUGAUGUUAAAGAAAAGGAUAUAUAUAUUAACUUAUUGAUAUAAAUAAUGCUAAGUAUAUAUAUAUUUGCAGCCAAAAGUUAAAUAUGGUACAACAAUAAAAAAAGAUACUUUACACACUCAGUUAUAAUAAACUAAUAUUUAUAACGAUAAUAUGACCCAAUACCCAUAUUGACCCAAUUACUAUCAUAAUAUUGUAUUAGGAUAUUAAAAUUCCACAAUAAUGGAGAUGACAUAAAAUUUGUUUAUAAAAAUGUACAAUACAAUAUUUAAAUUUUUUGCGGUUGAAAAUCGUGAGAACAGUAUGGUCAUCACAAUUAAUUGAUUGUGAGGAGAAUAAAGAGACCAUUACCAUAAUAGCUAUGCAUAAUUCAAUGGCCCGAGAUGGAUUGGCGGAUGGAAUCAAGAAUAAUUUGAUUCAAACUUAAGAAUAAUACAUUAUACAGAAUUACAGAUUGAGAUUAAAUAUACUCUCUUGUUUUUAUAAACAUGUGCAAAAUGCAUGCUUUCUCUUUCAUCUCUGCUUCAAUCCCACUUUAGGGUUUGUUUGUCAAAAGUAUUGUUUUUGAAAAAUAGAUAUUGUUUAAAGCAAAUAAAAUAAAGAUCAUUAAAAAAAUAUAACAACAUAAUGUUUAAUUGAUAAUGAUUUUUGCCAGUGUUAUGAAGGACUACAAAACCGAAUACAAAAUGCCAAAAUUUUGUAACUAGGAAUCAUACCAAAUCACAUAUUAAUUUAAAAUUUAAUUCUUACUUUUAAUUCUUACUUUUAACAUCUAUAUAUGUAUACAUAGAUACACGGUGGGUCCCUCCGAGCAUCGGAUGAUUUUUCGGGCAACGGACAUCUCAUAGAGUUAAGAUCGUCAUCAUCAUCGUCAUUAUACGAAUACAUUACUUUGAAGGAGCUUAUGUUGGACUCCAAUUUUAGGGGUGGCGGCAUUGCCAUUAUAAAUUCAAUAAGAACCACAGUGGACAAUUGUUACAUUUCGCAUUUCACUACCGCUGGCAUUUCCAUCCAAGAUGGCCACGAAACGUAUAUAAGAAAUUCCUUCAUCGGCCAACACAUCAACAUCGGCGGGGAUGAUCGCGAAAAGGAUUUCUCCGGCAUCGGAAUAAACAUCACGGGAAACGACAACACGGUCACUGAUGUUGUUAUAUUUUCAGCAUCAAUUGGAGUAAUGGUACAGGGGCAGGCCAAUAUGCUGACGGGAAUACACUGUUAUAAUAAGGCUACUGACUUGGGAGGUACCGGCAUUUACAUCCGGGCACCAGCAUGUUUUAAAAAAACCCAUUAUUGACAAUUAAUGUUGCAGGUCAUUAAUUUUUAAAAACAAUAACACAAAUGACCCAAUUAAUAUCUAAUAAAAUAUUUUUUUAUUAUCAUAUUUAAUACUAAUAUCAAUAUUAAAUUCAAAAAUCACACUUAUAUUAUAAAUAGCUUGAUUGUAGCAUAAACUUAAUGGGUAAUUGUACAAAAAUAUGUAUUUUGAUAUGACAAAAUACAACAAUUUGAUCAUUGCAAAUUAAAUCAUGGAUUUUUUUUUUAAUGAGUAAAUUACAUAAAUAUGUCUGAUUUUAUUAAAAUUUAGAUAAACAGUGAUCAAAUCAUAAACGUAACAUAUAAAUACAUAAAAUAUUUAUAUUAUAUUUACAUUUAAGUAACAUUUGAUAAUACCAAUUCUUUAAACUAAGACAUAUAAAUUAAGAUUUUUCUGAUCGUUAAAAUUUUGUAAAAACAAUUAUCUAAUAAUUUGACAAUUUUCAUCUUUUACAUUAUCCACAUUUGAAGAUUAUGUAUUUGUACAAAAAUAUCAAAAUUAACUUUGGAUAUGAAAGCUAUAAUGAUAUUUUUCAAUUCUUAAAAUUUAUAUUUCACAAAAUUAUGGAUUUAAAAAAAAAUUGGCACAAUAAAUUUAUGAUGAAUUAUAGUUUUAAUGGUUUACUCUUCCCUCAUAAAAUAAAAAUAAAACUGUUCAAAGAAGAUAUUAGAAGGUUUAUUGGAAUAUUUAAUUUGAUAUUAUAUUUAUUUGUAUUUAACAAAAAUUUGGAUCCAGCCAAAAGCCAAGAUAAUGGGCUAUUUUUUUUUUUACUUCGAGGAGGCUGCUGCACAAUGUAAGACAAGGUCACUCAACCGUUGCUGGUGAUGGAAGAAAUUAAGAGAUGUCUCUUUCAAUAAUUUGACAAGAAAAAUGAAUAUCUAUUUGUUUUCAAUUGGAACUUUGAAUGUACGCAUCAAGCUGACAUCACACGUAUUUUUAUUAAUUUUAUAUUUUUUUGGAUGAAUUAGCUAGAAGCUAGAAUGCCCCGUGAAUUAUUUUGGUUUCAAAAUUUGAUCCGGUUAAUUACAAUUAAGUGCAUCCAAAAGAUUACCAUCAAUUAAUUAGCUUGAGCUUGGGAAUUCUAAUUAAUAAUAGUAAAAUAUAUAUAAUAUAAUACUUGGAAUUAGCUUUGGAUUUGAUCUAACAUAUUUAUACAUACACACGCACGCGCGAUAUCAGCUAGCAAAGCAUGCACGAUUCACUUUAAUUAAUGAGUUGAAUCUUCAAAAAUUAAAUAUUGAUAAUUCUUUUUUUCUUUUUAAUAUUUAUAUAUCAUCUCACCGGCCGUGACAUUAUCAAUUUUUUUAUGUUUUAAAUUUUAUUAACAUCGGCCAGAACUCAAGCCUUCUCAAUUAAUAUGAUAAAAAAUUCGUCUAUUAUACUUGGCACGUUGUUGCCCUUGCUGCCUCUUCUGCAAACGAUGUCGUAUAUUUUAAUCAAAACAAAGAAUGUUGAUAAGACGCGGUUAAAUAUUAACAAUCUUUUUACUUAAAAUUAGUGAGGCCAGUUACUUCAUUCGCCACCUAAUACGCUACACUGCAGGGAAGGGCAAAACCGUCCGAAGUUGAUUCCAAUCCAAUCAAUUAAUUAACCUAAUCAUAUAUCAGCUAUUUAUUAUUGUGUUUUUCACAAAGGGUACUCUAGUUGACAAUUGGUGUUCUCUUUUCCUGUCAUUUUCCAAAUUUUUGGCCUUUUUGUUAGAGUAGUGAAGUUUCUUUCAAGGAUGUCUGCAUUCAUUGAAGGGAUUUUUUUUUUUUUAUGAGUAAUAGAAACAUAAUGUGAAUUUUGAAAAUAACUGCUUUAUUAUAAAAAAUUUUGAAUUGGUUAAAACAUUCUACAUUGUUUUAUACGAGAUUGAAAACUUUUUACUUAAUGUUUUACCUCUUCUAUUUUAAAAAAUUGUAAACCAUGAAAACAAUAGCUUGACAAUCAUGGAUUAAAUCAGAAAUUAAUUUUAAUAUUGGAUAUUUAUAAUUAACAAUUAACAAAUGAUAUCUUUACAGUGAAUUCUUUACAAUAAGUUAAUUUAUAUCAGUUCCACCGCAUUAGUUAACACCAAGAAUAGUCUUUUUAUAAAUUAACUAUUUUUGAAUUAUUAAGUUAUAAAUAGCUAUUUAUUAUGUUUGUACAAGAAAUAAUAUUUUUCCGGAGAAAAAUUAUAGAACAUAUGUUCUAACAGUCGUCUGAUCCCUGCAGAUAUUAAUUGGGUUUAGGAUAAUUUAAUAUUUUGUAAUCCUGUUUGUAACAUUUUAAUAAACACGGUUGAUGAACUACUUGUAAACCAAAUGAUAUCUCCUAAAAAUUUAUUGUUAAUAAUCAACAAUAACAUAAUAACAUUAUUUAUAAAUAACUCUUUUUUAAUAUCAAAGCCUCCACAUUUUUAGCAAAAUGUCAUAAAAAAAUAUACCAAUUUUUUUCUAUUAUACAAAUUUAAUUAAUCAGCGAUAUUCUCACUGUUUCUCCCUUGCAGCCAUUGAAUCCAACUAAUAUGCAUGGCAAUUGCCUAAAACUGAUAAGAAUUUUGCCCCUUUUUUUGGCAACAUGCAUUAUUAUCAUGACACCCUAACACGUGCGCAUUGCGUCACUGCUGGCUUCUGAAGGUUACUUUAAAGCUUCUAUAUAUAAGCGCACUCAUUCUGCAUAGAGACAUAUUUCGGUAUCAUAUGACUUUCUUCUUCAAAGCAAAAGAAAAGCAUUCAGGAAACCUCUAGAGUCUUACCUUCCUCGAUGGCCACAACGUAAGAAUUUGGUUUUUUUUUUUUUUUUUUGGAAUUUCAUAAUUAAUUAUGAUCAUUAUUUUAACGAUCAUGUGUCAUCUUUGAUAGAGCGCAAGAGAAUCUUCCUCCACCGUUGGAUUCGAAGGCCGAGCUACCACCUCUGUUCGAUGGAACUCCCAGGUUGUACAUUUCUUACUUGUGCCCAUUUGCUCAGCGUGCGUGGAUCACCAGGAACUACAAGGUUUUAUUUUUAUUUACUAUUUUUUUUUUUUUUUAUCACUGUUGACCCGUCUCUGCUUUCUAGGUUUAAUUAAAAUAAUAAUAAUAACAAUAACAGUAAUUUAUGGUUUAUUCGUUUCGCCUUUGUCGUAAUACUCUCUUUGAAUUUGACAACUUUUGGUGUGCUGCUGCAGGGAUUACAAGACAAGAUUAAGUUAGUUCCACUGAACCUCCAAGAUAGGCCCGCUUGGUACAAGGAGAAGGUUUAUCCUGUUAACAAGGUGAUGCUGAUGCUGAUGUGUGAUCAAUAAUAAUAUUUGAUUUUAUUUGAUUGAUCAUUUAAGUAAUUUGAUAGAUCAACAAUAUGUGCAUUCUUUUGGUUAACAUGGAGCUUAGAAUCUGCUGGGAAGAUUUUGAAUAGUAUUAGAAAGUUUCUGAAUAAUAAUUAGGAAUUUUUCUAAUCAAGGUGUUGAUAGACCAAUUCAGAUAUAGAAAAGGAAGAGGUUAGUUGUGUUUGGUAUUGAGGUAGGGCGGCUGUAAAUUAAAAGGUACAGAGUUAAAGUGUUUUGUAAAACUCUAAUAUUUCUACUAUUUUUGUCAAAAUCUUAAUUUAAAAUUCAUAUUUAUUACGCAUUUUUAACUUUUAUUUUAUAGUUACAGUUUUUUUUUUUUUUUUUGGGUCCGUGGCAGCUGUAGCUAAAAAAACCACAGCACCUCAAUACCAAAUAGCCUAAUUAUGUGACUCUGUGUCCUUAUGCCCCAUCUUUGAAAUUGAAAUGCUUGUAAUCUGUGCGGAGGAGUUCCUGAAUAAAAUUGGAAUGGUGUCUUUGUGCUUUGUGUGCCUAGUAAAAUCUUAACAUAUUCUGAUUUGAGCAAGUUGCUUGCUUGCAAGAAAACACAACGAAAGAAUUAAACUGAUUGUUACACUUUCGUGCAAGAUUAGGGAUCAUUGCUGGAGUUAUGAAGUAUAUUUACCUAUUAGAGUUCUUCUUGACAGGUUCCAGCACUGGAGCACAAUGGCAAAGUUAUUGGAGAAUCUCUUGAUUUGAUUAAAUAUGUUGACAGCAAUUUUGAAGGGCCUUCACUUUUACCUGAUGUAAGAUUUUUGCUGAUUACAUUGUUGCUUUUAAUAAAAGCUUCUCUCUCUCUCUCUCUCUCUCUCUCAACUUUGAGUAAAGUAAUGUUGUGAAAAUAUUGUAGGAUCCUGAGAAACGAAAGUUUGCUGAUGAACUGUUUUCCCACAUCGAUACCUUCACCAACGAUGUGUAUACUUCAUUCAAAGGAGACCCAGCAAAACAAGCUGGUAGGAUUUGAAACUUGCUUACUUGUUUAUAAUGGAAUGCAUUUUGAAUAUGUAUAUAUAUGUGCUGAACUCACGGAAAAAGUUUUAAUUUGUCACAGGUCCUGCUUUUGAUUACUUAGAGAAGGCCCUUGAUAAAUUUGAUGAUGGCCCGUUCUUCCUUGGACAGACGACUAGACAAUAAAGAAUAUUCUUAAAUACUAAGGCUACCAUAUUUAUUUGGAAAUAAAUGUUUGUUAAUAUUAAUAAACCCAUACAUUAAUAGAUGAUGUGUUGUGAAUACUGAUGACCAUACUGUUAUAAAUGAGAACAUAAAUUUAAUGUUAAAAUCACAUAUUAACAUCAUUGAAUACUGAUGUUUAAAAUAUUAGUAAAAUACUUAAAUAGCAAGUGUAUUAAUUAUUUUUUAUUAAUUAACAAUAUUUUACCAAUCAGAUCUCAAUUAUCUCAUCUUCUCUUAAAUAUUUCUGCCUCGUGUAGGUGUAUAUAUGGGUGUGUUUUAAGGUCUCCGUACGGGUUCUUGUCUUCACUGGCCUAUACAGAGGAAGCGGAGCGAAUAACGCAGUCCAAAGGGCUUGUGUUUUGCUUAAAUGAUGAGCCGGGCGUAUACAGAGUCUGGAUGCCGAAUGGUGAGACUCCGGGACUAGCCAUAUCAAGAGCCUUGGGUGAUUACUGUGUCAAGGACUAUGGCCUAAUCUCCGUGCUCCAUGUAACGCAAAGAAACAUAACAACACGAGACCAGUUUGUCAUUCUGGCAUCGGACGGGGUACGUAUCCACAUAUUGGAAUUAUCUUUUGAUCUGAACUAACGUCAAUGUUUGAAAGAUCAAUUAUGGAUUUUUCUUCAGGUUUGGGAUGUGAUUUCGAACCAAGAGGCGGUGGAGAUUGUUUCUUCAGUAGUGGAUAGGGAAAAGGCAGCAAAAAGAUUGGUGGAAUGUGCUGUUCGGGCAUGGAAAUAUAAGAAACGAGGCAUUGCAAUGGAUGAUAUUUCUGCCAUUUGUCUCUUCUUUCACUCUUCAUCGUCCCCUCAAAAGGUGGAGCACAAUUUGAAGGAUUCAAAACUGCAGGCUGGCAUUUGAAUGAAUUUGAAAACAAGGGCUGCUUCUUGGCUAUUGUGUCUGUUGCCAAAGCACUACUUGUAUGUAUAUAUAUGUCUGCGUUUAGGGAUGGUAAUUGUACCCGCAAACCCGCCCAAACCCACCCGCCAAAACCCGCCCGCUGUGGGUAAUUUUACCCGUUGCGGGCGGGUUUAGUAUUAUAAACUAAAACCCGCAUAUGGAUGCGAGUGGGUUUGGUAUUAACCUUAUAUCCGAUGGAUACCCGCAUGGAUAUCCACCAAACCCGCAAUAUUUUUUCCAAAUAUUUUUAAUUUAAUUUUAACCUAAAAAUGUAUAAAGAAAAUAAUGUCAUUAUUCAAAUUACCAAAUAGUCAAAGGCUCAAAGUUGUGUAUAUGUGUAUGUGACCCAUUUCCCAUUCUAAAGUCAUAAUCUAAAGAAAACUAAAGGCAUUUCCUUUCGAAUUUCCCUUCGAAUUAGGGCCCGUUUGGUAUUGUUUUUGAAUUCGUAUUUUCUGAGAAUAAAAAUGAAAAUGAAAAUGGUGUUUUGUAGUUGCUGUAUUUCGAAUUUAAGUAUGCGUCUGGUAUCAUUUUCUGUAUCCUAUAUUUUAAAACUGAAAACAGUAAUAUGCGUUUGGUAGAUACAGUUGAAAAUGAUAAAAACAGAGAAUAUGCGUUCGGUAAUACUUUUUUCAAAAACAGUUUUUACUAUUAAGCAAUUACGUCAUAUUUAUAAUUAUUUAGCUAAUACAUACACAAAUACAACAUAAUAAUUUAAAACAAAAUUAUUAUAAAAAAUUUACAUGAUGAUAAAGUUUUAGAAUUAACAUUAAUUAAAAAAAAUUACAUUGUCAUUGUUUUUACAUAAUAAUUAAGAUAUAUAUUACAACACAUGAUUUAAACAAAAUAAUUAUAAAAAAAAUACAUAAUAAACAUUAUACAUUACGUAUGUAAUCAUGCCACAUAGAAGCUGCAAUUCUAUCUCUUGUAGCACUCAUCUCGGCGACACUUGCUGGAGAUAAAUCAAUAUUAGUAAGUGGCCUACUAGUGUCUCCUUCUUCGUUGGUAACCAAAUCUUGCACAUCAAAGUCCCCAAAUAACCUAUCACUUGCAUUUUCUGGUCGAAUAAAGUUAUGUAAAGCGCAACAUGCAAUUAAAAUUAGACGUUGCUUAUGUAAACUAUAAUUAUGCCACUACAAGAAAAAUGAGAUUUAACAAUGUGUAAUGUACGUUGUUAAACACUUUCAACAGCGGGCAACCGCAUGCUGUUGAUCAAGAUGUUGUCUUUAAGGCUGUCUGUUUUAACAACAUAUAAAGAGUGUUGUUGAAAGUUAUUUACUUGUUGCUUAAAAGUUUUUAACCACAAGCUGUAAAUGUUGUCUUCUACUAUUUUAUUACAUAUCUUUUAAUAACAUGCAGAUGCAUGUUGUGAAUUAGUUUUUUUAAGUAAUUUAAUAUUUUUAACAUAAUAUAUUUUUAAAUUAAUUUGGAAGCUCUCAAACAAAUGCAUAAAAUACAAACUAAAAAACACGUAACAUAUAAUUAAAAAAAAUCCACUUUAUUAAUUGAAUAACAUUAUAGUAUUACAUUUUUUUUUUACAAUAUAAAAUAAACAAAAUGUCAACAACUUGAUCUAAACUCUUCAAAAGUUCAAGCUCUAUUGUGUAGUGUCCUCAGAAUAAAAAAAACAAGGGAAAAGCCAAUUUAAUAAAAUUCACCCUAUCUUCAUGAAACAACUGAAAUGAAUGCAUACUCAAUCCAUUAUAUCAACUAGGAAUGAUAUUUACUGCAUCCUGAGCACCACCAGCCUAGCCUGUUACAUCAAAAGCAAGCAAACUUAUCAUUAGCAUGCUCUCUUCUUUAAUUGGGUAAGAAAAGGACAUUUGGAUACAAAGUUUAGCGAAGGAUAAAGAAGUAUGAGUGCAAACCCUUGUGUGUAUGAAAUAGUACCCAGAAAAAUACUGAAAUAAAAAAAUAAGGUGAAAAUUAUAUAUCACCUGGAUAUUAAAAUAUCAACAUGCUUAUGAGCAAAUAGAGCAAAUUUCAGAGCAGUGAGAACCUCAAGUUUUUUCAUUAAUUAAUUAAGGAAAAUAAAGGAGUGCAAAAGAUAAUAGCACAUGUACAAAUUGCAAUGCUUUACCAAAUUAUUACAUUGUAAGCCUGCAAACUUGAAACCUUUCUAUUGAAGAGACACAGACAUGUUGCAUAUUAUGCACAAUCUCUGCCUGAAAUUACCAUGAAUGGUUCCAGAAAAGAAACCUCAAACUAUGGUUAAGGUUAUAGCUACUGGUCAGACCACAAACCUACAAUAAUUAGUAUUUAAUGCUUCCCCAAAAAAACAAAAAAAAAAACCUAAAAAAUGCUGCUACAUACUCUGAAUCCAAGUUUGCUUUUAUUUCUCUAUAUUUGCCUUUGAAAAUCUUAAUUAUAAUGCUUAUUCCGUCAACAUCUACUCAAUAAAGAACAAUAAAGAAGUAAAAAUAAAGAACCCAUCACUUUCCAAAUCCAAAAAUUUUCUCACUUUCUCACCAACAAAACAUCCUUUUUCUUUCUCUCAAAACCUCAUCUUCCCACUCAAACUCACUCAAUUUCAACUCAAAUUCCACCAAAAUUUACCUUUAAUUUGAAGAUGAGGCAGCUAAUUCGCCGUCUUUCUCGCGUCGCCGACUCCUCGUAGUACAGUCUCCGUGCUUGAACUUGAAGAAAGUAGCAGCAGCUCGAACUUGAAUAACAUCGGCAGCAGCAGCUCGAAAAUCGGUAGUUCGAUUACCACCACCUACUUAGCAAAAAUAAAAGCUGGAGCUAAUUCCUCACAAAAAGAAAAAAGUAAAAACCCACAUCCAAUUUCACCAAACAUAAGUAAACCCAGAAAAGAUUUAAAGAAAUUAAGAAAGAACAAUUGUUCACUAAAAUAAAAGAAAAUUAAAAGCUUACCAUACAAUGGGCGGGCAAGUGACAGAUCCGGGAGAGCAAAGACGGAGCAGCAGCAGCUAGACGGAGUCGUAGCAGCAGCGGUUACGGCGGAGACAGAGCAGCGGCAGUGGCUAGCACACCAAGAGCGACCAAGAGAGAGUGGAUUGGGAGAGAAAGAUGUUGGAUGAAGAUAAGGGGAGGGAGAGAGUGUAGAUUUACUGCAACUGGAUCUAGAAAAGUGAGGGGAAAGAGAGAGUUGCAGUGAACUGGAUUGAGAAAAGUGAGGGCUGCAGUGAAGAGAAAAGGAGGACGAGGGUCACGAUUUUCUUUUGUUUUUUAAUUCAUUUUUAGGUUUAGUUUGUGAUAUUUGAAGAACAUGUUUAAGUUGUUUUCAGUUGAGUAGUUAUAAUAAUGAAUCCGGAUUUUGUGUUUUGUAAUCUGUUUUUUGAAAUUAAUUGGCCGAACGUGUAUUAUAUGUGGAUUAUGAAAAAGAAAAUGAAAAUGUUGCGUGGAAAAGGGUACCGAACGGGCCCUUAGUAUUUGAAAAUAUUAAUCUUAAUUAUUAUUAUAGGCAUUGUGUUGGAUGGGUGCUUAUGUUGGUGAAUGAAAUGAAUAUCUUCUCUUGGAGCUUGUUUUAAAUGAUAAUAUGAAAUGUAAUUAUUAUUUUUAGAUACUAAUUUGUAUUUUUUAAAUGAAUUUGUGUAAUUUAUACUUAAAUUUGAGAAUUUGUGUUGGAUUGAUGUGGAAAUUUUAAUUUUUUAUUUACUUUGUUUAAAUAUAAAAUUGAGUAUGCUAUAUGGAAUUUGAGGUUAUUAUUAUAAAUUUAUAUAUUAAACAUUUGUGAUUUUAAAUACGGAAACUCGCAAAAAAUCUGCCGGGUACCAUUGCGGGUUUGGUAAUUGUUAAAACCCGUUGUGGGUGAGUUUUUUUAAAAAAAUUAAAACCCGCUGCGGGUUGCGGGUGGGUUUGGUAAUUUAAAUUUUGUGCGAGUUUGGGUUUGGUAAUGGCAAACCCGCUGCGGCCGGUACCCAUUACCAUCCCUAUCUGCGUUUUGUACGCGACAGUCUAAUAUAAAUUACACAGGAGAGAGCCCAGGAGUUCAAGUGACCCAAUAGUAACUUAACAUUGUUUGCAAUCCCUUGGUUGCAUCUUGUUUGCAACAUGAUGAUUUCAUUUUCAUGUAAUGGCAUUUACUAUCACCAAAUUGUACAUUUAUGUUGUGGCUAUUAUUAAAUUAUAAUAUAAACUACCCGAUAAUUAUUCAAUGCGUAUUUGUUAGUAACAUUUACAUUAGAAAACUUCAAAAUUUAUCUAAUGUGGUGGAGGAGAACUAAUAACAAAAGAAUGAAGAAAUGAGAUAAUAUAUUUACAUAGAAUCAUUAUAUAUUAUAAAUUUCCACAUGUUCUAAAAUAUGAAUUUGAUACAUGAUUAAAUUGAAACUAAAUAAUAAAUGUAAUAUAAUUCCACAAUUAAAUUUUAAAACGCGUGAACUUUCCACCUAAAAUUUUUUAUGGAUAACCAACCGUGAUUAAAUGUAAUUUUUUUUUUCAAGUACAAUUGAGAAACUCAAAAGAUAUAUGCAUAAUUUUACAUAAGGAUGAAAAUAUUCCAAACUUGAUUAAAGAAGAAUGCUUAAUAUAUGUAACUUGUACAUUAGUAAUGGUUUUGUAGGAAAGGGACAAAUGAAGACAAAAACAAAAUUACUCAUAAUUAAGGGGAUAAAUUAUAAAUAGGAAAAUUAUCAAUUGUAUACUUUAUUAUCAAAUUUACUACAAUACUUUUAGGGUAUAUCAGUCAUUCAUCUUAAGUUGACAAAAUAUAAUGUCGUUCACCAUACCUUAGUUGCCGUUUAAAUAUGAUGACGUUAGAGGGGUAAUAUGGUCUUUUCAUAUGAUACAAGUGAUAAUUUAAAGGUAUAUAAAUAAAAAAAAAUUGAUGACCAUGAAAUUAAUCUAUAUCAAGCAGCUUUUUGGAUGAUUCAUAAUUUUUUAUAAAUAUUAAUUUAUAAAUUGCAAUAAUGAUUUAGUGAUGGGUGUCGAAGCCAACAAAAAUAAAUUCCUACUCUAAAUAAAUUGUGUAUAGUGAUUGAGCAGGGUCGUGUCCACAGAGAUCGGUAAUUAUUUAAAUCCUUUUGAAACGUAAAACGUAAAAUGGGGGAAUUGUUGACAAUAAUAAAAAUCAAAUUAAAGUAACAAGAAUGCAAAUUAAAGUUGUAAUUCAAAUUGGAGAAAGCUCUGGUUGAAGGAAUUAACUCAGCUUGAUUCGACUACUGAUCAUUGAUUCAAAUAUAGAUUAUCAUUACUUAUGAAUAGAGCGGUUAUAGUUAUUGAGACCCUCUAAUAGCCAAUCUCUCCUUAACUAGUCGAUAACCAAGGUACGACCGUUGGAUAUUUCCCUAAUCAAUAGACAACCCUAGAUACGAUCAUAGGAUUUAAUCAAUUGACAGCCUGAAAAACUAGAGAGACCCAAAUCCUAAUCAACACAUAUGAUGAUUCAUUUAAAUUAGAUUGUUUAUUCUCACAACACAACUCUCUGCUAUGUUAUUUGUCACAAACAUUAAAUUCUUCAUACGAUGAAUCCUUUAAUUGACAAUAGAUUAAGUUGAUAAUUAAAUAGUGGCCAAUUACCUAAUUAACAAACAUAAUCAUGAAACUAAUUCAGAGAAUAAACAAAUACCCAAAAAGUAAUAAAACAAUUAAAGCAUAAGAAAGAUCUCACAGUAGUGAUGAAUCAAAGCUUCAUUAUCCUUCAACCAGAAAAAUAGGUUUAGUUCUUCAUAGAGAGAAGAGAAAAAUUAGAUCUAGGGUUUCUUUCUUUUUCUCCAAUCCAAAUCCUCUUUUUCACAAUAGAUUCCUCCCUUAAAUACUCUCUCUCUCUUCUCUUUUAGAAUUCUAUUUAAAAUAAAAUACUAAUAUCUGAAAUAUUAAAUUCGUAAUUACAAAAAUAACCAAAAAUACAAAACACGUUAAACUAAAAACUGCAGGUCCGCAGUUGACAGCACGCGCCCACGCCUUAUCAACAAAGUUCUUCUGACGCUCAUAAUUUCUCCUAGAGAACAAUCCUCCUUAAACAUCAUCUUUUAGCUCAAUUUUAUCAUCAAUCAAUAGAAUUGCACCUACAAAAGUAAAACACAAGUAAAACAUUAUUAUUAAGUGCAAAACAUCGAUAUUAAGGGAAGUAAACAAUGCAAAACUAGUGCAUAAAUUGCACUCUAACAUUUAGCCAAAAUUUAACAGGGAGUUAAUUUAAGAAUUAAAAUUAACAUGAUUUUGUUAAUAACAAAUGAUGUUUUUGUUAACUUAUAUAUGACUUGUGUGUGCAUGUGAAACAUUGGUGUUAUUACAUCAAAAUACUUGAUAUUAUUACAAAUGUUUCAGAUUAAAUUUUUAUUAGAAAAUUAUUUUAAAGUUACAAACUAACUUUAAAAUUGAAAUUGUCAAUUUAUUUGGGAUUAACUUAUUGUAAAGUCUAACGGAAAAUAAUUCUGAUAUGACAAUUAAAUUUUAUUAUAAACAAAUAGAUAUCUUAGAUGUUAUUUCAAAUUAAUUUUUAAUAAGUUCAUUUUCAGAUGUAAACUUGACCUUUAAUUAAAUCACAUAUUAACUGAGAAAUAUUGUUAAAAUAUGUUAAAUCUAAUGACUCGAGACAUCGAAUCAGAUGUGAUCAGAUCAUUCAGGAGGGUUCGGGUUCAGGGGUCUCAUCUCUUUUGGCCCUGCAUAUUGCUUGUUCCCUCUGUGCUAGCUUUUAGUAACUGAAAUAUAUCGCUGAUUGGCUGAUUUAAUUUGUACGUGCACCCGUUUUGCUCUUUUGGCAGUUCUGACUGACAGACAGACGUCUCUAGUGUACACUAUUCCUGCUGAGCUGUUUCAGAAUGAGAGAGAAAAAAUUGGCUGACAUUUCACAAUUAACACACACACACACACACUCCACUUUCUGCACUACUCGAUCGAGAAAUAAAAGGAGGUACGUGUCACCACUUUAUUUUAUUUAUUUUUUAUUUUUACCAAAUCCAUAUUAUUAUAUACUAUUAUUUGGUUCAUUCGUUUCCAAUUCUGCCCUUUGCCCCAUCUCUUUUACAAUGUCGCAUCAUUCUUUUUGGUACUAUAGUUAGUUAGUUUAUAUGCUAAUGCCUAGUCUAGUAGUUACCCGAUGUUUAAUUUAUUAUGGCGUAGAUACAGUUAGAGAUGCUCAAUGGGUCGGGCCAGUAAGUAAGGCCCAUGCGUGCUUAUGCUUGUGUUGUGUCAUGUCGAGAUUUAUUUAUUUUUUUUUUUGUUUAGGCCCGGCCUAACACACAUGCCGAUACAUGCCGUGCUAUGCCUAAGAAAAAAAGCUCACUAAGUUUUUUUUUUUUUAAAUUUUUUAAAGGGCAUACUAAACUGUUGGCGUAUUUUUUUCAAGUCUAUAUAUUUUUCUUAAGUCUAUACUUUUAUUCAAAUUUAAUAGAAUUAAAAAAUCAAAACUCAAGUUUAUAUUCAAUAAUAAUAAACUAAUAAUAGUAAGAAAAUGUAAUAUUUAAUAGAUCUAAGUUUGACCUCUUAGUAUUAUAAUUUUUUUAAUACUCAACAACAACAACAACAAUAAUAAUAAUAAUAAUAUUUUCUUAAGGGUUAACUUAAUUGUUAACUUAGAGUUACAUAGAGUCAUAGAUCAUAGUUCACAAUAAUAUUAAUGCAUAUUUAUAAAAUCAUUAUAUUUAUAAUUUUAUUCAUUAAAAUCAUGAUAUCAAUUAUUUAUUUAAUAAAUUAUAAAUAUAAAUUAAUUAUAAUAUUUUUUUAAACUAAGAAUUAAAUGAAUUUAAAAAAUUCAACUUCAAGUUAUUUAUAAAACAUAAAAUUUUAAGUUUAUUUUCAUUAAAAAAAAUAUAAUGUGCUUAUUGUGGGCAUUUUCAUCGUGCUGUGCUCAGUCCAUCUCUAAUCAUAUCAUAUUUUUAAGACUCUUGUGCUUAUAAUUCUAAGCCUGGCCCGACCCACAUCGUGCUCCACCGAAAUAAAUCUAUGACACUAAAGUGUUGAAUCUGAUAGAUAUAAAUGCCGAAGUUUUAUAAAUUAAACUUUUAUCACUUUAUUUUGUUAUAUCUGUUAACAAAGCAAAUGGAGAAUUUCAGGAUAAUGAUUUUUGUUUUAAAACUAAGGAACCACUUUUUUUAAGAAAAAGAAGCACUUAGCACUAACUAAUACCAAGUAUUUGAUGUCAUAACACCAAUUGACAAAUAUUAUCUUGCUCGAAAAAUUAUAACAAUAAUAUACAGCAUAUCUAAACUGGUAAUAUGUAUUGUAAAAAUUGGAAAAUGGUGGAGUAUUAACUCUCCAUUAAUGUUAAAAUUUAAAAUCAUAAAAUUUAAAAUUGUGCUCGUCACAAAGGUAUUCAAAAAUUUAUGUUAUAUAAUAAUUUAUAACACAAUACAAUUUAGUUGGUUCCGAUAAUUUUUUUUAUAAAAUAAAAUUCAAAUCAAACUGAACUGAGUUGGUUCGACUUUCGAUUCAAUUUCGUUUUGGCUUGGUUUUUCUUUUUAAACUGUAAAUUCCUCUAUAUUUUGUAUUUUUUUUUCUGUUUUUGAUUUUACGAAUUGACUUGUUUUUUUUUAAUUUUUGAAACAAAACCAAACCUCUAGUUAGCUUUUGGAUUUUUGGCAACAAUGAUUUUUUUAUACCCCUACUUCUGAUAUUAAAAUUUUGUAGUGUACGAAAUUGUAUUUUGUAGUUAUAUGUUGCCCUAAUUUAGGCUUGACUCUUAGGCAUUGACCUAUACAUUGUACUUAAACUUGAUUUUUUUGCAUAUAUUUGUGCCUAUAUACAUACGUAUUGAUGAUCAUUUUUAUCCUAACAAUACACGUUAUUAUUCUUUUUUUUUUUUAAAAAAGGAAUAUUCAUGUAAACUUUUUAAAAUAUUGUUAAGAGGAUAAUUCCAUCAACAAAAAAGACUACUGAAUAUUAGCCAAAUAGGUUGUUUUUAUUAAAAAAAUUACUUUCUAUAGAGAUAUGUGAGUAAUGAAAAUGUAUUUUGGGCAGCCUAUCUAGUACUCAAACUUUUCUACUUUUUAGAAGCAUUGAGUUUUUCUUUGGCUUUUUAUUGUAAUUUUUGAAUUCUGAGAAACUAGAAGGGACUUUCAUAGAAGUCAAAUUAAUACCUAUGCCUAUUGUGGUUAAUUAGCCCUUUAGAAGCAUGAUUACUUAAUUGCGUGCUUUAUUUUUCGUUUACUUUAUUAUUUUCGGUAAUUUAUUAAAUUAAUCUUUAAUUAAAUUUGGCUAAGACUUAGGUGGUGGAGAUAAAUCAAUCAUAUUUUUAUCUGUAUUAAUCUAUAGGUUAUAAUAUUAAUUGAUAUUAUAAUUUUUUUUUAAAAGAAAUUUAUUAAUCUAUGACCUAAAAAAAAUAUACCAACUGUUAAGGGUUAAAAAAAUUAGAAUUUUUCACGUAAUUCAAAUUUAUUUACUUUCUCCAAAUUCAUCUCAUACUUGAAAUUCCAAGGAAAAAUAUAAUUAGAAGAGCAAGAGUUAAGGGUUAAAAAAAUGGAAAAAUAGGGCUCCUCUGUUUUCAUUCCCCUGUUUUUCUGUUCGGUGAUUGCAAAUAUUUAAAUCAGAAUUUAUGAUGCAGCCUACACGGCACCUGGUGGAUGACUGUUAGGGUUUAUCUUAAUUUAUGAUGCAUUAGGAUAUGAUUUUGAUAAAUGAGCUUUUUAUGUAUCCUGUGAGGCUGAUUAUUAUUUUAUUACAUUGAAGAUUCAGUUAUCUCUUGGUAGUCUUGUGAAUCAAGCGGAUUUAGUUAGUAGUAGGUAAUACUCUGGACUUCACAUACUAAACGGAAUGGAGCAUUAUUUUAUCCCGCUAAAUCAGUUUUUUUUUUUUAAAUUAAAAAAUAAUUCAUCAAACACUUUAUAGCUCUGGUUUUAAGUUGGUAAACACUUUAAGCCGCAACUUUAAAUUCAGUUUACGAGAACUCCUAACAGUCACUGUGGCUUGGGUAGAAAUGAAUAUACUACCUUUGUUUCAUAAGUAAUGCUACCCAGGAAAUGUAGUUGAACCUAACCAAACUAAAACCAGAUGAUGAAAGCUUAUAUACACCAAGAGAUUUAUUCGUUUCUGAGUUUGUUUCCAGAAACCUGGAAACUCCCCUGUUUCUACAAACACGGCACCUGUGUUUUCAUUCCCCUGUUUUUCCAUUUGGUGAUUGUAAAAAUCUAAAUCUAAAUUUUUGAUGCAGUCUACACGGCACCUGCUAGAUGAUUGUUUGGGUUUAUCUUUUAUUCUUAAUUAUGAAUUUAAUUUAGAUUCGUAGUGUGCGCCUUAUGAAAGAUUAAAUAGAAUAAUGUGAAAAAAAAAGAAUGCCUUUCUUAAUUUUGACUUCAUAUUGUUGCAGUAACCGUCCUCUCUUAUCAUUCCCCUGUUCUUUGGUUUAGUGAUUGCAAAUAACAUUCUUUCCAUCUACUCUUUAUUUAUUUUUUUUUAAUUUUUAACUUAUUAAUUCUUGUUCUUCUUAAAGCGUUUACUAAAUUAUAUGAUCACCUGAUCAAAUCCCUCACAUUAACAUACAACAUAACCAACAAAGUGUUGGCUCUAAGUGGCUUGACUGGGUUUGCUCCCCAGUUCGAGUCGCAGGAAAGUCGUCUUUGUUGAGAGAAAUUGUGCCUCCCGGUUCCUGUGGGGACUUCUAGUAUGGGUUGUGGUACGGGCUUAAAGGUGCCUCCCACAAUUGGGGCCCUCUCCAGGAUACCUCGUGGUCAAGACAAAAAAAAAAAAAUACAACAUAAUGUAUUAAUGGAAUUUAUUAUUUUAUCAUAAUUAAAUUGAAGAUUUGUUCAUGCAGUUUUGUAUGAUGAGGAGUUUUCAUUUUUCUGUCAAAUACAAGAACAAUUUGUAAAUAGUGUCCAUGAAGGCUUGAAUGAAGAAUGGAAUUUAAUAAUUUUAGAAGAAUAUUGGCUUAUAGAGCAUAUUAGUAGGGAUAAGAUUUGUAGGAUGCCUGAUAAAAGAGAAAGCGAAAGCUUGAAUGAAGAAUAGCAUUUUUAAAAAGAAACUAAUGUGCAAUGUAAUAAUCAAAGUAAGAUCAAUAAUGACUUGAUCAGUUAUGCUUUUUAUUAUUUCAUUUAUUCUGUCCACAAAUCUUAUCCCUACUAAAAUGCUCUAUAAGCCAAUAUUCUUCUAUAAUUAUUAAAUGAAGAAGCGAAAGAUUGCAUUGUUUUCGGGAAAUUGGAGUACUUGGGACUUGACUGUUUGCCAAGCCUAACAAGCUUUUUAUUCAGGUAAUUACACUCUUGAGUUCCCGUCCUUGAAACAAGUACUUGUGAGACAGUGCCCAAAGAUGAAGAUUUUCUCUCAAGGAAUCAUAGGGACGCCAACGCUAAAUAAAGUGAAACUCACCGAAAAAGAAGAAGGAUGCUGGGAAGGCAACCUCAAUGACACCAUACAUAAAUUGUUCAAUGAAAUGGUCAGUAUUAAUUAACUAAGUAUUGGCGCUAACUACCAAAUUAUUUUGUAGAAAUGGAUAUGGUAUAAUAUGAUUGGUCGACUGAAAAUAUAUAAUAACAAAAAAUAAAUCAAGUGGUCCAUGUGAUGUUUUUGUUUAACCAAUCAUAUUAUGUCACAUUAAUUUAUACAUUAUUGUUUGUCUGACGGAGUUUAUAGUUGUAUCAUAACAUUUGCUUCUUUUUUCUUAUUGUUAUUAUUAUGGUAAUGUAUGCUUGCUUACACAUGUAUAAUUACAAACAUGCAGAAUUCUAAAGACAAGAUUGAGCCCACCCUUCAAGUAUAAAGAAGAAGCUAUCUCGACCCAGGCCGAUCUCUUAUAUAUGAUUCAACUCGCACGUUUUCCUCUACUUCAAAAUUUUGUUCCCAGAUGCAUUUAUAGCAUUUUGGUCAUGCUACAUAAUUGCAAGACACUUUGGAUUUGCUUGGUGCACACUGGUUAAGCGAGGGCUUGAAUUGAUGUUUCAUAUGCAUGCAAUAUUCAACUUCUAUAUUAUUUCUCCAAUUGGUAUUUUAAGCAUUUGAUUUCUAGCCUGAUUGACUGAUUCAAUUGAGGAUCUGUAGUUGAAGAAAACAGCACAAGACAAUGUUUAUUUCAUUUUUUUAUAGUAUUAUCAAAUAUAGUGUAUUGACAUUUAUUAAAAGGAAGUAAUCCGUCAAGCUGACCUUCUCAAACCAGCACUCUCUAAAUUAAAAGAAUCACGUGAAGUCAAGAUCAUGUUGUAGAUCUUGUGGAAAUAGGUAAACCCAUAUUCUUUACACAGCAUCAUAGGAAAAUCAAUUUUUCCAUUAGUAUCUAUGUUAAUGUUGAGCUUUAAUAGUAUUAGCUAUUCAACAAACACAGUUAUUGUGUAUAUUAAAAAGUUAGAAACCGGUUGAGUGACGGUUGGGAAUCAAUCAGUUCACUUGUUUGCUUGUGAGUACGACAUUUAGAGACCGAUUAAACAAUUUUAAAACUAUUACUCUCAGAUUCCAAAAAUAGUAAAUAAAGAAUCAGAAAAUUUCCUACUAGCUAUACUUAUGCAAAAGUCUCAUUUGGAAACAUCAAUGACUUUCAUUCAAAGAAAACAAUGAAAAUGGGAUCAAAAUACAUGUGUGUAUACCUAAAACAAAUGAUUUUUUUUUUCGGGUAUUAAAAAAAGUUGAGGUGCAAUGAAACCACAGUCAUGAUGUUUCUGGUUCCAAUCAGCCGUUCUGGUAAUUCAUCUGUAGUGUUUGACUGCAUACUAAAGAGUAAGAUAAAGAAGAGACAGAGGAGGCGUUUUACCAUUCUGAGAACAUUGCAGCACGCAAUAUCUCAAAUUCCGACGUGCUUCAUUUAAAAGUGCCCCCCCCCCCCCCCCCCCCCCCCCCCCCCCCCCCCCCCCCCAAAAAAAAAGAAGAGAACAAUCAUACGUACCUGUACUAGGGAAGCCACAUCAACCACCACUGUCGUAAUUACACCAAUUACAAAGGCCAAAACUCCAUUUGCAAUAGUAGAAGAACCGAUGUCAACAUCAAUCUACAGACAGAGGAACAAUGUUAAACCAUGUUAAUGGUAUCGGACGAGCUAUUUGAAAGGGGAACAUCUCAUGUAUGAUAGAAAUUCCUAGAGCGUUUACUUCUAAGUACUUGGGACCGCGAAUAUAAUUACGAUCAACUUCUUUUCCUAAUAAACAAGGGGUGCUUCCAACACUCUGGUGCACGAUCCAUGACCCCUGCAUGAUUUAGCGCUUAAAAUCAAGAGCAGGUGCAAAACAAAUUCAACAGAGUGAAAAAAGGUCAUUAAGUUAGAAGGUACAACCCAUCAAUACAUUUAUACCUAAAUGUACGCUUCCUUUGCACAAAUUGAAGUGUACCAUGCAGUGAAGGUUACGACAUGUUAACAAAGUCCUAAUACAUGCAGACCAAGAUGGAUAUCUUAGGGACGGAUGGAAUAAGCUUCAGCCUACUAUUGGGAAGAUCAUCAUCGCCAUCAACAAAUCGUUGCAGAAGGGAUCCCAUAACUAAUUCCCUUGUGACAAAUAAAAUGCCAUACUGUAAUGUGUUGAACCGGAAGCCUGCAGAUGUCUUACGUUACAACGAUCCAACCUCCCAAUACGACAAGUUUGAAACUUAAUACCUUUUGAAAUGAAACAAACUUAACUUGAAGAUCAAAAAUUAAUGAGAAAAGUCAUUUUUCGGAAGCAACCUACAUAUUUUAGAAUAGGGCUCAGAGUGUCACAGAUUCAACGAACCCUAGGAUCUCACAGGCAGCAAUUUCUGCUAAUCCGUCAAGGGAAAAAGGAAAAAUAAAAAGAAAAGAAUAGUUACUUGUGCAGCACAGCCUUGACGUCUAGCAACAUGGUCCAUUCUCUUUGUGCGCUUGAACCAAUCAACAGCACAAGCGCAAGAAGAGCCAACCAAACUACUUCAUAACAUGUCAAACUAGAACAUGCAGGAUAUAUAAAUACCAUAACAAACAACCAAAAUACGGGGGAACCUUUGUUUUGUCAUAACAAAAAUGCUUGCUACGAACUCUGAAGUUGUUUCCAUCAGAAAGUUUCCUGCAGUCAUGAGCAUUAUCACGGUCAUCGUGUCGCAGAUUGCCCGAAAAACAAGAUAAAUCAAAUUGACCAGCUUGCUCUUCCUCUAGGGCUGCAAGUAAUUGAAAAAAGAAAGAUUUAAGUCCAUAGAAAUCCAUUAAUGAGUACAUUAACUAAAUAUAUAAAAAUGAAUAGAUAAGUUGUCAUCCACCUGUUCUCUUGAAAUCAUUCUCAAUCUUUUUUUCAUUUGCCUGAAAUCCCAAGAAAAAUUUAUAAGAACAAGAGUUAUGAAAGAAGUUACUUGAAAAGGAUGAGGAUUCAAGCGUGAAUCAAACCUCUUGUUCAGACUCAGCUAAUUGAAAUUCUUCAUCCUCCUCAGAGUAUUCAUCCAUCAUCACAGAGUGUCUACCUGCAGCAAUUAACUGAUCAAGAGAUGAGCUCAGAUGAAUAGAUGAGUCUUGCAGGUUUCGGUUCUUAUAUGAAGAAACAGAAGCUGAGGCCAUAUUGACCAUGACAGGGAUUCUCGGAUGAGCACUCAUUUCAUCUGUUUGGCAAACCAUUCGCGGAGACCUGUCAUAAGAAGUAAACAACAUAACUCAAACAAAGUGUUUGUAUUGGAAAGAAACAAAAAAUUAAUAAAUAAACCCUCAAAAAAUCCUCUGAAAAUUGUGUUUAACUAGACCACUUUUCUAGCAGUUUGAUCUAUUAAAUGAACCAGAACAGCAGCCUUUUUAUUAUUUAUUUCACUUACUAUCUUAUAAAUCCUCUGAAAAUUACACCGCUACUCCAAACCAAGUUCCAUUAUCAUUUAUUUCAUUUUUUGUCUUAUACUAAAGCUAAAAGAAAAGAAAAGGUACAUCCACAUGUAUAUUUCAUUGGAGUUACUGCAUUUCGUUCUUUUAGCUUAUUCCUCAUUUUAUUAAAAUGAUAGAUCCCGCAUUAAAAAGGUGUCUUUAUAAAUAUGUGUAUGCAUGUGUAUAUUCCUUAGAAAAGGAGUGACAGAAAAUACAGUAACAAGCAAAGCAAGACUUAAAAUGGCCUCCCAGCAGAACCAUAUAAUCUACAACGGCAAAAAAUAAAUGUGAAAAACAAGUAACUUACCAGCAACCCUAUUUAACUAAGAAGACAGUGUUGCUAAAAUAUUGACACAUGACCAACAAGUCACCCUUUAGGUCAACCUGCAUAAGAUACUGAACCUGUGUUCUGGGCCUACCAUUUCGAGGUUCUUAAUGGGGAAAUGUCGAAUCCUCCACCUGAGAAAUCAGAAUACAGUCAGCAAGUGGUGCAAUUUGGCGUGAGUUGGUCACUUGUUAAUUCUCUACAUCAACCGAAGGAUAGAAAACUGACUCUCCACUUGAGCUCGUACAUACCCUGGUUGUGGACCACAGUUCUCAUCAUCCCUACAACGAAAUAACACAACUGCACAAUAACAAAACACAGCAUGUGGAAAUUUCUAGUGCCAGAAAAGAUAUAUUUAAUUUCAAGAAGUGGGGAAGCAAGAACCUUACCAUAAUUCCCAUCGUCAUUUCGACGCCAAUAACGCACAUAGCAAAGGUCCACAGAGGAAAGGAGGAAGAUUAAUUCAAUAAAAAGGAUAAAUUUCAGGGAAUUCCACUAUCCUCUGACUGAAAUAGAUAACCCAUGCAGUUUUGAAAUUCAUUUGAUCCCCCCUGAACUUUUAAAAUUGGCCAUAGAGCUCCCCCAAAAUCCAUAUGAACCUUCCCUGGUGAAUUUGUUAGAAUCAAGGGGAAGGCUUUAGACUAACUUCAAAACCAAGUUGUGGCCUAUAUAUUUAAGUCAUAUUGAGGAUGUUGAGAAGUCAAUAUUAGCCCAAAUAAGUCCACACCUAAAUUAAUUUGAUGUCAUUGCUUACAUCAAUUUAGUUAGGUGAAAAUUAGGUAUUUUUCCCAUGUUUAAUUUCAAUGGUUUAAAUUAGUUUGUGGUUAUUUUAAUGAGUGGUUUAGAUUGUUUCUUGUAAUCUAUAAAUACCUCAUUUGUAUUUGAGUUUUAUCAUUCAACAAUCAAAGCUUUAUUAUAAGCAUUUGAAAGCUUUCUCAAGAGUUCUUCUCUUUUUGCAAUUUUGUGAGAUUAUUCUAAAGAGAGUUUUUCUUCUUCUUGAUCAAUUGGAGUUUUUACUCUAUUUUGAUUCAACAUUUGGUAUCAGAGCAUUGGUUGUAAAGUCUCUUGAAAUUCCGAGUAUGCUCUGUGGUUGCAGUUUUGACUGAUCUUCCACAUCAGAAAAGAUUUCUUGAGAUUAUUGCUGGGGUUAUCACAAACCUUGAGAGGGAGCUUCUUUGUGUCAAGAGUAGUGUAUUACUCUGCACGAUAGUCACUCAAGCUUGUUCGGUGUAGUCAAAGUCUUGUCGAUACGAUGGGUGAUCUUCAAGUUGUUGGAGGAAUCAAGAAGCUCAACAACCAAAACUAUAACACAUGGGCAACGUGUAUAGAGUCUUACCUUCAAGGUCAAGACUUGUGGGAGGUUGUCGGUGGUAGUGAAGUUACACAACCGGCAGCAGAAGAUGCUAACGGCGUCUUGCGGAAGUGGAAAAUUAAAGCAGGCAAAGCAAUGUUUGCUUUAAAGACCACAAUAGAAGAAGAAAUGUUGGAGCACAUUCGGGAUGCUAAAUCACCGAAGGAAGCGUGGGACACCUUCGCUACACUCUUUUCGAAGAGGAACGAUACAAAAUUGCAACUUCUCGAGAAUGAACUUCUAUCAAUGGCGCAACGCGACAUGGCGGUUGCCCAAUACUUUCACAAGGUGAAGUCGAUAUGCCGCGAAAUUUCAGAAUUAGAUCCGACAGCUGCUAUUGGGGAAGCCAGGAUAAAAAGAAUAAUUGUCCAUGGCUUGAGACCCGAAUACCGAAGCUUUGUAGCCGCUGUACAAGGAUGGCCGACACAACCAUCACUUGUUGAGUUUGAAAAUUUACUGACAGGCCAAGAAGCUAUGGCCAAGAAAAUGGGAGGAGUCUCACUAAAGGGUGAAGAGGAAGCGCUUUACACCAACCAAAGCAGAGGUGGUUCAAGACAGCACAACAAAGGCGGAUCUAGAAAGACUGGUGAACAGACAAAAAGUCAUCAGGGAGGGAAUGGCUCUCGUCCAGGGGGAGCUUCGAAGAAUCGCGACAGUAAUAGAAAGUUCGAUGGUGAAUGUUACAAUUGCGGGAAGAAGGGCCACAUGAAGAGAGAUUGUUGGUCCAAAAAGAAGUCUACCGAAAGCAAUAUUGCUACUUCUAGUUCUAAAGAAGAUAGUGAAGAUAGCUGGGAUGCCGAAGCAUUACUCGCUAUGGAGGAAGAAGGAUUAGCUCUCACGGUAACAACACCAGAAAAGAUUAACUACGAGAAUGAUUGGAUCGUAGACUCAGGCUGCUCAAAUCACAUGACGGGUGAUAGACAGAAGUUAAAAAACUGUUCUGAGUACAAGGGAAAUCGUGUGGUGGUAACAGCUGACAACUCAAGGUUACCGAUAGCUCACAUCGGUAAAGCGAUCGUUACACCUCGAUAUAGUCCCAACCAAGUGCCACUUCAAGAUGUCUACCAUGUUCCAGGAAUGAAGAAAAAAUUGCUAUCCGUAGCUCAAUUGACAUCAUUAGGGCACUAUGUCUUGUUUGGUCCACAAAAUGUGAAGGUAUUCCGAGACCUAAAGAUCUCAGAAAAGCCUACGAUGGAGGGACGGCGAUUGGAGUCAGUUUAUGUGAUGUCAGCUGAGUCUGCAUACGUAGACAAGACAAGAAGGAAUGAGACGGCAGAUCUAUGGCACAUGCGGCUAGGUCAUGUUAAUUAUUCCAAGCUAAGUGUGAUGGUGAAGAAGUCGAUGCUUAAGGGACUUCCUCAACUUGACGUGAGAACAAAUACUGUUUGCGCGGGAUGUCAAUAUGGUAAAGCACAUCAAUUGCCAUACGAGGAGUCGAAGUUUAAAGCAAAGAAACCAUUAGAGUUAAUUCACUCUGAUGUGUUUGGACCCGUUAAGCAACCAUCAAUUGGCGGAAUGCGGUAUAUGGUUACGUUCAUUGAUGAUUUCUCCAGAUAUGUAUGGGCUUUCUUCAUGAAAGAAAAAUCUGAAGCAUUCUCAAAGUUCAAAGAGUUCAAAGAGAUAGUCGAAGGAGAAGUGGAGCAAAAGAUUCGUUGCUUGCGCACAGACAACGGGGGUGAGUAUAGCUCGAGAGAGUUUUCUCAAUACCUACGGGAAUGCCAAAUACGUCAUUAGUAUACUUGUGCUAAUACGCCACAACAAAAUGGUGUAGCAGAGAGGAAGAAUCGGCACCUUGCUGAAAUUUGCCGGAGUAUGCUACAUGCGAAGAAUGUACCUGGAAGAUUUUGGGCCGAAGGUAUGAGAACUGCAGCUCAUGUCAUCAACAAGCUUCCUCAACCAAGGUUGGAGUUUGUUUCACCCUUUGAGAAAUUGUGGAACAAGAAACCUACAGUUAGCUAUUUUCGAGUAUUCGGUUGUGUAUGCUAUGUAUUUGUUCCUGACCAUCUACGUAGCAAGAUCGAUAAGAAAGCAGUCAGAUGUAUCUUUGUGGGAUACGACAAUCAGCGAAAAGGGUGGAAGUGUUGUGAUCCAGUAAAUGGAAGGUGCUACACAUCACGAGAUGUGGUGUUUGAUGAAGCAUCCUCAUGGUGGACCUCAGAAACAGAAGUAUUGCCAGACUCGAAAGAAUUCGGAGACAUGCUACAACAAAAGAUGGAGGAGCAUACUGUCCAAAUUCAUCUAAGCUCAGCUGGAGAUCUAUGCGAUAGUGAUAGCGAACGAAGAGUAACUCUAAAUCCUUGGCAAUCUGGGGUGUAUCGACAACCAGAUGAAGAAGGUGUGCCUAGUGAAACAGAAGAAUCAACUCCAUUACGAAGGUCAACAAGAACCCGGAGGCCAAAUCCCAAAUACGCUAAUGCAGCCAUAGUUGAAGAAGCAACUGGAAUAGAACCUGAGACGUUCGAAGAAGCGUCACAGAGUUCUGAGUGGAUGACAGCUAUGAAAGACGAGAUCACUGCACUUGAGCAAAAUCAGACCUGGGAACUCGUGCCAAAGCCAAAAGAUGUGAAACCCAUAUCCUGCAGAUGGGUUUACAAAAUAAAGCACCGUCCAGAUGGGUCAAUCGAGAGGUACAAGGCUCGAUUGGUAGCUCGUGGUUUCUCUCAACAAUAUGAACUAGACUAUGACGAAACGUUUAGUCCAGUGGCAAAACUUACAACCGUCCGAGUCUUACUUGCACUUGCAGCCAACAAAAGUUGGAACUUGUGGCAGAUGGACGUGAAGAAUGCCUUUCUCCAUGGAGAGCUGGAUCGGGAGAUCUACAUGAUUCAACCGAUGGGUUUCCAGAACCGAGGUCAUCCUGAGUAUGUGUGUAAGCUGCGAAAGGCUCUCUACGGACUAAAACAAGCACCCAGGGCAUGGUAUGGCAAGAUUGCUGAAUUUCUAACUCAAAGUGGGUAUUCAGUAACAUCUGCAGACUCCAGCUUGUUUGCUAAAGCUAAUGGAGAAAGGAUAGCUAUUGUGCUCGUGUACGUAGAUGAUCUAAUCAUCACUGGAGAUGAUGUUGAAGAAAUUUUCCGAACAAAGGAGAACUUGUCAGUUCGUUUUCAAAUGAAAGAACUUGGACAACUUAAGCAUUUCCUUGGGCUAGAGAUUGAUCAGACGAAAGAAGGGAUAUUUCUUUAUCAACAGAAAUAUGCCAAAGAUUUGUUGAAGAAGUUUGGGAUGCUAGAAUGUAAGCCGAUCUCAACACCGAUGGAACCAAAUGCCAAGAUGUGUGCACAUGAAGGCAAAGACCUGGAAGAUGCAUCGAUGUAUCGACAAUUAGUGGGUAGUCUAAUCUACUUAACCUUGACUCGACCUGACAUUUCUUAUGCAGUUGGCGUGAUGAGUCGAUACAUGCAAAAUCCGAAGAAGUCUCAUUUAGAAGCGGUUCGGCGAGUACUCAUAUAUGUGAAGAGUACAAUAGACUAUGGUCUUCUAUACAAGAAAGGUGGAAAUUGCAAACUAGUUGGCUACUGUGAUGCUGACUAUGCAGGAGAUCACGAUACUCGCAGAUCAACUACUGGGUAUAUGUUUACCCUUGGAUCUGGAACGAUUUCUUGGUGUAGCAAGAGACAACCGACUGUGUCCUUGUCAACUACGGAAGCAGAGUACCGAGCAGCAGCAAUGGCAGCUCAAGAAAGCACGUGGCUGAUACAACUAAUGAAUGAUCUACAUCAACCAGUAGAUUAUGCAGUUCUGUUGUAUUGUGACAACCAAUCGGCAAUUCGGCUGGCGGAGAAUCCUGUUUUUCAUGCAAGAACUAAACAUGUGGAAGUGCAUUACCACUUUGUUAGGGAAAAAGUUCUGCAAGAAGAGAUUGAGAUGAGGCAAGUUAAGACAGAUGAACAAACUGCUGACUUGUUUACAAAAAGCUUGAGUGUUGGAAAGUUUGAACAUUUCCGUCGUCAGCUUGGCGUGAUUCAAAGAAUGGGGGCUAACAUUGAGGGGGAGUGUUGAGAAGUCAAUAUUAGCCCAAAUAAGUCCACACCUAAAUUAAUUUGAUGUCAUUGCUUACAUCAAUUUAGUUAGGUGAAAAUUAGGUAUUUUUCCCAUGUUUAAUUUCAAUGGUUUAAAUUAGUUUGUGGUUAUUUUAAUGAGUGGUUUAGAUUGUUUCUUGUAAUCUAUAAAUACCUCAUUUGUAUUUGAGUUUUAUCAUUCAACAAUCAAAGCUUUAUUAUAAGCAUUUGAAAGCUUUCUCAAGAGUUCUUCUCUUUUUGCAAUUUUGUGAGAUUAUUCUAAAGAGGGUUUUUCUUCUUCUUGAUCAAUUGGAGUUUUUACUCUAUUUUGAUUCAACAGAGGAAACAUAUGAGAUCAUUGCAGCAUGCAAUAUCCGAUAUGCACAUUGGAUUUAUAUAAAUAUAUAUAAUUAAAUUCUAAAUUUGAACUCUUAAAAUUAUUAUGUUAUUUGGAUUUAUCAAGAACUUACAUGUACAGUAGCUAUUAUGUUAGCAUAUGUAAGAAUAAUUUUAAUGCAUGCAGCAUUUAGAAGGUACUAAAGUGGAAACAAGAAUUUGCGCUUGCAACAAGAGGUGAUCCGUGCGUUCCCCAGUUUAGUAAUUAAAAAAAUCAAAAAAGAGAAGAAACAGGGCCUCUCUUUUCUCAUUCCCUUGUUUAAUAACAAUGAAAACAGAACAGAGGAUAAACAGAGGCUAUCUUUUCAUUCCCCUGUUUUUCUGUUUGGUGAUUUUUUUUCAGAGUAUGAUUAGUCGGCUGCUGAGUCAGCAGCCACGCUGGCAAGCCGUUGCUCUGUUUAGUUAUUUCCCGUUAAAAGUUUGUUAAGCUGAAUUGUAUUGAGUUCACGUGUUUGUUUCAUAUAGAAGGUUCCAGUGAGUAGCAUAAAUAUUGUUGUAUAUUGAACCAAAUAUAGAUUAAUAAGAUGGUUUUAGAUUCAUUCUAGCUACAUAAUUUUCUCUGUAUUUUUCCUUCACUUUCUGAGUAAACAAACAGGAAAAGCUUCUUUAACUUGGUAUCAGAGCUAGAUCCAAUGGCUCUAACGAACUCAAAUUCACAAUCUAAUACCAGUGCCAUAGCUUCUUUCACCUUCACUACACCAGUCAAAUUAGAUCGUACAAAUUACACGAUCUGGAAACAGCAGGUGCUCUCUUCAGUUCGAGGCAAUGGACUUUGAGUCUUAUAUCGAUGGAUCAAAGCUAUGUCCUGAUCAAUUUCUUUAACCUGGAUCUGAAGGCACUUCGUCAAUCUCUGAAGGUCAUGAAAAUCCAGAAUAUGCUGUGUGGAAACACCAAGAUCAGCUUCUGCUUAGCUGGAUUAUGUCAUCCACAACUGUUGAAAUACUCAGCCUUGUGGUAAGUUCCAAAACCUCCUUUGAAUUGUGAAAAAAAAUUACUUCAAUACUCCAUGGGCUGGCAUUUCGGUCUGCGGUGCCGUUUUCCUUCUUAUUCUCACCGUCAUCCAAGCUGUAUGCUCUGUUAUACAAGUGUUGUCUCAGCCCAAAAAUAUCUCGUGACGAAAACCUUCUAUGCGGUAUUUGUAUGUCGUUUUCGAGUUGCUGUUUUUUUUUUUUUAAUUUUAAUUUUUAUUCUGAAGUAAUUUUAUCAUGGAUUUGUUAAUUUUACUUGAAUGUUGAACAAGCCUUUACUUUUCUCUCUCUCUUUUUUUUUUUUUUUAAUGAAAUGAAAUAAAAGGUGGGGGUAUACCCUACAGAUUGUUCUCUCCACUCCAUAAUUAGUAUUGCUUUUACCACAUGAAAAAUUAAUGUUAAACGAUAAAUUUAUUUACUUGAAUAUUUUAAUUAUGUCAUGAACCAAUUGACAGGCUAAAGAAUUAACUUUCAAUUUUCAACAGUAUAAGAUUAAUAAAUAGCAUAAACUAAUUUUUAUUUUCAUUUAAAUUAAUCUAAUCCUACCAACUUCAUGUGGUUUUCAUAUUGGUUGGUUUCAUGUAUCACAAGAAUUGUUAGACACUGUUAAGGAAGCACACAUCAGUAGCAUAGACUGUAAAGCAGAGGAUAGCAGCAGCUCCAGCUUACAGUUAAGAGUUGAUGACAUGGCAUGCCAGCUGGCACCUGGUGGUUAUGUAAUCACUUGUUCACGUGAUAAUUAGUUGAAGUUGUUAUAGCUAGCUAGAAUUAGUUUUGUAAUUAGUUAACUAAUUGAGCUGAGCAUCAGUUGUGUAUAUAAGCAUCUCUGUGUACAGUUUCAUAAGUAAGUUUUAGAUGAAUAAAAUCGUGUGAGCAAAAAGCUUUCAGUUCUUAAAUUUUCUCAGCUUCCAAACAUCCUUUUUUUGAUUUCUUACUUGGUAUCAGAGCACUAAUGGCAUCUGUGAAUCUUGCCUCUUCCUUAAAUCAAGUUCAUAAUACCGCUGCACAUUCAACAACAGUCAAUUUCACUUUCAAUACUCCCGUUAAACUUGAUCAAUCAAACUAUUUGAUCUGGAGAUCUCAAGUGCUUGCUUCAAUUCGAGGAAAUAGACUUGAGAAAUUUAUCGAUGAGUCAAUCACUCCACCUCCUUCUCAUAUUGCUCAUAGAUAUGAUGAUGAGCUUAGAUCUGUGGAGAAUCCAGAAUUUGCAACCUGGAGAGCACAAGAUCAAAUACUUCUCGGUUGGCUUCUUUCAUCCAUGAGUGAAGGUAUCAUCAGUUUGGUGUUCAAUCUUGAGACUUCAUUGGAGGUAUGGAAAGCUGUUGAAACUCAAUUUGGAUCUCAAUCAAAGUCUAGGUUAUUACAUUUGAGAUAUUUGAUGAAUUCCACUAGAAAGGAUGAUCUUAAAAUGACUGAAUACUUCAUUAAAAUGAAAUCUAUUGCUGAUAACAUGGCUGUAGCAGGAAGUGCAUUAAGCAAUGAUGAUUUGAUUUUACAUGUACUCUCUGGUCUAGGUCCUGAUUAUAAUUCUGUUGCUACUUACAUCACUGGACAAGUAGGAACUGGAAAAAUGAAUGUUAAUGAGGCUUAUGCUAUGCUGUUAACUCAAGAGGCUAGGAUUGAUCAACAAACUCAUAUGCUUGCUAAUAUGGAUGUUAAACACAAUUUAGAAGCUAACUUUGCACAAAAUAGAGGACCUAAGAGAGGAAACUUCUCAGGAGGAAAAGGUUUUGGUAGUCUUGGAUAUAAUACAGGCUACAGUAAUGCUGGAAAUUCUGGAAAUAGUGGUUACAGAGGAAAUUAUGGAUCAUCUGGUUUUGCUGUUGGAAGUGCUGGAAAUAAUGGUUACAGAGGAAACUAUGGAGGAGGAGGAGGAGGAAACUGGAAUAAUAAUAAUGCUGUCAAUAAUGGCAAAACACCUGGAAAUCCUAAAUCUCAGUGGAAUCCUUCUAAGCCUACAUGUCAAGUUUGUCUCAAAAUAGGUCACACAGCUAAUGUAUGCUGGAAGCUGGAAGAAUUUAUUGCUUCAGGAGCUUAUAGACCACCUCCAAACAGGAAUCCGAAAUCUGCAUAUCUGGCAAACAUGGAAGGAUCAUCUGAUACAAAUUGGUACCUUGACAGUGGUGCCACUCACCAUCUCACAAAUGACAUGAACAAUAUGCAGAUUUCUGAAUCAUUUACAGGUACAUCUAAACUCAUUAUUGGUAAUGGUACUGGCUUGAAUAUUACACAUAUUGGAAAAGCUGUUCUGAGAUUGCACAACUGCACUGAUUCCACUGUGUUUAAACUAAACAAUAUACUUUUAGUUCCACAAAUAACCAAGAACCUUAUAAGCAUUUCUCAGCUAACCAAAGACAACAAUAUCACAAUUGAGUUUACUGACAAAUCUUGUUUUGUGAAGGACAAGGUGAAGAAUUUGAUCAUACUGCAGGGCAAGGCUGAAAAAGGCUUGUACAGAUUGCUAUUAGUGUCCUCAAAUAAAACUUCUGCUCAGUCUUCCUUUCAAGGUCAUGUUGCCAAUAUUGAGUCUUCUUUUCAGUCUUUUGUUCCUUUGUCAAUGCUAUCAACUGUCAAUCUCAGUCAGUCAAAUAAUCACUGCUUGCAAAAUGUGGCAGCAGAACCUUGUAUGAACUCUAAGUGUCUUUUAAGCACUUCUGUAUUACAUCAGAGGCUAGGUCAUCCUAACUCUAAGAUCUUAAACCAUGUAAUACAAUCUUGUUCCUCUUUCAAACCUAUCAAUGGAAAUAAAGAGUUUGAUUCAUGUGAUGCUUGUAAAUUUGGGAAAAUGCAUAGAUUACACUUUCCAGCAACUGAAACAAAAACAAAACAACCUUUAGCCAUUUUACAUACUGAUUUAUGGGGACCAGCUCCAGUGGUUUCCACACAAGGUUAUAAAUAUUAUGUGAGCUUUGUGGAUGAUUUUACCAGAUUCACUUGGAUAUUUCCCCUGAAAACCAAAGAUGAAACUCUUCAUGUGUUCAAAAUUUUCAAAGCUCAAGUUGAAAAACAAUUAGAACAGCCCAUUAAAUGUCUUCAAUCUGACUGGGGAGGGGAAUUCAGAUCCUUUAGCAAAUAUCUUCAAGAAGAAGGGAUAGAAUUUAGACACUCUUGUCCUUAUACACAUAACCAAAAUGGUUUGGUAGAAAGGAAACACAGACACAUCACUGAAUCAGGUCUUACUCUUCUUGCACAAGCUAAAUUACCUAUCAAAUUCUGGUGGGAUUCCUUUCAUACAGCAGCCUAUCUCAUUAACAGAUUACCAACACCUAUUCUAGCAAUGAAAACUCCAUAUGAAUCAAUCUUUCAUCAUCAACCAGACUAUAACUUUCUAAGAACAUUUGGAUGUUCUUGUUUUCCUUUUCUCAGAGAAUACAAUAACCAUAAAUUUCAUUUCCAUACUUCAAAGUGUGUCUUCUUAGGAUAUAGUCCUUCACAUAAGGGUUAUAAGUGUCUACAUUCAUCAGGCAAAAUUUAUAUUGCCAGUCAUGUAUUGUUUGAUGAAACCACUUUCCCUUACAUUUCAGAUCCAAAUUUUUCUUCCUUUUCUAAACACACUUCCUCUGAUUUUCAAUAUAAUCUUUUUCAAAGGUUUACUCUGUCAGUUCCUAAUAGCAUUCUGAACAGUCUUGAAGCUACUGCAGCAGAUCAAUUCCCUGUCAAUCAUUCUUUAUCAUCAAAUUCACCUCAAUCUCAGUCACCCACAAAUCAGACCUCUACAUCUUUGCCUUCACCUGCACCCCAGUCACCAGCACCACAAAUACCCUGCACAACACAAACAUCUCAGCCUAAACCUUCUACUUCCACCCAUCAUAUGAUAACCAGAGCUAGAGCUGGUAUUUUCAAACCAAAGACCUUUCUAACAACUCACAACAGCUUAGAACCAUCCACUGUCCCUGAGGCAUUAUCAGAUCCUAAAUGGAAAGAUGCAAUGCAAACUGAGUAUGAUGCUCUUAUUCACAACAACACUUGGACUCUUGUGCCAAUGUCUUCAACAUACAAGCUAGUUGGUUGUAAGUGGGUAUUCAGAACAAAGUAUAACACAGAUGGAACUGUCAGCAAGUAUAAAGCUAGAUUGGUUGCAAAGGGAUUUCACCAAACAGCAGGGGUAGAUUAUUCAGAAACUUUCAGUCCAGUGGUGAAGUCUUCAACAGUUAGAGUUAUACUCAGCUUGGCAGUUAUAAAAGGGUGGAAAGUCAGACAAAUUGAUGUAAAUAAUGCAUUCCUUAAUGGAGAUCUUUCUGAAAACGUAUAUAUGACACAACCAGAAGGCUUUGUAACUAAGGAAGAGUACAUCUGCAAACUCAAUAAAGCUCUCUAUGGUCUAAAACAAGCUCCACGAGCCUGGUAUGAAAAAUUGAAGGGUUGUCUAACUACUUGGCAAUUUCUUAAUUCAAAGGCUGAUACAUCUCUAUUCAUUAAACAUGAUACAAGGGGCUUAAUCAUAGUAUUGAUCUAUGUGGAUGAUAUUCUAGUCACUGGACCAGAUUCUGCUUUACUAGAGGAUUUUAUUGUUAAACUCAGUCAGACAUUUGCCUUGAAAGAUCUGGGAUUAGUUGCUUAUUUCCUAGGUGUUGAAGUUAGUUACUUUGAUGAAGGUAUGCAUCUAUCUCAAACAAAGUAUAUUAAAGACUUGCUGAGUAAAGCAUCUAUGGAGAAUUGCAAAGGGUCUGAUACUCCUCUUAGUACUGGUUUGAAGCUAGAAAGAAAUGUCAGGGGUCCUUUGGGUCAGGAGUUCGAAAAUCCAACACAAUACAGAAGCAUAGUUGGAGGGUUACAAUAUCUAAUUCUCACCAGGCCGGAUAUAGCUUAUUCAGUUCAUAAGCUCAGUCAAUACCUCAGUUCUCCUACUGUUCAGCACUGGUUAGCCUGCAAAAGAGUUCUUCGAUAUCUCCAGUCAACCAUCACCUAUGGUCUCUAUCUCAGAAAGGAAGCAACUCUGGAAAUUGGAAUAACAGGCUAUACAGAUGCUGACUGGGCUUGUGAUCUUGACGACAGAAAAUCAAUUGGAGCCUAUUGUAUAUACUUGGGUAACAAUCUGAUUUCAUGGUCUUCCAAAAAGCAAGCUAUUGUAGCAAAGUCAAGCACAAAAAGUGAAUAUCGAGCCCUGUCAGCAGCAUGCUCAGAAAUUUCUUGGUUGCAGUCUUUAUUUUCAGAACUCAACAUUGCUAAACUACCUACUCCAGUUCUUUGGUGUGAUAACCAAAGUGCAGGGGAGCUAGCUCGCAACCCUGUGUUUCACUCAAAAUCUAAGCACAUAGAGUUGGAUGUUCAUUAUGUUAGAGACAAAGUGCUUGGAAAAGAAUUGGAGGUUAGAUACAUUCCUACUGAAGAACAAGUAGCUGAUGUUCUGACUAAGCCCUUAUCUUUUUCUAAAUUCAGCUUUUUUAGAUCCAAGCUCAAUGUCGUUAGUAGACCUUUGAGCUUGAGAGGGGAUGUUAAGGAAGCACACAUCAGUAGCAUAGACUGUAAAGCAGAGGAUAGCAGCAGCUCCAGCUUACAGUUAAGAGUUGAUGACAUGGCAUGCCAGCUGGCACCUGGUGGUUAUGUAAUCACUUGUUCACGUGAUAAUUAGUUGAAGUUGUUAUAGCUAGCUAGAAUUAGUUUUGUAAUUAGUUAACUAAUUGAGCUGAGCAUCAGUUGUGUAUAUAAGCAUCUCUGUGUACAGUUUCAUAAGUAAGUUUUAGAUGAAUAAAAUCGUGUGAGCAAAAAGCUUUCAGUUCUUAAAUUUUCUCAGCUUCCAAACAUCCUUUUUUGAUUUCUUACUGACACUGACUAACUGAAGUAUAUGUUAAACAUCUCACAUGAAUAAUCGUCUAAGGAAAUUUAACUAUCUAAAACUAACCUUCUUAAUUUAAAUCUCAUCUACUAGUAAAAGUAGAACCCUUCUCCGUCAACUGAUCUUCCUCAUUAUAUAACAAAAGAUGCUUAGUGAAAUAUGAAAAAAAAAAUUGUUAUAAUAAUUAUGUCAAAGUGGUCAAGAUCCAGCCACUAGGCUUGAGGGCUUGGGUUCAAAGCCACAUAAACUCAUUUCAAUUCUUUAUUUUAUAAAUGUGGGAUUAGGGAUAGAUUUUUCUAUGACUAUUUGCUUAUAGAGUAAUUAAUUAGAACAGUAUUAUUAAUUUUAGUUGAAUAGUUGUAGAGUGUGCCAUGUGGCAGGCUCGCAUCAAAGAUGUCAAAUCAGGAGAGGCCUAUUUACUUCCUGGGGUACCUAGGGAUACGGCUUUAUUUGAAUCGAAUCUUAGACGUAGGCCUUGCGGGCCCCCUCCUAGUGGUCCACCACUUCUGCGGAGUGCACCCGGUUCAGGGAAAAUAGGUCCACUAGAACCCGCGCAAUCAACCACACUACAUGAAGGAAGUGAAGGGAUCGAGGGCGUUGAUGUUCUAACACAUGUAAUGAUCUUGAGGGACCAUUUAUUAAUUAUUUAGCCAAUCAAAUGGGAAAGCCGGUGUGGGGAGUGGGCCCAUUGUUACCUGAACAAUUUUACAAAUUGGUCAGUUCAGUGUUUCGUGAUCGUGAGACGAGAACCAACCAGCAGAGUUCUAACAUGACUAAAGAUGAGAUCAUUUAAUGGUUGGAUUUGAAAUCACGUAGAUCUGUGCUAUACAUAUAAUUUGGUACCAAAGUGGGUCCCAUCUUAGAUGAGUAUUCAGCCUUGCCAAUGUUUCAGAAGCAUCAAAUCAACAAUUUAUUUGGGUAAUUCAAACUAGUGCAGGUAGAUUGGAUCCUCCGCGUCAUUUAACCGGCUUAGACAGACCAGUAGAAGGCAGUUAUUUUUCCAGUGGUUUGGAGAGUAAAGUCGCUAAAAGGGGAUUGAUAAUAUAUGGGUGGGCGCCACAAUUAUUGAUACUAAGUCAUCAAUCAAUGGGUAGAUUUUUAUCUCAUUGUAGAUGGAAUUCAACUAUGCAAGCAAUUGGUUGUAGGCUUGGCAAUUUAGCCCGAUCCUAUUUUUGGUCCGAUUGAUCCGACUCUAAUUUUUAAGGCUUUGACCCGAAUUUUCAAGUUUAGGGUCGGGUUAGGGCCAAGAUUUUAAGGCCCAAACAAAUUUAUGGUCAGGGUCGGGCUUAAUGCCGACCUGACCCGACCCGACCCGACCCUAUUUAAAAAAAAAAAAACUAACACAAGUUAACACACGCACACAACACAUCCUCACAACAUCACACAUUGUGUGUUUUGAAUUUAAUUGCAUUGUAUUUUUAUUUGUAUAAGACAUGAGUUUUUUUUUUUUUUUAUGUUGGGUUGUUAAAUUGAAUUGUGUAUGACUAAAAUAGUUGUGGAAUUACAUUGUGUGUUUUUAAUUUAAUUGCAUUGUGUUUUUAUUUAUAUAAGACAUGAGUUUUAUUUUUUAUUUUUUAUUUUUUAUGUUGGGUUGUUGAAUUGAAUUGUGUAUGGGUAAAAUGGUUGUGGAAUUACAUUGUGUAUUUUUAAUUUAAUUGCAUUGUGUGUUUUUUAUGUUGGAUUUUGGAAUUGAUUUGUGUGGGGGGUUGAAAUAGUUGUGGAAUUGGUUGAAAUGGUUGUGGAAAGUGGAUUGAAUUGUGUUUGAAAUGGUUGAGUAAUUGCCGAAUUAGUUGAAAUGGUGGUGAGAAAUGGGAAUUAAAUGGUGGGGUUAACUAUUUCGGUAGGGUCGGGUUGAGCCCAAUCCGAUGUUGGCCCGAUUCGGGUCGGGCUCGGCCCGACCCUAACUAAAUAGUGUUCGGGCUUUUUUAAGGUUGGGUUUCAAAUUUUUUUGAUCAGGUCGGGUAGGGCUUGGCCAAGCCCGAGCCCGACCUGACAUUUUACCAUUCCUAAUUGGUUGUGGGCUCCCAAUUUUAGCAUGGCCAGUUAGAGGUGAUCAACAUUACAAUGCCAAAUUGGUGAUCAAUCAUCUCAAGGUGGGGACAUGAUUUCUGAUGAUCAAUCAAAAUCGAUUCAAAAGGAUGAUAUCGCGAGCGGUAUAUAAAAGCUUAUGAGUGAUCAAGAGAUUAACAAACGAGCUCGCUUGCUUCGCCGUAUAUUUAAUCAUGGCUUUCCAAUGAGUUCAGCGGCUUCUUUGAAUGCUUUCAAAGAUCUUUUUAGCCCUUUCAAAAAAAAAAAAAAAAAAAGAUCUUGUUAGCCAUAAAUCAGAUUAACAAAAAUAGUUAUCGUGUAUAUUAUUAACGAAAAGGCUUUGAUUCUGUUGGCUUGGGUGUAAAUAUAUCUACUUUAUCAAGAACAGACAUCUCAGCACCUACAUAAUACUAUAUGUAAGCUUUCGUUAAUUGGCUGCAUUCAAUCAUUAAAUCAGAAGUCUUUCAAAGCAUCUAAAAUAAAAAAGAUGGCACAUCCUCCAUCCAAACAACAAAAGCAUGGACUCGCAACGCUAGUCUUGCUAAUUAAUUAAUAAGUAGUCAUAUUCCACCGAGCAACAUAAUGUACAUCAAGUUGUUGGAGAGGCACCAUAUGCACAAAAUGUUGAUAUUGUUUAAUGUUUAAUAUUAUGGGGAAGUUUUUAAUAGAUCUUCAUUUCCCUUGCAUAUUGCGAGCUUAUAACCAAAAAUGGGACUAUAUAGUUGAGGGACAAACAAAAAGGGAAAAUUUUUUACCAUUGGCUAAAUUUUAAUGUCAAUAAUAUAGGAUCUGAAUUCACUUUAAUAUGAUAUCGACAUAUGUAUAAAAUUUCUUAAGUAAAUAGAUUUUGCAUAAAAGGUAUCGACCCAGAGUCAGAGGAAAAAUUAAAUGGAAUGUUUUUUAAUACAACAAUCACUGGUGACACUGUUUGGGCAUCGUUUGAGAGUACUAAAAUAUCUACUACCAACUCUAUUCUAGUUGAAGAAUGGACUUGUCGUUAGAUGAGGUUGUUCCCAUUGAAGCUAUUAAAGAAAGAAAAAGAAAAAGAGUGUCUGCAAAACGGAGGAAAGUGGGAGGAGUUGAAAGGCUAUCAAGGCAAAUUGAUCGCUUUGUUGAUGAUGUGGAAAUGGAGGUUGAAUUCAAGAAGAAGAAGAUUAUGGUAGUAAUGUUCUUGAAGGUCGAGAGAUGGAGAGAUUGAGAUAUAAUAGUGCAGCAAGUUUAAUGAGUGGAUAAUAUUAUGGUCAUAUGUUUUUUUUUACACACAUGUAUAUAAUAUUAUAUUUCUAUGAACUAGUUUGAUUACAAUGAUUUUAUGUACAUAAAAGUUUAUAUAAAGAUUAAAUUUUUGCAUUUCCUUUUUUGCACUUAAUUUAUUAAUCAAUUUAAUGAUAUGUUAGUAUUUGUUAUAUCACGAACUACAUAACAAAUUUUUUAGUUAAAAAAAUAUUGAAGUUAAUUUUAUUGCAAAUUAAAAUAGUUAAUAAAAAAUUAUUUAAAUAUGUAAUAAAGAAAAUAGAAUAUGCUCUUAAAAAAUCUUGUAAAUAAAAAAAGAUUUAAACAACAAUAUUCUAAAUAAAUUAGAACUAAGUAAAUAAGUAUAUUUUUGUCAUUGUAUGUGAACAUUUUACACUUUUAAUUUUCAUUUUCCAGAUUUGUAUAGUAAACCAUUUUAAAACUUAUUCUCAAAUAGUUAUCAUUUACCAAACACCUUACUAAAUUAUUUGUAAAAUUAUAUAUUUCUUUUUAGAAUCAAGGUAGAAGUUAGUUCUUAGAAAGUUAAAAAAAAAAAAAAAUCUCAAACAUACGAAUAUAUAAAAACCUCAAUCAAGCACAAGAAGUUAUUUGAGUUGUACUAUCUAAUAAUUUCUAUCAAUAGUGAGCUCGUUUAUCGAAUAUAUAAAAAUAAAUAUUUUAGUUAUUAUGCAAAAACAGUUCUAGUAAGUAUAUCUAUUUAUCAAAUAUGUCAAGCUCUGAUGCUCAGAUUCAGAUAUGGAUAGUCCCUUUUUUUGGUUAGGGACAUUUCUGUCCAUGCAUUGAAUUAUGCAAGCAAAUCACUCCUCAAAAUUACCAAUCUACCCUCAUCGUUACCUCUCACGUACCCAUAACCACAGUUACCCAUUCCUCUUUUCACUAAGGCACACAGAUUACAGGACAAUGCAGCGAUCCCAACCAAGAAUGCUUAGGAUAAAGACAGAGAGAUCAAAUAGAAUAAUGUAAAAAUUUAUUCAGUAAACCCACUAGAUUUGCUAGCAAAGUCGUACUUUCAGGCAAAACACCUACUUCUGGUUUAGGACAGGCUCCUCUGUUUUCAUUUCCCUGUUUUCCUAUUCGGUGGUUGCAAAAAUUUAUAUCUAAAUAACGAAUAGUACUUAUAGAGUUAAAAAUAAAAUUUGUGGUAAAAUUAAAAAAAAAAAGCAUCAGAGGUCCUGAUAUUAUCAUCCACAGAAAUAUGUUUAUUUGAACAUGGGCCGAAAUGGGCUAAAUAAAAAAUACGCAUUUAUGUCUAAUUAUAUAGUAAUUAAAUGCUGAAUUUGAACGUACACAAUUAUUCAAUUAUCUGGAUUUCGAAUCUGUGUUUAUUGAAAAUCCUAGUCUGAACACUAUCAGACAUUCGAGUAAAUACAUAAAGAGAUUGAUCAUUUAAUGUCGUUCUCAAUUUUGACUUUUUAAUGCUGCAGCAACCGUUACAUUUGCUAUACAAUUAUUCAAUUAUAACAUAAAGAGAGAUUGAAAAAAGGGAGAGAGAGGACAAACAGGGGCUCCUCUGUUAUCAUUCCCCUGUUUUUCAGUUUGGUGAUUGGAAGUAACAAUAUUUGCAUGUACUCUUUAUUUAUUUAUUUUUCAAUUUUUAACUAAUUAAUUCUUGUUCUUCUCAAAGCGUUUGGUAAAUUAUAUGAUAAUCUGAUGAAAUCUCUAACAUUAACGUCCGCAUAAUCUAGUAAUGAAACUUCUUAUUUUAUAAUAAUCAAAUUUAAGAUUUGUUCACGCAGUUUUGAAUGAUGAUGAGUUUUUAUUUUUCUGUUAAACAUAAGAACAGUUUCUAAAUAAUGUCCAUGUGGAAUUAGUAAUAACGAAGCAACAUUUGUGGACAGAACAAUUGAAAUAACAAAAAGCAUAACUGAUCAGGCCACUAUUGAUCCUAGUUUGAUGAUUGCACUUUAGUUUCUUUCUAAAAUGUCAUUCUUCAUUCAAGCUUUUGCUUUAUCUUUUAUCAGGCAUCUUACGAAGCUUUUCCCUACUAACAAGCUCUGUAAAUCAAUGUGCUUUUCAAUUUCGCAGGAUACAAGUAAUGUAUAUGCCAAACUUAUUCAAGCACAACAGGUACUUAUUCGUCGAAAACUUCAACUUAAUUAUUUCAUUAGAAAAUAUGAAACGCUUCGUAAGGUAUUUGGCCCGAUCCAUUUCUUGUAUCUGACUGCAUGCUUUAUUAAAGCUUCGUCUUUGUUCUUGAUUGGGAACUUCAAAAUUAAAUCUUAAAAAUCGGGUAUAAAAGGGGUGCUUGAUUAAGUCUUCUUCUUUUGCAAUUCAUUGUUACUGCUCUUUUCAGCAUUUUACUCACAAAUUCCUCUGCAGUUAACAGUGAUCUUUUGCUCACUACAAUAUAUUGUUCUUAAUAAUUUCUUUUAAUACCAGUUCUUCCUCAAUAUUCAAGGCGAAUAGAGAGCUCAUCAACUCUCUGAUCCCAAAUAAUUAAAGAGGUACACAUGCUCCUAAAUCCUCUAAUAACUUCUUUUAACAGCAGUUCUUAUUUAAUUUCCGUCUAUUUUCCAAGAAAAAUUUCUCCGGUUUGUUUUAAUCUUAUCAUUUAUGUUGCUUCAGUUGUAAGUUAUUGUUCAUUUGUAAGGUCUGUGUUCUUAUCACUAGCUUUGGUUAAUUUGAAUCUAUCUUCCCAAAAAAAAGGAAAAAAAAAAGAGGUUUUUAAAAAAAGCGCGGGUUUUUAUUCAAACUCUUAAAACCUCUCUGUUAAUAGCAAAGACUCUAAUCCUCGAGCCCGGGGGGAGUAAAAAAGAAUAAAGAAUUCUCUGUUUAAGUAUCAGUUGUCUCAAGAUCAAUGUUGUUUUUUUCUUUUUUUGUUAAUUUGUUUGUUAUUUUAUUAGAUUUGCUUUUUACCUAAUUUUACUUGAGGAUUGAAGAUGAGUGAGAAAUACCCUUUGCAAAAUCAAGCUUAUCAUCCCAAAUUGAGUUGUUUGCAUUAGAAAUUUUCUAGCAUUCACGAGCAUUAUAUAUCAUUCACAAGAUAAAUCAAUUUCAGCAACUAGCUCUUUAUUGAAAUUUUUUUGUUUUGGUUUGCCUGGAAUCCCAUAAAAAAAUAUUAAGUAAGAAAAAGAGUUAAGAUGAAAAACAGGUAAAAUAAAUCCUGUGUUUUCAUUCCCCCUUUUUUUUUUGUUUGGUGAAGAAAAUUUAUAUAUCUAAAUUUUUAUGAUUUUCCAUUGGGGUUUUAUUAAAUAAAAAAGAAUUAGAAAAUGUAAUUCUAAAUUUACCCUUCUGCAUUGAGAAAAUGUAAUUCUAAAUUUACCCUUAUGCGUUGAGUGAUUAUUAUUAUGUUCUCUUAAGAAUUGAUAGUGUAAUUUUGUGUGAUGUGAAUUUCAUGUUUCUGUUAACACAAACACAAUUUAACCAAGCAUCAUUUGUGGAAAGAACAAAUGAAAUAACAAAAAAGCAGCGUUGGCAAUACAAAAUCAAACCUUCUCUAUUUAUUUGUUUUUGUUUUUGUUCUUGAAUAUGCAUUAACCAAAUCAUAUAUUAUUGAUCUUACUUUGAUGAUUUGCUGUUUAGUUUCUCUCUCAAAUGAUAUUUGUGUGUUUCCGGUAUCUGCUUUAUGAAAGGAGCACUAAUCAUUAAAGUGCAUGCGGAUUAAAAAAAAUGCACAUAAUUAUUCUGUACAUGCGUCAAGAGGGCAACAAUAACCAAAUACAGGAUAUAAAAAGGGGUGCUUCAUUAAUGGUUUUUCUUCUGCCAGUCAUUGUUAUUUCUCUCGUCAACUCUUUUCUCACACAUUCCUCAGCAGUUACCAGUGAUCUUUUUGCUCUUUCAAGUUGUUCUUAAAUAUUCAAGUGAAUAGAGAGAGAAGCUCACCAACUCUCGGUGCACAUUUUCUAAAUCCUUUAAUAAUUUUUUUUUUUUUGAUAGUAGAAUCCCUGAUCCUUGAUCUUGACAUCUGUUCUUUCAUAAUUUCCAUCUAUUUUCCAAGAAAAAAAAUUUCUCUGGUUUGUUUUAAUAUUGAAUUUACUUUGCAUGAGUUUUAAGUUAUUGUUCAUUGUUAAAGCCUGUGCUCUUAUUAUAUUGCUUGUUUGUCAUUUUAUUUGAUUUACUUUAUAUCUAAGUUUACUUGAAGAUUAAAUAUCAGUAGGAAAAGCCCUUUUUCUAAAGCAACGUACAGAUUUUAGAAUAGGGCUUAGCCACAUGAAAAUGUUUACAUUGUAGUAUCUCAUAUUAAUAAUCUAAAAACAACCAAUCCAACAAGUUCAAAUUCACUAAAAUAAAAAGGAUUGCUUUUAAGGAGUACAUGAUAGCUAUUAAAUUUUGGUUAAAGAUCUUUCAGGCAGAAUUGAAAUUCAGCCAGUCAUAAAACAACCAAUCCAACGAGUUCAAGUACAGAGUCAAUUGAACAAAUUCAUCACUUGCAAAAUUAAGCUUAUCUUCAGAAAUUGAAUUGUUUCCAUUAGAAAUUUUCCUGUAGUCAUGAGCACUAUCAUCCAAACAAGACUACUUAUAUAGGAACAAGAGUUAAGGAAAAAAAAAUUGGUAAAACAAGAUUCCUCUGUUUUCAUUCCCCUGUUUUAUCCCUUGGUGAUUGAAAAAUUCCCUCUCUAAAUUUUUAUAAUUUUCCAUUAAGGUUUAUAUUUAAAUAAAGAGUUGAAAAAAAUCUAAUUUUAAAUGCAUGCAUUGAAUGAUUAUUAUUAUUAUAUUCUCUUAAAAUUGGUUACAAUAUCAAUUAAAUAACGAAUAGAGCUAUUGAUCCCUUUGUUAAAAAUGAUCAUGUGUUCUAUUUAUAUAAUAAAACAAAAGAUGGGGUCACACUUAAGUCUUUUUCUUUUACAAUUCAUUUGUAUUACUCACUCUCAUGAACUCUUUACUCACAUUCGUCUGCAGUUAAUAUUGAUCGUUUGCUCGUUCUUAUAUAUUCAAGGCCAGCAGUGAAGGUCAUUAACUCUUUAAUAAUUCAACAGGUACAUUUGUCCAAGAAAAAAUAGCUCUUGUUUGUUUUAAUCUUGUCAUUUAAUUUUCUUAACUGUUCAUUGUUAACUUCUUUGCUCUUAUGUAAUAUUAGCAAUGGUUAAUUUGCAUCCAUCUCACAAUUUUUUUUUUUAAAUUGUUGGUUUUACAUCCAGACCCUUGAAACCUUUUUUAAAAAAGUUGUUGGUUUUACAUCCAGGCCCUAGCUCAUUUUAAUUUAUUUGAAUCUAAUUUUUCCAACAGCUAAUAUAUAUAUAUAUAUAUAUAUAUAAGCAACAGGCUAGGCAAUGGCUGCAGACCUGGUUUCCGCUACUUUUUCCAGCAUUGUAACAGAAGAUGCAAAGGCAUUGUUCGAACCGAUUAUGCGGCAGAUCUCUUAUGUGUUCAAGUACCAGAGCUACAUAGAUGAGCUAAAAGAUCAAGUGAAGGGGUUGGAAGGUAUAAACGAAAUGGUGCAACAACAUGUUAAUCAUGCUACUCGACAAGGGGAAGAGAUUUAUCAGGUUGUCAAAGACUGGCGAAAUAGGGUUGAAUCUACGGAGGGGGUUGCAAAAUCUAUCAUUGAUGAAGAAGAUGGAGCCAAGAAGUCCUGCUUCAAAGGAUUGUGUCCAAAUUUGUUGUCUCGUUACAAACUCAGUAGACGAGCAGCAAAGGCCGCAAAAGAUGCCGCUAAUCUCAAGGAUGAAGGCUGCAAACUGAAGAGUGAUGUUUCCUACGAUCCUCCUCCAGAUAUCGAAGCACCUAGGGGCGGGAAAGAUAACGAGGCCUUUGAUUCAAGAAAGAAAGUAUUACAGGAUGUUAUGGAGGCGUUGAAGGAUGAUAAGCUCAACAUAAUUGGGGUCUACGGCAUGGGCGGCGUGGGUAAAACCACGCUAGUCAGGCAAGUUAGAAAGCAAGUGAUGGAAAAUAAGUUGUUCGAUAAGGUCGCUAUGGCUGAGGUAACAGAGAACCCAGAUCAUCAGAAAAUUCAGGACAAACUUGCUUCUGAUUUAGGCAUAAAGUUUGAGUUGAAUGAGAAUAUAUUCGACAGAGCAAAUCGACUACGUCGAGUAUUGAAGAAAGAGAAGCGGGUCCUGAUUAUAUUGGAUAACAUUUGGAGAGAACUGAAGUUCGAUGAAGUUGGAAUUCCUUCUGGGGAUGUUGAUGAGAAAGAUAGAGAGGAUGAUCAGAGAAGAUGCACAAUAAUAUUGACGUCUAGAAGUCGAGAUUUAUUGCGCAAUGAUAUGAAUUGUCAGAAAAUUUUCUGGAUCGAUGCUUUAUCGAAAGAAGAAGCAUUGCAAUUGUUUGAAAAGAUAGUAGGUAAUUCCGCAAAAGCAUCUGAUUUUCUACCUUUAGCAGAUGAGAUUGUUGGAAAAUGCGGAGGUUUGCCUGUUGCACUGAGUACAGUUGCAAAUGCUCUGAAAACUAAGGGGCUUGCCAUUUGGAAGGAUGCGUUGAAUCAGCUAAGAAGAUCGGAUGCAAGAGAAAUUCAUGGCAUGCAAGCAAAUGUGUACACCUCCAUAAAAUUGAGUCAUGACUUCUUGGAAAGUGAGGAGGCAAAAUCUCUGUUCCGUCUUUGUGGUCUAUACAGUGAAGGUCAUGCCAUACACGUACAUUACUUAUUGAGAUAUGGUGUGGGUUGGGGUUUGUUUGAAAAUGUUUACACAUUGGAAGAAGCAAGGAGUAGAGUGCAUCGGUUGAUCGACAACCUCAAAUCUUCAUGCUUAUUGUUGGACGGUGAUGCUGAAGAUGAAGCUAAAUUGCAUGACGUCAUUCAUGUUGUUGCCGUAUCAAUUGCCGCAGAGAAGCGCAUGUUUAAUAUUCCAAAUGUUGCCGACUUAGAGAAAAAGAUGGAAGAGACAAUACGGAAAGAUCCAAUUGCCAUUUCAUUACCCCAGAGAGAUAUUCAAGAGCUCCCUGAAAGGUUGCAAUGUCCCAAUCUCCAGUUAUUUUUGUUGUCUGCAGAGGGUAAUGGCCCUAUGCAAAUUUCAGACCUCUUUUUUGAAGGGACAGAAGAACUGAAAGUUUUAAGCCUUACUAGAAUUCCUUUCUCUUCAUUACCUUCGUCACUUGGUCGCCUCAUUAACCUUCAAACAUUGUGUUUAGACUGGUGCCAACUAGAAGAUGUAGCGGCAAUUGGACAGCUAAAGAAAUUAGAGAUUCUUAGCUUUCGAGAUUCCGACAUUAAGCAGUUACCACUUGAAAUUGGACAAUUGACGCGGUUACAAUUGCUAGAUUUGAGCAAUUGUAGGAGCCUUGUAGUGAUAGCAACAAAUGUCAUAUCAAAAUUUUCACGAUUGGAAGAACUAUAUAUGGGCGACAGCUUUUCGCAGUGGGAUAAGGUUGAAGGAGGAAGUACCGCCAGUCUUGCUGAAUUGAAGGGGCUGUCAAAGCUAACUACUUUGGAGAUACAAUUUUGGGAUGCCCAAAUUCUGCCGCAGGAUUUGGUCUCUGUGGAAUUGCAAAGAUAUAAGAUAUGUAUAGGAGAAGCGUGGCGCAUGUGGGGCGUUAAUUCUGAAACAUCAAGAAUGGUGGAGCUCGAUGGGCUAGAAAAUGUUAGCAGUCUUUUGGAGAAUUAUGGGACGAAAAUGUUGCUGAAGGAAGCUGAAGAGAUCCAUCUAAACGAACUGAAGGGUGUUCUGAAUGUUGUUCAUGAAUUAGAUGAUGGGGAAGGUUUUCCACGAUUGAAGCAUCUUCGUGUAGAAAGUUGUUCUGAGAUUUUGCAUAUUGUCGGUUCAGUUGGACGGGUUCAUUGUACAGUCUUUCCCUUGCUGGAGUCAUUGUCUCUUUGGUUUUUGAACAAGUUGGAGACAAUAUGUGAUAGCCAACUCACAGAAGAUCAAUCUUUCAGCAACUUAAGGAUUAUAGGAGUACAAUCCUGUCACAAAUUGAAGCAUCUUUUCUCAUUCUCCAUGGCAAAAAACCUACUGCGGCUUCAAAAGGUAGAAGUGUUUGUUUGCGAUGAUCUGGAAAUGAUUGUUGGUAAGUGUUGAAAUUAAGUGUUGGUGGAUUUAUGGACUUCGCCUCAAUUAUUUUGAAAAAAAAAAAACAACGACAAAGAUUAAUUAUGUGUAUUGUUUUUGUUUGUUUAUAGGACCCGACAGGGAGAAACCAACAACUUCUUUGGGAUUCAACGAAAUCAUUGCUGAUGAUGAUACUGCUCCAAAGGUGAUAAUUUUCUGUUCAAUAAUUAAUUGAUUAAUUUAUUAUCACGAUUAAUCUUCGAUCAUGAAAAGAAUAUUAUACUAGACGGUUGUACUUGAAGGAACAAAAAUGUAUGGGUUUUCUUUGCAGGUUAUUCUUCCGAGCUUAGAGGAAUUGAAUCUCGGGGAAUUAGGAAACAUCAAAAAAUUAUGGGCCGAUCAUAAUCAAGGAAUGUACUGUUGUCAAAUUUAACAACGGUGAUCGUGGGGGAUUGUAAUCGUCUGAAGUAUCUGUUUUCAUAUUCUAUGGUUAAUAGUCUUUUGCAACUCCAACAUCUUGAAAUACGGUCUUGUGAGUCAAUGGAAGGGGUAGUCGACACCACGGGGUGGUCAGAAAGAGAUGAAGGAAAGUUGAUUGAAUUAAAGGUUUUUCCUAAACUACACUCCCUGCAGCUCUAUCGGCUUCCAAAACUAACAAGCUUUGCAAACACGAGACAUAUUCAUUCAGAUUUAGUUGUUGAAUUCCCUUCUUUGCAAAUACUCAAGAUUGAUAGUUGCAGUAAUAUGUUAAGAUUCAUCUCUACGAGCUCACCAGAAGACACCAUUCAUUCUGAAAUGCAACCUCCUCCUCUCUUUGACGAAAAGGUUUUUUUUUUUAAAUAAAAAAAAAAUUAAUUUGUCCCAAUACUUAAUUUGUCUUUUCCUUGAGUCUUCAAAUUUAGUUAAUAUCCGCCUCUAAUUUAGUUAUCAAUUGAUUAUGCCAUUAAUUGAUUAAUUAGUUAUUUAAUCUUUAACUGCCAGGUACGACUUCCUAGGCUGGAGGUAUUACGUAUCGGGUUGAUGGAUAAUUUGAGAAAAAUAUGGCACCACCAGCUUGCUUCGGAGUCUUUCAGCAAAUUGAAGAAUUUGGGGAUAUGGUGGUGUGAUAACCUAAUGAAUAUUUUUCCUCCAUUGGUAAGGUCGCUGUAUUCAUUUUGAAUAAUUUUUUUUCAAAUUACAUCCAACAAUUUUUUAACCAUUUUUGUGUUUACAAAUGAUAUUCAGCCACUAAUUAUUUAUUUCAAGUAUUGUACUUCGAACCACCACUCUAUCUAUUUCUCUUUUCCUUAAUUCUUCACGUUUCGAUUGGAAAAAAAAAUACAAGUCUUCAAAUUUAAUUAAUAUCUCUAGUUUAGUUACGAAUUGAUUAUGCCAUUAAUUAACCACAAAUUCAUGAUUAUUUACAACUGACCCUUGAUUGUAAAGAAAUUUCCUCAAGUCUGGAAGUACUUAAUAAAGAUCCACUUUACAGCAGUCCCUUGUUGACAGUAUUGGGAAAUCUUUUCCAAAUUUUUUUUCCAUUUUUAAAUAUACAUUAAAAAAAGAACCAAGGAAAAGGGAAAAAUGGUUCAGUAUUUUUUUAAAAAAAGGAAGAGUUGAAAUUUGCAAAUUUAUGCUUAAAAACUGAUAUCAAGAUACAAAAUAAGUCUAAAAUAUUUAGAAAUUGCCUUAAAUUCUUUCUACGUUCCUAAUACUAAAUAGUGUAAAUGCAUUUUUAUUAUCUUUGUUUAUCUGGCUUUUAUUUAUUUAUUUAUCUUGUUGCUUUUUUUGUUUAACAAAAAAUUAUCUAGUAGACAUCUCAUGGUUUGUUAUGUUUAUAAAACGUAUAAUUGUAUGAUUAAACAUACUUUGAGCCUAGUUGAAUGAUAUUCUUACACUUUUACUUUUUUAAUAUACACACAUAUGCACACACUUUUGCUUAUUUUCAGGUUGGAAUUCCCAAUAGCCUAGUGAAUCUUAAUGUAUCGAAUUCCCAAAAAUUAGAAGAAAUCGUAGGACAUGUUGGAGAAGAAGUGAAGGAGAAUCGUAUUGCUUUCAGCGAAUUAAAAUUUUUGAUACUUGAGGAUUUACCAAGGCUUACCGGCUUUUGUUUGGAGAAUUACACUCUUGAAUUCCCAUCAUUGGAACGAGCUUCUAUGAUACGUUGUCCGAACAUAAAGACUUUUUCUCAAGGAAUCUUAUCCACACCAAAGCUGCACAAAGUGCAAGUGACUUUAAAGGAAGAGGGUGAAUUGUACCUUCGCGAAGGCAACCUUAAUUCCACUAUACAAAAGUAUUACAAAGAAAUGGUAUGUGUGAAUCGAUUCAUCAAAAUUGCUCAUGCAUCUCCCUUGAACUUGCACAUUUAAACAUAUACACCUGCCUUGUAUAUGUAUUUUUAGAAGUUAAAACACAAAACAUGUAAGUUUAAUGUAUAUAUAUCUAAUGCCUUUCAAAAAAAAAAAAAUUGUAUAUAUCCAGUGCAAUUGUUUUGGUUUGUGCAGAUUGGAUUCCGUGACAUAUGGUAUUUGCAACUCUCACAUUUUCCACGUUUGAAAGAAAUAUGGCAUGGCCAAGCACUGCCUGUCAGCUUCUUCAACAAUUUAUUUAAGCUGGUGGUGGAUGACUGCACGAAUAUGUCGAGGGCUAUUCCUGCCAAUCUGCUACGGUGCUUGAACAAUUUGAGAUGGCUAGAAGUGAGGAAUUGUGAUUCGCUAGAAGAGGUGCUUCAUUUGGAAGAACUAAUUAAUGCUGAGGAAGAACAUUUUGGCCAACUGUUCCCUAAUCUUUUCGGGCUAAGCCUCAUUGAUCUUCCAAAACUCAAAAGAUUCUGCAACUUCACUGGGAAUAUAAUUGAACUGCCUAUGUUGUGGAGUCUGACUAUUGAGAAUUGCCCUGAUAUGGAAACAUUCAUAUCCAACUCUGUAGUGCACGUGACAACAGAUAACAAGGAACCUCAAAAAUUAACAUCAGAAGAGAACUUCUUGCUGGCUCAUCAAGUACAACCUCUCUUCGAUGAAAAGGUGAUUAUUAUUGUUAUUAUUAAUUUUUCCCUUCACUUUCGUUCGCAUAGAUGUAAUUUCAUUAGAAUCAAAUCAAAUUUAAUGACUCAUCCUUUUGCAUGUCGUCUUAAUUUAUAUCUAAUUUAACAAUAUAACCGCAGUUAUUAACUAACUUUAUAGUAUGAAUUAUAAAAAUGUCUCAAAUUAAUUAGAUGCCUAGUGACAGGAGGUGAUGAACUAUAUCGAUGCGUGUUACAUCUCUGUUUUCCUAGCUAAUUCAUAUUGGAUUUAGCAUCAGAUUUCAUUUAUGUGUUUCAAAGGGUAAUCGAUUUGAUACUUAUAUUUGGGAUCCUACUGCAAAGCAUACUAAUUUGGAAAUAAAAUAUAAAAUGCUGUGAUUAAUCUUGUCCAUAAAAUAUGCAGGGGAAGACUGCAGAGAUUGGAUACAUAUUUUAAUUUACAACUUAAUUUUGUUGAUUUUCAGGUUGCAUUCCCUAAAUUGAGAUGGUUAGAGCUGUCUAGAUUACCCAAUGUGUUGCAUCUCUGGAAGGAAAAUGCCGAAUCCAACAAAGUGUUUGCAAACUUGAAAAGUCUAGAAAUAUUUUAAUGUAGUAAGUUGCAGAAAUUAGUACCAGCUUCGUGGCAUUUGGAAAAUCUUGCGACUCUGGAAGUAUCGAAGUGUCAUGGGUUGAUAAAUUUAUUGACGCUCUCAACAUCUGAAAGUCUAGUGAAUCUUGAAAGAAUGAAGAUAACUGAUUGCAAAAUGAUGGAAGAAAUUAUACAGUCGCAGGUUGGAGAAGAAGCGGAAGAUUGCAUUGUUUUCAGGAAAUUGGAGUACUUGGGACUUGAUUGUUUGCCAAGCCUAACAAGCUUUUGUUUGGGUAAUUACGCUCUUGAGUUCCCGUCCUUGGAACAAGUAGUUGUGAGACAGUGUCCAAAAAUGAAGAUCUUCUCUCAAGGAGUCUUAGACACACCAAUGCUAAACAAAGUGAACGUCACCGAAGAAGAAAAAGAUGAUGAUGAAGGAUGUUGGGAAGGCAACCUCAAUGACACCAUAAAAAAAUUGUUCAAUGAAAUGGUGAGUAUCAAUUAAGUUUCGGUGCUAUUUAGCAAAUUAUUUUAUAGAAACUAAUGUGAUAUAAUAUGAUUGGUUGACUGAAAAUAUAUAAUAAUAAUAAUAAAUAAAUAAAUAAAUUAUGAGGGCCAUGUAAUGUCAAAAGCAGCCAUCCAUCUAGAUGGUCAACAUUCAAAGAAGAGAAAUUUUGCAGCAAGUUGGAAAGGAAAAGGAGCACACGGGCUUGGCAUUUAAAAGAAGAAGUUGGCAACUACUUUGAAAUAUAUACAUAUAUAUAUUAAUUUAAUAGCCAUUUUUUGGCUAUAAAAUGAAGAGCUUCCUCAUUCAUUUUCAUUCAAUUCCAUCGAGAGAAAUCUUUCUUUCUUUGAGUGUUGAGAGUUUUCAAGAGUUUAAUAAACUCUUGAGUGUCUAGUGAGUGAGAGAUUGGGUGUAUUGGGGUUUUGGGUAGUGAGCUAAAAUCUUACAAUACUUGUAAUCCUUAUUUCACUAGUAAAAUAUUUUCUUCUGUCUUCGCCCGUGGAUGUAGGCUAAAAGCCGAACCACGUAAUUUUUCGGUGUCCUCUAUUGUGCUUGUUCUUUAUUUUAUUUUCAAUUUUAUUUUAGCUGCGGUCCUGCUGCACCCACUAAAUUACUAACAGUGGUAUCAGAGCCAUUGGUUGUAUUUUUGGAGUCGGGAAUUGUUCACGUAUUCACGUAUACGGCGUACGGCACUAUUCACGUAUACGGUGUACGGCACUAUUCACGUAUACGGCAUACGGCACUAUUCACGUAUACGGCGUACGACACUAUUCACGUAUACGGUACUAUUCACGUGAAAACGGUGGAAGCGAUCCAAGAAUUUUGCGGUGCAAAGCAGGGAAUAGUGGUGUGAGUAAAGCAACUGUGUGGUUCUGUACAUGUCUAGGAAAGUUUUGUCACAAAGGCGAUAAGAGCCUAAGGAGUCUGGGUUUUAAGUGGGACCAUUGUGACCCCUCCAGUCUUUCCUGGGAACUUUCCUGGUGCGCAUUCUCACACAUACUCACAACUAUUCAAGGUGGUACACUAGCUUGUGUGCAGUAUUAUCAACAAAAUGGCGGCAAAGUAUGAAAUUGAGAAGUUUAACGGAAAUAAUUUUUCGUUGUGGAAAAUGAAGAUGAAAGCUGUAUUGAGGAAAAAUAAUUGUUUGGCAGCAAUUGGAGAAGGGCCUAUGGAGAUAACUGAUGACAAGUGGAACGAGGUAGACGGCAACGCUAUUUCUGAUCUACACUUGGCACUUGCGGAUGGAGUAUUAUCCAGUGUGGCAGAGAAAAAUACGGCGAAGGAAAUUUGGGAUACUCUCACAAAAUUGUACGAGGCCAAGUCACUACACAACAAAAUCUUCUUGAAGAGAAAACUCUAUACUCUUCGAAUGGCGGAAUCUACAAUGGUGACCGACCACAUCAACACAUUGAAGACUCUAUUUUCACAACUCACAACGUUGGGUCAUAAUAUAGAGGAAAAUGAACGUGCAGAGCUUCUACUUCAAAGUCUACCAGAUUCGUAUGAUCAACUCAUCAUCAACCUGACGAACAACAAUCCAGUGGAGGGUCUAGUUUUCGACGAUGUUGCAGCCUCCGUAUUAAAUGAGGAGAGCAGGCGGAAAAAUAAGGAAAACAGACAAGCAAGUUCGCAGCAAGCAGAAGCGCUAUCGGUGAUGAGAGGGAGAUCAACGAAACGUGGCCCCAGUGGGAGUCAAAAUCAGGGUAGAUCAAAAUCCAGAAGUAAGAAGAAUGUUAAAUGCUAUAAAUGUGGCAAGAAAGGGCACGUCAAGAAAGAAUGUUGGAGUAACCAGAAGAGAAAAGAGGGCAAAGAACCUGAGUCAUCAAAUGCUCAGGGUUGUGUAGCAAGUACCUCGGAUGAUGGCGAAAUUCUUUACAGCGAGGCAACAACUAUUUUAGAAGGCAGGAAACGACUUUCUGAUGUCUGGCUUAUAGACUCAGGAGCUACCUGGCACAUGACCUCUAGGAGAGAAUGGUUCCACACAUAUGAACCUAUCUCAGGAGGAUCUGUAUAUAUGGGAGAUGAUCAUGCCUUGGAGAUCGCUGGUAUUGGUACUAUCAAAAUAAAAAUGUUUGAUGGGACAAUUCGCACAAUUGGAGAGGUACGACAUGUCAACGGCCUGAAGAAAAAUCUAUUGUCUUUGGGACAAAUGGAUAGUCAUGGGUACAAAACUCAUGUGGAGAAUGGAAUUAUGAAGAUCGUUAAAGGCGCGCUUGUAUUGAUGAAGGCAGAAAAGAUCGGUGCUAAUCUAUUCAUGCUUAAAGGAGAAACACUACAGGAGGCUGAUGCGUGUGUCGCGUCAAAUGGAGAAGAGUCAACGAUGAUGUGGCAUCUCAAACUUGGCCACAUGUCAGAACAAGGCUUGAAGAUUCUCUCUGAGCGAAAAUUGCUUCCGAGGCUCAAAUCGGUAAGUUUACCAUUUUGCGAGCAUUGUGUUACAAGUAAGCAGCAUAGAUUAAAAUUCAGUAGAUCUAUUGCUAGAAGUAAAUGCAUUCUAGACUUGAUUCAUUCUGAUGUUUGGGAAUCACCGGAUAUAUCCAUGGGAGGUGCAAAGUACAUGGUGACUUUCAUUGAUGAUUAUUCCAGAAGAUGCUGGGUGUAUCCACUUAAGAAAAAGUCAGAUGUAUUUCUAGUGUUUAAAGAAUACAAAGCGCGGGUGGAACUUGAAUCUGGUAAAAAGAUCAAGUGCUUGAGGACAGAUAAUGGUGAAGAAUAUACAGACGGCGAGUUUCUUGCUUUAUGUAAGCAAGAAGGUAUUCAGAGGCAGUUCACAGUGGCAUACACUCCUCAACAAAACGGAGUAGCGGAGCGGAUGAACAGAACUCUUACAGAAAGAAUAAGAGCUAUGUUGAGGACUGCUGGUUUACCCAAUUCAUUCUGGGCAGAAGCAGCCAAAACCGCCUGUUAUAUAGUAAAUCGGUCGCCAUCUACAGCUAUUGGGUUGAAGACAGCGAUGGAGAUGUGGACUGGAAAGCCAGCUGAUUAUUCCUACCUACAUGCAUUUGGAUGUCCUGUGUACGUGAUGUAUAAUGCCCAAGAAAGAACAAAGCUGGAUGCAAAAUCUAGAAGAUGUAUCUUCUUGGGGUAUGCUGAUGGAGUAAAGGGGUAUCGUCUGUGGGACCCCACUGCCCACAAGAUCGUCAUCAGCAGAGAUGUUAUCUUUGUAGAAGAUCAACUAUAAAGAAAAGAUGGAGAUGAUGGCACUGUAAAAGAAAAGUCAGAGACUGUACCAGUAUAUGUCGAAAAUAAUCUAGAAGAUUCAGAUUCUUCUGAAGCAGCACCAGAGCACGAUGGACAAGAACCAGUCGAGUUCGAGGCUCCAGAAGUUCGUCGGUCAACUCGUGAGAGACGACCGCCGGCGUGGCACUCGGAGUAUGUCAUAGAGAUCAACGUUGCAUACUGUCUUCUAACAGAGGAUGGAGAGCCUUCAACUUUCCAUGAAGCUUUAAACAGUUUAGAUGUUGCUUUGUGGAUGACAGCAAUGCAGGAAGAAAUUGAAGCUCUACACAAGAACAAGACAUGGGAACUUGUACCACUACCACACGGAAGAAAAGCCAUUGGAAACAAAUGGGUCUACAAGAUCAAACGUGAUGGCAAUGACCAAGUGGAGCGGUAUCGUGCAAGAUUGGUGGUGAAAGGAUAUGCUCAGAAAGAAGGUAUUGACUUCAACGAGAUAUUUUCUCCAGUGGUUCGACUCACAACAGUCAGAAUAGUCUUGGCGAUGUGUGCUACAUUUGAUCUACAUCUUGAGCAGUUAGAUGUGAAAACUGCAUUUCUUCAUGGAGAACUUGAAGAAGAAAUAUAUAUGCUCCAACCAGAAGGUUUUGCAGAAACAGGAAAGGAGAACUUGGUUUGCAGGUUGAACAAAUCUCUAUACGGUCUCAAACAGGCGCCGAGGUGUUGGUAUAAGAGAUUUGAUUCCUUCAUAAUGAGCCUUGGAUACAACAGACUCAGUUCAGACCAUUUUGCAUAUUAUAAGAGGUUUGAAGAUAAUGAUUUCAUUAUUUUGCUGUUGUAUGUGGAUGACAUGUUGGUAGCAGGUCCCAACAAAGAUCGAAUCCAAGAAUUGAAGGCACAGUUGGCUAAGGAGUUUGAAAUGAAGGACUUGGGACCAGCAAACAAGAUUCUAGGGAUGCAAAUUCACCGAGACAGAAAUAACAGGAAGAUUUGGCUUUCACAGAAGAAUUACUUAAAGAAAAUCUUGCGACGCUUCAACAUGCAAGAUUGUAAGUCAAUUUCUACCCCACUUCCUAUUAAUUUCAAAUUAUCCUCAAGUAUGUGUCCUAGCAAUGAAGCAGAGAGAAAGGAGAUGUCUCGAGUUCCUUAUGCAUCAGCAGUGGGAAGUUUAAUGUUCGCUAUGAUAUGUACAAAACCGGACAUUGCACAAGCAGUGGGAGCAGUCAGUCGAUAUAUGGCGAAUCCUGGUGGAGAGCAUUGGAUAGCUGUGAAGAGGAUUCUGAGAUACAUCAGAGGAACCUCAGAUGUUGUAUUAUGUUAUGGAGGAUCAGAGUUUACUGUCAGGGGCUAUGUGGAUUCAGAUUUUGCAGGAGAUCUUGAUAAAAGGAAAUCCACUACUGGUUAUGUGUUUACACUUGCGGGAGCAGCUGUAAGCUGGGUUUCAAAACUGCAGACCGUUGUGGCUUUAUCUACAACAGAAGCAGAAUACAUGGCAGCUACACAAGCUUGCAAGGAAGCUAUUUGGAUACAAAGAUUAUUGGAGGAGCUCAGGCACAAACAACAGAAAAUUCCUGUGUUUUGUGACAGUCAAAGUGCCUUGCACAUUGCAAGGAAUCCAGCCUUUCAUUCCAGGACAAAGCACAUAGGAGUUCAGUAUCACUUUGUUCGUGAAGUAGUGGAAGAUGGAAGUGUGGAUUUACAGAAAAUCCAUACUAAAGAGAACCUAGCAGAUGUUUUGACCAAGCCGAUAAAUACUCAUAAGUUUAUCUGGAGUAGAUCCUCUUGUGGCCUAGCAGAAACGUAGGCAACAUGAUUAUGGCGAAGCAGAAAGGAUGGUGUGGAGAUUGAUUGAUUCUCCAUCAAAGCUCCAAGUGGGAGAAAUGUCAAAAGCAGCCAUCCAUCUAGAUGGUCAACAUUCAAAGAAGAGAAAUUUUGCAGCAAGUUGGAAAGGAAAAGGAGCACAUGGGCUUGGCAUUUAAAAGAAGAAGUUGGCAACUACUUUGAAAUAUAUACAUAUAUAUAUUAAUUUAAUAGCCAUUUUUUGGCUAUAAAAGGAAGAGCUUCCUCAUUCAUUUUCAUUCAAUUCCAUCGAGAGAAAUCUUUCUUUCUUUGAGUGUUGAGAGUUUUCAAGAGUUUAAUAAACUCUUGAGUGUCUAGUGAGUGAGAGAUUGGGUGUAUUGGGGUUUUGGGUAGUGAGCUAAAAUCUUACAAUACUUGUAAUCCUUAUUUCACUAGUAAAAUAUUUUCUUCUGUCUUCGCCCGUGGAUGUAGGCUAAAAGCCGAACCACGUAAUUUUUCGGUGUCCUCUAUUGUGCUUGUUCUUUAUUUUAUUUUCAAUUUUAUUUUAGUUGCGGUCCUGCUGCACCCACUAAAUUACUAACAUGUAAUUUUUUUAUUUAACCAAUCAUAUUAUGUCGCAUUAGUUUAUACAGUAUUGUUUGUGCACAAGAGGUGGUGGUCAUAUCAUUACUCUAGCUUUAUUAUUCUUAUGGUGGCAAUGUAUGCUGGCUUACACGAGUAAUUACAAAAUCUGCAGAAUUCUAAAGAAGAGAUUGAGCCAACCCUUCAGCUACAGUGAAGAAGCUAUCCCGAACCAGGCCAAUCUCCUAUACAUGAUUUAGCUUGCUCGUUCUUCUGUACUUGAAUAAUUUGGUUCUACAUAUUUACAAUUUUUUGCUCAUGCUACAAACUUGCAAGACACUUUGGAUUUUGUUUGAUGCAUUCUUUGUUUAAGAAAGGACUUGAAUUGAUGUUUCAUGUUUCAUACAAUAUUCGAUUAGAUUCUGCCUAAAUUUCUGUAUUAUUCGUUCAAUUGGUCUUUUAAGCAUUUGAUUUCUAACCUCUCCUGAUAGAAGAUCAUUAGCCGAAGAAAACAGCAUAACAUUUGUGGCAUUAUCAGAAUAAGAAUAUUUUUUAGUAUAGUAAAAUUAUCUCGACCACUGUUAAAAAGAAUUAAUCAGUCAAACUGACCUUCUCACACCAGCACGCUUUAAAUUAAAAGAAUUUCGUGAAAUCAAGACCAUGUUAUAGAUCUCGUGGAAAGAAGUAAACCCGUAAUUUUUUUCACAGCAUCAUAAGAAAAAUCAUUUUUUUAAAGUAUUUUUGUUAGCUGUUGAGUUUUAAUAGUAGUAGCUAUUAAAUAAUAACAAUUAGUGUAUAUUAAAAAGUUGGAAACUGGUUGAUACCACUCGGGAAUCGAGCAGUUCACUUGUUUGCGAGUAGAAACCAACUUUACUACUAAUUGCCUUGUGACAAAAUAAAAUACCAUACUAUAAUGUGUUGAACCAGGAACCUGCAGAUGCUUAGGUUACAACUAUACAACCUCCCAAUACAAUAAGUUUGAAACUUAAUACCUUCUGAAAUGAAACAAACUUACUUGAAGAUUAAAGAUCAGUGAGAAAAGCCCUUUUUCAGAAGCAACCUACAUUUUUUAGAAGAGGGUCAGUGUGUUAUAGAUUCAAUGAACCAUGAGAAGUUAUUUACAUUAUAGUAUCUCACAGGCAGUAUUUUCUCCUAAUGCAUCAAUGGUAAAGGAAAAAUAAAAAGAAAAGAAUAGUUACUUGUGCAGCACAGCCUUUACGCCUAGCUACAUGGUCCAUUCUCUGUCUUUGAACCAAUCAACAGCAACAAGUUCCAUUAAAUGUUUUCCUGCAGGUAUCUGCAGUUACAAAUUGCACAAAGCACAAGAAGAGCCAACCAAACUACAUCAUAACCUGUCUACCUAGCCUAUGCAGGAUAUAUAAAUACCAUAAAUAAGUACCAUAAAUAACAAAUAAACAACAUAUGGGGGAACCUUUGUUUUGUCAUAACAAAAAUGCUUGCUACGAACUCUAAAGUUAUUUCCAUCAGAAAGUUUCCAGCAGUCACGAGCAUUAUCAUGGUCAUCGUGUCGUAGAUUGCCCGAAAAACAAGACAAAUCAAUUUGAUCAGCCUGCUCUUCCUCUAGGGCUGCAACUAAUUGAAAAUUAAAAAAAAAAAAAAAAAGAUCAAUACCAUAAAAAUCCACUAAUGCGGACAUUAGCCAAAUAUACAAAAAUGAAUACUUAUCAUCCACCUGUCCUCUUGAAAUCAUUCUCAAUCUUUUUUUCAUUUGCCUGAAAUCCCAAGGAAAAAUAUGUAACGAAUACUUCCCAUUCAUGACUAUAGUCUGUUGUAUAAACAUGACAUAUUUAAUUGGAAUAAUAAAAUUAUUUAAUUAUUUUAAUUAAAUGUUAAUCCUACAAAUUAUUUUUGUUAAAUCUAGCAAGAAUAACUAAAAUUUCUUUAAGAUAUAUUUUGGUAGUAAAUUAAAAAAAUUUAAUUAUUUGGCAGGAAUUAUUGAAAUUGGAGCCAUUUUUUUUGUGGGAAUUGAAAUAUAUUCUUUAAAUUAUUAUAUAAAUAGCAAAAUGUACAUACACACACAUAUAUAUAAUUCAUAUAUAAAAAUUCUCUAAUUUGUUCACAAGUAUCAUAGAUUAUAAUUCAGUUAUGAAAUAAAAUAACUACAAUAAUUAUAGUUAAAUGAAUACUUCAUUAAUUCUUAAUUUGCUUCCUAACAUUAAAUGAACAACUUGAGUCAGCCACCUGAAUUAACCAGUAACAACGCCUGAGUCAACCAUCUGAAUAAACCAGCAACCCUAGCUGAUUCAAGCACCUGCAAUUAACAUCAGCACAACAGGAACAAUCUUAAAUCAACACCAAGAACAGACCAAACUGCCAUCAAAUGUCACAAAACCAAACAGUCUGCUACUGCCAUCAAAUGCAAGCAAACAUAUGCAACAAAACCAGAUGCAAGUGAAAUUCUGGAGAACAUCGGAUAAACCAAACCAAAUGCCACACUUCUAGUAAUUAGACUAGAUGCAUUGUUCAAUUAAACUAAAUGUAGUCUCAUAUUACAUUCAAAAUUUCUAAAAAAGGCAGUGUUCCAUCAGAGAAGCACCAAAACCAAACCAAUCUAAUCCAGCAUAAUUACCAGCUCAACCCAAAACAAUUACACAUUAUAUUGACAUAUCAAAAUUCGCUAUCAAAACAUAGCCAAAUAAAUGACAAUAAACUCAAAACAGACCCAAACCAACUGAUGUUGCAGCCCUAGUAGUCGUUGUCCGUUCCACUGCCAUGGGAGUGAGGGUAGGCUCCGUUGUUGAUGAGUGAGUAAGAUAAGGCUCCAAAUCAAUAGUUCCACCUCCUUUCUGCAAUUCAAAAAACAGAAAUUCAUAUAUGUAAAACUAUUAAAAAGUGUGAAACAACCUGUAAGUAUUCAACUUCUGUCAACUCAAUAGUACUUACUAAAGUUUUUAUACAGAAGAAAAAGGCAUUUUAAGUCCAAAAAAUUAGAAUUAUUGGUUGAACUCCAACUCCAUCAAUCCAUGCAACCAUCCAAUCUUUAACGAAAAAAUGAAGCAUAAUUAACAAGACAUCUGAAUCAGAAAGAUUGUGCUUUCGUUUGGCACGAGGUGUUGGAAACAACUUAACAAAUCUAGACACAAUCUAUAACCAUCAAGUCCAAACAAAAGUCAGGAUCUAAAAUACUUUGAAAAAUCAGAAAAACAGCAAAAUAUCAGUUUCAAUUUCUUUUUCAUCCAUUGUAAGCUCAAACUAAAGGUAGCCGCGCUACCUUUAAACAUCAUUUGGGCUUGUACAUGUGACAUUUGCUCAUGAACAACUAAAGUUGAAUAAGAUUUUUAUAUGAAACAGAAUAUAAAAAGUCAAAGUAGAAUAUGACAGGAGCUACAAUAUAUUAUUCAGCAUUAGCAUUAUGUAUAAAAUAAAUUUAGACGCAUUAUAUUGAUUCACAAUCUUGCAGAGGUAAUACCAGAUUAUGGCACGCAACUCUUAUAUAGCAGAUAAAGGAGGAGAUGCAGUGGGAAGGUAGUAUCUUGCUUGCAUGAGGAUUAGAAAGCAAUAGCCCAAGAUCAAUUAUAGAUCUCAUAAAACAAAAACAGUGAGGCAAACACAAUUAUUGUGAACAAUUAUUCAUAGAACCACAUACCAGCAACAAGAUCAGAGUCAUCUGUGUAUAUAUCGAUUCCCCAUAGCUGACUGCCUCUGACCUAAACAUAAUGAACUUACAUAACUAAGAAGUAGAGUCAUAAAAUAUGCAGCUGUAACAGCUAUCAAUAAAUUUCCAGACAAAUGGAAUUUGAUCUGUAAGGCUAUAACUAGCAACACUUCAAAAUAAUUUGAAGUAGCAUGAUCUUACUUUAAGGAUCAAUACUACAAUCUUUCAGAAAAAUUAAAGUCUAAGCAAAAUUAAAACCUUAAACAUACUAAAAUCUGGUAAAUAGACCUACAGGAAUUCCAAUGACCUCCAAAAUAUUUGAAAGAAAAAUUAAUUUACAGCAAAAAAUGUUAAAAGAUUUGUAAAAUGGAAGCCCAUACUACUAUUCAAAUUACAAAUGAGGAAAGGGAGCUGGCCAUUAAAUGAUAAAGGCAUGCAUAAAGAAAUACAAAUAAUAUGCCCAUAAAGACGUCCACUCAAGCGUUAUAAGCGGCUUUAUGCAAAGGAAAGCCAAUUAGUUAACAAUAAAUGAAUUUCAAGGUGCAAUAAUUAAACUCCCUGAUCAGCACAUAUAAGGUUCAUGCAUUUCUACAAAACAUGUAAAUCAUAAGAACUUUUUUGGUCCAAAUGCUAACCAAUAAUUAAGUAGAUUAUCAAAGUUGUCACAGAACAAGCACCACAUUGAUUGCUAUGCAAAAGAUGAAAGUAAAAGUUAAUACUUUAUUUUAUUUUACUUUUCGAGAGUUUUGAUCAUCAUGUGCAAAAUAGUAGUAUAACUUGCUCAGUGUUAUCUCAAAAAGCUUGCUUAAAAUACCUAUUAGCACCAGUCCAAGUAGUCAAAUAAAUCCUUAUCUAUCCAUUCAUCUCUGACCUUGCCAAAAAGAUUUAAAUGAGCAUCUAUAUUCUCACUCCAAUCUUUCACAAUCAUGGGCUUUAUCUUUAGACCAGUUCUUCAAUAUCCCUUCCACUGUGAGCCCCUCGAAAACCUUGUAAAUUGAAUCACAUUUGUCGUCAGUUUCAAAUCCAUGUGUCAAAAGGCUAAGCAAAUGAAUAUACAAUCAACACCAUUCUUCCAAACGAAUAUACAGUCAACACCAUUCUUCCAAACGAAUAUACAGUCAACACCAUUCUUCCAAACACAAACAAAGUUUGAACGUAUGACAGAUUUUUAGCCAUUUAAUAUUCCAUCAAAGAUAAUUAGAUAACACCUACCAAGGAUUUUUGAAAAGAAUGCAUUCUCAUCUUAAGCAGCAACCUCACCAGUAACACAUUUUCAUACCCUGUUUCCACCUCUGGUCGCACCACCAAAAAAAAAUCAGUACUAAUUAGCUUCAACAGAGUCUAUUUUUUUAUUUCUUUUUUUUUUCAAAAUAAACCUCCAUUCUUAUACAUAAAAUUAAAAUAUCAAUUAAAUAAAAAAAGUCUAUGCUUACUAGUAAAACACGUCCAUUUUCAGGUAGAGGCAGAUAAUAAAAGAAAAUUGAUACUGAGAUAAAAUAAGAAGAGCUUACUAUGUGCAUUUGAUCAACAAUCCAAUCCUUAAUGAUGGAAUCGAUGCUAUCAAAUAAACGUGACUUAAUCUUGAAACAUUAAACUGCACUAAGCAUAGCACCAAAGCCAGAGCGUGACUAUAAAGAAGAAAAAGAAGAAUUAAAUCAACAUGAAAUUGAACUUUUGUUUUAUCUUCCACAAGCAAGAAAUUCAACUGGAACAAUACAAAAUAUGAAAUUUUUAGCAAUCUUACUAGCAUUAUACACAAAUCUCAAUUCACGACAAAUAGGGGAAUGAAUCACUAACAUCACCCAAUUCAUAUAUUCAAAUAAUGUAUCCCCACUCCUAACAAGCAACGUGCUACCACAGUCGAUUAGUUGUUAGGGUUAAGGCUCACCAUAGAGAACUGGAUGGCGCUAACUAAAUGACACGUUGAAACGGCAUCUGCAAUCGUAUUGAAUGACAUUGAACUUUUUCAGCUUCGUCGGUUGCGAAUGUGAGACCUUGGCUUAGGGUUCUAUACAGUGUUGUUGAUGCUUAAAUCUGCUCGCCUUUUGACCGACCAGAUUCUUUCACCAACAUUUGUGUUGUCAACUGCUGCUCGGACCACUGGGGUUGGAAUUGCCCUCCUUCCUCUUACUAGACCUGCGUUCACCAAAAAUGGAUCAGAGACGCCGGUGGUUUUGCCGGCGUAAACCCUCCGAUGCCUAAGUUAGCACAAGGUAUUUACGGGAAAACGGUGUAAUUUGGAUUCAAGAAGGGCUUAUAACUUGUUUCGAAGUUUGUAAGGAAAAGGCAUGAUUGCAAUUUGGCAGCGUUUUCCCUCUCUUCAUUUUUUUUGUCCUUUUCUUCAUCGAUUUCUUCUCCUUUUAUAGCCGUUGUCCCAUGUUCCCGUUUGGCUUUCAUCCCUCUUUUUUCGGAUGGUGGCAGCCCCUCAACGGACUCUAACUGCUACAUCAUGGGCAAACGUGGGGUCUCGCAUUACUCGCAACGGUUCUGGGAGAAGCGUAACUACCAUGAUUCUGUGGGAUCGUGUUCCCGCUUUUUCGGGGGAUGGGUAUCGGCUCGGUAUAUACCUCUGGUCGGUAUACUCCCCUGGUUGUACUCGUCUCUGGUCGGACCAUACUUGUCCCUGUGUUCUGCUCGUACCAUUUGGUUAAGGUGAUCCAUGCCGGCAUGGAAAUAGAAGCAUGGCCGACCUGGUGCGUAGCAUGGCCGACCUGGUGCUUUUAUUUACUUAACACCAGUCCCCCAGUUUCUGGUCUUGCGAGUAAAAUGAGUUAAGAGUAGAAACUGAUGGUUGAAUCUUACCAGCCCGGGGCUUCUCAUCUGGUCUUCUGUCAUUCCGGGACGGACCUGAGGUACCAUUCUUGUUCUGGGGGGAUUCUGACCUGAGCAUGGGCCUUAAUAAGCAUGUCCAUUGCAUAUAUGGACUUGCAUCUAGCCUGGCCUCUUGUAACGGUUAGUGACGUGGCGCUUCUCGACUCUUCGUAUUUGAAAUUUGAAACGACGGGCUAUCCGUCCUCGAUAUAUGGGGGGUGAGCUGGCAUAUCCCAUCACUUAAACGCUUCCAUUUCCCCCUUUUCGUUUCAAAUCCCUAGACUGGAGUCAUCAUCAUCUUGUUAUUCGUUUCUCCGCCGUUAAUCAAAUUUUUCUCUGAACUUUGCUCACACUUCCAGCGUCCAGAGUAUCCAUUUGGUGGGUGUUUUCUCUGUCACGGCAGCGCUAUCAGUGUCAGUCUAUUCCAGGUAUAGCCUUUAACCUCUUCUUUGGCUGUUGUUGAUUGGGUUCUGUGUUGCCCCUUUUUGUAUUCGUGUACUUGGGUUUGUUUUGGUUUCCUUUUGGGAUUCCGGUAUGUCGAAUCGGAGAAGGCAGUUGAUUGUAGAUGAGGGUGACGAAGGAACAGAGGAUUCACGCCUUAAUGUUUCAAUACCCACUGAAUUUUUACAUCCCUCUAGUACUGUAGGCUUCUCCCAUGGGAGGGAUACCCUUGAGUACCCACGUCCCUUGUCCAUUUCAUCUUCCCCUGAGCUAGGGCUUGUAGGAAAUAGAGGGGGACCUGCGUCGGGCUCUGGUGAGAACCACAGUUCUGGUGGGGUUGGGGUCCUUGAAGAAGUGGGUAAUAGUGAGGGAAGCAGCUCCGAGCCGAGCCGACCUCCUAAGAAAAGAAACCUUGGGCAUAGGGUGGAGGCGAAUUCUUACCCUAUCGACCAUAUAGCCUGUGCCACCACCCAAACUGACCUGUUCAAGCUUAGGAACCUCUACAACAUUCCUAAGGAGGUUCUUCUUGUAGUUCCUAGGAAGGGUGAUGUUCCUAGUCGGCCUCUGCGGGGGUAUGUGACGAUGCACCUGGAGAGUUUCAAACUAGUAGCUCGGCUGCCCCUUCAGCGUUAUUAUGCCAAGAUAUUGGGGGCCAUGCACCUGGCCCCAGGUCAGCUACACCCAAACGGGUGGAGGGUCCUCUCGGCUAUGUUUGUGUUGUGGGAGAGAUGCGGGUCGGAGGAGCCUUCCCUUGUUGAAGUGAAGCAUUUGUAUCAGCUGCGGAGCAGCCCAAGGGAGGCAGGCUGGUACUACUUCAUGUCCAGUUCUGCGAAGAGAAAGCCCAUUACCGGUUUCCCCUCCUCGUGCAAAAAUUGGAAGAACAAAUUCUUAUUUGCUGGGGGAAAUUGAUGUUCAGCAGUCCGUUCGUUGGGUGGUGAUAUUUACCUUCCAACGCAAUUUGUCACCCCAGGUCGUUCAUUUUUUGCCUGUAUCCUUUCUCGAAUUGCCACUUAUUGGGUUCUUUAACCUUGUUUGUUUUUUCAGAAUCGUGGGGUUUGGUUAAGGAUCUCGAAGACCGGCCUUUGCUUCAGGUGGAAACUGCUCUGGUGAACGCGUCUACUUGUCAAGACCUCCUGUCACCAACAAGCUUGGUCGGUUCGGGCUUAGUAGAUAUUGCCGCAGGAAUGGAUAACAAGAUCCUUAACGCGAUGAGCAGAAAACGUGGUCGGGCUCCGAGUAGCUCCAGCAACCCUCCUCCUCCUCCAAAGAAACCCAGCGUCGGUCCUUCCAAGGCGCCUGUUCCUGCUCUGCCCCCUCCUCCACCUCGUAAGAGUGGUGGGGAGAAAACCUCCGACAAGAGUCCUGAGGUCAGCUUGCAGUCAGGGGACCGAUCUUCUCCUCUUCCAUCUCGGGAUCAAGGUGACUACCUGAGCCCUUAUCAGAAGGAUUAUAAAAAAUCGGUUGGGCCCAAGAUGGUGAAGGACAUCGAGAGCAUGAACCUCUCUGAGUUAGCUGCUUCUGUUCAAAGAGUCUCAUUCAGGCUGGCCACAAUGGUCUCGUGCUACAAGACCGGAUCCGCGCGCCAUGAGAAGAAGCUUCAAGCUGACAAUCAGGAGUUGAAGAAGAAAGAUGAAUCUGCUGACCGCUCCAAGGAGAAACUGGCCGAGUUGAACAAGCAGAUUACGGAGCUGGAGGAGAAAAUUGCAGUUGCUGAGUCCACUGCCUCCAAGUUUGAGGGUGAGCUGGGUGGCCUGAAGUCGGACCUUCAGGUAGCUCAAAGUGAAAGAGAUACUUUGAGGACCGCCCUUGAGGGAAAAAUCAAAUCCCUGAACGAGCAGCUGGCUGAGGGGAAAGGUAAAUCCGCCGAUGUGGACGAUCGGUUGGAUGCCGAGUAUGACUCGGGGGUUGCUUUCUCCUAUAAGUGCAUUAUGUCUGUGCUUCAGGGAGAAUAUCCCGAGCUGGACAUGAGCAAGUUGGAGGCUGGAGUGCAGCGAUAUAUGGCAGAGGUCGGUCAGGCGAACAAGGAGCAGGGUGAGCAGGAUCAGGUGGAGGCUCCUUUUGAUGGGAUGCAAGAGGGGGAAGCUGGGGGACGCACUUUCGAAGUGGGUCAAGGGUCCAUGCCUCCUCCUCCCGGUAUUGCUGAUCUCCCACCUCCUGAUGUUGCUGAUCCCUUACUUCCCGAGCUCGCUGAUCCUUCGGCUGCUGGAACCGUUGACUCUGCUAAGCUUUGAGCCUAUUUUUGUAUAAACUCUAGAUUUGCAUUUGUUUUGUAAACAAUUGAACAUUUAUAAAUUUUUAGAUGCUCUUUAUUUGCUUUCUUGCCCGGUUUUUGCUCAUAGAUUGUUUCUGAAAAACAAUUGGACAACUUAUCUGAUUUUGCCUGCUGGUUCUUUAGUGAGCCGAGCAGGAGUAGGCAUUUGUUUGCCUUAGUAAGAUUUCCAUAAAAUUGGUUACUAGUCUUUAUUGACCGAGCAGAAUUAGGCACUUACUUGCCUUAGUAGGAUUUUUGUAGGAUUAGCUGCUGGUCUUUCUUUGACCGAGCAGAGGUAGGCACUUAUUUGCCUUAGUAGAAUUUUCGUAGAUUAGCUGCUGGUCUUUCGUUGACCGAGCAGAUGCGGGCACUUACUUGCCUUGGUAAGAUUUUCGUAGGAUUAGCUACUGGUCUUUCUUUGACCGAGCAGAGGUAGGCACUUAUUUGCCUUAGUAAAAUUUUCGUAGAUUAGCUGCUGGUCUUUCGUUGACCGAGCAGAUGCGGACACUUACUUGCCUUGGUAAGAUUUUCGUAGGAUUAGCUGCUGGUCUUUCUUUGACCGAGCAGAGGUAGGCACUUAUUUGCCUUAGUAGAAUUUUCGUAGAUUAGCUGCUGGUCUUUCGUUGACCGAGCAGAUGCGGGCACUUACUUGCCUUGGUAAAAUCUUCGUAAAUUUAGCUGCUGGUUUUUCGUUGACCGAGCAGAAGUAGGCACUUGCCUUAGUAAAAUCUUCGUAAAUUUAGCUGCUGGUCUUUCGUUGACCGAGCAGAAGUAGGCACUUGCCUUAGUAAAAUCUUCUUAAAUUUAGCUGCUGGUUUUUCGUUGACCGAGCAGAAGUAGGCACUUACUUGUCUUAGUAGAUCUUUUUAAUGGACUUAUUGGCCAGGGGAUUUCAUGCUGAAUUCAUCUUUAUUGAACUUUGAAUGCGUUACAGAAAUACAGAAUAUAUGCAUAUGCAACAAGCCAUCAUGCGUUUGAAAGGAAUAACUUAUCAAAAUGAAAAUUAAUAGGGCACUUUGCUUACUGGAAGUACUUUUUCAAGUGCUCGGCGUUCCACGACCUCUUCACCUCUCGUCCGUCUGGAUACGCCAGCUUGUAGGCUCCCGGUCCAGUUGCUCGUAUCACCCUGUACGGGCCUUCCCAUUUCGGGCCAAGAGCUCCAUGGUUGGGAUCCCUGGUGUUUUGGUUCACCUUCCUAAGCACCCAAUCUUCUGUUCGGAACUGCCUCACGCGUACGUUUUUGUUGUAAUAACGCGUGACCCUUUGCUGACAUUGGACCACCUUCUGCGAAGCCCGUUCCCUUUUCUCCUCCAGCAGGUCCAGGCUCAAGCAGAUCUGCUCGCCAUUUAUUGCUUCGCCCAAUUCUGAUCCGACCUUAACCACUCUGCUAGGGUCACUCCUGCUUACAACAACUUCCUCCAGCUUCUCAACAGGUUCUUGGCGACCGUUUUUUGAAUCCCCUCGGUUAUCUAGAGAGGUAACUUGCAGUGUUUCCUUGGCCGCUGUAGCAUAGCAGCUCCUGGCCAUUCUCUGGUCGCCCUUUACUACACCCACAACUCCAUUUAUUCUGUAUUUCAGUGCCAGAUAAUGUGUGGACAUUACACAUUGGCUUAUUCUCAUGAACGGUCUCCCCAAUAUCAUCUGGUAAGGACUUCUUUCCUCUACCACGACAAAGUCUAGCAUCAUCGUUCUUUCAAAUGGCUUUGUCCCCACAGUAAUCGGGAGUUCAAUGACCCCCAUGGGAGUUAAUCGUCCCCCUCCAAACCCCUUCAAGGAUGUGUUCGUCCGCUCCAGCUUUAAGUCUGAAAUCCCCAUAUCAUCUAGGGCCGACUUAAACAGAAUAUCGACUGAGCUGCCCGUGUCCACCAGUAUUCGCCUUACUUCUGUACUAGCUACCAACGCUUUAAUCACCAGUGCAUCCUCAUAAGGAUACAAAAUGCCCUCUUCGUCAUCCUCCGUCCACAUAAUGGGCACUUGCCGCACUCUUGCCUUCUUGGCUGCUGGCAAAUUUAGAAGCACCUCUUUGCCAGUCAUGGCGUACCUCCCAUAGUUCUUCCGUGCUCUAUUUGAAUCCCCGACCAAUGUUGGCCCUCCUGCUAUCACACGGAUGGUCGGCUGUUCACGUUCCAGAUCCCUCUCAACUCCUUCAUCCCGUGUGUACUGUGAUUCCAUGGCAGGGGACAUUCCAUCUACAUACUCGUCCAAGUAUCGGUUCCUCACUAAAUCCUCCACCUGAAUCUUCAGGUCACGACAUUGGCUGAUAGUGUGACCAUGAGUGUCGUGGAACUUGCAGAAUCUGCUCUUAUCCCGUCGAUGAGUCGGUUUUGUUAUUGGGGCUGGAAGGUACAGCAGGCCUCGUCCUUCGAUCCUCUCAUACAAUUUCUCCAUGGAGAUCUUUAAUGGAGUGUACUGUCUAUAUGCCAAGCUCUGGUCUACUAGCUGAACUGCUCGGCUAUCAUGAACGUCUCCUCGGGUUGGUAUAGCCGGUAGCUGCUCUAGUCGUCCAGACCUGUAAUUAGUUGCACUUAAUCCUCUGGGAGUGCUGUGAUAAGGGUAGGCAGCCAUCUGCCUGAAUUCUCGCUGUCGCUCUGGGAUCGGGGGGCGCAGAGGUUGAGCCCGGCUGUGUUGGAACUGUUGUGAUCUCGGAGCUAUGGGAUAAGGGCGGGACCGAGCUGAUGUUCCGCCCCUUACUGAGGACUCCCCAGCUCGCUUUCCCGACCCGCUCCCACUUGGAGUUCUUCUUUCCUUUCGUCUCAGCUCCUCCAACUGUUCACUCUUUAUCCUUGCCGAUUUUUCUUCUUCGAUUUCGAUGUCUCUCUUUGCCUGCUCAUACCCUGCUGAAUAACUCUGCACUAGGGGGCUCCUCAGGUUAUUCCAUAGCCGGCCUAUCCUCACACCCUCCUUUAAUCCCCUCAAUGCCUGCGGGUGAUUGAAAGCUCCCAAAUCAAGUACGGCUUGGUGGUAUCGCUUUACAAAAUCCCGUAGGGAUUCAUGCUCCUCCUGUUUUAUCCCCAUCAGUUCCAUCAUGUCAUCCUCUGGGGCUGCUGCUCCUCGGAACUGCUCGGCCAACUCCUGGCACAUCUGCUCAUACCCCUUUAUACUUCCUCGGGAUAGCUUGCGGUACCAUUCUCGGGCUCGUCCCUCUAGUGUCAACGGGAACACCCGGCACCUCUGAGCUGGUGUCAGCCCCUGCACACCCGUCAUGUCGUUGAAACGCUCGAUGUGCACCAGCGGGUCACUUCGCCCGGAGUAUUUGAGGUCGGGGAAGCGGAAAUCUCUUGGGAUUAUGAUACCCAUGAUCUCAGUUGAUAACGGAGAUUCUUCAUCUAGCAUUAUCCUCCAGCUCGGGGGCUUUCUCUUGCCCUGUUUCCUCGACUCUACGCCUCCAGAGGUUGGAUUCUGCUCCAACUUCAUCUCUUCCCACGGGGGUUUCACAAUCCCUUCUCCGCUCAUCCCUCAGCUCAAACAAUAUGGCCGCGAGAGUCUCCAUUUGUUUCUCCAUCCGCUCCAGUCUAUCUUGCAUCAUCCUCUCUCGGGCUUCAUUUGCAAUUUCCCGAAGAGUGAUUGUCUCCCCAGCUUCGUUAUCCUCCCUCAAGGCGUCCUUCCUCGUCACAUCCAUGUCUAACCGUUCGUCGUUUCUCCGGUAACUCCUAAUUCGGUGGUAGCUUUUUAUCCAGCUCCCCACAGACGGCGCCAAAAUGUUGAUGCUUAAAUCUGCUCGCCUUUUGACCGACCAGAUUCUUUCACCAACGUUUGUGUUGUCAACUGCUGCUCGGACCACUGGGGUUGGAAUUGCCCUCCUUCCUCUUACUAGACCUGCGUUCACCAAAAAUGGAUCAGAGACGCCGGUGGUUUUGCCGGCGUAAACCCUCCCAUGCCUAAGUUAGCACAAGGUAUUUACGGAAAAACGGUGUAAUUUGGAUUCAAGAAGGGCUUAUAACUUGUUUCGAAGUUUGAAAGGAAAAGGCAUGAUUGCAAUUUGGCAGCGUUUUCCCUCUCUUCAUUUUUUUUGUCCUUUUCUUCAUCGAUUUCUUCUCCUUUUAUAGCCGUUGUCCCAUGUUCCCGUUUGGCUUUCAUCCCUCUUUUUUCGGAUGGUGGCAGCCCUUCAACGGACUCUAACUGCUACAUCAUGGGCAAACGUGGGGUCUCGCAUUACUCGCAACGGUUCUGGGAGAAGCGUAACUACCGUGAUUCUGUGGGAUCGUGUUCCCGCUUUUUCGGGGGAUGGGUAUCGGCUCGGUAUAUACCUCUGGUCGGUAUACUCCCCUGGUUGUACUCGUCUCUGGUCGGACCAUACUUGUCCCUGUGUUCUGCUCGUACCAUUUGGUUGAGGUGAUCCAUGCCGGCGUGGAAAUAGUAGCAUGGCCGACCUGGUGCGUAGCAUGGCCGACCUGGUGCUUUUAUUUACUUAACAAGUGUUAUAGAGAGAGGCUCAGAGUUGAUUCAUUUUAGGUUGCAGUGGCCAGUGGAGAGAGAGGGAUUUAUUCAACGCUUAGCCAAAAUUUGGCGGAAGUGUUGAUGUGUUUUAAGUUAUAUAAAACGGUGUCGUUAAUUUAAACGGCACUGUUUUACAAUCUUAUAAUUUCACAAAACUUAAGCAUGACUUAUAUGUAUCAUUUAUUUAGGACGGUUAAGUUACGUCAUGAAUAUGUCAUAUAUUCUGGACAUAUGAAUAUAUAUCAUGAAUCUAUCAUAUUUUUAUGAUACAUUCGUGACACAACGAUAUAUGUCAUAAAAUUUCUGUCAUUAUUUAAUACUUUUCUAGUAGUGUCAUAUCUUUAAAACCUUUCUAUUAAUAGCAAAAACUCUAAUCCUUUAGCAAAAGACUAAAAAUUUAAAAAAAAAAAUUCUGUUUAAAUAUCAGUUGGCUCAUGAUCAACACUUCAAUACUAUUUGUUGUAUUUUCUUUCUUUCUUUCUUUGUCAUUUUAUUAGAUUUGCUUAAGUAAUUGUUCAUUGUUUACGUCUGUGUUCUUACUAGCUUUUGAUAAUUUAUGGUUGGUUUUUUAUUCAAACCCUCGAAGUACCUUUCUGUUAACAGCAAAACCUUUGAUCCUUAAGAAAGAAAAAGAAAUUCUCUAUUUAGUUAUUAGUUGGUUCAAGAUCAAUAUCGCGAUAUUGUUUGCGGUCUUUUCAUUCUCUAUCUUUCCCUCUAGUUCAAUUUAAUUUAUUUGUAUUCCUUUCUUUGACCCUUGUAUUUAUAUAUAUAUAUUGUUAAGCAACAGGCAAUGGCUGCAGAAGGGUGCCUCCCUGCUUUUUCCAGCAUUGUAUCACAAGGUUCAAAAGCGUUAUUCGAACCGAUUAUGCGGCACAUAUAUUAUGUGUUCGAGUACCAGAGCUACAUAGAUGGGCUAAAAGAUCGAGUGAAGGAGCUGGAAUAUAUAAGAGAAAGGGUGCAAAUGCUGGUUAGAGAGGCUACUCUACAAGGAGAUGAGAUUUAUAAGGGUGUCAGAGACUGGCUAAAUAGAGUUGCUGAAUUCAGUGAAGGGGUUGCAAAAUCCAUCAUUGAUGAUAAAGAUAGAGCUAAGAUGUUCUGCUUCAAAGGGUUGUGCCCAAAUUUGAUUUCUCGUUACAAGCUUGGUAAACAAGCAGCAGAGGCGCAAACGAAGCUGACAAACUUGUGAAAAAAAGGCGAAUUUAACAUAUGUAAUCAUGUUUCCUACCGUCCUGCUCCAGAGAGUACAGAAUAUGUGCAAGUGAAAGAUUACGUAGCCUUUUAUUAUAAUAUCUUUUCACUCUAUUAACUUAAAAAAAGAUUGACUUCAAAUGUUAAAAAUGUAACAGCGUAUACAUUUUAUAAUAAUUUCAAUAUUUAAAAAAUAUUUGAAUACUUUACAAUCUUAUAUUAUAUUAAACUAAUUUUAUAAUAUAUAGAAACAUAAUAGUAAAAUAAAUAUAUAAAAUUUUAAGUUAGGCUUAAUAUUAUUUAAAAUAAUUUAAAUAUCAUUAAUACAUGAGAUAUAUUAUAUUAAUUAUAAAUUCUAUUUAAUCUAAAUAUUUAUUUAAAUUUUUUAUACUAAAAAUAGAUAUAUUAUUAAAAUAAAUAUAACAACUAACAUUUUAAAAAUUAAUACUGAAAUUAAAAUUAUAAAUUAUAUUAAUCUACUAAAAAGAUUAAUCUAUUUGACACUCGCAGCGGACAAUGAGGUCACGGCAUAGGACAACUUCUUUUGAAAAAAAAAAAAAUCAAAAUCAAAGUCAUUGAAGUGCGUUUGAUGAUUUGCUGUGUAGCUUCUCUCUCAAAUGCUUUUCGAGUGCCUCUGGUAUCUGCUUUUAUAUAAGCUUUUGUCUUUAAUCAUUCAUUCAAGCUUUCGCUAAGAGUGAUGCAGCACAGCACGUAAAUAUAGAAGCAUUGACAGCCGUAGUCAGGAGCUCUUCGGUAUUUGAAGCAAGAAUGGUUGUUUGGCUUUGUGCAUUGAAAGAGAAAAGAAAAUAGAAUGACUAAUUUCAAUAAUACAAUUUAAUUAAUUAAUUUAAAAUAAUAAGCAUAUAAUAAUGAUGAAAUUAAUUAAUAAAAAGAAGAAAAUGAAAAUUGCACGUGCUAUUAGCAUAAACCAAUUGCCGGAAUGAGGUCACUUUGUAGACAAAUGAUUCUGGAAUCAGAACUUGGGCCAGCUUUGGGUUAUGGAUCCAAAAUAAAAAUAAGGUGGGCCACAUGGUCUCUUAUGAUCAAUAAAAAUCGAUUGAAAAGGAUGGUAUGGUGAGUGGAAGAGAAAUGUCGAUGGCAGAUCAAGGGAUGAAGAUACGAGCUCACUUGCAACGUGGUAUAGUUCAUCAUGGCUUUCCUAUAAGUUCAGGUCCUUUGAAUACUUUCAAUGACCUUAUUAGUCAGGAAUUUAACAAUAAUUUUUAUUUUUUUACAUCCAGGAACGGUUUUAAGCAUAGGAAAAUUAGGCCUAUAAUAGCAAAUCUUCUUUUUUAGGCCUCUUUUUAGUUAGUAAUUAUCUUAUAAUUAAGAAUUUUUAUACACAUUCUAUAUUUGAUAACCUUAAUAUUAAAGAUCUCUAAUUGUUAAUUUAUUAUUAGUUUUUCCAAGAAAAAAAUUAAAUUCUUUAUCUAUUUAAAAAAGUUUAUUAUUUAACAUUAUAAAAUUUUUUGCGCCAUUCUCUAUAAAGAAAAUUAUUACAUUUAUUGGUUCACUUUUGAAUUAAAAAAAAGUUUAUUAAAUAAUAAUUCUAGAGGAAGUAAAAAAGAUAUCUUCUUGGAAAUGUUUCAAACCCAUGUGUUUGGAUCUGUUUGAUAAUUUGUCGAAUUUGCCCACAUAUGAAAUUAGUAUGAUUUUACAGGUUAUAUUAUUUAAUUGGCUAUUUCAUUAAAAAAAAAAAAAAACACACACACACACACACACACAAGGAUUUUUAUUUGAUGGUAGAAGUUAAGUUGUUUUUCAGUGAUAAAUAAUGUUGUUAACCAAAUUUAAUUGACAUUCUACGUGGCAGUAAUUCAAUUUUAUAGAAGCACGUGGAUUAAAGGACAAAAACACAUCCAGUAUUUAAUAUUGGAUAUGAAUAUGGAUUUUAUCCAUAUAGAUAUGGAGAUCUACGGAUAUUUUAUUUUUAUUAUAUAAAACUAAUAAUAUAAAAUAGUUAAAAUUUCAAUAUCAAAUUUGAUUAUUAAACUAUUUAUAUUAGUAAUAAUAUAUAUAUAUAUAUAUAUAAUGAAAUGGCCGUCCGGUGGCCGGCAACGGAGGUCCGCGAAGUCUCUUCAUUCUCCUGUUAAGUAAUAAAAAAAAUCAAAACAGAGGAGAAACAUGGCCCUCUUUUCAUUCCCCUGUUUGAUAACAAUAAAAACAAAACAAAGGAGAUACGUGGACUCUCUUCUCAUUCCCCUGUUUUUCUUUUCGGUUUGGCGAUUUUAAAAUUUGAUAUCUACACUCAUUAAAAAAAGAAAAAAAAAAGUUAUUCCAAGAUGAUUUUCUAUUUUCAUAUAGACGUUUAUUUAUUAACCAAAAUUUAAAAAGUGUAAUUCUAAACUUAUCCUUGUGCUUUGAUCUUGGAGGGAUUUUUCAUUUUUUCUACACUGGUCUUAUCAAUUAAUGAUGAAAGUUCUUAUCAUUAAUUGCUUUGGAAAUGAGCAAGCACGGUAUGACCCCUAAGAGAAUUUAUUAAUUGGACAAGUUAUAUAACACCUUUGAUAUGGCUCCUAGACAUGUAUGCAAUUUGUAUCUUUUAGUUUUGCUUUUAAUUCUUUUUUAAUUAAAUGAGUCCGGAUUAGGUCAGUGGCAGAUAAAAGAGUCGGUUUUUCCAUUACUAAGCUUUUCAUGGAUGAAAAUUUUAUUUAUUUUUUUGGUUUUAAAGGUUCUCUGUGAAUGCCAUUAGAAAUGAGAUUGACUAAUUCAAGCUUCCUUUUUCCCCUUAGCAUCCAAACGUGUGAGGCAAGGGCAACUAAUGAGUCCCUUGUGAUGAGAACCUUUGUCUAAGCAAAAGCAGAGGUCAAUUGCUAAUACCGUAAUGUUAUUACUUUCAGUGCUUAAAUUGCUCCAUAAGCUUGCAUUUUAAAGUCUUUGUCUUAAUUUCUGUGGUAUACUGGUUAUGAGACCUCCUGCCAAGUUCAAGUUUCUUGAUGUCUUAUAAUUCCAUUUGUUGUGGUGGUUACUUUGUCAUAGAACUGACUGUUAAAGGCCAUCAAUCAGCUCUGUUUUGUAUUUGUGUACGUUUUUUUUCGUAUAAUGAUCAAUCAAAUGUUAGCCCUUAGAUUGCAUCCAAUAUUUAUUGAUUGUCUUUAAUUAGGAUAUAAACUAAAUUCAUAAGACAUUCCCUUAUUGAUAUUCAUUCCAACACGUCCUAGUCUUUUGCCUUGUAGAAAUGCUUGUGGUUGAAGAGCUUUACACAGAAGCUGUCGUCAGUACUGCGCGGAAAUUGAUUAUAUUGAAUCAGAAAACUUGACUAGGUAAGGUCUAUGUGCAUGAGAAUACUUGGAAAAUCUUCACAAUACUGAGGGCCGGAUCUGCACUCUUUCCUCUAUAUGUGUCUUCAAUAUCAAUGGCUCAAAUACAUGUGUUAUGGUCUUUUAAUAUAAAAUACCAUUAUCUCAUGCGUUAUGGUCUUAUCCUUGUAUUCUUAAAAACUAUAUAAAAUACCAUUAUCUCUGCUUUUGUAGCUAUUGAAUUCGACUUUCACAACAUAAAUAUUUAUUUAUGUUAAUGUGUAUAAUUUUGAAAAUUAUAUGCAUUGUUAAUGUGUAUUAUUGUCUAAUAUUUGGAUUUUAUUAAUUUACAACUGCUAUAACUUAAGGCCUCUUCAAACAUAAUGUGAGUCCCACCACGUGUUAAAUUUUUUACAUUAUUUUUGAAGGAACUAUAAGUUACAGCAGCUGUAACUUAGCAGCACCUCCAAUAUUUUACUUUACUUCCCCUAAUAUUUUACUUGUACUUUUAUAUCUUUACAAAACAAUACCAACAAGACAAUAAUGUAUGAAAUAAAUAAAUAAAGAACUGACAACGAAAUUAGGCCUAUCAUUAAUUUCUCGUGGCGUGAACUCUUGACAAUUCUCCCAUAUCCCACCUGAAGCUCUCGCGUGGUGUGAACGCUUGACGAUUCUCCCAUAUCCCUCCAAAAAUUUGUCAUAUUACGAAAAGCAAUGUCAAUUCAAUGUCGUCUCCAUUAAUCAUAGUGGCAGAUAGGACUAGAAUUUGUUGAAACCCCCGGACUUAUUUUUCCUUUUGAAAAUAAUUUUGUAGAAUCUCAUAUCGUGAAUAACAGACAAUGAGACUCUUUUUUUUAACUAUAAUAUUUUUUUUUAAAUUAUUAACUAAAAAAAUAAUUUUAAUAUUUUUAUAAUAAAUAUAAGUAGGAUAUUAAAAUAAAUAUAAUAAUAUUUAUAUAUUAAAAUAAUUUCAAUACCAAAAAAUAUUUUAAUAUUUUACAAUCUCGUAUUCUAUUAAACCAAAUUAUAAUAAAUAGAGACAUAAUAUUCAAAUAAAUAUAUAAAAAUUUAAAUUAUUUUCAACAUCAUAUAAAAUAACUUUAAUAUUAUUAAAACAUGAGAAAUAUUAUAUUAAUUAUAAAAACUAUUUAACCCAAGGAUUUGUUUAAAAUUUUUAUAAUAAAUAUAUUAUUAAAAUAAAUAUAUUAAAUUACAUUUUAAAAAUUAAUUAUUUAAAUUAUACAUACUAGUCUACUAGAAAAUUUAAACUAUUUAAAUCAUAUAUACAUUUAGUAAAAAAUUUUGAAGUCAUUUUUUUUUAUGUGGCUACCAUAAGAGUACUAUAGUCAAAAAGGGUAUUGGUGUUCUUUAUUAAAAUUUUGGGGUCUACAUGACUAUUUUCUAAAAUUUUAAGGGUGUCAUUUUAUUUUUGGAAAAAAAUAAAAAUUUCAUUUAAACGGCUAAAAUGGUGAAUGAUGGUUGUCGAAGCCAACAAAAAUAAAUAGAUACUCUAAAUAAAUUGUAUAUAGUGAUUGAGCAGGGUCGUGUCCACAUAGAUCGGUAAUUAUUUAAAUUCUUUUAAAACAUAAAACAUAAAAUGGGGGUUUUGUUGACAAUAAUAAAAAUCAAAGUAAAAAAACGAAUGCAAAUUAAAGUUGGAAUUCAAAUUGGAGAAAGCUCUGGUUGAAGGAAUUAACUCAGCUUGAUUCAACUGCUGAUCAUUGAUUCAAAUAUAAAUUAUUAUUACUUAUGAAUAGACCGGUUAUAGCUACUGAGACCCUCUAAUAGCCAAUCUCUCCUUAAUUAGUCAAUAACCAAGGUACGACCGUUGGUUAUUUUCCUAAUCAAUAGACAACCCUAGAUACGAUCAUAGAAUUUAAUCAAUUGACAGCCUGAAAAACCAGAGAGACCCAAAUCCUAAUCAACAAACACAUACGAUGGUUCAUUUAAAUUAGAUUGUUUAUUCUCACAACACAACUCUUUGCUAUGUUAUUUGUCACAAACAUUAAAAUCUUCAUACGAUGAAUCCUUUAAUUGACAAUAGAUUAAGUUGAUAAUUAAAUAGUGGCCAAUUACCUAAUUAACAAACAUAAUCAUGAAAAUAAUUUAGAGAAUAAACAAAUACCCAAAAAGCAAUAAAAAAAUUAAAGCAUAAGAAAGAUCUCACAGUAGUGAUGAAUCAAAGCUUCAUUAACCUUCAACCAGAAAAAUAGGUUUAGUUCUUCAUAGAGAGAAGAGAAAAGUUUAGAUCUAGGGUUUCUUUCUUUUUCCAAUCUCCCAUUUUUCACAAUAGAUUCCUCCCUUAAAUACUCUCUCUCUCUUCUCAUCUAGAGUUCUAUUUAAAAUAAAAUACUAAUAUCUGAAAUAUUAAAUUCAUAAUUACAAAAAUAACCAAAAAUACAAAACACGUUAAACUAAAAACUGCAGGUCCGUAGUUGACAGCACGCGCCCACGCCUUAUCAACAAAGUUCUUUUGACGCUCAUAAUUUCUCCAAUGGAACAAUCAUCCUUAAACAUCAUCUUGUAACUCAAUUUUUGCACCAAUCAAUAGAAUUGCACCUAUAAAAAUAAAACACAAGUAAAUCACUAUUAUUAAGUACAAAACAUCGAUAUUAAGGGAAGUAAACAAUUCAAAACUAGUGCAUAAACUGCACUCUAACAGUGAAUAGUACAAUGCUACAGUGGGCGUAAAUGGAAGGUAAAAAGCACUCAAAAUGACCAACAGUCUAAUGCCUCAGCAGGGACAUAAGGUCAAAGUUUGUUACAUGUGGUUAGGGCCAUUUAGUCUGUGAGUGGGUCCUGCGUGUCAUUUUUGGGCAUUUCAUCUUCUUUAGCAUUGAAGAUUAAAUGUUGCCGAUAUUUUCAAAAUUUUGGAAGACCCAUCACACUUUUGGAUGGUUGUCAUUAUUUGAUAUUAUCAUUAUAUGACGAAAUAAAAUUGGAUGUAACACUUGUUUCGCGUUGUGUGAACUUUUGACAAUUCCCCCAUAUCCCCCAAAAAUCUUUCGCCAUUUUGGGAAGAUGCCAUUUAUUUUCAUUUUCAUCAUUGAUAGUGGCAGAUAAUGGGUUCGGGGACAUACUAUAAAUUAUUAUGACCCAUGGACUUUUCUAAUUUUUUUCCCUUUGGAUAGUUGUCGUUAUUUGAUAUAAGGAGAUAGAGAUAAAGUUUUUUAAUCAAAUGCCCAUUUUUUUUACCUUUGGAUAGUUGUCGUUAUUUGAUAUAAGGAGAUAGAGAUAAAGUUUUUUAAUCAAAUGCCCAUUUUAUUUAACAUGGAAGAAGAUCUUUAAACUCUAAGUGAGGCUAUCACUUCAACUGAUGCAGCCCUCAAGAAAGAGGUAACAAGUGAUGAGAUAGACUCAUUAUUGUCUAAUCAAAAAAGGACAUCAGUAGAUGUAUCAGGAUCUUAAGUUAGAUUGGAAUUUGAUACAUUGUUGCUGGUAACAUUGGUUCAAACCUUUAAAGCGAGGUUGGAUGCAAAAUGGUUUACACCAAAGAAGUGAUUUAGGAAGUUAAUUAACGUUAUUUUAGAUAAUUUAUAAUUCUAGAAUAUUUAUUAUUUUAUGAUUUUCUAUUUUAGUUUGAGUCAAUUAUGGUAUGUAUCUUAAUCUUUUAUUUCCAUUAUAAUUAUGAUUUAAAUUUUCUUUUUAGGUUAAUUUAGGAAAGUGGAUUUCUUUUAUUAUAAAUAAAGAUGUCUGUAAUAAAAAAAAAUAAAGAUGUCUUGUCAUUAUUUUCAAAACUUCAAGUUCAAUUAUUAAAUAAAACCCCUCUUUUAUAAUUUCCUCUAAGAUUAUUUAUCAAAAUCUCUCUUGUAGAGUCGUUUGGAUUAGAGUGUCAUCUAAUCUCGUAUUACGCGUUAUUAAAAAUCGCAUUGAGUCAUUUGGAUUAGAACAAUAUCUAAUCACGCUUCGAAUAGAGCGUAAGCUAAUUGCAUUGGCUUGGUCCAGUAUUAGAACGAUAUCUAGUGUUUCUUACCCUAUAAUUCUGCUUCCGCUACGCCUCGCUCCAUCAAUUCGUAUCAAAGCGAUUCUAUGCGAAUCACACAUCGUUCCUAGAUACACGAUACCCAUCCAAACCAAAUCCAUCAAAAAAAAAAAAAUUUACAAAUUUGAAAACCCUACCCGUCACAUCAACCUCCACCGCCGCCCACACCGCCGAUCAGCCAGCCAACACCACCACAAACCUCACUAGCCACCGUCGACCAAGCCUCAGUCAUCGCUGCCUCAACGGCCGCUUGAACAGCCGCAAAUCACCAACGCAAACCCGCGGCUCCACCAAGCAACCCACCACCAUUCAGCCACUUUCUCCAUCAGCCACCUCCACCAACAAACUCGCCGGCCUCCGUUGGCCAAAAACCAACCAACUUCAGCCCUUGAUCGCCGCCCGCUGUCACCAGACGAAACGACAACCCACGAGUGCUUCCUACACGCGCCGCCACCAAAACACCUUGUUUUUCCGUCAAUUUACACCACCACCAUAAUCCCUAGCAGUCGGCAACCGUAAAUCCAGUCUUCUGCCACUGUAAGGCCGCCAUAAACCAAAAGCCACAUCACCAAAAUCAACCGCCAAUUCAAGUCGGAUUUCCCCCAAUUCAAGUUGCUGAAUAUAAAAAGGACUCAUGAAAAUUACUAAAGUUUCAAAUAUUGUUAUUCAGCAACCACUUUUAGGUUACAUUAGUUUCAACCCAAAUUUUAUAUAAAUAAUUUAUAACUCCCAUUAUUAUUAUAAAAAAAAUUGUAGCAAUUGUGGUUAUAUCACAUGAAAAAAAAAAAUUCUAAUUAAAGAAAUUGACAUUAUAACUUAAAAGGAUAGUUGCUCUUUUAAUCAUUAGAAUUUAUGUCAAUUAUCCAGCUUAUCAUUGCAUUCUUAAAAACUAUAUACAAUACCAUUAUCUCUGCUUUUGUAGCUAUUGAAUUUGACUUUGACAAUAUAAAUAUUUAUUAGCAACAACUUAAAAUUCAAACAAAUCUAAUAUGUAAUGUAUGAAAUACAAAUAACAAUUAAACAAAUUUUGAUUAUUUAAUAUUAAGAUAUAAUCACAUUAAUAUCAUAAGGAUAUGUGGUACUCAAAUAAUCUUUUAAAAAUCAAACCCAAAUUAUAUAUUAUUAAUAUGUAUUAUUAUCUAAUAUUUAGAUUUUGUUAAGUUACAACUGCUGUAACUUAAGUCUCUUAAAAAAUAUGUGGGUCCCACCACCUAUUAAAUUUUUUACAUUAUUUUUAAAAAAAUUAUAAGUUACAUCAGUUGUAAUGUAAAAGCCCCCCUAAUAUUUUACUUUACUUUUAUACCUUUAGAAAAACAAUAAUGCAUGAAUAAAUAAAGAACUGACAACAAAAUUGGGCCUAUCAUUAGUUUCUCGUGGUGUGAACUCUUAACAAUCCUCCCCUAUCCCACCUAAAGCUCUCGUGUGGUGUGAACGCUUGACAAUUCUCCCAUAUCUCUCCAAUAAUCUGUCAUAUUGCGAAAAGCAAUGUCAAUUGCAAUGUCGUUUCCCAUUAGUCAUAGUGGUAGAUAGGACCAGAAUUUUUUGAAACCCCUGAGGCCCUGAACUUGUUUUUCCUUUUGAAAAUAAGAAAAGGACACCCGUCUGGAGAAAUAAUUUUGUAGAACCUCAUAUCUUGAAUAACGGACAAUAAGAUUUUUUUUAAAUUAGAUAUUUUUUAAAUUUAUUAACUAAAAAAAUUAACUCUAAUAAUUUAUGAUAAAUAUAAAUAGGAUAUUAAAAUAAAUAUAAUAAUAUAUACAUAUUAAAAUAAUUUCAAUAUCUAAAAAUUUUAAUAUUUUACAAUCUCGUAUUCUAUUAAACCAAAUUAUAAUAAAUAGAGACAUAAUAUUCAAAUAAAUAUAUAAAAAUUUAGGUUAUUUUCAAUAUCAUAUAAAAUAAUUUUAAUAUUAUUAAUACAUGAUAAAUAUUAUAUUAAUUGUAAAAUCUAUUUAACCUAAGGAUUUAGUUAAAAUUUUAAAAUAAUUACAAAUAUUUUAUAAAUACAAAUAAAUUAAUUUACAUUUUAAAAAUUAGUAUUGAAAUUUAUUAUUACUUGGACAAAUUAACACCAAAAUUAAUAUCUAUGCAAUUUGUGUCAUUUACUUUUGCUUUGUAAUAUUUUUUAAAUGAGUCCCGAUUGGUUCAUUGGCAGAUAAAUGAGUCGGUUUUUCUGUUUUUAUUUUAUUUUAUUGUUUUUGAAAAUGGUUUUUCUGUUACGAAGCUUCUCAUGGAUGAAUUUUUUUUUUAAUUUGGGUAAUUUUUAAUUGGGUCCUAAUUAUUUCUAGAAAAAAAAUUCAGAGACCAAAAGUUUACUAAAUGAAUGAAUUAAAUCCUUUUAAGUGCAAAUUUAUGUCAUUCAAGCCCUUAACCCAAUUCUUCCGUUAAAAAAAUUAGUGAAAAUGUUAAGUUAAAUAUAAAAAGACAGGUAUACCCUUAUAAUCAUAUUAGUGAUUUAAAAUACAAUUUUAGCCUUGGACAUUAUUUUUUUUUUCAAUCUAACAACCUAUUUAUCAAUUUGAGUAUUUGAAAACACUAAACGAAUAUCUUUCGCCAAUUUUUAUAAAAAUUCAAAUAUAAAGAGUGAAUUAUACAUGAAAAUGUAAUUUGCUAUCCAUAUAAUUUCAUCACAUCAAUAAAAAUAUGAUAAUUGUUAAACUAAAUAACAUAUGUAUUGAAUAUAAUAUUAAAAAAAACACAAUAACAUUCGGUCUAAAAAUGAAAUUAAAAGUAUGAAAGUCAAUUAAAUUCAAACUAACAAAUACCUUAACAAUACUAAAGUAAACUGAAAUUUAAACACAAAAAAUAGUUAAUUGUCUUCUGAACUCUAUAAUGGAGAAUUAAAUGCCAACCCAAGGUGAAAUUGUACUAUCCUACUCCCUGUUAACUAUGAUAAGUUCUUCAUUUUGAGGUUGAGGUACAAUCCACAAUAGUUGUGUAUACAGUCCCACUAGUUGAGUGACAUUGAUUGAAGCCUAACUAGCUUGUUUUGGAACUAUUGCCAAUUGAUUGUUCAUUGACAUCUACUUCUUGAGAUUGUGGGUUAGUUUCAUGCUAUUCAAAAAAGAAAAAAAAAACAUCAAUUUCAUUAAAUAAAAAAAAAAGAAUCAAUCUAUUCAAUAUAAUUCCACAAUCAAAUCAAACAUAUAUAGCUAGUCAUGUUUUAUUAGCUGCAUACACAUCACUAGGAUCACCAAGUUAUUAAUCCAUUUGAUAACAUAACAAAAAAAAAUAUAAUGAGAUUCAAUUACAAAAUCAGACCUGUGUGGUUGAUGAAGUGAUAUCACUUGCCUGUGCACAAAAAAAAAAUCACCAAGUUUUAAGCAAUUUAAUGAAAAAGAACAAAAAACAAUCCUUUAGAAUUAAAUUUUCAAAAUCAUAUUAAACACGUCCACUUGAUUAAGUCUUAUUUCUUCCUUACACACAACCAAUAUCACCAAGUUUUAAGCAAUAUCUAGUGCAAAAGAAAAAAAAUCCUUUUGAAUUUAAUUAUAAAAUAUAAUUAAAUUAAACCAAUGCACUUGAUGAAGUCCUAUUGCUUCCCUGCACAACAUGAAGAUCAAUAUUUGUUAACUUCACCAAACGAAAUUUAAAAAACAAAAAUGACUCUUAUAUUAUACCUUUAUGGUUCUUGUGGUUUUUGGAAAAUUAGGGCAGCCCCUUUUGUUGUGCCCAAGAUGUCUGCAAGCACCACAUUUGAUAAUAAACCGUUUAUUAGUUAGUUUGGCCUCACCAAUGUCUUUUGUUCUUUUCUUUUUCGGUCUACCAACUGGAGCCUUUAUGUAAGGUGGUCCAACCUUCACAGGCACCACAACAUCAGGUGAAGGUUCAUCUUCCACUUUAGGCCAUGCACACUCAUAAGGAAUAGGAUUUAUAGUCCCUAUGUAUGUCAUCAUAAAAAAUUCAUUGGUCAGAUAAUGAUGCACAUAAUCUUCACGUUGCCCUCCUUUAUUAAAAAUAGCAGCUACUGAAUGUUUGCAAGGCACUCCACUAACUUGCCACAUCUCACAUUCACACGUACCAUCUAUAAUAUGUACUAGGAAAUUUCUAUAGCCAUCUUGACAACAUUCAAACAACUCCUCUCUACCUCCAAAGACCUUAAUUCUCCUUGUCUCAUUUGAGGAUUGAUUUGGUCUGUCUCUAGCAUAUGGGGUCAAACGGUCUUGCCAAGUUUCCCCUUGUUGAUAUUUUUCCAAUAUUCUCACCAUUAGUUGUCUACGAAUAUGCUCAAGAAUGGUUAGGACAAGCUUGUCCCUAACCUCAUCCACCCACUUAUUAAAAGAGUCAAUCAUGUUGUUUGUAACAUGGUCAAAUUUCACAUGGUGAUCAAACCCGCUUCUAGACCACUGUGCAGAUGGUAUUUUUCUCAACUAUUCACAACAAUUUUAGUCUUUAGCCCUAAUUUGACUCAUUGCCCUCUCAAAGUCAUACUGAUUUACAGCCCUAUAAGCUUUCCAAAAUAACCCCAUGACAUUCAAACCAGGAAACUUACACUUCAAAUUGGCAAAGAUAUGCCUAGCACAAUAUCUAGUACUAGCAUUAGGCUAAUAUUUUUCCAGUCCCUAUAAAAGACCUUUUUGUCUAUCACUAAUAAUAGUCACAUGCCUAUGAUCAUCAUCCCUAAUGAAUUCCUACAGCAAAGAUAAAAAAUAACCCCAACUAUCAUAGUUCUCUGCCUCACAUAUGCAAAAAGCCAGCGGAAAAAUUCCACUAUCAACAUCUAAUGCAACAACAAAUAACAAUACUCCCUUGUAUGGCCCCUUCAAGUGACACUCAUCCAAUCCUAUGAAAGGUCUACACCCAGUUAGGUACCCCACUUUAAGUGUAGGAAAUGACAAAAAAAAAAAAAAACUUUGAAAACCUAGGCUAUUUGACUAUGGCCUAUCAACCUUUACCUUGACACAAGCACCUUUAUUCAUUUUCAUUAGAAUGUGAGCAUAUUUCAAAAGCUUUCCAUAGCAAGUAAUGUGGUCAGCACCUCGGUUUUUUAAUGCAAUUUUUUUGCCCUGUAUAGUUUUUGUUUGUCACAUUCAAUCCCAUGUUUAUCUUUUAACUCACUCCUUAUAACAUUUACACCAACUCCUAGGUUAGUUUGAAUAAGUUCAGCACAACUUUAGCUAUCCAAAGUGCUGUUGCAUCUUUGUUAACUGAUUUAAUAUGGCAAUCAUGUUUCCCUUUAAUAUACCUAACUUUAAAAGUUAUCCCAUCAACCAUCGAUGAAGCAUGAAAUUUCCAAGUUCAUUUUGGAUUGACACAAUAACAAGUAUACUUAACACCAUCAUUUUUAAUCCUAUUUAACUCAAAAUCCUCUUGGAUUGCAUAUUUCACCAUAACCUCUCUUAAUAAUGCAACAGAUUCAAAGGUAUUUCUUACUUUUAGACUAACUGAACCAUUUAGUUUUGGUUUCCACUCAUUAUCAAUAAUGGAUUCAUACAUAUGUGAGAGACCAUUCUCUUCAUCAAAUGAGUGCACUCCGAUAAAGCCAUCCUCACUAAAUUUUUCAAACUUAUCAGUACCCAUACUAACACCUAUAUUGAUAGGACUUUUAGAUCCUAUUACAACACUUUCAUGACAUGAUUGACCACCUAACCCAGUGUGCACCUCAAACUCAAUAACAUGCCAACUAUUAGUAAAGAACUCCUAAAAAACCGAAUACAAUUCACUAUCAUUUGAAAUUAGCUUCCUCUGCCUACUUGUAGUCCAUGGUAACACAACAGAAAUUUCAAUCAAAUCCAUUUCGUUGUGUCCAUAUUUAACCAUGACUUCUAGAAUUUCAUGAAACAACCUAAUACUCUUAUAUUCCUAUGGGUUCCUAUAUCCUAUCUCAUACACUGCCCCAUUAAUUUUAACCAACAAAAAAAAGGUAACAUGGCUACCUGCAUCAAUUUUAAACAAAAGGUAUUGCAUCAAAAAAUGGCUAAACUAAUACAAUUUUAUUUAGCAAAGAAUAAAAAAACUCAACCUAAAUGAAAUAUACAUGUAAUUCAGUUAAAAAAGGUACAAAAGCAAAUUCAAUCUAAUACAUAUAAAAAUAAAAAUUGAAAAGAAAAAAUAACCCAGCAAAUAUAGAGAAUUUAGUCUAAUAUAUAAAAAUUACCACUCAUAAUAACACAUAGAAUUCAAUUUUACAUGAACAAAGAAGCAAAUACAACGAAUUCAAUCUUAUUAAUAUAACGAUACCAAUUAGUUGAAAUGAAAUAUUGUACAUAUACAACAACUCAAGAAAGCAAAUAAAAUAAGCUAAAUAAGUUCAAUAAAUACAUAUAUAAAUAUGGUGUAUUUGUUCUAUUUAUUAUAUAAAGAGCAAAUUAAAAAAAGUAUAUUAAAUACAACAUUCAAUAAAAAAAUCCACCAAUAAUUAAACAUAGUUUGUCAUUUAGAAAAAUAGACUUGAAAAACCUAAUUUUUCACAAAGAUCACUAAAUAUGGAAACAAUUUUUUCAGAAAAUGCUUGCAAAAAUCACUAAAAAAUUAGAGUUACUAACUUUGAAACUCAGGUUCUCUCCAACACUUGAACUCAACCAAUGCUAACAAAUCUUUGGUCAAAAUCACAAUAGAUUUAUACAACAUGUUUUGCGCCAUCCCACGUUCUCUCAAUCUCUCCUCUCACACGAAGAAUACGGCAGUUUCUAUAGUAUUUUUUUUUUUCGUUUGAAAGAACUUUAACUUGGUUAGGUUAAUUGACUUUGCUUUAAACUAUUGCCACCUGUAAGCAAACUAUUGCCACCUGUCAAAAAUAAAAGAAUGAGGAAGGGUUCAAUUGUUCUUUUACUAAAAUGUCCUCAAUGUUGUUAAUAUCUCUAACGGACGAGUUAAGUUAAGGACUUGAAUGACAUUACUUUGUACUUGAAAGGAUUUAAUUGAUUUAUUUAGUAAACUUCUGGUUUUUGAAUUUUUUUCUAAAAAUAAUGAGGGCUUAAUUAAAAAUUACCCUUUAAAUUUUAUAGAUUCUCUGCGAGCGCAGUUAGAAGUACCAAGUUUUGUUAGGUAGAAGGGUAUUUAAGUAAAUCUGCCCACAAUGAAGAAUAGUUCAGAACAGUUGAGGAAGCAUGAGAAUACUUGAGGAAAGCCUGAUAAGAAUUACGGCCGGAUCUGCACCCUUUCCUCUAUAUGUGUCUUCAAUAUAAAUGGCUCAAAUAUAUGCGUUAUGAUCUUUUAAUAUUUCGCCUCUGAUAUUGCCCACAUUGCUUACUGCAACACAUAAAGCACUUCGUUUACCCCAAAUCCUGAUAGGGAAGUAUAAAUAUAUGCUUCCGAAAUAGCGCAACUCUCCAUAAUUAUUUAAUAUGCCUCUCAAUGAAGCAAUCACCUUCAUUUACAACUCUGCGAUUAUUAAUCCUACAUACACGUGUUUCUUUUGUCUCUAAAAGUAUUCUCAAUUAAUUUACAUAAUUUAAUAUAAUAAGUACCUAAGACUAGACAAAUUUUCAUUACAAUAAAAUGAAUAAAUUAUAAUAGUAUUGACACAAUAAUGUCAAUAAUAAAAACUUUAAGAAGCCUAUAAAUUUUAAAAUAUGACUCAGAGUGCUACAAUGAACCACAACAAGUUAUUAUAUGAUCUAUAAUCAAUAUUCUAAUGAUAACAGAGUUCCUCUAUUUUCAAUCCCCUACUUUUCUAUUUAGCGAUUGUCAAAUUUUAUAUCUAAAAUUCUUCUAAUUUUACACUAAGGUUUAUUUUUUUAAAAAAAAAGGGGCAGGAGAAAGAGGCUAGAGAGUAUUAAAAAAUGUCAUUCUAAAUUUUCACUUGAGCGUGGUGUGAUUUUUAUCAUUUUUUAAAAUUGGCCAUUUAUAUUGAGUAAAUAAAAGAAUGAAUAGACGUUUGGACCACUUCUUUUCUGUUAUAAUAAAACAUGAGAUGUCUUCUCUUGAUGCUUUCGUCACAAAAGAAUAUGUUUAUGUCAUCAUAGGCUUAAAUGGGGUAAGUAAAUUAAGAUCGAGGACAAGUUUGUUUAAGCACUAAAGUCGCUAAAUAAAAGAAAGGCUCAUAUAAAAAUUACCUAAAGCACCAAAUAUUGUUAUUCAGCUACUUCUUUUAUGUUACAUUAUUUUCUACGCAAAUUUAUAUAAAUAAUUUAUAACUCCCAUCAUUAUUAAAAAAAAAAAAAACUGUAGCAAUUGUGGUUAUAUCACGUGGUGUGAUUGUUGUGAAAAUUUUAAUAUACUCGCAAGCGCACGAAUCUAGAAAUAGAGUAGUGGUAACGAGGUCGAUCCCACAGGGAUUGAUAAAAAGUCUAAUUUAAAUCUAAAAUUAAUAUUACUCCUAACCUAGUUGAGCAAAUUGAGUUUUUAAGAAAAUUAAACCAAUUAAACUAAGGAAGCAAUUAAAAUAAAAGAGAAUUCAAUAAGAUAGAAAUUACCAAGGUUUCAGAAUCCACCACUAUUCAACUAGUAAUUAUCUAAUUAUUAAUUAAUCCCCAAUUUUAGAGUGACAACUCGAAAUCAAUCUAUGUCAUCUCAUAGAUAUAACAAUUAAGCCCAAGUAAUUAAAUCUAAUGUAGGUUCUUUUUCUGCUUAAUAAUAUGACAUCUAAGCAUCCCAUGUAAACAUAUUGAAUAACAAAGAGUCAAAGUUUUCCUAAGCACUCUAUGUAAACAAUUUAAUGAAAGACAUAAAAUCAAAGAUAAUCAUGUAUAAACUUUAUAGAUCCAAGCAUAGAAUUAAUCGAAUAUUAAUCCUAACAAUCAAUAAUGCAUGACAGAAUUGAUGAAAAGAUUUUAAUAACAUCCAAUUAAUCAUGUGAAAUAAAAACCAUAAUUAUCAAAGAACAUAUAUAGGGAAUUAAUUAAAUAAAAAGAGAUAAUUAUUUCAUUGAAUAGGGUUUCAUCCUUAACCUCAGUAUAAGAGAAUUAGUUAGACAUACUUGAAUUGGGAACAACAAAAAAAAUAAAAUCACCCAUGGAAACCGAACUGCUGCUGCCCAACCUUGCGUCUUGCGUCUGCCGAAUUCUCCUUCUCCUUUCGUUUCUGUCCAGCAGCUCCCUUUUAUAUUGCUUGGCCACGGAAUCCUAUUGUGAUUCUAAUAACUAAACCAACUCUUACAAGCUAAAGCUCUAAGCUUGCCACGUAAUUGAAAACAAUAAAAGCCAAAAGCUAUUGAUUUCCUUCCUUUAUUCUACUUUGACUUUCCAUUCAAAGGCUUAAUUAAAAGCUUUGUUUUUAUGUGCUGCCCACUUUAGCUUUAACUUUCAUCUUUGUUUGCACGAGCAUGGAGAAUUCAAUUUAUUGGAUUCGGCUUCUUCCACAUGCACGUAUGUCUAAUUGGUUCCAAAUCAAUUAAUCUUUAAUGCUUACAAAUUGAACUCCUUUAUGCUCUUUUUAUCCAUAAUCUCCAAUUAAUUCCCUAUUCAAUAAAAUAAUUCAAUUAAUUAAAAAUAACAAAUAAAAAUAACUAGCAAUUAAAUAAUUAAGGGUAAAAUAUGUAUAUAAAUUAUGCUCAUCAAAUACCCCCAAACUUAGAUUUUGCUAGUCCUCGAGCAAAACUAAAAAAAAAAAAAAACAAAAAUAAAAAUAAUGAAACAAAAAGUAAAUCCGAACUAAACCACUUUCGCAGGUAAUCGCGAUUGCAUUUAGCGUAUGCAACAAGCCUUUAAACCCCUAGGCGGCCCUAGUGGACGAGUUAUAGUCUCGUGAGGGCUUCAGUGAUGAUACCCACAAACAUCAUUUUUCAAAGAAUUAAAAUAAAAAUAAAAUGAAAAGAACAACAAGCUUUAAACAAAACAUGAAGAUAGCCUCAAAGAUUGCAUAAAUUAUAUAGCUCAAAGAAAAUUUCAAAUAUUGGCAAAGUUCUAACUUUAAUUCAAUAAUCAAUCCCAUCUCUCUUUCGAUUCUUGUAGUGUGUGUGUGUGAAAUCAAUUCAAUCAAAUCCAUUCCCAAAAUCCUCAAUAUCAAUAGCCUUCGCCUCAAACAAAGAAAAGAGUAGAUCAAACUAAUCUUAUCAUCUUGAUCUCCAAUUUUUUUUUUCAGGCUUUUAUGUGCAUUUUCUUUUGAUUUUUUUUUUUUAGCACAUGCACUUGAUUUUUUUUUCUUUUCCUUUUCUUUUUUUUUUGUUUUUUUUUCUUAACCAUAGUCAGGAGCUUUCACUCUACCCCUUAAGGUAGCCUUCUUCUCAUGGUAGAUUAUCCUCUACAUACUUGUGGUACAUAGGCCCAAAUUACUCAAGGAUAACUUCACUCUUAAGGGUUAUAGGUAGCUAUUUCUGACUUUGGCGCCUGUGUAUACUAAUUUGUAUUGUGGAGAUAAGAAUCAAGACAAACAGUCAUUUACUCUAUCUAAAAUUCUCAACUCAGGCUGUGUCAAUUUCAAAUUUCAAGCCAAAAUUAUAAAAGAACUGAUAUUAGUGCUCAUAGUUUAAAGAAUCUCAAUCAAGAGGAAUUAACACAAGAAUCAAGUAUAAACUAAGACAAUAUUCAACCCUUUCUAAAAACCAUAUUCAUUGUCAAUCAAGUUCUUAUCAUUGGCUUUUCACAUAAAAACAAAAAGAAAAAAAAAAACAAAACAUUUUUUUUUGAAUUUUUUUUAAUAACAAACAAAACACACGCUAUUCCCACCCCUAAAUUUAUUCGGAACAUUGUCCUCAAUGUUUCAUAAACAAAAGAUAUGCAUGCAAACAAAUGAAAGAGAAAUAAUAAUAAUAAUAAUAAUAACAAUAAUAAUAAACAUAAAUAAUAAAAAGAAAGUUGGAGAGAACACACCUGGAUGGGCUGGGAAAGCUUAAAAGAAAAUGCCAAAUGAAAAGAAAACAUUAAAAUAUAUAUAUAUAUUAGAAAAGAAAAUAAAUAAAGAAAAGAAAACCGACUAUUAAAAUAAAACAAGAGUGUAAAGAUGAACUUAAUUAAUCCUGAUAAACAGGAUCAUCUAAAAGUAUCUCCUCAACUUCUGGUGUUUUUAAUUCUAAAAAUGGUUUUAAUCUUUGACCAUUCACCUUAAAUAAAUCACCAUUUUUAGGAUUUUCAAUUUCAAUUGCUCCAUAAGGGAAGAUAGUACGAACUAUAAAAGGAUCAGACCAUCGAGAACGUAACUUACCUGGAAAGAGAUGCAAUCGGGAAUUAUAUAAAAGUACUUUCUGACCUGGUGUAAAGGCUUUUCUCAAAAUAUGUUUGUCAUGAAAGACUUUCAUUCGCUGUUUAUAAAUCUUGGCAUUCUCAUAUGCAUCAUUCCUGAUCUCUUCAAGUUCUGCUAGUUGUAAUCUUCUCUUGGACCCAGCUUGCUGCAUGUCAAAAUUGAAUUUCUUGAUAGCCCAAUAUGCACGAUGCUCCAACUCUACUGGCAGAUGACAUGCUUUUCCAUACACAAGUCGAUAAGGUGACAUCCCAAUUGGUGUUUUAAAAGCAGUUCUAUAUGCCCACAAUGCAUCAUCAAGUCUCAAAGACCAAUCCUUUCUAUCUGGCCUAACUGUUUUCUCUAGAAUCUGCUUGAUCUCUCUAUUAGAAAUCUCUACUUGGCCACUGGUUUGAGGAUGAUAUGGGGUGGCAACCUUAUGUGUAAUGGAAUAUUUGUCCAAAAGAGUUUUGAAAGGUUUAUUACAAAAAUGGGUACCACCAUCACUAAUGAUUGUUCUAGGAAAACCAAAACGAGACAGAAUAUUACUCUUCAAGAAUUUCACUACAACCCUAUGAUCAUUGGUUUUGCAUGGAAUAGCUUCAACCCACUUCGACACAUAGUCCACUGCAACCAAUAUAUAUUGAUAACCAAAAGAUGGAGGGAAAGGUCCCAUGAAAUCAAUACCCCAUACAUCGAAGAUCUCAACCACAAGAAUAGGAUUGAGUGGCAUCAUGUUCCUCUUUGAAAUGCUACCCAUACGUUGGCACCUAUCACACAAAGAACAGAAAACAUAAGCGUCAUGAAAAAGAGUAGGCCAAUAAAAACCACACUGUAAAAUUUUUGUUGCUGUCUUUUUAGCACUAAAGUGGCCUCCGCAAGCUUGUUCAUGGCAAAAUGAGAUAACACUUUGAAUUUCAUUAUCGGGAACACAUCACCUAAUAAUCUGAUCAGCACAAUAUUUAAAUAAAUAGGGAUCAUCCCAAAAGAAGUCUUUCGCUUUAGAUAAGAACUUUGUUCUAUCUUGCUUAGUCCAGUGCUCUGGGAUUUGACCUGUAGCAAGGUAAUUAACUAUAUCAGCAAACCAUGGUACAACAUUUACACUCAUAAGUUGCUCAUCUGGGAAAGACUCAUUCAAAGGUAAAGAUUCUGGAAUAAAUUUAAGAUCAAGGCGAGAUAAAUGAUCCGCCACAACAUUUUCAGAACCUUUUUUAUCUCUAAAUUCAAUGUCAAAUUCUUGUAAAAGCAACACCCAACGAAUCAAUCUUGCCUUAGCAUCUUUCUUAGUAAACAAAUAUUUUAAAGCAGCAUGAUCAGUAAAAAUAAUCACUUUACAACCUAUAAGAUAAGAUCUGAAUUUAUCAAGUGCAAAUACCACAGCUAGCAUUUCUUUUUCUAUAAUUGAAUAGUUCAACUGUGCAUCAUUGAGUGUCAUACUAGCAUAAUAAAUCACAUAAGGCACACGAUCUAAUCUUUGUCCUAAAACUGCUCCUACAGCAUAAUCAGAUGCAUCACACAUAAUUUCAAAAGGCAAAUCCCAAUUAGGUGGCUGAAUGAUAGGUGAAGAAGUCAAUAAUUUCUUAAGGUUUGCAAAAGCAUCAAGACAAGAUUCAUCAAAGAUAAAAGGUGCAUCCUUAACAAGUAAAUUGCAUAAGGGUCUAGAAAUUUUACUAAAAUCUUUAAUGAAUCUUCUAUAAAAACCAGCAUGUCCAAGGAAAGAUCUUACUUCUUUUACGGAUUUGGGAUGUGGAAGAUUAGAAAUUAAAUCCACCUUAGCUUUGUCGACUUCUAUACCUUUGCUAGAAAUUAUAUGACCAAGAACAAUACCUUGUUUUACCAUGAAGUGACACUUUUCCCAAUUUAGAACCAAGUUCUUUUCUUUACAUCUCUGCAAAACUAAUGUUAGAUGCUGCAAACAUUCAUCAAAAGAAUCUCCAUAAACAGAAAAAUCAUCCAUGAAUACUUCAAGAAAUCUCUCAACCAUAUCAGAAAAAAUACUAAGCAUGCAUCUUUGAAAAGUAGCAGGUGCAUUGCAUAAACCAAAUGGCAUUCUCCUAUAUGCAAAAGUUCCAAAUGGACAAGUAAAAGUAGUUUUCUCCUGGUCCUCUGGAGCUAUAGGGAUCUGAUUAUAACCUGAAUAUCCAUCUAGAAAACAAUAAAAAUCAUGACCUGCAAGUCUAUCAAGCAUUUGAUCAAUAAAUGGAAGAGGAAAAUGAUCUUUUCUUGUGAAUGAAUUUAAUUUUCUAUAAUCAAUGCAAACACGCCAACCUGUAGUUACUCUAGUGGGAAUUAAUUCAUUAUUAGCAUUAGUAACUACUGUAACACCAGAUUUCUUAGGAACAACUUGCACAGGGCUAACCCAAGAGCUAUCUGAAAUAGGAUAAAUAAUUCCUGCAUCUAAUAAUUUGAUUACUUCAGCUCUUACCACUUCUUUCAUGUUAGGAUUUAGCCUACGUUGCAUUUCCCUAAUAGGUUUAGCAUUUUCUUCAAGAUGAAUACGAUGCAUGCAAUCUACUGGAUUAAUACCUUUAAUAUCAGCGAUGGUCCAUCCUAUUGCCUCCUUAUGCUCUUUUAGAAUAUCUAACAAUUUACCUUUUUGCUCAAGAUCGAGGGAAGAAGAAAUAAUAACAGGUAGAGUGUCAGAUUCUCCCAAGAAUGCAUAUUCCAGAGUGUCAGGCAGUGCUUUGAGUUCCAAUUUUGGUGGUGCCUCCGCAGAUGGGCCAAUUUUCUUCUCAGAAUGAGGCAGUAGUUCUGACUUUGUCUUCCAUUUAAUUGUGUCCGUAAUUAGAGGUGCAUCAAGUAAAGCGUUGAUUUCUGCAAUUGCACUGUCAUCAUUAAAAGAUAAAUCAGAAUGAGUUAGACAUGCCUCUAAUGGAUCAUCAUUAUGGUUAGAAAUGAAUGAAUCUUCUACUAAUUCCUCUAUCAUAUUCGCUUCAACAAAUUCAUCUUCUUCUUGUGGCUGCUUGGUAACAUUAAAAAUAUUCAAUUCCAUGGUCAUAUUACCAAAAGAUAACUUCAUGUUUCCAUUCCUGCAAUUAAUAAGAGCAUCAGCUGUAGCUAAGAAAAGGACGACCUAGAAUAACUGGGGUGUGUUUCUUAGGAUCAUGUACAUGCUGAAUAUCAAUAACAAUAAAAUCAACAGGAUAAUAAAAUUUAUCAAUCUGUAUCAACACAUCCUCUAUAAUACCACGAGGUAUUUUCAUUGAUCUAUCAGCAAGUUGCAAAAUAAUAGGAGUUGAUUUUAACUCACCUAAUCCAAGUUGCAUGUAAACAGAAUAAGGCAAGAGAUUAACACUAGCACCCAAAUCCAAUAAUGCUUUAUCAAAACAUUGGUUUCCUAUAACACAUGAGAUAGUAGGAGAACCUGGAUCCUUAAAUUUUGGUGGCAUUUUACAUUGGAGUAAGUUGCUAGUUUGUUCAGUUAAAAAUGCCUUUUUAGUGACAUGUAAAUUUCUCUUUUUCGUGCAUAAAUCUUUUAAAAACUUUGCAUAUGAAGGAACUUGCUUAAUAGCAUCGAGUAAAGGGAUGUUUAUACUUACCUGUUUGAAUAUUUCCAUAAUCUCACCUGUUGAAGUCCCUUUCUUUACCUUUGUUAACCUUUGAGGAAAAGGAGCCUUGCGAAUGUAAGCUGGCGGGCCACUCUCUUCUGGAUCAUUUGUUGAUGAGUCUUGUGAUGGAACUGGAUCUGAAGAAGUAGGCUCAGAUGUCUUCCUUGUUUGAACCUCUACUUUGUUGUCAAAUAAUUUUCCUCUUCUCAAGGUCAUAAUAGAUUUUGCUUCUUCAUGCUGAUGGCUCGAACUCGAUCCAACUUCAUGCACUCCUUUAGGAUUGGGAAUUGAUUGACUUGGGAAUUUUCCUUUUUCUCUCUCAGCUACAGUAGUUGCUAAUUGACCCAAUUGAUGUUCAAGUUUUAGAAUAGCUUGAGUGUUUGACUGAAAAGCUUGUUGGGUUGACUGAAUGAAACUUUGAAGUGUAUCCUCUAAAGAAGGCUUUCUUUGUUGGGGUGCAACAAAUUGAGACAUAGGUUGUUGGGCAUGAGGAUGUACUUGGUUAGGAGGGACAAAUUGUUGAUUGGGCAUGUUAAAUUGUUGCCCUCCUUGGUUUGACAAAGGUUGAUUUUGUUUCCAAGAAAAAUUAGGGUGAUUCCUCCAAUUAGGAUUAUAUGUGGAUGAAUAUGGACUAUUGGAGGUUUUCUCAUAUGAUUGUAAGGCAUGUACCUGCUCAGAAUAAGCAUCUGGAUAGACUGGUAAUGAUGGACAAUUUUGUGCUGUAUGAGACAAGUUAGAACAAAUAGCACAAACCUCAUUAGCUACACUAGGAUGAUGAUUUAUGGAUUGGUUCAUAACUAAGGCAUCUACUUUCCUAGAAAGUGUAGCUAGAGUGGAUUUCAUAUCUAAAUCAUCCUUAACUUCAUAUAGCCCCUUUCUAGAAACUUGAGAUGAUUUUUCCCUUUGAUUUGAAAAAUCCCACUGUUGAGAAUUUUCAGAAAGUGAAUUAACGAAAUCCCAUGCUGCCCCUUCAUGUAAGUUCAAAAAUCUCCCACCAUUCAUAGAUUCCACCAUAUGACGAUUCGACAUGGUUAAACCGUUAUAAAAGCAUUGUAUAAGUCUCCAUUUCUCAAAACCAUGAUGGGGACACUUAAGGAGUAAAUCAUUAAAUCUUUCCCAACACUCAUAAAAUUGCUCACCAUCUCUUUGAUAAAAAUCACUUAUCUCUCUCCUAAGGGCAUUUGUUUUAGACAUAGGGAAAAACUUGGUGAGAAACUUAUUACUCAAUUCAUCCCACGUAGUAAUAGACCCAGCAGGAAGUGAAUUCAACCAAGCUUUUGCUUUGUCUUUUAAUGAGAAAGGGAACAUACGAAGCCUAAUUGACUCAUCAUUAAAAUUUUGAAAACGAAAUGUAGAGCAUAUGUCAAGAAAUUCCUUAAUGUGCAAAUAUGGAUCCUCUCUCUCUAACCCAUGGAAGGAUGGCAAAAGUUGAAUGACAGAGGGCUUAAGUUCAAAGUGUGUUGCUGUAGUUUGUGGCAACACAAUACAAGAUGGUUGGUUGGCUGCAAGUGGUGAAAAAUAUUCUCUAAGGGUUUUCUCUGCUUGCACUGGUGGGAGUAUUGGCAAUAGUCUAUUUGGGUCAUCCAUCACUUCUAAAGAACUAGUUUGACUACUAUCAAUUUUUGACUCUCUUUUAACCAAACGAUUUGUUGAAUCACGUUCCCAAACACUCAUAAACUAACUAGACAAGGAAAGAAAGAGAAAUAAAAUAAAAUAAACCAACAAAAAUGAGAAUAAACGAAAUUUAAAAAUAAAAGAAAUCAAACAACCAAACAAUGAAUUUAAAAUAAAAUAAAAUUAAAAUUAAAAUUAAAAGUUUUUUUUUGUGUUUUUUUUUAAAAAUAAAAAUUGAAUAAAUAAAAUAAAAGACAACCUAAAUUAUAACUAGUGGAAGAAUCAAAUUAACCUAGAUUAAACUGACUUUCUAGCACAAUCCCCGGCAACGGCGCCAAAAACUUGAUGUGAAAAUUUUAAUAUACUCGCAAGCGCACGAAUCUAGAAAUAGAGUAGUGGUAACGAGGUCGAUCCCACAGGGAUUGAUAAAAAGUCUAAUUUAAAUCUAAAAUUAAUAUUACUCCUAACCUAGUUGAGCAAAUUGAGUUUUUAAGAAAAUUAAACCAAUUAAACUAAGGAAGCAAUUAAAAUAAAAGAGAAUUCAAUAAGAUAGAAAUUACCAAGGUUUCAGAAUCCACCACUAUUCAACUAGUAAUUAUCUAAUUAUUAAUUAAUCCCCAAUUUUAGAGUGACAACUCGAAAUCAAUCUAUGUCAUCUCAUAGAUAUAACAAUUAAGCCCAAGUAAUUAAAUCUAAUGUAGGUUCUUUUUCUGCUUAAUAAUAUGACAUCUAAGCAUCCCAUGUAAACAUAUUGAAUAACAAAGAGUCAAAGUUUUCCUAAGCACUCUAUGUAAACAAUUUAAUGAAAGACAUAAAAUCAAAGAUAAUCAUGUAUAAACUUUAUAGAUCCAAGCAUAGAAUUAAUCGAAUAUUAAUCCUAACAAUCAAUAAUGCAUGACAGAAUUGAUGAAAAGAUUUUAAUAACAUCCAAUUAAUCAUGUGAAAUAAAAACCAUAAUUAUCAAAGAACAUAUAUAGGGAAUUAAUUAAAUAAAAAGAGAUAAUUAUUUCAUUGAAUAGGGUUUCAUCCUUAACCUCAGUAUAAGAGAAUUAGUUAGACAUACUUGAAUUGGGAACAACAAAAAAAAUAAAAUCACCCAUGGAAACCGAACUGCUGCUGCCCAACCUUGCGUCUUGCGUCUGCCGAAUUCUCCUUCUCCUUUCGUUUCUGUCCAGCAGCUCCCUUUUAUAUUGCUUGGCCACGGAAUCCUAUUGUGAUUCUAAUAACUAAACCAACUCUUACAAGCUAAAGCUCUAAGCUUGCCACGUAAUUGAAAACAAUAAAAGCCAAAAGCUAUUGAUUUCCUUCCUUUAUUCUACUUUGACUUUCCAUUCAAAGGCUUAAUUAAAAGCUUUGUUUUUAUGUGCUGCCCACUUUAGCUUUAACUUUCAUCUUUGUUUGCACGAGCAUGGAGAAUUCAAUUUAUUGGAUUCGGCUUCUUCCACAUGCACGUAUGUCUAAUUGGUUCCAAAUCAAUUAAUCUUUAAUGCUUACAAAUUGAACUCCUUUAUGCUCUUUUUAUCCAUAAUCUCCAAUUAAUUCCCUAUUCAAUAAAAUAAUUCAAUUAAUUAAAAAUAACAAAUAAAAAUAACUAGCAAUUAAAUAAUUAAGGGUAAAAUAUGUAUAUAAAUUAUGCUCAUCAGUGAUCUUUUGACAAUUCUCCCACAUCCCACCAAAAACUCUCACGCGGCAUGAACUUUUGACAAUUCUCCCAUAUCCCACCAAAAAUUUGUCAUAUUGCGAAAGGCAAUGUCAAUUGCAAUGUCAUUUCCAUUAGUCAUUGUGGCAGACAAUGGAGGUCCCGAGAUAGGACUAGAAGUUUUUGAAACCCUGAACUUAUUCUUACUUUAUUUUUUCUUUUGAAAAUGAGAAAAGGACACUUGUUUGAGGAAAUAAUUUUGUAGAACCUCAUAUCGUGAAUAGGGGAUAAUAAGACUUUUUUUUUUUUACUUUACUGCAAUACUCUGUAAUUUUAUUAAUUUUAUAUUUUAUAAUAAAUAUAAAUGUGAUAUUAAAAUAAAUGUAAUAAUAUAUACAUAUUAAAAUAAUUUGAUAUUGAAAAACAUUUUAAUAUUUUACAAUCCCAUAUUAUAUUAAACCAAACUGUAAUAAAUAGACAUAAUAUUAAAAUAAAUAUAUAAAAGUUUAAAUUAUUUUGAAUAUCAUAUAAAAUAAUUUUAAUAUUAUUAAUAAAUUAGAAGUAUUGUUGAGGUUAUGGGGCCCCAACAAUUCUUCUUUGCGCUUGUGGGUGUAACAUCCUUCUGUGUAAUUCCAUUGAGGUGGCAGUAAGGUUACCUAGGGCGUAACUGCCCGGCCCAUUGGCACAAUUACAAAUGUGUGCAGCCCCUCAUGUCCAUCCACCGCUUAGUGUGGGGCUCUGCGCUUCCAUUGUAUAAGAAAAUAAAGUUGCACCUUGGCUAUCAGCUUAAGCUUUUAGCCCAAUGGUAAGCGCUUGAUCCUAACAAGUAUUACAUUAAUUGUAAAAUCUAUCUAAUCCAAGGAUUUAUUUAAAUUUUUUAUAAUAAAUUAAAAAUAUAUUAAUUAACAUUUUAAAAAUUAAUAAUGAAAUUAAUUAUAUAAGUUAUACAUAUUAGUCUACUAGAAAAAUUUAAACUAUUUCAAUCAGAUUUAUAUUUAGUGAAAAUUUUUGAAGUUAAUGUUUUUGGUUAUCAUCUACUAAGAAUCUUGUAGUUAAAAGGGGUAUUGACAUUCUUUAUUAAAAAAUUGAGGUCUACAUGACUAUUUUUUAAAUUUUAAGGGUGUCAUUUUAUUUUUGAUGAAAAUAAAAUUUCAUUUAAGUGGCUAAAAUGGUGAAUAAUACAAUGUUACAACUGGCAUAAAUGGAAGGUAGGAAACAAUCAAAAUGACCAAUAGUCUAACGCCACAGCAAGGACAUAAGGUCAAAAAUCCCCUUAUUAAUUAGUAAAAGAGAGUCCUUUGUGCUUAUAAAUAGUAAGGGCGGGCAAAAUCGGAUACAGAUCAAAUUCGGAUUAAUCUGAUAAAUUUCAGAUUGUUUGAAUUGAUAAAAAAAGUCAUCCAAAUGUAAUCUAAACUUUUGUAUGUGUAUAUAUACAUACUUGUUAUAAAUUAAAGUUGCAAAAGUCUUUAAGCAAGGCCAUUCAUAGUAAGUUUCAAAUUUUUAGGUUAAUUAUGUAACUUCAUUAUGCGGGCCAUGCAUAAAGCCCGUAGGUCUAGGCGGGACUGACCUGAGUUUUUUUACCAAUCCUACACAUGACGGGAGGUGUUAGGAAUAACAUCCCGCAUCAAUUGAGUAUUGAACUUGGGUUCAGUAUAUAAGAUUUGGACAACUCUAAACUCUUGAGCUAACUUACUAGUUUUUGGAUUGAGUUAAGCCUGUACGCUGCAAUAUUACAAAUUAGUCUUUCGUUACCAUUACUUAUUUUUUGUAUUGUUUAAAAUUAACACAAUAAAUGACCUUUCAUCCCAAAAGAACUAAAGUAAUCAUUUCGCAUUGUUACGGCCGUAUCUACACUCUUUCCUCUAUAUGUGUCUUCAAUAAAUAUAUGCGUUAAUGAUCUCUCAAUAUUUCGCAUCCGAUAUUGCCCACAUCGCUUACCACAAUAUAUUCACUUUACAAACAGAGUUUGCAACCCAAUUACUAAUAGAGGAAUAUAAAUAUGUACUUGUCAAUGAAGCAAUCACCUUUAUUUAGAAAUUUUUUAUUAUUAAUCCUACGUACACACACUUCUUUUGUCUCCAAAAAUAUUCUUAAUUAAUCCACACAAUUUAAUAUAAUAAAUACCUAAGAUUACAUAAAUUUUCAUUACAAUAGAAUAUAUAAUUUAUAAUAUUAUUGAUACAAUGAUGCCAAUAAUAAAAAUCUUAUAAACCUUACAAAUUUUAGAAAAUGGCUUAGAGUGUGAUAGGUUGAAUGAACCACAACAAAUCAUUUUCAUUAUAGUACCUAUGAUCAAUAUUCUAAUACAAAUUUUACAUUUCCCUAUAUUUUCUGUUUGGUGAUUGUCAAAUUUUAAGUCUAAAAUUUUUCUAAUUUUACCGUGAGGUUUAUGUUUUAAAGAGAGAGAGAGAGAGAGAGAGAGACUCAAAGAGAAAUAAAAAAUGUAAUUCUAAAAUUUUACUUGUGCAUUGUGUGAUUUUUACCAUUUUUGCAGUUGGCCAUUUGUAUUGAAUAAAUAAAAUAAUAAAUAGACUUAUGGACCACUUUUUUCUGUUAUAAUAAACAUCAGAGGUCCUUUCUUGAUGUUUUCAUUCCAUAUGAAUAUAUUAUAAUUUUAUUGAUACAGUAAUGUCAAUAAUAAAAAUCCUAACAAACAUACAAAUUUUAGAAUAUGGAUUAAAGUGUUACAAGUUGAGGGGAUCACAAGUUAUUUAUACUGUAAUGUCUAUGAUCAGUAUUUCAAUGAUAUCAAGGUUUCCCCUGCAAUUUUUGUUUGGUCAUCGCCAAAUUUUGUAUCUAAGAUUUUUCUAAUUUUACACGACAUUUAUUUAAAAAAAGAAAAAGAGAAAGAGAGACGCGGAGAGAAUUAAAAAUGUAAGUCUAAAUUUUCGCUUGUGUGUUAUGUGAAUUUUACCAUUUUUAAAGUUGGCCAUUUGUAUUGAAUAAAAAAGUAAUUGUUGAAUCUGGUUCGUUAGCUAUUCUUUGAUCAAGAACCAGAUCCUCCCAAGAUUCUCAGCCAAGAUUAAUCAGGAUGCAAUAUCAGCUUAGAUCAACUUCAGAGAAUCAACUAAACCCAAUAAGACUCGUAACAAAAAGGAUUAAUUACAAACUUAGAAACCAAAACCAGCAAGAAAACCAAUCACACAAAACAGAGCACAAGCUUUAACGUGGUUCAGCCAUUAAUGGCUUACAUCCACGAGUGAAUUCCUCAGACAGCUUUAUUGAAUGAUUCAAGAAGUUUGUUACAGAGAUUCUAAGAACAAGAACAAGUAAGACACUUCCUCUUUGAUUUCCCUCAAUCUCUAUCACGCACGAUUACCUCCAAACCAGAAGGCUGCAGCUUAUAUACCAGUCUUGUAACAGCUCUAACAACCCAGAUUGCACAGCUCCUUGACACGUGUACUAUGGGUCUGUUAUUUAACGAACUCAGCUUCAGCUAACUAUCACGUGAAGAACCCGUGACUCCACUUAAGUUGAGCAUAUCCAAAACGCACUCAUGUGUUGCCGUUUCGGAACCAGGAUUGGUUGUGCUUCUCACGUGAUCACUUAAAGCUUCUGAACACUACUGGAAACGCUGUCGUUUGCUGGCAAAGGUGUUUGAAUUCACCUUUCAGCCAACAGUAAUGAAUAGACUUAUGGACAACUUUUUUCUAUUAUAAUAAAACAUUUUCUUCCCCUGAUGUUUUUCAUUCCACAAGAAUGUGUUUGUCAUAAGGGGUCCAAAUGGGGUAAAUAAAUUGGGAUCAAGGACAAGUCUGUUUAAGUGUUGAAAUUGCAAGAAGACCUCAUUAAAAAAUUGCCUAAAGCCCCAUUAUUGUUAUUCAACUAUUACUUUCAUGUCACAUUAGUUUCCACACAGACACUUAUACAAAUAAUUUAUAACUCCAUCUUUAUUUGGGAAAAAACUGUAGCAAUUGUUGUUAUAUCACAGGAAAAUUUUCCAAUUAAAAAUAUAAUAAGAAUUAAUUACAAAUUUUUUAAUAAAUAUCAAUAUAAUUUAAUGGUUUAAUUUUUUUGGUAGAUCAAUAUAAUUUAAAAAAUUAAUAGCAGUAUUACUUUUUAAAAUGCAAAUUAUUAUAAUUAUAUUAAUAAUAUAUUUGUAUUUAUUAUAAAAUUUAUUUUAAUAAAAUCUUAAUUUUUUUUAAAUAUUUGUAUAUAUUGUUAUAUUUUGUUAUAAUAUUAUAUUUAUAUUUAUUAAAAUAUAAGAGUCAAUAUUUUUAAAUUAAUUAAGAUAAAAAGUAUUAUAAUAAAAAAAAAUUCUUUUAUUAAAAAUAUAAUCAUUCUCCCAAACUUAUCCUUGUCCCUUUUUGAAAGGAAAAAAUAAAUUAGAAAAGUCUAUGGUCAUGAUAACAUCUAGCCUUGUCCCGUGGGACAUGGCUACGGUGCAGAAGCUGCAAGUAACAGCUUCGAGCUUUCCCAUUUCCAUCACCUUGUAUUGGGACCUCUUUCUCUCUCCUCUAGCACCCGUGGAAGUUCCCCAUUGGCCGCUGUUACUUACAGAAGCCGUAACAUAGACUUCCCCCGUCCCGUGAUGUCCAUUGUCUGCCACUAUGAAUAAUGGCAAUGACAUUGCAAUUGAAACAUUGAAAAGGUAUUUUCGCAAUAUGACAAAGUUUUUGUUAGGAUAUGGGAGGAUGUCAAAAGUUCACACUACGUUCAUUAGCAUUAGAUCUAAUUUUAUUUCGUCAGUUCCUUAUAUAUUUAUUUCAUUUAUUUCAUGGGUCCCUCUAUGAUGCUGUAAUUAUUUUACAGCAUCAAUAGUGUAAGCAAUAUUAACCAUUAGAUUUUAUCAACAAUGUAUAUUAUAUUUAUUAAUAAAAAAAUAACAUAACCGGUUAACAGGGGUGAGCUGUUGGAUCGUGGAGUUGGUAGAAGUAUGCGAAAUUUCAAUGACGACCCCUACAGUUUUAAAAAUUCUCACAUGUUUCACUUGAAUAGCAUAUUCAGAAGAAUAACACAAAAUUUAAUAAAAUAUAUGAUUUCAAUGAAAUAUAUGAACAUGCAUAUGAAACCCACAUUCAUAGAAAUGUUUCAUUAGACUUUUAACGUUUAUCUUACCUAUGUAUCCUAAACCAUUCAUUAUCAACUUUUCGUAAUUUUAUUAAAUAGAAAUUUCAAGCAAAACAAGAAAGAGUGACAAUAUGUAAUUAAUUUGAAGAUUUAAUAUAAAACUCACAAUUGCUAAAAUAGUGCUUAAAUUAUAUCAUUAAUGUUAUAAGAUAAUUUGAUUAUCAUGUAACCAAACUAAUUUCAAAAUUUAUUUUGAAAGCAUGCAAAACUAAUUUCAAAAUCUAUUUUGAGAGCAUGCAAAUGGAUGUAGUCUCCACUAUGUGAUUUUUUUAUUCUAAUUUAUGGCCAUGGGAGAGAAUUGGAAGAUCCAUAUUUGUCCAAUAGUGAAAUAUAAAUAAUAGCCCGUCAAUUUCUCAUGUAGUAUAUUUCAUUGGCUUAUUAGCUUACAAAACUAUAUACAAGUGUUAAACAUUGGACUACUGCAUGAAAUGUCAUGUGAUAUAUUUCAUUUGACCUUAGAUUAAUUAAAUGCCUAUAAAUGGUUUACAACAUUAAUCUAAAAAUUAAUUUUCACUGAUAUUUAUAUGUGACAUAUCAAUUCAUAAUAUAUCAGGGUAAUUACGAUUUUAAUUUCCCUUCUAUUAAUAAAUAGGGGUAGAAAGAAGUACUCAAUAUGUGUGUGUGUGUGUGUGGGGGUAUCAAUUCAUGUCUUAAUGAAUACAAGAAAAAUCACAUCUACUAAUUUAACAUAUGCCUUUCUAUAAUAGUGUUUGUAAAAUAUAUUUUAUUUGCUAUACUUUGGAAGACGUGUAGUAUAUUAUUUUAUAAUUCGUUUUGUAAUUUACAGAAAACGUGUUUAACAUGUUUUAACUUUUAUUACUAUCAAAUAGAUUCUGUUUAAUACAUUUUAUAAUUUGAUUUAAGGUUUAGGCUCACCAAACAUACAUUACACCUAUACUAUUAAAAUGAAAAUGAAAAUCGGGGCUACAAAAUGAUACUGAACAUACCCUAAGUUACUUGGAGUGUUAGUUUAGAAAUAAGUAUCACUGUAGGCUUAAAUUUAUGGAACAACUUUUCAGGACUGUUGGUCUUCCUCCAUUAGCUUAAUUUAGGUCUGUAUUUUCAUUUUUUUUUAAAUGGCGCAAGAUGAUGAUGAUGAUGAAAUUGUGCUAUUUGUAAUGAUGCUCCUUCGUAUUCAAUAAGAAUCAUAUGCAUAUUCAAUAGUGAAAAUAUGAUAACUCUAUCGUAAUUUGAUCAUAUUACAAUACAAUUGAUUACUAAAAAAUGUCUUUAUAUUUUUUUAUUACAUUUUACAUUAAAGUUGUAGCACAUUAUAAAUGCAAAGCUUAAUGUUUAAUAACAUAACACUUCAACAAAAUCAACAUCUUAAGUAUGAUGUAUGAUAUAGAAUAUUGAAAUAGUUAUACCUAACACUCACAACAAUUUAUAAAAAUUUAUAGUGUUUUAUUUACAAUAUCUUUUCUAAUUAUAUAUGUAUUAAUAUCUAUCUUAAAGUCAAUUUUUGGAUUAGUAGAUUUUAAUAAAUCCAUUGGUAUAGAUUAAUAAUAACUUAAUAUUAAAAAAAUUAAUUAUACAUGUUAUUUUAUUAAUUACACUUAUUUUAAUAUUUUAUUUGUAUCAUAUGAUAUUUAUUAUUAUUUUUAUCCUAUUACUAUAUGUAUAUUUAUUUAGGUUGUGUAAAUCAAAACGUAUAAUAGUCAUUUAUGAAAAUUAAGGGGUCUGUAUUACCAUUUAUGAAACUAAGUGGAUCUAUAUGACUAUUUGAGCAAACCUUGGGAUGUGUGUGGCUUUUUCUCAAAUUAAUAUUAAUUUAAAAUUAAAAAAAUAUUUACCAACAACUUGUAGACUACGUGCUACAUUUUCAUUAAUGAUUUAAUUAUCCAUUAUAUUAAAUGGAUGAUUGAGAUUAAAAUACUUAAAACUAAUAGUCCACAUUAAUCCCAGUAUCAAUAUUGUAAAAAUACAUACAGUAUCAUAAAGAAAUCCUUAUUUCAUACAUAACUGUUUUUUUUCUUUGGUUUUUCUUUUUCCAAAACAUAAAUAGACCAAGCACAUCUCCAAAUCGGGUUGGAGCGGAGAUUCUAACCCUACGAUGGCCAUAUUAAAAUUUAAAUUUUUUUAAUUUAUUUUUUUCUUUUAUAGCUACAUCUCAAUAUUUGAAAAAAUGAUUAUACAGAUCUAUAUAUUUUUAAUAAGAGAUAUUAAGAUGCUCUUUUUUUACUAUAACACCUACUAGUUCUAUUAACUCAAAAAAUUACCAACAAAGUGUUGGCUCCACUGGCAAUGGAGUCCCCUUAAGUGGCUUGACUGGGUUUGCUCUCCAGUUCGAGUCGCAGGGAAGUCGCCUUUGUUGGGAGAACAUGUGUCUCCCGGUUUGAGCGGGGACUUCUAGUCUGGGUUGUGGUACGGGCUUAAAGGUGCUUCCCACAGUUGGGGCCCUCCCCAGGAUACCUCGUGGAUAAGACCAAAAAAAAAAACUCAAAAAAUUGACUUCAAUAUUAAUACAUAUAUUUUAAAAUUAUUUUAAUAUUUUUAAAAAAUAUGAAAAAAAAUUUAAUACUUUACAAACUUAUACUAUAUUAAACUAAAUUUUAUAAUAAAUAGAAACUUAAUAUGAAAAUAAACGUCUAAAAAUUUAAAUUAUUUUCAAUAGCAUAUAGAAUAAUUAUAAUAUUAUUAAUACCUAAGAUAUAUUAUAUUAAUUAUAAAUUCUAUUUAACACAAAUAUUUAACUAAAACUGUUAAUUGCAAUUUCUUUUGAAAACAAUAGAUCAAAUCAUUAAAGUGCAUGUGAUGAUGAUUUGCUGUUUAAUUAUUUCUUUAGAAUAUAUCCAAACGUAAGGUUGUGAACUAGUGCUUUCUUCAACUUAAUUGGGUCCAACAAUACACCGCAGCUUCCUCUUUUGGUCAUUCCAAGUUUAAUUCUUAUGAAAGAAGUUACUACUGAUUUAAGUGCAUGUGAAUGAAAAAAAACAAAUACAUAUAAUUAUUCUAUACAUGCGUCAACAAGGCAACAGUAACCAAAUAAAUGAUAUGAAAGGGGGUGCAUGAUUAAGUCCUUUUCUUAUUCAAUUCAUUGUUAUUAUCCUCAUCAACUCUUUUCUCACUUAUUUUUCAGCAGUUACUGUUCAUAGCAUUGUUAUUAUUCUCAUCACUCAUUAAAAUUAUUCUUAAAUAUUCAAGGCCGAAAAGAGAAGCUCAUCAACUGUCUGAUCCCGGAUAAUUAAAGAGGUGAACUUGUUCUAAAUCCUUUGAUAAUUUCUAUUAAUAGCAUAAUCUCCUUGAUCCAAGAAAAAACAUCUCCUGUUUGUCUUAAUCUUGUCAUUUAAUUUUCUUGAUUUAGGUUACUGUUCAUUGUUAACUUCUGUGUUCUUUAGCAUUUGUUAAUUUGCAUCCCUCCUCUAAAAGUCUCUAAAAAAGAAUGUUGCUUUUCAUUCAUACCCUUGAAACCUUUCAGUUAAUAGCCAAAACUCUAAUCUUUCUUUCUCUUCCUCUCAAAAAUGUGCCAAAAAAUGUGCCAAAAAAGUGAAUCCAAUUUUUUCAACAGCAAAUAUAUAUGUACACACACACACAUAUUGUUAAAAAGUGCAGAAAAGCCACUCAAAAACGUGGAGAAAAAUCACUCAAAUUUAUACAAGCGUCAACAGGGAAACAGUAACCAAAUACGUGAUACAAAAAGGGGUGAAUGAUUCUGUCUUUUCCUUUUGCAAGUCGCUGUUAUUACUCUCAUCAACUCCUUUCUCACGCAUUUCUCAGCAGUUACCAGUAAUAUUUAAAAUCGCUGUGUAGGUAUGCAAAAGUUCGGUAAGUGCACUAAUAAUUAUUUGCCAGAAAAAAAGUAGUUGCGUCAAUGAUAUAUUAAUCUUUAGUUGAAUUGACAUCCAGGAACCCAAUUGAGUUGCUUAAUGAUUAAUUAAUUAAUCAAUUUAUAAUAUAUUAAUCUUUUUAGUUGAAUACUUAAAAUCUUAGACCCUAAACAAUAAAUUAUUUGAGCCAUAUAAAAGAGAAAUUAUCAUUCAAUUUUUUUUUAUUUGUAGCUUAUAAAAGAGAAAUUAUCAGUCAUUUACUCAAAGUUUAUUCAAUUAUUAAAAUUAUUAUAAAAAUUUAAAUUUAUUUAAUUUUACACCCAAUGUAUGUAAUUUGUAUUAAAUAUCCGUUAAAAACAUAAAGUUAUUCUUUCAAAGUCACAAAAUAGGAGCGAACACAAAAUUGUAGUGGUGAUUAUGUUUUGGGAGUAACUUUAUCUUUUUAGUAAACAGUUGAUACACAUUGUAAUAAUGGGUAUAAAAUUAAAUAUAUUUAAAUUUUUAUAACUUUUUGGAAAAUAAGAUAAUUCUUAGGUGGAUAAUUAAAAAUUUUUCUUUUCAAAAUAUUUUGAAAACAAUACCAAAUGUACCAUAUCAUUGUUUAUUUACACUAUAUAUAUAUAUAUAUUAACUCAUUCUUAUCCACAAUCUGUCAAUGAAAUAAUUAUUGACACUCAUAUUUGAAAACUUUCGAAAAGAUAAAAUCCAAUAUGAAAGGUGAAACGUUAUAAUCAUAGUAACUAGAAAAUGGAUUGAUUUACAAAUAUCAAUUUAAACAAUUUUCAAGUUGAUCGACAAUUUAAGUAGAUUGACAAAGAUUGAAGUAAUUACUGUUGGUGAUUGAUUGACUUUGUCCUUAUCCUCGCCGCCUUCUUAUCAAAAGUCGAGUGUCAAUUGGGCCAGGGCUUCUGAUUGCAACUAAUAGACUUCAUAUACGCAUAAUGGUCCCUACGUACAUACGUACCAAUAUUUGAUUGAAAAAGGGAUGCGUGCUUAAUGCUCAAGUCGUCUUCUUUUGGAAAUUCAUUGUUAUUACUCUCAUCAACUCGUUACUCGCAUUCCUCUUUAGUCAACAGAGAUCCUUUUGCUCAAUAAAAUUUUUCUUCUAUAUUCAAGGUGAAUACAGCAGCUCAUCAACUCUGAUCCCAGACAGGUAAAGAGGUGCACUUGUUCUAAGACCUUUAAUAUUCUUUUAGUAGCAGAAUCUCUGAUACUUGAUCUUCAUAGCGGUUCUUUCUUAAUUUGCAUCAACUUUCCUAGGAAAAAAUUCUCUGGUUUUUCUUAAGUCAUAUAAUUUAUUUUUCUUAAGUCAUAUCAUUUAUUUUUAGCAGCAGAAUACUUGAUCUUGAUAACGGUUCUUUCUUAAUUUCCAUCAACUUUCCUUGAAGGAUACCUUUUUGUUAAUAGCGAAACCUCUGAUCCUUAAGAUGGAAAAAGAAAUUCUCUAUUUAGAUAUCAGUUGGUUCAAGAUCAAUAUCGCGAUGUUGUUUGCAGUCUUUUCUUUCUCUGUCUUUCCCUUUAGUUCAUUUUAAUUUAUUUGUAUUCCUUUCUUUGACAUAUUAUUAGAUUUGUUAAGUAGCAGGCAAUGGCAGAAGUGGGUCUGGCUGCUUUUUCCAGCGUUGUAUCAGAAGGUGCAAAGUCACUGUUCAAACCGAUUAUACGGCAGAUAUCUUAUGUGUUCAAGUACCAGAGCUACAUAGAUGGCCUAAAAGAUCAAGUGAAGCAGCUGGGAUAUAGAAGAGAAACGGUGCAACAACCUGUUAAUCAUGCUAGACUACAAGGGGAUGAGAUUUAUGAGGGUGUCACAGACUGGCUAAAUCAAGUUGAUGAAUUCAGUGAAGGGGUUGCAAAAUCCAUCAUUGAUGAUGAAGAUAGAGCUAAGAAGUCCUGCUUCAGAGGAUUGUGCCCAAACUUGAUUUCUCGUUACAAGCUUAGUAAACAAGCAGCAAAGGCCGCAGAAGCUGCCGCUAGUCUCGUGGGAAAAGGAAACUUCUCUAAUGUUUCCUACCGUCCUGCUCCAGAGAGUACAGAACAAAUGGAAGUGAAAGAUUACGAGGCCUUUGAUUCAAGAAUGAAAGUAUUUCAAGAUGUUGUGGAGGCGUUGAAGGAUGAUAAGCUCAACAUAAUUGGGGUCUACGGCAUGGGCGGCGUGGGUAAAACCACGCUAGUCAAGCAAGUUGCAAGGCAAGUGAUGGAAGAAAAGUUGUUCGAUAAGGUCGUUAUGGCUGAGGUAACACAGACCCCAGAUCAUCAGGAAAUUCAAAAGAAACUUGCUUCUGAUUUAGGCAUAAAGUUUGAGUUGAAUGAGAGUAUAUUCGACCGAGCGGAUCGAUUGCGUGAAAGAUUGAAGAAAGAGAAGCGGGUCCUCAUUAUAUUGGAUAAUAUUUGGAAAAAACUCGAGUUCGAAAAAGUUGGAAUUCCUUCCAGGGAUGUUGAUGAUAAAGAUAAAAAGGAUGAUCAGAGACGAUGCACAAUAACAUUGACGUCUAGAAGUCGAGAUUUAUUGUGCAUUGAUAUGAAUUCUCAGAAAAAUUUCUCGAUCGAUGCUUUGCCACGAAAAGAAGCAUUGCAGUUAUUUGAGGAGAUAGUGGGUGAUUCAACUAAAAUAUCUGCUUUUCAAAGUAUAGCAAAUGAGAUCGUUGAAAGAUGCGGAGGUUUGCCUGUUGCACUGAGUACAGUUGCAAAUGCUCUGAAAACUAAGGAGCGUGACUUUUGGAAAGAUGCAUUGAAUCAGCUAAGAAGAUCGGAUGCAAGAGAAAUUCAUGGCAUGCAAGCAAAUGUGUACACCUCCAUAAAAUUGAGUUAUGACUUCUUGGAAAGUGAGGAGGCAAAAUCUCUGUUCCGUCUUUGUGGUCUAUACAGUGAAGGUAAUGUCAUACAAGUUUCUGACUUAUUGAGAUAUGGUGUGGGUUGGGAUUUGUUUGAAAAUGUUUACACAUUGGAAGAAGCAAGGAGUAGGGUGCAUCGGUUGAUCGACAAUCUCAAAUCUUCAUGCUUAUUGUUGGACGGAGAUGCUGAAGAUGAAGUUAAAAUGCAUGACGUCAUUCAUGUUGUUGCCGUAUCAAUUGCCGCAGAGAAGCGCAUGUUUAAUAUUCCAAAUGUUGCCGACUUGGAGAAAAAGAUGGAAGAGACAAUACGGAAAGAUCCAAUUGCCAUUUCUUUACCUUAUAGAGGUGAUCAAGUGCUUCCCCAAAGAAUGCGAUGUCCCCGUCUUGGGCUAUUUUUGUUGCAUAGGAAGGGUCUUUGCUCUAUGCAAGUUUCAGACCACAUUUUUGAAGGGACGGAAGGACUCAAAGUUUUGGAUCUUGCCAGAAUUCACUUCUCUUCAUUACCUUCAUCACUUGGGUGCCUCAUUAACCUUCAAACAUUGUGUUUAGACUAUUGCCGACUAAAAGAUAUAGCAAUAGUUGGACAGCUAAAGAAAUUAGAGAUUCUCAGCCUUGUAUAUUCCGAUAUCAAGCAGUUACCACUCGAAAUUGGACGAUUGACGCGGUUACAGUUGCUAGAUUUGAGCAAUUGUCGGAGCCUUGAGUUGAUACCACCAAAUGUCAUAUCAAAAUUAUCUCGAUUAGAAGAACUGUUUAUGCAUAACAGCUUUUCACAGUGGGAUAAGGUUGAAGGAGGAAGUAAUGCCAGUCUUGUCGAGUUGAAAGCGUUGACAAAGCUAACUACUUUGGAGAUAGAAGUUCCGGAUGCCGAAAUUCUGCCGCCGGAUUUUGUCUCCGUGGAAUUGGAAAGAUAUAAGAUAUUUAUAGGAAAAAUGUCUGUCCGACGGCUCGUCGAAUCUAAAACAUCAACAUUGAUGGUGCUCAAGGGGCCAGAAAGAGUUAGCCUUCUUUUGGGGAAUGAUGGGACGAAAAUGUUGCUGAAGAGAACUGAAGAUCUCCGUCUAUACUCACAGAAGGGUGUUCAGAAUAUUGUUCAUGAAUUAGACAAUGGGGAAGGUUUUCCACGAUUGCAGCAUCUUCUAGUAACAGACUGUUCUGAGAUUUUACAUAUUGUCGGUUCAGUUGGACGGGUUCGUUGCAAAGUCUUUCCCUUGCUGGAGUCAUUGGAUCUUAUUGAUUUAACUAAUUUGGAGACGAUAUGCUGCAGCCAACUCAGAGAAGAUCAAUCUUUCAGCAACUUAAGGAUUAUAAACGUAGAUUCCUGUCCAAAAUUGAAGUAUCUCUUCUCAUUCUCUAUGGCUAAAAACCUAUUGGGGCUUCAAAAAGUAAAAGUGAGAAAUUGCGAUGAAUUGGAAAUGAUGAUUGGUAAGUGUUUAAAUUAAUUAUUGGUAGGAUUAUUGACAUUGACUCAUUCUUUUUUUCUUUUUCUUUUUUUUUUGGGUGAAAAAACAACGGAUGUUUAUUAUAUAUUGUUUUUGUUCAUUUAUAGGGCCCGACAUGGAGAAACCAACAACUACUGAGGGACUCACAGAAAUCAUUGCAGAGGAUGAUCCUAUUCACAAGGUGAUAAUUUUCUGUUUAAUAAUUAAUUAAUUAAUAUUUUAUCGCGAUUGAUCUUCAAUCAUCAAAAGAAUAUUAUAUUAGAAGUUGUAGUUGAAGGAACAAAAAUGUACGGUUUUGCUGUGCAGGUUACUUUUCUACGCUUAGAGGAACUGAAACUUGACGGUUUAAAAAACAUCAAAAAAUUAUGGCCCGAUCAAUUUCAGGGAAUGUAUUGUUGUCAAAAUUUAACAAAAGUGACCGUGGAAAGGUGUUAUCGUCUGAAGUAUAUGUUUUCAUAUUCUAUGGUUAAUAGUCUUUUGCAACUCCAACAUCUUGAGAUUAUUAAUUGUUGGUCAAUGGAAGGGGUAGUCAACAACACCGCGGGGGGGUUAGGAGGAAGAGAUGAAUUAAAGGUUUUUCCUAAACUACACUCCCUGCGGCUCCAUUGCCUUCCAAAACUAUGUAGCUUCACCUCACCAGAAGACGUCAUUCACACUGAAAUGCAACCUCAAUCUUUCUUUAAUGAAAAGGUUUUUUUUUUUUUUUUUAAAUUAAUUUUAUUUUCAAUAGUUAAUUUCUUCUUUCGUUGAGUCUUCAAAUUUAAUUAAUAUCCAUCUCUAAUUGCAUUGAAUUUUUAACUUCAGGUACGACUCCCAAGUCUGGAGGUAUUACAUAUUAGUGAGGCGGAUAAGUUGAGAAAAAUAUGGCACCACCAGCUUGCUUCGAAGUCUUUUAGCAAAUUGAAAAAAUUGGAGAUAUCUUGGUGUAAUAAUCUAUUGAAUAUUUUUUCUCCAUUGGUAAGAUUGCUAUAUUCAUUUUGAAUUUUUAUUUCAAAUAACAUUCAACAAUUAUUUUAAUCAUUUUUGUGUUUACAAAUAAUUUUCAUUCACAAAUUAUUUAUUGCAAGUAUUGUACUUCAAACUUCUGGAGGGAAAAAAAGUAGUGUACUUCAAAUCACCAUUCUGAACUCUGCAUUUUCAAUCUAAUUUAUAGGUUCACCUGCAUUAAAGUCAACAAUAUAAUUGUUUUAAACACGAUUUAACAGCAUAAUAUAAUUCAAUUUAAUUUUUUUUUCUUAAAUCGUAAUAAAUAAGAUUUUCAGAAAUUAAAAGAUACUUAGUUACUCAGCUUUUAAGUUCACAAAUUCAUAUAUAUUUCUCUUGUCCUUGGGUCUUUAGAUUUCGAUUUUAAAAAAAAUAAAGAAAAGUGUUCAAAUGUAGUUAGUAUCUCUAGUUUAGUUAUGAAUUGAUUACGCCAUUGAUUAAGCACAAAUUCAUGAUGGUCAUUUUGAAUCGACCGUUGAUUAAAAAAAUUCCUCAAAUAUUCACUCUAUAACAAUCCCAUGUUGAUGGCGUUGGGAAGUGUUUUCCAGAAAUGUUUUCCAUUUUUAAAAGCAUGAAUAUCGGGAAAAAAAAAAAAAAAGAGAAAUACAACGUUUUAGUUUAGUUAUUUUAAAAAUAGGCAUGUUUGAAAAUUAAAAAUUUUUAAAAACUAGCAUCAAGAUGAAAAAUGAAUUUAUAAUAUUUAAAAAUUACCUGAAAUUCUUUCUCCGUUCCUAAUACUAAAUAGUGUAAAUGCAUUUUCAUUAUCUUUGUUUUUCUGGACUUCUAUUUAUUUAUUUAUUUUUGUUUUAAUUUUUUCCUUUUUUUCUUUAACAAAAAAUAUCUAGUAGACAUUCAUGAUUUGUUAUUUUUCAUAAAACAAUUGUAUGAUUUUGACAUACUUUGAAUCUAGUUGAAUGCUACUCUUUAUUUUAAGGUUGGAAUUCCUAGUAGCCUGGUGAAUCUUGAUGUAUCAUACUGUGAAAAAAUAGAAGAAAUCAUAGGACAUGUUGGAGAAGAAGCGAAGGAGAAUCGUAUUGCUUUCAACGAAUUAAAACUUUUGGUACUUGAUCAUUUACCAAGGCUUACCAGCUUUUGUUUGGAGGAUUACACUCUUGAAUUCCCAUCAUUGGAACGAGUUUCUAUGACAUGUUACCCGAACAUGAAGACUUUUUCUCAGGGAAUCGUAUCCACACCAAAGCUGCACGAAGUGCAGGUGAGUAAAAAGGAAGUAUUAAGUUUUAUAUGAAACUGUGAUGUUGUUUGGUUACUAAGAAAAUAGGAAGAAAGAAAACUUCUGUAAGCUGAGAAUUCUGUUAUUAUUGAUCUAAUGAAUCUGGAAAUUACAAGCCUUUUUAUAUGUGCAUAGAAGAUUCUACACACAUUGCACACACGCACAGUUUACUACUAACAACCUCUAUAACAACCUUUAGCUGACUCAGCUGCCAUGUCAGCAUACUCAUUAACUAACUAAUUCUAUUCUUAACAGGAAGAGGGUGAAUUGCGCCGUUGGGAAGGCAACCUUAAUUCCACUAUACAAAAGUGUUACGAAGAAAUGGUAUGUGUUAAAUCGAUUCGUCGAAAUUACUUAUGCAUCUCCCUUGCACUUGCACAUUUGAACAUAUAAGUUUAAUGUAUAUAUAUAUCUAAUGCCUUUCAAGAAAAAAAUUUAUAUAUAUCCAGUGCAAUUGUUUUGGUUUGUGCAGAUUGGAUUUCGUGACAUACAGGAUUUGCAACUCUCACAUUUUCCACGUUUGAAAGAAAUAUGGCAUGGCCAAGCACUGCCUGUCAGCUUCUUCAACAAUUUAGUACGACUGGUGGUGGAUGACUGCACGAAUAUGUCGAGUGCUAUUCCUGCCAAUCUGCUACGGUGCUUGAACAAUUUGGAAUACCUGGCAGUGACGAAUUGUGAUUCACUAGAAGAGGUGCUUCAUUUGGAAGAGCUAAAUGCUGACAAAGAACAUAUAGGUCCCCUGUUUCCUAGGCUUUACAGUCUAAGGCUCACUGAUCUUCCAAAACUCAAAAGAUUCUGCAACUUCAUUGGGAAUAUAAUUGAAAUGCCUGAGUUGGAGAAUCUAACUAUUGAGAAUUGCCCUGAUAUGGAAACAUUCAUAUCCAACUCUGUAGUGCACGUGACAAUAGAUAACAAGGAACCUCAAAAAUUAACAUCAGAAGAGAACUUCUUGCUGGCUCAUCAAGUACAACCUCUCUUCGAUGAAAAGGUGAUUAUUAUUAUUAUUAUUAUUAUUAUUCCCUUCACUUUCGUUCGCAUAGAUGUAAUUUCAUAAGAAUCAAGUCAAAUUUAAUGACUCAUCUUUUUGCAUGUCAUCUUAAUUUAUAUAUGAUUUAACAAUAUAACCGCAGUUAUUAACUAUCUUUAUAGUAUGAAUUAUAAAAAUGUCUGGAAUUAAUUGGAUUCCUGGCAACACGAGGUGCUGAACUAUAUUAAUUAUGUGUGUUAAUUCAUAUUGGAUUUAGGAUCAGAUUUCAUUUAUGUGUUUCAAAGGGUAAUCGAUUUGAUACUUAUAUUUGGGAUCCUACUGCAAAGCAUACUGAUUUGGAAAUAAAAUAUAAAAUGCCGUGAUUAAUCUUGUCCAUAAAAUAUGCAGGGGAAGACUGCAGAGAUUGGAUACAUAUUUUCAUUUCCAACUUAAUUUUGUUGAUUUUCAGGUUGCAUUCCCUCAAUUGAGAUGGUUAAACCUGUCUAGAUUACACAAAGUGCAGCAUCUCUGGAAGGAAAAUGACGAAUCCAACAAAGCGUUUGCAAACUUGGGAAGUCUAGAAAUAUCGGAAUGUAGUAAGUUGCAAAAAUUAGUACCACCUUCGUGGCAUUUGGAAAAUCUUGCGACUCUGGAAGUAUCGAAGUGUCACGGGUUGAUAAAUUUAUUGACGCUCUCAGCAUCUGAAAGUCUAGUGAAUCUUGAAAGAAUGAAGGUAGCUGAUUGCAAAAUGAUAGAAGAAAUCAUACAAUUGCAGGUUGGAGAAGAAGUGAAAGGCUCCAUUGUCUUCGAGAAAAUGAACUACUUGACACUUGAUUGUUUGCCAAGCCUAACAAGCUUUUGUUCGAGUAAUUACACUCUUCAAUUCCCAUUCUUGCAAAAAGUAGUUGUGAGACAGUGCCCAAAGAAGAAGAUUUUCUCUCAAGGAGUCGUAGACACACCAAAUCUAAACAAAGUGAAACUCACCGAAGAAAAAGAUGAUGAUGAUGAUGAAGAAGAUGAUGAUGAUGAAGGAUGUUGGGAAGGCAACCUCAAUGACACCAUAAAAAAAUUGUUCAAUGAAAUGGUGAGUAUCAAUUAAGUUUUGGUGCUAUUUAGCAAAUUAUUUUAUAGAAACUAGUGUGACAUAAUAUGAUUGGUUGACUGAAAAUAUAUAAUAAUAAUAGUAAAUAAAUAAAUUAUGAGGAGCAUGUAAUGUUUUUGUUUAACCAAUCAUAUUAUGUCGCAUUAGUUUAUACAAUAUUAUUUGUGCACAAGAGGUGGUGGUCAUAUCAUUACUCUAGUUUUAUUAUUCUUAUGGUGGCAAUGUAUGCUUGCUUACACGAGUAAUUACAAAAUCUGCAGAAUUCUAAAGAAGAGAUUGAGCCAAUCCUUCAGGUACAGUGAAGAAGCUAUCCCGAACCAGGCCAAUCUCUUAUACAUGAUUUAGCUUGCUCGUUCUUCUGUACUUGAAUAAUUUGGCUCUACAUAUUUACAAUUUUUUGCUCAUGCUACAGACUUGCAAGACACUUUGGAUUUUGUUUGAUGCAUUCUCCGUUUAAGAAAGGACUUGAAUUGAUGUUUCAUGUUUCAUGCAAUAUUCGAUUAGAUUCUGUCUAAAUUUCUGUAUUAUUCGUUCAAUUGGUCUUUUAAGCAUUUGAUUUCUAACCUCUCCUAAUAGAAUAUCAUUAGCCGAUGAAAACAGCAUAACAUUUGUGGUUGUGGCAUUAUCAGAAUAAGAAUAUUUUUUAGUAUAGUAAAAUUAUCUCGACCACUGUUAAAAAGAAUUAAACAGUCAAACUGACCUUCUCACACCAGCACGCUUUAAAUUAAAAGAAUUUCAUGAAGUCAAGACCAUGUUAUAGAUCUUGUGGAAAUAAGUGAACCCGUAAUUUUUUUCACACCAUCAUAAGAAAAAUCAUUUUUUUUAAGUAUUUUUGUUAGCUGUUGAGUUUUAAUAGUAGUAGCUAUUAAACAAUAACAAUUAGUGUAUAUUAAAAAGUUGGAAACUGGUUGAUACCACUCGGGAAUCGAGCAGUUCACUUGUUUGCGAGUAGAAACCAACUUUACUACUAAUUACACUCAUACCAAAAAUAGUGACGAAAGAAUCAGGGAAUUUCCUAUUCACUAUUCUUCAUUUUUUAAUGCAAAAUUCCCAUUCGAAAACACCAAUGACUUUCAUUCAAAGUAAAUGAGAAAUUACAAUGAAAAUAGAAUCAAAAUACAUAUAUGUAUACCUAAAACAAAUGAUUUUUUUAAUUAAAAAAAAAAUACAGUUGAGGUGAAAUGAAACCAGAGUCAUGAUAUCUCUGGUUCCAACUUUGGGACAACAGCAGACUUGAGUUCUAUAUGAGAAACACGUACAGCACCAAUCAGCCGCUCCAGUAAUUCAUCUGUAGUAUUUGCCUGCAUACAGAAGAGCAAGAUAAAGAAGACAAACACAGAAGCAUUAUAUCAUUCUGAGAACAUUCAAGUAUGCAAAAAUGCAAGUUGCAGUGCAAUAUCUCAAAAUCAUGUCUUUUCCCUUGUGUCCAUUUAGCAGUGGGGGAAAAAAACAAUCAUACAUACCUGUACAAGGAAAGCCAUGUCAACCACCAAUGUCGUAAUUACACCAAUUACAAGGCCCAAAACUCCAUUAGCAACAGUAGAAGAAUCGAUGUCAACAUCAAUCUACAGAAAGAUGAACAAUGUUAAACCAUGUUAAAGGUAUUGGACGCUAUUUGAAAGGGGAACAUCUCAUGUACUAUAGAAAUUCCAAGAGCAUUUACUUCUAAGUACUUGGGACCGCGAAUAUAGUUACAAUCAACUGCCUUCCCCAAUAAACAAGGGGUGCUUCCAACACUCUGGCGCACUAUCCAUGACCCCUGCAUGAUUCAGUGCUUAAAAUCAAGAACAAGUGCAAAACAAAUUCAAGAGGGUAAAAAGGACAUAGUUUGAAUCUGAAUCCAAAUCCAUUAAUCCAGAGUUCAUAGCUUGGAUGAAGACUGAUCAACUUCUGUUGAGUUGGAUGAUGUCGUCGAUACAGCAAAAUCUACUUGCUACUGUGAUUGACUCCACAACUUCAAAACAGCUUUGGGAGACUCUUACUAGUAUGUUUAUUUCUUAAUCACAAGCUAGAAUCCAAACACUUAGAAUGCAGAUUCAAACUAUUAAGAAAAGUGCAAUGCAUAUGUCUGAUUACUUUGCAAAAGUAAAACGUAUAGCUGAUACUUUAGCUCUAGCUGGAAAACCUGUUGAGUUAAGUGACCUUGUGAUGCAUGUAUUAACCGGUCUUGAUUCAUCAGAUUAUGAAUCUUUAGUCACAGCUAUUUUAGCUCGAGGUGAGAAGAUAACAUUAGAUGAACUAUAUCCUUUGCUGUUGAAUCAUGAAAAUAGAGUUGAGCAAAAGAAAGGAAAAAUUGCUGGUGAUGUGAUGCACAAUAUAACAGCAAAUAUUGCUCAGAAGAACUCAUGCUGGAAAGAAUAAUGGCAAUUUUCAAAAAAAUUAUGGAAAUAAUUCUGGAGGUGGAAAUAAUUCUAGGUAUGGAGGUUUUAAUGGAUAUGGAUAGGGUCAGUUUAAUAAUGGUGGUAAUUCCUUUGAAAUUGUUUGUCAAAUCUGCUUAAUACCUGGUCAUGCAGCCAAUAGAUGCAAAAAUAGGUACAAUUCAUCUUUUGUUCCACAAAGAAACUAUGGCAGAGGUAAUAUGAAUGGUGUCAGAGGUUUUAAUCAAGGGCAAUAUGGUAGAGGAAGAGCUUUUAAUGGUAAUGGUGGCAGAGGUUUUGGAGGUUUUGGUUUAAAUGCCGGUUUUGGCUAUGCACCCAGGGGUUUUGGCUAUCAAGGAAAUAUAGUGUAUCCAGAUAGGAAUCCUUCUGCUUAUUACUCAUUCACCCUUGGACCAUCUACUUUUGUUUCUGGUCAAGGAAAUAAUAAUCCUGGACAGUCAAGUGCUUCAUCUUCCUCAGCUAUGCCUUCUUCACUUCCACCAGAACACAUUGAAGAUCCUUCAUGGUAUAUUGAUAGUGGAGCAACAAAUCACAUUACAAAUUAUCUAGGUAAACUUCUGGAUUCACAAGUUUAUACUAGUACUGAAAAAUUGUUUGUUGGAGAUGGAAAUGCAUGAGCUAUUACACAUGCAGGAUCAGUUGUGCUAAAUACUUCAACUUCUAAACCUUUAAGAACCAUCUUCUGCAUGUCCCUUUUAUUACUAAGAAUUUGCUUAGCAUUUCAAAAUUAUUGGCUGACAAUCCAGUUAUUGUUGAAUUUCUUGGUGAUUUGUGUUUUAUAAAGGCUAGGAACACAGGGAAAAUUUUACUUGAAGGUGUUGCUAAAGGUGACUUGUAUAGAGUCUCUUCACAUGUUGCUGCUCAUUCAGUCUUUCUCAUUUCAGUUGGUCAAAAUAAAACUCACUCUCUUUGCUUGUUCUCCUGUUUUCAAUUCUGAUCAGCUCACUGCUGUUAGUUCUUAUGAAUUGAAUAAAAAGUCAUGUCUGUCAGUUGUUACAAAGAGUUCUAUUGAUGUAAAUCUUCUUCAUAGAAGAUUAAGACACCCAGCAUCUUAUACUCUCAAAACUAUACUCAAAACUUGUAACAACUCUACUGCUUAUAAUAAAAUUGAAAGCUUGAAAUUUUGUUCAGCAUGUCAAUAUGGGAAAAAUCAUAUGCUGCAUUUUGAUUCAGUUGAAACAAAAACUUCAGCACCCUUACAAGUGAUAUAUGCAGAUCUUUGGGGUCCUUCUCAUGUCUAUUCUACCCAAGGAUAUAAUUACUACUUAUCAAUCUUAGAUGAUUAUAGUAGAUUUACCUGGAUAUUUCCAUUGUCAGCCAAAUCUGAUGCUCUUGAAGUGUUUACCAAUUUCAAAAUUUUUAUUGAAAAGCAUCUUCAACUUCAAAUCAAAACUGUCCAAACUGACUGGGGAGGAGAGUUCAGAACACUUUCCUCAUUACUCACUGCUUCUGGUAUCCAUUUUAGACACCCUUGCCCACAUAUUCAUCAUCAAAAUGGAAGAAUUGAGAGGAAACAUAGACACAUAGUUGAUGUAGGUCUGACCUUAUUAGCUCAAGCACAUUCACCACUCAAAUUUUGGUGGAAUGCAUUCCACACAGCUGUCUAUUUGAUAAACAGACUUCCAACUCCAGUUCUAAACAACAUUUCUCCUUUCCAAAAGUUAUUUCAUCAUCAACUAGAUUAUUCAACACUUAAAACCUUCGGUUGUGCUUGUUAUCCAACACUCAGACCAUACAAUAGACAUAAGUUUGAUUUCAGAACUGCCAGAUGUAUAUUCAUUGGCUACAAUUCACAACACAAGGGAUAUCAGUGUCUUCACUCUUCUAAGAGGGUUUACAUUUCAAAUCAUGUCACCUUUGAUGAAAAUUCUUUUCCUUGUGAGUCUGGAGCAGAUUUUUCUUCACUCUCUUCAAGUUGUCAGUCAACAAAAAACUAUAAGUCUUCUUUCAAUUCCUCUGUUCCUUCUGUUACUCAGUUACAAGCACCUUUAGCAGCAUCAUCAGAACACCAUCAAAAUGUUCAUCAUUUAGAUGCUCCUACUCCCUCACCAAAUUCUACUCCACUUUAUUUUUCUGAUAAUUCCAACUCAGCUUCUUCUUCUUCACCACCACAUAAUUCACCUCCACAUACAUUGCCACAACCUGCAUCAACUGGUCAUCCAAUGAUAACCAGGUCAAAAGCAGGUAUUUUCAAGCCAAAAAUUUAUUUGUCAGCUUUAUUAGCCCAAAAAUCAGAACCAACUUCUGUUUCCCAAGCACUUUCUGAUCCUAUGUGGUAUAAGGCUAUGCAAGAAGAGUAUCUAGCACUUAAAACUAAUCACACCUGGGAUUUAGUUUUACCUGCUACUCCAGUGAAGAUAGUUGGCAGCAAAUGGGUGUUUCGAAUAAAGUAUAACUCAGAUGGUUCAGUUUCAAGAUAUAAAGUCAGGCUUGUUGCAAAGGGGUUUCAUCAGACACAUGGGAUUGACCAUACAUAAACUUUUAGUCCAGUGGUUAAAGCUUCAACUGUUAGAGUUAUUCUUAGCUUAGCAGUAUUGAAUCAAUGGGUGAUUAGGCAAGUAGAUGUUAAUAAUGCCUUUCUAAAUGGCAUUUUAAUUGAAGAGGUGUACAUGGCUCAACCUGAAGGUUUUGUUGACUCAACUAAACCUAAUCAUAUCUGCAAGCUGAAUAAAGCUUUGUAUGGCUUAAAACAGGCACCCAGAGCCUGGUUUGAUAGAUUCAAGGAUGCAAUGAUCUCUAAACAGCAUUUCCAACAUUCAAGGUCUGAUAACUCUCUGUUUCAUGCCUGGAACAGUGGUCAUCUAACUCUUGUUUUGGUCUAUGUUGAUGAUAUUAUCAUCACUAGUUCCAGUCCAACACUAAUUCAGCAAGUUAUUCAGAGUAUGAAUCAAGCCUUUGCUUUAAAAGACAUGGGGGAACUUAGCUAUUUUCUGGGGAUUGAAGUCAGCAAGUCUUCAUAAGGGGUUUCCUUGACACAAGCAAAGUAUAUUACUGACAUUCUAGAUAAACAUGGCAUGACAGAUUGCAGUCGUGUGCCUACUCCAAUGUCUACUGGUUAUUAUCUCACAAAAGAAUCAGGAGAGCUAAUUGAUAAUGUUUCUCAAUAUAGGAGUGUUAUAGGAGCUCUUCAAUAUGUUACUCUUACCAGACCUGACAUUGCUUUCUCUGUAAACAAGCUAAGUCAAUUCCUUUCAAGUCCUAGAACACAACAUUGGGAAGCAUGCAAAAGGUUAUUGAGGUACUUAAAAGGCACUAUACAUCUUGGGCUGCAAUUUAAUAACAAAGGAGCUUUGCAACUACAUUGUUUUUCAGAUUCUGACUAGGCUUGUGAUCGUGAUGAUAAGAAGUCACUGGUUGGCUUUGCUGUUUACCUAGGCCUUAAUCUAGUCUCAUGGUCAUCAAAGAAACAAGCUGUUGUUUCCAGGUCCAACACAGAGGCUGAGUAUAGAUCUCUUGCUCAUGCUGCUUCAGAGGUUCCCUGGAUACAAUCUUUACUUGGUGAACUUAACAUCAAAUUGAGCUCUACUCCUAUGAUGUGGUGUGAUAAUCAAGAAGCAAUUGCUUUAGCUUACAAUCCAGUCUAUCAUGCUAAAACUAAGCAUGUCGAAUUGGAUAUACAUUUUAUCCGAGAUAAAGUUACUGCUAAAGAGAUUGAAGUAUGUUUUGUGCCCAGUCAAGAUCAAACAGCAGAUGUGUUGACUAAGGCUUACUUUCAAACAGUUUAGUUACUUAAGAAGCAAGCUGAAUGUUCAUCCUAAACAUUUCAGCUUGAGGGGGGAUGUAGUGAAUUGAAUGAAGUUGGAGCAAAGCAUGAUGUUGCUGUGUAGCUGACUGUAGCAGAUCAACUCACUAGGCUGACCUGGCAAAGUUAGUUAGCUGGUUGAGCUGAUGUGUCAAAUUAGUUAUGCAGCAAAUGGUUAUGUGAUGUAAAAAACUUGUGUGUGUGUUGAGCAAAUUGUAGCUUAAUAUAAAUAUCAGUCUGUAUUCAUUUAGUUGUAAUGCUAGAGUAAUAAAGGUUCUACAAACUUCUUUACAGCGCUUUCUUUUAUUUUCUUUCAUUUUCUAGCUUGCCAAACAAUACAAAACUAAGUUUCUUUCGGAAAAGGAAAAAUAAAAAGAAAAGAAUAGUUACUUGUGCAGUACAGCCUUGACGCCUAGCUACAUGGUCCAUUCUCUGUGUCUUUGAACCAAUCAACAGCAACAAGAUCCAUUAAAUGUUUUCCCGCAGGUAUCUGCAGUUACAAAUUGCACAAAGCACAAGAGCCAACCAAACUACAUCAUAACCUGUCGACCUAGCAUAUGCAGGAUAUAUAACUACCAUAACAAACAACCAAAAUAUGGGGGAACCUUUGUUUUGUCAUAACAAAAAUGCUUGCUACGAACUCUAAAGUUAUUUCCACCAGAAAGUUUCCAGCAGUCACGAGCAUUAUCACAGUCAUCGUGUCGCAGAUUGCCUGAAAAAUAAGAAAAAUCAAUUUGAUCAGCCUGCUCUUCCUCUAGGGUAGCAACUAAUUGAAAAUUAUAAACCAAAAAAAAAAAUCAAUACCAUAAAAAUCCACUAAUGAGGACAUUAGCCAAAUAUACAAAAAUGAAUACUUAUCAUCCACCUGUCCUCUUGAAAUCAUUCUCAAUCUUUUUUUCAUUUGAUGGCAGGAAUUAUUGAAAUUGGAGCCAUUUUUUUUGUGGGAAUUGAAAUAUAUUCUUUAAAUUAUUACAUAAAUAGCAAAAUGUACAUACACACACAUAUAUAUAAUUCAUAUAUAAAAAUUCUCUAAUUUGUUCACAAGUACCAUAGAUUAUAAUUCAGUUAUGAAAUAAAAUAACUACAAUAAUUAUAGUUAAAUGAAUACUUCAUUAAUUCUUAAUUUGCUUCCUAACAUUAAAUGAACAACUUGAGUCAGCCACCUGAAUCAACCAGUAACAACGCCUGAGUCAACCAUCUGAAAAAACCAGCAACCCUAGCUGAUUCAAGCACCUGCAAUUAACAUCAACACAACAGGAACAAUCAUAAAUCAGCACCAAGAACAGACCAAACUGCCAUCAAAUGCCACAAAACCAAACAGUCUGCUACUGCCAUCAAAUGCAAGCAAACAUAUGCAACAAAACCAGAUGCAAGUGAAAUUCUGGAGAAUAUCGGAUAAACCAAACCAAAUGCCACACUUCUAGUAAUUAGACUAGAUGCAGUGUUCAAUUAAACUAAAUGUAGUCUCAUAUUACAUUCAAAUUUUCUAAAAAAACCAGUGUUCCAUCAGAGAAGCACCAAAACCAAACCAAUCUAAUCCAGCAUAAUUACCAGCUCAACCCAAAACAAUUACACAUUAUAUUGACAUAUCAAAAUUCGCUAUCAAAACAUAGCCAAAUAAAUGACAAUAAACUGAAAACAGACCCGAACCAACUGAUGUUGCAGCCCUAGUAGUCAUUGUGCGUUCCACUGCCAUAGGAGCGAGGGUAGGCUCCGUUGUUGAUGAGUGAGUAAGAUAAGGCUCCAAAUCAAUAGUUCCACCUCCUUUCUGCAAUUCAAAAAACAGAAAUUCAUAUAUGUAAAACUAUUAAAAAGUGUGAAACAACCUGUAAGUAUUCAACUUCUGUCAACUCAAUAGCACUUACUAAAGUUUUUAUACAGAAGAAAAAGGCAUUUUAAGUCCAAAAAAUUAGAAUUAUUGGUUGAACUCCAACUCCAUCAAUCCAUGCAACCAUCCAACCUUUAACGAAAAAAUGAAGCAUAAUUAACAAGACAUCUGAAUCAGAAAGAUUGUGCUUUGAUUUGGCACGAGGUGUUGGAAACAACUUAACAAAUCUAGACACAAUCUAUAACCAUCAAGUCCAAACAAAAGUCAGGAUCUAAAAUACUUUGAAAAAUCAGAAAAACCGCAAAAUAUCAGUUUCAAUUUCUUUUUCACCCAUUGUAAGCUCAAACUGAAGGUAGCGGCGCUACCUUUAAACAUCAUUUGGGCUUAUACAUGUGACAUUUGCUCAUGAACAACUAAAGUUGAAUAAGAUUUUUAUAUGAAACGGAAUAUAAAAAGUCAAAGUAGAAUAUGACAGGACCAACAAUAUAUUAUUCAGCAUUAGCAUUAUGUAUAAAAUAAAUUUAGAGGCAUCAUAUUCAUUCACAAUCUUGCAGAGGUAAUACCAGAUUAUGGCACGCAACUCUUGAAUAGCAGAUAAAGGAGGAGAUGCAGUGGGAAGGUAGUAACUUGCUUGCAUGAGAACUAAAAAGUAAUAUCCCAAGAUCAAUUAUAGAUCUCAUAAAACAAAAACAGUGAGGCAAACACAAUUAUUGUGAACAAUUAUUCAUAGAACCACAUAGCAGCAACAAGAUCAAAGUCAUCUGUGUAUAAAUCGAUUCCCCACAGCUGACUGCCUCUGACCUAAACAUAAUGAAAUUACAUAACUAAGAAGUAGAGUCAUAAAAUAUGCUGCUGUAACAGCUAUCAAUAAAUUUCCAGACAAAUGGAAUUUGAUAUGUAAGGCUAUAACUAGCAACACUUCAAAAUAAUUUGAAGUAGCAUGAUCUUACUUUAAGGAUCAAUACUACAAUCUUUCAGAAAAAUUAAAGUCUAACCAAAAUUAAAACCUUAAACAUACUAAAAUCUGGUAAAUAGACCUAUAGGAAUUCCAAUGACCUCCAAAAUAUUUGAAAGAAAAAUUAAUUUACAGCAAAAAAUGUUAAAGAUUUGUAAAAUGGAGGCCCAUACUACUAUUCAAAUUACAAAAGAGGAAAGGGAGCUGGCCAUUAAAUGAUAAAGGCAUGCAUAAAGAAAUACGAGCACCACAUUAAAUGAUAAAGGCAUGCAUCGAGAAAUACAAAAAAUAUGCCCAUAAAGACGUCCACUCAAGCCUUAUAAGCGGCUUUAUGCAAAGGAAAGCCAAUUAGUUAACAGUAAAUGAAUUUCAAGGUGCAAUAAUUAAACUCCCUGAUCAGCACAUUUAAGGUUCAUGCAUUUCUACAAAACAUGUAAAUCAUAAGAACUUUUUUGGUCCAAAUGCUAACCAGUAAUUAAGUAGAUUAUCAAAGUAGUCACAGAACAAGCACCACAUUGAUUGCUAUGCAAAAGAUGAAAGUAAAAGUUAAUACUUUAUUUUAUUUUACUUUUCGAGAGUUUUGAUCAUCAUGUGCAAAAUAGUAGUAUAACUUGCUCAGUGUUAUCUCAAAAAGCUUGCUUAAAAUACCUAUUAGCACCAGUCCAAGUUGUCAAAUAAAUCCUUAUCUAUCCAUUCAUCUCUGACCUUGCCAAAAAGAUUUAAACGAGCAUCUAUAUUCUCACUCCAAUCUUUCACAAUCAUAGGCUUUAACUUAGACCAGUUCUUCAAUAUCCCUUCCACUGUGAGCCCCUCGAAAACCUUGUAAAUUGAAUCACAUUUGUCGUCAGUUUCAAAUCCAUCUGUCAAAAGGCUAAGCAAAUGAAUAUACAAUCAACACCAUUCUUCCAAACGAAUAUACAGUCAACACCAUUCUUCUAAACACAAACAAAGUUUGAACGUAUGACAGAUUUUUAGCCAUUUAAUAUUCCAUCAAAUAUAAUUAGAUCACACCUACCAAGGAUUUUUGAAAAGAAUGCAUUCUCAUCUUAAGCAGCAACCUCACUAGUAACACAUUUUCAUACCCUGUUUCCACCUCUGGUCGCACCACCAAAAAAAAUUCAGUACUAAUUAGCUUUAAUAUGUAAAUUUUCGCUUAGUUUAAGCUAGGGUUUUCUUUCGAUUGAAACAGAGGAAAGCUUUUGGGUUAUUAAAGUGAAAGAUAUGGAAUAAUACAAAAAAUUAUUGAAGUGAAAGAGCAGGAAUACAAAAAAUCAGCAGAUGAGAUCGUUGAAAGAUGCGGAGGUUUGUAUAUAAAUAUUAAAUUGAUCGUUGAAAGAUGUAUAAACCUCCAUAAAAUUGAGUUACGACUUGAAGGAUUGUAUAUAAACAUUAAAUUGAUCUAAUUUAACUUGUAUGUAAACACUAAAUUGUAUAUAAAUACACAAAACAGAACCAUAUCAGUGUUGGAAAAAAAAUAAGAAUCCAGAGUUAUAUAAAUUCAAUAAAAAAGUAUUGAAUUUUUUAUUACUAACUUUGAACACUCUAAUUUCAAUAAAAAAAAUAUAUUACUAAAAUAGUCUUAAUUGAAUUUAAUAUUAAAGAUAUUAGAAUAACUCAACACUAAUAUUCUCAAAUAUAUUUCUCUCCAUAGUCUAAUCUAAUCCAUUCUAAGAAUCCUAUAGAAAAUCUAUUAUUUACUUUUUCCUUAUUAAACACAAAAACAUGUCAUUUUGUUGCUAACUAAAAUUUUGGAACUAACAACAGCAGAUUAACUAAAAUUAUCAGGAAAAGAAAUCAAACAGGAUUUUAAUCGUCAUCAUCUUCACUCUUGCCUUUUUCUUUUUCUUCACACAUGUGGCUUGCACACGCAUUCCCCUCUCUCAUCCUUAGGGCCGCCCUUCAACAAUAUCCAAUCAUCGAUUAUAAUUAUUUAGAUUGACCAAAUCAAGCUUUGAUCAUAUAUCGGUUGAGGUUAGAAGUAGGCAGGCAGCAACGACAAUACUAAUUAAUAUCUCAUGAGAAUUUUAAAAAAGAAUCUAACGUUGCCCAAUUCGUUUGAUUUCAAUGAAAUCUUUCUCCUACCUAUACUUUCGCAUAUUCUCUUUUAUUUCCAAAGUUAAGGUUAUGGAUGUUGUAGAGUAAAAAGAUGAACAUUGCUAGGAAAGCAAUAAAAGGAAAUAAAUAAAAAUUAAAAAUAUAAAAAGAGUUAAGUCAUUUUUUUUGUCUAUUAGUGUUUUUGUAUUUAAUAACGAAAGAUAAAAAUGAAGUAAAUAUUAUCUGUUAGAUUAUUAAAAUACAUACUUAAAAUGUUUUAGUGACAAUCUAAUUAUAAAUUAAGGGUCUAUUUGAGAUUGAGAUUGAACAGUUAAAAUGUUAUAGUUGUUGUAGUUUAGAAGUUAAGAUGAUUUGAUUUUACACUUAUAUGAUAAAAAAUUAUUAUAUCUUUAUUAAUUUUAUCAAAAUUAUUAUUAAAAAAACUAAAUUUAUUAUAUACUAUUAAUUUUUAUUUUAUACUUAAAAUUUUUUUUUUCUUACGGCAAAAGUUUUAGCACCUCAAUACCCAACCAAGUCUAAAACUGCACAAUAAUAAUUAUGAGUGUGCAUGUUAAAAUCUACACACAUUCUUUAAUUUCAAUCAACAGUGUUACAAACUUAGUUAAAAUAUUAUAUCUGAAAUUAUUGAGGGGAAAAAAAAAGAAAAAAGAAUGUUGUUUUCAUGAUAGUGACAUGCGUCGUGCACAUUUUGCUGUUGGCUCUUUGGUCUCUAACCUAGCGAAUAGGUUGCUGUGUCCUCGUUGUUAGAUGCCCGAACCCAGCGCAAGAACUUUGUACGAUACCAUAUAUUUUGUAUGAAUUUAAGCUGAAGUUGGUACCUUUUAUUGUUUUAUAUCAUGACAUCAGGGAAAUUUUUAAUAGAUCUUCAUUUUAGGCUAAAGUACCCGAACAAUAGUUCCCAUGCACUUUGUGAUCUUUUUACAAAAUAUUAAACUAAAUAGCUGUGGAAGUAACAAAGAGGGCAACUUUUUACCAUAAUGUGAUGAAAAUAAUUUAUUUGUUGUCAUCACGAACUAACCAAAUCAAAACAAAAAACUAACUCAAAUCUGUGCGUCUAGUAACUUAUAUGAUGAUCAUUAGAUCUUGUUCUUGUUAAUGCGUCUAGUAACUUAUAUGAUGAUCUGAUGAUAUCCGUAACAUUAACAUACCCAUAAUCCAUUAUUUUAUAAUUAUAAAAAUUGAAGAUUCGGUCAUGCAAUUUUGUAUGAUGAACAGUGUUUCAUUUUUCUGUGAAACAUAAGAACAAUUUGUAAAUAAUGUCCAUGCGGACCUUGUAAUAGCGAAGCAUCAUUAUUGAUCUUACUUUGAUGAUCGCACUUUAGUUUCUUUUUAAAGUGCCUUUUGUUUAUUUUAUCGGCAUCCGCUUUUACAAAAGUUUUGGUCCUCGUUCAUUCAUCAAAGCUUCUACUUUUAUCUUUUAUUAGGCAUCUUAUAAAAAGCUUAAUUUAAUUGGAUUCAUGUUCGAUAUGAAGAUUGUUUUACUUACUUCAAUCUUUCAAUCAACCGAAUUUAUUCUUUUCUGAUCUGGAAAUUAUUCAUGAAAAAAUAGGCGCGUCAGUAGGACAACAGGGACCAAGUACAUAAUAUGAAAAUUCAUUUGUAUUGCUUACUCUAAUAAGCUCUUAAACUCACACAUUCCUCUGCAGUUACCAGUGAUCUUUUGCUCACUAAAAUUGUUAAUAUAUAUUCAAGGUGAAUAAAGAAACUCAUCAUCCCAGAUAAUUAAAGAGGUGAACUUGUUCUAAAUCCUUUAAUAAUUUCUAUUAAUAGCAUAUAUAAUCUCUAAUCCUUGAUCUUGAUAGUAGUUCUUUCUUAAUGUCCAAGAAAAAUAUCUCUCAUUUGUCUUAAUCUUGUCAUUUAAUUUUCUUGAAUUCUGAGUUAGUGUUUAUUGUUAAAUUCGGUUUUCGGUUAGUAGCUGUUGGUUAAUAGCUUCGGUUAAUCCUUGAAUUAAACAUAUUAAAAUCUAAUCAUAAACCCGCCUUUCCCUAUUUUACGACACCCUUUGUGUAAUAGUGACUUCAAAAGUGUAACAUAUUUUUGAACAAUUGCAAGGAAAGAACAUAUUUGACACUUCACGAAACGGUAAAUAUAUAAGCUUCAAUUCUUGUACAACAAAUUAAUAUAACCAACAUCAACCGUCAAUUGAUCAAUAAUUCAGUAACAAAAAGGGACAGAUAUCCUAGUCUUUCUUUACUAAUGAAGCAAGCCAUUAAACUUCGAAAGCUAUUUCUAUUUCCACAUUCUUCAUGUACCAAAGCCAAAAAAAAAAAAAAGCAACAAAAAUUUGGAAGUAAUCAUCUUUAUUCAGCAGCAUGCAUAUUAAUUAAAACAUAUUCAAAAAGAGAUAUACAAUAUCAGGUCUGGAGACGAAAUGAGCCCACAGAGACUACCAAUAAUGUAGUGGCUUGAUUAAAAAUAUUAAUCAAGCCACUACAUUAGAAGAACAAGAGUUAAUCAUGCAUAUUAAUUAAAAAUAUUUUUGCUAUCAUCCACCUGUUCUCUCUAAAUAGUUGCCACUUUUUUUUUUCGUUUGUCUGAAAUUCCAAGCAAAAAUAUAAUUAGAAGAACAAGAGUUAAGGGUUAAAAAAAUGGAAAAAUAGGGCUCCUCUGUUUUCAUUCCCCUGUUUUUCUGUUCGGUGAUUACAAAGAUUUAAAUCAAAAUUUAUGAUGCAGGCUACACGGCACCUGGUGGAAGACUGCUAGGGUUUACCUUUUAUUGUUAGUUAGAAAUUUAAUUUAGAAUUUGUAGUGUUUGCCUUAUAUAAGUAGGUUUCCUAAUAGUAAAAUUAAAUAAUCAAGUUUAUGAUGCACUAGGAUAUGGUUGUGAUAAAUGAGCUUUUUAUGUAUCCUGUGAGGCUGAUUAUUAUUUUAUUACAUUGAAGAUUCAGUCAUCUCUUGGUAGUCUUGUGAAUCAAGCGGAUUUAGUUAGUAGUAGGUAAUACUCUGGACUUCACAUAGUAAACGGAAUGGAGCAUUAUUUUAUCCCGCUAAAUCAGUUUUUUUUUUAAUUAAAAAAUAAUUCAUCAAACACUUUAUAGCUCUGGUUUUAAGUUGGUAAACACUUUAAGCCGCAACUUUAAAUUCAGUUUACGAGAACUCCUAACAGUCACUGUGGCUUGGGUAGAAAUGAAUAUACUAGCAUAAGUAAUGCUACCCAGGAAAUGUAGUUGAACCUAACCAAACUAAAACCAGAUGAUGAAAGCUUAUAUACGCCAAGAGAUUUAUUCGUUUCUGAGUUUGUUUCCAGAAACCCGGAACCUCCCCUGUUUCUACAAACACGGCACCUUUGUUUUCAUUCCCCUGUUUUUCCAUUUGGUGAUUGUAAAAAUCUAAAUCUAAAUUCUUGAUGCAGUCUACACGGCACCUGCUAGAUGAUUGUUUGGGUUUAUCUUUUAUUCUUAAUUAUCAAUUUAAUUUAGAUUCGUAGUGUGCACCUUAUGAAAGAUUAAAUAGAAUAAUGUGAAAAAAAAAGAAUGCCUUUGUUAAUUUUGACUUCAUAAUGUUGCAGUAACCGUCCUCUCUUAUCAUUCCCCUGUUCUUUGGUUUAGUGAUUGCAAAUAACAUUCUUUUCAUCUACUCUUUAUUUAUUUAUUUUUAAUUUUUAACUCAUUAAUUCUUGUUCUUCUUAAAGCGUUUAGUAAAUUAUAUGAUCACCUGAUCAAAUCCCUCACAUUAACAUACAACAUAACUAACAAAGUGUUGGCUCCACUGGCAAUGGAGUCUCCUCAAGUGGCUUAACUGGAUUUGCUCUCCAGUUCGACUCGCAAGGAAGUCGCCUUUGUUGGGAAAACUUGUACCAAAAACUCUGAUCUGUUGGCUUUGUAUCAGUAUUGCUUGUUUGUUGUCUUUUAUUUCAUUAUUUGUAUCUAAGUUUAUUUGAAGAUUACAGAUCAGCAGGAAAAGCCCUUUUUCUAAAGCUAACUAUACAGAUUUUAGAAUAGGGCUCAACCACAUGAAAAUAUUUACGUUGUAAUAUCUCAUAUUAAUAAUCUAAAAACAACCAAUCCAACAAGUUCAAAUUCAGUCAAAUCUAAAAAAAAAUUGCUUUUAAGGAGUACAUGAUAGCUAUUAAACUUUGGUUAAAGAUCUUUUGGGCAAACGUGAAAUUCAGUCAAUCAUAAAUCAACCAAUCCAACGAGUUCAAAUUCAUCACUUGCAAAAUUAAGUUUUCUUCCGAAAUUGAGUUUUUUCCAGUAGAAAUUUUCCCGCAGUCACGAGCACUAUCAUCAAAACAAGAUUAUUAACAUAAGAACAAGAGUUGAGGAAAAAAAUAUCUGUUUAUAUGGACACGGGGUGCACGCUUUAAGUCUUGUUCUUUUACAAUUCAAUUGUAUUGCUUACUCCCAUAAACUCCUUACUCACAUUCUUCUGCAGUUAACAGUGAUCUUUUGCUCAUUAAAAUUUUUCUUAUAUAUCGAAGGCCAAGAGUGAAGCUCAUAAACUCUGUGAUCCUAGAUAACCGAAGAGGUGCGUUUGUUCUAAAUACUUUAAUAAUUUCUUUCAAUCGCAUAAUUUCUAAUCUUUGAUCUUGAUAGCAGUUGUUUCUUAAUGUCCAACAAAAACUAUCUCUUGUUUGUCUUAAUCUUGUCAUUUAAUUUUCUUGAGUUUUAAGUUACUGUUUAUUGUUAACUUCUGUGUUCUUAUGCAGUAUUAUUAAUGGUUAAUUUGCAUCCAUCUUCCAAAAAAGUUUUCUUUCUUCAUAAAAUUGUUGGUUUUCCAUUCAGGCCCCUGAAACCUUUUUCUAAAAAGUUUUUUGUUGUCGUUUCUUUCUUUUUCUUCCCCGCUAGUUCAUUUAAUUUAUUUGAAUCCAUUUUUUUUUCAACAGCCAAAAACUAGAUAUUUAUAGUUAAGCAACAGGCAAUGGCUAUAGAAGCGUGUCUGGCUUUUUUAACCAACUGUGUAUCAGAAGGUGCAAAGUCACUGUUCAACCCUAUUACACGGCAGAUAUCUUAUGUGUUCAAGUACCAGAGCUACAUAGAUGAGCUAAAAGAUCAAGUGAAGCAGCUGGGAUAUAAGAGAGAAAUGGUGCAGCAACCAGUUAAUCAUGCUAGGCUACAAGGGGAUGAGCUUUUUGAGGGUGUCACAGACUGGCUACAUAGCGUUGAUGAAUUCAUCAGUGAAGGGGUUGCAAAAUCCAUUAUUGAUGAUGAAGAUAGAGCUAAGAAGUCCUGCUUCAAAGGAUUAUGCCCAAACUUGAUUUCUCGUUACAAGCUUAGUAAACAAGCAGCAAAGGCGGCAGAAGCUGCCGCUAGUCUCGUGGGAAAAGGCAACUUCUCCAAUGUUUCCUACCGUCCUGCUCCAAAGCGGGCAGAACAUAUGCAAGUGAAAGAUUUCGAGGCGUUUGAUUCAAGAAUGAAAGUAUUUCAAGAUGUUGUGGAGGCGGUGAAGGAUGACAAGGUCAACAUAAUUGGGGUCUAUGGGAUGGGCGGCGUGGGCAAAACCACGCUGGUCAAACAAGUUGCAAACCAAGUGAUGGAAGAUAAGUUGUUCGAUAAGUUCGUUAUGGCCGAGAUAACACAGACCCCAGAUCAUCAUAAAAUUCAAGACAAACUUGCUUUUGAUUUAGGCAUGGAAUUUGACUUGAAUGAGAAUGAAUUUCAAAGAGCUUCUCGACUGUGUCAAAGGUUGAAGCAAGAGAAGCGGCUCCUCAUUAUACUGGAUAAUAUUUGGACAAAACUUGAGUUGGAUGCGGUUGGAAUUCCUUCUGGAGAUGUGGAUGAGAAAGAUAGAGAGGACGAUCGGAGAAGACUCACAAUAAUAUUGACGUCUAGAAGUCGAGAUUUAUUGCGCAAUGAUAUGAAAUCUCAGAAGGAUUUCUCAAUUGAAGUUUUAUCAAAGGAAGAAGCAUUGCAAUUGUUUGGAAAGAUAGUGUGUAAUUCUGCAAAAGCAUCUGCUUUUCAACCUUUAGCAGAUGAGAUCGUUGAAAAAUGCGGAGGAUUGCCUGUUGCACUGAUUACCCUUGCAAAAGCUUUGAAAAAUGAGAGGCUUGACACUUGGAAGGAUGUGCUGCGUCAGCUAAGAAGUUCCAAUGCAAAAGAAAUUGAUGGAAUGGAAAGAAAUGUGUACAUCUCCAUAAAAUUGAGUUACGACUUACUGGGAAAUAAGGAAGCAAAAUCUCUGUUCCUUCUUUGUGGUCUAUAUACUGAAGGUGAUGUCAUACACGUUUCUGACUUAUUGAGAUAUGGUAUGGGUAUGGGCUAUUUUAAAAACGUUUACACACUGGAAGAAGCAAGGAGUAGAGUGCAUACGUUGAUCGGUAAACUCAAAUCUUCAUGCUUAUUGUUGGACGGUGAUGCCGAAGAUGAAGUUAAAAUGCAUGACAUCAUUCAUGCUGUUGCUGUAUCAAUUGCAGAAGAGGAGCUCAUGUUUAAUAUUCCAAAUGUUGCCUACGUGGAGAAAAAGAUGGAAGAGACAAUACGGGAAGGUCCAAUAGCUAUUUCUUUACCUUAUAGAGAUAUUCAAGAGCUUCCCGAAAGGUUGGAAUGUCCCCGUCUCGAGUUACUUUUGUUGUUUUCAAAGCGUGAUAGCUCUUUGCAAAUUUCAGACCUCUUUUUUCAAGGGACAGAAGAACUCAAAGUUUUAGAUUUUACUGGAAUAUUUUUCUCUUCAUUACCUUCAUCACUUGGUUGCCUCAUUAACGUUCAAACAUUAUGUUUAGAUGGUUGCCGACUGAACGAUGUAACUAUAAUUGGACAGCUAAGGAAAUUAGAGAUUCUCAGCUUCCGAGAUUCUGAUGUUAACGAGUUGCCACUUGUAAUUGGACAAUUGACGAGAUUACAGUUGCUAGAUUUGAGCAAUUGUAGCAGCCUUGUGGUGAUAGCUCCAAAUGUCAUAUCAAAAUUAUCUCGAUUAGAAGAACUAUAUAUUGGUAACAGCUUUUCACAGUGGGAGAACGUUGAAGGAGGAAGUAACGCCAGUCUUGUUGAGUUGAAGGGGUUGUCAAAGCUAACUACUUUGGAGAUACACGUUCGGGAUGCCGAAAUUCUACCGCAGGAUUUGGUCUCUGUGGAAUUGCAAAGCUAUAGGAUAUGUAUAGGAAAUAAGUGGUGGAGCAGCUGGUCCGUUAAAUCUGGAUUAUCAAGAUUGAUGAAGCUCCAGGGGCUAGAAAAGUUUGGCAUUCUUUUGCAGAAUUACAGGAUGAAACUGUUGUUGAAGAGAACUGAAUAUCUCUAUCUAGGAGAACUGAAGGGUGUUCAGAAUGUUGUUCAUGAAUUAGAUGAUGGGGAAGGUUUUCCACGAUUGAACCAUCUUUCUGUAAAAAGUUGUUCUGAGAUUUUGCAUAUUGUCUGUUCAGUUGGACGGGUUCGUCGCAAAGUCUUCCCCUUGCUGGAGUCAUUGUCUCUUCGUCGUUUGAUCAAUUUGGAGACAAUAUGUGACAGCCAACUCACAGAAGAUCAAUCUUUCAGCAACUUAAGGAUUAUAAAAGUAUCAGACUGUCACGAAUUGAAGCAUCUUUUCUCAUUCUACAUGGCCAAAAACCUACUGUGGCUUCAAAAGGUAGAAGUGUUUUUUUGCGAUGAUCUGGAAAUGAUUGUUGGUAAGUGUUGAAAUUAAGUGUUGGUGGAUUUAUGGACUUCGCCUCAAUUAUUUUGAAAAAAAAAAAAGACAACGACAAAGAUUAAUUAUGUAUAUUGUUUUAGUUUGUUUAUAGGACCCGACAUGGACAAACCAACAACUUCUUUGGGAUUCAACGAAAUCAUUGCUGAUGAUGAUCCUGCUCCAAAGGUGAUAAUUUUCUGUUCAAUAAUUAAUUGAUUAAUUUAUUAUCACGAUUAAUCUUCGAUCAUCAAAAGAAUAUUAUACUAGACGGUUGUACUUGAAGGAACAAAAAUGUACGGGUUUUCUUUGCAGGUUAUUCUUCCGAGCUUAGAGGAAUUGAAUCUCAUGUCAUUAAGAAACAUCAAAAAAUUAUGGGCCGAUCAUAAUCAAGGAAUGUACUGUUGUCAAAAUCUAACAAAGCUGCACGUGGUCGGUUGUCAUCGUAUGAAGUAUCUGUUUUCAUAUUCUAUGGUUAAUAGUCUUGCGAAACUCCAACAUCUUGAGAUAAGCUAUUGUGAGUCAAUGGAAGGGGUAGUCGACACCACGGGAUGGUCAGAAAGAGAUGAAGGAAAGUUGAUUGAAUUAAAGGUUUUUCCUAAGCUACACUCCCUGCAGCUAGAAUGGCUUCCAAGACUAAGUAGCUUUGCCAAUAUGGGACAUAUUCAUUCAGAUUUAGUUGUUGAAUUCCCUUCUUUGCUAAACCUCAUGAUUGGUUGUUGCAGUAAUAUGUUAAGAUUCAUCUCUACGAGCUCACCAGAAGACACCAUUCAUUCUGAAAUGCAACCUCCUCCUCUCUUUGAUGAAAAGGUUUUUUUUUUUUUUUUUAAUUAAAAAAAAUAAUUUUAGUCACAAUACUUGAUUUGUCUUUUCCUUGAGUCUUCAAAUUUAGUUAAUAUCCGCCUCUAAUUUAGUUAUCAAUUGAUUAUGCCAUUAAUUGAUUAACUAGUUAUUUAAUCUUUAACUGCCAGGUACGAGUUCCUAGGUUGGAGGUAUUAUAUAUUGCGUGGAUGGAUAACCUAAGAACAAUAUGGCACCACCAGCUUGCUUCGGAGUCUUUCAGGAAAUUGAAGAAUUUGGAGAUAGAAGAGUGUGAUAACCUAAUGAAUAUUUUUCCUCCAUUGGUAAGGUUGCUGUAUUCAUUUCGAUUUUUUUUUUCAAAUAACAUUCAACAAUUUUUUAAUCUUUUCUGUGUUUACAAAUGAUAUUCAGCCACUAAUUAUUUAUUUCAAAUAUUGUACUUCAAACCACCACUCUAAAAUCUACGUUUUAAGUCUAGUUUUUAGGUUCACCAGCAUUAGAAUCAACAAUAUAAUUUUUUUAAACACGAUUCAAUAGCAUAAUAUAAUUCAAUUUAAUUGUUUUUGCUCAUAUCUUAAUAAGUACGAUUUUCAAAAAUUAAAGGAUAGUCACUCAUCUUAUAAGUUCACAAAUUCAUCUAUAUAUUUCUCUUUUCCUUAGUUCUUCACAUUUCGAUUGGGAAAAAAAAAAAGAAAGUCUUCAAAUUUAAUUAAUAUCUCCAGUUUAGUUAAGAAUUGAUUAUGCCAUUACUUAACCACAAAUUCAUGAUUGUUUACAACUGACCCUUGAUUGUAAAGAAAUUUCCUCGAGUCUGGAAGUACUUAAUAAAGAUCCACUUUAUAGCAAUCCCUUGUUGACAGUACUGGGAAGUCUUUUCCAAAUUUUUUUUUUCCAUUUUUAUACAUACAUAAAAAAAAGGGGACCAAGGAAAAGGGAAAAAGAGGCAUUUUAGUUGAGUUUUUUUUAAAGGAAUAGUUGAAAUGUGCAAAUUUAUGCUUAAAAACUUAUAUCAAGAUGCAAAAUAAGUCUAAAGUAUUUAGAAAUUGCCUUAAAUUCUUUCUACGUCCCUAAUACUAAAUAGUGUAAAUACAUUUUUAUCAUCUUUGUUUAUCUGGCUUUUAUUUAUUUAUCUUGUUACCUUUUUUGUUUAACAAAAAAUUAUCUAGUAGACAUUUCACAGUUUGUUAUGUUCAUAAAACGUAUAAUUGUAUGAUUAAACAUACUUUGAGCCUAGUUGAAUGAUACUCUUACAUUUUUACUUUUUUAAUAUACACACACACACACACUCUCUCUGCUUAUUUUCAGGUUGGAAUUCCUACUAGUCUGGUGAAUCUUUAUGUAUGGAACUGCAAAAAAUUAGAAGAAAUCGUAGGACAUGCUGGAGAAGAAGUGAAGGAGAAUCGUAUUGCUUUCAGUGAAUUAAAACUUUUGGAACUUGAUGAUUUACCAAGGCUUACCAGCUUUUGUUUGGAGAAUUACACUCUUGAAUUCCCAUCAUUGGAACGAGUAUUUGUGACACAUUGUCCGAACAUGAAGACUUUUUCUCUGGGAAUCUUAUCCACACCAAAGCUGCACAAAGUGCAAGUGACUGUAAAGGAAGAUGGUGAAUUGCACCAUCGGGACGACAAUCUUAAUUCCACCAUACAAGAACACUAUACAAGAUCUCAUGGAAAUAAGUAAACCCGUAAUUUUUUUCACAGCAUCAUAAGAAAAAAUCAUUUUUUUUUUAGUAUUUUUGUUGGCUGUUGAGUUUUAACAGUAGUAGCUAUUAAACAAGAACAAUCAGUGUAUAUUAAAAAGUUGGAAACUGGUUGAUACCACUUGGGAAUCGAGCAGCUCACUUGUUUGCGAGUAGAAACCAACUUUACUACUAAUUACACUCAUUCCAAAAAUAGUAACUAAAGAAUCAGGAAAUUUCCUAUUCACUAUUCUUCAUUUUUUAAUGCAAAAUUCCCAUGAAAAUGGGAUCAAAAUACAUGUAUGUAUACCUAAAACAAAUUAUUAUUUUUAAUUAAAAAAAAACACAGUUGAGGUGAAAUGAAACCAGAGUCAUGAUAUCUCUGGUUCCAACUUUGGGACAACAGCAGACUUGAGUUCUAUAUGAGAAACACGUACAGCACCAAUCAGCCGCUCCAAGACACACGAAGCGUUAUGCCAUUCCGAGAACAUUCAAGCGUUAUAUCUCAAAAUCAUGUCUUUUCCCUUGUGUCUGUUAAGGAAGCACACUGAGCACGUGUGAACUAAGAGUAGCUGCACGAUAAGCAUGUGUUAGUUAAAGAAGUAUAUGCCAGCUCAGCCAAUUAGUUAAGCAGGCUUUUGAUUCUGUUAUAGUUGUGUACCUUGCUUUAAUUCUGUUUUUAUGAUGUAAGCAACGAGUAUAAACACUGCUACGUUUGUCAUUUGUAUGUUAUGGAAAGAAAAGAAAUCCAGAAUAUUCUAUUUCACUUUCUCAUGAAUUUUCUGAGCUUCCAAACAAAAUUAUCAGUUCAAUUUUAAGCUUUUCAACAGUGUCCAUUUAGACGUGCAAAAAAAACAAUCAUACAUACCUGUACAAGGAAAGCCAUGUCAACCACCGACCGAUGUUGUAAUUACACCAAUUACGACAAGGCCCAAAACUCCACUAGCAAAAGUAGAAUAACAUCUAUGCCAACAUCAAUCUAUAGAGAGAUGAACAUGUUAAUGGUAUCGGACGAGCUAUUUGAACGGGAAACAUCUCAUGUACUAUAAUAGAAAUUUUAAGAGCAUUUACUUCUAAGUACUGGGGACCGCGGAUAUAGUUACAACCAACUGCAUUUAGAAACAAAAAUUUGCGCUUGCGACAAGAGCUGAUCUCUUCAUUCCCCUGUUUAGUAAUAAAAAAAAAUCAAAAUAGCGGAGAAACAGGGCCCUCUUUUCAUUCCCCUGUUUGAUAACAAUAAAAACAAAACAGAGGAGAAACGUGGGCUCUCUUUUCAUUCCCCUGUUUUUCUUUUCGGUUUGGCGAUUUUAAAAUUUUAUAUCCACAUUCAUUAAAAAAAAAAAAAAAAGUUAUUCCAAAAAGAUUUUCUAUUUUCAUAUAGACGUUUAUUUAUUAACCAAAAUUUAAAAAGUGUAAUUCUAAACUUAUCCUUGUGCUUUGAUCUUGGAGGGGUUUUUCAUUUUUUCUACACUGGCCAUAUCAAUUAAUGAUGAAAGUUCUUAUCCUUAAUUGCUUUUGAAAUGAGUGAGCACGGUAUGACCCUUAAGAGAAUUAAUUAAUUGGACAAGUUAUAUAACGCCUUUGAUAUGGCUCCUAGACAUGUAUGCAAUUUGUAUCUUUCCUCAAGUAUGCAUGAGAAUACUUGAGGAAAGCUUCACAAUAGUUACGGCCGGAUCUGCACUUCACAAGUCCUAAUAGGGAAGUAUAAAUAUAUGCUUCUGGAACAGUGCAACUCUCCAUAAUAAGUACCUAAGAAUAGACAAAUUUUCAUUACAAUAGAAUGAUAAAUUAUAAUAAUAUUGACACAAUGAUGCCAAUAAUAAGAAUCUUAACAAAUCUACUAAUUUUAGAAUAUGGCUUAGAGUGCUACAAUGAACCACAACAAGUUAUCGAUAUUAUAAUAUCUAUAAUUAAUAUUCCAAUAAUAACUGGGGCUCCUUUGUUUUCAUUCCCCUACUUUUCUGUUAAGUGAUUGCCAAAUUUUUAUAUCUAAAAUUCUUCUAAUUUUAAACUAAGGUUUAUUUAGAAAAAAAAAGGGAGAGAGAGAGAGAGACUCGAAGAGCAUUAAAAAAUGUAAUUUUUAAUUUUCACUUAAGCAUUGUGUGACUUUUAUCAUUUUUUAAAGUUGGCCAUUUGUACUGAAUAAAUAAAAUAAUGGAUAGACUUAUGGACCACUUUUUUUCUGUUAUAUUAAAACAUGAGAUGUCUUUUCUUGAUGUUUUCAUCACACAAGAAUCUGUUUAUGUCAUCAUGCAUCAUGGGUUUAAAUGGGGUAAAUAAAUUAAGAUCGAGGGCAAGUUUGUUUAAGUUCUAAAGUUGCUGAAUAUAAAAAGGGCUGAUAUGAAAAUUACCUAAAGUUUCAAAUAUUGUUAUUCAGCAACCACUUUUAGGUUGCAUUAGUUUCUACACAAAUUUUAUAUAAAUAAUUUAUAACUCCCAUUAUUAUUUAAAAAACUGUAGCAAUUGUUGAAAAAAAAUUCUAAUUAAAGAAAUUGACAUUAUAAUUUAAGGGAUAGUUGCUGUUUUAAUCAUUAGAACUUAAGUCAAUUAUCCAGCUUAUCCUUGUAUUCUUAAAAACUAUAUAAAAUACCAUUAUCUCUUCUUUUGUAGCUAUUGAAUUCGACUUUCACAACAUAAAUAUUUAUUAGCAACAACUUAAAAUUCAAACAAAUAUAAUAUGUAAUGUAUGAAAUACAAAUAAUAGUUAAACAAAUUUUGAUUAUUUACUAUUAAAAUACAUUCACAUUAAUAUCUUAAGGAUAGGUGGUACUCAAAUAAUUUUUUAAAAAUCAGACCCAAAUUAUAUGCAUUGUUAAUAUGUAUUAUUGUCUAAUAUUUGGAUUUUGUUAAGUUACAACUGUUGUAACUUACGAUCUCUUCAAAAAAGAAAAUUGAGUCCCACCACCUAUUAAAUUUUUUACAUUAUUUUUUAAAAGACUGUAAGUUACAUCAGUUGUAACUUAACAGCACCCUUAAUAUUUUACUUUACUUUUAUAUCUUUACAAAACAAUACCAACAAGACAAUAAUGUAUGAAAUAAAUAAAAUAAAUAAAUAAAGAACUGAUAGCGAAAUUAAGUCUAUCAUUAGUUUCUUGUGGUGUGAACUCUUGACAAUUCUCCCACCUAAAACUCUCUAGUGGUGUGAACUUUUGACGAUUCUCCAAAAAUUUGUCAUAUUGCAAAAAGCAAUGUCAAUUGUAAUGUCAUUUCCAUUAGUCAUAGUGGCAGAUAGGACUAGAAAUUGUUGAAACCCAUUGACUUAUUUUUCUUUCUAAAAAUAAGAAAAGCACACCCGUCCGGGGAAAUAAUUUUGUAGUACCUCAUGUCGUGAAUAAGGGACAAUACGAUCCUUUUUUUAUUAUAGUAUUUUUAAAUUUAUUAACUAAAAAAUUAAUUCUAAUAUUUUAUAAUAAAUAUAAGUAGGAUAUUAAAAUGAAUAUAAUAAUGUAUACAUAUUAAAAUAAUUUCAAUAUCUAAAAAUAUUUUAAUAUUUUAAAAUCUCGUAGUCUAUUAAACCAAAUAAUAAUAAAUAGAGACAUAAUAUUCAAAUAAAUACAUAAAAAUUUAAAUUGUUUUCAAUAUCACAUAAAAUAAUUUUAAUAUUAUUAAUACAUGAGAAAUAUUAUAUUAAUUGUAAAAUCUAUUUAACCUAAGGAUUCAUUUAAAAUUUUUUGUAAUAAUUACAAGUAUUUUAUAGAUACAAAUAUAUUAAUUCACAUUUUAAAAAUUAAUAUUGAAAUUAAUUAUUUAAAUUUUAUAAAAAAUUUUGAAGUCUUUUUUUUUUUUUUGGCUACCAUCUACUAAGAGUAGUAUUAUGAUCAAAAGGGGUAUUGGUAUCCUAUAUUAAAAAUUUGAGGUCUACGUGACUAUUUUUCUAAAUUUUUAGGGUAUCAUUUUGUUUUUGACAAAAGUAAAAUUUCAUUUUUGACAAAAAUAAAAUUUCAUUUAAAUGGCUAAAAUGGUGAAUAAAAUAAUACUACAGUGGGCGUAAAUGGAAGGUAAGAAACAAUGAAAAUGAAUAGUCUAAUGUCACCACAGGCACAUAAGGCCAAAGUUUGUUACAUCUGAUCAAGGACAAUUUAGUAUGUGGAGUGGGUCCUGCGUGUCAUUUUUUGGGCAUCUACCUUCUUCAGCAUUGAAGAUUUGAUGUUGACGACAUUUUAAAAAUUUGGAAGACCCAUCAUACAUUUGGAUGGUUGUCAUUAUUUGAUAUUAUCAUUAUCUCGUGGUGAUCCUAUUAUUUAUGUGGCAAAAGAGGUAAUUAAAUAAAAUUUAAUUGGAUGUAACACUUGUUUCGCGUUGUGAACUUUUGACAAUUCCCCUAUAUCCCUCCAAAAACUUUCGUCAUUUUGCCAAGAUACCUAACGAUUGUAAUGUAAUUUUCAUUAUUCAUAGUGCCAGAUAAUGGAGGUCCAGGAACGGACCAGAAAUUAUUGCUACCCGUGGACUUUUCCAAUUUAUUUUUUUUCUUUUGGAUGGUUGACGUUAUUUGAUAGGAGGACGAGAUAGAGAUAGAGUUCUUAAUCGAACACCCGUUUUAUUUAAUGGGGAAAUUAUCAUUUCACCACUACUCUUUUGCCUUAUGCUCAUUCAAUUACUACAAAAUUUUAACAUGUUCUCUGCACUACUUUUCUUUUUUAAAUUUGUAUCAAUUACUCACUUUUAUACUAACACCAUUAAAUAAUUUAAACAAAAUAAUAAAUUUACCCCUAAAUAAAUUAAAAGACCAUUUUAUUUUAUAAAAACUUAAAAAAUAAAAAAUAAAAAUUAUAAUUAUAAUUAUAAAAAUACCCCUAAAUUUAAUAAAGAAAUAAAUCCCCAAAUUAGAAUUUUUAUUUUAAUAAAAAUUAUAAUUAUAAAAUAAUUGCAAAAUUUUGGGAUUUAAUAAACAUCCCCUAAAAUAUUAAAUUUUGGGAUUUAUUUUUAAUAAAUAAAUUUAGUUAUUUUAAUAAAAUUUUACAAAAUUAUAAAUUUGUAAUAAAAAUAAGCUGAGCGCCUCUAUUUUGGAUUAUUUUUUAUUAAAUUUAGGGGUAUUUUUGUAAUUCUAAUAUUUUUUUUCAAAGCUUUUAUAAGAUAAAAUGGCAUUUUAAUUUAUUUAGGAGUAAAAUUAUCAUUUCGUUUAAAUUAUUUAACAGUAUUAGUGUAAAAGUGGCUAAUCGAUUCAAAUUUAAAAAGAAAGAUAGUGCAGAAAACAUGUUGAAAUUUUGUGGUGGUUAAAUGAACAUAAGUCAAAAGAAAGAUGGUAGAAUGAUAAUUUCCCUAUUUAAUAUGGAAGAAGAUCUUUAAACUCUCAGUGAGGCUAUGGCUUCAACAGAUGCAGCCUUGUGGAAAGAGGCAACAAGUAAUGAGAUAGACUCAUUAUUAUCUAAUCAACUAGAUGCAUCAACAAGAUCUUAACUUAGAUUGGAACUUGAAGCAUUGUUGUUUGAAACAUUGGCUCAAGCCUUUAGAGCGAGGUUGGAUGCAAAAUGAUUUACAACAAAGAAAGGAAAAAAUAAAUUUACUAAUUUACAAAAUAAAUUUAGUAAAUUAAUAAAGUCAUUAUAUGAUCUUAAAUAAGCACUAAAGCAACAGCAUGAAAAUUUUGAUUCUAUGAUCAUGUUGCAUGGAUUUUAACAUAAUAACGAUGAUAAAUGCAUUUAUUCUAAAUUAAUGGAUAAAUAUGGUAUGAUAAUUUUCCUCAUUUGAGAAAGAAUUCUUAAAUAAUGUCCCAUAUUAAUUAGUAAAAGAGAGUCACUUGGGCUUAUAAGUAGUAGAGAUGGGCAAAAUUGGAUGCAGAUGAUAUUCGGGUUAAUAUGAUCAGAUUUUGGAUUGUUCGGAUUGAUAAAAAGUCAUAUGAAUGCAAUAUGAACUUGCAUCCAAUCCGAUUAUGUACGGAUCAUAUUCAAAUUGGAUGAAUAGUGCAGAUUAAUUUGGAUUCGGAUCAGAUCGAUAAUAUCAAACUGAAAUCGGAAUCAGAUGUGUUCGAAUAAAUCAGAUGAAUUUCAAUCACUUGCAAGUUGAAAUACAAAAUUGAAAAAUCAUAGAAAUUAAGAAAAAAAUGCAGCAAGCUAGCAAAUGGAAGAACAAAGGCAAAAAAUUAUAUUAUAAAUUAAUCGUAAAAAGGUGCUAUUAGCAAUUGUUGCACAAUGCGAAAAUGUCCUGGAACUCGCUGUGUAGACAUGCAAAAGUUCCGUAAGUGCAUUAACAAUUAUUUUCCAAAAAAAGGUUGUUGCGUCAAUAUUAAAGGAAUUGACAUCCAGGGACCCAGUUUAGUUGCUUAAUGAUUAAUUAAUUAAUCAAUUUAUAAUAUAUUAAUCUUUUAAGUUGAAUACUUAAAAUCUUAGACCCCAAACAAUAAAUCAUCUGAGUAAUAUAAAAGAGAAAUUAUCAUCCUAUUUUUUAUUUGACUUCUUGUAGCUUAUAAAAGAGAAAUUAUCAGUCAUUUACUCAAAGUUUAUUCAGUUAUUAAAAUUAAUAUAAAAUUUAAAUUUAUUUAAUUUUACACUCAAUGUAUGCAAUUUGUAUUAAACAUCCGUUAAAAACAUAAAGUUAUUCCAUCAAAGUGACAAAAUAGAAGCGAACACAAAAUUGUAUUGGUGAUUAUGUUUUAAGAGUAAUUUUAUCUUUUUAGUAAACAGUUAUCCACAUUGUAACAAUGGGUAUAAAAUUAAGUAUAUUUAAAUUUUUAUAACUUUUAGGAUAAUAAGAUAAUUUUUAGGUGGAUGACUGAAAAUUUUUCUUUUCAAAAUAUUUUGAAAACAAUACCAAAUGUACCAAAACAUUGUUUACUUACACUCUAUAUAUAUAUAUAUAUAUAUAUAUAUAUAUAUAUAUAUUUAAUUUCUUAACUCAUUCUUAUCCUUAUUCUUGCUAACAUAUCCACAAUCUGUCAAUGAAAUUUACUUUUAUAAAUUUGAAGAUUCUUUCAUGCAAUUUUGUACGAUAAUGAGUUCUCAUGUCUCUGUUAAAAAAGAAUUCGUAAAUAAUACAAAUGAAAAAAAAACAAAAAGUAGCAGGGCUGGCAAUACAAACCAUAACUUUUUUUCUUUGAAAUAUGCAUAAAUAAAGUUAAUAGUGAUGUGUCAGCACGAUCUUGAGAGCACGGCUUGGAGUCUCAAUAAUUAUUGACACUCAUAUUUGAAAACUUUUGAAAAGAUAAAAUCCAAUAUGAAAGGUGAAAUGUUAUAAUCAUAGUAACUAGAAAAUUGAUUGAUUUACAAAUAUCAAUUUAAACAAUUUUCAUGUUGAUCGACAAUUUAAGUAGAUUGACAAAGAUUGAAGUAAUUACUGUUGGUGAUUGAUUGACUUUGUCCUUAUCCUUGCCUUCUUCUUAUCAAAAAUCGAGUGUCAAUUAAAUUGGGCCAGGGCUUCUGAUUGCAACUAAUAGACUUCAUAUACGCAUAAUGCUCCCUACGGACAUACGUACCAGUAUUUGAUUGAAAAAGGGAUGCGUGCUUAAUGCUCAAGUCGUCUUCUUCUGGAAAUUCAUUGUUAUUACUCUCAUCAACUCGUUACUCACAUUCCUCUUUAGUCAACAGAGAUCUUUUGCUCAAUAAAAUUUUUCUUCUAUAUUCAAGGUGAAUACAGCAGCUCAUCAACUCUGAUCCCAGACAGGUAAAGAGGCGCACUUGUUCUAAAACCUUUAAUAUUCUUUUAGUAACAGAAUCUCUGAUACUUGUUCUUCAUAGCGGUUCUUUCUUAAUUUCCAUCACCUUUCCUAGGAAAAAAUUCUUUGGUUUUUCUUAAUCAUAUCAUUUAUUUUUCUGAAGUCAUAUAAUUUAGUUUUAGUAGCAGAAUACUUGAUAUUGAUAGCGGUUCUUUCUUAAUUUCCAUCAACUUUCCUUGAAGGAUACCUUUCUGUUAAUAGCAAAACAUCUGAUCCUUAAGAUAGAAAAAGAAAUUCUCUAUUUAGGUAUCAGUUGGUUCAAGAUCAAUAUCGCGAUGUUGUUUGCGGUCUUUUCUUUCUCCGUCUUUCCCUUUAGUUCAGUUUAAUUUAUUUGUUUUCCUUUCUUUGAUAUAUUAUUAGAUUUGUUAAGUAGCAGACAAUGGCAGAAGUUGGUCUGGCUGCUUUUUCCAGCAUUGUAUCAGAAGGUGCAAAGUCACUGUUCAAACCGAUUAUACGGCAGAUAUCUUAUGUGUUCAAGUACCAGAGCUACAUAGAUGAGCUAAAAGAUAAAGUGAAGCGGCUGGAACAUAAAAGAGAAAGGGUGGAAAUACCCGUUCAUCAGGCAACUCAACAAGGAGAUGAGAUUUAUAAGGAUGUUGCAGACUGGCUUAAUAGCGUCAAGGAAUUCACUCAGGGAGCUGCAAAAUCCAUCACUGAUGAUGAAGAUAGAGCUAAGAAGUUCUGUUUCAAAGGAUUGUGCCCAAACUUGAUCUCUCGUUACAAGCUCAGUAAACAAGCAGCAAAGGCUGCAGAAGCUGCCGCUAGUCUCGUGGGAAAAGGCAACUUCUCCAAUGUUUCCCACCGUCCUACUCCAAAGCUGGUAGAACAUAUGCAAGUGAAAGAUUUCGAGGCCUUUGACUCAAGAAUGAAAGUAUUUCAAGAUGUUUUGGAGGCGUUGAAGGAUGAUAAGCUCAAGAUAAUUGGGGUCUACGGGAUGGGCGGCGUGGGUAAAACCACGCUUGUCAAGCAAGUUGCGAAGCAAGUGAUGGAAGAUAAGUUGUUCGAUAAGGUCGCUAUGGCUGAGGUAACAGAGAACCCAGAUCAUCAGAAAAUUCAAGACAAACUAGCUUCUGAUUUAGGCAUAAAGUUUGAGUUGAAUGAGAGUAUAUUCGACAGAGCAAAUCGACUAUGUGGAGUAUUGAAGAACAAGGAGCGGCAUCUCAUUAUAUUGGAUAAUAUUUGGAGAGAACUGGAGUUCGAUAAAGUUGGAAUUCCUUCCAGGGAUGUCGAGAAAGAAAGAAUGGAUGAUCAGAGACGAUGCACAAUAAUACUGACGUCUAGACGUCAAGAUUUAUUGCGCAAUAUUAUGAAUUCUCAGAAAGAAAUCCAGAUCGAUGCUUUAUCAAAAGAAGAAGCAUUGCAUUUAUUUAAGAAGAUAGUGGGUGAUUCAAUGAAAACAUUUGCUUUUCAAUCUAUAGCAGAUGAGAUCGUUGAAAGAUGCGGAGGACUGCCUGUUGCACUGAUUACACUUGCAAAAGCUUUGAAAAAUGAGAGGCUUGACACUUGGAAAGAUGUGUUGAAUCAGCUAAGAAGUUCCAAUGCAAAAGAAAUUGAUGGAAUGGAAAUAAAUGUGUACAUCUCCAUAAAAUUGAGUUACGACUUAUUGGGAAGUAAGGAAGCAAAAUCUCUGUUCCUUCUUUGUGGUCUAUUUAGUGAAGGUCAUGCUAUACCAGUUUCUUCCUUAUUGAGAUAUGGUAUGGGUAUGGGCUAUUUUAAAAACGUUUACACACCGGAAGAAGCAAGAAGUAGAGUGCAUACGUUGAUCGGCAAACUCAAAUCUUCAUGCUUAUUGUUGGACGGUGAUACUGAAGCUAAAGUUAAAAUGCAUGACGUCAUUCAUGCUGUUGCUGUAUCAAUUGCAGAAGAGGAGCUCAUGUUUAAUAUUCCAAAUGUUGCCGACUUGGAGAAAAAGAUGGAAGAGACAGUACAGGAAGGUCCAAUUGCUAUUUCUUUACCUUAUAGAGGUAUUCAAGUGCUUCCUGAAAGGUUGCAAUGUCCCUGUCUUGAGCUAUUGCAUACGGAGGGUGAUGGCUCUAUGCAAGUUUCAGACCACCUUUUUAAAGGGACGGAAGGACUCAAAGUUUUGAAUUUUAAUCGAAUUCACUUCUCUUCAUUACCUUCAUCACUUGGUUGCCUCAUUAACCUUCAAACAUUGUGCUUAGACUAUUGCCGACUAAAAGAUAUAGCAAUAGUUGGACAGCUAAAGAAAUUAGAGAUUCUCAGCCUUGUAUAUUCCGAUAUCAAGCAGUUACCACUUGAAAUUGGACGAUUGACGCGGUUACAGUUGCUAGAUUUGAGCAAUUGUUGGAGCCUUGAGUUGAUACCACCAAAUGUCAUAUCAAAAUUAUCUCGAUUAGAAGAAUUGUUUAUGCAUAACAGCUUUUCACAGUGGGAUAAGGUAGAAGGAGGAAGUAAUGCCAGUCUUGUCGAGUUGAAGGGGUUGUCAAAGCUAACUACUUUGGAGAUACAUGUUUCGGAUUCCGAAAUUCUGCCGCUGGAUUUUGUCUCUGUGGAAUUGGAAAGAUAUAAGAUAUUUAUAGGACAAAUGUCUGUCCGGUGGCUCGUCGAAUCUAAAACAUCAACAUUGAUGGUGCUCAAGGGGCCAGAACAAGUUAGCCUUCUUUUGGGGAAUGAUGGGACGAAAAUGUUGCUGAAGAGAACUGAAGAUCUCCGUCUAUGCUCACAGAAGGGUGUUCAGAAUAUUGUUCAUGAAUUAGACGAUGGGGAAGGUUUUCCACGAUUGAAGCAUCUUCAUGUAAAAAGUUGUUCUGAGAUUUUACAUAUUGUCGGUUCAGUUGGACGGGUUCGUUGCGAAGUCUUUCCCUUGCUGGAGUCAUUGGAUCUUAUUAAUUUAACUAAUUUGGAGACGAUAUGCUACAGCCAACUCAGAGAAGAUCAAUCUUUCAGCAACUUAAGGAAAAUAAACGUAGAUUUCUGUCCAAAAUUGAAGUAUCUCUUCUCAUUCUCUAUGGCCAAAAACCUAUUGCGGCUUCAAAAAGUAAAAGUGGAAAACUGCGAUGAUUUGAAAAUGAUUAUUGGUAAGUGUUGAAAUUAAUUAUUGGUAGGAUUAUUGACAUUGACUCAUUCUUUUUUUCUUUUCUUUUUUUUUUUUUGGUGAAAAAAACAACGGAUGUUUAUUAUAUAUUGUUUUUGUUCAUUUAUAGGGCCCGACAUGGAGAAACCAACAACAACUCAGGGAUUCACAGAAAUCAUUGCAGAGGAUGAUCCUGUUCACCAAGUAAUAAUUUUCUGUUUAAUAAUUAAUUAAUUAAUAUAUUAUCACGAUUGAUCUUCAAUCAUCGAAAGAAUAUUAUAUUAGAAGUUGUAGUUGAAGGAACAAAAAUGUAUGGUUUUUCUUUGCAGGUUACUUUUCCACGCUUGGAGGAACUGAAACUUGUCAGUUUAACAAACAUCAAAAAAUUAUGGCCCGAUCAAUUUCAUGGAAUGUAUUGUUGUCAAAAUUUAACAGAAGUGACCGUGUUCGGUUGUGAUCGUCUGAAGUAUCUGUUUUCAUAUUCUAUGGUUAAUAGUCUUGGGCAACUCCAACAUCUUGAGAUACGAAAUUGCUGGUCAAUUGAAGGGGUAGUCAACACCACGGGGUUAGGAGGAAGAGAUGAAUUGAAGGUUUUUCCCAAACUACACUACCUGUCGCUCCAUUGGCUUCCAAAACUAAGUAGCUUUGCCUCACCAGAAGACGUCAUUCACACUGAAAUGCAACCUCAAUCCCUCUUUGAUGAAAAGGUUUUUUUUCAUUGAAUUUUUAAAUUCUCUUUUCGUUGAGUCUUCAAAUUUAAUUAAUAUCCAUCUCUAACUGCAUUGAAUUUUCAACUUCAGGUACGACUCCCAAGUCUGGAGGUAUUACAUAUUAAGAGGCUGGAUAAGUUGAGAAAAAUAUGGCACCACCAGCUUGCUUCGAAGUCAUUUAACAAAUUGAAAAAAUUUGAGAUAUCAGGGUGUCAUAAUCUACUGAAUAUUUUUCCUCCAUUGGUAAGAUUGCUAUAUUCAUUUUGAAUUUUUAUUUCAAAUAACAUUCAACAAUUAUUUUAAUCAUUUUUGUGUUUACAAAUAAUUUUCAUUCACAAAUUAUUUAUUGCAAGUAUUGUACUUCAAACUUCUGGAGGGAAAAAAAGUAGUGUACUUCAAAUCACCAUUCUGAACUCUGCAUUUUCAAUCUAAUUUAUAGGUUCACCUGCAUUAAAGUCAACAAUAUAAUUGUUUUAAACACGAUUCAACAGCAUAAUAUGAUUCAAUUUAAUUGUUUUUUUUCUUAAAUCCUAAUAAAUAAGAUUUCCAGAAAUUAAAAGAUACUUAGUUACUCAGCUUUUAAGUUCACAAAUUCAUAUAUAUUUCUCUUUUCCUUGGGUCUUUAGAUUUCGAUUUUAAAAAUAAAAUAAAGAAAAGUGUUCAAAUGUAGUUAAUAUCUCUAGUUUAGUUAUGAAUUGAUUACGCCAUUGAUUAAGCACAAAUUCAUGAUGGUCAUUUUGAAUCGACCGUUGAUUAAAAAAUUUCCUCAAAUAUUCACUCUAUAACAGUCCCAUGUUGAUGGCGUUGGGAAGUGUUUUCCAGAAAUGUUUUCCAUUUUUAAAAGCAUGAAUAUCGGGAAAAAAAAAAAUGGGAAAUACAGCGUUUUAGUUUAGUUAUUUUAAAAAUAGGCAUGUUUGAAAAUUAAAAAUUUUUAAAAACUAGCAUCAAGAUGAAAAAUGAAUUUAGAAUAUUUAAAAAUUACCUGAAAUUCUUUCUCUGUUCCUAAUACUAAAUAGUGUAAAUGCAUUUUCAUUAUCUUUGUUUUUCUGGUCUUCUAUUUAUUUAUUUUUGUUUUAAUUUUUUCCUUUUUUUCUUUAACAAAAAAUAUCUAGUAGACAUUCAUGGUUUGUUAUUUUUCAUAAAACAAUUGUAUGAUUUUGACAUACUUUGAAUCUAGUUGAAUGCUACUCUUUAUUUUCAGGUUGGAAUUCCCAAUAGUCUAGUGAAUCUUAAUGUAUCAUACUGUGAAAAAAUAGAAGAAAUCAUAGGACAUGUUGGAGAAGAAGCGAAGGAGAAUCGUAUUGCUUUCAACGAAUUAAAACAUUUGGAACUUGAUCAUUUACUAAGGCUUACCAGCUUUUGUUUGGAGAAUUACACUCUUGAAUUCCCAUCAUUGGAACGAGUAUCUGUGACACAUUGUCCGAACAUGAAGACUUUUUCUCAGGGAAUCGUAUCCACACCAAAGUUGCACGAAGUGCAGGUGAGUAAAAAGGAAGUAUUAAGUUUUAUAUGAAACUGUGAUGUUGUUUGGUUACUAAGAAAAUAGGAAGAAAGAAAACUUCUGUAAGCUGAGAAUUCUGUUAUUAUUGACCUAAUGAAUCUGGAAAUUACAAGCCUUUUUAUAUGUGCAUAGAAGAUUCUACACACAUUGCACACACGCACAGUUUAAUACUAACAACCUCUAUAACAACCUUUAGCUGACUCAGCUGCCAUGUCAGCAUACUCAUUAACUAACUAAUUCUAUUCUUAACAGGAAGAGGGUGAAUUGCGCCGUUGGGAAGGCAACCUUAAUUCCACUAUACAAAAGUGUUACGAAGAAAUGGUAUGUGUUAAAUCGAUUCGUCGAAAUUACUUAUGCAUCUCCCUUGCACUUGCACAUUUAAGUAUAUACACCUGCCUUGUAUAUAUAGUUUUAGAAGUUAAAACACAAAACAUGUAAGUUUAAUGUAUAUAUAUCUAAUGCCUUUCAAAAAGAAAAAAAAUUGUAUAUAUCCAGUGCAAUUGUUUUGGUUUGUGCAGAUUGGAUUUCGUGACAUAAUGCGUUUGCAACUUUCGCAUUUUCCACGUUUGCAAGAAAUAUGGCAUGGCCAAGCACUGCCUGUCAGCUUCUUCAACAAUUUAAGAGAGCUGGUGGUGGAUGACUGCACGAAUAUGUCGAGUGCUAUUCCUGCCAAUCUGCUACGGUGCUUGAACAAUUUGGAAUACCUGGCAGUGAGGAAUUGUGAUUCACUAGAAGAGGUGCUUCAUUUGGAAGAACUAAUUAAUGCUGAGGAAGAACAUUUUGGCCAACUGUUCCCUAAUCUUUACGAGCUAAAGCUCAUUGAUCUUCCAAAACUCAAAAGAUUCUGCAACUUCACUGGGAAUAUAAUUGAACUGCCUAAGUUGGACAAUCUAACUAUUGAGAAUUGCCCUAGUAUGGAAACACUGCCUGUCAGCUUCUUCAACAAUUUAAGAGACCUGGUGGUGGAUGACUGCACGAAUAUGUCGAGUGCUAUUCCUGCCAAUCUGCUACGGUGCUUGAACAAUUUGGCAUGGCUGAAAGUGAGGAAUUGUGAUUCACUAGAAGAGGUGCUUCAUUUGGAAGAGCUAAGUGCUAAGGAAGAACAUAUAGGCCCCAUGUUUCCUGAGCUUUCCCUGCUAGGGCUCAUUGAUCUUCCAAAACUCAAAAGAUUCUGCAACUUCACUGGGAAUAUAAUUGAAAUGCCUAAGUUGGAAUAUCUCAUUAUUGAGAAUUGCCCUGAUAUGGAAACAUUCAUAUCCAACUCUGUAGUGCACGUGACAACAGAUAACAAGGAACCUCAAAAAUUAACAUCAGAAGAGAACUUCUUGCUGGCUCAUCAAGUACAACCUCUCUUUGAUGAAAAGGUGAUUAUUAUUAUUAUUAUUAUUUUUCCCUUCACUUUCGUUUCAUAGAUGUAAUUUCAUUAGAAUCAAAUCAAAUUUAAUGACUCAUCUUUUUGCACGUCGUCUUAAUUUUUAUAUGAUUUAACAAUAUAACUGCAGUUAUUAACUAUCUUUAUAGUAUGAAUUAUAAAAAUGUCUGAAAUUAAUUGGAUGCCUGAUAACACGAGGUGAUCUAUUAAUUAUGUGUAUUACAUCUCUGUUUUCCUAGCUAAUUCAUAUUGGAUUUAGCAUCAGAUUUCAUUUAUGUGUUUCAAAGGGUAAUCGAUUUGAUACUUAUAUUUGGGAUCCUACUGCAAAGCAUACUAAUUUGGAAAUAAAAUAUAAAAUGCCGUGAUUAAUCUUGUCCAUAAAAUAUGCAGGGGAAGACUGCAGAGAUUGGAUACAUAUUUUCAUUUACAACUUAAUUUUGUUGAUUUUUAGGUUGCAUUCCCUCAAUUGAGUUGGUUAACGCUAUCUGGAUUACACAAAGUGCAGCAUCUCUGGAAGGAAAAUGACGAAUCCAACAAAGCGUUUGCAAACUUGGCAAGUCUAGAAAUAUCGGAAUGUAUUCAGUUGCAAAAAUUAGUACCACCUUCGUGGCAUUUGGAAAAUAUGUGGGGACUGGAAGUAUCGAAGUGUCACGGGUUGAUAAAUGUGUUGACGCUCUCAGCAUCUAAAAAUCUAGUGAACCUUGAAAGAAUGAAGAUAGCUGAUUGCAAAAGGAUAGAAGAAAUCAUACAGUCGCCGGUUGCAGAAGAAGCGAAAGAUUGCACUGUUUUCAAGAAAUUGAAGUACUUGACACUUGAUUGUUUGCCAAGCCUAACAAGCUUUUGUUUAGGUAAUUACGCUCUUGAAUUCCCGUCCUUGAAACAAGUAGUUGUGAGACAGUGUCCAAAAAUGAAGAUCUUCUCUCAAGGAGUCUUAGACACACCAAUGCUAAACAAAGUGAACGUCACCGAAGAAGAAAAAGAUGAUGAUGAUGAAGGAUGUUGGGAAGGCAACCUCAAUGACACCAUAAAAAAAUUGUUCAAUGAAAUGGUGAGUAUCAAUUAAGUUUUGAUGCUAUUUAGCAAAUUAUUUUAUAGAAACUAAUGUGAUAUAAUAUGAUUGGUUGACUGAAAAUAUAUAAUAAUAAUAAUAAUAAUAAAUAAAUAAAUAAAUAAAUUAUGAGGACCAUGUAAUGUUUUUGUUUAAUCAAUCAUAUUAUGUCGCAUUAGUUUAUACAAUAUUAUUUGUGCACAAGAGGUGGUGGUCAUAUCAUUACUCUAGCUUUAUUAUUCUUAUGGUGGCAAUGUAUGCUUGCUUACACGAGUAAUUACAAAAUCUGCAGAAUUCUAAAGAAGAGAUUGAGCCAACCCUUCAGGUACAGUGAAGAAGCUAUCCCGAACCAGGCCAAUCUCUUAUACAUGAUUCAGCUUGCUCGUUCUUCUGUACUUGAAUAAUUUGGUUCUAUAUAUUUACAAUUUUUCGCUCAUGCUACAGACUUGCAAGACACUUUGGAUUUUGUUUGAUGCAUUCUCCGUUUAAGAAAGGACUUGAAUUGAUGUUUCAUGUUUCAUGCAAUAUUCAAUUAGAUUCUGCCUAAAUUUCUGUAUUAUUCGUUCAAUUGGUCUUUUAAGCAUUUGAUUUCUAACCUCUCCUAAUGGAAGAUCAUUAUCUGAAGAAAACAGCAUAACAUUUGUGGCAUUAUCAGAAUAAGAAUAUUUUUGAGUAUAGUAAAAUUAUCUCCACCACUGUUAAAAAGAAUUAAUCAGUCAAACUGACCUCACACCAGCACGCUUUAAAUUAAAAGAAUUUCGUGAAGUCGAGACCAUGUUAUAGAUCUCAUGGAAAGAAGUAAACCCGUAAUUUUUUUCACAGCAUCAUAAGAAAAAUCAUUUUUUUUAAGUAUUUUUGCUAGCUGUUGAGUUUUAAUAGUAGUAGCUAUUAAACAAUAACAAUUAGUGUAUAUUAAAAAGUUGGAAACUGGUUGAUACCACUCGGGAAUCGAGCAGUUCACUUGUUUGCGAGUAGAAACCUACUUUACUACUAAUUACACUCAUACCAAAAAUAGUAACUAAAGAAUCAGGAAAUUUCCUAUUCACUAUUCUUCAUUUUUUAAUGCAAAAUUCCCAUUCGAAAACACCAAUGACUUUCAUUCAAAGUAAAUGAGAAAUUACAAUGAAAAUAGAAUCAAAAUACAUGUAUGUAUACCUAAAACAAAUGAUUUUUUUAAUUAAAAAAAAAACACAGUUGAGGUGAAAUGAAACCAGAGUCAUGAUAUCUCUGGUUCCAGCUUUGGGACAACAGCAGACUUGAGUUCUCUAUGAGAAACACGUACAACACCAAUCAGCCGCUCCGGUAAUUCAUCUGUAGUAUUUGCCUGCAUACAGAAGAGCAAGAUAAAGAAGACACACACAGAAGCAUUAUAUCAUUCUGAGAACAUUCAAGUAUGCAAAAAUGCAAGUUGCAGUGCAAUAUCUCAAAAUCAUGUCUUUUCCCUUGUGUCCAUUUAGCAGUGGGGGAAAAAAACAAUCAUACAUACCUGUACAAGGAAAGCCAUGUCAACCACCAAUGUCGUAAUUACACCAAUUACAAGGCCCAAAACUCCAUUAGCAACAGUAGAAGAAUCGAUGUCAACAUCAAUCUACAGAAAGAUGAACAAUGUUAAACCAUGUUAAAGGUAUUGGACGCUAUUUGAAAGGGGAACAUCUCAUGUACUAUAGAAAUUCCAAGAGCAUUUACUUCUAAGUACUUGGGACCGCGAAUAUAGUUACAAUCAACUGCCUUCCCCAAUAAACAAGGGGUGCUUCCAACACUCUGGCGCACUAUCCAUGACCCCUGCAUGAUUCAGUGCUGAAAAUCAAGAACAAGUGCAAAACAAAUUCAAGAGGGUAAAAAGGAGAUAAAGUUUGAAGGUACAACCCAUCAAUACAUUCACACCUAAAUGCAUGCCUUCUUUGUACAAAUUGAAGUGUACCAUGCAGUAAAGGGUAAGUAUACGUUAAUAUAGUCCUACUACAUGAAGGCCAAGAUGGAUACCUUAGGAACAGAUGGAAUAAGUUUCAACCUACUAUUGCGAAAUUCAUCAUCGCCAUCAACAAACCGUUGCAAAAGUGAUCCCGUAACCAAUUGCCUUGUGACAAAAUAAAAUACCAUACUAUAAUGUGUUGAACCAGGAACCUGCAGAUGCUUAGGUUACAACUAUACAACCUCCCAAUACAAUAAGUUUGAAACUUAUACCUUCUGAAAUGAAACAAACUUUCUUGAAGAUUAAAGAUCAGUGAGAAAAGCCCUUUUUCAGAAGCAACCUACAUAUUUUAGAAUAGGGCUCAGUGCGUUAUAGAUUCAAUGAACCAUGAGAAGUUAUUUACAUUGUUGUAUCUCACAGGCAGUCUUUUCUCCUAAUGUAUCAAGGGAAAAUGCUAGUGAAUUGAAUGAAGCUAGAGCAGAGCAUGAUGUUGCUGUGUAGCUGACUUUAGCAGAUCAACUCACUAAGCUAACCUGGCAAAGUUAUUUAGCUGGUUGAGCUGAUGUGUCAAAUUAGUUAUGCAGCAAAUGGUUAUGUGAUGUAACAAACUCGUGUGUGUGUUGAGCAAAUUGUAGCUUAAUAUAAAUAUCAGUCUGUAUUCAUUCAGUUGUAAUGCUAAAGUAAUAAAGGUUCUACAAACUUCUUUACAGAGCUUUCUUUUAUUUUCUUCAUUUUCUAGCUUGCCAAACAAUGCAAAACUAAGUUUCUUUCAUGGUAUUAGAGCCAUAAAUGGCGAAUACAGUUCAAAAUAACAACUCUUUUAGUUUUGUUACGCCUGUAAAGCUAGACCAAAACAACUUCAUUUUAUGGCGGGCACAAAUUUUAGCAUCGAUCAAAGGAAACGGUCUGGAAGGGUUUAUCAAUGGUGAUCAAGAAUGUCCUGAGCAGUUUCUUUCUUCUGGAAACAACAAUGGAGCUGAAAUUUUUACUGAAUCUGAAUCCAAAUCUAUUAAUCCAGAGUUCAUAGCUUGGAUGAAGACUGAUCAACUUCUGUUGAGUUAGAUGAUGUCGUCGAUACAGCAAAAUCUACUUGCUACUGUGAUUGACUCCACAACUUCAAAACAGCUUUGGAAGACUCUUACUAGUAUGUUUAUUUCUUAAUCACAAGCUAGAAUUCAAACACUUAGAAUGCAGAUUCAAACUAUUAAGAAAGGUGCAAUGCAUAUGUCUGAUUACUUUGCAAAAGUAAAACGUAUAGCUGAUACUUUAGCUCUAGCUGGAAAACCUGUUGAGUUAAGUGAUCUUGUGAUGCAUGUAUUAACUGGUCUUGAUUCAUCAGAUUAUGAAUCUUUAGUCACAGGUGUUUUAGCUCGAGGUGAGAAGAUAACAUUAGAUGAACUAUAUCCUUUGCUAUUGAAUCAUGAAAAUAGAGUUGAACAAAAGAAAGGAAAAAUUGCUGGUGAUGUGAUGCACAAUAUGACAGCAAAUAUUGCUCAAAAGAACUCAUAUGCUGGAAAGAAUAAUGGCAAUUUUCAAAAAAAUUAUGGAAAUAAUUCUAGGUAUGGAGGUUUUAAUGGAUAUGGAUAGGGUCAGUUUAAUAAUGGUGGUAAUUCCUCUGAAAUUGUUUGUCAAAUCUGCUUCAUACCUGGUCAUGCAGCCAAUAGAUGCAAAAAUAGGUACAAUUCAUCUUUUGUUCCACAGAGAAACUAUGGCAGAGGUAAUAUGAAUGGUGGCAGAGGUUUUAAUCAAGGGCAAUAUGGUAGAGGAAGAGCUUUUAAUAGUAAUGGUGGCAGAGGUUUUGGAGGUUUUGGUUUAAAUGCUGGUUUUGGCUAUGCACCCAGGGGUUUUGGCUAUCAAGGAAAUAUGGUGUAUCCAGAUAGUAAUCCUUCUGCUUAUUACUCAUUCACCCCUGGACCAUCUACUUUUGUUUCUGGUCAAGGAAAUAAUAAUCCUGGACAGUCAAGUGCUUCAUCUUCCUCAGCUAUGCCUUCUUCACUUCCACCAGAACACAUUGAAGAUCCUUCAUGGUAUAUUGAUAGUGGAGCAACAAAUCACAUUACAAAUGAUCUAGGUAAACUUCUGGAUUCACAAAUUUAUACUAGUACUGAAAAAUUAUUUGUUGGAGAUGGAAAUGCAUUAGCUAUUACACAUGUAGGAUCAGUUGUGCUAAAUACUUCAACUUCUAAACCUUUAAAAACCAUGUUCUUCAUGUCCCUUUUAUUACUAAGAAUUUGCUUAGCAUUUCAAAAUUAUUGGCUGACAAUCCAGUUACUGUUGGAAUUUCUUGGUGAUUUGUUUUUUAUAAAGGCUAGGAACACAAGGAAAAUUUUACUUGAAGGUGUUGCUAAAGGUGACUUGUAUAGAGUCUCUUCACAUGUUGCUGCUCAUUCAGUCUUUCUCAAUUCAGUUGGUCAAAAUAAAAUUCACUCUCUUUGCUUGUUCUCCUGUUUUCAAUUCUGAUCAGCUCACUGCUGUUAGUUCUUAUGAAUUGAAUAAAAAGCCAUGUCUGUCAGUUGUUACAAAGAGUUCUAUUGAUGUAAAUCUUCUUCAUAGAAGAUUAGGACACCCAGCAUCUUAUACUCUCAAAACUAUACUCAAAACUUGUAACAACUCUACUGCUUAUAAUAAAAUUGAAAGCUUGAAAUUUUGUUCAGCAUGUCAAUAUGGGAAAAAUCAUAUGCUGCAUUUUGAUUCAGUUGAAACAAAAACUUCAGCACCCUUACAAGUGAUAUAUGCAGAUCUUUGGGGUCCUUCUCAUGUCUGUUCUACCCAAGGAUAUAAUUACUACUUAUCAAUCUUAGAUGAUUAUAGUAGAUUUACCUGGAUAUUUCCAUUGUCAGCCAAAUCUGAUGCUCUUGAAGUGUUUACCAAUUUCAAAAUUUUUAUUGAAAAGCAUCUUCAACUUCAAAUCAAAACUGUCCAAACUGAUUGGGGAGAAGAGUUCAGAACAUUUUCCUCAUUACUCACUGCUUCUGGUAUCCAUUUUAGACACCCUUGCCCACAUAUUCAUCAUCAAAAUGGAAGAAUUGAGAGGAAACAUAGACACAUAGUUGAUGUAGGUCUGACCUUAUUAGCUCAAGCACAUUUACCACUCAAAUUUUGGUGGAAUGCAUUCCACACAGCUGUCUAUUUGAUAAACAGACUUCCAACUCCAAUUCUAAACAACAUUUCUCCUUUCCAAAAGUUAUUUCAUCAUCAACCAGAUUAUUCAACACUUAAAACCUUCGGUUGUGCUUGUUAUCCAACACUCAGACCAUACAAUAGACAUAAGUUUGAUUUCAGAACUGCCAGAUGUAUAUUCAUUGGCUACAAUUCACAACACAAGGGAUAUCAGUGUCUUCACUCUUCUAAGAGGGUUUACAUUUCAAAUCAUGUCACCUUUGAUGAAAAUUCUUUUCCUUAUGAGUCUGGAGCAGAUUUUUCUUCACUCUCUUCAAGUUGUCAGUCAACAAAAAAUUAUAAGUCUUCUUUCAAUUCCUCUGUUCCUUCUAUUACUCAGUUACAAGCACCUUUAGCAGCAUCAUCAGAACACCAUCAAAAUGUUCAUCAUUCAGAUGCUCCUACUCCCUCACCAAAUUCUACUCCACUUUAUUUUUCUGAUAAUUCCAACUCAGCUUCUUCUUCUUCACCACCACAUAAUUCACCUCCACAUACAUUGCCACAACCUGCAUCAACUGGUCAUCCAAUGAUAACCAGGUCAAAAGCAGGUAUUUUCAACCCAAAAAUUUAUUUGUCAGCUUUAUUAGCCCAGAAAUCAGAACCAACUUCUGUUUCCCAAGCACUUUCUGAUCCUAUGUGGUAUAAGGCUAUGCAAGAAGAGUAUCUAGCACUUAAAACUAAUCACACCUAGGAUUUAGUUUUACAUGCUACUCCAGUGAAGAUAGUUGGCAGCAAAUGGGUGUUUUGAAUAAAGUAUAACUCAGAUGGUUCAGUUUCAAGAUAUAAAGUCAGGCUUGUUGCAAAGGGGUUUCAUCAGACACAUGGGAUUGACCAUACAGAAACUUUUAGUCCAGUGGUUAAAGCUUCAACUGUUAGAGUUAUUCUUAGCUUAGCAGUAUUGAAUCAAUGGGUGAUUAGGCAAGUAGAUGUUAAUAAUGCCUUUCUAAAUGGCAUUUUAAUUGAAGAGGUGUACAUGGCUCAACCUGAAGGUUUUGUUGACUCAACUAAACCUAAUCAUAUCUGCAAGCUGAAUAAAGCUUUGUAUGGCUUAAAACAGGCACCUAGAGCCUGGUUUGAUAGAUUCAAGGAUGCAAUGAUCUCUAAACGGCAUUUCCAGCAUUCAAGGUCUGAUAACUCUCUGUUUCAUGCCUGGAACAGUGGUCAUCUAACUCUUGUUUCGGUCUAUGUUGAUGAUAUUAUCAUCACUAGUUCCAGUCCAACACUAAUUCAGCAAGUUAUUAAGAUUAUGAAUUUGCUUUAAAAGACAUGGGGGAACUUAGCUAUUUUCUGGGGAUUGAAGUCAGCAAGUCUUCACAAGGGGUUUCCUUGACACAAGCAAAGUAUAUUACUGACAUUCUGGAUAAACAUGGCAUGACAGAUUGCAGUCCUGUGCCUACUCCAAUGUCUACUGGUUAUUAUCUCACAAAAGAAUCAGGAGAGCUAAUUGAUAAUGUUUCUCAAUAUAGGAGUGUUAUAGGAGCUCUUCAAUAUGUUACUCUUACCAGACCUGACAUUGCUUUCUCUGUAAACAACCUAAGUCAAUUCCUUUCAAGUCCUAGAACACAACAUUGGGAAACAUGCAAAAGGUUAUUGAGGUACUUAAAAGGCACUAUACAUCUUGGGCUGCAAUUUAAUAACAAAGGAGCUUUGCAACUACAUUGUUUUUCAAAUUCUGACUGGGCUUGUGAUCGUGAUGAUAAGAAGUCAGUGGCUGGCUUUGCUGUUUACCUAGGCCCUAAUCUAGUCUCAUGGUCAUCAAAGAAACAAGCUGUUGUUUCCAGGUCCAGCACAGAGGCUGAGUAUAGAUCUCUUGCUCAUGCUGAUUCAGAGGUUCCCUGGUUACAAUCUUUACUUGGUGAACUUAACAUCAAAUUGAGCUCUACUCCUAUGAUGUGGUGUGAUAAUCAAGAAGCAAUUGCUUUAGCUUACAAUCCAGUCUAUCAUGCUAAAACUAAGCAUGUCGAAUUGGAUAUACAUUUUAUCCGAGAUAAAGUUACUGCUAAAGAGAUUGAAGUAUGUUUUGUGCCCAGUCAAGAUCAAACAGCAGAUGUGUUGACUAAGGCUUACUUUCAAACAGUUUAGUUACUUAAGAAGCAAGCUGAAUGUUCAUCCUAAACAUUUCAGCUUGAGGGGGGAUGUUAGUGAAUUGAAUGAAGUUGGAGCAGAGCAUGAUGUUGCUGUGUAGCUGACUGUAGCAGAUCAACUCACUAGGCUGACCUGGCAAAGUUAGUUAGCUGGUUGAGCUGAUGUGUCAAAUUAGUUAUGCAGCAAAUGGUUAUGUGAUGUAACAAACUUGUGUGUGUGUUGAGCAAAUUGUAGCUUAAUAGAAAUAUCAGUCUGUAUUCAUUCAGUUGUAAUGCUAGAGUAAUAAAGGUUCUACAAACUUCUUUACAGCGCUUUCUUUUAUUUUCUUUCAUUUUCUAGCUUGCCAAACAAUACAAAACUAAGUUUCUUUCAGAAAAGGAAAAAUAAAAAGAAAAGAAUAGUUACUGUUGAAAAUAAAGAUUCAAAGUUAUGAUUUCUUUGUAAUCUAGGCUAUUUUAGGAAUAAGUUAAAUUAUAAUGGGAAGAUUCAUUAGGAUUUUUUCCAGAUUUUGUUUCCUAUUAUUUAGGAAAGGAUAGAUGUAGUCUCCUAUUUUCUCUCCUAUUUUGCUGUAUAUAUUCCCUGUACAUACUGUUCUGGAAAGUAAGAAAAAGAGGAACCAAUUCACAUUUUUCUUCAUGGUAUCAGAGCCUGGCUCUAAACCCUAGUUCUCCUAUCAGCCGCCAUUUCCUUCUUCUCUCAUAAAUUGAACAAUCUACCUUCCUUCCUCUCCCAUCAAUUGUAUUCUCUGUGGCAAAAUACGGGAUGGCUUCCUCAUCAACCUCUGUUACAGUAUCACAGUCUAAAGGAAACGUGGAGACUGCAACUCAUGGUGGAAUUGAUUCUUCACCGAUCUUAAUUACCAGUCAUAAAUUGAACGGCCACAAUUAUCUCCAGUGGUCACAAUCUGUCAUGAUGUUCAUCUGUGGCAAGGGUAAGGAUGAUUAUCUCACGGGUGAGGCGGCCAUGCCAAAGGUAUCAGACCCUAGUUUCAAAAGGUGGAAGUCAGAGAACAACAUGAUCAUGUCAUGGCUUAUCAAUUCCAUGAACAAUGAUAUUGGUGAGAAUUUUCUUCUGUUUGGGACUGCAAAGGACAUAUGGGAUGCUGCAAAGGAAACCUAUUCUAGCUCUGAGAACACAUCAGAGUUAUUCCAGAUUGAAACCAUCCUCCAUGACUUCCGCCAAGGAGAACAAUCUGUCACUCAGUACUUUAAUACUCUGACUAGGCAUUGGCAACACCUUGAUCUAUUUGAAACAUACCCUUGGAAGUGCACCGACGAUACAACCUUGUACAAGAAGAUUGUGGAACAGAAGAGAACGUUUAAAUUUCUCCUCGGACUCAAUAAAGAUCUUGAUCAGGUUAGGAGCCGUGUACUCGGGACAAAGCCUCUACCACGCCCUCGUGAAGCCUUUUCUGAAGUUAGGCAUGAAGAAAGUAGGAAAAAGGUGAUGAUGGGGUCAUCAGAACCAACACUGGACGCCUCUGCACUUGCUGCCCGUGCAUCCAACUCUGUAGGGGUUAGUGAAAAUCGUACAAAGAAAGAAAGACCAUGGUGCGAUCACUGUCGUAAGGCAGGCCACUAUAAGGAGAGUUGCUGGAAAAUUUAUGGCAAGCCUGCUGAUUGGAAACCUCGUUCCAAAGGUGACCGUGAAUCUCGUGCUCAUGCAGCAUCCACCACGGACAAUCAGGCCCUACCCGAGCCAAAUCCAUUCAGCAAGGAGCAAAUGGAGAUUCUUCAAAAGCUUUUCGAUCAAGCCACUUUGAACUCCAAUGCAGGGACAAGUCUAGUGGCUCAGAAAGAGACUCAUUCAGCAUUUGCAGCCACUAAUGGAGCAAGCAAACCUUGGAUAAUUGACACUGGUGCUUCUGAUCACAUGACUGGAGAUGCCUCAAUGUUGCAGGAUUAUAAAGCUAGCAUCAACAGCACUUCAGUCUGGAUCGCAGAUGGCUCUCACACAAAAAUAGCAGGGACAGGUUCCAUCAGACUCACUAAGGAGUUACACCUUAAUUCUGUACUUUAUGUGCCUAAUUUGGCUUGCAAUUUACUUUCAAUCAGUAAAUUCACUCGUGAUCAGAAUUGUGUAACUAAAUUCUAUCCAAAUAUGUGCGUUUUUCAGGACUUGGAUUCGCGAAGACGAUUGGCAGUGCUGAGCUAUGUUCUGGACUCUAUCUACUCAAAAGCGAUCAAUCCUCCUUCAUACAAGAUUCGAGAGCAAACUGUGCCAAGUCCAAUAGUCUGUCAACUAGUUAUCCUCAUUCUAUUGUUAGUCCAAAUGUCAAUAACGAUAGUGAAAUUGUUCUGUUACACUAUCGAUUAGGUCAUUCUAGUUUCAUGUAUCUCGCAAAAAUUUUUCCCAAUCUAUUCAUCAAUAAAAACCCUUUAUCAUUUCAUUGUGAAAUUUGUCAAUUUGCAAAACAUACUCGAAAUGUUUAUUCAAGUGUUAAGUAUAAGCCUUCUCGUCCAUUUGCUUUAAUUCACAGUGAUGUGUGGGGUCCCUCAAGAAUUAAAAAUGUUUCUGGGGCUCGCUGGUUUUUGUCAUUUGUGGAUGAUCAUACUCGUCUCACUUGGGUGUUUCUCAUGAAAAACAAAUCCGAAGUUAGUCAAAUCUUCCAAAACUUUAACGCCAUGAUUCAAACCCAAUUCAAUACCAAAAUCCAAGUCCUUAAAACCGACAAUGCCAAGGAAUAUUUCAAAGACUCCCUCAGCUCAUAUCUUCUCCAUCAAGGCAUUCUUCACAUCAGUUCUUGUGUUGACACCCCGCAACAAAAUGGGGUCGCUGAACGCAAAAACAGACACCUUCUUGAAGUGGCUCGCUGUCUUUUGUUCUCAUCUCAUGUUCCUAAUUUUUUCUGGGGUGAAGCUGUUCUCACUGCAGCCUACUUAAUCAACCGAAUGCCUUCUAGAGUCUUGGGGUUUCAUUGCCCAAGAAAAGUUCUUCUCAAUUUCUUUCCACACACUAGGAUUGUUUCAGCAGAUUUACCACAAAAAAUAUUCGGUUGCACAGCAUAUGUCCAUGUUCACUCUCAACACAGGACUAAACUUGAUCCCCGAUCUCUCAAGUGUAUAUUUUUAGGCUAUUCUCCACAUAAAAAAGGAUACAAAUGCUAUUCUCCUCAUACCAGAAAAAUAUACAUUUCCAGAGAUGUAACAUUUGUUGAAAACCUGCCUUUAUAUUCCAAAACUGUUGUUCAGGGAGAGAGUAUGAGCGAACAUCAGCCUUGGGAAUCUUCUUGGCAAUCUUGGCUGGAAACCCCUCAUGAAAACCCUCAUAACUCAACCACCACACAUGAUCAAUCUAUCCAACAGCCACAAUCAGCAAUCCUCCCAACAUCUUCACAACCUUUUGAGUCAUCUGAGUCCUCCCAACCACAAUCAGCCGAGUCACCCCGUCAUCCAUCAGCCCAUCAACUACAGCCUCUAAUCUCACCUCUUCCACAGCUUGCUGUUGAUAAUCUUAAUGUUUAUAGGAGGAGAAGAACUGGAGAGCAGAUAGAGCACAGAACUCAGCCACAUGUCCAAGAAACUGAACCAAAUCCAAGCUCUUAUGAAGACAACACAGGUAUGGAUAGUCUUGCCUCGGUUGAGUUCAUGGUUCCAAGUGUGGAUGAUUCUAAUAAAUCAAUUGCAGAAAGAAAGGGGGUUCAAAGUUGUACCACUCAUCCAAUUGCCAAAUAUGUCUCAUAUGAUGGUUUGUCCCCAUCAUACCGAGCCUUUGUUUCUUCUUUAGAUAAUCUACAUGUUCCCAACAAUAUACAAGAGGCUCUCGGUCAUCCUGAGUGGAAGAGAGCUGUUCAUGAAGAAAUAAAUGCUCUUGAGAAAAAUGAUACAUGGGUUAUAACAGAUCUUCCUGCAGGGAAACGACCAGUUGGAUGUAAGUGGAUUUUUACUGUUAAAUACAAGGCAGAUGGAAGUGUUGAGAGCCUCAAAGCUCGUCUUGUAGCUAAAGGGUUCACACAGUCAUAUGGGAUUGAUUAUCUUGAAACCUUUGCUCCGGUUGCGAAGCUCAACACCAUUAGAAUCUUGCUCUCCUUAGCAGUAAAUCUAGAUUGGUACUUAUACCAACUAGAUAUAAAAAAUGCGUUUCUCAAUGGCGAUCUUGAAGAAGAAGUGUUUAUGGAAGUUCCCCAGGGUCUUGAUCUGAAUCUUACUAGAAAUAAAGUGUGCAAGCUCAAGAAAUCUUUGUAUGGGCUUAAACAAUCCCCUCGAGCAUGGUUUGAUAGAUUUGCGAAGGCAGUUGUGAGACUUGGUUACACUCAGUGUCAGGCAGAUCACACUUUAUUCCUCCGAACAUCACAAGCAAAGAAGAUCUCUCUCCUAAUCGUAUAUGUUGAUGACAUCAUUCUCUCAGGAAAUGAUGAGGAAGAACUGCAGAAGUUGAAGAAACAGCUAGCUCAGGAAUUCGAAGUUAAAGAUCUAGGGAAUCUGAAAUAUUUUCUUGGGAUGGAGGUGGCAAGAUCUAGGAAGGGAAUUGUUGUCUCCCAAAGGAAAUACACCCUGGACUUACUAAAGGAGACUGGUAUGAUUGGGUGCAAACCAGUAGAUACUCCUAUGGAUCCCUACAAGAAACUAGGCUCAGUUGAGAAUAGUGUUCCAGUCAAUAGAGGGAGAUAUCAAAGACUGGUUGGUCGUUUAAUUUAUCUCUCACAUACCCGUCCGGACAUAGGCUUUGUUGUUAGUGUUGUGAGCCAAUUCAUGCACAAUCCUACAGAGGAACACAUGGAUGCAGUCUUUAGAAUUUUGAAGUAUCUAAAGAUGACACCUGGAAAAGGAUUGUUUUUCAAGAAAUCAGAAUAUAGGAAUAUUGAGAUCUACUCUGAUGCAGACUGGGCUGGAGACAUCACAAAUAGAAGAUCAACAUCUGCUUACUGUUCCUAUGUCUGGGGAAAUCUAGUAACCUGGAGGAGUAAGAAACAAUCAGUUGUAGCUAGGAGUAGUGCAGAAGCAGAGUUCAGAGCUUUGGCAAAUGGAAUCUGUGAAGGAAUUUGGAUAAAGCGUGUACUCAAGGAACUCGGUGUGUGCAGCCCUUCAUCCAUUCUAAUGAGGUGUGACAAUCAAGCAGCAAUCAGCAUCGCAAAAAACCCAGUGCAUCAUGAUCGAACCAAACAUGUCGAGAUUGAUAGGCACUUCAUCUCAGAGAAGGUCACUAGUGGAAGUGUGGAACUAAAGUACAUUCCAACUAGACAACAAAUUGCAGACAUCCUUACUAAAGCACUGCCAAGACCUAACUUUGAAGACUUAAGUAACAAGCUGGGUUUGUAUGAUAUACACACACCAGCUUGAGGGGGAGUGUUGAAAAUAAAGAUUCAAAGUUAUGAUUUAUUUGUAAUCUAGGCUAUUUUAGGAAUAAGUUAAAUUAUAAUGGGAAGAUUCAUUAGGAUUCUUUCUAGAUUUUGUUUCCUAUUAUUUAGGAAAGGAUAGAUGUAGUCUCCUAUUUUCUCUCCUAUUUUGCUGUAUAUAUUCCCUGUACAUACUGUUCUGGAAAGUAAGAAAAAGAGGAACCAAUUCACAUUUUUCUUCAGUUACUUGUGCAGUACAGCCUUGACGCCUAGCUACAUGGUCCAUUCUCUUUGUGUCUUUGAACCAAUCAACAGCAACAAGAUCCAUUAAAUGUUUUCCCGCAGGUGUCUGCAGUUACAAAUUGCACAAAGCACAAGAGCCAACCAAACUACAUCAUAACAUGUCGACCUAGCAUAUGCAGGAUAUAUAAAUACCAUAACAAACAACCAAAAUAUGGGGGAACCUUUGUUUUGUCAUAACAAAAAUGCUUGCUACGAACUCUAAAGUUAUUUCCACCAGAAAGUUUCCAGCAGUCACGAGCAUUAUCACAGUCAUCGUGUCGCAGAUUGCCGGAAAAAUAAGACAAAUCAAUUUGAUCAGCCUGCUCUUCCUCUAGGGUAACAACUAAUUGAAAAUUAUAAACCAAAAAAAAAAAAUCAAUACCAUAAAAAUCCACUAAUGAGGACAUUAGCCAAAUAUACAAAAAUGAAUACUUAUCAUCCACCUGUCCUCUUGAAAUCAUUCUCAAUCUUUUUUUCAUUUGCCUGAAAUCCCAAGGAAAAAUAUGGAACUAAUACUUCCCAUUCAUGACUAUUGUCUGUCAUAUAAACAUGACAUUUAAUUGAAAUAGUAAAAUUAUUUAAUUAUUUUAAUUAAAUGUUAAUCCUAUAAAUUAUUUUUGUUAAAUCUAGCAAGAAUAACUAACAUUUCUUUAAGAUAUAUUUUGGCGGUAAAUUAAAAAAAAUUAAUUAUUUGGCGGGAAUUAUUGAAAUUGGAGCCAUUUUUUUGUGGGAAUUGAAAUAUAUUCUUUAAAUUAUUAUAUAAAAAGAAAAAUGUACAUACACACACAUAUAUAUAAUUUAUAUAUAAAAAUUCUCUAAUUUGUUCACAAGUAUCAUAGAUUAUAAUUCAGUUAUGAAAUAAAAUAACUACAAGGAAAAAUAUGUAACUAAUACUUCCCAUUCAUGACUAUUGUCUGUCAUAUAAACAUGACAUUUAAUUGAAAUAGUAAAAUUAUUUAAUUAUUUUAAUUAAAUGUUAAUCCUAUAAAUUAUUUUUGUUAAAUCUAGCAAGAAUAACUAACAUUUCUUUAAGAUAUAUUUUGGCGGUAAAUUAAAAAAAAUUAAUUAUUUGGCAGGAAUUAUUGAAAUUGGAGCCAUUUUUUUGUGGGAAUUGAAAUAUAUUCUUUAAAUUAUUAUAUAAAAAGCAAAAUGUACAUACACACACAUAUAUAUAAUUUAUAUAUAAAAAUUCUCUAAUUUGUUCACAAGUAUCAUAGAUUAUAAUUCAGUUAUGAAAUAAAAUAACUACAAUAAUUAUAGUUAAAUGAAUACUUCAUUAAUUCUUAAUUUGCUUCCUAACAUUAAAUGAACAACUUGAGCCAACCACCUGAAUCAACCAGUAACAACGCCUGAGUCAACCAUCUGAAAAAACCAGCAACCCUAGCUGAUUCAAGCACCUGCAAUUAACAUCAACACAUCAGGAACAAUCGUAAAUCAGCACCAAGAACAGACCAAACUGCCAUCAAAUGCCACAAAACCAAACAGUCUGCUACUGCCAUCAAAUGCAAGCAAACAUAUGCAACAAAACCAGAUGCAAGUGAAAAUCUGGAGAAUAUCGGAUAAACCAAACCAAAUGCCACACUUCUAGUAAUUAGACUAGAUGCAGUGUUCAAUUAAACUAAAUGUAGUCUCAUAUUACAUUCAAAGGUGAAAACACUGUAAAAAAAAAUACAGCCAAAACAAUUGUUUACUUUUAAGUUCUAACAAAGCGUAACAGUCCAAAACCAAAACAUCUUAACUACCAAGCAAACAUCUAACAUAAUUAUUAAAAUUAAAAAGGAAAAAACAUAGGAAUCUCAGUUCUUAUACAUUUUGUAUGCAUUUAGUAAGCACACGCACAUAGACCAUCUAUGCAUAACCUUCUUCUAGCCCACCUGCAGAUGUCACAGAGAAGAGACAUUUUUUGCAGCUUGAAGUGCUCCAAUUGCUUUGUGAAGGUCCAAUUGUAAGCCUAAAUAUUGAAUCCAUGAGUCCAUAUAAUUGAAGGCUGGUGGCGACUUUUGAGUACAAAUCAAGAGAGAGUGAAGUGUGAAUUUCUGCAUGGCCCAUAACUUCAUCCACGUAGCUAUUCACUUCUUUGCAGUGAAAAGUUCCUUAAUCCUGGCACUAAUGUUGGGCAUCAUUUUGAUUUUUCAAGCCCUUUUAGAACACUUAUUGAUUUAGGAAAUUAAGGGAGCCAUUGAAAGGUGACUAAAACGGAGUGAGUUAGGGGUCCUACCUCUCUGUAGGGCUCUCGAAUCGCGGGAAAUGAGCUCCAUUGUGACCUUCAUUUCCUCCUUUUCGGAAAAAUUAGUUCAUGGCGCUUACGAUGUGAGCAAUUACUCUUUCUGGUGUCCUGAUGGUUGAUAACAGAGACUUUCAGCCUCGCUGCCUCAGGUAAGCUUGAUGGGAGGACCAGAUGUCAUACAAAAAAUAAAAGCUUUCUUUUCUCGGUAAAAGCAUGCGCAUUUUUCUGUAAGUGGGGAAGAGGCCGCGCCGUCAACACUGCAUCGGUGAAGAUGGGUGGUGGUUGUUGGUGGAGAAACGGAGGGAGGUGGCGAUUCUGAGACUUGUUGCGAUUUAGGGUUGGCCGGUUGGGUUUGGGGGAAAUUGGGUAAAGCAAAAUGCAUUUUUGUUGUUAUAUAUAUAUAUAUAUAGAUAUAUAUAUAGUAGUUGGAUUAGCUAAAAGACAAAAAAAUUUAAAUUUUACUACACUACAUGAUAAAAUACAGUGCAUUGGAGUAUGUGUUUAUUUUGUCUUUUAACUAAUCCCUGAUUGGAAAACUACUAUAUAUAUAUAUAUAUAUAUUUUUUUUUUACUUAAUAAAAAAGUGGGCACGGGUCCGGGUUCCGGAUUCUUGGUGCUGUGACCGGACCCGUGCCCGGAUCCGCUUUUUCCAUGCAUCCGAUCCGGGUUUUACCCGGACCGUAUGCACCAGGUCCAGUCCGGAUCCGGUCUGAGCGGGCUUUUCUGCCAUCUCUACAGUGGAGAGAGGGAUUAAUUCAACGCUUAGCCAAAAUUUGGCUGCGAGUGUUAAUGGGUUUUAAGUUAUACAAAACGGUGUCGUUAAUUUAAACGGCAUUGUUUUACAAUCUUAUAAGUUCACAAAACUUAAGCAUGACUUAUAUGUAUAAUUUAUUUACGAUGGUUAAGUUAUAAGUCAUGAAUAUGUCAUAUACUCUGGACAUGAAUAUAUAUCACGAAUCUAUCAUAUUUUCAUGACACAUUCGUGACAUAACGAUAUAUGUUAUAAAAUUUCUGUCAUUAUUUAGUAUUUUUCUAGUAAUGUCAGGUCUUUAAAACCUUUCUAUUAAUAACAAAAACUCUAAUCCUUUAGCAAAAGACUAAAAAUUUUAAAAAAAUCUGUUUAAAUAUCAGUUGGCUCAUAAUCAACACUUCAAUAUUGUUUGUUGUAUUUUCUUUCUUUCUUUUUUUGUCAUUUUAUUAGAUUUGCUUUGUAUCAUGGUUUGUUUUGCUUAAGUAAUUGUUCAUUAUUUACGUCUGUGUUCUUACUAGCUUUUGAUAAUUUAUGGUUGGUUUUUUAUUCAGACCCUCGAAGUACCUUUUUGUUAAUAGCAAAACCUCUGAUCCUCAAGAAAGAAAAAGAAAUUCUCUAUUUAAUUAUUAGUUAGUUCAAGAUCAAUAUCGCAAUAUUGUUUGCAGUCUUUUCAUUCUCUGUCUUUCCCACUAGUUCAUUUUAAUUUAUCUGUAUUCCUUUCUUUGACACUUGUAUUUAUUUAUAUAGAUUGUUAAGCAACAGGCAAUGGCUGCAGAAGGGUGUCUCCCUACUUUUUCUAGCAUUGUAUCACAAGGUUCAAAAGCAUUAUUCAAACCGAUUAUGUGGCACAUAUCUUAUGUGUUCCGAGUACCAGAGCUACAUAGAUGGGCUAAAAGAUUGAGUGAAGGAGCUGGAAUAUAUAAGAGAAAGGGUGCAAAUGCUGGUUAGAGAGGCUACUCUACAAGGAGAUGAGAUUUAUAAGGGUGUCAGAGACUGGCUAAAUAGAGUUGCUGAAUUCAGUGAAGGGGUUGCAAAAUCAAUCAUUGAUGAUAAAGAUAGAGCUAAGAUGUUCUGCUUCAAAAGGUUGUGCCCAAAUUUGAUUUCUUGUUACAAGCUUGGUAAACAAGCAGCAGAGGCCGCAAACGAAGCUGAUAAACUUGUGAAGAAAGGCGAAUUUAACAUUUGUAAUCAUGUUUCCUACCGUCCUGCUCCAGAGAGUACAGAAUAUGUGCAAGUGAAAGAUUACGUAGCCUUUUAUUAUAAUAUCUUUUCACUCUAUUAACUUAAAAAAGAUUGACUUCAAUAUUAAAAAUGUAACAGUAUAUACAUUUUAUAAUAAUUUCAAUAUUUAAAAAAUAUUUGAAUACUUUACAAUCUUAUAUUAUAUUAAACUACAUUUUAUAAUAAAUAGAAACAUAAUAUUAAAAUAAAUAUAUAAAAUUUUAAGUUAGGCUUAAUAUUAUUUAAAAUAAUUUAAAUAUCAUUAAUACAUGAGAUAUAUUAUAUUAAUUAUAAAUUCUAUUUAAUCUAAAUAUAUAUUUAAAGUUUUAUACUAAAAAUAGAUAUAUUAUUAAAAUAAAUAUAACAACUAACAUUUUAAAGAUUAAUACUGAAAUUAAAAUUAUAAAUUAUAUUAAUCUACUAAAAAGAUUCAUCUAUUUGACACUAGCAGCGGACAAUGAGGUCACGGCAUAGGACAAGCAGUUAUCGUGACCCAUGGACUUUUCUACUUCUUUUGAAAAAAAAAAAAAUAUCAAAGUCAUUGAAGUGCGUUUGAUGAUAUGCUGUGUAGCUUCUCUCUCAAAUGCUUUUCGAGUGCCUCCAGUAUCUGCUUUUAUAUAAGCUUUUGUCUUUAAUCAUUCAUUCAAGCUUUCGCUAAGAGUGAUGCAGCACAGCACGUAAAUAUAGAAGCAUUGACAGCCGUAGUCAGGAGCUCUUCGGUAUUUGAAGCAAGAAUGGUUGUUUGGCUUUGUGCAUUGAAAGAGAAAAGAAAAAAGAAAGACUAAUUUCAAUAAUACAAUUUAAUUAAUUAAUUUAAAAUAAUAAGCAAAUAAUAAUGAUGAAAUUAAUUAAUAAAAAGAAGAAAAUGAAAAUUGCACGUGCUACUAGCAUAAACCAAUUGCCGGAAUGAGGUCACUUUGUAGACAAAUGAUUCUGGAAUCAGAACUUGGGCCAGCUUUGGGUUAUGGAUCCAAAAUAAAAAUAAGGUGGGCCACAUGGUCUCUUAUGAUCAAUAAAAAUCGAUUGAAAAGGAUGGUAUAGUGAGUGGAAGAGAAAUGCCGAUGGCAGAUCAAGGGAUGAAGAUACGAGCUCACUUGCAACGUGGUAUAGUUCAUCAUGGCUGGCUUUCCUAUAAGUUCAGGUCCUUUGAAUACUUUCAAUGACCUUAUUAGUCAGGAAUUUAACAAUAAUUUUUAUUUUUUACAUCCAGGAACGGUUUUAAGCAUAGGCAAAUUAGGCCUAUAAUAGCAAAUCCUCUUUUUUAACAAUUAAACAAUUAGGAAGUCUCCCUUUUUUAUUUUUGGUAUUACUUAUAAUAGCAAAUCUUCUUUUUUAGGCCUCUUUUUAGUUAGUAAUUAUCUUAUAAUUAAGAAUUUUUAUACACAUUCUAUCUUUGAUAACCUUAAUAUUAAAGAUCUCUAAUUAAUAGUAUUAUCUAAUUGUUAAUUUAUUAUUAGUUUUUCCAAGAAAAAAAUUAAAAUCUUUAUCUAUUUAAUACUUCAGUUUUUUUUUCGUCAGUGGCAGAUAAAAGAGUCGGUUUUUCCGUUACUAAGCUUUUUAUGGAUGAAUUUUUUUUUAUAAUUUCUUUGUUUUAUAGGUUCUCUGUGAAUGCCAUUAGAAAUGAGAUUGACUAAUUCAAACUUCCUUUUUCCCCUUAGCAUCCAAACGUGUGAGGCAAGGGCAACUAAUGAGUCCAUUGUGAUGAGAACCUUUGUCUAAGCAAAAGCAGAGGUCAAUUGCUAAUACCGUACUGUUAUUAGUUUCAGUGCUUAAAUUGCUCCAUAAGUUUGCAUUUUAAAGUCUCUGUCUUAAUUUCUGAGGUAUACUGCUAAUGAGACCUCCUGCCAAGUUCAAGUUUGUUGUGAUGGCUACUUUGUCAUAUAACUGACUGUGAGAGGCCAUCAAUCAGCUCUGUUUUGUAAUUUUGUACCUUUUUUUUUCAUAUAAUGAUCAAUCAAAUGUUAGCCCUUAGAUUGCAACCAAUAUUUACUGAUUGUCUUAUAUAGGAUAUAAACUAAAUUCAUAAGACAUUCCCUUAUUGAUAUUCAUUCCGACACGUCCUAGUCUUUUGCCUUGUAGAAAUGCUUGUGGUUGAAGAGCUUUACAGAGAAGCUGUCGUCAGUACUGCGCGGAAAUUGAUUAUAUUGAAUCAGAAAACUUGACCAGAUAAGGUCUGUGUGCAUGAGAAUACUUGAGGAAAGCUUCACAAUACUGAGGGCCGGAUCUGCACUCUUUCCUCUAUAUGUGUCUUCAAUAUCAAUGGCUCAAAUACAUGUGUUAUGGUCUUUUAAUAUAUAUAAAAUACCAUUAUCUCAUGCGUUAUGGUCUUAUCCUUGUAUUCUUAAAAACUACAUAAAAUACCGUUAUCUCUGCUUUUGUAGCUAUUGAAUUCGACUUUCACAACAUAAAUAUUUAUUAGCAACAACUUAAAAUCCAAACAAAUCUAACAUGCAAUGUAUCAAUUACAUAUUAUGAUUAAACAGAUUUUGAUUAUUUAUUAUUAAAAUAUAUUCUCAUUAAUAUCUUAAGGAUAGGUAAUACUCACAUAAUUUUUUUAAAAAUCAAACCCAAAUUAUAUGCAUUGUUAAUGUGUAUUAUUGUCUAAUAUUUGGAUUUUACUAAUUUACAACUGCUAUAAUGUACGGCCUCUUCAAACAUAAUGUGGGUCCCACCACGUGUUAAAUUUUUUACAUUAUUUUUGAAGGAAUUGUAAGUUACAGCAGCUGUAAAUUAGCAGCACCUCCAAUAUUUUACUUUACUUCCCCUAAUAUUUUACUUGUACUUUUAUAUCUUUACAAAACAAUACCAACAAGACAAUAAUGUAUGAAAUAAAUAAAAUAAAUAAAUAAAGAACUGACAACGAAAUUAGGCCUAUCAUUAAUUUCUCUUGGUGUGAACUCUUGACAAUUCUCCCAUAUCCCACCUAAAGCUCUCGCAUGGUGUGAACGCUUGACGAUUCUCCCAUAUCCCUCCAAAAAUUUGUCAUAUUGCGAAAAACAAUGUCAAUUCAAUAUCGUCUCCAUUAGUCAUAGUGGCAGAUAGGACUAGAAUUUGUUGAAACCCUUGGACUUAUUUUUCCUUUUGAAAAUAAUUUUGUAGAAUCUCAUAUCGUGAAUAACGGACAAUGAGACUCUUUUUUUUAACUAUAAUAUUUUUUUAAAAUUAUUAACUAAAAAAAUUAAUUUUAAUAUUUUAUAAUAAAUAUAAGUAGGAUAUUAAAAUAAAUAUAAUAAUAUAUACAUAUUAAAAUAAUUUCAAUACCAAAAAAUAUUUUAAUAGUUUACAAUCUCGUAUUCUAUUAAACCAAAUUAUAAUAAAUAGAGACAUAAUAUUAAAAUAAAUAUAUAAAAUUUUAAAUUAUUUUCAAUAUCAUAUAAAAUAACUUUAAUAUUAUUAAAACGUGAGAAAUAUUAUAUUAAUUAUAAAAACUAUUUAACCCAAGGAUUUGUUUAAAAUUUUUAUAAUAAAUAUAUUAAAUUACAUUUUAAAAAUUAAGUAUUUAAAUUAUACAUACUAGUCUACUAGAAAAUUUAAACUAUUUAAAUCAUAUUUACAUUUAGUAAAAAAUUUUGAAGUCAUUUUUUUUUUUGUGAAUACCAUAAGAGUGCUAUAGUCAAAAAGGGUAUUGGUGUUCUUUAUUAAAAGUUUGGGGUCUACAUGACUAUUUUCUAAAAUUUUAAGGGUGUCAUUUUAUUUUUGAAAAAAAUAAAAAUUUCAUUUAAACAGCUAAAAUGGUGAAUAGUACAAUGCUACAGUGGGCGUAAAUGGAAGGUAAAAAGCAAUCAGAUUUUGAUUAAACAUGCAAUGUAUGAAAUAUAUAUUAUAAUUAUACAGAUUUUGAUUAUUUAAUAUUAAAUUAUAUUCACAUUAAUAUCUUAAGGAUAGUUAAUACUCAAAUAAUUUUUCAAAAAAUCAAACCCAAAUUAUAUGCAUUGUUAAUGUGCGUUAUUGUCUAAUAUUUGGAUUUUGCUAUGUCACAACUACUGUAACUUAAAGCCUCUUCAAACAUAUGUCGAUCCCACCACGUGUUAAAUUUUUUACAUUAUUUUUUAAGGGAUUGUAAGUUACAACAGCUUAACUUAGCAGCACCCUAAUAGUUUAUUUUACUUUUAUAUCUUUACAAAACAAUGCCAACAAGACAACAAUGUAUGAAAUAAAUAAAAUAAAUAAACAAAGAUCUGACAGCAAAAUUAUGGCUAUCAUUGGUUUCUUGUGGUGUGAACUCUUGACAAUCCUCCCCAAUCCCAUCCAAAACUCCCGCGUAGUGUGAACAUUUGACGAUUCUCCCAUAUCCCUCCAAAAAUUUGUCAUAUUGCGAAAAGUAAUGUCAAUUGCAAUGUCGUUUUCAUUAGUCAUAGUGGCAAAUAGGACUAGAAUUUAUUGAAACCCCUCGACUUAUUUUUCCUUUUGAAAAUAAUUUUGUAGAACCUCAUAUCGUGAAUAAAAGACAAUAAGACUCUUUUUUUUAAUUAUAAUAUUUUUUAAAUUUAUUAACUAAAAAAAUUAAUUUUAAUAUUUUAUAAUAAAUAUAAGUAGGAUAUUAAAAUAAAUAUAAUAAUAUGUACAUAUUAAAAUAAUUUCAAUACCUAAAAAUAUUUUAAUAUUUUACAAUCUCGUAUUCUAUUAAACCAAAUUAUAAUAAAUAGAGACAUAAUAUUCAAAUAAAUAUAUAAAAUUUUUAAUUAUUUUCAAUAUCAUAUAAAAUAAUUUUAAUAUUAUUAAAACAUGAGAAAUAUUAUAUUAAUUAUAAAAUCCAUUUAACCCAAGGAUUUGUUUAAAAUUUUUAUAAUAAAUAUAUUAUUAAAAUAAAUAUAUUAAAUUACAUUUUAAAAAUUAAUUAUUUAAAUUAUACAUACUAGUCUACUAGAAAAUUUAAACUAUUUAAAUCAUAUAUACAUUUAGUAAAAAAUUUUGAAGUCAUUUUUUUUUUGUGGCUACCAUAAGAGUACUAUAGUCAAAAAGGGUAUUGGUGUUCUUUAUUAAAAUUUUGGGGUCUACAUGAUUAUUUUCUAAAAUUUUAAGGGUGUCAUUUUAUUUUUGGAAAAAAAAAUUCAUUUAAACAGCUAAAAUGGUAAAUAGUACAAUGCUACAAUGGCGUAAAUGGAAUGUAAAAAGCAAUCAAAAUGACCAACAGUCUAACGCCUCAUCAGGGACAUAAAGUCAAAGUUUGUUGCAUGUGGUCAGGGCCAUUUAGUCUGUGAGUGGGUCCUGCAUGUCAUUUUUGGGCAUUUCAUCUUCUUUAGCAUUGAAGAUUAAAUGUUGACGACAUUUUCAAAAUUUUGGAAGACCCAUUAUACUUUUGGAUGGCUGUCAUUACUUGAUAUUAUCAUUAUAUGAUGAAAUAAAAUUGGAUGUAACACUUGUUUCGCGUUGUGGGAACUUUUGACAAUUCCCCAUAUCUCCUAAAAAUCUUUCGCCAUUUUGGGAAGAUGCCAUUUAUUUUCAUUUUCAUCAUUGAUAUUGGCAGAUAAUGGGGUCCGAGGACAGACCAUAAAUUAUUGCGACCCAUGGACUUUUCUAAUUUUUUUUUUUCCUUUGGAUAGUUUUCGUUAUUUGAUAGAAGGAGAUAGAGAUAAAGUUUUUUAAUCAAAUGCCCAUUUUAUUUAACAUGGAAGAAGAUCUUUAAACUCUAAGCGAGGCUAUCACUUCAACAGAUGCAGCUUCAAAAAAGAGGUAACAAGUGAUGAGAUAGACUCAUUAUUGUCUAAUCAAACAAGGACAUCGGUAGAUGUAUCAGGAUCUUAAGUUAGAUUGGAAUUUGAUACAUUGUUGUUCGUAACGUUGGUUCAAACCUUUAAAGCAAGGUUGGAUGCAAAAUGGUUUACACCAAAGACGUGAUUUAGGAAGUUAAUUAACGUUAUUUUAGAUAAUUUAUAAUUCUAAAAUAUUUAUUAUUUUAUGGUUUUCUAUUUUUGUUUGAGUCAAUUAUGGUAUGUAUCUUAAUCUUUUAUUUCCAUUAUAAUUAUAAUUUAAAUUUUCUUUUUAGGUUAACUUAGGAAAGUGGAUUUCUUUUAUUAUAAAUAAAGAUGUCUGUAAUAAAAAAAAUAAAGAUGUCUUGUCAUUGUUUUCAGGACUUCAAAUUCAAUUAUUAAAUAAAACUCUUUUUUUUAUAAUUUCCUCUAGUAUUAUUUAUCAAAAUCUCUCUUAUAGAGUUAUUUAAAUUAGAGUGUCAUCUAAUCUCGUAUUACGCGUUAUUAAAAAUCUCAUUGAAUCAUUUAGAUUAAAACAAUAUCUAAUCACGCUUUGAUUAAAGCGUAAGUUAAUUGUGUUGGCUUGAUCCAGUACUAGAAUGAUAUUUAGUAUUUCUUACCUUAUCAAUUCCACUUCCGCUACGCUCGCUCCAUCAAUUGGUAUCAAAGCAAUUCUGUGCGAAUCACACAUCUUUCCUAGAUACACCAUACCCAUCCAAACCAAAUCCAUCAAAAAAAAAAAUUACAAAUUUGAAAACCCUACCCGUCAGACCAACCCCCACCGCCGCCCACCACCGCCAAUCAGCCAGCCAACACCACCACAAACCUCACUAGCCACCGUCGACCAAGCCUCAGUCAUCGCUGCCUCAACCGCCGCUUGAACAGCCGCAAAUCACCAACCCAAACCUGCGGCUCCACCAAGCAACCCACCACCAUUCAGCCACUUUCUCCACCAGCCACCUCCACCAACAAACUCGCCGGCCUUCGUUGACCAAAAACUGACCGACUUCGGCCCUUGAUCGCCGCCCUCUGUCACCACACGAAACGACAACCCACGAGUGCUUCCUACACGCGCCGCCACCAAAACACCUUCUUUUUCCGUCAAUUUACACCACCACCAUAAUCCCUAGCAGUCGGCAACCGUAAAUCCAGUCUUCCGCCACUGUAAAGCCGCCAUAAACCAAAAGCCACAUCACCAAAAUCAACCGCCAAUUCAAGUCGGAUUUUCCCCAAUUCAGGUUGCUGAAUAUAAAAAGGACUCAUGAAAAUUACCUAAAGUUUCAAAUAUUGUUAUUCAGCAACCACUUUUAUGGUACAUUAGUUUCAACCCAAAUUUUAUAUAAAUAAUUUAUAACUCCCAUUAUUAUUAUAAAAAAAAAUUGUAGCAAUUGUGGUUAUAUCACAUGAAAAAAAAAAUCUAAUUAAAGAAAUUAACAUUAUAAUUUAAGGGAUAGUUGCUCUUUUAAUCAUUAGAAUUUAUGUCAAUUAUCCAGCUUAUCCUUGCAUUCUUAAAAACUAUAUACAAUACCAUUAUCUCUGCUUUUGUAGCUAUUGAAUUUGACUUUGACAACAUAAAUAUUUAUUAGCAACAACUUAAAAUUCAAACAAAUCUAAUAUGUAAUGUAUGAAAUACAAAUAAUAAUUAAACAAAUUUUGAUUAUUUAAUAUUAAGAUAUAAUCACAUUAAUAUCAUAAGGAUAGGUGGUACUCAAAUAAUCUUUUAAAAAUCAAACCCAAAUUAUAUGCAUUAUUAAUAUGCAUUAUUGUAUAAUAUUUAGAUUUUGUUAAGUUACAACUACUAUAACUUAAGUCUCUUAAAAAAUAUGUGAGUCCCACCACCUAUUAAAUUUUUUACAUUAUUUUUGAAAAAAUUACAAGUUACAUCAGUUGUAACUUAACAGCACCCCUAGUAUUUUACUUUACUUUUAUACCUUUACAAGAACAAUAAUGUAUGAAAUAAAAAAAAUAAAUAAAUAAAGAACUGACAACGAAAUUAGACCUAUCAUUAGUUUCUUGUGGUGUGAACUCUUGACAAUCCUCCCCUAUCCCACCUAAAGCUCUCGCGUGGUGUGAAUGUUUGACAAUUCUCCCAUAUCCCUCCAUAAUAUGUCAUAUUGCGAAAAGCAAUGUCAAUUGCAAUGCCGUUUCCCAUUAGUCAUAGUGAUAGAUAGGACCAGAAUUUUUUGAAACCCCCGAGGCCCUAAACUUGUUUUUCCUUUUGAAAAUAAGAAAAUGGCACCUGUCUAGAGAAAUAAUUUAUUAGAACCUUAUAUCAUGAAUAACGGCCAAUAAGACUUUUUUUAAAUUAUAAUAUUUUUAAAUUUAUUAACUAAAAAAAUUAACUCUAAUAAUUUAUGAUAAAUAUAAAUAGGAUAUUAAAAUAAAUAUAAUAAUAUAUAGAUAUUAAAAUAAUUUCAAUAUCUAAAAUAUUAAUAUUUUACAAUCUCGUAUUCUAUUAAACCAAAUUAUAAUAAAUAGAGACAUAAUAUUCAAAUAAAUAUAUAAAAAUUUAGGUUAUUUUCAAUGUCAUAUAAAAUAGUUUUAAUAUUAUUAAUACCUGAGAAAUAUUAUAUUAAUUGUAAAAUCUAUUUAACCUAAGGAUUUAGUUAAAAUUUUAAAAUAAUUACAAAUAUUUUAUAAGUACAAAUAAAUUAAUUUACAUUUUAAAAAUUAAUAUUGAAAUUAAUUAUUUAAAUUAUAUAUAUUAGUCUUCUGGAAAAUUUAAAUUAUUUAAAUCAUAUUUACAUUUCGUAAAAAAUUUUAAGUCAAUUUGUUUGAUUACCACCUGCUAAGGGUAUUGUAGUCAAGGGGAAUAUUGGUAUUCUUUAUUAAAAAUUUGGGAUCUACAUGAUUAUUUUUCUAAAUUUUAAUGGUGUCAUUUUAUUUUUGACAAAAAUAAAAUUUCAUUUAAACAACUAAAAUGAUGAAUAAUACAGUGCUACAGUGGCGCAAGUGGAAGGUAGGAAACAAUCAAAAUGAACAGUCUAACGUCACAGCAGGCAUAUAAGGCCAAAGUUUGUUACAUCCCAAUACAAAAAGUUUGAAACUUUGCACCUUCUGAAAUGAAACAAACUUACUUGGAUAUUGGUGAUCAGUGAGAAAAGCCCUUUUUCAAAAGCAACCUUAGGGUACCGAGUGUUACAGAUUCAAUGAACCACAAAUACUUAUUUACAUUGUAGUAUCUCAAAGGCACCGAUUUCUUCUGAUCCGUUAAGGAAAACAAGAAAAAUAAAAAGAAAAGAAAAAGGGUACUUGUGCCACACAACCUUGACGCCUAGCUACAUGGUACAUUCUCUUUGUGUGUUUGAACCAAUUAACAAUAAUGGUGCCUUUACUUCUUGGACUGGAGAAUCGAAAUCCGAAAUCGAAAUCAUUAAUGAUGUUUACUUCAUAAAAUGGAGGCUGGGAUCCGAAUCAGAACUAUGGGGACCACCCAAAUUAGGAGUGAGGAAUGGAAGAUUGAUUCCUAAGGAAGGUGGUGGGAAUCAAUCCCCCAUUCCCAAGAUUGAUCAUUUUGCCCCCUCUCACAAACUAUAAAAUAUCUAUUUUGUCCUCAAUUAAAAAAUUAUUAUGAUUAAUUAAUAUAUGUUUAUAAUUUAUUAAUAUAACUAUUCUAAUCAAUUUAUAUAUAUUUUAAAUAUAUUAUUAUUAAAUAAUUAAUAUAUUAUUAUAAUUAAUUAAUAUAUUUUGAAUUUUUAUUAUUAUCGUCAUCAUCAUCAUUAUUAUUGUUAUGAAUGAUAAAUUUUUUUACAAUUAAUUAGUAUAUUAAUAUAUUAUUGACAAUAAUUAAUAAUAAUAAUAAUUUUUGAAUAAAUAAAUAAAUAAAAUUAAUUACUGAAUUUGAACAUUUUACAAUUAUUCUAUUAUUUGGACUUAUCGAGAACUUACAUGCAGCGUAGCUAGUUUGCUAGCAUAUGUAAGGUUUAAUUUGAAUGCAUGCAGCAUUGAGAAGAGACAACGCAGAAACAAAAUUUCCGCUUGCAAUCUUUUCAUUUCCCUUUUUAAUAACAAGCAAAAUAGAGGAUAAACAGGGACUUUGUUUUAAUUCUCCUGUUUUUCUGUUUGGUGAUUUUAAAAUUUUAUGUCUAUAUUUAUCAAAAAAAGUUAUCCAAAAUUAUUAUCUAUUUUUGAUACACGUUGAUUUAUUAAAAAAAAAUUAAAAACUUCAUUUCUAAAUUUAUCGUUGUGCUUUGACCUUGGGGUGGUUUUUUUCUGUUUUUUUACGUAGGCCAGAACCUUAAUGAAGAAAGUUUUCAUCGUUAAUUGCUUUUGACCUAGGAGAAUUUAUUCUUGGACAAAUUAACACCUUUGUCUUUUGAUGCGGCUCCUAGAUAUCUAUGCAAUUUGUGUCAUUUACUUUUGCUUUGUAUUCUUUUUUAAAUGAGUCCCGAUUGGUUCAUUUGCAGAUAAAUGAGUCAGUUUUUCUGUUUUUAUUUUUUGAAAGACGGUUUUUCUGUUACGAAGCUUUUCAUGGAUGAAUAUUUUUUUUUUAAUUUUAUAGAUUCUCUGCGAGUUUUGUUAGGUAGAAGGGUAUUUAAGUAUUUUCAUUUCAUAUUUUGACAUUUCCUUGACCUUUGAAGUAUUGAAUCAUUGUGCAGGUAUUUAAGUAAAUCUGCCCACAAUGAAGAAUAGUUCAGAACAGUUGCGGAAGAUAAAUGGCUCAAAUAUAUGCGUUAUGAUCUUUUAAUAUUUCGCCUCUGAUAUUGUCCACAUUGCUUACUGCAAUAGAUAAAGCACUUCGUUUACCCCAAAUCCUGAUAGGGAAGUAUAAAUAUGUGCUUCCGAAAUAGUGCAACUCUCCAUAAUUAUUUAAUAUGCCUCUCAAUGAAGCAAUCACCUUCAUUUACAAUUCUUCGAUUAUUAAUCCUACAUACACGUGUUUCUUUUGUCUCUAAAAGUAUCCUCAAUUAAUUUACAUAAUUUAAUAUAAUAAGUACCUAAGACUAGACAAAUUAUCAUUAUAAUAGUAUUGACACAAUAAUGUCAAUAAUAAAUGCCUUAACAAACCUAUAAAUUUUAGAAUAUGGCUCAGAGUGCUACAAUGAACCACAACAAGUUAUUAUAUUGUCUAUAAUCAAUAUUCCAAUGGUAAUAGAGUUUUUUUAUUUUCAAUCCGCUGCUUUUCUGUUUAGCGAUUGCCAAAUUUUAUAUCUAAAAUUCUUCUAAUUUUAUAUCUAAAAUUCUUCUAAUUUUACACUAAGGUUUAUUUUUUCAAAAAAGGGGGGGGGGGGGGGGGGGGGGGGGGGCAGGAGAGAGAGACUUAGAGAGUAUUAAAAAAUGUAAUUCUAAAUUUUUACUUGAGUGUUGUGUGAUUUUGAUCAUUUUUUUAAAGUUGGCCAUUUAUAUUGAAUAAAUAAAAUAACGAAUAGACGUUUGGACCACUUCUUUUCUGUUAUAAUAAAACAUGAGAUGUCUUCUCUUGAUGUUUUCGUCACAAAAGAAUAUGUUUAAUUAUGUCAUCAUAGGCUUAAAUGGGAUGCCUUUUCUGUUAUAAGAUCGAGAACAAGUUUGUUUAAGCACUAGAGCCGCUAAAUAAAAGAAAGGCUCAUAUAAAAAUUACCUAAAGCACCAAAUAUUGUUAUUCAGCUACUUCUUUUAUGUUACAUUAGUUUCUACGCAAAUUUAUAUAAAUAAUUUAUAACUCCCAUCAUUAUUUAAAAAAUAAAAACCAUAGCAAUUGUGGUUAUAUCAUGUGGUGUGAUCUUUUGACAAUCCUCCCACAUCCCACCAAAAACUCUCACAUGGCGUGAACUUUUGACAAUUCUUCCAUAUCCCACCAAAAAUUUGUCAUGUUGCGAAAGGCAAUGUCAAUUGUAUUGUCAUUUCCAUUAGUUAUAGUGGCAGACAAUGUAGUCCCGGGAUAAGACUAGAAGUUUUUGAAACCCAUGGACUUAUUCUUACUUUAUUUUUUCUUUUGAAAAUGAGAAAAGGACACCCGUUUCGGGAAAUAAUUUUGUAGAAUCUCAUAUCGUGAAUAAGAGAUAAUAAGACUUUUCUUUUUUACUUUACUGCAAUACUCUUUAAUUUUAUUAAUUUUAUAUUUUAUAAUAAAUAUAAAUAUGAUACUAAAAUAAAUGUAAUGAUAUAUACAUAUUAAAAUAAUUGGAUAUUGAAAAAUAUUUUAAUAUUUUACAAUCCCGUAUAAUAUUAAACCAUAUUAUAAUAAAUAGACAUAAUAUUAAUAUAUAUAUAAGUUUAAAUUAUUUUGAAUAUCAUAUAAAAUAAUUUUAAUAUUAUUAAUAAAUCAGAAGUAUUACAUUAAUUGUAAAAUCUAUUUAAUCCAAGGAUUUAUUUAAAAUUUUUAUAAUAAAUUAAAAAUAUAUUGGUUAACAUUUUAACAAUUAAUAAUGAAAUUAAUUAUUUAAGUUAUAUAUAUUAGUCUACUAGAAAAAUUUAAACUACUUCAAUCAGAUUUACAUUUAAUGAAAAAAUUUGAAGUUAAUUUUCUUUUUAUCAUCUACUACGAAUCUUGUAGUUAAAAGAGGUAUUGACAUUCUUUAUUAAAAAUUUGAGGUCUACAUAACUAUUUUUUUUUUUAUUUUAAGGGUGUCAUUUUAUUUUUGACAAAAAUAAAAUUUCAUUUAAAUGGCUAAAAUGGUGAAUAAUACAAUGUUACAGCUGGCGUAAAUGGAAGGUAGGAAACAAUCAAAAUGACCAACAGUCUAAUGCCACAGCAAGGACAUGAGGUCAAAAAAUUCCCUUAUUAAUUAGUAAAAGAGAGUCACUUGGGCUUAUGGCGGGCAAAAUCGGAUAUAGAUCAGAUUCAAAUUAAUCCGAUAAAUUUGAUAUUGUUUGCAUUGAUAAAAAAAGUCACCCAAAUGCAAUCUAAACAUGUGUGUGUGUGUAUACAUAUUUGUUAUAAAUUAAAGUUACAAAAGUCUUUAACCAAGGCCAUUCAUAGUAAGUUUCAAAUUUUUAGGUUAAUAUCUGUAACUUCAUCAUGCUGGCCAUAAAUAAAGCUUGCAGGUCUAGGCGGGAUUGACUCGAGUUUUUUUGCCAAUCCUACGCAUGACGGGCGGUGUUAGGAAUAAUAUCCUGCAUCAAUUGAGUAUUGAACUUGGGUUCAGCAUAUAAGAUUUGGACAACUCUUAACUCUUGAGCUAACUUACUAAGUUUUGGAUUGAGUUAAGCAUGUAUGCUUCAAUAUCACAAAUUAGUCUUUCGUUACCAUUACUUAUUUUUUCUAUUGUUUAAUCCUAACACAAUAAAUGACCUUUCAUCCCAAAAGAACUAAAGUAAUCAUUUUAGACGAAUUAAGACACCAUAAAGUAAAUCUGCACACUAUGAAAAAUACUUUGGAACAGUUAAGGAAGCGUGAGAAUACUUGGGGAAAGCUUCAUAAUUGUUACGGCCGGAUCUACACUCUUUCCUCUAUAUGCAAUAAAUAUAUGCGUUAAUGAUCUCUCAAUAUUUUGCAUCCGAUAUUGCCCACAUCGCUUACCACAAUAUAUUCACUUUAUAAACAAAGUUUACAACCCAAAUACUAAUAGAGAAUAUAAAUAUGUACUUGUCAAUGAAGCAAUCACCUUUAUUUAGAAAUUUUUUAUUAUUAAUCCUACGUACACACACCUCUUUUGUCUCCAAAAAUAUUCUUAAUUAAUCCACACAAUUUAAUACAAUAAAUACCUAAGAUUACACAAAUUUUCAUUACAAUAGAAUAUAUAAUUUAUAAUAUUAUUGAUACAAUGAUGCCAAUAAUAAAAAUCCUAUAAACCUUACAAAUUUUAGAAAAUGGCUUAGAGUGUGACAGGUUGAAUGAACCACAACAAAUCAUUUACAUUAUAGUAUCUAUGAUCAAUAUUCUAAUGAUAAUAGGGCUCCUCCAUUUUCAUUUCCCUACAUUUUCUGUUUGGUGAUUGUCAAAUUUUAUGUCUAAAAUUUUUCUAAUUUUACAGUGAGGUUUAUUUUUUAAAGAGAGAGAGAGAGAGACUCAAAGAGAAUUAAAAAAAAUGUAAUUCUAAAAUUUUACUUGUGCAUUUUGUGAUUUUUACCAUUUUUUAAGUUGGCAAUUUGUAUUGAAUAAAUAAAAUAAUAAAUAGACUUAUGGACCACUUUUUUCUGUUAUAAUAAAAAUCAGAGGUCCUUUCUUGAUGUUUUCUUUCCAUAUGAAUAAAUUAGAAUUUUAUUGGUACAGUAAUGUCAAUAAUAAAAUUCCUAACAAACAUACAAAUUUUAGAAUAUGGAUUAAAGUGUUACAAGUUGAGUGGAUCACAACAAGUUAUUUAUAUUGUAGUGUCUAUGAUCAGUAUUUCAAUGAUAUCAAGGGUCCUCUAUUUUCUUUCCCUUGCAAUUUUUGUUUGGUCAUCGCCAAAGUUUAUAUCUAAAAUUUUUCUAAUUUUACACUGACAUUUAUUUUUUUUUUAAAAAAAAGAGAAAGAGAGACACGGAGAGAACUAAAAAAUGUAAAUCUAAAUUUUUGCUUGUGCGUUAUGUGAUUUUUAUCAUUUUUUAAGUUGGCCAUUUGUAUUGAAUAAAAAAAGUAAUAAAUAGACUUAUGGACCACUUGUUUUUUUAUUAUAAUAAAACAUUUUCUUCUCCUGAUGUUUUUCAUCUCACAGGAAUAUAUUUAUCUCAUCGUGGGCCCAAAUGGGGUAAAUAAAUUGGGAUCAAGGACAAGUCUGUUUAAGUGUUGAAAUUGCAAGAAGACCUCAUAAAAAAAAUUGCCUAAAGCCCCAUUAUUGUUAUUCAACUAUUACUUUCAUGACACUUACACAAAUAAUUUAUAACUCCAUCUUUAUUUAGGGAAAAAACUGUAGCAAUUGUUGUUAUAUCACAGGAACAAAUUCCAAUUAAAAAUAUAAUAAGAAUUAAUUGCAAAUUUUGUAAUAAAUAUCAAUAUAAUUUAAUAGUUUAAUUUUUUUUGGUAGAGUAAUAUAAUUUAAAAAAUUAAUAUUUAAAAAAAUAAUAUCAGUAUUACUUUUUAAAAUGCAAAUUAUUAAAAUUAUAUUAAUAAUGUAUUUUUAUUUAUUAUAAAAUUUAUUUUAAUAAAAUCUUAAAUUUUUUUAAAUAUUUGUAUAUAUUGUUAUAUGUUAUUAUAAUAUUAUAUUUAUAUUUAUUAAAAUAUAAGAGUUAAUAUUUUUAAAUUAAUAAAGACAAAAAGUAUUAUAAUAAAAAAGAAUUCUUUUAUUAAAAAUAUAAUCAUUCUCCCAAACUUAUCCUUGUCCCUUUUUGAAAGGAAAAAAUAAAUUAGAAAAGUCUAUGGUCAUGAUAACUUCUAGCCUUGUCCCGUGGGACAUGGCUACGGUGCAGAAGCUGAAAGUAACAGCUUCGAACUUUCCCAUUUCCAUCACCUUGUUGAUGGUUGUUGAAGCCAAUAAAAAUAAAUUCCUACUCUAAAUAAAUUGUGUAUAGUGAUUGAGCAGGGUCGUGUCCACAGAGAUCGGUAAUUAUUUAAAUUCUUUUGAAACGUAAAACGUAAAAUGGGAGAAUUGUUGACAAUAAUAAAAAAUCAAAUUAAAAUAACAAAAAUGCAAAUUAAAGUUGUAAUUCAAAUUGGAGAAAGCUUUGGUUGAAGGAAUUAACUCAGUUUGAUUCGACUACUGAUCAUUGAUUCAAAAAUAGAUUAUUAUUACUUAUGAAUAAACUGGUUAUAGCUAUUGAGACCCUCUAAUAGCCAAUCUCUCCUUAACUAGUCGAUAACCAAGGUACGACUAUUGGAUAUUUCCCUAAUCAAUAGACAACCCUAGAUACGAUCAUAGGAUUUAAUCAAUUGACAGCCUGAAAAACCAGAGCGACCCAAAUCCUAAUCAACACAUAUGAUGAUUCAUUUAAAUUAGAUUGUUUAUUCCCAUAACACAACUCACUGCUAUGUUAUUUGUCACAAACAUUAAACUCGUCAUACGAUGAAUUCUUUAAUUGACAAUAGAUUAAGUUGAUAAUUAAAUAGUGGCCAAUUACCUAAUUAACAAACAUAAUCAUGAAACUAAUUCAGAGAAUAAACAAAUACCCAAAAAGUAAUAAAACAAUUAAAGCAUAAGAAAGAUCUCACAGUAGUGAUGAAUCAAAAAUUCAUUAACCUUCAACUAGAAAAAAUAAGUUUAGUUUUUCAUAGAGAGAAGAGAAAAAUUAGAUCUAGGGUUUCUUUCUUUUUCUCCAAUUAAAAUCCCCCCUUUUUCACAAUAGAUUCCUCCCUUAAAUACUCUCUCUCUCUUCUCUUUUAAAGUUCUAUUUAAAAUAAAAUAAUAAUAUUUGAAAUAUUAAAUUCGUAAUUACAAAAAUAGCCAAAAAUACAAAACACAUUAAACUAAAAACUGCAGGUCCGCAGUUGACAGCACGCGCCCACGCCUUAUCUAUAAAGUUCUUCUGACGCUCUAAAUUUCUCCAAGAGAACAAUCAUCUUUAAACAUCAUCUUAUACCUCAAUUCUAUCACAAAUCAAUAGAAUUGCACUUACAAAAGUAAAACACAAGUAAAUCAUUAUUAUUAAAUGCAAAACAUCGAUAUUAAGGGAAGUAAACAAUGCAAAACUAGUGUAUAAAUUGUACUCUAACACUUGUAUUGGGACCUCUUUCUCUCUCCUAUAGCCCCCAUGGAAGUUCCCCAUUGGCUGCUGUUACUUACAGAAGCCGUAACAUAGACUUCUAGCCAUGUCCCGUGAUGUCCAUUGUCUGCCACUAUGAAUAAUGGCAAUGACAUUGCAAUUGAAACAUUGAAAAGGUAUUUUCGCAAUAUGACAAAGCUUUUGUUAGGAUAUGGGAGGAUUGUCAAAAGUUCACACCACUUGAAACUAGAAUUAGAUCUAAUUUCAUUUAUUUCAUAAAUUAGAAAAGUCUAUGGUCGUGAUAACUUCUAGCCGUGUCCCGUGAUGUCCAUUGUCUGCCACUAUGAAUAAUGGAAAUGACAUUACUAUAAUAAAAUGACAUUGCAAUUCCAAUAUGCAAUUGAAAAGUCUAUGGUCGUGAUAACUUUUGUAAUAUGACAAAGUUUUUGUUGGGGUAUGAGAGGAUUGUCAAAAGUUCACACACCACAUGAAACUAGUGUUAGAUCUAAUUUUAUUUCGUCCGUUCCUUAUAUAUUUAUUUCAUACAUAUAUGUCUUAGGGUGAUAUUGUUUUGUAAAGAUAUAAUAGUAAGGUACUAUAAAAAGAAAAGAACUGUGUGUAUACUUCCCAGUGUAAUAAUUAUAUGUAGAAGAAAACUAACAAGAGGAAAAAUGACAAAGAGCAAGGCGCUGGUUGUUGGGAGAAGAGGACAUGUCGGCAGAGGAUAGAGAAGCCAAUCUUAGCCUUGUUGAUUGAGGGCUCAUCUUCUGAUCAUCGUAGCCUUGUUGGAGCUGUCAAACAAGUCGAUGUUGUCAUUUAAGGAGCCACAACAUUUUGAUGCUGCUUAAACUUGUUGGGGCCAUCAAAUAAGCUGUAAAUAUUAAGGUACGUAAGCCUUAAUUUUUAUGUAAUUUUAAUUUCAGAUCCAAAAUUGCAUGCAAGCCAUUAAUUUCUUUCCUUUUUUAUUUUUGAUUUGAUGAGGUGCUUGAUUUGGUCGGGUGUGUAUUUUUUCUUUGUUCUUUUUUUUUUUAAAACAUAAAUCUCCAAAUCGGGUUGGAGCGGGGAUUCUAACCCUACGAUGGCCAUAUUAAAAUUUAAAAUUUUUUAAUUUAUUUUUCUACAUCUCAAUAUUUGAAAAAAUGAUUAUAUAGAUCUAUAUAUUUUCAAUAAGAGAUACUAAGAUACUCUUUUUUACUAUAACACCUACUAGCUCUAUUAACUCAAAAAAUUAGCUUCAAUGUUAAUAUAUAUAUUUUAAAAUAAUUUUAAUAUUUUAAAAAAAAUGAAAAAAAUAUUUUAAUACUUUACAAGCUUAUACUAUAUUAAACUAAAUUUUGUAAUAAAUAGAAACUUAAUAUAAAAUAAAUGUCUAAAAAUUUAAAUUAUUUUCAAUAGCAUAUAGAAUAAUUAUAAUAUUAUUAAUACCUAAGAUAUAUUAAAUUAAUUAUAAAUUCUAUUUAACACAAAUAUUUAACUAAAUUUUUUAUAAUAAAUAUAAAUAUAUUAUUAAAAUAAAUCUAAUAAUUAACAUUUUAAAAAAUAAUACUGAAAUUAAUUUUUUAAAUUAUACUAACACUAGUUUCACGCUGUGCGAACUUUUGACAAAAACUGUUAAUUGCAAUUUCUUUUGAAAACAAUAGAUCAAAUCAUUAAAGUGCAUGUGAUGAUUUGCUGUUUAAUUAUUUCUUUAGAAUAUAUCCAAACGUAAGGUUGUGAACUAGUGCUUUCUUCAACUUAAUUGGGUCCAACAAUACACUGCAGCUUCCUCUUUUGGUCAUUCCAAGUUUAAUUCUUCAUGAAAAUCUUAGACACUAAUACAAGGAUAUCGAAUCCAAAAUUAUAAUAAUACAUGUAAUUAUUCUAUACAUGCGUCAACAAGGCAACAGUAACCAAAUACAUGAUAUGCAAAGGGGGUGCAUGAUUAAGUCCUUUUUUUAUUCAAUUCAUUGUUAUUAUUCUCAUCAACUCUUUUCUCACUUAUUUUUCAGCAGUUACCAGUGAUCUUUUUGCUCUUUAAAAUUAUUCUUAAAUAUUCAAGGCUAAAUAGAGAAGCUCAUCAACUAUCUGAUCCCGGAUAAUUAAAGAGGUGAACUUGUUCUAAAUCCUUUGAUAAUUUCUAUUAAUAGCAUAAUCUCCUUGAUCUUGACCGCAGUUAUUUCUUAAUGUCCAAGAAAAAAAUAUCUCCUGUUUGUCUUAAUCUUGUCAUUUAAUUUUCUUGAUUUAAGUUACUGUUCAUUGUUAACUUCUGUGUUCUUGUUAUUAGCAUUUGUUAAUUUGCAUCUCUCCUCUAAAAUAGUUUCUAAAAAAGAAUGUUGCUUUUCAUUCAUACCCUUGAAACCUUUCAGUUAAUAGUCAAAACUCUAAUCUUUCAGUUAAUUUAUUUGAAUCCAAUUUUUUCAACAGCAAAUACACACACACAUUGUUAAGCAACAGCCAAAAAAGUGCAGAAAAACCAGUCAAAUUUAUACAUGCGUCAACAGGGAAACAGUAACCAAAUAGGUGAUACAAAAAGGGGUGAAUGAUUCUGUCUUUUCCUUUUGCAAGUCGCUGUUAUUACUCUCAUCAACUUCUUUCUCGCACAUUUCUCAGCAGUUACCAGUAAUAUUUAAAAUCGCUGUGUAGAUAUGCAAAAGUUCCGUAAGUGCAUUAAUAAUUAUUUGCCAGAAAAAAAUAGUUGCGUCAAUAUUAAAGGAAUUGACAUCCAGGGGACCCAAUUUAGUUGCUUAAUGAUUAUUUAAUUAAUUAAUUUAUAAUAUAUUAAUCUUUUAAGUUGAAUAAUUAAAAUCUUAGACCCGAAACAAUAAAUCAUCUGAGGCAUAUAAAAGAGAAAUUAUCAUCCUAUUUUUUCUUUUUUCUUUUUAACUUCUUGUAGCUUAUAAAAGAGAAAUUAUCAGUCAUUUACUCAAAGUUUAUUCAAUUAUUAAAAUUAUUAUAAAAAUUUAAAUUUAUUUAAUUUUACAUCCAAUGUAUGCAAUUUGUAUGAAACAUCUGUUAAAAAUAUAAAGUUAUUCGUUCAAAGUGACAAAAUAGAACCGAACACAAAAUUGUAGUGGUGAUUAUGUUUUAGGAGUAACUUUAUUUUUUUAGUAAACAGUUGAUACACAUUGUAAUAAUGGGUAUAAAAUUAAAUAUUUUUAAAUUUUUAUAACUUUUUGGAUAAUAAGAUAAUUCUUAGAUGGAUAAUUGAAAAUUUUUCUUUUCAAAAUAUUUUGAAAACAAUACCAAAUGUACCAAAACAUUGUUUACUUUCACUCUCUCUCUCUCUCUCUCUCUCUCUCUAUCUAUCUAUCUAUAUAUAUAUAUAUAUAUAUAUAUAUAUAUAUAUAUUAUUUCUUAACUCAUUCUUAUCCUUAUUCUUUCUAACAUAUCCACAAUCUGUCAAUGAAAUUUACUUUUAUAAAUUUGAAGAUUUUUUCAUGCAAUUUUAUACGAUGAUGAGUUCUCAUGUUUCUGUUAAAAAAUAAUUCGUAAAUAAUACAAAUGAAAAAAACAAAAAGUAGCAGGGCUGGCAAUACAAAACCAUAACUUUUUUUCUUUGAAUUUUGCAUAAACAAAGUCAAUAGUGAUUUGUCAGCACGAUCUUGAGAGCACGGCUUGGAGUCUCAAUAAUUAUUGACACUCAUAUUUGAAAACUUUCGAAAAGAUAAAAUCCAAUAUGAAAGGUGAAACGUUAUAAUCAUAGUAACUAGAAAAUGGAUUGAUUUACAAAUAUCAAUUUAAACAAUUUUCAUGUUGAUCGACAAUUUAAGUAGAUUGACAAAGAUUGAAGUAAUUACUGUUGGUGAUUGAUUGACUUUGUCCUUAUCCUUGCCUUCUUCUUAUCAAAAAUCGAGUGUCAAUUAAAUUGGGCCAGGGUUUCUGAUUGCAACUAAUGGACUUCAUAUACGCAUAAUGGUCCCUACGUACAUACGUACCAAUAUUUGAUUGAUAAAGGGGGUGCAUGCUUAAUGCUCAAGUCGUCUUCUUUUGGAAAUUCAUUGUUAUUACUCUCAUCAACUCGUUCCUCACAUUCCUCUUUAGUCAAAACCUGUAAUAUUUCUUCUAUAUUCAAGGUGAAUACAGCAGCUCAUCGACUCUGAUCCCAGACAGGUAAAGAGGUGCACUUGUUCUAAAACCUGUAAUAUUCUUUUAGUAGCAGAAUCUCUGAUACUUGAUCUUCAUAGCGGUUCUUUCUUAAUUUCCAUCAACUUUCCUAGGAAAAAAUUCUCUGGUUUUUCUUAAUCAUAUCAUUUACUUUUCUUAAGUCAUAUCAUUUAUUUUUAGUAGCAGAAUACUUGAUCUUGAUAGCCAUUCUUUCUUAAUUUCCAUCAACUUUCCUUAAAGGAUACCUUUCUGUUAAUAGCGAAACCUCUGAUCCUUAAGAUAGAAAAAGAAAUUCUCUACUUAUGUAUCAGUUGGUUCAAAAUCAAUAUCGCGAUGUUGUUUGCGGUCUUUUCUUUCUCUGUCUUUCCCUCUAGUUCAUUUUAAUUUAUUUGUAUUCCUUUCUUUGACAUUUUUAUUCAUUUUAUUCAUAUAUAUACAUAUAUUGUUAAGCAACAGGCAAUGGUUGCAGAAGUGGGUCUGGCUGCUUUUUCCAGCAUCGUAUCAGAAGAUGCAAAGUCACUGUUCAAACCGAUUAUACGGCAGAUCUCUUAUGUGUUCAAGUACCAGAGCUACAUAGAUGGCCUAAAAGAUCAAGUGAAACAGUUGGGAUAUAAAAGAGAAAGGGUGGAAAUACCCGUUCAUCAGGCUACUCAACAAGGAGAUGAGAUUUAUAAGGAUGUUGCAGACUGGCUUAAUAGCGUCAAGGAAUUCACUCAGGGAGCUGCGAAAUCCAUCACUGAUGAUGAAGAUAGAGCUAAGAAGUUCUGUUUCAAAGGAUUGUGCCCAAACUUGAUUUCUCGUUACAAGCUCAGUAGACAAGCAGCAAAGGCCGCAGAAGCUGCUGCUAGUCUCAUGGGAAAAUGUAACUUCUCUAAUGUUUCCUACCGUCCUGCUCCAAAGCGGGCAGAACAUAUGCAAGUGAAAGAUUUCGAGGCCUUUGAUUCAAGAAUGAAAGUAUUUGAAGAUGUUGUGGAGGCGUUGAAGGAUGAUAAGCUCAAGAUAAUUGGGGUCUACGGGAUGGGCGGCGUGGGUAAAACCACGCUAGUCAAGCAAGUUGCAAGGCAAGUUAUGGAAGAUAAGGUGUUCGACAAGGUCGUUAUGGCUGAGGUAACACAGACCCCAGAUCAUCAGGAAAUUCAAAAGAAACUUGCUUUUGACUUAGGCAUGAAAUUUGGCUCGGAUGAGAAUAAAUUCGAAAGAGCAGAUCGAUUACGUGAAAGAUUGAAGAACGAGAAGCAGGUCCUCGUUAUAUUGGAUAAUAUUUGGAAAAAACUCGAGUUCGAAAAAGUUGGAAUUCCUUGUGGGGAUGUUGAUGAGAAAGAUACAAAGGAUGAUCAGAGACGAUGCACAAUAAUAUUGACGUCUAGAAGUCGAGAUUUAUUGCGCAUUGAUAUGAAUUCUCAGAAAAAUUUCCCGAUCGAUGCUUUGCCACCAAAAGAAGCAUUGCAGUUAUUUGAAAAGAUAGUGGGUGAUUCAACUAAAAUAUCUGCUUUUCAAAGUAUAGCAAAUGAGAUCGUUGAAAGAUGCGGAGGUUUGCCUGUUGCACUGAGUACAGUUGCAAAUGCUCUGAAAACUAAGGAUAGUUACUUUUGGAAAGAUGCAUUGAAUCAGCUAAGAAGAUCGGAUGCUAGAGAAAUUCAUGGCAUGCAAGCAAAUGUGUACACCUCCAUAAAAUUGAGUUAUGACUUCUUGGAAAGUGAGGAGGCAAAAUCUCUGUUCCGUCUUUGUAGUCUAUACAGUGAAGGUAAUGUCAUACAAGUUUCUGACUUAUUGAGAUGUGGUGUGGGUUGGGGUUUGUUUGAAAAUGUUUACACAUUGGAAGAAGCAAGGAGUAGAGUGCAUCGGUUGAUCGACAACCUCAAAUCUUCAUGCUUAUUGUUGGACGGUGAUGCUGAAGAUGAAGUUAAAAUGCAUGACGUCAUUCAUGUUGUUGCCGUAUCAAUUGCCAGAGAGGAGCGCAUGUUUAAUGUUCCAAAUGUUGCUGACUUGGAGAAAAAGAUGGAAGAGACAAUACAGAAAGAUCCAAUUGCUAUUUCAUUACCUCAUAGAGAUAUUCAAGAGCUCCCUGAAAGGUUGCAAUGUCCCAAUCUCCAGUUAUUUUUGUUGUAUACGGAGGGUAAUGGCCCUAUGCAAGUUUCAGACCACUUUUUUGAAGGGAUGGAAGGACUCAAAGUUUUACAGUUUCCUGGAAUUGGCUCUUCUUCAUUACCUUCAUCACUUGGUCGCCUCAUUAACCUUCAAACAUUGUGUUUAGACUGGUGCGAACUAGCAGAUAUAGCGGCAAUUGGACAACUAAAGAAAUUAGAGAUUCUCAGCCUCGCAUAUUCCAAUAUCAACCAGCUACCAGUUGAAAUUGGACAAUUGACGCGGUUACAAUUGCUAGAUUUGAGCAAUUGUUGGUGGCUUGAGGUGAUAGCACCGAAUGUCAUAUCAAAAUUAUCUCAAUUAGAAGAAUUGUAUAUGGGUAACGGUUUUUCAGGGUGGGAGAAGGUUGAAGGAGGAAGUAAUGCCAGUCUUGUCGAAUUGGAGAGGUUGACAGAGCUAACUACUUUGGAGAUAGAAGUUCCGGAUGCCGAAAUUCUGCCGCCGGAUUUUGUCUCUGUGGAAUUGCAAAGAUAUAAGAUACGUAUAGGAGAUGGGCCCGAAGAUGAGUUUGACCCAUUGCUCGUCAAAUCUGAAGCAUCAAGAUUGAUGAUGCUCAAGGGGAUAAAAAAAGUUAGCAUUCUUCAGGAGAAUGAUGGGACAAAAAUGUUGCUGCAGAGAACUGAAGAUCUCUGGCUAGAAACAUUGGAGGGUGUUCAAAGUGUUGUUCAUGAAUUAGACGAUGGGGAAGGUUUUCCACGAUUGAAGCGUCUUCUCGUAACAGACUGUUCUGAGAUUUUACAUAUUGUCGGUUCAGUUAGGGUUCGUUGCGAAGUCUUUCCCUUGCUGGAGGCAUUGUCUCUUAUGUUUUUAACUAAUUUGGAGACGAUAUGCUACAGCCAACUCAGAGAAGAUCAAUCCUUCAGCAACUUAAGGAUUAUAAACGUAGAUUCCUGUCGAAAAUUGAAGUAUCUCUUCUCAUUCUCUAUGGCCAAAAACCUAUUGCGGCUUCAAAAAGUAAAAGUGGAAGACUGCGAUGAUUUGAAAAUGAUUAUUGGUAAGUGUUGAAAUUAAUUAUUGGUAGGAUUAUUGACAUUGACUCUUUCUUUUUUUCUUUUUCUUUUUUUGGGGAAAAAAACAACGGAUGUUUAUUAUAUAUUGUUUUGGUUCAUUUAUAGGGCCCGACAUGGAGAAACCAACAACAACUCAGGGAUUCAUAGAAAUCAAUGCAGAGGAUGAUCCUGUUCACCAGGUAAUAAUUUUCUGUUUAAUAAUUAAUUAAUUAAUAUAUUAUCACGAUUGAGCUUCAAUCAUCGAAAGAAUAUUAUAUUAGAAGUUGUAGUUGAAGGAACAAAAAUGUAUGGUUUUUCUUUGCAGGUUACUUUUCCACGCUUGGAGGAACUGGAACUUGUCAGUUUAACAAAUAUCAAAAAAUUAUGGUCCGAUCAAUUUCAGGGAAUAUAUUGUUGUCAAAAUUUAACAAAAGUGACCGUGUGGAGUUGUCAUCGUCUGAAGUAUUUGUUUUCAUAUUCUAUGGUUAAUAGUCUUGGGCAACUCCAACAUCUUGAGAUUCGUAAUUGCCGGUCAAUUGAAGGGGUAGUCAACACCACGACGUUAGGAGGAAGAGAUGAAUUUAAGGUUUUUCCCAAACUACACUACCUGUCGCUCCAUUGGCUUCCAAAACUAAGUAGCUUUGCCUCACCAGAAGACGUCAUUCACACUGAAAUGCAACCUCAAUCCCUCUUUGAUGAAAAGGUUUUUUUUCAUUGAAUUUUUAAAUUCUCUUUUCGUUGAGUCUUCAAAUUUAAUUAAUAUACAUCUCUAAUUGCAUUGAAUUUUUAACUUCAGGUACGACUCCCAAGUCUGGAGGUAUUAAAUAUUAGUGAGGCGGAUAAGUUGAGAAAAAUAUGGCACCACCAGCUUGCUUCGAAGUCUUUUAGCAAAUUGAAAAAAUUGAAGAUAUCUGGGUGUAAUAAUCUACUGAAUAUUUUUCCUCCAUUGGUAAGAUUGCUAUAUUCAUUUUGAAUUUUUAUUUCAAGUAACAUUCAACAAUUAUUUUAAUCAUUUUUGUGUUUACAAAUAAUUUUCAUUCACAAAUUAUUUAUUGCAAGUAUUUUACUUCAAACUUCAGGAGGGCAAAAAAGUAGUGUACUUCAAAUCACCAUUCUGAACUCUGCAUUGUCAAUCUAAUUUAUAGGUUCACCCGCAUUAAAGUCAACGAUAUAAUUGUUUUAAACACGAUUUAACAGCAUAAUAUAAUUCAAUUUAAUUGUUUUUUUCCUUAAAUCCUAAUAAAUAAGAUUUUUAGAAAUUAAAAGAUACUUAGUUACUCAGCUUUUAAGCUCACAAAUUCAUAUAUAUUUCUCUUUUCCUUGGGUCUUCAAAUUUCGAUUUAAAAAAAAAUAAAAGAAAAGUGUUCAAAUGUAGUUAAUAUCUCUAGUUUAGUUAUGAAUUGAUUACGCCAUUGAUUAAGCACAAAUUCAUGAUGGUCAUUUUGAAUCGACCGUUGAUUAAAAAAAUUCCUCAAAUAUUCACUCUAUAACAGUCCCAUGUUGAUGGCGUUGGGAAGUGUUUUCCAGAAAUGUUUUUCCAUUUUUAAAAGCAUGAAUAUCGGGAAAAAAAAAAGGGAAAUACAGCGUUUUAGUUUAGUUAUUUUAAAAAUAGGCAUGUUUGAAAAUUAAAAAUUUUAAAAAACUAGCAUCAAGAUGAAAAAUGAAUUUAGAAUAUUUAAAAAUUACCUGAAAUUCUUUCUCCGUUCCUAAUACUAAAUAGUGUAAAUGCAUUUUCAUUAUCUUUGUUUUUCUGGACUUCUAUUUAUUUAUUUUUAUUUUUUCUUUUUUUUCUUUAACAAAAAAUAUCUAGUAGACAUUCAUGGUUUGUUAUUUUUCAUAAAACAAUUGUAUGAUUUUGACAUACUUUGAAUCUAGUUGAAUGCUACUCUUUAUUUUCAGGUUGGAAUUCCCAAUAGUCUAGUGAAUCUUGAUGUAUCAGACUGUGCAAAAAUAGAAGAAAUCAUAGGACAUGUUGGAGAAGAAGCGAAGGAGAAUCGUAUUGCUUUCAACGAAUUAAAACUUUUGGAACUUGAUGAUUUACCAAGGCUUACCAGCUUUUGUUUGGAGAAUUACACUCUUGAAUUCCCAUCAUUGGAACAAGUUUCUAUGACACAUUGUCCGAACAUGAAGACUUUUUCUCGGGGAAUCUCAUCCACACCAAAGCUAUACGUAGUGCAAGUGACUGAAAGGGAAGAGGGUGAACACCAUUGGGAAGGCAAUAAGCUUAAUUCCACUAUACAAAAGUGUUACGAAGUAAUGGUAUGUGUUAAUCGAUUCACUUUACGAAGUAAUGGUGUUACGAACACCAUUACGAAGUAAUGGCAAUAAGCUUAAUUCCACUAUACCACAUUUAAACAUAUACACCUGCGUUGUAAAUAUAUUUUUAGAAGUUAAAGCACAAAACAUGUAAGUUUAAUGUAUAUAUAUAUCUAAUGCCUUUCAAAAAAAGAAAUUUAUAUAUAUCCAGUGCAAUUGUUUUGGUUUAUGCAGAUUGGAUUCCGUGACAUAGAGCAUUUGCAACUCUCACAUUUUCCACGCUUGAGAGAAAUAUGGCACGGCCAAGCAGUGCCUGUCAGCUUCUUCAACAAUUUACGACAACUGGCUGUGGAUGACUGCACGAAUAUGUCGAGUGCUAUUCCUACCAAUCUGCUACGUUGCUUGAACAAUUUGAGAUGCCUGGAAGUGAGGAAUUGUGAUUUAAUAGAAGAGGUGCUUCAUUUAGAAGAGCUAAAUGCUAAGGAAGAACAUAUAGGCCCCCGGUUUCCUAGGCUUAACAGACUAAGGCUCAUUGAUCUUCCAAAACUCAAAAGAUUCUGCAACUUCACUGGGAAUAUAAUUGAACUGUCUGAGUUGGAGAAUCUAACUAUUGAGAAUUGCCCUGAUAUGGAAACAUUCAUAUCCAACUCUGUAGUGCAUGUGACAACAAAUAACAAGGAACCUCAAAAAUUAACAUCAGAAGAGAACUUUUUGCUGGCUCAUCAAGUACAACCCCUCUUCGAUGAAAAGGUGAUUAUUAUUAUUAUUAUUAUUAUUAUUAUUAUUUUCCCCUUCACUUUUGUUCGCACAGAUGUAAUUUCAUUAGAAUCAAAUCAAAUUUUAUGACUCAUCUUUUUGCAUGUCAUCUUGAUUCAUAUAUGAAUUAACAAUACAACUACAGUUAUGAACUAACUUUAUAGUAUGAAUUAAAAAAAUGUCUUAAAUUAUUUCGAUGACUGGUAACAUGAGGUGAUGAACUAUAUCAAUUAUGCUUGUCGCAUCUCUGUUUUCCUAGCUAAUUCAUAUUGGAUUUAGUAUCAGAUUUCAUUUAUGUGUUUCAAAGGGUAAUCGAUUUGAUACUUAUAUUUGGGAUCCUACUGCAAAGCAUACUAAUUUGGAAAUAAAAUAUAAAAUGCCGUGAUUAAUCUUGUCCAUAAAAUAUGCAGGGGAAGACUGCAGAGAUUGGAUACAUACUUUCAUUUACAACUUAAUUUUGUUGAUUUUCAGCUUACAUUCCCUCAAUUGAAGGAGUUAAAGCUAUCUAGAUUACACAAAGUGCAGCAUCUCUGGAAGGAAAAUGACGAAUCCAACAAAGCGUUUGCAAACUUGAAAAGUCUAGAAAUAUUUGAAUGUAGUAAGUUACAGAAAUUAGUACCAGCUUCGUGGCAUUUGGAAAAUCUUGAGGCUUUGAAAGUAUCGAAGUGUCACAGGUUGAUAAAUUUGUUGACGCUCUCAACAUCUAGAAGUCUGAUAAUUCUUCAAAGUAUGACGAUAGCUGAUUGCAAAAGGAUAGAAGAAAUCAUACAGUCGCCGGUUGCAGAAGAAGCGAAAGAUUGCAUUGUUUUCAAGGAAUUAAAGUACUUGGGACUUGAUUGUUUGCCAAGCCUAACAAGCUUUUGUUUAGGUAAUUACGCUCUUGAAUUCCCGUCCUUGAAACAAGUAGUUGUGAGAGAGUGUCCAAAAAUGAUGAUCUUCUCUCAAGGAGUCUUAGACACACCAAUGCUAAACAAAGUGAACGUCACCGAAGAAGAAAAAGAUGAUGAUGAUGAAGGAUGUUGGGAAGGCAACCUCAAUGACACCAUAAAAAAAUUGUUCAAUGAAAUGGUGAGUAUCAAUUAAGUUUUGGUGCUAUUUAGAAAAUUAUUUUAUAGAAACUAAUGUAAUAUAAUAUGAUUGGUUGACUGAAAAUAUAUAAUAAUAAAUAAAUAAAUAAAUUAUGAGGGCUAUGUAAUGUUUUUGUUUAACCAAUCAUAUUAUGUCGCAUUAGUUUAUACAAUAUUGUUUGUGUACAAGAGUUGUAAUGUAUGCUUGCUUACACGAGUAAUUACAAAAUGUGCAUAAUUCUAAAGAAAAGAUUGAGCCAACCCUUCAGGUACAGUGAAGAAGCUAUCUCGAACCAGGCCAAUCUCGUGUACAUGAUUCAACUUGCUCGUUCUCCUGUACUUGAAUAAUUUGGUUCUAAACGCAUUUACAACUUUUUUGUCAUGCUAUAGACAUGCAAGACACUUUGGAUUUGUUUGAUGCAUUCUUUGUUUAAGGAAGGACUUGAAUUGAUGUUUCAUGUUUCAUGCAAUUUUCAAUUAGAUACUGUUUAAACUUCUGCAUUAUUCAUUCAAUCGGUGUUUUAAGCAUUUGAUUUCUAACUAGUCCUGAUAGAAGAUCAUUAGCUGAAGAAAACAUCAUAACAUUUGUGGCAUUAUCAGAAUAAGAAUAGUUUUAUGAGUAUAGUAAAAUUAACUAGACCAUUAUUAAAAGGAAUUAAUCCGUCAACUUUAAGUAAACUUUAGAUGAUGGUUCUGACCUAAACCAUUUUAAUGCUUGGCAAAAUCACAUCCUGAGCAUAGAGUAAAGAAAGUGGCAUACAUGGUAAUCAACUUCAAGAAGCUCUUCGAAAUGCAUAAUACUGUUGGGGAGAAAAGAAAAAGAAAGAAUACAAAUAAAAAGAAGUCACACAUCAUCAGCAGUUUUUCGGGAACACAAAAAUGUUAUAAUAACUUUUCUUGAUUGCCACCCACAUGCUAAACUGAUCAAAUACAAAACAGGAUACAGAAAAUCUCUAACCUUUUUGGCACUGAAGAAGACGCCAGUGCUUUCAAAAGAAAAUGCUUGAUUGUUGGCAUUCUGGUUUGAAAAAUAUGAGUCCAAUUCCUGUGUCCAGUCAUGUACCAAAUCAGGACGACGUGCAAGUCAUACAAAGAUGACAAAAAUACAGUAUAAAUUGCGUCAAACCAAUUCAAGUCAAUUGGAGAAGUAAAUCAAGGACCAUUUGCAAUAGUUGUUCUCCACAUCAAAUUUGGGUGUCCAUCGUCUUCAUCCUCUUGUGCACUGAACCUGAGAGUCCACGAGAAAUACAUAUAAAAAUUAGGCAUGAUUGAAAUUGAUAGUAGUACAAAAUGGAUAUAAACAUCACGAUGAACAAAUUAAAUUGUUCCCUGUCAGACAAAUCCAACCUGCAAGCUUAAGCUCUUAAGCUAGACCAAAUCACACUGCAAAUAACAAGACAUAAGGCCAAAAAAAGAUAAUAUGUAUCAUUCAUAUGCUUCGCCCUAUAGAAAUGAUUUGGGCCAUAGGUCAAUUAUGUUAAAAGCAGCGAUACUAAACCCAAAAGAAGAGAGGUGAGGCGAGGGAGUGGUGGGUUUUUUUUUUUUUUUUUUCAUUUAUAUAUUUUUACCUUAAACCAAAUGACCGGUUUUACAGGUUUCUGGUUGUUUCAAAUUUUUUUAUUGCUUAAUAAUGAAACAAAUCUCAGCCAUUAGAUCACUCCAUUUAAUCCAAUGGUCAGUUUUUGUGCAUGUAUCAGAUGCACGCAUGUAUUGUAGCCGCCCCAUUUUCCUUUUUAGUUGCAAAACCUCGUUCGAAAGCAACAAUGACUUUCACUCAAAGUAAAUGAGAAAUUACAAUGAAAAUGGGAUCAGAAAAAGGUUGAGGUGAAAUAAAACCAAAGGGAUGAUGUUUCUGCUUUCCAGCUUUGGGAAACGGCGUGGAUGGAGCACGUUCAAUACGAAAAACUUCAUUAGCUCACGCGCUGCUCAGCUGAUUCUUAACAGAAAAUGAUUUAGUGGAAACGGCGUGGAUGGAGCACGUUUAACAUAUCAGUUUAAGUAACCACGUGAGAAAGCAUGUGAUGAAGGUUGUUCCGAGUUCGUUGAAGGUUGUUAACCACGUGUCAAAACAAAGUGUUCAUACUGGAAAGAAACAAAAUAUUAAUAAAUAAACCAUUAAAAAGAUUAUCUGAAAAUUAUGUUUAACUAGGCCAAUUCAAUUAUCGAGCAGUUUGAUAUAUUAAAUGAGCUAGAACAGUAGCCUUUUAAUUAUUUCACUUACUAUUAUCGAACAGUUUUAUAUCAUUCCCUAUCUUAUAGUAAAGGUAAAAGAACAGAAAAGGUAUAUUGCAUUAGAGUUCGUGUACUUCUACCUUUUAGUUUAUUCUUCAUUUUAUUAAAAUGACAGAUUCCUCAUUAAAAAAGGUCACUCUACAUAGUAUGUGGGUGUAUGUUCUUUUAAAAAGGACUGAGAGAAAAAUAAAUGUGAAAAACAAGUAACAUCUGAAGAAGAAAGUGAUGCUGACACAUUAACGACCACUUGAUUUUGUAGGGACUGCACAUAAUUGAUAAUUUCAUCCAACAUGAGACCUUUCCAAUUACCUAAUUUUAUACCAAACAACAUGAAGUUUAUAAGAAAUAUUAAAAACACAAAAACUCGUUAUUUGUUUUAAGACAGGAAAAAGUGAAUAAAAAACAAUAACAAAAAAAAGAACUCAAAUUACUUAAUUACCAUAGCUAUGAACAAGUUUUUGCAAAAUUUUCAUCCUCUCACUAACUUUCUCUCUUCUUACCUAAAACCAAAUAAUGACAAGACAACUGCCCAUUAGACUAUGACAAAAGUUGGAAAUUAAAAUAAUAUAGUAGGUUAUUUUGGAUAAAAUUAGAAAAAGAAAGUUUGAAUUUGUAUUAAUAUACUCACCCUUUCUGUUAACCCCUAUUUGAAGGGCCGAAAGAGUAGUAACAGUAGCAAAAAAUUCAAAUAAUAGAAAUCAGAGUGCCCACUACAUAUAAAUGGAUCUAAAGAAUAGAUUAUAUAAUAGCUUGUUUCUUAUGAAUGAUACAUGUGAUUCCACAGAUAAAAAGAAAAUAAAAAUCAAGUAUGUGAAUUAAAAAAAACACCUAACCAAUAGGGGUUAGUGAGAUAUUUUAGCUAAAUAUCAGUUGACAGAAUCUGACCCACAAUAAAAAUUGCUAUCUUUUCACAAUGGGAAUCUGAAUUAUAAAAUUACUGAACAAAACUUUUAACACCUACAAGUCCAAAUAACAUCAAAUAAAAUGCCUAACCAGCUGUUAAAUAUAAAAUGUCCAUGUAGGACUAAAGCCCUGUGGCUAAUCCUUCAAAGUUCCAAGCAACAAUAUGAUAAAAACAUAAUGCAUAAUAUAUAAGGAGCUUAUCUGUAAAACUUCCAUACAAUACUUAUCAUAUUAAACAAUGUACAUAAUGAAAUAUUGGCUUAUUUCUACAGAAUAUUACGAUCUAAGUACACCAAUUUCUCAAGCAAUGCCAUAUAGAAAGAUACCGAAGAAAAAAGGAAAAUAAAAAAUCGAAGUAUGUUAGUUAUGAUUUCAACUUUUGAACUAAAAGUCUGUGACAAAUUUUGCUUCGGGAAAUACUAACAAACACUUGAGAAAAACUAAAGUGUAUCACACUUGAACCGUAUAUAAAGCACAAGAAUAAAAACAACAAGGGGCAAAAAGAGGCUAGAUGUAUCAUCUUCAUUAGUUAAACAACAUAAAUAGAAUCAAAAUAUUAAUGCAUACACCAAAACCUUCAAAAUUCUCUAAACAUUCAAUUUUUUUCAGAGUAAGAAAAUAAAUUUAUAAGAAAUCGAGAAUGCGUAUUUGUUGCGGUAUUUUAUCAAGCAAUUAGCAUGCAGCAAUGUAAAUGACAAUUAAAACAUGUAAAUCUCUGUACUUUGAAAGCUCACCUUCGUUAUUCAUCCAAAGAGAAUAUAUAGGGCAUGUAAGCUCCUUCUUUGAUAUUUAUCCCUAUCGUUCAAUUAUUUUGUUUUCAUCAAAUUCCGUUAGCUCAAGUGGAGACAAAGCAAUACAAAUGGUGCAUUUAGAAGGUACAACUUUAGAAACCGAAUUUGUGCUUGCAACAUAGGAGAAACAGGGGCUCUCCUUCCAUUUUCCUGGUUUUGUGUUUGGUGAUUUUAAAAUUUUAUAUCUAUAUUUACGAAAAAAGAAAAGAAGUUUUCAAAACUAUUUUUUUUAUACAAGUUCUGUGUCAACUCAAAAAUUGCUCAUGACCAAAAAACAUCUAUGGUUCUUCAGUUACUCAAAAAUUCCUCGUUUUUGAGUUACUUUUUUUUUUUUUUUUAAUUUUUAUUCUCAAGUAAUUUUAUCAUGGAAUUGUUAAUUUUUAUUGAAUGUUGAACAAGCCUUUAUUUCUUUUCUUUCCCUUUUAAUGAAAUUAAAUAAAUGGUGGGGAUAUACCCUACAAAUUAUUGUCUCCACCCCAUAUUUAGUAUUGCUUUUACCACAUGAAAAAUUAAUUUUAUACGAUAAAUUUAUUUACUUGAAUAUUAAACCAUAUCAUGAACCAAUUGACAGGUUGAAGAAUUAACUUUCAAGUUUCAACAUUAUAAGAUUAAUAAAUAGCAUAAACAAAUUUUUAUUUUCAUUUAAAUUAAUCUAAUCCUACCAACUUCAUUUGGAUUUCAUAGUUGUUGGUUUCAUGUAUCACACGAAUUGUUAGGCACCAACUAACACAAGUAUAUGUUACUCAAGCAUCUCACUUGAAUAAUAGUCUAAGGAACUUUGAUUCGGAUGGUAGAUAUUUAACUAACUAAAACUAACAUUCUUAACUCAAAGCUCAUUUACUAGUAAAAGUAGAACCUUCUCCGUCAGCUUAUCUUGUUCAUUAUAUAACAAAAGAUAUUUAGUGAAAAAAAAAAAUUGGAGGGGGGGGGGGGAGGGGGAGACUAUGAUAAUAAUUAUGUUCAAGAUCUAGCCGCUAGGGAUAGAUUUGGCUAUGACUAUUUGUUGAUCCAGUAAUUAAUUUGAACAAUAUUGUUAAUUUUAGUUGAAACUGGAAUGAAUUUUGUGAAAGAUGCUUUCUCAUAACUAACCAACUAAAACUAACAAUCAAAUUAUCAAAAUCAGAGCUCAACUACUAGUAAAACUAUAAAAGUAAAACACUUGCUUCUCCAUCAAGUCAUCUCUUUAUAUAUAACAAAGAAUGUUUUAUGAAAGAUGGCAAAAGCAGUCAAUAACAAUUAAGUCUCAAAUAAUUCAUAAAAGAUGUCAAGCUCUGUUGCGAAUGCUGCUGAGGCUGAGAUUUGGAUUGUCCCAUUCUUCGGUAAGGGACAUAUGUUUCCAUGCAUUGAAUUAUGCAAGCAAAUCACUUCUCGUAAUUACAAAUCUACCCUCAUUAUUCCCUCUCACGUUUCCGCCACCAGCAUCACCCCUUCUUUUGUUCACCAAUACCCUCUAUUUGAAAUUACUGAAAUACCCUCCUCAUCUCCACUACUACCAUCGCCUCCUUCUUACCUCCAUGUUGUCAUGCACAACCAAAUGCUUCAGGGUCUUCGAAACCUCCUUUCAACCCGGAACCCGAAAGCCGACCUGUUUGCGUAGUCAUCGGCGUUAUGAUGGGCUGGACGGCUGAUGUUUUCAAGAAUUUUGAAGUUCCCAUUGUUGGGUUCUUCACUUCUGAUGCUUGCUCAGCAGCUGUGGAGUGUGCCAUGUGGCAGGCUCGCAUCCAGGAUGUCAAACCGGGAGAGGCCCAUUUACUUCUUGGGUUACCCAAGGAUGUUGCUUUAUUCCAAUCAGAUCUUAAACGCAGGCCUCACGGGUCCCUUCCUGGUGGCCCACAACCUUUGUGAGGUGCACCCGGUUCAGAGAAAAUAGGUCCAUCAGAACCGAGUGAUCAACCACACUGGAUGAAGCAAGUGGAGGGAUCGAUGGUGUUGAUGCUAGUGUGGGGAGUGGGCCCAUUGUUACCUGAACAAUUUUACAAAUCGACCGGUUCAGUGCUUCGUGAUUGUGAGAUGAGAACCAACCGGCGGAGUUCUAACAUGACCAAAGAUGAGAUCAUUCAAUGGUUAGAUUUGAAAUCAUGUGGAUCAGUGUUAUACAUGUCAUUUGGUACCGAAAUGGGUCCCACCUUAAAUGAUUAUUCAACAUUAGCCAAUGAUUUAGAAGCAUCAAAUCCACCGAUUAUUUAGGUAAUUCAAACUGAUGUAAAUAGAUUGGAUCCUCCACGUCAUUUAACCAGCUUAUUUUCAUAGUGGUUUAGAUAGUAAAGCCGGUAAAAAGGGUUUGAUAAUAGAUGGAAUGGCACCACAAUUAUUGAUGCCGAGUUAUCAAUUAAUAGGUGGAUUUUUAUCUCACUGUGGAUAAAAUUCAACUGUAGAAGCAAUUGGCUGUGGGGUCUCAAUUUUAGCAUGGGCAAUUAGAGGUGAUCAACGUUACAAUGCCAAAUUGGUGAUCAAUCAUCUCAAGGUGGGGUGCAUGAUCUCUGAUGAUCAGUCGAAAUUGACUUAAAAGGAUGAUAUAGUGAGUGGUAUAGAAAAGCUUAUGAGUAGGGUUGGGCAAAAUAUCCGACCCGAUCCGAUCCGAUCUGACCCAAAAAAUAUCGGGUUCAGAUCGGAUCGGAUUGUUAACAAAAUCCAAUCGGAUGUAACUUUGCCAACCCGAUCGGAUCAUGAUCGGAUCGGAUGAAACCCGAUCCGAUCCGAAAACCCGAUCGGGUUGGCUUAAAAAAAAAACUGUGUAACAAACUAACAAAGUGGCAAACACAACAAAAUCGGAUUCACACCACACAAAAAGCAAAUCUUAGAUCUAAAUUAAAAUAAUCUGUAAGUGCACACACACACACUCACAUCACACACGGUCACACACAAAUAGAGGUUUGGCCUCGGAGAUCGGAAAUGUUGAGAUGCCAAACAACGAAGCAGCAGCCAACAGAUUGGAGAUACAACCGCAAGAAGCAGCAACCAGCAGACCGGAGAUGCGGCCGCGCGAAGCCGCGAACCAGCAGCCAGCAAUCACCGACGUGAUCGUGCGAAGCCAAACCAUCGGAGAUCGGAGAUGUCAGCGAAGCAGCGGUGAGCAGAUCGGAGAUGCAACCGCAAGAAGCAGCAGCCAGCAAAUCGGAGAUGCAACUGCGUGAACCAGCAGCCAUCAGUCACCGACGCGAUCGUUCAAAGCUAAGCCAUCGCUGCAACCGCAACGUGCCGAUGGAAUCUACUACACCUCGACUGCUACCGCUUGCUGCCACUAGCUUCACCGGUUACCACAACUGCUACAACUAAAUUCACCUCCACAUUCACUGUCACCAAGUUUUUGGUGGUAUUGACUAUAUUGUUUUAAAUAAUUUAAUUUAAAAAGCUUAAAACAAAACUAUAUCUUGAGAAAAGGUUGAUUGUUUUACUUGAUUGCUUCUGAAAUUAACCCAGAAAUAUAGAAUGGAUAUAUAACCCGAAUGCUUUUAAAUCUGAAUCUAAUCCGAAUUAAUCCGAAUUUUCGAUCCAAUCCGAUCCGAAUUAUAUUCGGAUCGGAUUGGAUCGGGUUAAUAAUUCGGAUUGAGUUCGGAUGAUUUUUUCCCCAACCCGAUUGAUCCGAAAUUGAUCAAAUCAACCCGAACCCAAUCCGAAUCCGAUUUUGCCCACCCCUACUUAUGAGUGAUCAAAGAAAUUGAAAAACGAGCUCACAUGCUUCGCCGUGUAUUUAAUCAUGGCUUUCUUAUAAGUCAAUGACUUCUUUAAUAUAGUGUUUACUUUUUGGAGUGAGAGUGAGGAGUGUGGAUUCCUCUUACUCCAGUGUUUACUUACAAUUUUCAAAGGGGAAGUGAGAAUUCCACUCCGUGGAUCCCACCUAAUUUUGGAGUGGGGGAGUGAGAUUCCCACUCCCAUGGAGGAAGGUGGGAGUGGAAAUUCACUCGCCUCUCUUCCUUUUUCACCCUUAUAUUUAAUAAAAUAAAAUAAAUAAUAUCAUAUUUAUUUAACUUAUAUUAUUAUUUUAUUUUAUAAAUUACAUUUAUUAAAAAUAAUAAUAUUAAACAUAUUUAUUUUAUUAAAUUUAAUAAAAUAAGUAAAAUCAUAUUUAUUUAAAUAAUAAUAUUUUAUUAUUUUAUAAAUUAAAUUUAUUAAAAAUAAUAAUAUUAAACAUAUUUAAAAUAAUAUUAAUUUUUUGGUUAAAAAUAAUAAUUUACAUUGAUUCUAAGUUAAAAUUACUUAAAAAUAAUAUCAUUAUAUUCAUAAAGAAUUAAUAAUAUUACUAUAUUCUAUUUUUAUUUGAAAAUAUAAUAUUAUUAUACUUAUUUAAAAAUAAUACUAUUAUAUUUAUUUAAUAUUAGUAAUUAAUAAUAAUAAAUAUUUUAUUCUAAAAAAAUUAAUUUUGUACUAUAUUAUCAAUAAUAAUGUUUCAUUUGUAUUGUUGUUAUUAAUAAUUUUUUAUUUAUAUAAUUAAAAUUAAAAUUAAUAAAAUAAUUGUGAUUUACAUAGUUAAGAAUAUUAAUAAUUAUUAUUAAUUUAAAAAUAUAAUUUUUAUUAAUUUUGUAAUUAAUAACUAUAAUUCUUUAAGAGUAAAGCUGUAAUUUAAAAUCAUUACUCACAAUCUAAGACAAUGUAAACAAAUAAAUUGGAUUCUGAUUUCAAUUCCAUACUUCCAUUUCAGUGUAAGUAAACAACAUACUUCGACUCCCACUCCACACUCCUAAUCCCAGGAUUCUCACUUCUCACGAUUCUCACUCCAACGCAAAAUGUAAACGCUACCUAAAUGCUUUCAAAUAUCUUGUUAACCAGAAAUCAAUUUAACAAAAACAAUUACCGUGUAUAUUAUUAACGAAAAGGCUUUGAUUCCGUUGGCUUGGGUGUAAAUAAAUCGACUUUAUCAAGAACAGACAUCUCAGCAACUACAUAAUAAUAUAUGUAAGCUUUUGUUAAUUGACUGCAUUAAAUCAUUAAAUCAAAAGCCUUACAAAGCAUCUACAAUAAAAAGAUGGCACAUCCUCCAUCCAAACGACAAAAACAUGGACUCGCAACGCAAUUCUUGCUAAUUAAUUAAUAGGUAGUCAUAUUCCUCCGAGCAACAAAAUGAACAUCAAAUUGUUGAUGAGGCACCAUAUGCACAAAAUGUUGAUAUUGUUUAAUGUUUAAUAUUAUGGGAAAGUUUUAAUAGAUCUUCAUUUCCCUUACAUAUUGUGAGCUUAUAACCAAAAAUGGGACUAUAUGGUUGUGUGACAAACAAAAAGGGAAAUUUUUUACUAUUCGGCUAAAUUUUAAUGUCAAUAAUAUAGGAUCUGAAUUCACUUUAAUAUGAUAUCGACAUGUGUAGAAAAUUCCUUAAGUAAAUAGAUUUUGCAUAAAAGGUAUCGACCCAGAGUCAGAGGAAAAUUAAAUAGAAUGUCUUUUAAUACAACAAUCACUGGUGACCCUGUUUGGGCAUAGUUUGAGAGUACUAAAAUAUCUACUGCCAACUCUAUUCUAGUUGAAAGGCUAUCAAGGCAAAUUGGUCGCAUUGUUGAUGAUGAGGAAAUAGAGGUUGGAUUCAAGAAGAAGAAGAUUAUGGUAGUAAUGUUCUUGAAGGUCGAGAGAUGGAGAGAUUGAGAAAUAAUAGUGCAGCAAGUUUAAUGAGUGGAUAAUAUUAUGGUCAUAUGUUUUUUUUUUUUACACACAUGUAUAUAAUAUUAUAUUUCUAUGAACUAGUUUGAUUACAAUGAUUUUAUGUACAUAAAAGUUUAUAUAAAGAUUAAAUUUUUGCAUUUUCUUUUUUGCACUUAAUUUAUUAAUCAAACUAAUGAUAUGUUAGUAUUUGUUAUAUCACGAACUACAUAACAAAUUUUUUAGUUAAAAAGAUAUUGAAGUUAAUUUUAUUGCAAAUUAAAAUAGUUAAUAAAAAAUUAUUUAAAUAUGUAAUAAAGAAAAUAGAAUAUGCUCUUAAAAAAUCUUGUAAAUAAAAAAAGAUUUAAAUAAUAAUAUUCUAAAUAAAUUACAAACAAGUAAACAAGUACAUUUUUGUCAUUGUACAUGAACAUUUUACACUUUUAAUUUUCAUUUACCAGAUUUGUAUAGUAAACCGUUUAAAAAUUGAUUGUCAAAUAAUCAUCAUUUACCAAACACCCUAAUAGAUUAUUUGUAAAAUUAUUUUUUUGUUCAGAAUCAAGGUAGAAAUUAAUUCUUGGAAAGUAAAGGAAAUCUCAAACAUACCCUCAAUCAACCAUGGGAAGUUAUUUAAGUUGUAGUAUCUAAUAAGUUCUAUUAAUAGUGAGCGCACAUAUCAAAUAUAUAAAAAUAAGUAUUUUAGUUAUUAUCCACCUGUUCCCUUGAAAUCAAUCUCAGUUUUUUUUUUCUUUUACCUAAAAUUCCAAGAAAAAUAUAUAAAAGAAGAAGAACUUUUUUUUGGGGGGGGGGGGGGGGGGGGGGGGGCGGGGAUUGGGGUGGGGGAGGGGGGAGCUCCUCUGUUUUCAUUCCAUUGUUUUGAAAUUAUCUAUCAUCAGUAUAAAGUUAUACUUUUGAAUCAAUAUGCUUUGUGACUCGAUAAUUUAGCAUAAUAAAAAAAGAAAAACACACUUACUCACAUCCCGAUUGAAUCUUAUCUCUAAGGAUAAGUAAAAAAUUAUUGUUCCUCUUUUUCUUUUACGGUUUGUUUACGAAAAGAAAACACUCACACCUUCAAGAUAUUUAUAAGUAGAACACUUAAGUUUUAAGAAUAAUACACCCUAAUUUGAAAAAAAAUGAAUACAUGUAUCAUAUUUUAUGUUUUUUUUUUAAAAAAAUUAUUUGAUGACAUUAUGAGACUCUAUAUGCCAAGAUCUAUGUGAUGGUGAGAAUGGUUUCAUAAAAGAAGCAAUAGUAUAACCGCACACAUGGCAUUGUUUGUAAUGACUAAAAUUAGAAGAGAGUCUAUGUAUCUACUCCUGAAACAUUAAGAAUUUAACUAUUUAUUAAUUAAAUCAAAAUUUCAAGAUCAUAGUGUCGUUUUACAUAAAGAACCCAAAUACUAAAUCUAGCUAAUAAAGGAGAACGGUUUAGAUUAGUUGCUUGGACUUCCUUGUCUCGGGGCUGUGUGGUCAAGCCUGUCCAUCAGGCGGAUUCAGAUUUUGAAAGUUAUCUGAAUCUUCUUCUCUAUGUAAGCCUAUACAAUGAUUUUGUGAAAGACAUAUGCAAAAACAGUACCAGUAAGCAUAUUUAUUUAUCAAAGAUGUCAAGCUCUGAUGCUCAGAUAUGGAUAUCAAAGAGAGAGAUUGAAAAAGAGAGAGAGAGAGAGAGGAUAAUCAGGGACUCGUCUGUUAUCAUUCCCCUGUUUUUCAGUUUGGUGAUUGGAAGUAACAUUAUUUGCGUGUACUCUUUAUUUAAUUUAUUUUUCAAUUUUUUAAAAAUUAAUUAUUGUUCUUCUCAAAGCGUUUAGUAAAUUAUAUGAUAAUCUGAUCAAAUCUCUAACAUUAAUGUCCGCAUAAUCUAGUAAUGAAACUUAUAAUUUUAUAAUAAUCAAAUUGAAGAUUUCUUCACGCUGUUUUGUAUGAUGACGAGUUUUUAUUUUUCUGUUAAACAUAAGAUCAUUUUCUAAUAAUGUCCAUCUGGAAUUAGUAAUAACGAAGCAUCAUUUGUGGACAGAACAAUUGAAAUAUCAAGUCACUAUUGAUCCCACUUUGAUGAUUGCACUUUAGUUUCUUUCUAAAAUGUCAUUCUUCAUUCAAGCUUUUACUUUAUCUUUUAUCAGGUAUCUUACAAAGCUUUUCCCUCCUAAUAAGCUCUAAUAAACCAAUGUGCUUUUCAAUUUCGCAGGAUACAAGUAACGUAUAUGCCAAAAUUAUUCAAGCACAACAAGUAUUUAUUCGUCGAAAACUUCAACUUAAUUAUUUCAUUAGAAAAUAUGAAACGCAGAGCCAUAAACUAGUGUUUUCUUCAACUUACUUGGGUUAAAUAAAAUUUUUUCAGUAUUUUUCCCGAUCCAUUUCUUGUAUCUCACUGCAUGCUUUAUUAAAGCUUCGUCUUUGUUCUUGAUUGUGAACUUCAAGAUUAAAUCUUAAAAAUCGGGUAUAAAAGGGGUGCUUGAUUAAGUCUUCUUCUUUUGCAAUUCAUUGUUACGGCUCUUUUCAGCUUUUUACUCACAAAUUCCUCUGACGUUAACAGUGAUCUAUCGCUCACUAAAAUUGUUCUUCAUAAUUUCUUUCAAUACCAGUUCUUAAUAUUCAAGGCGAAUAGAGAGCUCAUCAACUCUCUGAUCCCAAAUAAUUAAAGAGGUACACAUGCUCCUAAAUCCUCUAAUAAUUUCUUUUAACAGCAGUUCUUAUUUAAUUUAAUUUCCGUCUAUUUUCCAAGAAAAAUUUCUCCGGUUUGUCUUAAUCUUAUCAUUUAUUUUGCUUGAGUUGUAAGUUAUUGUUCAUUUGUAAGGUCUGUGUUCUUAUUACUAGCUUUGGUUAAUUUGAAUCUAUCUUCCCCAAUAAAAAAAAAAAAGAAGUUUUUAAAAAAAGCGCGGGUUUUUAUUCGGACCCUUAAAACCUCUCUGUUAAUAGCAAAGAAAGACUCUAAUCCUCGAGCCAGGGGGAGUAAAAAAAGAACAAAGAAUUCUCUGUUUAAGUAUCAAUUGUCUCAAGAUCAACAUUGUUUUUUUUCUUUUUCUUUUUUUUGUUAAUUUGUUUGUUAUUUUAUUAGAUUUGCUUUUAAUCUAAUUGUGCUUGAGGAUUGAAGAUGAGUGAGAAAUACCCUUUUUUUCUGAAGCAACCUACAAAUUUUAGAAUAGGGUAAGAGUAUUAGAGAUUCAAUUAAUCAAAAAAAGUUAUUUACAUUCGUCAUUUGCAAAAAUGUUUGCAUUAGAAUUUUUCUAGCAUUCAAGAGCAUUACAUAUCAUCAUGUCACAAAAUAGCCUGAAAAACAAGAUAAAUCAAUUAGAGCAACUUGCUCUUUAUUGAAUUUUUUUUUUUUUUGUUUGGUUUGCCCGAAAUCCCAGGGAAAAUAUUAUAUAAGAACAAGAGUUAAGAUCAAAAAAAUGUAAAACAAGUUUCCUCUGUUUUCGUCCCCCCCCCCCCCCCCCCCCGGUUUGAUGAUUGAAAUUUUUUUUAUCUAAAUUUUAUGAUUUUCCGUUGGGGUUUUAUUAAAUAAAAAAUAAUUAGAAAAUGUAAUUCUAGAUUUACCCUUGUGCAUCGAGUGAUUAUUAUUAUGUUCUCUUAAGAUUUGAUAGUGCAAUUUUGUGUGAUGUGAAUUUCAUGUUUCUGUUAAUCAAUACAAACACAAUUUGUAAGUAAUGGCCAUGUGGAACUUAAUUAUAACCAAGCAUCAUUUGUGGAAAGAACAAAUGAAAUAACAAAAAAGCAGCGUUGGCAAUACAAUAUCAAACUUUAUUUAUUUAUUUAUUUUUGUUUUUGUUCUUGAAUAUGCAUUAAUCAAAUCAUAUAUUGUUGAUCUUACUUUGAUGAUUUGCUGUUCAGUUUCUCUCUCAAAUGAUUUUUGUGUGUUUCCGGUAUCUGCUUUUAUGAAAGAAGCCCUAAAGUGCAUGUGGAUUUUUAAAAAAAGAUUGCAUAUAAUUAUCCUAUACGUGCGUAAACAGGGCAACAAUAACCAAAUACAUGAUAUAAAAAAGGGGUGCUUGAUUAAUGCUUUUUCUUCUGCAAGUCAAUGUUAUUAUUCUCAUCAACCCUUUUCUUACACAUUCCUCGGCAGUUACCGGUGAUCUUUUUGCUCUUUGAGGUUGUUCUUAAAUAUUCAAGGCCAAAUAGAGAAUCUCACCAACUCUCUAAUCCCAGAUAAUUAAAGAGGUGCACAUUUUCCAAAUCCUCUAAUGUGUGUGUUUGUGUAUAGUAGAUCUUUGAUCUUGACAUCUGUUCUUUCAUAAUUUCCAUCUAUUUUCCAAGAAAAAAAAUUUCUCUGGUUUGUUUUAAUAUUGAAUUUACUUUGCAUGAGUUUUAAGUUAUUGUUCAUUGUUAAAGCCUGUGCUCUUAUUAUUUCGUUUGGUUAACUUGCAUUCUUCCCCCCCCCCCCCCCCCCCCCCCCCCCCCCCCCCCCCCCCCCAAAAAAAGAAAAAAGAAAAAAGAAAAAGAAAGUUUUUAAAAAGAUUAUAGGUUUCUACUCAGACCCUUGAAACCUUUUAGCUUUCCGGUAAUACCAAAAUCUCUAAUCCUCCAACAAAUGAAAGCUAGGAAAAAAAUGUCCUAAAGUUUAAUAUCUGUUGCCUUUGUAUCAAUAUUGCCAGUUUGUUGUCUUUUAUUAUAUUGCUUGUUUGUCAUUUUAUUUGAUUUACUUUAUAUCUAAGUUUACUUGAAGAUUAAAUAUCAGUAGGAAAAGCCCUUUUUCUAAAGCAACAUACAGAUUUUAGAAUAGGGCUCAGCCACAUGAAAAUGUUUACAUUGUAGUAUCUCAUAUCAAUAAUCUAAAAACAGCCAAUCCAACAAGUUCAAAUUCAGUCAAAUCUAAAAAUGAUUGCUUUUAAGGAGUACAUGAUAGCUAUUAAAAAGAUCUUUUAGGCAGAAUUGAAAUGCAGUCAAUCGUAAAUCAACCAAUCCAACGAGUUCAAGUACAGAGUCAAUUGAACAAAUUCAUCACUUGCAGAAUUAAGCUUAUCUUCCGAAAUUGAGUUGUUUCCAUUAGAAAUUUUCCCAUAGUCACGAGCACUAUCAUCAAAACAAGAUUAUUUGUAUAGGAACAAGAGUUAAGGAAAAAAAAAAAAAGGUAAAACAAGAUUCCUCUGUUUUCAUUCCCAUUUUUUUUCCUUGGUGAUUGAAAAAUUUUAUCUCUAAAUUUUUAUAAUUUUCCAUUAAGAUUUAUAUUUAAAUAAAGAAUUAAAAAAAUCUAAUUUUAAAUUUAUGCAUUGAAUGAUUAUUAUUAAAUUCCCUUAAAAUUGGUUACAAUAUCAAUUAAAUAACGCAUAGAGUUAUUGAUCACUUUGUUAAAAAUGAUCAUGUGUUCUAUUUAUAUAAUAAAACAAAAGAUGGGGUCACACUUAAGUCUUGUUCUUUUACAAUUCAUUUGUAUUACUCACUCUCAUGAACUCUUUACUUACAUUCGUCUGCAGUUAAUAUUCAUCUUCUGGUCGUUCUUAUAUAUUCAAGGCCAGCAGUGAAGGUCAUUAACUCUUUAAUAAUUAAAUAGGUACAAUUGUCCAAGAAAAAAUAGCCCUUGUUUGUUUUAAUCUUGUCAUUUAAUUUUCUACGUACUGUUCAUUGUUAACUUCUGUGUUCUUAUGUAAUAUUAGCAAUGGUUAAUCUGCAUCCAUCUUACAAUUUUUUUUUUAAAUUGUUGGUUUUCCAUUCAGGCCCUUGAAACCUUUUUUUAAAAAGUUGUUGGUUGUCAUUUCUUUCUCCGUCUUUCCCCUAGUUCAUUUUAAUUUAUUUGAAUCUAAUUUUUCCAACAGCUAAUAUAUAUAUAUAUAUAUGUAUGUAUGUAUGUAUGAAAGCAACAGGCUAGGCAAUGGCUGCAGACCUGGUUUCCACUACUUUUUCCGGCAUUGUAACAGAAGGUGCAAAGGCAUUGUUCGAACCGAUUAUGCGGCAGAUCUCUUAUGUGUUCAAGUACCAGAGCUACAUAGCUGAGCUAAAAGUUCAAGUGAAGGAGCUAGAAUAUAAAAGAGAAAGGGUGGGAAUACCCGUUCGUGAGGCUACUCAACAAAGAGAUGAGAUUUACAAGGAUGUUGCAGACUGGCUUAAUAACGUUGAUGAAUUCAUCAGUGAAGGGGUUGCAAAAUCCAUCAUUGAUGAUGAAGAUAGAGCUAAGAAGUCCUGCUUCAAAGGAUUUUGCCCCAACUUGAUUUCUCGUUAUAAACUUAGUAAACAAGCAGCAAAGGCCGCAGAAGCUGCCGCUAGUCUCGUGGGAAAAGGCAACUUCUCUAGUGUUUCCCACCGUCCUGCUCCAGAGAGUACAGAACAUAUGCAAGCGAAAGAUUUCGAGGCCUUUGAUUCAAGAAUGAAAUUAUUUCAAGAUGUUGUGGAGGCAUUGAGGAAUGAUAAGCUCAACAUAAUUGGGGUCCACGGUAUGGGCGGCGUGGGUAAAACCACGCUAGUCAAGCAAAUUGCAAAGCAAGUUAUGGAAGAUAAGGUGUUCGAUAAGGUCGUUAUGGCUGAGGUAACAGAGAACCCAGAUGUUCAGAAAAUUCAAGACAAGCUCGCUUCCGAUUUAGACUUGAACUUUGACUUGAAUGAUAGCAAACCCCACAGAGCAAAACAACUUUGUCAAAGAUUGACGAAAGAGAAGCGAGUCCUCAUUAUAUUAGAUAAUAUUUGGAAAAAACUUGGGUUGGAAGAAAUUGGAAUUCCUUUUGGGGAUGUUGAUGAGAAAGAUAGAAAGCAAGAUCUAAGGAGACGCAUGAUAAUAUUGACGUCUAGAAGUAAACAUUUAUUGACCAAUGACAUGAAUUCUCAGAAGAUUUUCCUAAUUGAAGUUUUAUCAAAGGAAGAAGCAUUGCAAUUUUUUGAAAAGAUCGUGGGCAAUUCCGCAAAAGCAUCUGCUUUUCAACCUUUAGCAGAUGAGAUUGUUGGAAAAUGUGGAGGAUUGCCUGUUGCACUGAGUACAGUUGCAAAUGCUCUGAAAAAUAAGAAGCUUCCCGUUUGGAAGGAUGCGUUGACUCAGCUGCGAAAUUCUAAUCCAAGAGAAAUUCAUGGAAUGGAUGCAAAUGUCUGCUCUUCCAUAGAAUUGAGUUACAACUUCUUGGAAAGUGAUGAAGCAAAAUCUUUGUUCCUUCUUUGUACUCUAUUUGGUGAAGGUACUCCUAUACAAGUUGCUUCCUUGUUGAGAUAUGGUAAGGGUUUGUUUAAAAAUGUUCGCACAUUGGAAAAUGCAAGGAAUAGAGUGGACGCAUUGAUCGACAAUCUCAAAGCUUCAUGCUUAUUGUUGGACGGCGAUGCUGAAGAUGAAGUUAAAAUGCAUGACGUCAUUCAUGUUGUUGCCGUAUCAAUUGCCUCAGAGAAGCUCAUGUUUAGUAUCCCAAAUGUUACCAACUUGAAGGAAGAGAUAGAAAAGAUCAUACAGAAAGGUGCAAUUGCUAUUUCUAUACCUUAUGGAGAUAUUCAAGAGCUUCCCGAAAGGUUGGAAUGUCCCCAACUCAAGUUAUUACUGUUGCUUGCAAAUGGUGAUAGCUAUUUGGAAAUUUCACACCUCUUUUUUGAAGGGACGGAAGAUCUCAAAGUUUUAAGUCUUAGCGGAAUUCAUUUCUCUUCAUUAUCUUCAUCACUUGGUCACCUCAUUAACCUUCAAACAUUGUGUUUAGACUGGUGCCAACUAGAAGAUGUAGCGGCAAUUGGACAGCUAAAGAAAUUAGAGAUUCUUAGCUUUCGAUAUUCCGACAUUAAGCAGUUGCCACUUGAAAUUGGUCAAUUGGCGCAGUUACAAUUGCUAGAUUUGAGCAAUUGUAGCAGCCUUGUAGUGAUAGCACCAAAUGUCAUAUCAAAAUUUUCUCGAUUGGAAGAACUAUAUAUGGGUGACAGCUUUCCGCAGUGGGAUAAGGUUGAAGGAGGAAGUAACGCCAGUCUUGCUGAAUUGAAGGGGCUGUCAAAGCUAACUACUUUGGAGAUACAAGUUCAGGAUGCCCAAAUGCUGCCGCAGGAUUUGGUCUUUGUCGAAUUGCCAAGAUAUAGGAUAUGUAUAGGAGAAGCGUGGGGCAUCUGGCGCGCUAAUUCUGAAACAUCAAGAUUGGUGCAGCUCCAUGGGUUAGAAAAUGUUAGCACUCUUUUGGAGAAUUAUGGGAUGAAAAUGUUGCUGAAGUUAACUGAAGAUAUCCGUCUAGAGGAACUGACGGGUGUUCAGAAUGUUGUUCAUGAAUUAGAUGAUGGGGAAGGUUUUCCACGAUUGAAGCAUCUUUGGGUAGAAAGGUGUUCUGAGAUUUUACACAUUGUCGGUUCAGUUGGACGGGUUCAUCGCAAAGUCUUCCCCUUGCUGGAGUCAUUGUCUCUCUAUAAAUUGAUCAAUUUGGAGGCCAUAUGCCACAGCCAACUCAGAGAAGAUCAAUUUUUCAGCAACUUAAAGAUUAUAGAAGUAGAAUCCUGUGAUAAAUUGAAGCAUCUUUUCUCAUUUUCCAUAGCCAGAAACCUACUGCGGCUUCAAAAGGUCAAAGUGGCUUCCUGCAAUAAACUGGAAAUGACUGUUGGUAAGUGUUGAAAUUAAGUGUUGGUGGAUUUAUGGACUUCGCCUCAAUUAUUUUGAAAAAAAAAAGACAACGACAAAGAUUAAUUAUGUAUAUUGUUUUUGUUUGUUUACAGGACCCGACAGGGAGAAACCAACAACUUCUUUGGGAUUCAACGAAAUCAUUGCUGAUGAUGAUACUGCUCCAAAGGUGAUAAUUUUCUGUUCAAUAAUUAAUUGAUUAAUUUAUUAUCACGAUUAAUCUUCGAUCAUCAACAGAAUAUUAUACUAGACGGUUGUACUUGAAGGAACAAAAAUGUACGGCUUUUCUUUGCAGGUUCUUCUUCCGAGCUUAGAGGAAUUGAAUCUCACGGAAUUAAGAAACAUCAAAAAAUUAUGGGCCGAUCAUAAUCAAGGAAUGUACUGUUGUCAAAAUUUAACAAAGCUGUACGUGAGAAGUUGUGAUCGUAUGAAGUAUCUGUUUUCGUAUUCUAUGGUUAAUAGUCUUUUGCAACUCCAACAUCUUGAAAUAUGGUCUUGUGAGUCAAUGGAAGGGGUAGUCGACACCACGGGGUGGUCAGAAAGAGAUGAAGGAAAGUUGAUUGAAUUAAAGGUUUUUCCUAAACUACACUCCCUGCAGCUCUAUUGGCUUACAGAACUGACAAGCUUCGCCAAUACAGGACAUAUUCAUUCAGAUUUAGUUGUUGAAUUCCCUUCUUUGCUAAACCUCGAGAUUGGUAAUUGCAGUAAUAUGUUAAGAUUCAUCUCUACGAGCUCACCAGAAGACACCAAUCAUUCUGAAAUGCAACCUCCUCCUCUCUUUGACGAAAAGGUUUUUUUUUUAAUAAAUAAAAUUAAUUUUAGUCACAAUACUUAAUUUGUCUUUUCCUUGAGUCUUCAAAUUUAGUUAAUAUCCGCCUCUAAUUUAGUUAUCAAUUGAUUAUGCCAUUAAUUGAUUAAUUAGUUAUUUAAUCUUUAACUUCCAGGUACGACUUCCUAGGUUGGAGGUAUUAGAUAUUAGCUGGAUGAAUAAUUUGAGAAAAAUAUGGCACCACCAGCUUCCUUCGGAGUCUUUCAGCAAAUUGAAGAAUUUGGAGAUAUAUAAGUGUCAUAACCUAAUGAAUAUUUUUCCUCCAUUGGUAAGGUCGUUGUAUUCAUUUCGAAUCUUUUUUUUUUUAAAUUACAUCCAACAAUAUUUUAACCAUUUUUGGGUUUACAAAUGAUAUUCAGCCACUGAUUAUUUAUUUCAAGUAUUGUAUUUCGAACCACCACUCUCAAAUCUACAUUUUAAGUCCAUUUUUUAGGUUCGCCAGCAUUAGAAUCAACAAUAUAAUUUUUUUAAUCACGAUUCAACAUCAUAAUAUAAUUCAAUUUAAUUGUUUCUGCUCAUAUCUUAAUAAGUACAAUUUUCAAAAAUUAAAGGAUAGUCACUCAUCUUAUAGGUUCACAAAUUCAUCUAUAUAUUUCUCUUUUCCUUAAUUCUUCACAUUUCGAUUGGAAAAAGAAAAAAAGAAAAGAAAAGUCUUCAAAUUUAAUUAAUAUCUCUUGUUUAGUUACGAACUGAUUAUGCCAUUAAUUAACCACAAAUUCACGAUUAUUUACAACUGAUCCUUGAUUGUAAAGAAAUUUCCUCGAGUCUGGAAGUACUUAAUAAAGAUCCACUUUAAUUUUGUUUCCAAAAUUAAAUAUACAUAAAAAAAAGGGACCAAGGGAAAAGGGAAAAAGCGGCAUUUUGGUUGAUUUUUUUUUCCCAAAAGGAAUAGUUGAAAUUUGCAAAUUUUGUUUAAAAACUGGCAUCAAGAUGCAAAAUAAGUCUAAAAUAUUUAGAAAUUGCCUUAAAUUCUUCGUACGUUCCUAAUACUAAAUAGUGUAAAUGCAUUUAAUAUCUUUGUUUAUCUGGCUUUUAUUUAUUUAUUUAUCUUGUUGCUUUUUUUGUUUAACAAAAAAUUAUCUUGUAGACAUUUCAUGGUUUGUUAUCUUUAUAAAACGUAUAAUUGUAUGAUUAAACAUACUUUGAACCUAGUUGAAUGAUAUUCUUACAUUUUUACUUUUUUAAUAUACACACACUUUUGCUUAUUUUCAGGUUGGAAUUCCUAGUAGUUUGGUGAAUCUUAAAGUAUCGAAGUGCCAAAAAAUAGAAGAAAUCGUAGGACAUGUUGGAGAAGAAGUGAAGGAGAAUCGUAUUGCUUUCAGCGAAUUAAAAGUUUUGAUACUUAAUUAUUUAUCAAGGCUUACCAGCUUUUGUUUGGAGAAUUACACUCUUGAAUUCCCAUCACUGGAACGAGUUUCUAUGAUACGUUGUCCAAAUAUGAAGACUUUUUCUCAGGGAAUCUUAUCCAUUCCAAAGCCAUGCAAAGUGCAAGUGACUGAAAAGGAAGAGGGUGAACUGCACCAUUGGGAAGGCAAUAACCUUAAUUCCAUUAUGCAAAAGUAUUACAAAGAAAUGGUAUGUGUUAAUCGAUUCACCCAAAUUGUUUAUGCAUCUCCCCUGCAAUUGCACAUUUAAGCAUAUACCCCGGUCUUGUAUAUAUAUUUUUAGAAGUUAAAACACAAAACAUGUAAGUUUAAUGUGUAUAUAUAUAAUGCCUUUCAAAAAAAAAAUUGUAUAUAUCCGGUGCAAUUGUUUUGGUUUGUGCAGAUUGGAUUCCGUGACAUAUGGUAUUUGCAACUCUCACAUUUUCCACGUUUGAAAGAAAUAUGGCAUGGCCAAGCACUGCCUGUCAGCUUCUUCAACAAUUUAGCACGGCUGGUGGUGGAUGACUGCACGAAUAUGUCGAGUGCUAUUCCUGCCAAUCUGCUACGAUGCUUGAACAAUUUGCGACGGCUGGAAGUGAGGAAUUGUGAUUCACUAGAAGAGGUGCUUCGUUUGGAAGAGCUAAAUGCUGACAAAGAACAUAUAGGCCCCAUGUUUCCUAAGCUUUCCAAUCUAAGGCUCAUUGAUCUUCCAAAACUCAAAAGAUUCUGCAACUUCACUGGGAAUAUAAUUGAACUGCCUGAGUUGAGAUAUCUAACUAUUGAGAAUUGCCCUGACAUGGAAACAUUCAUAUCCAAUUCUACAUCUGUAUUGCACAUGACAGCAGAUAAUAAGGAAGCUCAAAAAUUAAAAUCAGAAGAGAACCUCUUGGUAGCUAAUCAAAUACAACAUCUCUUCGAUAAAAAGGUAAUCAUUAUUAUUAUUUUUCCCUUCACUUUCAUUCGCAUAGAUGUAAUUUCAUUAGAAUCAAAUCAAAUUUAAUGACUUAUCUUUUUGCACGUCGUCUUAAUUUAUAUCUGAUUUAACAAUAUAAUUGUAGUUAUUAACUAACUUUAUAGUAUGAAUUAAAAAAAUGUCUCAAAUUAAUUAGAUGCCUAGUGACAGGAGGUGAUGAACUAUAUCGCAUAAAUUAUGCGUGUUAGAUCUUUGUUUUCCUAGCUAAUUCAUAUUGGAUUUAUGAUCAGAUUUCAUUUAUGUGUUUCAAAGGGUAAUCGAUUUGAUACUUAUAUUUGGGAUCCUACUGCAAAGCAUACUAAUUUGGAAAUAAAAUAUAAAAUGCCGUGAUUAAUCUUGUCCAUAAAAUAUGUAGGGGAAGACUGUAGAGAUUGGAUACAUAUUUUCAUUUACAACUUAAUUUUGUUGAUUUUCAGGUUGCAUUCCCUCAAUUGAUGAAGUUAAAGCUAUCUGGAUUACACAAAGUGCAGCAUCUCUGGAAGGAAAAUGCCGAAUCCAACAAAGUGUUUGCAAACUUGAAAAGUCUAGAAAUAUUUGAAUGUAGUAAGUUGCAGAAAUUAGUACCAGCUUUGUGGCAUUUGGAAAAUCUUGCGACUCUGGAAGUAUCGAAGUGUCAUGGGUUGAUAAAUUUAUUGACACUCUCAACAUCUGAAAGUCUAGUGAAUCUUGAAAGAAUGAAGAUAACUGAUUGCAAAAUGAUGGAAGAAAUUAUACAGUCGCAGGUUGGAGAAGAAGCGGAAGAUUGCAUUGUUUUCAGGAAAUUGGAGUACUUGGGAAUUGAUUGUUUGCCAAGCCUAACAAGCUUUAGUUUGGGUAAUUACGCUCUUGAGUUCCCGUCCUUGGCACACGUAGUUGUGAGACAAUGCCCAACGAUGAAGAUUUUCUCUCCAGGAGUCGUAGACGCACCAAAGCUAAACAAAGUGAAACCCACCGAAGAUGAAGAUGGUGAUGAUGAAGGAUGUUGGGAAGGCAACCUCAAUGACACUAUAAAAAAAUUGUUCAAUGAAAUGGUGAGUAUCAAUGAAGUGUUGGCACUAUCUAGUAAAUUAUUUCUAUUUAAUGUGGCAUAAUAUGAUUGCUUGACUGAAAAUAUAAAAUAAUAAUAAAUAAAUUAUGAGGGUCAUGUUAUGUUUUUGUUUAAUCAAUCAUAUUAUGUCAUAUUAGUUUGUACAAUAUUAUUUGUGCACAAGAGGCUGUGGUCGUAUCAUUACUCUUGCCUUAUUAUUAUUAUGGUUGUAAUGUAUGCUUGCUUACACGAGUAAUUACAAAAUGUGCAGAAUUCUAAAGAAAAGAUUGAGCCAACCCUUCAGGUACUGUGAAGAAGCUAUCUCGAACCAGGCCAACCUCUUGUACAUGAUUCAACUUGCUUGUUCUCCUGUACUUGAAUAAUCUAAACGCAUUUACAAUUAUUUACAGACAUGCAAGACACUUUGGAUUUGUUUGAUGCAUUCUCUGUUUAAGGAAGGACUUGAAUUGAUGUUUCAUGCUUCAUGCAAUUUUCAAUUAGAUACUGUUUAAACUUCUGCAUUAUUCAUUCAAUUGGUGUUUUAAGCAUUUGAUUUCUAACUAGUCCUAAUAGAAGAUUAUUGGCUGAAGAAAACAUCAUAACAUUUGUGGCAUUAUCAGAAUAAUAAUAGUUUUACGAGUAUAGUAAAAUUAACUCGACCAUUAUUAAAAGGAAUUAAUCCGUCAAAUUAACUUUCUCAGACCAGAACCCUUUAAGUUAAAAGAAUUUCGUGAAGUCAAGACCAUGUUAUAGAUCUUGUGGAAAUAAGUGAACCCAUAAAUGUUUUCACAGCAUCAUAAGAAAAUCAUUUUUUUAGUUGUUGAGUUUUAAAAGUAGUAGGCUAUUAAACAAUGACAAUUAGUGCGGUCGCAGUUGGGGAUCGAGUAGUUCACUUGAUUGCGAGUAGAAACCAACUUCAAUACUAUUACACUCAUUCCAAAAAUAGUAACUAAAGAAUUAUUAAGUUUCCUAUUAAGUAUUCUUUAUUUUUUAAUGCAAAAUUCCUAUUCGAAAACACCAGUGACUUUCUUUCAAAGUAAAUGAGAAAUUACAAUGAAAACGGGAUCAAAAUACAUGUAUGCAUACCUAAAACAAAUGAUUUUUUUUUUCAAUUAAAAAAAAAACAGUUGAGGUGAAAUGAAACCAGAGUCAUGAUGUCUCUGGUUCCAACUUUGGGACAAUAGCAGACUUGAGUUCUAUAUAAGAAACACGUACAGCUCCAAUCAGCCGCUCCGGUAAUUCAUCUGUAGUAUUUGCCUGCAUACACGAAGCAUUAUACCAUUCUGAAAAUGAUUCUUGAGUUACUAUUCAAGUAUGCAAAUAUGCAAAUUGCAGUACAAUAUCUCAAAAUCAUGUCUCUUCCCUCGUGUCAUUUAGAAGUGGGGGAAAAAAACAAUCAUACAUACCUGCACAAGGAAAGCCAUGUCAACCACCAAUGCCGUAAUUACACCAAUUACAAGGCCCAAAACUCCAUUAGCAACUCUAGAAGAACACGUCAACAUCAAUCUACAGAAAGAUGAACAAUGUUAAACCAUGUUAAUGGUAUUGAACAAGCUAUUUGAAAGGGAACACAUCCCAUGUACUAUAGGAAUUCGAAGAGCAUUUAUUUCUAACUACUUAGGACCGCGGAUAUAGUUACAAUCAACUGCUUUUCCUAAUAAACAAGGGGUGCUUCCAUCACUCUGGUGCAUGAUCCAUGACUAAGCCCUAUAUUUAAGUCAUAUUGAGGAAACAUAAGAAAAAAAUUCCAGAAAAAGUAUCAGCUAAGAAUUAAAAUUAAAUUCAUCAAAAUGAUCUCAAUCACUAGAUUUUUUACUGUCACAGUAUGUUUAAAAACUUGCAGAAGGCCCAAAGAGAACUUAGGACUGAACCGAGGGAAAAACAAGACGGUGUAUUUAUUUUAUUUCUGAAUGCCAACAAUUACAUUGGGAUACAGAAAUUUUAGGUAAUUUCCUCACAUAUUACAUCAGAAGAGAGGAAAGGGGAAAGAAGAACAAUAAAUGUUCUAUUCUGACCAAAGCAUAAAUGAGAUGAUUGAAUCAAGAGACUAUUACAUUGGAAGCCAGUCCAGCUGAAGCCUAUGAUAGAGAAUAGCCGUAUGACCAUCUACCUCUUCAACUAAGCUGCGAUACAGAAGACUACAAUCCCACCUGCACAAAACAUGAAAAACGGUGUACGUGCGGCAAGAACUUUGAGAAAGGUACAUAAAAAAGAUCUGAUGGCCAAGAAAUACAACAAUUGUACAACCAAAAGAGGUAGAAAUCCAUGUCUAGUACACUGCCCUCUUCAAGACCUCUAAAUACUGAGUCAAAUUGAUAGGAAUUUCAUGGAAAUAACUAUUCGACAAAUGAUCAGCCUUGCUGGCCUUUAUAAGCCAACGCACAGAGAUUAUGGAACAAUGCAAUGGUGCAAACCAAGAAUUAUUAGGGUACAGACAGUAAAAUUAAAUAGAAUAAUUUGAACACAUUACUAGCAAACCUUGCCAAGAGACUUGUUAAAAUCUAAUUCGCAAACCAGCUAGAUUUGCUAGGAAACAGGUAAUUUCAGGCAGCACGCCUUCUCCUGUUUUAGAACACUCUUUUAUGUAAUAGUGACUUCAAAAGUGUAACAUGUUUCGAAAAAAAAAAAAAAAGAGGAAAGAACGUAUUUGACACUUCAUGAAAUGGCUAAGAUACAAGCUUUAAUCUAGUACAACAAAUUAAUAUAACUAACUUCAACCAUCAAUUGAUCUAUAGUUCAGCAACAAAAAAUAUAGAUAGCUACAUCUAUUUUGUCUUCAUCAAAUACCAUUAGCUAAGUGGAGAAAAGUUAUAAAAAUGAGUCCUAGUCUUUCUUUAUUAAUGAAGCAAUCCAUCAAACUUCAAAAGCUAUUUUCAUUUCCACAUUCUUCAUAUACUUAAGCAACAAAAGUUUGUAAUAAUCUUUAGAAAGCACCAUGCAGAUUAAUUAAAUAUAUUCAAAAAGGCACAUACAGAAUCGGGACUGGAGACAAUGUGAAUUUCACAGCAUACAAGAGGAAAUAUAAUACUCAGCUUACACAGACAGCCAAUAUAGUCUUGAUUAUGUUAAAGUAACUAAAAAUAAAAAAUAGAAAAGAAGCAUACUCGUAUCGUGUCCCAUCCAUGCUCAUUACAAGUUCAAAUAUUUCUUCACAGCUGGCCUUCAUAACACCAACAGCCUUCAUUGCUCUACUACAGCUUCUCGGCAGCAUUAAGUAAACUUUAGAUGAUGGUUCUGACCUAAACAAAAUCACAUCCUGAGCAUAGAGUAAAGAAAGUGGCAUACAUGGUAAUCAACUUCAAGAAGCUCUUCAGAAAUACAUAAUUCUGUUGGGGAGAAAAGAAAAAAGAAAGAAUACAAAUAAAAAGAAGUCACAAACAAUUCAUUUCCUGCACUACACAUCAGCAGCAGUUUUUCGGGAACACAAAAAUGUUAUAAUAACUUUUCUUGAUUGCCACCCACAUGCUAAACUGAUCAAAUACAAAACAGGAUACAGAAAAUCUCUAACCUUUUUGGCACUGAAGAAGACGCCAGUGCUUUCAAAAGAAAAUGCUUGAUUGUUGGCAUUCUGGUUUGAAAAAUAUGAGUCCAAUUCCUGUGUCCAGUCAUGUACCAAAUCAGGACGACCUGCCAGUCAUACAAAGAUGACAAAAAUACACUAUAAAUUGCGUCAAACCAAUUCAAGUCAAUUGGAGAAGUAAAUCAAGGACCAUUUGCAAUAGUUGUUCUCCACAUCAAAUUUGGGUGUCCAUCGUCUUCAUCCUCUUGUGCACUGAACCUGAGAGUCCACGAGAAAUACAUAUAAAAAUUAGCCAUGAUUGAAAUUGAUAGUAGUACAAAAUGGAUAUAAACAUCACGAUGAACAAAUUAAAUUGUUCCAUGUCAGACAAAUCCAGCCUGCAAGCUUAAGCUCUUAAGCUAGACCAAAUCACACUGCAAAUAACAAUACAUAAGGCCAAAAAAAGAUAAUAUGUAUCAUUCAUAUGCUUCGCCCUAUAGAAAUGAUUUGAGUCUACAUAAGAAAAUUUUUUGAGCUUCCCGAUCCACGAAUAAUAAUAAAUCUCCUUAAAAUAAUCUUUUGUAAAUAAUUUUAUUUUUCUUGACACAUGACAAGCACCUUCAUAUAGAGAAGAAAGGAGAAUCUCAAAUUCCACCCGCUCUCAGAACACCACAUCAAAGCUUCGUAUCAGUGAACAUGGAAGAAGAAUAAAAGAAGUAGCUCAAAUCCUGUAAAAAAGAACCUUGGACUUCGACUCUUGUCAAACAGUUGACUCCGACUGAAUAUAGGAAGAGUAAUUGAGCAAGCAUAGAUCGGCCAAGCUUAAGCAAGCGCAUAGAUCGGCCAAAUUUGAGCAAAGCCGAGAGAGAGAGAUGAUUGUGGUCAAUUUACAGCCGCAGUUGAUCGUUGCCGACUCGUGCCGCCGUUGAUGGCCGUGGAACAAGAAGAGAGGUGAGGUGAGGCGAGGGAGUGGUAAGGCGCGUGACGCGAGGGCGUGGGAGUGGGAGUGGGAGUGGGAGUGGGAGUGGUGGUUUUUGUGCAUGUAUCAGAUGCACGCAUGUAUUAUAGCAGAGUUGAGUUCAAUACGAAAAACACGUACAGCACCAAUCAGCCACUUCGAUAAUUCAUCUGUAGUUGUGAGAUGAUGAAUCAAGUUUGGUUCCCAGAAACGGCUGCGUUUUGAAGCCGUAAAAGCUUCAUUAGCUCACGUGCUGUUCAGCUGAUUCUUAACAAAAAAACGAUUUAGUGGAAACGACAUGGAUGGAGCACGUUUUACAUAUCAAUUUAAGUAACCACGUGAGGAAGCAUGUGAUGAAGGUUGUUCCGAGUUCGUUGAAGGUUGUUAAGCACGUGUCAAAACAAAGUGUUCAUGCUGGAAAGAAACAAAAUAUUAAUAAAUAAACCCUUAAAAAGAUUCUCUGAAAAUUAUGUUUAACUAGAACAAUUAUCUAGCAGUUUGAUAUAUUAAAUGAGCCUGUUAAUUAUUUCACUUACUAUCUUAUAAAUCCUCUCAAAAUUACACCGCUGCUCUGACCCCAAGUUCCAUUAUCAAUUAUAUCAUUCCCUAUCUUAUAGUAAAGGUAAAAGAAAAGAAAAGGUAUAUUGCAUUAGAGUUCGUGUACUUCUACCUUUUAGUUUAUUCUUCAUUUUAUUAAAAUGACAGAUUCCUCAUUAAAAAAGGUCACUCUACAUAGUAUGUGGGUGUAUGUUCUUUUAAAAAGGACUGAGAGAAAAUACAGUAGCACGUAAAAAUGUGCACCCAGCAGCAGAACCAUAUUAAUCCACAACAGCGCAAAAUAAAUGUGAAAAACAAGUAACAUCUGAAGAAGACAGUGAUGCCGAAACAUUGACGACCAAUAUAGUGUCUUGAUUUGGUUAAUUAAAUAUAUUUUUGUUAUCAUCCACCUGUUUGCUUUAAAUAAUUUUCAAUAUUUUUUCGUAUGCCUGAAAUUCCAAGGAAAAAUAUUUGUAUAAGGACAAGAGUUAAGGGGGACAAAAAUGGAAAAAAUAGGGCUCCUUUGUUUUCAUUCCCCUGUUUCUCCGUUUGGUAAUUGCAAAAAUUUAAAUCUAAACUUAUGAUGCAGGCUACAAGGUAGCUGGUGGACGAUUAAUAGGGUCUAUCUUUUGUUGUUAAUUAGGAAUUUAAUUUGGAAUUUGUAGUGUGCGCCUUAUCUAAGCAGACUUCCUAACAGUAAUUAAAUAAUCUAAAUUUAUGAUGCAUUAGGAUAUGAUUGUGAUAAAUUAGCUUUUUUCUCUGUAUUCUAUGAGGCUGAUUAUUAUUUUAAUUUAAGCCACACCUUUAAAUUCAGUUUUCGCAAAACUGACAGGUAGCUUGGGUGUAAAUGAAUAUACAUUAAUGAAGAACGGACAUGUGGAGUACCGAUAUACUAGCAUAAGUAAUGUUUAAUUUUAAUGUAUAAAACAAUGGUGCAUUUAGAAGGUACUACUGUAGAAAUAAAAUUUGUGCUUGCAACUCAUUUUUUAAUUCCCCUUUUUAAUAAUAAUCAAAAGAAAGCAGAGGAGAAACAGGGGAUUUUCCAGUUUUUUAUUCGGUGAUUUUUAACUUUAUCAUGGAAUUGUCAAUUUUUAGUUGAAACUUAUCUAAAUCGUCCUCUCUAUAUAAGCGAAUACAAUAAUUUUGUGAAAGAUAUAUGCAAAAACAAUACUAAUAAGUAUAUUUAUUUAUCUAAGACGUAGAGCUCUAAUGCUCAGAUAUGGAUAGUCCCAUUUUUUGUUAGAGGCAUCUCUUUCCAUGCAUUGAAUUAUUGCAAGCAAAUCGCUUCUCGCAAUUACAAACCUACCCUCAUCAUUGUCUCUCACGUAUCCAGCACCACAGUUACCCAUUCCUCUCCUCACCAAGGCACACAGAUUACAGGACAAUGCAGCGAUGCCAACCAAGAAUGCUUAGGGUAAAGACGGAAACAUAAAACAGAAUAAUAAAAAAAAAUCUAUUCCGUAAACAUAAUAAUUAAACAGAAAGUGGUACGUUCAGACAAAACACCUGCUCCUGUUUUAGAAAAGAGCUCCUCCGUUUUUAUUUCUCUGUUUUACUGUUUGGUGAUUGCAAAAAUUUUUGUCUAAAUAAUGCAUAGUAGAGUCAAGAAUAAAUUUAUGUUAAAACAAAGAAACAUCAAAGAUCCCCUGAUAUUAUUAUCCAGAACAAUAUGUUUAUUGGGCCGAAAUGGGCUAACAUACAUGGGUUCAAGCUUGCAAAAUCCACAUUUAUGUAUAAUUAUAUAGUAAUUAAAUACUGAACUUGAACUCAUACAACUCUUCAAUCAUUUGGAUUUCGAAUCUGUGUUAAUUGAACUAAAUACUGUCAGGCAUUCGAGUAAACACAUAAAGAAUUCAUGAUUUAAUGUCGUUCUGAAUUUUGACUUCAUAAUAUUCCAGCUACCGUUGCAGUUUCUAUUAUUGUGUGAUAAAUAUGAAUGAUGUCUUAGUAUAAAGACAUGUCUCAUUAAUUAUACCUUAUAGAAGAGAUAUCUUUUUAUACUAAAACUAUAUAGUGAAAAGGGGUCCGCCUAAGUUACGUUAAACGUAACUUACGGCCUGGCUGUAAAACUUCAUCCAGCCCCCUAUAUUCGAUAUUAUUUAUAUUAUAUUUGUGAAUAUUAUAAAAAUUUUUGAUUUGAAAAAUUUCGUUUAACCCCUUACACUCAAUUUUAUUUUAUUAAAAUCCUAGAGUACGAAUUUGCCUCCUAUAAUUUUAAAUUCUCAAAAUAACCUCAUUUAAUUAAAAAAUAUAAUUAUUAUUAAUUGAAUUAUAAUUAUAACUAUUAUUUUAUUAUAAUUAUAAAUAUAUUUAUAUUUUUUAAAUAGAUUAUUGUUAUUAUUAAUAACAAGAAUAAAAAGUAUUACAAUUAAUUAAUCUAUUAACAAUAAUUAAUAAUUUUUUAUUAAAUUGUUAAUAAUAAUUAAUGAUAAUUAUUAUUAAUAAUUAAGUUUUGAAUAAUAAUAAUAAUUAACAAUUAUCAUUAAUAGAUUGUGACUGACUCUGAACAAGUUGUCCGAUAUUUUAUAUCAUAUUGUAUGCAUUCACUUCUGGCUACAAAAAAAAUUAAAGAAAUAGCUUUCUCUUUAACCAAACAAGAGAUUUAACAAAAUCAUAAACACACGUUUCUCAAAACUAACAAGGACUUGGACAAUUAUGGCACUAAGUAGUACUGCAAUUAAUAUCAGUGAUGAGAGUAUGUUGCUACUUUGCUAGCUAAGCCUAGGUGGGCAUUGGCAUUCCUAGGACUCUGAACAAUUAUCGUUAAUUUUUAAAAAUCAAUUAUUAAUAAUAAUUAUCGUUAAUUACUACUAUUAUUAAUUUAAUAAAAACUAUUAUUAAUUAUUGUUAAUAGAUUAAUUAAUUGUAAUACUUUUUAUUCUUGUUAUUAAUAAUAAUAAUCUAUUUAAAAAAUAUAAAUAUAUUUAUUAUUAUAAUAAAAUAAUAAUUAUAAUUAUAAUUCAAUUAAUAAUAAUUAAAAUUUUAAUUAAAUGAGAUUAUUUUGAGAAUUUAAAAUUAUAGGGGGCGAAUUCGUACUCUAGGGUUUUAAUAAAAUAAAACUAAGUGUAAGGGGUUAAAUGAAAUUUUCUAAAUAAAAAAGUUUUAUAAUAUUCAUGAAUAUAAUAUAAAUAACAUUGAAUAUAGGGGGCUGGAUGAAAUUUUAAAGCCAGGCCGUAAGUUACGUUUAACGUAACUUAGGCGGACCCAGUGAAAAGAUAUCUCUUCUAUCAGGUACAAUUAAGUAUGGUUGCUUGCAAAGAAAUGUAAAUAUAAGUCAUAAAACAAAGUCUCUAUUAUUUGAAGUACAAUUUCAUUCACAUGUUGCACAUGAGACUUGAGCAACCACGAUGUGCAGAAGACACUUUACAAUGAUUUUGCUUGUUUUUUUCCUAAUCAUUUCUGUAAUUGAUUUUGUUAGAAAAUGUUAGUAAUGAUUAAAUUACUUUAAAAAACACACUCACACAUCUUAACUGUAAAGGUUCAGAAAAUAUAUCGAUAAAGGUCAGAAGUAUCUAAUAAAAGUUGGCCAUAAACUUCAAUAUCCAAAAUUGCUUUAAUAAAGUAGCUGCAGUAAACAAAAGUCAGUAACCAUAGGCGACAAUAAAUCACAAUCAGCAACUAGGUCUCCAAAUCAAAAUAUAAUGGAUUUGGUUAAGUCUUCUUUCGAAAAGCUCUCUCUCCUUUAGAGAGGCUUGAAUGGAAGUAUUGAGGGGUCGUAAGGACUCAUGUGUUCACUCCCUGUGAGUGGAAGGUAAUCCAAAAAAAGUCAGCUUUUGGGGUUGGUGAGCUGGUUGAGAAAGCUUCGAAAGCAAAGUUCGUGUAGAGCGUUGGGGCACGAUUUAAAGCUAGUGAGCCUAAAUAACUUACUACCUAUCCAAGCAUUAACUACCAUGGAUACUGAAGAGCUAAUUCGUAAGUGUCAAGCAAUAACUAUCACAGAGGAAGACAAAGCCAAAAUAACGCUGGAGGUGAAUUUGGAAAAAAAGAAAGAACAAAUGAUGGCAGGAUGCUUAGUGGGCAAAGUACUUCUCACAAAGGGAGUAAAAAAAGAUGGACUUAAGGUUGCGUUACAGCAGGUGUGGAGGACUUUCAAAGAAGUCAAGAUCGAAAGCGUGGGAAACAACAUCUUCAUGUUCAAAUUUGCUGAAGAAGCAGACAAAAAACGAGUUCUCAAAGGGGGACUAUGGCACUUCGACAGGGCCUUGAUUGUUCUCGCUGAGCCAAGGGGGAUUGGGGAAGUCGCAAAACAAUCUUUUAUUCACACAUCCUUUUGGGUGCAUAUUCGUAAUAUCCCACUGGCGUGUAUGGAUAAAGAUUUUCUCCGAGACUUGGGCGGGAAGAUUGGAUCAGUAUAGGAGGUUCAAACGGAUGAUAAUGGAGACUGUAUUGGGGAAUUUUCCAGAAUAAGAGUCUCAAUUAACAUAACACAGCUGCUAGAGAAGAUUUUAUUUCUAAAGCAAGAAGGUGAAACUGAUAUCCCAAUGCCGGUGGUAUAUGAACGCUUGCCAGAUUUCUUUUAUUGCUGCGGAAUUAUUAGACAUCAAUACAAAGAGUGUGGCAAGUACCAAGACCAACCAAGAGAAGAUCUACCAUUUAGGAGUUGGAUGAAAGUGAUUACGGUAGGGGGUUUUACAAAGAGGAAUUGGAACAAGGAAAGGUGGAACUAUGGGGCUGGUAAAUCGGAUGAAAAAUCAACAAGCUCAGGAACUCACAACUUCCCGCAACAGCAAGGGCAAAACCAAGAAAACUCGAUAGGGGCAAACGGGUCAGUACCCAUUGAGAAAGAAAUGGGGCAAACCAUGAAGCAUGCCAAGAAGGAUGUUAUAGGAGGAGUAGCUGAGCAACAAUUAAUGCGAAGAGUGAUACAAUCAGCGGAAAAAAAGUAAAAUGAUGGCAACAAGCAAGCUGGGGAAACUGGCAAUGCAACAACCCCAAGGAAAAUGGGCACACAAGCGGGAAAUGGCAUUCCAAAAGAGAGGGAAAAAAUGCAGAUAAGUCAUGAAGAGGAAGCUGAAAUAAACAAUGGGCCGGAAGUAUCUCAACUACAGCCCAAUAAAAGGAAAUUGAAGUAAUUAACUAGAGAUCUAAGCGAGGGGGGGGGGGGAAAUUAAGUUACGAGUUCAAAAAAGGCCUAGGGGGAAAAAAUUUGGGCAAAGCCCAAGGAAAAAAACAAAGCUCUCUAGCCCCAAUAAGCUUGAGACUAAAAACCUGGAGCAUGUCUCUCCAACAGCAACGCUUCAGCUGGGUUAGGAACUGUUGGUACUGGAAGAAGUGGUAGUCAUGGAAGCAAACAAUAUGGAGAUAUCGGCGGAGGCUGGUGGUCAGCCCCCCCGGAAGCUAUGAAUAUUCUCAGUUGGAAUGUUCGGGGUCUGGGGAAUCCCCGAGCAUUUCAAGCCUUAAGAAAAAUCCUCCAAUUGCAUGGUGCUCAGCUAGUGUUUUUGUGUGAAACAAAGGUAUCAACCAUGCAAAUGAAUGUGAUUGCAAAUAAGCUGAGUUUUGAGAAUUGCCUCGCGGUGAACUGUAAAGGAAGAUGAGGCGGAAUAGCAAUGCUCUGGAAGUCAGAUAUUGGUGCAAAUCAAUUCAUACAGUCAGCACCACAUUGAUGCCGAAACUCAAAUGCCAAAUGGAAAUCGAAUGCGAGUUACAGGAGUGUACGGACAUCCGGAAACAAGACAGAAAAAACACACUUGGAUGCUCCUCAGGCGGCUGGCAGUUUUAUCUUCUAGCCCUUGGUUGUGUUGUAGAGACUUUAAUGAAAUUUUACAUCCAGAUGAGAAGAGUGGCGGCAAUGACAGGAAUGUGAAUUUAAUUAAUGAUUUCAGAGAAGUUUUGAGAGAUUGUGGCUUAAAGGAUGUUGGGUAUCGGGGGUACGCUUUUACUUGGAAUAAUGGAAGAUAUGGGUAGGGAUUCGUGGAAGAAAGGUUGGAUAGAUUUGUUUGCAAUAAAGCUUGGAGUGAUAGAUUUGUGGAUUAUGCAGCAAGCAACCUUGACACAUGGACUUCGGAUCAUUGUCCCAUGCUGAUGGCUGUUUAGGAGAGAAGUGGGGGCAUGAACCAAAGGGGUAGACAUUCCUCACGAAUCCAUUAUGAGGAUAUGUGGAGCUCGUAUGACUUGUACAAAGAGAUAAUCAAGGAGGAAUAUAAUUUGUAUAGAAAUUAGAAUAGUGAAAAUCCAGCCCAAUCCUUUCGAAAAGCAACAAAAGAUUCGAUGGGUAGGCUGUUGGGGAGGAGCAAGUUGGUGAGGAAAUUCGGAAGGUGGAGAAGCAAAUCCAAAAUAUCCUCAUGGAUGAAGAAAUCUACUGGAAGCAGCGCUCAAGAGCAGAUUGGCUCAAGGAGGGGGACAAAAACACAAAAUUCUUUCACGGCAAGGCAUCGACUAGAAGGAAAAAAAAAAACAAAAUUUUGGGGAUUGAAGAUAAUUUCGGGAGAUGGAUUGAAAAGCCAAAAGAAGUGGAGCAUGAGUUUUGCAAUUAUUUCACCAACCUUUUUACAUCAACCCAGCCGAGACAGGAUCAAAUUGCAGCAGCCUUGAAAGGAAUAACUCCGAGAGUUUCAGCCAGCAUGAAUGAGAGUUUGGAGGAACCGUUUACAGCCGAGGAAGUCUUGGAAGCUUUGAGUCAAAUAAAGGCUUCGGGGCCGGAUGGUUUUCCAGCAGUGUUUUACCAAAAGCAUUGGCAUACGGUUAAGGAGGGAGUGCUCACCACUUGUCUGCAUAUCGUCAAUUCACAAGGUACCAUAGGCCCUCUAAAUCACACUUACAUUGCUUUGAUACCAAAAAUCGGGAAGCCUAGGAAAGUGACAAACUUUAGGCCUAUUAGUUUGUGCAAUGUUAUCUAUAGAAUUGUAGGUAAGUCAGUUGCUAAUAUAUUUAAGCAAAUUCUGCACAAAAUCAUCUCUCUAUCGCAAAGUGCCUUCAUCCCCAAUAGGUUGAUCACUGACAACAUCAUAGUUGGCUACGAAUGUUUGCACAAGAUAAGGCAUUGUAAAGGAAAGCGAAAUGGAUUAAUUGCAUUAAAGCUUUAUAUUAGUAAAGCUUAUGAUAGAUUGUAAUGGAACUUCCUAGAGCAAACUUUAAAACAACUAGGCUUCUCGCAUCAAUGGAUUAGCUUGAUCAUGGGGUGCAUUAGUUCAGUUUCCUUCUAUGUGUUAAUAAAUGGCUCAGUGAAAGGCUUAAUUAAACACCAAAGGGGCAUAAGACAAGGUUGCCCCCUCUCUUCGUAUUUGUUUAUUACAUGUGCAGAGGCUUUUUCUUCCUUGCUGUAGCAGGCUGAGCAACAACGGCUUAUUCAUAGGCUAUCAUUUGGAAACGAUUUGAAGAUUUCGCACCUUCUAUUUGCUGAUGACAGCCUUAUCUUCAGCAGAGCUUCCAUGGCUGACUGUCGAAAUCUGAAGAUGAUCCUUGAGUGCUACUCCACAACUUUCGGUCAAAUAUUUAAUUUCGAGAAAUCUUCUCUUUUUCUUAGUGGCAAUGUACAACAAGAUCAAGCUGAGGCAAUUGGGAAUCUCUUUUAGCUCAAUAUUGUGUAAAGACAUAAAAAAUAUUUAGGCUUGCCGUCUAUGAUCGGGAGAAAGAGAAGCAGCUUCUUCAAUGACAUCAAGCUGAAGGUUUUCAACAAGAUCUCAAGCUGGCAGCAUAAAUUUUUUUCUUGUGGAGGGAAAGAAGUCUUAAUCAAAGCUGUUGUGCAAGUCAUCUCAGCCUACGCAAUGAGCGUUUUUAAAAUUCCGAUGGGAGUUUGUGAUGAUAUUUAAAAAAUGGUGGCAAAGUUCUAGUGGGGCUCCAAGAGGGAAGGGAGGAAUAUUCAUUGGGCGAAGUGUGAAAAGAUGAGUCAAGCUAAGUGUAAUGGAGGGAUGGGAUUUCGUGAUUUUUCAAGCUUCAACAGAUCCCUUCUAGCAAAGCAAGGCUGGAGGAUUCAGCAAUGUCCAAACUCGUUGGUGGCUAGGGUCUUGAAAGCCAAGUAUUUCUAGUCAAAAAAUUUCUUGGAUGCAAAGCUCAACUCAAACCCUUCAUAUAUUUGGAGAAGCAUUCUUUGGCGAAGGAAAAUUAUUUGCUCGGGCUCUAGGUGGAGAGUUGGCAAUGGUCAGAAAAUUCAUAUUCAUAAGGCUAACUAGAUUCCACAACCUUCAACAUUCCAGCCAAUGGUUAAGCCAACUUUUCCUUCGAAUGCUAUGGUCUCUGAAUUAAUCAAUGAGGCAAACUACUGGGAUGAGAAGAGGAUUUAUGAGCACUUCGAAAAAAUGGAUGCUGAUUUAAUUACUAAGAUUCCUCUGCCUAGAAGACCAAGGAAGGAUGAGCUAAUUUGGCAUUAUGGAAAAAAUGGCCAGUUCUAGGUUAAAAGUGGGUACCAGACAACUCUCCAAAUAAAGUUUCUAGCCAUGCCUUCAAGCUCAGUGGCUUCAAAAAAUGAAUGGAAUAUUAUUUAGUCUCUUGCUUUGCCUCAAAAGAUCAGAAUUUUUGCAUGGAGGGCAGCCAAAAACCUACUCCCCUCAGCUGAGAAUUUGUGGAAGAAAAAGAUAAUCCAGGAACCUACUUGCCAAGUGUGUAAAAUGGGAAUGGAAAAUGUAUUUCAUGCUCUAGUGGCCUGCAAAUCGGCUAAGAAAGUAUGGAGGCUAAUCUAUUUUGAAGAUGAUAUUAAUGCUGCUCACAGUCAAGAUAUCUUCAGUUUGCCGCAUGCUAUGAAAAGAAUGAGAAGCAAAGUUGACCUGGAGCUGUUGGUAACGAUUUUUUGGGUUAAAUGGAAUGCUCGGAAUCAGUUGCUAUUCAAAGGAAAAAUGGAGACCCCCCAUGUAACACCCUAGGCGAAUCCCAUAUCGGCAAAGCACAGGAGAGAUGCUGGGUUUAUAAGAAGUGAUCCACACCUUAAUUGGCAAGACGCGUUUUGGGGUCUAUGGGCGCCCCAAGAACAAAUCCGUGCAGGCCUUGUUAAGGCCCAAAGCGGACAAUAUCUUGCCAGGUCAUGACCCAACCCAGACCUGGCAAGAUAUUGUCCGCUUUGGGCCUUAACAAGGCCCGCACGGAUUUGUUCUUGGCGUGCCCAUACACCCCAAAACGCGUCUCAUGCUCCUUCUUACUCUUAGAGUAAAUUAAUAUGUCAUCAAUAAAGACAAUGACAAACUGGUCAAGAUAAGGUUGGAAGAUCCUAUUCAUCAAAUCCAUGAACGCUGCAGGAGCAUUAGUUAAUCCAAAAGGCAUAACUAAGAACUCAUAGUGUCCAUAACGAGUUCAAAAAGCUGUCUUCGAUACAUCCUCACUUCUUAUUUUCAAUUGAUGGUAGCCAGAUCGUAAAUCAAUUUUAGAGAAUACCGCUGCACCUCGUAAUUGGUCAAAGAGGUCAUCAAUUCGAGGAAGAGGGUAUUUAUUCUUGACAGUAACCAUAUUCAACUGCCGGUAGUCAAUACACAACCUCAUUGAACCAUCUUUCUUCUUUACGAACAAAACGGGAGCACCCCAAGGCGACACACUAGGACGGAUGAAACCCUUAUCUAGUAACUCUUGUAGCUGGACCUUUAGUUCUUUUAAUUCAAUGGGUGCCAUCCGAUAUGGCGCCUUGGAUGUAAGUGUAGUACUAGGAACUAACUCUAUAGUAAACUCAACCUCUCUAUCUGGGGGUAGACCAGGAAGAUCCUCAGGAAAUACAUCAAUAAACUCCCUUACAAUAGGUAUGUCUUCAAGGCACGCCCCAUCAGGAUGGUCAGCAAUUAUAUACGCUAAAAAUCCUUCACACCCCUUCUUUAGCAUUUUCACUGCCGUCACCAUAGAAAUCAAAGCUUUAUAACUCUUAUGAUUCCCUUGAAAAUGAAAUUCUUCCUCGCCAGGUAGGCGAAAAAUAAUUUCCUUAGCAAAACAAUCUAUUGAAACAUGGUAAGGUCCUAACCAAUCCAUCCUCAAAAUCAAAUCAAAAUCAUGCAUCUCUAAUGGUAGGAGAUCCACAAGGAAUUCUCUAUCACACAAUCUGAUCACACAUGACUUAUAGACAUGAUCUAUUAACUGGCAAUCCCCCAUAGGGGUACUAAUUGUCACGUGAACACCGAGUGGCGUGAUAGGCACAUCAGCAUAACGGGCAAACACACAAGAUACAAAUGAAUGUGUAGCACCAGGAUAAAAAGGAACUUUGGCUUCUCUAGAGAAUAAGGACAAUGUACCUGAUACUACAUCAUUGGACACCUCAGCAUCUUUCUCCGUUAGCGCAAAAACACGCCCUUGCACCUUCGGUUUCUUCCUCUGCCCUUCGUUAGUCGGAGUAUUUGUAGUCUCGCCACGUCUCUUUGGGCAAUCCAUAAUCCUAUGCCCAGAUUCUCCACAAGCAAAACAAGCUCCAGUUUUCCAAUGGCAUUCACCAGGGUGCCUCCUUUCACAAUGUCGACAAAUGGGGUAAUUUCUCCGAGCAGUGUCACUAGUAACACCCUUGUUAUCCCAUUUGUUACCUCCACCAUUAUACUUCUGGGAGUGAGUGCCUUGCCUAUAGGAACUUCCAUUUCGCGGUCCACCUUGUUGAUUCUUCUUAUUUCUCUGAUACCAUAAUGUCAUGACCCAACCCAGACCUGGCAAGAUAUUGUCCGCUUUGGGCCUUAACAAGGCCCGCACGGAUUUGUUCUUGGGGUGCCCAUACACCCCAAAACGCGUCUUGCCAAUUAAGGUGUGGAUCACUUCUUAUAAACCCAGCAUCUCUCCCGUGCUUUGCCGAUGUGGGAUUCGCCCAAGAACAAAUUCGUGCGGGCCUUGUUAAGGCCCAAAGCGAACAAUAUCUUGCCAGGUCUGGGUUGGGUCAUGACAUUAUGGUAUCAGAGCGGCUCCGCGUGUCCUCUUGAGCGAUGGUGGGGCAAACCUCAGCGAGGACGCUGAGUCCCCAAGGGGGGGUGUAUGUAACACCCUAGGCGAAUCCCACAUCGGCAAAGCACGAGAGAGAUGCUGGGUUUAUAAGAAGUGAUCCACACCUUAAUUGGCAAGACGCAUUUUGGGGUGUAUGGGCACCCCAAGAACAAAUCCGUGCGGGCCUUGUUAAGGCCCAAAGCGGACAAUAUCUUGCCAGGUCUGGGUUGGGUCAUGACACCCCAUAUUAUGGUAGCUAAAGUUGAAGCUAUGAUUGCAGCUUAUAAGAGGGUGCAUUCUUCAGUUGAGGCUUCCAGUGAAACAGAGCAGAGGGUACCUCUUCAGACAUGGAAUCCCCCUCAAGAUGGUUUUGUAAAAGUCAACAUUGAUGCAGCUAUCAACUUCAAAAAGAACCUUGUAGGGCUGGGGGCAGUGAUUAGAGAUGAUUCGGGGCAUGUUACAGCAGCUGCAAUCAAGAUUUCCAAGUUUCAUGGAGAUGUUUCUUAUGCUGAGGCAGCAGCUAUGGAAUGGGGUAUGUUGGUGGAGAGAGAAGCUAAAGUGAAAGUUGUAAUCGUGGAAUCAGAUUCUCAAGGUGUGGUCAGUUUAGUUAACAACAAGCAGGGCUGCAGAUCUGAGAUCUAUUGGGUUGUUUCGGAAAUUCAGAAGUUAGCGGAAAACUUCGAGUGUGUUAGUAUUAAGUAUACAGCCUAGAUCUUGUAAUGUUAUUGCCCAGUCUUUAGCUAAGUUAGCUCUAGAAAAACGCGAGACUGUUGUGUGGAGGGUUCAUACCCUUCACAAGUGAUGUAUUUCCUUUCAUCGUUGUUUUAAUUGAAAUCUAUUUUCAAAAAAAAAAAAUCACAAUCAGCAACUACAAUGAUCCAAAACCAACAUAGAAAGACCUAGAAAUAGUAAAAAAUAUUGCAAUAUAUUAAAGAAGAUUAAUUCAUCAGAGUGCCCACAACAUAUAAAUGGAUCUAAAGAAUAGAUUAUAUAAUAGCUUGUUUCUUAUGAAUGAUACAUGGGAUUCCACAGAUAAAAAGAAAAUAAGAAUCAAGUACGUGAAUUAAAAAAAUACCUAACCAAUAGGGGUUAGUGAGAUAUUUUAGCUAAAUAUCAGUUGACAGAAUCUGACCCACAAUAAAAAUUGCUAUCUUAUCACAAUGGGAAUCUGAAUUAUAAAAUUACUGAACAAAACUUUUAACACCUACAAGUCCAAAUAAUAUCAAAUAAAAUGCCUAACCAGCUAUUAAAUAUAAAAUGUCCUUGUAGGACUAAAACCUUGUGGCCAAUCCUUCAAAGUUCCAAGCAACAAUAUGAUAAAAACAUAAUGCAUAAUAUAUAAGGAGCUUAUCUGUAAAACUUCCAUACAGUACUUAUCAUAUUAAACAAUGUACCUAAUGAAAUAUUGGCUUAUUUCUACAGAAUAUUACAAUAUAAGUACACCAAUUUCUCAAGCAAUGCCAUAUAGAAAGAUACCGAAGAAAAAAGGAAAAUAAAAAAUCGAAGCAUGUUAGUUAUGAUUUCAACUUUUGAACUCAAAGUCUGUGACAAAUUUUGCUUCGGGAAAUACUAACAAACACUUGAGAAAAACUAAAGUGUAUCACACUUGAACCGUAUAUAAAGCACAAGAAUAAAAACAACAAUGGGCAAAAAGAGGCUAGAUGUAUCAUCUUCAUUAGUUAAACAACAUAAAUAGAAUCAAAAUAUUAAUGCAUACACCAAAACCUUCAAAAUUCUCUAAACAUUCAAUUUUUUUCAGAUUAAGAAAAUAAAUUUAUAAGAAAAUCGAGAACGCGUAUUUGUUGCGGUAUUUUAUCAAGCAAUUGGCAUGCAGCAAUGUAAAUGACAAUUAAAACAUGUAAAUCUCUGUACAUUGAAAGCUCACCUUCGUUAUUCAUCCAAAGAGAGAUAUAUAGGGCAUGUAAGCUCCUUCUUUGAUAUUUAUAUAUUUUGUCAUAAAAGAUUAUAUAUUGUCCGAAAAGAGCUAACUUUGGACAGGCUUUUUAUGCCAAAAAAAAAAAAAAAAUUCUUUUGUGACUAUUAUAAAGUUCGUCAAAAAGAAAUUGAAACAGGGACCAAGUAAUGUCUCAAAAAGAAAAAAAAAUGGUUAUCAAAUAUAAAAUUAUUCAAGACAAAACAUUCAAUGACUAUUGUUUAAUUUUGUCACUGUAGGUAAUUAUAUAUGAUAAAAAAAAAUGGUCUUAAAAUUAGCCAAAAGAACAAUAAUUUUGGCUACUAAUAUUUUGUGUCAUAGAUUGUGUAGUCAAUUUUACACCCCUCUUUUAGUUACCAAAUAAUUUGGUCGCCUAUAAUUAUAUUUCGUGACUAUUUAUUUUGUCAUAAAUAGUGAAAUAUUGUCUCAAAAUAAUCACUUUUGGAGGGAAGAUUUUGCGCCAAAAAAAUAUCUUUUGGUGACUAAAAUAAUUUUUGUCAUAAAAAAAAUUAAUUAAUGACCAAUGAACAAGUCUCAAAAUAAAAAUAAUUGGUUACAAAAAACAAUAUAAGUUAGGACAAGACUAUUAGCUACGAUUUUAAAAAUUUGUCACAAUAAAUACCAUUUUGUGACCAAAUUUAAAGUUGUAAAAAAUAUCAUCUUAAAAAAUCAAAUUUCUUAUAGUGGCCGAGGCCUAUGAUAGAGCAUAGCUCUAUGCCCAUUUACCUCUUCAACUGCCAUAGAGAACUAGAAUCCCACUUGCACCCAAAACAUAAAAACAAUGUACACUUGGCAUGAACUCUGAGAAAGCUACGUAAAAAUGAUUUGAUGGCCAAGGAUUACAACAAUUGUACAACCAAAAGAGGUAGAAAUCCAUGUCUAGUAUAGUGCCCUCGUUAACACCUCUAAAUACUGAGUCAAAUCAAUAGGAAUUUCAUUGUGGGAAAAAAAAAACUAUGCUACGAAUGGUCAGCCUUGCUAGCCUUUAUAAGCAACGCACACAGAUUAUAGAACGAUGCAGUGAUGCAAACCAAGAACUAUUAGGGUAUAGACAGUAAGAUUAAAUAGAAUAAUUUGAUUCCAUUUCUAGCAAACUUUGCCUAGAGACUUGUUAAAAUCUAAUCAGUAAACCUGCUAGAUUUGACAGGAAACAGGUAAUGUCAGGCAAAUCGCCUUCUCCUAUUUUAGGGCACUCAUGUAUAAUAGUGACUUUAAAAGUGUAAACAUAUUUUGAACAAUUUUAAGGAAAUUAAAACUAUAUUUGACACAUCACGAAAUGGCUAAGAUACAAGCUUCAAUUCCAGUACAACAAAUAUAACUUCAACUGUCAAUUGAAGGAGCGAGAUAAAGAGGAGAGACACGAAGCAAUAUACCAUUAUGAGAACAUUGCAGCAUACAAAAGUGUAAACGGCAGAGCAAUAUCUCAAAAUCAUGUCGUUUCCGAUGUGUGCUCAUUUGAAAGUGCAGAAAAACCACUCAAACAUGCCUGUACAAGGAAAGCCAUGUCAGCCACCAAUGUCGUAAUUACACCAAUUACGAGGCCCAAAACUCCAUCAGCAACAGUAGAAGAACCGAUGUCAACAUCAAUCUACAGAAAGUUUCUAGCAGUCACGAGCAUUAUCACGAUCAUCGUGCCGCAGAUUGCCCUAAAAACAAGACAAAUCAAUUUGAUCAGCUUGUUCUUCCUCUAGAGCUGCGAAUAAUUGAAAAAAAAAAGAUUAAUUCCAUAGAAAUCCAUUAAUGAGGACAUUAAUCCAAUAUAUAAAAAUGAAUAUUUAAGUUUGAAGCUCCUAGCUUGAAGCUUUCCAAAUAUAAAGUUACAUAGUGAAGGACAACAUUUGUCCAUGAGGUUUCUAAAAUGGCAACUUUUGCACAGUAAAAUUAAAACGGACGGCGGAAGCUCUAGAAACCUCGGAUCGGCUUCAUUCAAAAACGAAAAUCACGAGGAAAGAUUUAAGUUUAAUUAAAUCACUUUUAGUUUCAAAAACGGCUUCGUGAAGUAGAAGAAAAAGACUGAAAACAGCACGCUACGAACACUGUCCAGAAAAUAGAGCUCUGCACGAACAGCUUCUGUUUUGCCACGAUUUGAGAUCCUUAAAGCACCCCAAUUGUGAUGCCUCUAAUUAUUCCACACUUAGAAAUGUUCUAGGAGUUCAUAGGAUUUGGAAUCUCGAAAUUUCGUUUAGAAAUGAAAGAGAUAAUGAAAAAACAUGAAUGCUAGUUCAUGAUGAUUCAUUCCAUCAAAUAAAGCUACCAUUAUCUCUAAUAAUGGCACCAAACAUUAUCAUGUGCUAGACCCACCCACUUAGUUAUUAUUUAUUGAAAGUGAUCUUAUCACUUAAAUAAAUUAUUUAAUCAAAUAAAUAAAUAGCUAAAUUAAUUAAUUUCGUAAUUAAUUAAUUAACCCCAUUUUGAUCAAAUCAAAUGGUUAAAUGUGGGCUCAUUUUGUGACAUGUUCUAAUGCUUUCUCUUAAUCCAUAUUAGAUCUAAUAAAAGCCCAAAAUUCUAAACCCAAAAUUGGUCUAGAAGUCCAUAAUCAUAUAUGAACCGGAACAUGUCCAAAAUGGUCAUUUUACGUGCUUGAUAUUGCAUAAUGUUUAAUGGGGAUUUAUGAAAUUUAUUUUGUUCCUUAAACUAUUUAUGGAACAUCUAAAUUUCUAUCUUAAAUCAUAUUUAAGAUAUAUUUAUAUAUAUAUUCAUUCUUAAUGAAUUAUAAUAUAAAUAUUGAUUUUCCUAAAAUUAGGAAAUUUAACUUCUCAUUUUCUAGUAACUCCUUUUUCAUUUCUAUUUAGUGUGUGACCUUUCAGGUUCUUAGUUAUAAGGUAGUAGAACUAUUUUAAUGAUAACUCUUUAUUCAUUAAAUGAUGCUAAACUCUUUAGUAAUCAAUUAGAACUUUUCUAAUGACCUUAAGAUGCAUAGCUAAUAGGCUUUACCAAUAUUGAUCUUAAGGUUUCUAUAAGUCAUGAGUGACACCUAGCAGUAUAUCACAACUAUCCAAAUAACAAGAAUUGUUGGAUCUAUAAAACCUAUUUUAUUGUAUCUCUAUGUCUUGGUCUCUUCAUCAUCCAUGUCUAGAGAAAAGCACGGCUUAUGGUUUAUUAUGUUAAGCAGUUAUGAUUUAUCUCAAAAUAAAUCUAAAUGAACUUAACAUGAAAAUAUAAUUUGAACUCCUUCAAAUAUAUUUCACCUUGGCCAAGGAUUUCUCAUGCCAAUUCAUAUUAUCUCAUAGGGACAUCCUUUUUGUAUAUUACAAAGUGAUUAAUUCCAUAUUAGCCAUACACUUGUCUUCAUACAUAACCAACCAUGACAGCUAUUGCUAGAUCUCUUCCGUGAUUAGGAAUCCAUGAUUAUGCUUUCACAUAUCAGAGAUGUCUAUGUAUAAGACAUCUGUUAUGCCUCAAGUCUAAAGACCAUUAUUAAACAUAGUGUCUAUUACAAUGUAUAAUAAGCCAUUAACACUCAAAACCAUAUGACUUACUAUAUUUGGUCAUGUUCAGUAAACUCGUUCUCUCAACAAGUACCUAUGUGUUUGACUUGACAUGUCAUGUCAAUGAUAUGAAACUCACCAUCCAUUUUAGUAUCACAUACCAUAAGGAGUCAUAACACAUACUAGUGUUUAUAGGAAUUUAUAAUGUCCAAUCAUAAAUCCACCACUAGGAACUAUUUUAGAAGUAUAGUACAAAGGAUGCACGUUUCAUACUCUCGACAAACUCGAGAAUGUGUUCCUUAACUAUUUUACUUCUUGGACUAUAUUCAUUAAAUUAAUUUAUGAAUGUUGAUAACUUUGCCAUUUUAUAAAUAUCAAAAUGCUAUUCAAAUACAAUAAUUCCCUAAACAAACAAACACCAUUUGAUUGGCCUUUAGGGCAUAUUACUAACACAUAGCCCUUAGAAGGCCGAUUGCAAACAUCACCUUUCCCGGGGAUGGAGAGGAGGACGUCCUCAAGGAUAUUAUAAAGGGUUCUUAGUUUGAGUAGGUCAGUAUGGGUAGUGGCACACUUGAGGUAGUCAAUGGGAUAAGAAUCGGCCUCCAUCCUAUAGCCGAGGUUUCUUUUCUUAGAGGGUCGGCUCGGCUCAGAACUAUUCUCCUUGUUAUCACUUUCUUUUUCAGGGAUCCCAGCCCCCUCAGAACUGUGAUUCUCACCAGAAGCCGAUGCUUGUCCACCGCGAUUUCCCAUAGGUUCACAAUCAGAAGGAGGCAAAAUGGCCUUUGGACGGGGGUACUCAAGGGUAUCUCUAUUAUAAGAGGGACCUAUGUUACUGGAAGGAUUUUGGGGAUCAGUGGGUCUUAAUAAAUUGGGGUAUGAAUCUAUCUCUUCAUCACUCUCAUUUACAAUUAUUUUUCCCCUUCGUCUUGACAUAGUGAAGUCUUAAGAGAAAAAUAUAACAAAUUUAAGUAUAUGGGUACAAAAGUGUUGAGUGCGGAAUGCAGAAUCAAGCACACCAAAUAAUUAUAGAAAAAUAAUUGACACAAAAUUUAUGUGGUUCAGUAAUUAAACCUACAUCCACCGGAGCAAGAGAAAAAUAAUUGUAUUAUUAACAAUUAUUUGAGUACAAAUUUGAGUAAAGAAAUCUUACUUUCCCAUAACCCAAAUACACCCAGUACUCUCACACACACACUCUCCAAUUGCUCACACUUUCAGAACUCUCAAAAGCUUAAAAACUAAUAAGCUUAACAAAUUUUUUGGGAUACUUUAGAAUGAAGAAAUGACUUUAAUUUAUAGGCUUCAAGCUUGCACUAUUCCACUUAAUCCCUCUGCAAUUUGUCAAUCUUCAUCUCCAUCAAUUUGACAAAUUUUGCUAAAUUUUCCAUUUUUCUUCAUUUAGUGCAGGAUUGUCAAAUGCCAAAUAUUUUACAGCUUGCAGUUUUGGUGCCGACUUUGAAAAAACAAAAGCAAUGCAUGUGGCUCACUUUUCUUUUUCAACCAAUUUGAAAACACUCAUUGACUUUUCAACAAUUUUCCACCUCGGCGAAGAUUUGUUCAAAUAUGAGCCGACUCCCAACCAAUCAUCAUCCCCAAAGUGGCUGCAUCUCUGUGACUGCUACGUACACAAAAUUUGGGAUCAAGCCAACCGUAGUUCAAAAUUCCUGAAGGACAUAACUUAACAUAAUCGAAGGAUUUGAAUUAGUCUCAAGCAUUGUUGAAACUUAACUCCAGAAAUCACCUUUGUCAACAUAUCUGCUGGGUUAUCCUUGGUAUUGAUCUUUUUCAACAACACAUCACCACCCUCGAUAAUCUCUCUCACAUAAUGAUAUUUCACAUCUAUGUGCUUCGACCGAGCGUGAUAUGUUUGAUUUUUCGCGAGGAAUAUCGCACUUUGGUUAUCACAAAAGACCGCAAUGUUCUCUUGGAUUACUCCCAAAUCACAAAAUAAGCCUUUCAACCAGAUAGCUUCCUUUACAGCUUCAGUUACUACCAUAUACUCUGCUUCCAUAGUGGAUAGAGCAAUUGUCGAUUGUAGAAUCGACCUCCAGCUAACUGAUCCUCUACCCAAUGUGAAUACGUAGCCAGUUGUUGAUCUUUGCUUUUUAAGGUCUCCGGCGAAAUCAGAAUCACAAUACCCAACACAUUGUUGACCACAAUCCUUUUUUAACAAUAACCCAACAUCAACUGUCCCAUAUAGAUAUCGGAGAAUCCACUUUACCGCAAGCCAUUAAUUUUUACUCGGAUUGUGCAUGUACCUACUAACCAUUCUCACUGCUUGAGAUAUAUUGGGCCUUGUGCAUACCAUAACAUACAUAAGACUACCCACAACACUAGCAUAUGGAACACGAGCCAUGUAAUCGCGCUCCUCUUGAGAUUUAGGACAUGAAGAAGAGCUUAAUUUGAAAUGAGGAGUUAGAAGUGUACAUACCAGUUUAGUUUUGUCAUCCAUACCGAAUCUUUUUAGCACUUUCUUCAAAUAAGACUUUUGAGUCAACCAUAUGCUCCCAUUCUUCUUGUCUCUAUGAAUUUCCAUCUCAAGUAUUAUAUGUGCAUCACCCAAGUCUUUCAUCUCGAACUCAGAAGCCAGCUGCUUCUUUAAUCUUUCGAUCUCAUCUCUAUUCUUCAAAACUAUAAGCAUAUCGUUGACAUAGAGUAACAAAUAGAUGAAAGCUCCAUCUAUUAGUCUUCUAAAGUAAACACAAUGAUCGUGUUCACUUUUGGUGAAUUUCUGCCCUUGUAUAAAUUAAUCAAAUCUUUUAUACUACUGCCUUGGCGAUUGCUUCAGUCCGUAUAAAGAUUUAAUCAACCUACACACAUGAUUCUCCUUUCCAGUAACUUUGAAACCACAAGGCUGAAUCAUAUAGAUUUCCUCCUUCAAAUCUUCAUGUAAGAACGCCGUCUUAACAUCCAACUGAGCCAACUCUAACUCAUAUUCUGCAACUAAGGCAAGUAGGAUACGAAUGGAAGUAUGUUUUACAACUGGAGAGAAAACUUCAUUAUAGUCAAUACUUUCCUUUUGAGCAAAACCUUUUGCCACGAGUCUUGCCUUGUAUCGAGGAGUUGAUUGAUUUGGAGAUCCUUGCUUUUUGGUGUAGACUCAUUUAUUGCCAAUAGUCCUUUUCCCUUUUGGUAACUUUACAAGUUCCCAAGUCUGGUUUUGAUGGAGAGAUUUCAUCUCUUCCUCCAUGACUAACUUCCACUGAUCACUUUCACUGCUGCGUAAUGCUUCACCGAAAGUGUUGGGGAUGUCAUCAUCAAUAACUGAAAGUGCAUAGACUACCACCAUAUCUUUAGUAAGCCAUCCGGGUUUCUUUAUCUCUCUUCUUGGUCUCCUUGUUACUAUAAAAUCAUCAUUAUCUACAGCAUCAAUUGUUUCUUCAUUUUGUGGGACAUCAGAAGAAAUAACAUAUUCUUCAACUCUAGGUAUCACCUCCAUAGUUGAACCCUUAUUUGAUGUAGAACUAACUGGUACAUAUGGAGUUGUAUCAAACUUCACCAGCUGCAAUACCUCUUUGGUUUUGUUUUCCAUUUGCUGAGAACUUGAAGUUUUCAUCAUUGAAACUUCAUCAAAUGUGACAUCUCUGCUACACACAAACUUUUUGUCUUUGAGAUCCCAAAACUUAAAGCCAUUUACUCUACCUUUGUAUCCCACAAAAAUAGCUUUUCUAGCACGAGGAUCCAGUUUACCAUCUUUGACAUAAUAAUAAGCUAGACACCCGAAUAUACGAAGGGAAUUAUAGUCUUGUGCAUGCUUUCCAGACCACAUUUCUAUAGGAGUUUUACCUCCAAUUAUAGCAUAAGGCAACUAGUUUACCAAGUGACUUACGUAGUUCACAGUUUCAGCCCAAAACUUUUUAUCUAAACCAGUAUUAGAUAACAUACACCGUACUUUCUCCAGUAAAGUACGAUUCAUACGCUCAGCUACACCGUUCUAUUGCGGAGUAUGUCUCACUGUGAAAUGUCUUUUAAUACCGUCGUUCUGGCAUACUUACAAGAAUGGAUCAGAAGUAUAUUCACCCCCAUUAUCAGGUCGUAAUACUUUGAUUUUUCUGUCAGUUUAAGUCUCCACCAAUUUCUUCCAUUUCACGAAAAUCUCUAGAACCUCAACCUUUGCUCGCAUGGUGUACACCCACACACGUCUAGAGAAAUCAUCAACAAAUGUAACAAAAUAAUGGCUUCCACCAAUUGAUGUAGUCUUGGUUGGUCCCCAUACAUCACUAUGAACAUAUUCAAGGAUUUCACGAGUAUCGUGAUUAGCUGUACCAAACUUGACCCUUGUUUUCUUGCCUACUACACAAUGCUCACAGAAAUUUAAUUUAUAGGUUUUGGUACCUUUUAAGAGUUCGUGCCUCAUCAGAGUUUGCAAAGACUUUUUGCUAGCAUGUCCUAGUCGUACAUGCCAUAGCUUGGUGGUGUCACUAUGCGCCUCAAUAAUAUUUGCUUCAUCAGUUGUACCUCCCUUCAAAUAGUACAGAUUGUGACGCCGAACCCCUUGUAGAAUCACCAUAGCCCCAUGUGUAAACUUCAUUAUACUAUUUUCAAUGGUAGCCUUGUAGCCUUUAGCUUCUAGAGCACCCACAGAAAUUAGAUUUUUCUUUAAAACUAGAACAAAUCUAACCUCUUUGAGUUCUCUGACCAUUCCAUUAAACAUUUUGAGCCGAAUUGUUCUUAUCCCCAUUGUGCGACAAUGUUGAUCAUUCCCUAUCACAACUGCACCGGAUUUUAGAUUACGAGUAUUCGUAAACUAUUCCUUAAUAGGACACAAAUGAUAGGUUGCUCCAGUAUCAAGUAUCCACUUACUCGAACUAGCCACGUAUGCUGCAAGAGUAAUACUUAGUGAAUAAUCAGAAUCUUCAUCUUUCGUGCCAUGUUUGCUGCUGUUGGUUUUUUCCCAUCUCUGUUUUGAGCUUUUAGACAAUCUUUCCUCCUAUGAACCUUUUCAUGACAAAAGGCACACUCGUCUCGAGCUAUAUCUCUGCUUCUCGAUUUGGAUCGAGAAUUCUUUCCACCACCCUUUUUCUUUUUCUCCAUCGCCCAAUCUUUACUCACCAAAACUUCAGACGAUACUCGUUCAGAAUUUUUAUUAUUAUUCUGAAUCUCCAAGUUAGUCAAUGCUGUGCAAACAUCUUUGAAGAUGAUCACGCUUUUCCCAUAUAUCAAGGUAGUCACAAAAUGGCUAUCUUCCUCUGGUAGUGAGUGUAACAGAAUCAUAGCCUUGACUUCAUCCUUAAUAUCUUCAUCAAGAUUCUUCAAAUCAGCAAGUAACUUUUCAAAUCUCGAGACAUGAUCGUGCAUUGAUACCCCAGGCUUCAUUCGAAAGCCAUAUACUUGGCUCAUUGCAUGAAGACGAUUUUCAGGACUUUUCAGCCUAUACUUCUUCUCUAAUGUAUGCCACAAAGUCACCGCACACUCCUCAACUUUCACCAAGUAUUUUACCUCCUUGGUCAAAUAAGAUCUGACCUGACCACAAACUUUCUCGUUCAUACGAUCUCAAAUUUCUUCAUCAUACAAGUGUAUUUUAUUUUUCAAAACAAUAUCGAGAUCGAUUUGAAUAAGGGCAUCCAUAACUUCGCGCAUCCACAUGCCGAAAUUGAUUUUCCCAUCAAACUUUUCAACAUCGAUCUUCUGGCCUCCUAUAACAGGUGCUGAAUAGCGAUUUUACAAGUCUCGUCUCCCACUUGAAGUGUCUUCUAAAAUAGUCUCGAUAGAUCUCUCCUUAAUUCUGGAAGUUUCACCUUAUACCAUUUUCUCAACGAACUAUUUCCACUUGAAAAACAGCCUCUAUGAUGUUAAUUUCGCGUGAAUAAAUGUCCCAGGAAAGUUCCCUAAAGACUAGACGGGAACUCGGUCCUAAUUAAAAAUCGGAAUCCUUAGACUCUUAUCGCCUUUGUUGACAGAACUUUCAUAGACAUGUAAAAAUACACACUACUUACAAUAGACUGUCUCCCAAGUACAAAUGGCCGCCUCCACCGUAUUCGUGAAUAGUACUGUAUAUGUGAACAAUACAGUAUACUGGAAUAGUACUGUAUAUGUGAAUAGUACUGUAUCCCCCCAAGUACGAACCGUCGGCUCUGAUACCAGUUGUUGAGUGCGGAAUGCGGAAUCAAGCGCACCAAAUAAUUAUAGAAAAAUAAUGGGCACAAAAUUUACAUGGUUCGGUAAUUAAACCUAUAUUCACCGGAGCAAGAGAAAAAUAAUUGUAUUAUUAAUAAUUAUUUGAGUACCAAUUUGAGUAAAAAAAUCUUAUUUUUCCAGAACCCAAAUACACCAAGUACUCUCACACACACUCUUGGUAGUGUGUCUUUUAUGGGCACGAUCUGACUAGAAAAGAUACCGACCAGAAGUUCAUACUGACCAGGUACUUGUCACUCAAAGAGAGGACGUGAUCUCACAAACACGCGACAAUUUCACCACGCCCCAAACCGCUGGGAAAACACGACGCCCCACGAUUACCCACGUUCGGUUGUUGAAGACCCAUUAAGGCCCUUAACCACCCAAAUAUGACGAGCAUGGAAAAUACCCUGAAAAAGUGGGAUGAUUGCCUAUAAAAAGCGGAGAAAUCAAUGAAGAGGGGGAGAGACAAAAAGAGAGAGAGGGGAAACUCUGUCAAAUUGACUCCAGGCAUUGUUACAUAGCCACCUUAAAUACAUUUUAUCUUAAGAACAUCGCAAUGAAUGUGUGUGAGCAUAAAUCAUAUAGUUUUCCCGUAAAUUCCAUUUCCUGACUUAAGUAUCGGAGGGUUUAUGCCGGAAAAACCAUCAGCGUCUCUGAUUUGUUUUUGUGAAUGCAGGUUUAGAAAGAAAAGGGAGAGUGAUUCGGUUCCCAGGAGCUCGGGCAAUUACUAUAGCUGGUGGAGCGCAACCUCUUCUUCAUUGUCAACACACUUGUUGAUGAUCCCAUCUGGUCGGGCAAAAGGCGACUAGAUUUCAGCAUCAACAGUACGUUCAGACAAAACACCUACUCCUGUUUUAGAAACGGCCUCCUCUAUUUUACUGUUUGGUGAUUGCAAAAAUUUGUCUAAAUAAUGCAUAGUUGUAGAGUUAAGAAAAAAAGUUAUGUUAAAAUAAAGAAGCAUCAGAGAUCCCCCGAUAUUAUUAUCAUCCAGAACAAUAUGUUUAUUGGGCCAAAGUGGGCUAACAUACAUGGGUUCAAGCUUGCAAAAUCCACAUUUAUGUAUAAUUAUAUAGUAAUUAAAUACUGAAUUUGAACUCAUACAACUAUUCAAUCAUUUGGAUUUCAAAUCUGUGUUCAUUGAACUAAAUACUGUCAUGUAUUCGAGUGAACAGAUAAAGAAUUCACAAUCUGUUCUCAAUUUUGACUUCAUAAUAUUCCAGCUAUGGUCGCAUUUCUAUUACUGUAUGGUAAAUAUGACUUUUAAAUAAUUUUUUUGACAAAAUUAGUCAAGGUGCCAUAUGUGUAUCAAAUAAUAGUUGAUAAAAUCAUCUUAUAUUUUGAACUACAGAAGUAAGUAUUCAUCAAACACUUUAUAAUUGUCAGUCAAUGUUUAUGUGAACGUGACCGAAAAUGGUUACUAAGUGCAUGUUUGGGAGUUAGGAUUAAGUAUGGGAUUAGAAUAACUUUGGUAUUAAAUAUUUUAUCCCAUGUUUGGCUACUUUGCUUGGAUUGGAUUAAGGAGGACUAAAUUUAAAUUUAGGGCUUAAAUCAUGGGAUUAACAAUCGCAAUUUAUAAGUGGAUUUAGAUGGGAUUAGAAUAAGAGAAAAAAAUUUUGUUCAUGUUUCUUUCAUAAAUAACACUAUUUUUUAUUUGAAACCUAAAAUUUAAUUACUUAAUUUAUUAUUUUAUUCAUGAUUUACAUGAAUUUAUUUUUUAUUUUAUUUUUAUAGUCUAAUUACAUUGGUACUUUACUCCAACAAAAUUAACUAUUUAAUAAUUUGUUACAAUAAUUGAUUGUAUUAAAUUCAAUAAUCAACUAUGUAAUAUUAAAAAUAAUCAUAGAAAUUAAUAAUACAAAUAAAUAAUUGAUUUUGUAUAUACAUUAUUUGCUAACUUUUUGAUAAAAUAAAAUAUAUCUAAAAUAUCCGAUAAAAAUUAAUUAAAUAAUUAAAUAGUUUUAUUAAUUUAUAUUUGUUUAUUAUGAAUAUGACUACCCAAUAACUAAUUUACUACAUAUUUAAUGCUAUUGUUAAUUAUCUUUAAAUUAAUUUUAAUUAUUACUUUUAAAUAUUCUUAACUUUUUUUUUGUAUUUAAAUAUGAUUUAACAUUGUCUAAUUCGAUAUUGUACCAAACAUAGUACAAUAUAUAAUAUAAUCUAGCUUAAUCUAAUCUAACUUAAUCCAGUCCAAUCUUAAAAAUUAGCCCAAUUCAAUUCUACGUGUCAAGCACAACCUAAGAGUUCCUAGUGUUAAAAAUUUAACAUACCCACGAUCCAUUAAUGGGAUAAUUUAUUUUAUAAUAAUCAAAUUGAAGAUCAAUUUGUACGAUGAUGAGCUUUCAUGUUUCUGUCAAACAUGAAAUAAUUUUGUAAACAAUGGCCACGUGGAACUUAUAACCAAUCAUCAUUUGUUGAUAGACAAGUGAAAUAACAAAAAAGCAGCGGGUUUGGGCUUUCUCCAGGAAUCGGCUUAACACAAACAAUGUGGGGUUUCUUGAUCUUCUUAAAGAUCAAGCAUAUACGUAUACAUGUUCUAUACCUAUCAAUCAUUCCCCUAUUCUUCGGUUUGGUGAUUGCAAAUAACAUUCUUUGCAUCUACUCUUUAUUUAUUUAUUUAUUUUUAACUCAUUAAUUCUUGUUCUUCUUAAAGCGUUUAGUAAAUAUAUCAUCACCGGGUCAAAUCCCUAACAUUAACGUACACAUAAUCUAUUAAUGAAAUUUAUUAUUUUAUCAUAAUCAAAUUGAAGAUUAGUUCAUGCAGUUUUCUAUGAUGAGGAGUAUUCACUUUUCUGUUAAAUACAAGAACGAUUCGUAAAUAAUGUCCAUUUGGAACUAGUAAUAACGAAGCAUCAUUUGUGGACCGAAUAAAUGAAAUAACAUUUUAGUUUCUCUCUAAAAUGUCAUUCUUCAUUCAAGCUUUUGCUGCAUCUUUUAUCAGGCAUCUUAUAAAGCUUUUCCCUACUAAUACUAAUAAACUUUGUAAAUCAAUAUUCUUUUCAAUUUCACAGGACACAAGUAAUGCAUAUUCAAGCACAACAGGUAUUUAUUCGUUAGAAACUCCAACUUAAUUAUUUCAUUGGAAAAUAUGAAACGCAGAGCCAUAAACUAGUGCUUUCUUCAAUUUAAUUGGGUUGAACAAACUUUUUAAUGUAUUUUCCCCAAUCCAUUUCUUUUAUCUCACUGCAUGCUUUAUUAAAGCUUUGUCUUUGUUCUUGAUUGAUGACCUUCAAAAUUAAAUCUUAAAAAUCGGGUAUAAAAGGGGUGCUUGAUUUAAGUCUUCUUCUUUUGCAAUUCAUUGUUAUUGCUCUUUUCAGCUUUUUACUCGCAAAACUUCUUACUCACAAAUUCCUCUGCAGUUAACCGUGAUCUUUUACUCAUUAAAAUUGUUCUUAUUAAUUCUUUUUUAUAGAGAGAGAGAGAGAGACUCAAAGAGAAUUAAAAAAAAAGUAAUUCUAAAUUUUUGCUUGUGCAUUGUGUGAUUUUUACCAUUUUUAAAGUUGGUGAUUUGUAUUGAAUAAAUAAAAUAAUAAAUAGAUUUAUGGACUACUCUUUUUUGUUAUAAUAAACAUCAGAGGUCCUUUCCUGAUGUUUCAUUCCAUAAGAAUAAAUUAUAAUUUUAUUGAUAUAGUAACGUCAAUAAUAGAAAUCCUAACAAACAUACAAACUUUAGAUUAUGGAUUAAAGCACUACAAGGUGAAUGGAUCACAACAAAUUAUUUAUACUACAAGGUGAAUGGAUCACAACAAAUUAUUCUGACGAAAGCAUAAACAAGAUGAUUGAAUCAAGAGACUAUUACAUGGGAAACCAAUCCAGAUGAAGCCUGUGAUAAAGAAUAGCCGUACGCCCAUUUACCUCUUUAGCUAAGCUGCCAUACUGAAGGAGGCAAUCCCACCCGCACAAAACAUGAAAAACGAUGUACACGUGGCAUGAACUUUGAGAAAGCUACAUAAAAAUGAUCUGAUGGCCAAGGGAUACAACAGUUGUACGACCAAAAAGGGUAGAAAUCCAUGUCUAGUACACUGCCCUCUUCAAUACCUCUAAAUACUGAGUCAAAUUGAUAUGAAUUUCAUGGAUGAAACUAUGCAACAAUCGAUAAACCUUGCUGGCCAUUAUAAGCCUAUGCACACAGAUUAUAGAACGAUGCAGCGAUGCAAACCAAGAAUUACUAGGGUAUAGACAGUAAGAUUAAAUAGAAUAAUUUGACUACAUUACAAGCAAACUGUCACGGACCGCAAUCGUGGCACCCAAGAUAUGCGCUUGUACGCUAGUGUCGAUGAUGGUUGUUGAUGCUGAAAUCUGCUCGCCUUUUGACCGACCAGAUUCUUUCACCAACGUUUGUGUUAUCUACUGUUGCUCGUUCACUGGGAUUGGAUUCGUCCUCCUUUCUCUCAAUAGACCUGCGCUCACUAAAAACGGAUCAGAGACGCCGGUGGUUUUGCCGGCGUAAACCCUCCGAUGUCUAAGUUAGCUCAAGGUGUUUACGGGAAAACAGUGCAAUUUAGAUCUCAAAACGGUUUCUAAAUUAUUCGGAGUUUAUAAGAAAAUGGCCUGAUUGUAAUUUGGCAGCGUUUUCCCUCUCUCAAUUUUUUCUAUCCCCAUCUUCAUCGAUUUCUUCCUCUUUUAUAGCCGUUGUCCCCACGUUCCCAUUUGCCUUUCACCCUACCUUUUUCGGGUAGUGGCAGCCUCUCAUGGAACUCUAACCGCUGCAUUACGGGCAAACGUGGGAUCUCGCAUCCUCCGCAACGGUUCUGGGAACAGCGCAACUACCGCGAUUCUGUGGGAUCUGUUCCCGCUUUUUGGGGGACGGGUACCGGCUCGGUAUAUACCUCUGGUCGGUAUAUUUCCCUGGUUGGUAAUCGCCUCUGGUCGGUUCAUGCUUGUCCCCGUGUUCUGCUCGCACCAUUUGGCUAAGAUGAUCCAUGCCGGGGUGGAGAUUAGUAGCAUGGCCGACCUGGUGCUUUUAUUUACUUAACAAUGGUUGUGCUGAUUGUUGGAGACGUGCUUCAGGGGCGUGCGUGUUGGGAAUACAAUGCCCUAGACUCUUUGGAGUUCAGGCAGGCCGACCCGGUUGAGUUUGGGGAGCUUGUCGCUAGUCAAGGACUUAACGCUGAAGAGGGGUCUAGGAAAAUCCUGACGCACACUGGUUGGGAAUUGAAGCCGUUCUCCUGAUGAGCCCAAGGCAGGGCGAAACCAGUUGACAUUGUGUCACUUCCUCUAGGCUUACUCUCGUAGUAUGGGAUGCGGGAGUGCCGCACGGGCUCGAAACCUCUCGUCCCGUGACAAAUGGUAUCAGAGCCGCGCUUGUCAUCUCUCGAAGCCCUCGUCGCGAGCUCGCCAAGCGCUCCAAUGCCGCACCACGCGGGUCCCCACCCUUUCAGAUACAAGAGUUGACAAGCGGGACGAACAGGCGGGUUCUCACACCCCCAAGCGUUCGCACCAAGUGGAUGGUGUCUCCAUGCGGGUCCUCUCCAUGGAUUGAGGACGUGCAUGUAGGCAGGGAGUUCAUGGGUUGAGUUUGGCAAGUCGAUCUUCACAUUUUUGCGUGGAAGUGCACACUUGCGAGGCGUACUCCUCAUGCACGAGGACGUGCAUGGUUAUGGCGGUGGGAGAAUGUCACGGACCGCAAUCGUGGCACCUAAGAUAUGCGCUUGUACGCUAGUGUCGAUGAUGGUUGUGCUGAUUGUUGGAGACGUGCUUCAGGGGCAUGCGUGUUGGGAAUACAAUGCCCUAAACUCUUUGGAGUUCAGGCAGGCCGACCCGAUUGAGUUUGGGGAGCUUGUCGCUAGUCAAGGACUUAACGCUGAAGAGGGGUCUAGGAAAAUCCUGACGCACACUGGUUGGGAACUGAAGCCGUUCUCCUGAUGAGCCCAAGGCAGAGCGAAACCAGUCGACAUUGUGCCACUUCCUCUAGGCUUACUCUCGUAGUAUGGGAUGCGGGAGUGCCGCACGGGCUCGAAACCUCUCGUCCCGUGACAAAACGCUGCCUACAGACUUGUUAUAAUCUAAUCAGUAAACCUAUUCGACUUGCUAGGAAAAAAAUAGGGCUUUUUUGUUUUCAUUCCCCUUUGGUGAUUGCAAAAAUUUAAAUCUAAAUUUAUGGUGCAGGCUACAUGGCACCUAGUGGAUGAUUGUUAGGGUUUGUCUUUUGCUCUUAGUUAGGAAUUUAAUUAAGAAUUUAUAGUGUGCGCCUUAUCGAAGUAGGUUUCCUAAUAGUAAUUAAAUAAUCCAAAUUUAUGAUGCAUUAGCAUAUGAUUGUGAUAAAUAAGCUUUUUAUGUAUCCUGUAAGGCUAAUUACUGUUUUAUUAGAUUCUCUUGUUAGUCUUGUGAAUCAACGAGAUUUAAUUAGUAGUAGAUAAUACUUUAGGCUUCACAGGCGCACUAUUUUAUCCGCUAAAUCAAUUUUUUUUUUAAAUUAAAAACAAUUCAUCAAACACUUUAUAGUUCUAACUUUUAAGCUGGUAAACACUUUAAGCCACAACUUUAAAUUCAGUUUACGAGAAUUCCUAAUAGUCACAGUGGCUUGGGUGGAAAUGAAUAUAAAUAAUGAAAUACUAUCUAAGCAACUCAAGGGCGGUGAAUUGAGUUUCUAAAAAUUUUGUAAAACUUAAUUCAAAUAUGAAACGAAUUAAAACAACAGUAAGUAAAUCAACCAAAAUAUAAAAAGAUAGGGGAAGAGAGAUUCAAACACAGAGAUUUUUAUGUGGUUCGGCCAACCUCGCCUACAUCCACGCCUCCAAGCACACCGAGCUUGAGGAUUCCACUAGUCAUGCCUUUAAGGCUUCAAGAACACCUACAAUUGACUUCAAAGAUGUCAAUCAACCUUUACACCAAGAAAUUAUCCUCAAUCUCUUAACCCAAGUGUAUCCUAACACUUACAAUUUCUCAAUUUGAUUUAAAAAUAAAUACAAAAUAAAUCUCUCUCACACAAUGUGUUUGAUUACAAAUGAAAUUCUAAAGUGUGAAUAAAUGAGAUGUAUACAAGAAUUUAAAACUCAAUGAAAGUUGUAUGCUCAAUAAUUUGCUCAAUGAUAAUGGUUGGAAUCGUUGUUAUUUGAAUUUGAUUGAACUUAUUUAUAGUUGGAGCUGAAAUAUAGUCGUUAUUGACUUUUUGCUCAAUGUUGGAUUGCCGUUUUGACUAUGAGCAAGUUACCGUCGGACAAAAUUUUAAAUUCUCGGACCGUCGAUUUCAAGAUGUCGAAUCGCCGUUAAUGUCCAGAGGCUGCUCUUCAAUUCUGUUCAAUGUCGGCUAGCCGUUAUCAAGAGAUCGGUUAGCCAUUUGCUACAAUGACUGCUACAGUGAACUAUUUCUAAAAUUAUAAUUUGGCCCCAAAACUUUAUAAAAUUUACUAUGACCGAUAACUUUAUAAAAUUUUGUCAAAUAAGUCCAUUUCCAAAAUUUUAAGCAAUAUUUGCUAAUUUCAAAGUUCUCAAAACUUUUUCAAUUUAAAUCAUUAACAUGAAAAUAACUAAUAUCAUAAAAUUACUUUUCAUUGAAUAUAAAGCCUUAAUAUGAAAAAAAAAUAAUUUGAGCUUUUAAAUCAAGCUUAACCAAGUUUGUUAUCAUCAAAAUCAAUAUUAAAGAAAUAUUUAUGUUGACAAAUAAUGUUUAAUUUUAAUGUACAAAGCACUGGUGCAUUUAGAAGGUACUACUGUGUAAACAAAAUUUGUGCUUGCAACUCAUCUUUUCAUUCAACUUUCUAAUAAUAAUAAAAUAAUACAGAGGAGAAAUAGGGGCUCUCUUUCCGUUUCCCAGUGUUUGUGUUUGGUGAUUUUAACUUUAUCAUGGAAUUGUCAAUUUUUAGUUGAAAGUUAUCUAAAUCUUCUUCUCUAUAUAAGCGUUUACAAUGAUUUUGUGAAACACAGCAAAAACAAUAAUAAUAAGUAUAUUUAUUCAUCUAAGAGGUCAAACUCUCAUGCUCAGAUAUGGAUAGUCCCAUUUUUUGAUCAGGGACAUCUCUUUACAAGCGUUGAAUUAUGCAAGCAAAUCGCUCCUCAAAAUUACCAAUCUACCCUCAUCGUUACCUCUCAAGUACCCAUAACUAUAGUUACCCAUUACUCUCUUCGCCAAGGCACACAGAUUAAAGAAUGCUUAGGGUGAAGGCAGUAACUGUCCUGAAAUAUGACUUUUAAAUUUUUAUUUUUUUUUUACGAAAUUAGUUAAAAUGCCAUAUGUGUGAUCAAAGUUGUUAAAUAUCUUAUCUUUCAAAUUAUAGGAGUAAAUAUUCACCAAACACUUUAUAAUUUUUAGUCAAUGUUUAUGAAAACACGGCCGCAAAAUGGUUACUAAUGCUAGGGAUCAAUAAUCAAACUGAAGUUUGUACGAUGAUGGGCUUUCGUGUUUCAGUCAAAGAUGAAAUAAUUUGUCAAUAGUGGCCAUGUGGAACUUAAAACCAAGCAUCAAUUGUUGACAUAACAAAUGAAAUAACAAAAUGGCAGCGGGGUUGGCGAUACAAAAUCAAAUCUUUUUUAUUCUUUUGAUUUUUGAUUUUUUCUAUUGCAUUCUGCUUUCUUAAAAGUUUGGUCCAAUUAAAGAGAAUACGGAGCAAUGACUUGUAUCAUCUGUGGAAUAAUCCAUAGAAAUAUAUAUGUGAAGCACGCCAAAGAAAAUGGCGCUGAUGACAUACUCCUAAGAAUUGUUCAUACUGAGUCAUCCAUCAAUCAACGGGUGGAUUAUUAUCUCACUGUAGAUGAAAUUCAACUGCAGAAGUAAUCGGAUGUGGGAUCCCAAUUUUGGCGUGACCAAUUAGAGGUUAUCAAUAUUAUAAUGCGAAAUUGAUGAUCAAUCAUCUUAAUGUGGGGUACAUGAUUUCUGAUGAUCCAUCAAAAAUACAAAGUUGAUUCAAAAGGAUGAUACGGUGAGUGGAACAGACAGGCUGAUGGGAAAUCAAGCUAUUAAAAAACGAGCUCACAUGCUUCAUAUUGCAUUUGAUCAUGGCUGUCCUAGAAGUUCAGUGGCUGCUUCGGAUGCUUUCAAAGUUCUUAUUAACCAGAAAGCAGUUUAACAAAAACAAGUAUUGUGCAUAUUAUUAACCAUAUGCUUUCAAAGAUCAUGUAUAAGCAUAUCAGAGAUCUUGUUGGCUUGAAGAUCUUCUUUGGAUGCUUUCAAUACCUACACUUAUACUACCAUAUGUAAAGCCUUUGUUACUGAUUGCAUUCAAUUAUUCAAUUAAAAGUCUUACAAAGCAUCUAAAAUGGAAGAUGGAACAUCCUCCAUCCAAAAAACAAAACGGAAGUCAAAACGUUGAUAUUGUUUUAUGUUUAAUAUCAUGAUACUAGAACUUUUUAGGCUAAAGCACCUACCUGCUGUGAGCUUUACUACAAAAAAAUGAGACUAUUUAGUUGUGAGACAAAUAGAGAGGGAAAGUUUUUACCAUUUAGCUAAAUUUCGAUCUUAUGCAAAAUAAUAUAAUUCAUUUGUUAUUAUGACCUAACCAACUCAAAACAAAAAGGAUUAUUAUGGCCUAACACAGUUCAAAAUGCAUGCAACAAUGGUGUAUUUAAAAUGGAACUAAUGUACAAAUAAAAUUUAUGCAUCUCUUGGAGGAAGGCCUUUAGGCCAACAAAUGAAAAUAGUGAGCUCGCAUUUUCUAUUAUCAUUUUCACCACUUGAAAAAGAGAGGGAAAAAAAUUGAGAGGAAAAACAGGGCUCCCCUGUUUUCAUUUCCCAUUUUUUCAGUUUGGUAAUUGUAAAUAACAUUCUUUACUUCCCUCUUUAUUUUAUUUUUUUUUUAUUUUUAACUCAUUAAUUCUUUUUCUUAUUCUUGCUAAAGCGUUUAGUAAAUCUUAUGAUCAUCUGAUCAAAUCCCUAACAUUAACAUACCCAUAAUCUAUUAAUGAAAUUUAUUUAUUUUAUAAUCAUCAAAUUGAAGAUUUGUUCAAUUUUGUAUGGCGACCAAUUUUCAUUUUUCUAUUAAACAUAAGAAGAAUUUGUACAUAAUGUUCAGGUCGAAACUCGUAAUAACGACGCAUCAUUUUUCGACAGAACAAAUGAAAUAACAAAAAAGUAUAAAUCAAGUCAUUAUUGAUCCUACUUUGAUGAUCGAACUUUGGUUUCUUUCUAAGAUGCCAUUCCUCAUUCAAGCUCUUGCUUUUCUCUUUUAUCCGACAUCUUACAAAGCCUUGUCCCUACUAAUAAGCUCUGCAUAUCAAUAUUCUUUUCAAUUUCGCAGGAUACAAGUAAUGUAUAUGCCAAAAUUAUUCAAGCACAACAGGUAUUUAUUCGUUGAAAACUUUUAACUUGAUUAUUUCGUUAGAACAUAUGAAACGUAGAGCUAUAACUUAGUGCUCUCUUCAAAUUAACUGGGUUGAACAAAAAAUUUUAAAGUAUUUUACCCGAUCCAUUUCUUGUAUCUCACUGCAUGCUUUGUUAAAAGCUUCGUCUUUUGGUCUUGAUUCUGAACUUCAAAAAUUAAAUCUUAAGACUCGGGUAUAAAAUGGGUGCAUGAUUAAGUCUUCUUCUUUUCCAAUUCAUUGCUAUAACUCACACCAACAUUUUACUCAGACAUUCCUCUGCAGUUAACAGUGGUCUUUUACUCAUUAAAAUUUUUCUUAAUAAUUUCUUUGGAUACCCGUUCUCACUUAAUAUUCAAGGCGAAUAGAGAAGCUCAUCAACUCUUUGAUCCCAGACAAUUAAAGAAGUACACAUGUUCUAAAUCAUCUAAUAAUUUCUUUUAAUAGCUGUUCUUAAUUUCCAUCUACUUUGCAAGAAAAAAUUUAUCUUGUUUGUUUUCAUCUUGUCAUCUAUUUUGCUUGAGUUUUAAGUUAUUGUUCAUUUGUAAUGUCUGUGUUCUUAUUAUUAGCUUUGGAUAAUUUGCAUCCAUGUCUUUUCUUUGUUUGUGGGCUUUUAUUCAGACCCCCUGAAACCUUUCUGUUAAUAUAAAAACUCUAAUCCUUGAGCAAAAGGUUAAAAAAAGAAAAAGAAAGAAUUCUCUGUUUAGAUAUCAGUUGGGUUAAGAACAAUGUUGUUUGUCUCCUGUCUUUUCUUUGUUUGUUUGUUUGUUUAUUUUGUCAUUUUAUUAGAUUUGCUUUGUAUCUAAUUUUACUUGAAGAUUAAAGCUGAGCGAGAAAUGCCUUUUUUUUUUUUCUGAAGCAACCUACAAAUUUUAGAAUAGGGCCAAGAGUAUUAAAGAUUCAAUUAACCGCAAAAAGUUAUUUACAUGCAUCGCUUGCAAACUUAAGCUUAUCAUCCCAAAUUGAGUUGCUUGCAUUAGAAAUUUUCAUGCAUUCACGAGCAUUAUCAUCAUAUCACAAGAUAGCCUGAAAAACAAGAUAAAUCAAUUUGAGCAACAAGUUUCCUCUGUUUUCGUUCCUCUGUUUUCAUUCCCUGUUUAUUGAUAUUUUUUUUUUUUUUUGGCCUGAAAUUAAGAAGAAAAAAGUGGUAAAACAAGUCACCACUGUUUUUAUUCCCCUGUUUUUCGUGGAAAGAAUAAAUGAAAUUGAAAAAAAAAAAAGCAGCGUUGGCAAUACAACAUGAAACUUUAAAUUUUUAUUUUAUUUUUAUUUUUGAUUUUGAAUGUGCAUAAGUCAAAUCAUAUAUUAUUGAUCUUACUUCGAUUAUUUGCUGUUUAGUUUCUCUCUUAAAUGCUUUUUGUUUGUUUCCGGUAUUUGCUUUUAUAAAAGUUUUAGUCCUCAAUCAUUCGUUCAAGGAUUUGCUUUCUCUUUUAUUAGGCAUUUACAUUGCUCUGUCGAUCAAUAUUCAUUUGAAUUUCACAGUACACAAGCAAUGUAUAUACCAAAACUUAAUUAUUUCUUUAGAAUAUAUGAAAACGUAAGAGUUGUGAACUACUGCUUUCUUCUUCAACAUGCGUCAACAGGGCAACAAUAACCAAAUACAUGAUAUACAAAAGCGGUGCAUGACUAAUUCUUUUUCUUUUGCAGGUCAUUGUUAUUGCUCUCGUCAACUUCUUUUCUCACACAUUUCCCAGCAGUUACCAGUGAUCUUUUUUCUCCUUCAACUUGUUCUUACAUAUUAAAGGCGAAAUAGAAAAGCUCACCAACUCUCUAAUCCCAGAUAAUUAAAGAGGUGCACGUUUUCUAAAUCCUUUAACUUUUUUUUUUUUUUUUUUUAUAGUAGAACCCCUGAUCCUUGAUCUUGACAUUUGUUCCUUCAUAAUUUCCAUCUACUUUCCAAGAAAAAUUUCUCUGGUUUGUUUUAAUAUUAUAACUUAUUUUGCAUGAGUUUUAAGUUACUAUUCAUUGUUAAAGCUUGUGCUCUUAUUAUUUCCUUUGGUUAACUUGCAUGCUUUUCCCCAAAAAAAAGAAAAAAGUUUAUAAAAAGAUUAUAGGUUUUUACUCAGACCCUUGAAACCUUUCUGAUAAUACCAAAAACACUAAUCCUUUAACAAAAGAAAGCAAGAAAAAAAAAGGUCCUAUAUUUUAAUAUCUGUUGGCUUUGUAUUGAUAUUGCUUGUUUGUUGUCUUUUAUUUCAUUGUUUGUAUCUAAGUUUACUUGAAGAUUAAAGAUCAGUAGGAAAAGCCCUUUUUAUAAAGCUAACAUACACAUUUUAGAAUAGGGCUCAACCGCAUGAAAAUAUUUACAUUGUAGUAUCUCAUAUUAAUAAUCUAAAAAAAACCAAUCCAACAAGUUCAAAUUCACUGAAAUCUAAAAAAGAUUGCUUUUAAGGAGUACAUGAUAGCUAUUGAAUUUUGGUUAAAGAUCUUUUAGGCAGAAUUGAAAUUCACUCAGUCAUAAAUCAACCAAUCCAACGAGUUCAAGUGCAGAGUCAAUUGAACAAAUUCAUCACUUGCAGAAUUAAGCUUAUCUUCCGCAAUUGAGUUGUUUCCAUUAGAAAUUUUCCCGCAGUCACGAGACUAUCAUCAGAACAUGAUUAUUUAUAUAAGAACAAGAGUUAAGAGGAGAAAAAUAAGGCAAAACAAGAUUCUUCUGUUUUCAUUCCCUUUUUUUUUUUUUUGUUUGGUGGUUGAAAAAUUUUAUCUCUAAAUUUUUAUAAUUUUUCGUUAAAGUUUAUAUUUAAAUAAAGGGUUAAAAAAAUCUAGUUCUAAAUUUAUGCAUUGAAUGAUUAUUAUUAUUGGUUACGAUAUCAAUUAAAUAACAAAUAGAGCUACUAAUCACUUUGUUAAAAAUGAACAUGCGUUCUGUUUAUAUGACAGAGCAAAACACGGGGUGCACGCUUAAGUCUUGUUCUUUUACAGUUCAAUUGUAUUACUUACUCUCAUAAACUCUUUACUCACAUUCCUCUGCAGUUAACCGUGAUCUUUUGCUCAUUAAAAUUUUUCUUAUAUAUUCAAUGCCAAUAGUGAAGCUCAUAAACUCUGUGAUCCUGAAUAAUAAAAGAGGUGAACUUGUUCUAAAUGAUAGCUAUUCAACUUGGUUAAAGAUCUUUUAGAAAGAGUUCAAAUUCAGUCAAUCAUAACUCAACCUAUCCAACAACUCCAAGUCUAGAGUCGAUUGAGCAAGAUUCAUCACAUGCAAAAUUAAGCUUAUCAUACCCAAAUUGAGUUGUUUCGGUUAGAAAUUUUCCAGCAGCCAUAAGCAUCAUCAUUGUGUUUCCGUUAGGAAAUUGAGUUGCUUAUCAUACCCAAAAUAUUUAUAUAAGGACAAGAGUUAAGGAAAAGAUCCCUCAAGGAAAAGGUCCCUCUGUUUUCAUUCCCCUGUUCUUUCGUUUAGUGAUUGAAAAAUUUUAUAUCUAAAUUUUAUUAUUUUCCAUUGAGGUUCAUUUAAAACAGAAAAGAAUUAAAAAUGUAAUUCUAAAUUUACCCUAAUUCACGGAGUGAUUAUUAUUAUGUUAUCUCAAAAUUGGCCAUACGAAUUAAAUGACUAAUAGAGUUAUUGACAAUUUUGUUAAAAAUGAACAACCGAUAAGUCAUUAUCUUUUGCACUUCAUUCUUAUUACUCUCAUAAACAUUUUAAUCACAUUUCUCUGUAGUUAACAAUGAUCUUUACCCAUUAAAAUUGUUCUUACAUAUUCAUGGCAAAUGAAGAAGCUCAUCAACUCUGUGAUCCCAGAUUAUUAAAGAGGUGCACAUGUUCUAAACCCUUUAAUAGUUUCUUUUGAUACCAUAAUCUAAUCCUUGAUCUUGAUAAUAGUGCUUUCGCAACAUCCAAGUAAAAAUUUCUCUUGUUUGUCUUAAUCUUGUCAUUUAGGUUUCUCGACUUUUAAUUUAUUAUUCAUUGUUGACUUCUGUGUUCUUAAUAUUAGCAUUCGUUAACUUACUUAAAUCCAUCCUUUUCAACAGCCAGAAAAAUAUAUAUUGUUAAGCAACAGGAGAUGGCAGAAGUAUGUCUUGCUAUUUUUUCCUGCGUAUCAGAAGGUACAAAGACAUUGUCUGAACCGAUUAUAGGGCAGAUGUCUUAUGUGCUCAAGUGCCAGAGCUACAUAGAUGGGCUAAAAGACCGAGUAGAGGAGCUGGGACAAAGAAGAAAAAGGGUGGAAAUACUGGUUGAUCAGGCUCCUGGACAAGGAUAUAAGAUUUUUGGGGAUGUCACAGAGUGGCUAGGGAAAGUUGAGCAAUUCACUCAAGGGUAUGCAAAACACAUCAUUAAUGAUGAAGAUGAAGUUAGGAAGCCCUGCUUUAAAGGAUUGUCCCCAAAUUUGAUGUCUCGUUAUAAACUCAGUAAACGAGCAGUGAAGGCUGCAAAAUAUGCUGAAACUCUCUUGGCAACAGGCAACUUAUGGAUCAUGAGUAAUGUUUCCCACCCUCCUUCCCCAAAGAUGAGAGAAUUUGGCAACAUGAAAGAUUACGAUAUCUUUAAUUCGAGAAAGAAAAUAUUUCAAGAUGUUAUAGAGGCGUUGAAAGAUGAUAAGCUCAACAUAAUUGGGGUCUGCGGAAUGGGCGGCGUGGGUAAAACCACGCUAGUCAAGCAAAUUGCAAAGCAAGUUAUGGAAGAUAACGUGUUCGAUAAGGUCGUUAUGGCUGAGAUAACAAAGAACCCAGAUGCUCAAAAAAUUCAAGGAGAACUCGCUUCCGAUCUAGGCAUGAACUUUGACUCGAAUGAUCACAUAUACCACAGAGCAAAACAACUAUGUCAAAGAUUGAAGAAAGAGAAGCGAGUCCUCAUUAUAUUAGAUAAUAUUUGGACAAAACUUGAGUUGGACAAAAUUGGAAUUCCUUAUGGGGAUGUUGAUGAGAAAGAUAAAAAUGAUGAUCCGAGAAGAUGACGAUAAUAUUGACGUCUAGAAGUCGAGAUUUAUUGUGCAUUGAUAUGAAUUCUCAGAAAAUGUUCUGGAUCGAUGCUUUAUCAAAAGAAGAAGCAUUGCAGUUAUUUGAGAAGAUAGUGGGUGAUUCCACAAAAGCAUCUGAUUUUCGACCUUUAGCAGAAGAGAUUGUUGGAAAAUGCGGAGGAUUGCCUGUUGCACUGAGUACAGUUGCAAAUGCUCUGAAAAAUAAGAGUCUUGCCAUUUGGAAGGAUGCGUUGAAUAAGCUGACAAGUUCCAAUCUAAGAGAAAUUCAUGGUAUGGAUGCAGAUGUGUAUUCUUCUAUAAAAUUGAGUUACGACUUCUUGGAUGAUGAAGCAAAAUCUUUGUUCCUUCUUUGUGGUCUGCACCGUGAAGGUCGUCCUAUACACGUACAUUACUUACUGAGAUAUGUUAUGGGAUUGAGAUACGAUAAGGGUUUGGGUCUAUUUAGAAAUGUUUACACAUUGGAAGCAGCAAGGAAUAGAGUGGAUGCAUUGAUCGACAAUCUAAAAGCUUCAUGCUUAUUGUUGGACGGUGAUGCUGAAGAUGAAGCUAAACUGCAUGACGUCAUUCAUGUUGUUGCUGCAUCAAUUGCAGAAGAAAAGCUUAUGUUUAAUAUUCCAAAUGUUGCUGACUUUGAGAGAGAGAUGGAAGAGACAAUACAGAAAGGUCCAAUUGCUAUUUCUUUACCUUAUAGAGAUAUUCAAGAGCUCCCUGAAAGGUUGGAAUGUCCCCAACUCAAGUUAUUUUUGUUGUUUGCAAAGUACGAUAGCACUUUGCAAAUUUCAGACCACUUUUUUGAAGGGACGGAAGAACUCAAAGUCUUAGAUUUUACUGGAAUUCGUUUCUCUCCAUUACCUUCAUCACUCGGUCGCCUCAUUAACCUUCAAACAUUGUGUUUAGAUGGUUGGCGACUAGAAGAUAUAGCAAUAGUUGGACAGCUAAAGAAAUUAGAGAUUCUCAGCCUUCGAGGUGCCGAAAUUAAGCAGUUGCCACUUCAGAUUGGACAAUUGACAAGGUUACAGUUGCUAGAUUUGAGCAAUUGUAGCAGCCUUGUGGUGAUAGCACCAAAUGUCAUAUCGAAAUUAUCUCGAUUGGAAGAACUAUAUAUGGGUGACAGCUUUUCACAGUGGGACAAGGUUGAAGGAGGAAGUAACGCCAGUCUUGCUGAAUUGAAGGGGCUGUCAAAGCUAACUACUUUGGAGAUAGAUGUUCGGGAUGCUGAAAUGCUGCCGCAGGAUUUGGUCCUUGGGGAAUCGCUAAGAUAUAGGAUAUGAAUAGGAGAAGUGUGGGGCCGCUGGUCUGUUAAAUCUGAAACAUCAAGAUUGAUGAAGCUUCAGGGGCUAGAAAAUAUUAGCAUUCUUUUGAGGAAUCAUGGAAUGAAAAUGUUGCUGAAGAAAACUGAAGAUCUCUAUCUACAGGAACUGAAGGGUGUAAAGAAUGUUGUUCCUGAAUUAGAUGAUGGGGAAGGUUUUCCACGAUUAAAGCAUCUUCAUGUAGGAAAUUUUGCGGAGCUUUUACAUAUUGUCGGUUCAAUUCAUUGCAAAGUCUUUCCCCAGCUAGAGUCAUUGUCUCUUUUUGGUUUGCUUAAUUUGGAGAAGAUAUGUUACAGCCAAAUCACAGAUCAAUCUUUUAUCAACUUAAGAAUCUUUAGCGUACGUAAUUGUAACAAAUUGAAGCAUCUCUUCUCAUUCUCUAUGGCCAAAAGCCUAUUGCGGCUUCAACAAAUAAAAGUGGGUCUUUGCAACAACCUGGAAAUGAUUAUUGGUAAGUGUUGGAAGUAUUUUGAGGAAUUAUAAAAAGCUACUAUUACUUAAUGACAGAAGUUAAUUAUUAAUUUUGUUUCUAGGACUCAACAAGGAGACAAGUAAUUUCGGUUUUAAAGAAAUCAUUGCAGAGGAUGAUCCUGUUCAGAAGGUGAUAAUUUAUGAUCCUGUUCAGAAGGUGAUAAUUUUCUCUUUAAUAAUUAAUUAAUAUAUUAUCAUGAUUUAUUUCAAUCAUCAAAAGAAUAUUAGAGAGAUAGGGAGGGGGAAAAAAAAAAAAGCUUACGGUUUUGCUUUGCAGGUCAUUCUUCCAGGCUUAGAGGAGUUGGAACUUGAUAGAUUAGCAACCAUUGAAAAAGUAUGGCCGGAUCAGUUUGAGGGAAUGUCUUGUUGUCAAAAUUUAACAAAAGUGACCGUGGAGAGGUGUCAUCGCCUGAAGUAUCUAAUAAAUUUGUUGACAUUCUCAAUGCCUGAAAGUUUUGUGAAUCUUGAAAUAAUGAAGAUAGUUGAUUGCAAAAUGAUAGAAGAAAUCAUAAAAUCACAGGUUGGAAUAGAAGCGAAACAUUGUAUUGUUUUUAGGAAAUUGAAGUACUUGAGGCUUGAUUGUUUGCCAAGCCUGACAAGCUUUUCUUCGAGUAAUUACACUCUUGAAUUCCCCUUCUUGAAACAAGUAGUUGUGAGACAGUGCCCAAAGAUGAAGAUUUUCUCUCAAGGAGGACUCUUACACACACCAAUGUUGAACAAAGUGCAACUCACUGAAGAAGACGAUGAUGAAGGGUACUGGGAAGGCGACCUCAAUAAUACCAUACAAAAGUUGUACUACAAAGAAGUGGUGAGUAUUAAUUAAGCAUUGGUGCUAGGCCACUAGCUUUAUUUUAUGAAUAACACAGGAGCCCUAACCACAUAAAAAUUAUCUUAUAUAAAGUGGUGAAAUAAUAUGGUAGGUUGACAUAUAUAUACAUGUAUGUAUGUAUGUAUGUAUCCACGUAUAUGGCCCAUGUUUUGUUUUACAUUUAACCAGUCAUAUUAUGUUACAUCAAUUUUUAUAACAUUAUUUAGAUAAUAGUGUCUGAAACUGUAUCAUUAUUCUUGAUUUAAUUUUGUUAUUAGUUUUUUUUUCUAUUAUUAGUAUUAUCAUUAAAAGGUAAACGUUUUCUUACCCACCUCAUAAAUUAGCAUGCUUUAUUUUGUCUUUAACUUAUUGAAAACAUUAACCCACGCCCAUUUAGCGUUAAAAGUACAAAAUGUUUGCCGAAGAAUAUCAUCAACACAGGCCCCUAUUCACGCUAUUCUUUUGGAUAGUAAAUGGGGGUGCGUUGAUGUUAUCAUUAAUUUGGUAGACAUCGGGAAACUGUAAUAAUAUAAAAAACAAUUGUGUGUGUCUAGUGAAUUUUUUUUUGGUUUGUGCAGGAUAGAGUUCGUGAAAUGACGAAGUUGGAACUCUCAAACUUUCCACGUUUCAGAGAAAUGUGGCAUGCCCAAGCACUGCCUGUUAGCUUCUUCAGCAAUUUAGUAAAGCUAGUGAUGGAUGACUUCAAGAAUAUGACUACUGCUAUUCCAGCCAAUCUUCUACGGUGCUUGAACAAAUUAAAAAUUCUGGAAGUGAGGAAUUGUGAUUCAUUAGAAGAGGUGCUCCAUUUAGAAGAGCUAAAUGUUGAUGAACAUUUUGGCCCUCUGUUUCCUGUUCUUGUCCAGCUAGAGCUCAUUAAUCUUCCAAAACUCAAAAGAUUCUGCAGCUUCAUUGGGAAUGUUAUUGAACUGCCUGAGUUGUUGAAUCUGAACAUUGAGAAUUGCCCUAAUAUGGAAAUAUUCACUUGCAAUUCUAUAUCUAUAUUGCACAGGACAACAAAUAAAGAACCUCUGGAAAUAACACCAAAGGAGAACUUCCCGCUAGCUGACAUACAGCCUCUCUUUGAUGAAAAGGUGAUUGUUAUUAAGUUUUUUUUUUUUUUUUCCUUCGCUUUCAUUCACAUAGAUGUAAUUCUCAUUAGAAUUAAAAUUAAUUUUAUUUAAUGAUCUUUCUGUUGUCUUUACUCUUUAUAUCUAAUCUAACGGUUCUAAUGCAGUUAUUAACUAAAAUUUCAGUAUACACUCAUAAAAAUGUCAUCAAAUUAGUUAAAUGAUUGGUAACAAGGGGUGAACUCUAUCCAUAUUAUCUCUAUUCAGAUUUGAUUUAUGUGCUUCAAGGGUAACUAUUUGAAUUUUAUUUUUUGGUUCCUCCGCAACUAAAUACAAUUUGGAUAUAAAAUGCUGUCGUCAAUCUUUUCCAUGAAACUGCUUACGAAGACUGCCGACGUUAGAUAUAUGUUCUCAUUUACAACUUUUUUUUUUCCAGGUUGCAUUCCCCAAGUUACAUAUGUUGAACCUGUCUAGAAUACCCAAGGUGUCGCAUCUAUGGAAGAAAAUUUCCGAAUCCAACGAAGUUUCCAAGUUUUUGAAUACUCUAGUAAUAUCAGAAUGUAGUAAGUUACGAAAAUUAGUACCAUCUUUGUUGCAUUUGGAAUAUCUGGCGACUCUAGAAGUGUCGAAGUGUCACGGGUUGACAAAUUUGUUGACGAUCUCAACAACUAAAAGUUUAGAACAUCUUUUAGUAAAUCUUGAAAUAAUGAAGAUAGCUGAUUGCAAAAUGAUAGAAGAAAUCCUACAAUCACAGGUUGAAAAAGAAGAAGAAAUCCUACAAUCACAGGUUAAAAAAGAGGAAGAUUGCAUUGUUUUUGGGAAAUUGAGGUACUUAGGACUUGAUUGUUUGCCAAGCCUAACAAGCUUUUAUUCGGGUAAUUACACUCUUGCAUUCCCAUCCUUAGAAGAAGUAGUUGUGAGACAGUGCCACAAGAUGAAGAUUUUCUCUCAAAAAGGGCGCUUACACACACCAAUGUUGAACAAAGUGCAAUUCACUGAAGAAGAUGAGGAUGAAGGAUGCUGGGAAGCCAACCUCAAUGAUACUAUAAAAAAAUGGUACUACAAAGAAGUGGUCAGUAUUAAUUAAGCAUUGGUGCUAGCUUUAUUUUAUCAAUAAUACUAGAGUCUCAACCUCUUAAAAAUUAUUUUAUACAAAAUGAUGUGAUAUAAUAUGGUAGGUUGUGUGUGUGUAGCCCGCGUUUUGUUUUUUGUUUAACCAAUCAUAUUAUUUUAUAUCAGCUUUAUAACAUUAUUUAGACAAUAGUGUUUGUAACUAUAUCUUUACUCAUUAUUUAAUUUUGUUAUUAGUUUUGUUACUGUUAUUAGUAUUAUUAGUAGUAUUAUUAUUAAAUGGUAAAUGUUUUUACCCAGUACCCACCUCAUAAAUUAACAUUCCUUAUUUUUGUCUUUAACUUAUUGAAAACAUUAACCCAUGCACAUUUAGCUUUAAAAGUACAAAAUGUUUGAUUAAGAAUAUCAUCAACACAGGCUCCUAUUCACUAUAUUCUUUGAAUAGUAAACGGGGUGCGUUGAUGUUAUCAUAAAUUUGAUGGACAUCUGGAAACUGUAGUAAUCUAGAAAACAAUUGUGUCCAUAUAUAUAUCCACUACAGUUUUCCUCUUUUUUUGUGGCUUUUGCAGGAUAGAGUUCGUGAAAUGAUGAAGUUGGAACUCUCAAGCUUUCCACGUUUGAGAGAAAUGUGGCAUGCCCAAGCACUGCCUGUUCGCUUCUUCAACAAUUUAGUAAAGCUAGUGAUGGAUGACUUCACGAAUAUGACUACUGCUAUUCCAGCCAAUCUUCUACGGUGCUUGAACAAAUUAAAAAUUCUGGAAGUGAGGAAUUGUGCUUCAUUAGAAGAGGUGCUCCAUUUAGAAGAGCUAAAUGUUGAUGAACAUUUUGGCCCUCUGUUUCCUGUUCUUGACCAGCUAGAGCUCAUUAAACUUCCAAAACUCAAAAGAUUCUGCAGCUUCAUUGGGAACGUUAUUGAGCUGCCUGAGUUGUUGAAUCUGAACAUUGAGGAUUGCCCUAAUAUGGAAAUAUUCACUUGCAAUUCUAUAUCUAUGUUGCACAGGACAACAAAUAAAGAACCUCUGGAAAUAACACCAAAGGAGAACUUCCCGCUAGCUGACAUACAGCCUCUCUUUGAUGAAAAGGUGAUUGUUAUUAAGUUUUUUUUUUUUCCCUUUGCUUUCAUUCACGUAGAUGUAAUUCUCAUUAGAAUCAAAAUCAAUUUUGUUUAAUCAUCUUUCUGUUGUCUUUACUCUUUAUAUCUAAUUUAACGGUUCUAAUGCUCUUAUUAACUAAAUUUUCACUAUACACUUAUGAAAAUGUCAUCAAAUUAGUUAGAUGAUUGGUAACAAGGGGGAGAACUCCAUCCAUAUUGUCUCUAUUUAGAUCGGAUUUAUGUGUUUCGAGGGUAACUAUUUGAUUUUUAUUUUUUGCUUCCUCUGCAAAUAAAUAGAAUUUGGAUAUAAAAAGUUGUGAUCAAUCUUUUCCAUGAAACAUGCUUGUGAAGACUGCCGAUGUUAGAUAUAUAUUCUUAUCUACAACUUUUUUUUUUAUUUAAUUUUCAGGUUGCAUUCCCCAAGUUAUAUAAGUUAAAACUGACUAGAAUACCCAAGGUGUCGCAUCUAUGGAAGGAAAUUUCCGAAUCCAACAAAGUUUCCAUGGUUUUGAAUACUCUAGUAAUAUCAGAAUGUAGUGAGUUACGAAAAUUAGUACCAUCUUUGUUGCAUUUGGAAUAUCUGAUGACUCUAGAAGUGUCGAAGUGUCACCGGUUGACAAAUUUGUUGACGACCUCAACAACUAAAAGUUUGGUGAAUCUUGAAAUAAUGAAGAUAGCUGAUUGCAAAAUGAUAGAAGAAAUCCUACAAUCACAUGUUCAAGAAGAAGGGAAAGAUUGCAUUGUUUUUCGGAAAUUGAGGUACGUGGGACUUGAUUGUUUGCCAAGCCUAACAAAAGCUCAUGCCUUGUUGAUGGAUGCUGUAGAAGAAGGACUAUAUUGUUGUAGCAACAAGCCUGCAGAAAAUCACAGAAUACUUAUCUGUAUAUGAACAAAAACAAGUCUGAACCAGAGAGAAUGUUGUAGUAACUAUUGCAAAAAUCUAGAUCAAAUACAAACAAAACUGUCUAGAUUGUUCAUGUGCUAACUAAUAAAGUCUACUGCAGUCGAUACUGAACUACCACUAUCAUGUGCAGACAACAGAGUGGCAGGCAGCACAAAAGGGAAUGUGCUCCUAGGAUGCCAAAAAACACAAGUGUCCUAAUGCUUUUUAGUUGCCCAAAUCCCAAGAUAUAAAAGACCAUAUUUUAAGGAAAUACAUCAUCCACGACCGACACAUGCAAAGAGAACAGAAAGAGAGAUUUCAGAGUUGCAAUAGAGGCAUUUUUCGUGUUGAAAAAUGAGAGAUAAUAGAAGAUCAAAGCAUGACGUUUUGGGUCUUUUGUAUCUCAACGUUUUUUCUUGUAUUUGUUUAUUUUGUUCUCUCUCUGAUAAUGUAUUUAAUGGCAGACACUUGUGUUGUUACUGUUUCAAAGCUCAUCAUGAGCUAAACCUUAAUUUAGUUGGGUUUUGAAUAUGCUUAAUGGUUAUUUAAUUUACAUGUGUAUGUUGCUCAGAACCUGUUAUAGCAUUUUGUUUUAACUUUACUUAUUGUAAUUGCCUACCUCGGUUGACUACCUAUUUAGUGGAUAUUAGAUAAGAAGGAGCCUAAAAGGUUUGACUUAGUGGAAUAAAUUAAGAAAUACAUGGUUCUAGAUUAGGAUUCCCAAGUUGAGUUAAUCUCGAUUUGAAUAGGGCCAUGCUUAAUCUAAGAUUAGUGAAGAACUAGAUUUAGGGAUUCACCUUGUAGGGCAAAUAGAGUCUAAAACAUAAAAUGCUAUGUCUAAUGUUAGUUUAAUAACUAAUCACUAUUAGAUUACAUAUAGAUAUAAGAUAUCCAAAAAACGACAGUUGAAGACGCUAUAACAACUGUGUCUCAAUUGAAAGAUAUUCAAUAACCAAUAAGUGAGUUUAGAACCCGACUACCCUUUUGCCAUUUAGUAUAUUUUUUUGUUUGACUUUAGAUUCUCUUUAUUGCAUUCUAUUUGUUGCAUUGUUAAUUUCAUUAGAUCAUUAAUAUCAUCAUUUAUUUUCUUUUAUUUAGUUUAUUAAAAUUGCACUGUUAAGAUUGCUAUAGUAAGUCCUAUAACAUCAAUCCAUGUGGAGACGGUUUUGAUACUCAUCAUUAUAUUAUUUCUUGUGUACACUUGUAUAUUGACACUUUACCAAGUUUUUGGCGCCGUUGCUGGGGAUUGAGUGUAACACCCCAGUCUGAAAUCCAAGGGCAAAUAUGUCCAUAACUCACAUAUGAAUUUAAAUAACCCUUUACAAUCGAAAAAAAUUCAAACCUCCAAUAUAAUAGGCAGCGGAAUAAUUUGAAAAUUUUGUCAAACCAUCUAUCAUCCUCAAUUCAAGUCUACCUUCUCACUCAUUACGAAUCAUUCCUGACUUUUGGAAACUGAAUCACAAUAAACUAUAAUGAGUACAAAACUCAGUAAGCAAAUUAGUUUUCUUAUACUAAAAUACAUCCAUACUUAUACAUAAUGCAAAUGGAUGAUAUGUCAUGAUCUUUUGGAAAUACUAUAAAACAAAUUCAUAAAAGUCUCUUUCUGUCGCUUUCAAACUUUCUCAUUUUCUUUCAAUAAAAUACGUAUCCUACAAUGUGGCACUUUGUGCUGUGCGUGGCACUUUGCACCAUGCGUGGUACUUUGCGGCGCUCUGGCCCUCAAGAGGUGGCCCCCGCAUAGUCUCAAGAGGUGGCCCCCAAUGUAAAAUCUCAUAAAACAAAAAUUCUGUUUGCUAAAAUUCACUUGUUCAUUCAUAGAAAACUCAAUGCAUUUUCGUGCUCAUGCUAAUGAACCAUCACACAUACAUAUGCCCAUGUACAUAAUCAUGCCCAUUACAUAACAACACAUCACAUAAACACAUGAGCAGAGACAUAUAAAUCCAUAUUCGUACAUAUCAAAAUAGGUUUUUCAUACAAGUCAAACAUAUAUAUUAUUUAUUGUGAUUCGUUUUAAAGUCUAGUUUACUUACCUCUUGGUAUCCUCAUGCAACAAAUGCAUAUUGAUAUCAUCAACCUUAAAUCAUCAAUAAAUUUCUCAUAAGAUAUAAUCAAGUCUCAAUCAUAAACUCUAAUGUCCUGAAGUAUCUCAAUUUAAAUGUCCUCAAUAAUCGGCCCUCAAAACAUAACAGUCCAUAUUUCUCCGAUUUUUAAUAAACUAUUCUCUUAUUGGAAGAAUCUAAAAUUUUACCGACCAUAUGCUGACACAUUGAAAGUUCAUUGAUAAAUAUUUCGUAACAUAAUUCCUUCAAAAACUAUUGAAAAUAACUGACGUUUCAGACAUCAUCAAUACUGUCAAACAGUUUUCUAUUUUGAACACACUUGCUUUAAAAAUACAAAACAAUUUAUUGCUUUAUCAUAAAAUCAUGAACAUUUUUAGAAUCAUACUAUACAUAUAUAUAAAUCAUUGGUCCAAAUUUCGUAAUUGUUGAAGAAGUCUAGCUAUGGUAAAAAUAAUUUCGUAAUUUACGUUAUUCACUGAAAUCAUAAAUUUCCAGGUUUUCAGGCUUGAAUUUGAAAAAUCGUAAUUAAUUGAAAUCUUAUCUGAUUAACUUGAAACAAGUUUCAAAACAUUCUAAACGAUAUCUAGUUUAACAUACCCAAAAAUCAGAAUCAAAAUCAACUUGUACAAAUUACUAUGAUUUCCGUAAUAAUUCACUGUCAGCAUAUUUCUGCAAAAUCUUAGAUUUCUACUUCUAUUGCAAUAAUGCUUCUCCACAACAAUUUAAUAGAGACCAAUAAUUAAAACUUACCUCCAAAACUUCUCCCAACAAUAAAAACUUAAUUCCAUGUGUUGCCUAUGGCAGAACUAAGAAGAAGAAGAAGACUUCUUCUUUUUUUCUUUUCUUGAUUUUCUCUCUUGUCUCUCCAUCUCUCUCUCUCUCUCUCUCUCUCUCUUUUCUGUCGUUUUUUUUUUGCAACCGAUCCCUCUUUUCCUCUCUCUCUUAUAAUAAAAAAGACAUCUUGUUCUAUUUAUACUAGGGCAAAAAAGGAUCACUAAAAAUUAAAAAGAGUUAAAUACCCUUAGGAGAUUUGGAAUAUUACAUUGAGUGCAUAUUGUGAGUUUUUAAGUUAAUUUUUUUUCUUUUAAUUUGUUUGUUGUGUUAACAUAAUGCUUUAGCAACCCUUGCAUGCUCAAGUAUAAACCUGUUGAAUUUUAGUUUGAUCCAAAAAUUGAAAGAACUGCAAGGAGGCUAAGAAAAGAGCAUAGAGGUUUAGGAUCUGUUGCAGACAUGGAUGGUUUGUAAAAUGUGGGAGAUUUGAAUCCCCAAGGAGGAAUGAAUCCAAUUAAUGUUCAAAGAGAUAAUCCUCUUCCCAUUUUAGAUCUAGUUAAUGCACAAAGAGUUCAAGAAUGUCAGUACGGGUAGAUUGGUCAAGGGCAACUAGAGAAUAACAACAUUUUCUGCAUGACAGUUGAUAAAGAAAAUGUUGUUAGGGACUAUAUAGUGUUAACCCCUCAAACUAUAAAUCCUGGAAUAGUCAAACCCAAAGUUCAGGCUGCUCAUUUUGAGCUCAAACCAGUAAUGUUUCAGAUGUUACAGAAAGUAGGAUAGUUCAAUAGACUACCAUCAGAAGAUCUUCAUCUUCACCUUAAACUAUUUUUGAGGUGAGUGAUGCUUUCAAGAUUGCUGGAGCAUCACAUGAGGCAUUGAGGCUAAUACUCUUAAUUUUCUUUGAAGGAUCGAGUAAGAGAAUAGUUGAACUCUUUACUACAUGAUUCAAUCUCUACAUGGAAUACCUUAGCUGACAAAUUUUUGAUAAAGUAACCUACCAAGAAUGCAAAGUUGAGGAUGAGAUCACAUUUUUCCAUUAACUUAACGAUGAAAGCUUCUAUGAUGCUUGAGAAAGAUUCAAGGAGUUGUUUAGGAAAUAUUCUCAUGAUGGUAUCCCUUGUUGUAUACAGUUGAAAACUUUCUAUAAUUGUCUAAAUUCAAGCACUAGAUUGAUGGUAAACACUUCAGGAAGUGGGGCCUUGUUAUCUAAGUCUUACAAUGAGGCUUAUGAUAUUUUGAAAAGGAUAGCCAAUAACAACUAUUAGUGGCCAUCUACCAAACAAACUACAAUAAGAAGAAUAAUAGGAGUUUACAGUGCAGAUGCCUUGAUAGCAUUAUCAGCCUAAGUAACCUUAUUGAUAAAUAUGGUAAAGGAUAUAUCCACUGUUCCAGCAACUAUCAACAAAGUUGUUAAGGCAUCAUGUAUUUAUUGUGGAGAAGGAAAUUUAUUUGAUAGUUUUCUUAGAAAUCAUGCCUCAGUCAACUAUAUGGGCAAUUAUAACAGACAGAACCACAUCAACCCUUAUUCAAACACUUACAACCCUGGAUGGAGGCAGCACCCAAACUUUUCAUGGAGCAAUCAGAAUCAGAAUCAAUAUGUUGUAGAAUCUAGUGGACAAAAUAGACUUGCUCAACCAUUUAGAUUUCAUCAGCAAAAUCAAGGGCGAAGAGACACCAACAAUGAUCAACCCAACUCCCUUGAAGCCUUAAUUAAGGAGUACAUUGUGAAGAAUGAAACAUUUAUCUAAAGUCAAGCUAUUUCCUUAAGAGACCUAGAAAAUCAGAUGGGACAAGUUACUAUAGUAUUAGGUAACAGACCUCAAGAUAAUUUACCAGGCAAUACAGAGGACCCAAGAAGAGAAUGGAAAGAGCAUUGCAAAGUAAUUAACUUAAGAUCUAGAAAGGAUGUUCACAUUCUAGUUGGUGUACUAAAAAAAAGAGUUGAGCCCACUUCAAUCUAAGAAAAAACUCAAGUUGAAGAAGAUCCAUAACCCUCUACUUCACAGUACACAGGUGAAAACAGCAAAGCACACCAAUCCAAUACUUUACAAAAAAUGAUUAUCGAAUACCUAUUGAUGAAGAUCUUGCACACUAACCACACCAAUCCAGAACAUGGCAAAAGUGAAGCAGUUUGCACAACCUUCUACAACUCAGCCGUUUAGGCACCCACCACCCUUUUCUUAAAGGUUCAAGUGACAGAAACAUGACAAGCAGUUCAGUAAAUUCUUUGAAGUGUUGAAGCAAUUGUAUAUCAACAUCCUUUUUAUGGAAGGUCUAGAGCAAAUGCCAAAUUAUGUGAAGUUCUUGAAGGAUAUUUUGACAAAGAAAAAAAGGCUAGAAGAACUUGAAAUAGUUUCUCUAACACAAAAGUACAACCACAUGCAUCAGAAUAAGAUACCUCAGAAAUUGAAGGAUUCAGAAAGCUUCACAAUUUCAUGCUCUAUAGGCAAUAAAUACAGUGACAAGACACUUUGUGAUUUAGGAGCCAGCAUUAAUCUCGUGUCCUUAUCUAUAUUUAAGCAAUUGGGUGUUGGAAAGGUCAGACCAAUAAUAGUUACCUUACUACUUGCUGAUAGAUCUCAUGCCUAUCUAGAUUGAAGAUGUACUGGUGAAAGUAGAUGAGUUUAUUUUUGCAGUUGACUUCAUAGUAUUGGAUUUUGAAGCAGAUAAAGAAGUGUUUAUCAUUUUAGGUAGACCUUUCUUGUCUGCUGGUAAGACUCUAAUUAAUGUGUAAAAAGGAGAACCAACCGUGAGGGUUAAUGAUCAGUAAGUUACAUUCAAUGUGCUAAAUGCCAUGAAGAGUCCUGAUGAUGUUGAAGAUUGUAAUUUUGUUAAUGUUGUGGAUUUUACUAUAGUAGAAAGAUUAAACAGUUGCUGCAGCAGAAAGAUUAAACAGUUGCUGCAGCAAAGAAGAAAUCAAGGUUGCAAGAUUUAAAGAACUUGAUGAUAAACCUCAAGGCCUUGAAACAACUGACAUAACAUGGCUAGAAGAAAAACAACCCUUCAAAACUGAGAAGCAAAUUAAAUAUCUUGACCUUCAAAUAGGGAUAUAAAAUAUUCUAUUUCUUUUAUUAAGUCCUCAUAUUUUAGAAUUAAAACUUUUACCUUUACACUUGAAAUAUGCUUAUCUUAGUGACCGUGAUCAACGUCAUGUAAUCAUUUCAUCAUCUUUGAAUGCAGAACAAGAAAAUAGCUUAGUUUUUGUAUUAGGGAAACAGAAGAAGGCCAUUUGAUGGACCAUGACAGAUAUCAAAGGAAUCAGCCUCUCAAUAUGCAUGCACAAGAUUCUACUGGAGGAUAGUUAUGGCAAUUCUCUAAGCAAUUGAAAAGAUUAAAUCCUAUCAUGAAGGAAGUUGUAAAGAAAGAGAUCAUCAAAUGGCUUGAUGUUGGAAUCAUCCACCUAAUAUCAAACACCUCAUGAGUGAGCCCAAUACAAUAUGUUCCAAAGAAAAUUGGAGUGACAGUUGCAGAAAAUAAAAAGAACGAGUUUAUUCUUAUAAGAACUGUAAAUGGAUGAAGAGUCUGUAUAGACUACAUAAAGCUAAAUAAGACCACAAGGAAGGAUCGCUUUCCACUGCCUUUCAUAGAUCAGAUACUGGAUAGACUCGCUAGAAAGGAGUAUUAUUAUUUCUUAGAUGGAUACUCAGGAUACAACCAUAUUGACGUAGCACUAGAAGACCAGGAGAAGACAAAAUUCAUUUUUCCUUAUGGAACCUUUGCCUUUAGAAAGAUGCCAUUUGGCAUGUGCAAUGCUUCACCAACUUUCCAAAUGUGUAUAAUGUCCAUCGUUUCAGAUAUGAUUGAGCAAAUACUUGAGGUAUUUAUGAAUGAUUUGUUUCAGUUUUUGGGGAAUCAUAUGAUGACUAUUUGUAUAAUUUAAAAAAUAGACUUAGAAGAUGUAAAGAGACAAACUUAGUAUUGAAUUCGGAAAAAUGUCAUUUCAUUGUACAAGACGAGGAUAGUCCUAGGCUAUAAACUCUCUAAAAAAAUGAUAGAAGUGGAUAAGGUAAAAAUAGAGGUGAUUAAUAAACGUCUAUUAUCCACUUCAGUUAAAGGCAUAAGGAGUUUCUUGAGGCAUGCUGGAUUUUAUAGAAGGUUUAUUAAGGAUUUCUCCAAAAUAUCAAAACCUUUAUACAUGUUGUUGGAGUGUAACAAACCUUUUAAUUUUGAUGAUGAUUGCUUGAAGGCCUUCGUUGAGUUAAAGAGAGCUUUUGUUACAACACAAGUUGUUGUAACACCUAAUUAGAGUAUGCCUUUUGAGUUGAUGUGUGAUGCUAAUGAUCAUUCGGUUGGAGCAGUGUUAGGGCAAAGAAAAGGCAAGACUUUCCAUUCCAUUUAUUAUGCCAGUAUGACUCUAGCUAAUGCAAAUUCAACUAUACCACAACUGAAAAUGAGAUGCUGACAAUUGUAUUUGUAUUUGAUAAAUUUAGAGCCUAUUUGGUUGGCAGCAAAGUGACUGUUUACAUAGAUCACUCAGCCAUAAAAUAUUUGACUCCAAAGAAAGAUGUCAAACUAAGGCUAAUCAAGUGGAUUCUCUUCCUACAAGAGUUUGACUUAUAGAUCAAGGAUAGAAAAUGAACGGAGAAUUAAGUAGCAAAAUAUCUUUCAAGGCUUGAAGUAGAUGCAAGCACUUUGACCAAGCAGGAUAUCAUAGAAAUAUUUCCUUAUGAGCAAUUGUUCAUAUUGCAGCAUGCACAGAUGCUGCAGUAAUCUGAAUUUCCAUGGUUCACGGAUUUUGUUAAUUUUCUAGAAAGUGGAUUGCCACCACCUAACUUGAGCUACCAGCAAAAGAAGAUAUUAAUUUAUCCAUGAUGUCAGAAGCUAUUAGUGGGAUGAGCCCUACUUGUACAAGAUGUGUUUGUUAACAUAUAUGUUUCCAUAAUAUUGAUUUUGAUGAUAACAAACAAGAUUAAGAAUGAUUAAUCUUUUAAGCUCAAAUUAUUUUUAUACUUUUUAAAUAAAUCAUUAUUUUUACAUUAUAAAAGUUUUAUAUUUAAUGGAAAAAUGAUUUUAUGAAAUUGAUUGUUUUUAUUCUUUUUAAAUAAAUCAUUAUUUUCACAUUAUAAAUGUUUCAUAUUUAAUGGAAAAAAGAUUUUAUGAAAUUGGUUGUUUUUCAAAGUUUAUGGUUUAAUUGAAAGAAUUUUGAAAACUUUGAAAUAAACAAGUAUUGCUUGAAAUUUUGGAGAAGGACUUAUUUGAAAAGUGUCAUAGCUUUUUGGGCUAUAUCAUAAUUUCAAAAAGUUUUGGGAUUAACAAAGCAUUACUUAGAAAUUCUGAAAUUGGACCUAUUUGCAAAGUUUCAUGACGUUUUGGGCCAUAGUAUAGUUUUAUAAAGUUUUGGGGUCAAACCAUAAUUUCAGAAAAUAGUGCACUGUGAAGGUUACUGUAGCAUCCGGCUUAUCGGAUAUAAAAACCAAAAAACUGGAUACGGGGCAGAAUGUAUCCAGAACGUAAACGGCUUACCGGAUUUCGUAACCGGCAAGCCGGAUAGGCAAAAUUCAAAUUUUUGCCUUAAUGGUAACAUAAAUCCGGCUUACCGGAUUCCAAAAACGGCAAACCCGAUACGUCCAGAAUGUGCAUAACGGCUAGUUUUUGAGUUCAAACUAUAUAAACUCAAAACCAAUUCAUUUUUCGUAAUCCAAGCAAGCAAGAACAAGUGCACACAACAUAUAUUAAGCUUCAAUUUCGUAACUCAUCAUUUAUUAAAUCAUCUUUGUUCUUCAAUUUGUAUAUCCACUCUUAAAGAGAGAUUCAUUGUUGUAUUUUUCAUUUCUCAUUAAAUUGUGAGUGUACAAGUGUGAGAAACACUUGGAGUGAAGAGAUUGGAGAGAUAAUCUCUUGUUGUAAAGGUUCAUUGACACCUUAAAGUCAAUUGUAAACGUUUGAAGCCUUGGAAAGGCUUGGAUAGUGAAAUCCUCAAGCCCGGUGUGCUUGGAGGCGUGGACGUAGGCGGGGAUUGCCGAACUACGUAAAAAUCCUUGAGUUUGCUUUCUCUUCCCUUGCUCAUUUAUUAUUGUGCUUUCAUUGAAUUUAUUGUUUUCGAAUUUAUUAAGGAAUUAGAUUGGAUUUGUGUGUGGUUUGCUUAGCUUAAUUUUUAAAAAUCCAAUUCACCCCCCCUCUUGGAUUGCCUAGUUAGUAUUUCAUUUGGUAUUAGAGCGAGGUGCUCUUGUGUAAACUUAACCGUCUAGAGUUAAAGAUCCAUGGAAACCCAUAAUGACUCAAUCUUUAGGGAAGGACAAUCCACAAUUAGACCACCGUUCUUUGACGGUAAUGACUACCCAUAUUGGAAAACUAGGAUGAGAAUUUAUUUACAAGCUUUAGAUUAUGAAAUUUGGGAAAUUGUUUGUGAUGGUCCAUUUAUGCCUUUGACUAAAAAUGAAGUCGGGGACGAUAUUCCAAAACCUUCACAGGAAUGGAAUGAAUUGGAAAAGAAAAAAUCUACUCUAAAUUCCAAAGGUAUGAAUGCCUUGUUUUGUGCACUAGAUAAGAAAGAAUUUCAUAGAGUUUCUAGUUGUGAGAGUGCUAAUGAAAUUUGGCACAAACUUGAAGUUGUUUAUAAAGGCACAAAUCAAGUGAAAAGAGUCUAAAAUUAGUAGGUACACUCGGCAAUAUGAAUUAUUCCAAAUGGAACAAAAUGAGAGUGUGUAUUCUAUGUAUACUAGAUUUACGGACAUAGUGAACACUCUAGGAGCCCUAGGAAAGACUUUUUCAAAUAGCGAUAAGGUUACGAAAACUAUUAGGUCGCUACCUAAGGAAUGGAGACCAAAAAGGACUGCUAUUGAGGAAGCUAAGGAUUUAAAUAUCUUACCUAUUGAUGAUUUAAUUAGUUCUCUUAUUUCUUAUGAGGAAGACUUGGCAGCCGAAAGAGGCAAUAAGGAGAAGAAGAAAAACAUUGCUCUCAAAGCCUCGAAACAAGAGAGUGAUGAGGAAAGCGAGCUGGAUGAGGAGGAGAUGAAUAUGUUGGCUAGGAGGUUCAGAAAACUCUUUAAGAAAUCCGGUGAGCGAAGAAAAUUUAAAGACCUCAAGAACUGAAAGGAGAAGAAGGAAUUAAUCAAAUGUUAUGAGUGCAAGAAGCUUGGCCAUAUAAGAACGGAAUGUCCUCUUCUCAACAAGCUCAAGAAGAAAGCAAUGGUUGCCACAUGGGAUGAUAGCGAUGAGGAAACAAGUGAUGAUGAAGAGAAUCAAGAAAUGACAAAUCUAGCUCUCAUGGCAAUUGGAGAUGAAUCGGAUGAUGAACUUGAUGAGGUAAAUGAUCUUUUUACUUAUGAUGAAUUAUAUGAUGCUUUUAAAGAAUUGCAUGAUAAUUGGAUAAAAAUUGGUAAAAAGAAUGCAUGUCUUAAAAAGAAAAUGGUAGAGCUCAAAAAUGAAAAUGAAUCUCUAUGUGCAAAGAUUACAUGCCUAGAAUUAGAGAAUAAAACAUUGCAUGAUAGAGUUGCAUUAUUUGAGAAUUCUAGCACUUUACAUGAGCACUUAGAGUCACACAUGAAUGACUUGAAAAAUGAGAAUGAAAUGCUUAGAAAGAAGAGCAAUGAGUUAAAUGAGAUUGUUUUAAAAUUUACAGAUGGACAAAAGAUGUUGGAUAACUUGAUUAAUUCUCAAAAAUGUGUGUUUGAUAAAGGAGGUAUUGGUUAUAAGCCAAAUUUGAAACAAAAAUAUUAUAAAAGUUAUUUUGUUAAAACUACCUCCAUUAAUAAUCAAAUUGUAUGUCAUUAUUGCAAUCAAAAUGGUCAUAUGAAGAAUAGAUGUCCAAUUAAAAGAAAUGUGUAUUAUGGAGUAAAAUGUGUUUGGGUUCCAAAAGGAACCAUUGCUAACACUCAAGGACCCAAGAGCAUUUGGGUACCAAAGGGCACAACUUGAAUAUUCUUUUGUAUGUACCACAAACAAGGAAUGGUGGAGAGUUCCUUGAUGAAGCUUGUGAGGAUAAUCAUUUGAGCAUGAUCUAGGAGAAAAAGAUGAGGCAAGAUGAUUUAAUUGUUUUGGUAAUAAUUCUUGCCAUAUUAAUUUUGUUGAAUGGAUCAUGAUAAAUGGAUAAUAGCUUGAAUUUGUGAAAGUAUACUUGUAUGUUUACAUGAUAGAAUUAUCAUUGUGUUUAACAUUGAGUGCUUUAUCAUAAUGCAUGGUUAUAUAUAUAAGAUGAUAGCUUGUCAACUCAUCAUGAUAGCUUUGUUUGAUUUUGAUGAUUAUGUAAUGCCUAAGCUUGAUAAAUGAAUGAUAUGCUUGAAUUAUUAAUCUUUGAAUGCUUAUAUGUUUCAUGAUUGUGUAAAAUAUAUACAUGAUGAAUGAAUUAUAUGUGUAAAUUCUUGUGUCGUUAAUUGUGUUAUAUCAUCAUUCACUUAUAAAAUUGACAUCAUUGGUUGAUAUGAUUUCAUAUGUUUGGUCUUGUAUGCAUUUAUGUCUCAUGUAUUAAAUGACUUAUUGAAAAGUUUUAAAUCUCGAAAUGAUUUAAAAUUAAUCAAUUUUUAAAGCCAAAAAUAAAAUGGUGAGUGUAAUACAAGUAUAAGAGCUAGCCAAUAUUCAAUUAGAGCCAAAUAGAUUUCCAAGUCCAAACCGGUAAGCCAAAUCAUCUUUUGUUGCUCUCGGGUUAUCAUUCGGAUAACCGGAUUUUCAAUCCGGAAAACCGGAUUUGCUAAGCCUUCUCUCUGCCUCAAAACCGGAUAACCGGUUCUUAAAAUCCGGAAAACCGAAUUCAAGAGGAAACUUUUUGCCUCAAACCGGACUACCGGUUAGCAAAACCGGAAAGCCGGAUUCGCUUGAAAAGCUUACUGGAACAAAACCGGAUUUCCGGUUAUGCAUAUCCGGCACGUCGGUUUCGGGUUUCAUCUUUCUGCUCACAACCGGCUAGCCGGUUAGUGAAAUCCGGCAAGCCGGAUUCGUGAGCUUUUAGCUUUGUUCUUCCUCUUCCUCUCAUUCGGCUUUCCGUUUCUCUCUCUCUCACUAAAAGCUGAUUACUCCUCACUUGAUUUCAUUCCAAAAUCCAUCAAUCUCAUCCUUUUUCACUUCAAAUCCUUUAUGCUUGUAUUUGAACACACCAACAUUUACUAUUUUUUUUGGAUUAUAUGGAUGUUUGCUAUGAUUUUGGAUUAUAUGUCUAUUUUGAAUUAUAUGGAUUUGAUAUAGUUAUAUGUUAUGUUCUUUACUUAUGUUUUGGAUAAUAUGCAUUUUGAAUUUUUUUGUUGUCCAAAGGGGGAGACAAAAUAGUAUAUCAUUUCGAUGUUAUCAAAAGGAGGAGAAUAAUAUGCUUUUUGAGUAAUUGUUUUGAUAAUUGGUAUUUGAUUAUGAUGAUGAUUUUGAUGAAUUUGAGAUAAUGAUGAUUUGAUUACAUGGGUGUUUUAUAUGAUAAUUUCAUGUUAUGAGUUGUUGAUUUGGUAAUUAAUGGAAUAAUGGUUCAUGAUAUUUUAGUGUGAUUAUUUGUGUAUGGAGUUGGCUUUUAUCAUGAUUUAUAAUAAUUUGGAUGUGAUAUUACUAAUCUUGUAUUUGAGGUGAUGCUUGUUGUUAGGGAGAGAUUUUGUUGAAAUUUCUAUUCGGACAACAUUGGUAACAAAUUUGCUACUCUUAUUCUUUUCCUUUAAGUUUUAUUUUUGAUGAUGAAGGGGGAGAAGAAUACAUGUUUUUAAAUUUAUAAAAAUUUACUACUCUUUUUUCUUUGCCAAUUAAGUUUUCUUUUUGAUGAUGAAGGGGGAGAAAAAUCCAUGUAUUUAAAUCGUUAAUUUAGCUAAUUGGCAAAUUGUAAAAGAGGAUUAUAUUUAGGGGGAGCAAUUGUGGAAUCAUUCUUUAAAUACAUGAAAUGUUUGUCAUCAUCAAAAAGGGGGAGAUUGUUAACAUAUAUGUUAACAUAAUAUUGAUUUUGAUGAUAACAAACAAGAUUAAGAAUGAUUAAUCUUUUAAACUCAAAUUAUUUUUUAUACAUUUUAAAUAAAUCAUUAUUUUUACAUUAUAAAUGUUUUAUAUUUAAUGAAAAAAUGAUUUUGUAAAAAAUGAUUGUUUAAAUACAUGAAAUGUUUGUCAUCAUCAAAAAGGGGGAGAUUGUUAACAUAUAUGUUUCCAUAAUAUUGAUUUUGAUGAUAACAAACAAGAUUAAUAAUGAUUAAUCUUUUAAGCUCAAAUUAUUUUUAUACUUUUUAAAUAAAUCAUUAUUUUUACAUUAUAAAGGUUUUAUAUUUAAUGGAAAAAUGAUUUUAUGAAAUUGAUUGUUUUUAUUCUUUUUAAAUAAAUCAUUAUUUUCACAUUAUAAAUGUUUCAUAUUUAAUGGAAAAAUGAUUUUAUGAAAUUCGUUGUUUUUCAAAGUUUAUGGUUUAAUUGAAAGAAUUUUGAAAACUUUGAAAUAAACAAGUAUUGCUUGAAAUUUUAGAGGACUUAUUUGAAAAGUGUCAUAGCUAUUUGGGCUAUAUCAUAAUUUCAGAAAGUUUUGGGAUUAACAAAGCAUUACUUAGAAAUUCUAAAAUUGGACCUAUUUGUAAAGUUUCAUGACGUUUUGGGCCAUAGUAUAGUUUUAUAAAGUUUUAGGGUCAAACUAUAAUUUCAGAAAAUAGUGCACUGUGCAGGUGACUGUAGCAUCCGGCUUACCGGAUAUAAAAACCAGAAAACUGAAUAUGGGGCAGAAUGUAUCUAGAACGUAAACGGCUUACCAGAUUUCGUAACCGGCAAGCCGGAUAGGCAAAAUUCAAAUUUUUUCCUAACGGUAACAUAAAUCCGGCUUACCGGAUUCCAAAAACGGCAAACCCGAUACGCCCAGAAUGUGCAUAACGGCUAGUUUUUGAGUUGCAUAACGGCUAAUUUUUGAGUUCAAACUAUAUAAACUCAAAACCAAAUCAUUUUUAGUAAUCAAAGCAAGCAAGAACAAGUGCACACAACAUAUAUUGAGCUUCAAUUUCGUAACUCAUCAUUUAUUAAAUCAUCUUUGUUCUUCAAUUUGUAUAUCCACUCUUAAAGAGAGAUUCAUUGUUGUAUUUUUCAUUUCUCAUCAAAUUGUGAGUGUACAAGUGUGAGAAACACUUGGAGUGAAGAGAUUGGAGAGAUAAUCUCUUGUUGUAAAGGUUCAUUGACACCUUGAAGUCAAUUGUAAACGUUUGAAGCCUUGGAAAGGCUUGGAUAGUGAAAUCCUCAAGCCUGGUGUGCUUGGAGGCGUGGAUGUAGGCGGGGAUUGCCGAACCACGUAAAAAUCCUUGAGUUUGCUUUCUCUUCCCUUGCUAAUUUAUUAUUGUGCUUUCAUUGAAUUUAUUGUUUUCGAAUUUAUUAAGGAAUUAGAUUGGAUUUGUGUAUGGUUUGCUUAGCUUAAUUUUUAAAAAUCCAAUUCACCCCCCCCCCUCUUGGAUUGCCUAGUUAGUAUUUCAGUGUUCAGACUAGAUAAUUAGAAGAUAUGUCCCUGACGAAGAGAUUUCAAGCAUUUUAUAGUCUUAUCUUGCUGCAGUAUAUGGUAGACACUUUGGAGGACACUAAAUAGCAGUAAAAGUUUUUCAAUCAGGUUAUUACUAGCCCUCCAGCUUUAGAGAUGCUUACAAGUUUGUUAGUGCUGUGAUAGUUGUCAAAGAGCAUGAACCAUUUCUAAAAAACAUGAAAUGCCACUGACCAAUAUUUUAAAAGUUGAGCUUUUUGAUAUAUAAGGGAUAGACUUUAUGAAGUCGUUCUCACAAUCUUUUAGAAACUUAUAUAUCUUAGUUGUUGUGGACUAUAUGUUGAAAUGGGUAGAAGCUACAGCAUUGCCAACAAAUGAUGCCAAGGCAAUGGCAAAUCCUUUAUAGGAAUAUUUUCACAAGAUUUGACACCCCAGAGUUGUCAUCAGUGAUGAAAGAAGCCAUUUUUGCAACAGGAUAUUUGCUGUAGCAUUGGCUAAGUAUAAGAUCAAGCUUAAAGUUGCUACAUCAUAUCAUCCACAAACGAGUAGUCAGGUAACAUUGUCCAAUAGGGAGAUCAAAAAGAUUUUAGAAAAAGAAGCGAAUCUUAGUAGAAGGGAUUGGUUUACUAGACUAAAUGAUUCUCUAUGGGGUUACAGAACUACUUACAAGACAUCACUUGGCAUGUCUCCAUACAAACUUGUUUAUGGCAAAGCUUGCUAUUUGUUGUUAGAACUGGAGCAUAAAGUAUAUUAGGCAGUUAAACAACUGAACAUGGGUAUGCAUGCUGUAACAGAGCAAAGGAGGCUACAACUUUUUGAGCUAGAUGAGUUGAGGUUAUUCUUCUAUGAAAAGGCAAGAAUCUAUAAGGAGAGAACCAAGCAAUGGUAUGACAAGAAAAUCCAGUAAAGAGAACUCAUUACAGGCCAACAAUUAUUGCUUUACAACUCUAGACUGAAGCUUUUCCAUGAAAAUUUAAAGUCUAGAUGGUUAGGAUGCUUCAAACUCGUCAAGGUUUAUCUUUAUGGAGUUGUUAAUCUUAAAGAUGAAAGAACUGGUUAAGAAUUCAAGGUUAAUGGGCAUAGAGUGAAGCAUUAUAUGGGAGCUAAGGUGAACAACCUAAACGAGGAUCCGGUUUGAGUAAACAAGGAAGGUGAGAAUGAAGAACCUAAAACCAAGUGCUAAUUAGAAGGGAACUAAAUGAGGGGAAGUUUAUUUUGAAUUUUUAAUCACUUUAAUUUCACUUUUGUUGUUAUUAAGUUUAUUUCUCUAUUUUGUUUUAAUUUAUGCGACUAAUUUCUAUGUUUUUUUUGUCCUUCUCCCUCUCUUUUUGAAUGUUUAAAAUUUUUAAAAUCUUUAAAUUAAUUUUAUCUCUUUCUCUCUCUAUUAUCUUUCUUUAUAAAUUUAAGCUUUUCACUGUUUCACUUUUCACUACCAAUCUCUCUUCCUCUACUGUAAUUUUUAAAAUUAUGCUCUCUAUUUCUCUCUCUCUCUCUCUCUCUCUCUCUCUCUCUCUCUCUCUCUCUCUCUUACACACACUCAAAGUCCCAAUCUCUCAUUCUAACGAAACUCCUUUAAGUGUUGCAGCAAUACUGAGAGUCAAGGCACCUACUAAAAGGUUGAAGGACUAAAAAAGAUUCCAAAAUCACAAAGUUGAAGAGAAGUAUAAUAAGUCCAUAAGAUCUCGUAUAAUUUUAGAAGAGAAUGGUUUUGAAAUUUGUUGAACAACCCACUGGCCUUAUCAGCAUCAUUCUCAUAACUGCUAUAAAAAGGGGGUGGAUCAAAUGAUCCAAGUUGUAAAGGAAUUUUAUUCUAACUUGCUGGAGCAAAUCCAAAUUCCUUAAGACUCUAGGGUGAUAAAUGUCUUUUAUGGUUUGCCCCUACUAUUAAUUGUGAAUACGCUGAAUUUAUUAAGAGCAUAACUAUUAAGAAAUAGAGGGAGAUGUUUAAAGCAUUAAUUGUGGAAGGAAGUGAGUAGGUUAAUGAAGAAGCUGGGAUUGUUAAUAGGAUUGGCCUUAAAUUGAUUAUAAAGGUUUGGGUGAACUUUAUAAAGUCUAGGCUUAUGCCCACCACGGCACACCACAACAAUGUCAAUGCUAGAGUGAAAGGAUGGACAAUUGAUGUUGGGAAAGUGAUUGAGCAAGAAAUUAGAGACUGUGCUACAAAAAAAAAAAAAAAAUCAGCUGUCUUUUUAUUCCCCUCACUCAUCAUUGGGAUUUAUGAGGCCUUUGGUGUCAAAAUUUGUUGACAAUGAUGAGAGGGUUAAAAAUGAAAUGGCCCUCACAGUAAGAAGAAUAGAGAAGAUUGUAGGAGAAUCAACUGGUACAACAACCCAAAGCAUCCAGUUGUAAGAAAAUUAAUAAAAGCCACUACAUUUGGGAAGAUUCUGAAAGAUUUGAGUGACAACUUAAAUGCAUGGAGAGAAGAUCCAAAAGAGUUAAAUCAGAGGCUUUAGGCUUACUUGCUGCAUCAAGAAGCUCAAAAACACCAGUUUGUAGUUUAUAUACAGAGCAAGAAUGUAAACUUCCCAGAGUCUCUAUUGUAGCAGUACAAUUUCCACAAAGCAACAGAGACUGUUCCAGCAAAUGAUGAAAAGGAUGAAAGUGAAAAAGAGGAAAAAGAUGAAAAAGGAGAAAAAAGUGAAAAAGAUGAAGAUGAAGAAGAGACUGAUGAGAAGUAGGAAGAGGAGCUACCAGCAAUAACUCCUAAAAGCUAUGGCAAACAGAAGAUCUUGCUUGAUGAAAAUCAAAAUGAUAAUGAUGCGGCCAUUUAAGAGACCAUUAACAAGUCUGCAAUGACAGAAGGAGAAAAGAAAAGGUUAAAGGAGCUCAAUGUCUACAUAACUGCUAAGGAACUUGCAACAACACCUCGUUCAGCAUUAGCAACAAAGAAGUCUCCCAAGAAAUCUCUAGUCAAAAUUCCCACAAUCUCCAAUAAAAGAAAAAGAGCACAAAUCACUAAAGUAGAGAUAGUUUAUGGAUAAGGGUUGAAAUUCUAUCAUAACACUUAGAUUUGGAUUAAGUUUAAUGAAUAUGUUGUAGCAAACCAAGCUGGGUAGUUUAGAAAAAUUUUCAAGAAUCUAAGGAUAAAAAUAGCUCUAGUUUGGGGGAAAUUAGGAAAAUUUUCAAAGUUAUUGCAAAUUGUACUGGAAGUAGAAUAAUUUUUUCUUCAAUGACUUAGUUGCUGAGUAACCAGGGCUGUGUUUGUAACCCAUAUCCAAACUUGAGUAAAAAGACAGUAAGAGUUAUGAGCAUUGCUGUAGCAACCCAAAAAGAAGAAAAAUCCUCUAUUUAGGAAUCUGAAUAGCUAGGUCUGUUCAUGAACCUCAUAUUCAGCCUUGAGUUAAAGAUAUAUAAAGAUAAGACCAUGGUUGUAGCAUCUUAGAUGCUUUUGUUGUAGCAGCUCUGAUUUGUGUAUUGAUUAAGUAAUUGGGUUCCAUCAUUACAAGUGAUAGGCAUUCGCAUAAAAAGAUUGAUUUUACUCUGAUGGGCCUCAUAAUAAAAAAAAAUUGAUGAAUGUUGUAGCACAAUUUGUAGUUCUUUAUGACCCUUGUCCCUUAUAAAUAAAAAUGUUUUUAUUGUUGUUAUGUUUGAGAUGCAUUUGAUGCUUGAGUGAUUCUGAAGCAACUCUGAAACUUGAUCAAAGUGACACAGACACACACACUGGAUAGAAUGAAGCCUAAGUCUAGAACUAGAACUGUUGAUGGUAAUGUUUAAGAAUGAAGUCUGAGGGUUAAUGAAUUAGAGUAAUCUAAAUAGCAGAGCUAAGUAUCCUCAUGCUUUUUGGUCCUUAAUCCCAAGAUAUAAAAGAGCACAUUUUAAAUAAAUGCAUCAUCCAUGACCGUCACAUGCAAAGAGAAUAAAAAGAGAGAUUUCGGAGUUGUAAUAGAGGUAUUUUUCGUGUAGAAGAAAAAGAGAUGACUAAAGAUUAAAGCGUGACAUUUUCAGUCCUUAGUAUUUUAACUUUUCUUUUAUUUGCUUGCUUUGUUCUUUCUUUGAUAAUUUAUUUAAUGGUAAACACUUGUGUUGUUACUAUUUCAAAGCUCAUCAUGAGCUAAACCUUAAUUUAGUAGUUAUUUAAUUUACAUGUUUAUGUUGCUUAGAAUCUGCUGUAGUAAUUUGUUUUAACUUUACUUAUUGUAAUUCCAUAUUUCACGUUGACUAUGCAUUUAUUAGAUACUAGCUAAGAAGGAGCCCCAAAAUAACUUGACUUAGUGGAACAAAUUACGACAAUACAUGGUUUUCGAUUGAGUUUUCCAAGUUGAGUUAAUCUCGAUUUGAAUAGAGUCAUGCUUGAUUUAAAAUUAUGAAGAACUAGAUAUAAGGAUUCAUCGUAUACAACAAUAGAGUCUAAAAUGUAUAAUGCAAUGUCUAAUGUUAAUUUACCAAAUAGUCACUGUUAGAUUGCAUAUAGAUAUAAGAUAUCCAAAAUGCGACCGCUGAGGAUACAUUAUAGAUUCUGUCCAAUUGUGUAGUAGAUGUUGUAGCAACUGUGCCUCAAUUAAAAGAUAAUCAAUAACCAAUAAGUGAGUUUAGAUCCCAACUACCCCUUUGCCAUUGAGUAUAUCUUUGUGUUUGACUUUAGAUUCUCUUUAUUGCAUUUUGUUUAUUGCUUUAUUAGUUUCGUUAGAUCAUUAAUUUCAUCAUUAAUUUUUUUAUUUAAUGUAGUAAAAUUACACUGUUAAAUUUACUAUAGCAAGUAAUAUAACAUUAAUCUCUAUGGAGACGAUCUUGAUACUCAUUAAUGUGCUCCAAAGUUUUAUUUGUGCGUUUGAAAUGCAAGAAACCAAAGUCUCAACAGUUUAAGCCUGCCAACUUUUGAAAUAUGCAUUUUUAUCAAUAGUACGUCAAGAAACUAAAGCAUGCCAACAUUUGAAAGAUGCAUUUCCACAGUUAAGGUUGCCAGUAGUUCGACAAAUUGUCCGCUGGGCAAAUUAUUAACCAUUGUGUUAACUCCACAAAAUUCUUGUUGGACUAGAUAUGACGCCAGUCCUUUUGUUGACUCUUUCAAUGCAAUGUUGGGUCCUUUAGAAAAAAGCUAUUUCUACUUGUUAACGCAACUGUAGAAAGAAGUUUUUUGUUCCUGGUCUUGAGGUCCCAACAGCAGACAUUAAAUUAUUGCCUUUUCAAUUCUGAGUUGUCUUCAAUUAGAUGCAUUAUGCUAGACUAGUAAUUGUUUUAAAAAAGAAAGCUUCAUAGUGAGAAGCUGAUUUUUUAAGGAAGGAUAAGUUUAUUCUUACCUGAAAGUGAAUGUUCCACUGAAGAAAACACGGCUGGUGCCUGGAAGGAGAGCUAGUUCAGGAUGAAAGACAGGCAAUGAUUAUAUAUUUGAAAAGAGAGAUGAUAAAAUCAAGUUUGCAUGGGGCAGGUAAAGCAUGGCAUUAAUCAGGCUCUCUGCACUUUAGGAGUGUAGAUAAUCAAUCAAAGGCCAUCAAUCAACUCUAUUUUGUUUUUUUUAAUAUUAUAAUCAAACAAAUGUUAGCCUUUAAUUGGCAUCCAAUUGUUCAUUGUCUUAUAUUAGGAUAUAAGCUAAAUUCAUAAGAGGAUCCCUCUACAUAUAUAUUUCAUGUGCAUAAGGUGUAUGAAUAAUGUUUUCUGUAUGCUUUUGCUACUCUGUUAGUAGUCUGUUUAAGGCCCAUUUCUGAUUAUCUAAUAUCUAUGUUCAUGAUUUGUUUCGUGAUGUUGGUCUGUCAUUUGGUUUUUAGUUUUUCCCAGAGGCAAAUGAAGUCAAAUUUGCAAGAACAUCGGUCUUUGAAGGAGCAUCAUUUAAGUUGGACUCUCUAACAAAACCUUCAUUCUUUGAGAAUUUUGGAUUCACUGAGAAGGUCAAAAUGGCAGGCCGUGUGAAGCCGGAAGAUGAAUUGUUUCUAGUGGCCUAUCCAUAUUUUAAUGUCAAUGGUAGUCUUACACCUUGUCUUCUCAUUGAUAUUCAUUCCUUAAGGUCAUUAAUUUUGCUUUUCUUUUGUCUUGUAGAAAUGCUUGUGGUUGAAGAGCUUUACAAAGAAGCUAUAUUCAAUACUGCCCGGAAACUGAUUAUAUUCAAUGGAGAACUUGACCAGAUAAUGUCUGGGUGUAUUAUUCACCAUUCUUUCAUUCUUAUUGUACUUUCUGUAAAUUUAGUAUGAUUUUGAUGCUAUAUAAUAGUUUCUAGAUGCCCGCCCAUUGAAUUGCUUAUUUACAACUUUUUGGUAUAUUAUAGCAGAUUUGUUUUAUAGCUUAUAGCAGAUUUUUUUUAUAGCUUAUAAAAGAUCAACUUAUGUGCUGAGUUCAAUCAUUAUUCCAUAAACUUUUUCUGUACCUAUUUUCACAUGGUAUCAAAGCUAGACUCCCUUUCUUUUUGAUCUCUUUCCCACCAUGUCUGACUAAUCUUCUAAAACCACAGUCACCUAAAAAAGACUAGAACAAAAAAUUUUUGAUUCUGAAUCUCAUUCUGUCCAUAUUACAACUAUCCGGCUGAAUGAAGGAAAUUUUCAAAGAUGGUCUCAGUCAGUUAGAAUGCAUAUUAGGGGAAGAAGGAAGAUUGGUUAUCUUACUAGAGAUGUUAAGGCUCCUGAAAUAUCUGAUCCCUCUUAUGGUGUAUGGGAUGACGAAAAAUCCAUGAUUAUGGCAUGGUUAGUCAACUCCAUGGAUGAAGACAUUUGUGCAAAUUAUAUGUGCUACUCUACUGCAAAGAACUCUGGGAUAAUGUGAGUCAGAUGUACUCUGACAAUGGAAAUUAGUCUUAAAUCUAUUAGUUGCAGCUUGCUCUUGGAGAUAACCAUCAAAGAGAUUAUAGGAUAACAAAAUACUUCAAUACUCUAAAGAGAUUGUGGCAAGAUCUGGACUUAUUCAACAACUACGAGUGGAAGAGCACGGAAGAUUUUAAACACCAAAAACAAACUAUCAAUAAUGAGCGAAUCUUGAAGUUCCUAGCUAGGCUCAAUGUUGAAUUGGUAAGAGGAAGAAUUAUUGGGAGAAAGCCACUUCCUACUCUUGAGGAUGUUUUCUCUGAAGUAAGGAGAAAAAAAAUUCGUCGAGGUGUUAUAUUGGGAAAAAGGAACUCCAUUGUCUUUGUGGAAAAAUCUGCCCUUGUUACAGCAGAUGCUAAUGCUACCUGCUCCUUCACUCAACAGCAACAAAAACCUCGAGUAUGGUGUGAUUACUGUAAUAAACCAUGUCAUACUCGGGAGGCUUGCUGGAAACUCCACGGAAAGCCUACAUAAUGGAAAAACAGCAAGCAUAGCCGUGCGUCUACCAAUAAAGUGGAGGAUAUAGAAAAAAAUCUUAACGAGGAGCAAAUUGAUCAUCUCAUAAAGCUGCUGACUUCUAAUCCUCCACCUGGUACUCCUAGUGGUUCACUAGCCUAAACAUGUAGUAUUAUUAAUGCUCUAUUUAGCCACUCAUCUACUGCACCAUGGAUUAUUGAUUCGGGUGCUUCUGAUCAUAUGACCAUCAUUUCUAGUUUAUUUGAUUCCUAUUAUCCUUGUCCUAGUAACAAAAAGGUAAGAGUUGCUUAUGGAAACUUAUCUUCCAUAACUGGAAAAGGAUCAAUAAAAAUCUUUGAAACCAUUGAGCUUAAUAAAUGUGCUACAUGUCCCUAAACUUUCUUGCAAUCUGUUACUUGUCAAUCAAUUAGCCAAAGAUUCUAAUUGUUGUGCUGUCGUUUUUUACUCCCAUUGUGAAUUUCAAGACAGGGAUUUGGGGACGAUGAUUGGCAGUGCUAGUUUGCGAGAAGUUCUUUACUAUUUUGAUGACUACUUAUCAAGGAAUAAACAAGCUCAAGGUUUGAGCAAUAGGAUUAGUUCAAACUCUGCUAGGGAUCAAAUAAUGCUUUGGCACCUUAGACUAGGACACCCUACCUUUCCUUAUUUGAAAUAUUUGUCUCCAGAUUUAUUUAAAAAUGUUGAUUGUACUACUUUUCAGUGUGAAAGUUGUUUUUAAUCUAAAAGUCAUCGAGUUUCAUAUAAAGCACUUACUUAUUGUGCCUCAAAACCAUUUUAUUUAAUUCAUAGUGAUGUUUGGGGACCCUAAAAAAUCAUUACUUUAACUGGCAAAAAAUGGUUUGUAACAUUCAUAGAUGAUCAUACGCGGCUUCAUUGGGUUUAUUUAAUGAGAGAAAAAUCUGAAGUUGAGGGUUAUUCAAAGAUUUUUAUAACAUGGUUGAAAAUUAAUUUCAAACAAAAAUAAGCCUACUCGAUACAGAUAAUGGUCUGAAUAUUUUAAUAAUUAUCUAGAGGUGUUUUGUAAGGAAAAGGGUAUAAUUCACACAUCCACUAGUCGUGAUACUCCACAACAAAAUGGAAUUGCGGAAUGAAAAAACCGCCAUUUACUUGAAGUUAGUCUGGCUAUCAUACUCUCUAUGCAUGUUCCUAAAUAUUUGUGGGGUGAUGUUGUUUUAACAGCAUGUUAUUUGAUUAAUAGGAUGCCUACCCGUGUUUUAAAGUAUCAAUCACCUUUAGAAUACUUUACACUUAUAUAUCCUUCUAGUAGGAUUACCUCGAAUAUUCAGUUAAGAGUCUUUGGGUGCACUGUAUUUGUUCACCUUCCUAACCAUCUUAGAUCUAAAUUGGAUCCUAGAUUUGAAAAUUGUGUUUUCUUGGGCUAUGCUCCUAAUAAAGAGGCUACAAAUAUUUCAAUCCUCAAACAAAGAAAUUCCAUGUCAGUAUGGAUGUUAUAUUUCUCGAAAAUCAACCUUUUUUUGGCCAAAAUUCUCUUCAGGGGGAGAAAGAAAAUAGUGAAGAUCAUUUUUGGCAUACUUAUACACCUAUGCCUAAUUUGUUUUUACCUGAUCUGAGCACUUCAAUUCAAACUCAAAAAACUAAUAUUUCUAAUAAUGAAAACUUAGGAAACUUUGAACUACAAGAACCAAGUGUUAAUGUACCAGAGACAGGGGGAGAAAUAUUACAAGAUAAAAUUCCACCACCAAAGCUUCGUGUUUAUACUCGACUAAGGUAUCAUCACAGCAAUAAAGACCCUCCCAUAAACUUGGUACAACCUCAAUUGUCGCCUCCAAGCACUGAUUCCUCAUAAAAUUUAGGUAACAUUUCUUCUCCUAAAAAUUCCAGCACUUUUUUUUUCCUGAUCUUGACUUACCCAUAGCACAUAGGAACGAAACCCGAACCUGUACUAAGCACCCCAUUGCUGGAUAUGUUUCCUAUGAAAAGUUUUCCAAUAAACGAAGAGCCUUUACCACAAAAAUCUCUCAGAUACCAAUUCCUAAAGCCAUAAAAGAAAAAUUGGACAAUGGUUUGGUCUGCAUGCUGAACAUUCCUACAGAUGAGCAAAUUGCUAAUAUACUCACCAAGGGACUACCUAAGAAACAUUUCGAGAAAUUGGUUUGCAAGCUAGCCUUGAAAGACAUUUUUAUACCAGCUUGAGGGGGAGUGUUGAAAGGUUGACCAAAUCAAAUUGAUUUGGUUUCCUUAUAUAUUUAGGUGUAUAUUAGGCGUAAAUAUAGAGUUAUUGCUUCCUAGAAAUCAGUGUGUAAUAUUCUGCUUUAAUUUUUUCUUUCCUUUCUUAGUCUCUUGUAUCCCUAUAUUAAGACUGUAUACAGUCUCAUGAAGAUAUGAAAAAGAGAAUUAUUCCAUAAACUUUUUCUCUACCUAUUUUCACACUUCCACAUCAUACGGUGAUUAAUAUGUCAUCUCUACUCAAUUUAUUUAGCAUCAAAUUAUCAGAAGAUUUUGUUACUUAAAUAGAUGGUUUUCAUUUCAACUUCAAUGUUUUUUCAGGCCUAAAGCUUCAUAGUGCUUGUUUAUAUUGUUAAUCAAUAUAUAUAAGUUUACUUGCAGGCAAUAUCAGGCAUUUUCGAAAUAUGCGUAAGUAUGACAAGGAAAUCUCAAAAAGAAACAAAAACUUAUUGCUUGGAAAAAUUUAUUUAUUUGGGGGAAGCCAUUAUGAGUUUUGGGCUCCUUAAUAGCUUUAGUAAAUUUUGGACCAUUAUUUUGAACUAUGACCCAGUUUCCCUUGUUUACACCACAGAAAAUUAGCAACACUCUCUUAUGUCUCAACUCUCUCUGUCUCAACCAACAAAAUCAACUCUGUUAGUAGUCUGUUUAAAGCCCAUUUCUGAUUAUCUGAUAUCUGUGUUCAUGAUAUGUUUCGUGAUCUUGGACUGUAAUUUGGUUUUUAGUUUUUCCAGAGGCAAAUGAAGUCAAAUUUGCAAGAACAUCGGUCUUUGAAGGAGCAUCAUUUAAGUUGGACUAUCUAACAAAACCUUCAUUCUUUGAGAAUUUUGGAUUCACUGAGAAGGUCAAAAUGGCAGACCGUGUGAAGCCGGAAGAUGAAUUGUUUCUAGUGGCCUAUCCAUAUUUUAAUGUCAAUGGUAGUCUUACACCUUGUCUUCUCAUUGAUAUUCAUUCCUUAAGGUCAUUAAUUUUGCUUUUCUUUUGUCUUGUAGAAAUGCUUGUGGUUGAAGAGCUUUACAAAGAAGCUGUCUUCAAUACUGCCCGGAAACUGAUUAUAUUCAAUGGAGAACUUGACCGGAUAAGGUCUGGGUGUAUCCUUCACCAUUCUUUCAUUAUUAUUGUACUUUCUGUAAAUUUAGUGUGAUUUUGAUGCUAUAUAACAGUUUCUAGAUGCCCACCCAUUGAAUUGCUUGUUUACAACUUUUUGGUCCUUCAAUUGGUAUCAUUUUGCAAAAAUUGAAAGUAAAGUGGGUUUUUUGCUUUUAUUUUUUAAUACAAUAAUUUGAAAUUCACUCCCAGAAAUCUAAAGGGGAAUUAAUAAGGAUGAUCGUGUUAUAUCUUUCACUAAAAUGUCGCAAGGAAGACUUUUUUUAAAAAAAUAAAUAACAAUGACUUAACCAAACUAAUUAGUGACUUGGUUGUAGUAUAGUUGUUUUGGAAUGUGCAAUAAAAGGAUCAGAGAGGAUUUCCUUAAAUGAGCAGAAGAUUAUCCAUCGUUCUUCUACCCUAAGCUGGCUGCACUAUCCAGAACACUUUUUCCUGUGAUGGAGACCAUAUAUUACAUUCACAACUUUAAGGGUGGCAAUGGAGGAACCCUUUUCAGGUUUGCCAGCUAGUUACCGACGCGUUUCCUGUGGCAACAUAUUAAUGCUUGCCUAGUAUCACUCACUGUUUUCCUGCUGUUUAACUUAUAUUUUACAUGUUUUUCUUUUCCACUUCCUGUUAGGUGCUACCCAGGUUCCUGGAAGGUCCUGAAGAAAGUGAGUAAUAAAUAUAUAUGUUUGCAUCAGCAGGAAGUGAUGCCUUCCCUUAAGGAGGUUGCUUUGGAUAUCCUUCCCUCAGCUUGAGUUUCACCAAAAUAUUUGUCUGGUGAUAAAUCCCACUUUCUUAUGUUAUAGCAGAUUUGUUUUAUAGCUUAUAAAAGAUCAACUUAUGUGCUGAGUUCAAUAAUUGGUUCAUGAUUUCUAGUUUGUAGGUCUUAUGCUGAGUAUUUUGAUACUAAUCUGCCAGUGUUUGAAAGAUCUUAUUCUUAAGAUGAAUAUAAUCAUAACUUCCACAUCAUAGCGUGAUUAAUAUGUCAUCUCUGCUCUAUUUAUUAAGCAUCAAAUUAUCAGAAGAUUUUGUUACUUAAAUAGAUGGUUUUCAUUUCAACCUCAAUGUUUUUUCAGGCCUAAAGCUUCAUAGUGCUUGUUUAUAUUGUUAAUCAAUAUAUAUAAGUUUACUUGCAGGCAAUAUCAGGCAUUUUCGAAAUAUGCGUAAGUAUGACAAGGAAAUCUCAAAAAGAAACAAAAACUUAUUGCUUGGAAAAAUUUAUUUAUUUGGGGGAAGCCAUUAUGAGUUUUGGGCUCCUUAAUAGCUUUAGUAAAUUUUGGACCAUUAUUUUGAACUAUGACCCAGUUUCCCUUGUUUACACCACAGAAAAUUAGCAACACUCUCUUAAGUCUCAACUCUCUCUCUCUCAACCAACAAAAAUCAACUCCCUUUCCAAUCUAUAUCACAAUGCACGCUAUUUCAUCAAACCCAAGACUUACUUCAACUUAGAUUCAUAUAUGUUAUUUGAUUCAUGAUUAAGAAACUGUGUUUUUUUUCUUUUUUCAAAGUACGCUUGGAGAAUAAUAAAUAAAUUUACCAACCAACACAAAAAAAGUUUAUGUGAGGCUUGGUUGACAAUUUUAUUGUGGUAAUAUGUCGUUUAAAGAUAAAUGUUGUUGAUUUAUUGAUUCUUGUGUUGACUUGGAUGGAAGAUAUGUUGAAGAAAAAGAAACCCAAAAAUUACAUAUGCAGUUUUUUUCGUCAUUUCUGACUUUCAUGAUUUUGUACAAGAUAUAAGUUUUGUUUUCUAGACUUUGUUCUAAGUAGUAUUGGAAAACUUUGCAUUGCACAUUGUAGGUGUCCUCAAAUCUAUUAAAUUGGAUUAGGCAGUCUGAACACAUUAUUAGGGUUGUAAAGGGUCCAUGCAGUAUAAUUUUCUCUUGAUGCUUUCAUAUUUUUUGGCUGUACAGAUUUGAUGCAUCAUUGAUUCUUUGAUUCUGAUGUCUAAUGAAAAUGUAUGUUUAUAUUGCAUCGAUGAAUUUUUUAAUCCGGGAAUUGUAGUAAUUGUCUGUUGUAUUUCCAUGCAGUUGAAACCUUCUUGAUUUUUUGAAAAAGGAAAAUUACUUAAUUUGAUAAAGAAGAAUAUAUGAAUUUCUGAACAAUAAAAACUGUAGGAAGCAAAAAGAUAUCCUUGUGGCAUUAAUGAGUUGCUGGAAACAAGGUUUAAGAAUUUUGUAUGCUUUUGUUAAAGCUAUAAAAUGCUAUUUAUUAUCUGUGUUGUUACAAACUAAAGUACUUUUGUGCUUUAUGCAAAUUUAAAAAUGCUAUGCUAUGCGUUAGAGCAAUAAAGUUGUUAAGAAACAGUGAAGGCUUUUGUUGCUUUACUUAAGAUGAGGUUCAAGAAUAUUAUAUAACUUUAGUGAAUGUUUGCAUGGUGGCUUUGAUCUUGUUGCUGCCCCAAACUGACUGAUUGAAGGAGAGAAUUUUACAGCUAGAUCAAGCUUCUUUCCCCAGAUUAACUUCUGACAUGGACCAAUCAAAUGGCUGUCGCAUUCUUAAAAAAAUGGUUCAAGUUUUCCAUAGUUAUGGUCCACUUAUACAGAAUCUGGAGAAAUGAAUAUAUGAAUUGUGACUUAUAUCAUCUGUGAAGGCAAGGAAUAAUCCAUGGAAUUAUAUAAGAAGCAUUGAAACUGCUUUGUUGAUGGCCUGAGGCCAGAGAAAAUGCCGAAAACAUAUUCCUAAGAAAGUUGUUCCUUCUAGUUCAGUCCGGUCCAUUAAUUAAUCCUGGCUACAGCCCUCCAAGUAGUCGGGAUUGAGGGGCUUCUGUACGUGUAAGAAUGCUCUUGUAUUUUUUUUUAAUUCUUUUUAAAUUACUAAUUGUUGAAUUGAUCAAAUUUCGCGCCAUGUUUUCAGUUUAUAACAUGGAAGAGUGCUUGCAAGUUAAGUUGGAAAAAUUAUCACCAUUGCCCUCAAACUGCUGCAUCUACAGAGUUCCGGAGCGAUUACGUCAGAUAAAUGAAAAGGCAUAUACACCUCAGGUAGUCUCAAUUGGCCCUCUUCACCAUGGCAAAGCAAACUUACAGUUCAUGGAAGCUCAUAAACAGCGGUACCUGCGUUACUUACUUCAACGGACCAUAAUAAGCUUUGACGAGUUUGUUCAAUUUAUAAAGCUCAGAGAAGCAGAAUUAAGAGGUUCUUAUGCAGAAAAAGUCGAACUAAGUAGUGAUAAAUUUGUUGAAAUGAUUCUGCUGGAUGCUGCCUUCAUCAUUGAACUCUUAUUGAGGUAUCAUUUUCGUCAACUUCAAAAAAAAGAUGAUCAUAUAUUUCAUAAACCAUAUUUAAUAGAGGAUAUAUGGUAUGAUAUGUAGUUGCUUGAGAAUCAGCUUCCUUUCUUCAUUCUUGAGGAUCUUUUUGCUCUAGCUGCAAUUGAAAUCCCUGAACAACAUGAAAAUCCAACCAUCAUCACAGUCACAUAUGAGUAUUUCAAGGGUUUAGAGGCAGUACAAGGUAAUCGGCAAAAAUUCCCUCCUUACACUGAGGUUAGGGUACAGCAUUUCCUUGAUUUUCUAAGGAUUUGUCAUCUACCAUCAUCGAGGAAUCAGGAAAAACAAGAAGGUCAGCAAUACCACAAAGGUAAAACCGCACCAAGUGUGACUGAGCUCCACCAAGCUGGAGUCCACUUCAGUUUGAGCAAGAGCAAUGAUUUGUUCGCCAUAGAAUUCAAAAACAGGACAUUGCAUAUUCCGAAACUGAAGCUACAGCUGGAAACAGAAUCCUUAUUUCGUAAUCUCAUUGCCUUUGAACAACGGCAUUACUCAGAGAAUUACAUAAAUGAUUAUGUGUUCCUUAUUCAUCAUCUCGUGAACACAGCGAAGGACGUCGAGUUGCUUGUUCAGAACGGAAUCAUUGAGAACUGGUUGCGGGAUAAAGAGACUGCGUCAAUGCUUAUAAAUAACCUUUCUAGAGGUACUACUCUGCUGUCUGAUAGCUUCUAUUUUUCUGGGCUAUGCAAAGGAUUGAAUGAUCACUGCAAAAGAACGUGCUACAAAUGGAGGGCAAACUUGAAACAAAAUUACUUCAAUACUCCAUGGGCUGGCAUUUCGGUGUGUGGCGCCGUUUUCCUUCUUAUUCUCACCGUCAUUCAGUCUGUAUGCUCUGUUAUACAAGUGUUGUCUCAACCCAAAAAUAUCUCGUGACGAAAAACCUCUGUGCGGUAUUUGUAUGUCGUUUUUGAGUUGCUGUUUUCUUUUUUUUAUUUUAAUUCUUAUUCUCAACCAAUUUUAUCAUGGAAUUGUUAAUUUUACUUGAAUGUUGAACCAAGCCUUUAUUUUUUAAUAAUGAAAUGAAAUAAAAGGUGGGGGUAUACCCUUCACAAUACCCUCUUCACUCCUUAUUUAGUGUUGCAUUUACCGCAAUAAAAAAUAAUUUUUAAACGAUAAACAUAUUUACUUGAAAACAAAAAUUAGUUUAUGCUAUUUAUUUAUCUUAUAAUGUUGGAACUUGAAAGUUAAUUUAAAUUAAUGUAAUCCUACCAACUUGAUUUGGUUUUCAUAUUGGUUGGUUUCAUGUAUCAUGCGAAUUGUUAGGCACCGACUAACUCAAGCGUAUGUUACUCAAACAUCACGCUUGAAUAAUAGUUUAAGGAAUGUUGAUUUGGAUGGUAGAUAUUUAAUCAACUAAAACUAACGUUCUCAACUCAAAGCUCAUCUACUAGUAAAAGUAAAACCCUUCUCCGUCAACUUAUCUUCUUCAUUAUAUAACAAAAGAUGUUCAAUGAAAGAAUGAAAUAUAUAUAUAUAUAUAUAUAUAUAUAUAUAUAUAUAUAAUUAAGUCAAAGUAGUCAAGAUCCAGCCACUCGGCUUGAGGGCUUGAGUUCGAACCCACAAGAACUUAUUUCAAUCCUUAUUUUAUAAAUAUGAGAUUAGGGAUAGAUUUAUCUCUAAUUAUUUAUUUAUCGAGUAAUUAAUUUUAACAAUAUUAUUAAUUGUAGUUGAAACUGGAAUGAAUUUUCUGAAAGAUGCUCUCUCAUAACUAACCAACUAAAACUAACAAUCAAAUUAUCAAACUCAGAGCUCACCUACUAGUAAAACUGUAAAACUAAAACACUUGCUUCUCCAUUAAGUCAUCUCUUUAUAUAUAAAAAAGAGUGUUUUUAUGAAAUAAUCAGUAACAAUUAGGUAUCAAAUAAUUCAUAAAAGAUGUCAAGCUCCGUUGCUACUGCUGCUGAGGCCGAGAUUUGGAUUGUCCCAUUCUUCGGUCAGGGACAUCUAUUUCCAUGCAUUGAAUUAUGCAACCAAAUCGCUUCCCGUAAUUACAAAUCUACCCUCAUCAUUCCCUCUCACAUUUCCGCCACCAGCAUUAUCCCAUCCUCGUUUCACCAAUAUCCUCUCUUUGAAGUUACUGAAAUACCCUCCUUCGCCUCCUCACCCCCAUGUUGUCGUGCACAGCCAAAUGCUUCAAGGCCUUCGAAACCUCCUUUCAACCCGGGAACCCAAAAGCCGACCCGUUUGUGCAGUCAUCGACGUUAUGAUGGGCUGGACGGCUGAUGUUUUCAAGAUUUUUGAAGUUCCCAUUGUUGGGUUCUUCACUUCUGGUGCUUGCUCAGCGGCUGUGGAGUGUGCCAUGUGGCAGGCUCACAUCCAAGAUGUCAAACCAGGAGAGGCCCGUUUACUUCCUGGGUUACCCGAGGAUAUGGCUUUAUUUGAAUCGAAUCUUAAACACAGGCCUCAUGAGCCCCCUCCUGGUGGUCCACCACCUCUGAGAGGUGCACCCGGUUCCGAGAAAAUAGGUCCACCAGAAGCCGGUGAUCAACCACACUGGAUGAAGGAAGUGGAGGGAUCAAUGGCGUUGAUGUUCAACACGUGUGAUGGUCUUGAGGGACCAUUUAUUAAUUAUUUAGCCAAUGAAUUGGGAAAGCCGAUGUGGGGAGUGGGCCCACUGUUACCUGAACAAUUUUACAAAUCGGCCGGUUCAGUGCUUCAUGAUCAUGAGAUGAGAAUCAACCGGUGGAGUUCUAACAUGACGGAAGAUGAGAUCAUUCAAUGGUUGAAUUUGAAAUCAUGCGGAUCUGUGUUAUAUGUGUCAUUUGGUACUGAAGUGGAUCCGACCUUAGAUGAGUAUUUAGUACUAGCCAAUGCUUUAGAAGCAUCAAAUCGACCGUUUAUUUGGGUAAUUUAAGGUGAUGCAAGUAGAUUGGAUCCUCUAUGUCAUUUGGACAAAACAGUAGAAGGCAGUUAUUUUCGUUAGAUGAGUUUAGUGUUGUUGACGAGGCACCAUAUGCACAACAUAGUGAUAUUGUUUAGUGUUUAAUAUUAGAGUAAUGAUAUAGCCACAAACUCUUGUACAAAUUUAUUUUGUACAAACUUAUGUGGCAUGAUAAGAUUGGUUGAAUUAAAUAUCACUUGGCCCACAUGAUUUGUUUUCAUUAUUUUAUAUUUUCAUUCAACCAAUGAAUUAGUGCCACGUCAGUUUGUAUAAAAUAAGUUUGUACAAUAGUUUGUGGCUGUAUCAUUACUCUUAAUAUUAUAGGGAAGUUUUUAAUAGAUCUUCAUUUCCGUGCAUAUUGUGAGCUUAUUGCCAA
rnacentral:lncRNA from 1 species